CAAGAAAAAGCUGGGCACCACACUGGAAUUGCUGCAAUGGAAGGCAGAGAAUGGUGUAUCUGACAAGGGAUUUGGAAAGUUGCUGGUAAUGAUAAAGGAUAUGCUUCCAAAGGACAACGAAUUGCCCGAGAGUACGUACGAAGCAAAGAAGGCUGUCUGCCCUCUAGGGUUAGAGGUGCAGAAGAUACAUGCAUGCCCUAAUGAUUGCAUCCUCUACCGCGGUGAGUACGAGGAUUUGAACGCUUGCCCGGUAUGCGGUGCAUUGCGCUAUAAGAUCAGCCGCGAUGACCCUGGUGAUGUCGAGGGCGAGCGCCCCAGGAAAAAGAUUCCUGCCAAGGUGAUGUGGUAUGCUCCUAUAAUACCACGGUUGAAACGUUUGUUCCAAAACAAAGAGCAUGCCAAGGCGAUGCGAUGGCACAGAGAAGACCGUAAGAAAGACGGAAAGUUGAGAGUACCCGCUGACGGGUCGUAGUGGAGAAAAAUCGAAAGAAAGUACGGGAAGGAGUUUGCAGAUGACGCAAGGAACGUAUGGUUUGGUCUAAGCGCAGAUGGCAUUAAUCCUUUUGGGGAGCACAGCAGCAACCAUAGCACCUGUCCUAUGACUCUAUGUUUGUAUAACCUUCCUCUUUGGUUGUGCAUGAAGCAGAAGUUCAUUAUGAUGCCAGUGCUCAUCCAAGGCGCUAUGAAAAAAAUUCUUAUUUUUAACAGAAGCGCGAUAAAAUACUGAUUAUUUUUGCAGAAGAUUAAUAAAUAAAUUGUUUAGGUCGUCCUAAAUAUUCAGAAUUUUUGAAGUUAAAGAAGUAUUCAUAAUAUCCAGAUUGCUACAGACUGUUCUGUUUUUGACAAAUUCUGUUUUCUAUGUGUUGUUUGCUUAUUUUGAUGAAUCUAUGGCUCGUAUCGGGGCGGGGGGUAUGAACCAUGGAAGAGUUAAAAUACAGUAGAUAUUACACCAAUAUAAAUAAAAAAUGAGUUCACAACAGUAUCAAAAGUGGUGAUUUAUUUUCUUAUAACGGGGCUUAUGAUAUUUUCUGUCGAGUUUUGUGUUGUGAAGUUUUCAAGUUUUGGGUAAGGAAUUGAUGGACUAUGGAAUAAAGAGUGGCAAGAGCCUAAGCUUGGGGAUGCCCAAGGCACCCCAAGGUAAUAUUCAGGGAUAACCAAGAGCCUAAGCUUCCGGGGCAUCCCCUCUUUCGUCUUCAUUUAUCGGUAACUUUACUUGAGGCUAUAUUUUUAUUCACCACAUGAUAUGUGUUUUGCUUGGAGCAUCGUGUAUGAUUUGAGUCUUUGCUUUUCAGUUUGCCACAAUCAUCCUUGUUGUACACACCUUUUGAGAGAGACACACAUGAAUCAUGAUUUAUUAGAAUACUCUAUAUGCUUCACUUAUAUCUUUUGAGGUAGGCAAUUUUGCUCUAGUGCUUCACUUAUAUCUUUUUAGAGCACAGCGGUGGUUUUAUUUUAUAUAAAUUGAUGAACUCUCAUACUUCACUUAUAUUAUUUUGAGUGUCUCUAAACAGCAUGGUAAUUAGCUUUGGUUAUAAAUUUAGUUCUAAUAUGAUAGGCAUCCAAGAGAGAUAUAAUAAAAACUUUCAUAUAAAGUGCAUUGAAUACUAUGAGAAGUUUGAUUCCUUAUGAUUGUUUUGAGAUAUGAAGAUGGCGAUAUUAGAGUCAUGCUAGUGAAGUAGUUGUGAAUUUGAGAAAUACUUGUGUUAAGGUUUGAGAGUCCCGUAGCAUGCACGUAUGGUGAAUCGUUAUGUAACGAAGUUGGAGCAUGAGAUAUUUUUGAUUGUCUUCCUUAUGAGUGGCAUCUGGGGACGAGCGAUGGUUUUUUCCUACCAAUCUACCCCCUAAGAGCAUGCGCGUAGUACUUUUGAUGACUAGUAGGUUUUUGCAAUAAGUAUGUGAGUUCUUUAUGACUAAUGUUGAGUCCAUGGAUUAUAUGCAGUCUCACCCUUCCGCCAUUGCUAGCCUCUCUUGUACAGCACAACUUUCACCGCUAUCAUAAACCCACCAUAUACCUUCCUCAAAACAGCCACCAUACCUACCUAUUAUGGCAUUUCCAUAGCCAUUCCGAGAUAUAUUGCCAUGCAACUUUCCACCGUUCUGCUUAUUAUGAAAUGCAUCAUCAUUGUCAUAUUGCUUUGCAUGAUCAUGUAGUUGACAUUGUAUUUGUCGCAAAGCCACCGUUCAUUAGUUUUUUAUACAUGUCGCUCUUAAUUCAUUGCACAUCCCGGUACACCGUCGGGGGCAUUCAUAUAGAGUCAUAUCUUGUUCUAGUAUCGAAUUGUAAUUUUUGAGUUGUAAGUAAAUAGAAGUAUGAUGAUCUUCCUUUUUAGAACAUUGUCCCAUGUGAGGAAAUAAAAUAAAAAAGAGGAAAAGAAAAAAAGAGCAAAAAAAGAAAAAAAGAGAAGAAGAAAAAAAAAGGAGGGAAAGAAAGAAAAAACGAGAGAAAAAGAGAGAAGGGGCAAUGUUAUUGUCCUUUUCCAUACUUGUGCUUCAAAGUAGGACCUUGAUCUUCAUGAUAGAGAGUCUCCUAUGUUCUUACUUUCAUAUACUAGUGGGAAUUUUUCAUUAUAGAACUUGGCUUGUAUAUUCCAACGAUGGGAUUCCUCAAAAUGCCCUAGGUCUUCAUGAGCAAGCAAGUUGGAUGCACACUCACUUAGUUUUCUUUUCGAACUUUCAUAAACUUAUAGCUCUAGUGCAUCUGUUGCAUGGCAAUUCCUACUCACUCACAUUGAUAUCUAUUAAUGGGCCUCUCCAUAGCCCGUUAAUACCCCUAGUUGAUGUGAGACUAUCUCCCUCUUUUUGUCUUCUCCACAACCACCGUCUAUUCCACCUAUAGUGCUAUGUCCAUGGCUCAUGCUCAUGUAUUGCGUGAAAGUUGAAAAGGUUUGAGAACAUCAAAAGUAUGAAACAAUUGCUUGGCUUGUCAUCUGGGUUGUGCAUGAUUUGAAUAUUUGUGUGAUAAAGAUGGAGCAUAGCCAGACUAUAUGAUUUUGUUAGGAUGAGAUUUCUUUGGCCAUGUUAUUUUGAGAAGACAUAAUUAUCUUGUUAGUAUGCUUGAAGUAUUAUUGGUUUAUGUCAAUAUUAAACUUUUGUUUUGAAUCAUACGGAUCUGAACAUUCAUGCCACAAUAGAGAAAAUUACAUGGAUAAAUAUGUUAGGUAGCAUUCCACAUCAAAAAUUAUGUUUCUAUCAUUUACCUACUCGAGGACGAGCAGGAAUUUUCCGGAGUACCGGGGGCUACCGGAACCCCCCGGGAGUUAAUGAGCCUUCAUGGGCCCUAGUGGAGAGAGGAGGCGGCAGCCAGGUGGUGGCGCACGCCCCCCCAAGCCUGAACCGAAUUGGACUAGGGUUGGGGGGCCGGCCCCCCUUUCCUUCUCUCCUUCUCCUCCUUCCCUCCUUCUCCUAGUGGGAAUAGGAAGGGGGGCGAAUCCUACUUGGACUGGGAGUCCAAGUAGGACUCCUCCCAUGGCGCAUCCCCCCUUGGGCCGGCCACCUCUCCCUUCCCCUUUGUAUACGUGGGAGGGGGGCACCCCAAAGGCACACCAAGCCUUCUCUUAGCCGUGUGCGGUGCCCCCCUCCACAGUUUCACACCUCGGUCAUAUCGUCGUAGUGCUUAGGCGAAGCUCUGGGCCGGUAGCUUCAUCAUCACCGUCGACACGCCGUCGUGCUGACGAAACUCUCCCUCAUCCUCAAUUGGAUAAAGAGAUCGAGGGACGUCAUCGAGCUGAACCGCUAGGGGUACGAAGGAGGAGGAGACCGGAUGCGUUAAGCUAGUUGGUAAGAGUUCUUGUCAUUAUUGAUAGUGGCCCUAGAGAAAGAGAUUACGCUGAUUGUUCUAACUUCAUUCAUAUUUGAUUCCGCAACUGAGACCUUUUCCCACAUCUGUGCCAGGAGGGCAAGUGGUCAAAGCAGAAAGGGUUCUCGCUUCUCCUUCUGGAAGGGUGUGCUGAACACGGAGGUCCCGUAUGUUCGGUGCUUGGAUCGGUUGGAUCGCGAAAACGUUCGACUACAUCAACCACGUUACUAAACGCUUCCGCUUUCGGUCUACGAGGGUACGUAGACAAACUCUCCGCUCUCGUUGCUAUGCAUCUCCUAGAUAGAUCUUGCGUGAUCAUAGGUAAAAAUUUUGAAAUACUGCGUUCCCCAACAUGCUUGCGUUUAUUUCACUACAUCAUGUCAUCUUACUUAAUGCGUUACUCUGUUCUUAUGAACUUAAUACUCUAGAUGCAGGCAAGAGUCGGUCGAUGUGUGGAGUAAUAGUAGUAGAUGCAGGCAGGAGUCGGUCUACUUGAUACGGACGUGAUGCCUAUGUUCAUGAUCAGUGCCUUAGAUAUCGUCAUAACUUUGCGCUUUUCUAUCAAUUGUUAGGCAGUAAUUUGUUCACCCACCGUAAUAUUUUCUAUCUUGAGAGAAGCCUCUAGUGAAACCUAUGACCUCUAGGUCUACUUUCCAUCAUAUAAGUUUCCAAUCUACAAUUUUAGUUUCCUAUUUACUUCCUUUGCAACCUUUUACUUUCCGUUUCAUAAACCAAAAAUAUCAAAAAUAUUACUUUACCGAUUAUCCAUCUCUAUCAUAUCUCACUUUGCAAAUAAUCCCAAAGGGAUUGACAACCCGUUUAGCGCCUUGGGUGCAAGUAGGUGUUUGUUUGUGCAGGUACUCAAUGACUUGUGUGUCGUCUCCUACUGAAUUGAUACCUUAGUUCUCAAAACUGAGGGAAAUACUUACUCUACUUUGCUUCAUCACCAUUUCCUCUUCAAGGGAAAAACCAACGCAAGCUCAAAAGGUAGCAGACCUCCAGUCGUAGCCGCCAUGAUUUUCUUCACGUCUAUCAAUGCCUUGAGAAUUUUGACUUGGACAUGUCCUAUGGCAUGAAUAAGAAAUCGAAGCUUCGCGCCGCGUCCUCUUGAGGCCGUGUUGGCUGAUAAUAUUAGUGCGCAUGACCAGAGCCUUUCUGAUCAAGAUAUCCAAGGACGACAUACACCAAUUCAUAUAGAUCUCCGCUCGGAAAGACCGAAACUCAUCAACGGCCAGAUCCAAGUUGUCGACAUCUGACAGAAAGACGACUUGGCGGAAGAAAAGCAUCAGGGCCAAACCACCAUUAUUAGUCCAAAGCUAAUAGCCUCCACGCCGCCCUCCUCUCGAUCCAGACAGGAAGAAAAAGAUCAACGACGUCGCAUCAUGCCACUCGCAUUCGUGGAGGCUUGAACAUGGCAAGACGCCAACCAUGGCUAGAGACGGGGACCAGCCACUCUGGCCAGAUCCGGCGACUCCUAGUCCCACCGCUCCCGCUACGGCGGCACCGCAUGUAGCCUACAAGCCCAUCCACGAUGAUGUCUGAUUAGAAGGAUAUAUGGAUAUACAGAUGAAAAGGCCCUUGUUAUCCCUCCAACAAUAUAUAUAAAGCUUAUUGGGACAUGAGAAAGCUUGCACAAGGCUAUGGAAAUGUAUUGCCAGACAGAGAUAUACGAUUUUCGUUCGGCAUCCAAACCGCUUGUGUCACGCUUAAUCGAUGGUCACUCUAAUUUUUCCGGCGGGCCUUCCCUGUGGUACUGCAGCCUUACAUGUGUAUUAGUGGUUAGGGCGUCAUCCGUGGCGCCGCUUAAGAGGAAGUUGUUUGCACGCUUUUAUUUUUUUUAAAUCAUGUACUCCUCAUCUCUAUCUAAAAAAAUAUUUAUAGAAAAUCCUCAUCUCCAUCUAGAAAAAGAAGUAAAAAAGAAAAAAAAAAUCACCAACGCAACCUUACAGCGAGCGCCACUUAGCGUAGUCCUCCAUUUAAAAAAAUAUGAAGUCAUCACCUUCAUAUAAAAAGAAAAAAACAUUUUAAAAACGUUUUCAUCUCCAUCUAAAAAUAAUAUCCCAAAAGCUUUUUCACUACGGCCAACCAGCUUGUACCAUGUGCCAUAACUGAUUGGCCGCUCUUCAUGCAUAGCUUAAUGGGUUUAAUGAGUUUCAUAUAGCUAUUCAUUAAGAAGAAAACCAAAAUUACUUGGAGUUAAUAACUAAUACGUUUCCUUUAACUAACACGUGCACGGCGAGGAUUUACGUGCAUGAUGUUUUUUCCUCUCCCCACGUCGUAUUGGGCCGGCCCAUUCGUGCACAUCUCUAUUUCUAAUGCAGCAGUUGGUAGUCUCAUUUUCAGGGUUUUUUUGUCCCACCUUUCAUGGUUUUUUUAUACCUCCUUCCACCUUCGCUGGUUUUUUUCAUAAAUUUUUUGUCCCCUCCCCCUAUUUCAUCGGUUUAUUUUCGCGUCACCCUCUCACACAAUGAAAGAAAUCUGAACAGAUUAGAACUUUCCAUGCUGGCGCAAGUUAUUUAGUAAUGUAGAAUCAAUCACGAACAAUCGCUAAAGAUCAAAUCCAAGUUAAUUAACCUUACCUUAAAUCACUCAAUCACAUUAAUUAGAAAACAAAUAAUUGAUUUUCAGAAAAAUUGCUCAAUCACAUUAACCUUACCUUAACUCACGGAUGGUAAUCAAUCUUCAAACAAAGGAAACAAUACAUCAAGGGAGCAGUAAAUAAACUCCCUUUCUUAUGACAUGUAUAUGAUCUUUCCUUCCCUCUCCGUUGUCGAGCGUUCUUGAUUCUCAAGGCCGAUUCUUGGGCUGCGUCACUGGGUCGCGACGGUGCCGAAGGACGAGGAUGGCGAGGCCGGGUGUCGCGGCACCGCGUUGGCCGUGGCUGAUGAAGGGGGUGAAGAAGGGCGGCUUCCCUGGCCGUGGCCCUGGGAGUUGGUGCGGUGGAAACGUCACUUGAAGGACCCGACGUGGGUGGCCGACGCGCAGACGCACUUGGAAGCGGGCCCAUGGCCCGCGCCGGACGGCGCCGACGCCGACCUGGACCACCUCCUCCGUGUAUCCUUGGAGCUAUGGCUGGCCAAUUUAUAUGAAAUUAAUUCCCUCAGUUGUGGUGGCAAAUAUAAUACACAUAAUCCAUAUUGUUAUGCACUAGUGUGUGUGUGUGUGAAAUAGAUGGAUUAUGGUCCCGUACCAAUAAGAUGGAUAUAUGUGUGUGUUAGAGAGAGAGAGAGAGAGAGAGACAGAGAGGGAGAGGGGGAGAGAGAGUGAGGAAAAGGGAGGGAGAGUGUGUGUAUGAGGAUUUGAUGGUAAAAAAAGUCGCCAAUGUCAUUUGAUAUGUAUGAAAAUAUUAAUAUUAAACUUUUAAAGUUAAUGUGGCCCCGUUAAAAUACACAAGCGUUCUUAUAGUAUAGUUAGAGAAAGACAUGAGGAAAAGGAAGAACCGGGAUCGAUUCCUAGUCUUCUCAAGGUGGCCGCGUGGGUUUGUCUCAAAAAAAAAAGGUGACAGCGUGGGUGCUACUACCGGUCCGCCCAAGUCCGGUUCGUGAUAAGUUGUAGGUGCGCGUCGUACUUGAGGCGAUUGAGGCCUGUUUUAUUUGAGUUUUUCCUCUCUUUUUUCUUCUUCAUUUUUUUCAUUCUUUUUUGCACUCCGUUUCUUUGUUUUGUCAUUCUUUUUUUCUUUUGUUUAUUUUCUUUUUUUCCGGUUUUCUUUGUUCUAUUGGUUAUUAUUGUACAUUUUUUGUAUACGUCUACAACAUUUUUUUCUAAUACACAUCUAACAUUUUUCAAAUACAAACCAACCAUUUUUGUAAUACAUUGUCAAGAUUUUUUUGUACACAUUUUUAAAUGCUUGUUUGUCAUUUUUCAAAUACAAGAUUAACAUUUUUUCAAUACAUGGUCAACAAUUGUUUUUGCCAUUUUUACAAAAAAAUUAAAUGCUUGAUUAACAUUUUCUUAAUGCAUGGUCAUUUAUUUUUCUAUACACAUUUAACAUUGUCCAAAUGCUUAAUUAACAUUUUCAAACCCUUGUUCAACAUCUCUUUUAAAAUGCUUGAUUCACAUUUCUGUAUACAUGAUCAAACAUUUUUAUCAUUUUUAAUACAUGGUCGACGGUAUUACCCAUACACAUUUAACAAUUUCCCAAUUCUUGAUUAACAUUGUUUAAGUACUCGUUCAACAUUUUCUCAAAUGCAUAACGUUGACAUUGUUGAAAAGUGGCAUCACAAGUUCCAGGGAGUAGAAAAGAGAUUAAUCAACGAAACCGCGCGAACUUUGUGGUGCUAUUGUGUUAUAUCAACUACUCCUUUCGUUCCGAAUUACUUGUCACAAGUAUGUAUGUAUAUCUAGAUAUAUUUUAAUUUUAGAUACAUCCAUUUAUGCGACGAGUAAUUUGGAACGGAGGGAGUAUGUGUCUGUUAUGUCACCAAAUUCAGUAUAUAUAGAACAUGGAAAUACAGUAAUAGUGAGCUCACUCGGUGGGAGCCCGUCACGGCCAUGGGAAUAGGAUCCUCCUCGUACUGCUCCUCUCCUGCCCUGCCCUGAGGAGCAGUAUCGUCCGUCGUCGCCGAGCGGCGCAGCAGCCGGUGGCCGAGGGGAGACCGAGAUUUAUUCUCCGGAGGCGCCGAAUCCGGCUCGUAAGUCGAAAUCCCUCUCUGUCCCGCCUCUCGGAUCCUCCCACCGAUCUCCUACUUCCCUGCCGCCAAUGCCCGCCUUUUCUUUGGACUCCGAGCGAGGAAUCGGAGGGAAAGCUGUGUACUUCCUGUGGCUUCAUACCCCGGUAAUGGCGGCCCUGCUUGCCGUUGCCGCUUGGUCCACUCUCUGCGUGCCCGUCUGCAAGGUGUUCGAUGGAUUGUGCGCAGGGUGUCGGCCCGGCUGGCCUCGUUUCACUUCUUCCAGGUUUCAGUCCGUUUACCGCCGGUUGCUGAAAAUGUGCACGAGAAGCAUAAGAAUGCUGGGAUAUGCGCUCUUUGUUUACCGUUUACUGUCAUUUGUUUGGUUGCAGGAAGCACCCGGCCUUAAGCAUAGUACUACAUAUAAAGUUGUAUGUUCUGUUCCGUUUGUUUGUUUGCUGUCUGAUGAUUGAGACAAGUGCAUAAUCUAAAGUUUGGCACCUGCACUUGCACCUGCUCCUGCACAUUUAUGUGUUGGAAACUGGAAUCUGUUCAGUGUAGUAUGGCCAUGCCACAUGUUUUGGCUUUAGCCUAAGGACCAAUUGCUUCUUGACUUUCUUGGAUGCUUGCUGGCCCAACCUUGGAUCUGUAUCUUUCUAAUAGUCUUCUAAAUCAGAAACAUAACGAUUUUUUGUGCUGCUUACUAGAUUCGGUGUGUUUACUUAGCGUGUUUAGUCGAAUCAUCUGUCAUUGUUCUCUCAAGUUACUUUUCCUUGCGAUAUUCAACCCAGCGGUUUAAAAUUCCUGCAAUUGCUUCAUUCAGAUUGAUUUUUCGCUUCUUUGUUGCUGAUUUCCUUUCAACGUUUGGGCUGAGGCUCCAAAUGUUGGUACUCUUUUAACCGGAGUAUGUUACUUUGGAGAAUAGAAGAAUUAUGCAUUGGUAUCAUGAUAACAUAUGCCUAAUGGUUUUUCUUACAGGAGGGCGUUUCCAACACAUAAAUAGUUUGCUAGCAUGCAGACAGUGUCCAGUAGCCUUUGCGCCAUUUGAGGCAUAAUGGACAUAGCUUUUAUCAUGUUGUUGGUUCUUUCUCUGCUCCUGUUCCCUAAUGGCAUCUGCAAGAGUUUAGCUACAGGACCUCCUGUUGUGAAUAUUGGGUCUAUUCUUCAGUUUGACUCCACCACCGGGGGUGUUGCGGCAGUUGCCAUCCAUACAGCCGUGGAAGAUAUCAACUCUGAUCCAACAGUUCUAAAUGGAACUACACUAAAGGUUCAAAUCAAGGAUACAAAUUGCUUUGAUGGUUUCCUUGGCAUGGUUCAAGGUAGGCUAGCUUUAAUGCCACUCAUUCAUUUCACAACCUUCAAAUAGUUAUUACUUCUGUUGUGGAGUUGUGGCAAUGAUGCCGUGUUCCUUGUAUCAGCUUUGCAGUUCAUGGAGACUGAUGUUAUUGCACUCAUUGGCCCUCAGUGCUCCACAAUUUCUCAUAUCAUUUCAUAUGUAGCAAAUGAGCUUCGAGUCCCUUUGAUGUCCUUUGCUUCUGAUGCAACUCUUUCAUCAAUACAGUUCCCGUUCUUUGUCAGGACGGGUCCCAGUGAUCUCUAUCAAAUGGCGGCUGUGGCAGAAGUUGUUGACUACAACCACUGGAAGAUAGUGACUGCCAUAUACAUUGAUAAUGUUUAUGGUAGAAAUGGCAUUGCUGCUUUGGAUGAUGCACUCACUUUAAAGCGCUGCAAAAUAUCCUACAAGGUUGGGUUUCCUUCCAACGCUAAAAGGAGUGACCUCAUAAAUUUGUUGGUUAGUGUCAGUUCUAUGGAGUCUCGUGUUAUCAUUCUCCAUACUGGAACUGAACCUGGACUCAAGCUUUUCUCUAUGGCACACCAACUGAACAUGAUGGGCAACGGCUAUGUGUGGAUUGCAACUGACUGGCUGUCUGCAUAUCUUGAUGCUAAUUCAUCAGUUCCUGUUGAGACUAUAUCUGGCCUGCAAGGUGUUCUUACUUUACGGCCACAUAUUCCCAACUCAAAGAUGAAGAGUAAUUUGGUCUCCAAAUGGAGCACGCAAAGUAAAAAGUACAACUACAGUGAUGUUUGUAUAAAUACUUAUGGUUUUUAUGUUUAUGAUAGUGUCUGGGCAGUAGCUCAUGCUCUGGAUGCCUUCUUUGAUGAUGGUGGUAGGAUUUCCUUUUCAAAUGACUUGCAUGAUGGAACUGGAGGAACUCUUCACCUUGAAGCAAUGAGCAUUUUUGACAUGGGAAAUAAAUUACUGGAGAAGAUUAGAAAGGUAAACUUCAGUGGGUUAUCUGGGCAAGUGCAAUUCGAUGCUGUAGGCAACCUCCUUCACCCUGCGUAUGACAUCAUAAAUGUCAUCGGAAAUGGCAUGCGGACCAUUGGUUUUUGGUCAAACUAUUCUGGCUUGUUGUCGACUGUCUCUCCAGAGGCUCUAGAUUCAAAGCCUCCUAAUACUUCUCUAGCCAAUCAGCAUCUCUAUGAUGUUAUUUGGCCUGGGGAGACUGCACAGAGGCCUCGAGGAUGGGUUUUUCCUUCUAAUGCCAAGCAGUUGAAAAUUGGUGUUCCCAACAGAUUUAGCUUCAAAGAGAUCGUCACGGUAGACAAUGCUACUGGGUCAAUGAAGGGUUAUUGCAUCGAUGUCUUUACUCAGGCAUUGGCUUUGCUUCCUUAUCCUGUUAGUUACAAGUUUGUACCUUUUGGGAAUGGUACUGAAAAUCCUAAUUAUGACAAACUCGUACAGAUGAUUGAAUCAAAUGUAAGUACGGAAUGCCUCUUUUUUCUUCCUCGAACCAUUUCAUCAUAUACCAUGCUGACCAGGGGCAUCUUAUCCUGCAGGAGUUUGAUGCAGCUAUAGGGGAUAUUGCAAUUACAAUGAGGCGGACAGUAACUUUUGAUUUCACCCAGCCAUUCAUUGAAACAGGCUUGGUUAUCUUGGCUCCGGUUAAAGAGCAUAUAACAUCGUCCUGGGCAUUCUUGCAGCCAUUUAGUUUGGAGAUGUGGUGUGUUACAGGGCUAUUCUUUCUUAUUGUGGGUGUGGUUAUUUGGAUUCUUGAACAUCGGAUCAAUGACGAUUUCCGUGGUUCAGUAUGUCAACAAAUAAUAACUAUUUUCUGGUAAGGAGCUGACCUGCACCUUUUGUACCGUCUUCUUGUAUAUCAUUCCUGUUUUCGAAGUGUUGAUGUUUUAACAAGUCUUGUGCAAUAUGUUGCAUACAGCGAGUACCUUAGAGCAGUGGCCAGUUAACAUACCUAAAUGAAGCAUCUAGUGAUUACCAAUGAACUACUCCCUCCGCCCCAUAAUAUAAGGGCGUUUUUGACACUACACUAGUGUCAAAACGCUCUUAUAUUAUGGGACGGAGGGAGUAUUAUCUUAAUAAUCUUGUGAGACAUAUAUACAUGCACAGCAUAUAUAUUCGCUUAAUGAUAUUUAUGAUGCAUUGCUCUAUUUUUCCUGUUUUCACAUACUUCUCUUCUCCACAUGUAUUUGCCAAAUGCUCUUAUAAUGGCGUGAUUCCUUGCUGUGAUUAUAAUUUCAAUUUUUAUUGCCUGCAGGUUCAGCUUUUCGACUUUGUUCUUCGCACACAGUAAGUAAACCAACCUUCUCUCUUAUGUGUUUUUUUUUUUGGCUAUAACAUUUUGUUCUGAGGCAUGAGGCAUGACUCGUGAUUUCAUAUGUAUCUGCGCGCAGGAGAAAAUACUAUGAGCACCUUAGGGCGUGGUGUCCUGAUCAUAUGGCUGUUUGUUGUUUUGAUAAUUGUAUCCAGCUAUACCGCGAGUCUUACUUCCAUCCUGACCGUGCAACAACUCGAUACUUCUAUAAAAGGAAUCGAGGACCUGAAAAAUAGCAAUGAUCCUAUUGGUUUCCAAGUUGGUUCUUUUGCACAAGACUACAUGGUCAAGGAGCUCAACAUCUCACGGUCAAGGCUAAGAGCUCUUGGUUCACCACAAGAAUACGCUGAAGCCCUCAAGAUAGGCCCUAAGGAAGGAGGUGUUAUGGCCAUUGUCGACGAGCGCCCCUAUGUUGAACUGUUUUUGUCAUCCUACUGCAAGAUUGCGGUAGCUGGCACAGAUUUCACCAGCAGAGGAUGGGGCUUUGUAAGUACAGUUCAACCAUAUUCUUUUAUAUAAAUUAGAAUAUAAGAACAAAAAUUGCUGUUAAUGUCCUGGAAUAGAGGUUUUAACUUUGAAUAGUUGUGUCUAGUCUUUAGUUUAUGCAACUUUUAUUGCACUUACCUGCGGCUACUUUGUUUCACAAAUCGAAAUGUAGCACCUUACAAAUUCAUUCUGCCAGGCAUUUCCAAGGGACUCCCCUUUGCAAGUAGACCUCUCCACCGCAAUCCUGUCUCUGUCAGAGAAUGGGGAGCUGCAGCGGAUCCAUGCCAAAUGGCUCAAUACAGGGGAGUGCACAACUGACAACAGUGAGCUUGUCGACUCGAACCAGCUCCGCCUUGAGAGCUUCCUUGGUCUGUUCCUAAUCUGUGGUGUGGCAUGUGUUCUCGCGCUGCUACUCUACUUUGGUAUCAUGCUAUGCAAAUAUCUGAGGCAUGAACCGUGGAAGAGCCUCAGAAGAUUCAUCUCGUUCGUCCAUGGGAAGGAGCCGCCGAAGAACAAGGAGAGGCGGUCCAUGAGCCUGCCUGGAAGCUCAACGCCAACAACGCCGAUGAGCAGCCAUAGUUCCCUUGACAUGGAAAGGCCGGCCAGGCCAGUCAGAAACGGUAGCAUUAUUGACAUGGAAAGCUAAUUCAUGUGUAGAAAGCUAGUUAACAAUGCGGUCGACUAACCUAGGUUCUGGUAGUCGGACAGCAGGGCUGUAUAGGAGGAUUCGAAAUACUUCUUAAGUACUCCCUCCGAUUCAACUUAAUUAACUUUGACUUGGUACAACCUUAGUACAAAGUUGUACUAAGUCGGCGCAAUUAAUUUUGAUCUGAGGGAGUACUAAAGUUUAUGAAAUAACAGAAGGAAGGAUUAAUAAGAAAUAGAAAUAUUGAAAUGCUCCUCCUGUCCUACAUAUAUUGUUUUUACCUUUGCAUGUGUUUGAUAGGGCGUAGUAGUAGUGUGUGGGUACUUCAGUUAGAAGGUAUGCAGUGGACCAGUCUAUCGACCGUGUGGCAAUGCCUGUAGUUUGUAGCACUAAACUUUGAUGCCCAUUCAUAAACUAAUUUAGAUGGAGCCGCACAAAAAUUGUGUUUUUUUUUUUGCUCACACACUCUGUUUUGUCUCAGUUUUAGUCCAGCGCAACUUUGAAGCUUAUCCAGGGCAACUUUGAAGCUUAUCCAGGGCAACUUUAACUAUUUACAGGAGAAAUUGUUAAAGACCUUAUUAAGUGAAGAAGAAUAGACGUCUCCAGUUUUUGUUUCUCCAACUCUAUGCCUACACUGUAAAUUAUUUAUGAAUUAGCUCCAGUUGAUGCAACUGUACUCUUUCUGGUAGGUCUGAGAUGGACUGAGCAUCCUAAGCUAGCUACUUGUCUCCCUUAGGUUUUACAGCAAGACAAAUGCACUGGACUACAAAGAGGAAAAUUCUUGCAGGUUCGUAAUGAAUCUGUUUUGGUUCUGGCAUUCACACCAAUCAUAAAGCAGUGUUUGUUAGUAGCGGAGUGGUAGGCAGACGCAAAUCAAACCAUCAUUUUUCUUCUAAAUACACUUGUAAAAGCAUCGAUGCAUCUCCGUCGCUUAAUUUUAUUUGUCAUUCUGUUCAGUACCUGGUUUGGUUUAGGAAGAGCUCUUUUUCCUAUGCAAAAUGUAUAACGUGUAUGUUUCUAAUUCCGAUUGCAGGCAUAUUCAUCGCGCUUGUGUUUUGACGUGUUGCGGGCAACCAAGAGUCGUUCAACAGUGUGUUGCUGGGGUACGCCACCGGUCUGACAGUAAAAGGUAGCGCUGAUGAACUGGUUUCAAGCCGAGCUGAUCAGUUCUGCUGUUACUAAUAUAUCAUGGCAUCUUGCGGCUCUCGGUCGAUGUUCUGUCAUCUAUGAGGAGAGAGUUUCCAUUUAAUCUAGUUGCUAAUGCUUUGUAUACAAAAUUAUAGAUGCCUACACAAUACAAAAUCAAAAGUUAUUUUCUUAGUCAAACUGGAAAAUUCAUAGAUUUGCAGGAACAUCUGUACAUAAAGCCUUUUCCAUCAAAGUAUGUACAUACAUUGUCUAUUUUAACAUAAGAAUGUAGGACUCGUUCAAAACUAUUUGACUAUUCAUACAAAAAAAAUAGAAUUUCUUAAAAUAAGGGAGCACAUCUUCUCUGGUUUGAUCACUGAAGUCAUCAAUUGAGCAGUCCAGGUUCACCUAGUUAUCUAUUUCAAAACUUAGGGAGAACAAUUUGGGUGAUACUUUUUCAAAGUACAAGGCACAUAUUUAUAGUUCAUUGAAAUGCACCUAUAUUUUGACCUCAUUAAUAUCUCAUCCUUCAUAAUAAAGUAUGGCCAAACAAACAGAGAAACCGCUAGUUUCUUUCAUGUUCCCCAGACAAUAACACCAUAGCUAUUACUGUCAUUCCCCUUCUCUCUUAAUACCUUCCAUCCUUUCCAUUAUAAUUAAUGAAACUGAAACAUAUCAUUCUCUUGGUUGUAUUUUUUUCCUAAAAUGUUUAAGGUGUAUGUGUCAUUGAGUGAAUAUAUUAUGUUGCAAAGUUUCACGAAAUUUAGUAUGCAACCAGUAUGCAAGAGAAAUAAAGAUUAAAGUAAAUUUAGUUAUUUUUAUUAGCCAUUAUUGUUUUUAGAGAAAACAAUAGGCAAGUCACUUUUUCAUGAAAGCUGGAGACAAAUAGUGUAUUCUAACAUAAAAAUGGUCAAUUUUCCUCACACACACACACACACACAUACACAUAAACUUAGAAUUUUUGGAAAUAAUGGGAGCAAUGGCCAUGUGAAAAUAUGAGGUUUAUAUCUUGUGGAUUUCCUUUCAGUGUACAAGGCCUGCAUGUAGAAUGGAUAUUUUUUUUUCUAUAUUUGCUUCCCUAAUUUAAAUCUUAUCCUUCAUCAUCAAUUAUGACUAAACAUAAAUAGUAACUGCUAGUUUCUCUUAUGCUUAUGAGGAGAUAAGACCAUGGAUAUUUUAGUCAUUCCACUUUGCUAUUGAUUGUUUCUGUUCUUUUGCGCUAAAUAGUAGUCAAACAUGUUAUUCAUGUAUUUCGUAAGGAUAAGGUCAAGCCUCAUGAUAAGGAUAGGGUCGCGCUAUUCGUCACCCUGGGUGAGGCAUUGUUAUUUUUCACCCACUUCUAUUUUAUCAUCAAUGCACCGUAAAUUUACGUUUCAUAAGUUUUGUCUUAUUUCCGACGCAAAAAGGGACCGUAAGAAAAUAUAUAAUCGCCAUAAAAAAUAUUUUAUGUUAUAUAAAAUUACAAACAUAAAAACAUAGUCUAAAAUACACACAAACUGCAAAUUUUCUUGUCUUAUAACCUAUAUUUUUAUUUUUUUAUGUCAAAUUUUACGUAGUGAAUCAAUAGAAAUAUAACUAUUUGAAUUCGAAAUGUAAUUUAAUUAUGAAAUGAUCGUAAGAUUACCUCGGGUGAAGAAUAACUUAUUCUGCACCCUGAUUGAUGAAUAAUAAAUUUAAUUAUAUUAUAUACAUAUAGGAUAACACUAUUCUAAUCCUAGAAUUAGAAUAGCUAUUUGGAUCACAGCCAGCCCGACCACAUCUUAGUGAGAUCGCGCGAGCAAAAGAAAAAACCCAAAACGCCCCGCCCCGUUUAUCCCCUUGUCGCUCCACCACCACCCCCCGACCUCUGGCCGCCGCCCACCCUGCUCCGGCGCGCCUCCCACCCUCGCCUCCUUCCGAGCGCUCCGCCGGCCCCGCCUUCUUCCAGGCGCGCCGCCGGCCCCGCCUCCUCCUGGCGUGCUGCCACCCCCACCUCUUGCAGCGCGAGGUCGCCGCCACCGCCUACUUCCCGGCGUGCCGCCAGCCCCGCCCCCUUCGGCGCGAGGCCGCCGCCCCCACCUCCUCCUGGCGCGCCGUCGUCCCCUGUACCUGACGCGCCCCCCGGUGCCGCCGGCCCGCAACCCGCCGCCCAGCACCUUCCCGUCGCGCGCCUCCCAACACCGAGGCGCCGCCGCCCACAGGUUCUGUAGAUGCUGACCUGCCACUGCACCGCCGCUGCAACCUGCUGCUCACUCUUCCUCGCACAUGUGUCAGCAACACAAAAGUGGGUCGCUGCAGUCCACCUCCUGCUACAGCAGCAGGACGACUCCUUCAGGACGCAUCUCACACUCAUGGAGGCGGUGCUAUCUCUGGCGAGCUCCUCCAUCCCCGAGCGCGAUGCUUCCACUACUGCGUCCUCCUCACGUUCCCUUCCCCAUCCUUGUGUAUGCUUAUUUCGAUGUGGAAAACUCCAUCAACUAGUUCGCAUCACGUAUCAGGGCACGGCCAUAACAUGCUAGCAAUAUUAUGCUUUGGCUGCUAGUAAUGUGUUUGUGCUAAUGUCUAGUAGGAACUCUAGUUGUACUGAUAAAAGAGAACCAAACCAUCAUAUAAGGGAAAAGUCGCAUCUCUCUAUCUUUGAUCUCUCUAUGAUACAGAUAUGGACGUAUAUGGAAUUAGUAAAAUUCCUCUUUUAUAUUGCUUGUUCAUUAAUCAUUCAUGCAUCGUGUCCUAAAAGAAAUAUAGUGUGCUCUGUUUGAAAAAGCAUGUGGUCAGCACAUGUUUGUUAUUAUAUGGAUCUAAAGGUUUAACAAACAAACACAUUCAGAUUUCUCUUUAUUCGUAUAAAGGUUGGAGUGAGGUAGCGCUUAUUUCCUAUAUAGCUGCUCAUUUUGGAUGCAGUUUGAACAAUCAGGCUAGGGAGCGGUGAGCGUGGGUAGGCUGGCCAAACCUUCCCUCCACUGGGUCAACCGGCAGCGUCGCCCACCACCGUACUGUCCUACGGCAACGGCCCCAACCUGGGCAGGCGUGCUUUCUGCGACAUGCUCCUGCUCAUGGAUGUCUUGGUGAGGUAAAAACUUCUGUUAACUUAACUUAGCUACCUCAACUGAUUGAACUGCAGGGGUUGUGUGCAGUCUGAUGUGGUUCUAGUGUUUGAUUAAUGCAAUUUGGAAGAACUUGCGUCUCUAAAAUUCAAACUCUGCAUUUUGGUGUAUUUUUAUUUAGAAGUUCAGGUCAUCAUAAGUUGCUUCGGUUUAGCUAGUUACUGUUGUGAAAAAGUUCAGCUCGUCAUAUUUGAACAUCGGAAGAAGAGCUGCUAUAGUCUCCUGCUAUAUGCUUGUUAUAUUCCUAAAUAGUACAGGCUCAACCAAAGCAAGUAGUUAUAGUCUCCUGCUAUAUGCUUAAAUAGUACAUUUUUUCUGUAUUCUUGUUCGGAAGUUCAGGUCAUUCAAAGAGACCAAAUAGUACAGGCUCAACCAAAUAGUGAAAAGUCUACUAGAGUCGAAAAAAUAUAAUGAUACAAAAAUGCAACUCUGCACUUUCCUCAAAAUGGUCAUCAUAUUCUUAAGAAGAUUGGGAUUGCACUAUUUGUUUGAGCUAGUACUACCAGACUGAACAAAUUGCAGAGUUGGAUUUUAGAGCCUGGACAUUUUCAGACAUUUUCAAAAGUGGUCAAUUGAACCUGAACCAAAAAGAUUGACCUGAAAUUCGUUUGGGCUAGUUACUACCAGACUGAAAAAAUUGUAAUAGGUGGAUAAGUGGUAUUGUACUAUUUUCUAUUGUGUGGUAAUGCUCGUACCCCAUGGCCAUGGAAGGUUCAGAUGUUGUGCUCUUCUUUUCUAGCUGAUUCAUGUUCUAUUUGGUAGCUUUAAUGAUAUUCUAUACACUGAUGGCGAGAGUUCAACCAUGGCUAUACGCCAAGUUCUACUAUGGCUAUAUGUCGGCCAUCGUGAAGUCCUACUAUAGCUAUAUGCCAAGUUUAAUUAUGGCUGUAUGCUUGUGCUUCCAGGCUACUAUUGAACGUGUCUUGGCCUUCAUUUUUACGGGUUAUAGUCUCCUGCUAUAUGCUUGCUUUUGCUAUCAGCAUGUUCAUGCAAGUGCCUCUGAAUAAUCUGAAAUUUAAACUUGUACCUAAAACUGAACUUCUACCUCUUUGCUACAGGUGCGGUCGUCGGAGUCCUUUAAGUGCUUGCACUAGUGCUUCUAACUUGUCCAUGAAGGCACUGCAUGGUGUGCCACCUCCCGUCUGCCGCCGCAGCUGCCAUGUGUCCUUGCGACCUCUGCGGCCAGUCACCAACGCCCUAUGAGUGCGCCCUAAGUGUGGCAUGGGGAACAUGCUAAUGUGUGUGUUUCUGCACUGGUGUGUGCGUGCAUGCUCACGUUUAUGCGUGACUGAGUGUGCUGCUUGUGUGCUGUGAUGUAUGUUGUAUAGAUUUUUAUGAAGUUCAUGUUGUGAACCCAACUUAAUUAGAACACAAAAGUUUAGAUCGCAGCUGCUUUGAAUUAUGUAGUGUUUCUAAAUAGCUUCUUGUCUGAAGUUCAGUCGUACAUGUGGGUGCAAGAAAGUUAGUGUCGGAGCCAGAAAAACUGACUUUGAGCAACUGUUGGGUAUUUAUAUAAAAACAUUGUGUGUAGCAAUUCGUUGUGUUUAUUGAAAAAUGAAAAGACAGAAGUUCACCAUGCAAAACUUUCACAGUCCAAUUGGUAUUAAGAAGGCAGAAAUAUAAAACAACAGUGAAGUUCACUAAAAAUGCAACUUUUCACAUUGCGAAGAAACAAUAAUUAACUUCUCAGUGUACAAUUUAGUUUUUGUUUCUCUUUUCCAAAAAAUAAGAAUAGAAGUAAUAUGUGGAAGCUAUUUGUGUUUAUGUCUCAAAUUAGAAUAAUUAUAAGAAUUGCCUCUAUAUGUGCUAUGUGUUACACACCUUUCCGAAUCAAAAGAGAUUAGAUUCAUCCAUGAGUAAGGUAGGUACAAUUAUUUUUAAACAGUUCAAUUGCUCGAUAGAUGUAUGUCCAGAAAAAUAAAAGAUAGUUCAACACAAUAUAAACCCAUGAGAUUGCAAAAAAUCUUUGGAUUAAGUGGAUGAGAACCAAUAAGUUCAUAUAUGAAACCUUGGGGAGUUCAAAAAAAGUUAAAAAGGUUCGAUGUUUGUUGCGAAGCUAGGAUUUUCUUCAUUACUAAUGAAUAAAUCAAGAAGUUCAAAUUAAAAAAGGAUGAGCGGUUCGAUGUUUAUUACGAACCUAGAAUUUUUUCCGUUACUAAAAGAAAUAAUACCAACAAGUUCAAAUUAAAAAAAUCGAGUAGUUUGAUAUUUCUUUGAAAACUCAAAUUUUUCCGGUUAGUAAAUAAUAAAACCAAUAAGUUCAAUUCAAAAUAACGAAGAAGUUCAACUUUUAAAAGCAAAGCAAUUUGAUAUUCAUUUAAAAACUCAAUUUUUUCGGUUACUAAAGAAUAAGACCAACAAGUUCAAUUCAAAGUAACGAAGAAGUUCGAUGUUUCUAACAAAACUCCAAUUUUCACAUUUCUAAAAACUCCAAUUUUAGGUGAGCCCAAUUUUUGUGUGGAUGUGUUGUGCAUGUGCUUGUGCGUAGUACAUUUAAUAGAACAAAAACACUAUUAUGGGUGCCCUCUAAAUGUUUGUCCUAUUGCUUAUGAGAAUUGACCCGAAUUUUCCUAUUGUUUUUGCACAUGUUGGAUUCAAGGGAAAAUGUGUAUAAAACAGGUGUGAUUUCAGAAGUUCAGGUGUAACGAACAUCGAAGUCCAAACCAAAAGAAUGUAAACAAAAAAAUCAUGGAAUUCAAAAGAAUAAAUACUAUCGAGUUUCAUGAAAGAAAAUAGCAUGCGAAGUUCAUGUUUCAGAAAGUUUGAAGUUCACGUGUACCACAUACAGAAGAAAAAUGAUCAAAUGAAAAAAGGGACCGCCUAGGCCAUUUCACCGAAAAGCAAAAAAUGCAUAAAAUGUCACGACAAAAUUCUAUAAGAAGUUCCAAUUUAAAAGCCGAAGUAGGUCAACGUUAAAGAAAAUGAAGUUUUUAAUAUCUAAAAGAAAAUUUUGGAAGCUCAACAAAUUUGUGCAAGGAGUUAAAAAAAUUAGUUGAAAAAUAUUUAUAACGGAUUUUCCCCGUGUAUAAAAAAAUCAGAGAAGUUCAAAUUAAAAAGAGGAGCAUUUCAAAAGAUUGUAUAAAAACUGAUUUACUCAAAAUAGAUAAAGGUGAAGUUCAAAUUGAAAUAACGGAGAUGUUCGGAGUUUAUUAAAACCUAGAAUUUACCUGUUCGAAAAAUAAAAAACACAACACCAUUUUUUUGCACUUUUAGAGACAACUCAUAAACGAAAAAAUGGUUGCUGGAAGUUCAAGUGCUCGGUGAGGAAAAGUUCAAAAAAUUCUUGUAAGAGAGGUUCACCGUGUAUUUAGAUGUCCAAAAUACAUAAAAAAUAUGUUGUUUUUUGUGUUUUAAAAUAAUUCUCUCAAACCAGAGAGAAGUUCAAAGUGAUAAUAGCCGGAAGUUCACGUACUACAUGGUGUGUAUUUCAUAUAAGAAAAAUAGAAUAAAGUGAAACAGAGUAAAGUUCAAACGGACAUGCCCUAGAAGUUCAACUACUUCACGUAGUGCAAAAAAAUAUCACAUCAAAAAUAGAGUGAGGACAGACAUGCCUGAGAAGUUCAACUACUUCACACAGUGUGUUUCCAUUCGCAAUGAAGGCAGAAAUCAUGAUCUCGUCAUUUCUCUAAUUUACUUCAAAACGAUAGGAAUAUCAUUUGUGUAAGUUCAAGUCCUCGGUCGGAGAAAGUUAAAAAAAUAUUGUGAGAGAGGUUUGUACAAAAAGAAUAUCAUUUGUGUAACACUGACGAAAUGGAUGAGAAAAUUACAAACAAAAAACGUCACAGAAGUUCAACGUGAAAACAACAGGAAGUUCGACUACUAUAGUGAAUGAAUUUGAGAUGAAAAACUUUUAAAAUCAUCGCGAGUAUGAAAAAACGAUCAACACGGGAAAGUUAUGUGCUUACAGCAGCUUUCCACCGGUAUAUCACUUUCUCAAUUCCGGUGAGUGGAUGGAGAGUUACGAGCAGUGGAUGGAGACCUACGAGCAAAAAAAUCACGUGAAAAACAGAGUGAAGUUCAGGUACACGCGCCGAGAAGUUCAGGUUCUUCACGCGGUGCAUUUUCGAAGAAUCUGUUUGACGAUAAAGGCAGAACGCAUGAUCUCGCCAUUUUCGAAAUUACUUGAAAAUGGCUAGGAAUCAGAGAAAACCAUCAACAUGAAAAAGUUUUGCAAUUUCCGUAGCUUUUCAGCGGUAUAUUAUUUGCCCCAUUCCGAUAAAGUUUGUAGAAAUUACGGCGAAAAUACGUUUUUCGCCAUUUUCGAAACUGACUUAAAACUGUAAAGAAUUGGGAGAAACAAUACAUACCAAAAAGUUUCACAUUUGUUCAAGAUUUCCAAAGCCAUAACAUUUGCUGCAUUCGGACAGACGGUUAAAAAAUUAGAUCAAAAAUACGAACUCGGUAGGACUAGGACCAUUUUCUAAAUUACUCUUAAACCAUUCAAAAUUAGAAAAAAACUUUCAAGAUGAAAAAGUAGCGCAUUUUCAUAAGCUUUACAAUGCCGUAUCAUAUGCCUCUAUUGGAUUAGCCGUUUAGAAAUGACAUCGAAAAUACGAACUCAGCUGUUCGAUUUACGAAAUUUUACGUUUUUUCAAAUUACUCUUUAACUAUAGGGAAUUAAAGAAAACUUUCAACAUGUGGAAGGAGCGGUUUUGCAGCAGCUUUCCAACGCCAUAUUAUAUGCCUCAUUAAGAUAAACGGUUUAGAAAUGCGGUCGAAAAUACGAUUCACGUUUUUUGUGCGAAGAAAAAACGGUUUUCAAAACUGCUCUUAAACCGCUUAUAUUUUGCCAAAAAUUUAAGUUGGAUAAUGAUACUGAUGUUCAAAACUUUCCAACGGUAUAUAGCAAGCCUCAUUUGGGCAAUGUUGGCGGAAGUUCAACCUAGUUCAUAGGGAAGUUCAGCGUACUACUAGCGGGGCAGGUCAGGUUGUGAUCAGAAUAUUAUUCUGAUCCCGUGAUUAGAAUAGUGUUUAUAUAUAUAUAUAUAUAUAUAUAUAUAUAUAUAUAUUAUAUUUGCCACAUUAACUUUAAGAGUUCAAUAUUAAUAUUUUCAUACAUAUCAAGUGAUAUUGGCGACCUUUUUUACCAUCAAAUCCUCGCGCACACACGCUAGUGCAUAACAAUAUGAAUUAUAUGUAUUAUAUUUGCCACCACAGCUGUGGGUAUUAAUUUCAUGUAAAUCGGUCAAUCACAGCUCCCAGAAUAUGCGAAGGAGGUGGCCUGAAUCGGCGUCGACGCCGUCCAGUGCGGGCCACGGGCCCGCUUCACUAGUAGAAAAAGGGCCUAUUGUCCCGGUUCGUAAGGGCCUUUUGUCCCGGUUCCUGAACCGGGACUAAAGGAUCGGUACUAAUUCCCUGUCCCUUUAGUCCUAGUUCAAUCCAGAACCGGGACAAAUGGGCCUCCACGUGGCCUGUGCGCGGAGCCCAGGCAGGAGGGCCUUUGGUCCUGGUUGGUGGCACCAACCGGGACCAAUAGGCAUCCACGCAUCAGCAUUUCUGUGGCUGGGGUUUNNNNNNNNNNNNNNNNNNNNNNNNNNNNNNNNNNNNNNNNNNNNNNNNNNNNNNNNNNNNNNNNNNNNNNNNNNNNNNNNNNNNNNNNNNNNNNNNNNNNNNNNNNNNNNNNNNNNNNNNNNNNNNNNNNNNNNNNNNNNNNNNNNNNNNNNNNNNNNNNNNNNNNNNNNNNNNNNNNNNNNNNNNNNNNNNNNNNNNNNNNNNNNNNNNNNNNNNNNNNNNNNNNNNNNNNNNNNNNNNNNNNNNNNNNNNNNNNNNNNNNNNNNNNUAGGUGUUUCAUAUAUUGUGUUAGCUAGCUAUAAUUAAUAGAGAGAAGUGUCCUCUCUUAUGUCCAUGCUUGGUCGGCGCUACGUACUAUACAUACGUAUAGAGAGGACUAGACAGGCUAGCUAGCUAGUUAGAAAACGAAGGAAACAGAAGAUCGUCAUGAACAUAUAUGCAUAGAGAGAGAAGUGAUAUCGACCACCUCUCCUUCUCCGAGAGAUUGGUCGAACAACAAGUUCUCGUAUAUCUAUCCGACACUACCGGCUACAUAUAUACAAUAAUUAUCUCUUACAAAUAUAAUCUCCUAACAUACGGACUCAUGGUCCACAUAGUAUUCUCCGUCUUCAGCGAUCACGUGGUCAAGAAAGAAUGCCGACAAUUCCUUUUGAAUUGCUCGCAUGCGAGCUGGUGCUAGGAGUUCAUCUCGCUUCCGAAACAUCUAAUUUGAAGAAGGGGCCGGGGUCAAUACAUAUAUAUAUGAAUGAAUGAAACUAAACACAAAUGAUGGUAAUAAAAUAAAAUUGUGAAUGUUGUUAUUUGCGCACUUCAUAUUGUUCAUCAGAGUAGCCCCGCUCACAGGCCGUGUGGUAGAUGGACUCGCAAACGUAGUAUCCACAGAAAUCAUUCCCUUGUAACUGCCACAACCCCUUUACAAGAAAUAGAGGUCAAUCAAACUGAUAAGCAAGAAUGCCAAAUGGUAUUGAUGAAACUAGCGCUUGAAUCAAUAGGAGAUGCGCGGAACAUGCUACUAUAGUACUUACUUUGGGGUGUCUAAAUUGCAGCUUCUCCGGGAGUCCCGGAGCUUUUUUGGUGAAUUUUUUCCAAACCCUGCCAGACAAAGAAAACAGUUACUUGAUAUAUCAGGAAAUGAACAAAGUUGCUGAUAUGGUGGAUAAUGAUCGAUUUAACUUACUUCUCGAGCAUUUGAGUCAUGUCCGCAUAGUCCUGGGGAUCUUUUCGUCUUGAGUCUAAGACGGUUACUAGUCCCUGCUCAAGCUUAAUCUCUAGGAGAAUAUAGUGGAAACUGCACACGCAUGCAUAACUCAUCAAUUACAUUACUAUAACCUUGACUAAUAUAUAAGGGAAACCGAAUAUGCACAAGACAGUAACACUCACUUGAAGUUGUAAGGAAAAAGUAUUAUAUCUUUGUUUUCAUUUAUUACCAACGAUCGUAGCAAGUUGGCCUCGGUAUCCGCGACAUGAAAUUUAACCUCAGUUGCAUCUAUGAUAUUUGUGUUAAUGAACCCAAUAUCACCGAUUUGUCUUUUCUUCAAUUCGACGAUCUUCAAUCUGCAUAAUAUAGUGAGGAUAAUUAUAAAUACAUGCAAUGAAAGAGCUGAGCUAUAUAGAGAGACUUAAUGACAGAAGUAGUACUACUUACAGACAGUAGCAGGUGACCGUUGCUUUAUCGAGGGCCAAUUGAUUGAAAAACUGAAAGAACUCCUCAAAUGGAACAGGUAACAAACACUAGUAGAAAAAGGGUCAAACGUGAAGCACAUUAGUGCCGGUUUGUAAAAAGACCGGCACUAAUGUGAUCAAUAGUGCCGGUUCGAAUGGCUAUGCAUUAGUGCCGGUUCGUAAUGAACCUUUAGUACCGGUUCAUGCCACGAACCGGUACUAAAGGGGUGGUGGCAGGCUGGCGUCAGGCCAGGCCCCACGAGCCCCUUUAGUGACGGUUUGUGACACAAACCGGUACUAAAGGUCUAACCUAUAGUACCGGUUUGUGUCACCAACCGGCACUACAAAGUCUUAACCUAUAGUCCCGGUUGAAGACACAAACCGACACUAUAGGGCAAUUUUCAAACUCUACCCCCCCCCCCGUGUAUCGCCAUUUCAGUUUUGAAAAAAUCAAAAGAAAAUGAUAAAAACUUCAAAAAAUAAAAUCCUUCGAGAGGUAGUUAUAUUACUACAUCUACUAGUUAGGAAAAUUUGAAAACUUAAAUUUGGACAUGUUUUGCAAAAAGUGUAGGGAAAAUGUAAAACGGCUAUAACUUUUGCAUAUGAUGUCGGAAAAAACGUAUAAUAUAUCAAAAAAUUCAGCACGAAAAUCCUCAAAUUCCAAAAGGAAAAAAAGAUAUGGUCAAAUUUAAGUUUUUUUUAAAAAAAAUUGGUUAAAUCUGGUCAAACUACUUAUUCAAGAAGUGUUAAUGUUACUACAUAAUUAUUCAAGAAUAUUAGUGUUACUAAAUAAUUAUUUCAAUUUUUUGAAUUUUGGUCAAAUCUGGUCAAACUAUGGUCAAACUGUGGUCAAACUAUGGUCAAACUUAUUCAAGAAAUAUUAGCGUUACUAAAUAAUUACUGUUUUUUUAGAAUAAUAGUUUCAAACUCAAACGGUGAAAUGUGUGACUUCAUGCUCAAGCUAAACUCCUGAGGGUUAAUAGGAUUAACAUCUUACUAUCAUCACGAAAACAACAAGUGCAGACAUGGAAACGAAGGAGAAUAGAACCCGAAAGUUAAGCGUGCUCGGGCUGGAGUAGUGAGAGGGAUGGGUGACCGGUCGAGAAGUUAGAUGAUUUGGAAUGAGUGAUCCACACUUGAGCAGUUAAGAGAGGUGAUUAGAGACUAAAUCAUCAAAUAAUUUAGAAAAAUUAAAAAAAUCAAAUUAAUUUUCAAAAAAAAUAUUCAAAAAAAAAACCAUUAGUACCGGUUGGUAACACCAACCGGUACUAAAGGUCCCCCAUACCAGGGCGUGAACUCACGCCACGUGGUGGCACUUUAGCGCCGGUUCGUGCCGAACCGGUACUAAAGGGGGGGGGGGCUUUAGUGCCGGUUCCAUAACCGGCACUAAAGGCACUUACAAACCGGUUUUAAAGCUCCGUUUUCUACUAGUGAAAUCAAUUCCAACGAGGUCAUGCUCCUUUUUAACUCUCACAUACAAAGUACUCCUCCCCUAGACUCUCUGCAGAUUUUCAAGUACCAAUCAUGCAAUCUUUGCAUCAUCGUUGAUAGAGAUCUUUCAUCUUUGACGAGAGGCUUCCCGUACUCGUAUCUUUGUAUCUGCACCUCCAUGAAAUCAUAAUGUACAUCGUCGGGCAGGUAAUCUCCAAGAUUGCUAUAACCGGGCACCAUCCUCGGAUCAUUAGCGACGAUGUCGCUAGGUACCUUGAGCGGGGGGGGGGGGGCACGAUUGCUUCCCUUGUUCGCCAAGCUGGGAAAUUUGUUUCCCAACUCGUCGUUCUUUCAGCCUUUGAUCACUGACAGUACUUCCCGACCGCUCCGCUUCGGCAAAUUCCUUUCCAAUAAUGCGCUCAUAGUUUCCUUUCGGUGGAGACUUGGGUGGUUUUGUUAGGGCAGCCAGAGUGCGCUUCGCUUUCACCGGAUCUACCUUCUCCUCCAGAGGUGGAUGUUUCUUUGCUUUCACCCCUUCAAAGAAGUUCCUGACUUCUUCUCGCACGAUCUCGGCGUUCUCCUCCGGGGUCCUCUCGUAUGGUAACUUCUCUGGAGUCUUUAGAGAAGGACCGAAUCUGUAUGUCCUCCCGCCUCUGGCUGUACUGCUAGACGCCGGCAGAGCAGACGGAGCGGUUGUCUUCUUUACUUGCUUACGAGGCAGAGGAGAAGGACUACGACGCACCAGAGCAGCCGGAGCGGCCGCAGGUCUCUUCCGCCCUUGCUGACGAGGCGGAGAAGGAGGAGGCUGGCUGCUCGGGCGCGCCGGCGCAGGCGGAGAAGGAGGCGGAGUGCCGCCACGCGCCGGAGAAGGAGCCGGCCGAGUGCCCUGAUAGUCACUCGCCAGAGGAGGAGGCGGUGGAGGGGGCGGAGUGCCCUGACUCGCCGAAGGAGGAGGAGGAGGCGGAGGCAUCCAAUUCGGAAGGUUCAUGACCUCCUUCCGCCAUAGGCAUGGAGUCUUCAGAGCAGAACCCAGCCGAGUCUCCCCUUCACCGGUAGGGUGGUCAAGCUGGAGGUCCUCAAAUCCCUCCGUUAUUUCAUCCACCAUCACCCUAGCAUAUCAUUCUGUAAUCGGCCGGCAGUGAAAAGUUGCGCUGGGUUCAGUAGGAAAAACAGAGCCAAUAGCCGCCUUGACCUUCAUAUUAACCCAUUGCGUCAUAAGGUGGCAAUUAUGAGACUCCGUGAUAGCAUCCACGGGAUAGCUGGCAGGAGCCGUCAAGACAUGCUCCUGCUGAAGCAGCUCGGUGGAAGCCAUGCUGCUUCUCCGCUGAGAUGGCGGGGUAGCUUCGGCAGUUCGUUUUGUGCGAUUUGCUUCUCGUUCCUCUAUUGCUUGUACCCUAGCGUGCAGCGCCUGCAGUUGGGUCUGCUCCACUUUCUUCCUCCUCUCGUGGCAUUUGUAACCGCCUGCGUCCGGAAACCCAGCCUUACACGGAAUGGAGCCUGGCGUGCCUCAUGUCCGUCCAGGGUGUUCAGGAUUCCCGAGGGCCAUUGUGAGCUCGUCGUUCUCUCUGUCUGGAACAAACAUACCUUGCUGCGCUGCUUCGAUAUAGUGCUUAAGCCUCUUGACUGGUAUUUCCAUUUGCUCGUCCGUCCAAAUGCACUUUCCUGAUACAGGGUCCAAGGUUUCACCAGCCCCGAAGAACCAAGUCCGGUAACGGUCUGUCCAGUUAAUUGUCUCUGGUUCGAUCCCUUUAUCAACCAGAUCAUUCUCAAUCUUGGCCCACUUAGGCCGAGCUGCCAGGUAGCCACCUGACCCCGUGCGAUGGUGAUGCUUCUUCUUCACAGCAUUUUGCUUGUUUGUCGACGACAUCUUCUUACUCUUUUCCGAUGUCUUGUGGGCCACAAAUGCGGGUCAGUGAUCUCUGAUCUUCUCAUAUCUGCCCUUGAAUUCCGGUGUCUCUUUAUUUUCGACAAACUUAUUCAGCUCUUUCUUCCACCUCCUGAAUAGUUCUGCCAUCCUCUUAAGAGCAAAAGACUUGAUUAAUUGCUCUUUAACUGGCUUCUCCGGAUCAUCCUCUGGCUGUAGGGUGAAAUUUGACUUCAGCUCAGUCCAAAGAUCAUUUUUCUGCAUAUCAUUGACAUAAGACACCUCAGGGUCUUCUGUAGCCGGCUUUAACCAUUGCUGCAUGCUGAUCGGGAUCUUGUCCCUAACCAAAACCCCGCACUGAGCAACAAAUGCGCUCUUUGUCCGGAUAGGUUCAUUCGGUUGGCCCUCGGGCGCGAUUGCUAUGAUCUCAAACUUUUCAUCCGAGCUCAACUUUUUCUUCGGGCCUCGUCUCUUUACCGAAGUUGUGCUCGAUCCGGAGGGCUAGAAAAAAGAACAAAGACUUAAUUAAUAUGUGUACAUACCAAAACAAUGAAUGCAUCAAUUAGCUAGUCAGCAGAAGCUUAACUAAUACUAGAUCAUUGAUGGUGCGUGUUGUUGCGCCCAUCUAUUUUGGAUCUUGGUUGUUAAGGAUAUAACAUUGCUAGUAUACAUUUCUUGCAUUGUUUUAAAAUAUUAUGCUUUCUAUAGCAUGUACUUCUCUUUAUUUUCAAAAUAAUGGUAUGUAAAUCAUCUUCAUUGGGGCAACAUUACAACUUCCAUAUCAACAUAAGCUUAGAUAUAAAUAGGGCAGUGCCAUAAGCCAACCUAUCCAUAUCCACGUUAUAAUAAUGGAUGGCUAUGUACAUUUUUGUUCAAGCAUAGUACAAGCUUGUUGCAGUUGCAUAGGAACAUAGACUUAAACAUAAUAUAAACUUGAAAUGUAUAAUGAUGGAAGAAGGCGGCAUGACAGUAUAUUAUACUUGGAAAACAAAUUGUACGAUGGAGUAGAGCGAACUGGAGAAGAUGUAGACCUCAAAUAGGCACCAGAAACACUGCACCAAAAUUUCUAUGAUUAUGGAUACAUCCAACAUGGCGGACGGUCAGAGGGCAUGAGAAGUAUAAUCAUAUACUAUCUAAGAAAAUCAAGACUCUUGAUUAUUACAUCAAAAGCAAGGCACAGAACAAGCUUACAUAUCGUAUUGUUCGUGCUAACACAAAUAAUAAUAUCUUCUAACACACGAAUGUAAUUUGGCCAAAAGAUAAUUUCUUCAUACGAAUUCCAACGUCACUACAUUUUUUUUCAUUGGGGCUUAAAAAUUGUUUGACCGUUUUACAUGAGAUAGAAAGAACUGACUGAACCGAGCAACAAAAGGCAACAAAAACACAAAUCAGUUUCCUCUCAUUCUCUGCCUACAUCAUAUUUUUUUUCCUGUAAAUAUAUCUUGUGAUUCAUCAUUGUUUCAGACCGUAAGGGCCGGAAGCUCUACCUAAGGCGGCUGCCAUACAAGGAUACACACAGCUUCGCCUUAAACACCCUCCUUGUGGCGAUGCUUAGAAAGGGAAUAACCUCAUGUAUUACCUUGCUCGGAAUAGCCAUGUUUUCAAAUCCCAACUAAUCCACCUUAAUCCUAACAUCAAAUGAACACAACAUUAACUUGAGAUCAGACGCUAUGGAGUCAGAGUGAUUGCAUGACUCGAGGCACAAGGCAACAGGCUGGGGUGAAGGCGUGGCAGCUGCAUGCCACCACGAAACACCGGCGAGCAGAGAACCGGAAGAUACAUAAUCGUUUAUGUCUUAUGAGUUAAUUUCUCCACUCAUUGCACGCUACAAAACAUUAGCGAGUAUACAUAGGAUGUCCCUUUCUGAACAACUACAUAAUAUAUAAAUUCCAAUUGCAUUAGGGAUUUCAUCUAGAGUAUAUUCCCUGAAUUAUUUGAAAUGAAGUAAUGGUUUUUCUAAUCCUACUUUGACCUGGAGCAUCACUCUGAAACAUCAGGGAACACACACAUCUUCAGAAGUAGCAGCAGUAGCUAAUGUGAAAAGUUCACUGGAAUGCUAGGAUACUAAAAAAGCUAGUACAUCCCAAUAGCCAAAGAACAUAACAAAAUUUGGCAUCAUGUGUCAAGUAGCUCACAGUGGGCAUAAAUUUGUACAUUAUAUGUCCCUUUAUUAACUCACUUGUCUCUGAUUUUUAACUAUUAGGAAAUAAUAGUGGUCAUCAAAAUUAGAAUAUAUUGUAAUGCUCUAGAAUAGGAUCUAAUUGUUGGGAGUUGUUACCUGAGGGAAUCCUUGCGGGGAGCUGAGCAUAGGAACCAAUGCUGUUCCGCACUGUCCACGUGACUGACCACCGUGCUGCCUCCAUGAGCCGAUGUGGAACUUCUACCAACAAGUGAUUUGUACAUGACUGCUCAAGCAAACUAAACCACUAAAUCCAAAGGGGAUUCGUUCCAGAAAGGUGCAACACCUUGAGAAAUCUACGUGUAGAAUUGAAGAGGGGAGAGUAUCAGGAGGUAAACCUAGAGAACCUGCAUAGUUUGUGAGUACAAAGAACAGUAUGAGUAAAAUAAAUUUCAAAAAUUGGAUUAGAUGAAGAAUCAGGUGAAGAGGAGAUAAAGGAAAGAACCAUCACCCAUUGCUGCACGAGAGUGGUUUUCAGAAGUAAGGGGAGUAGGGAAGGAGCAACAGCACUUUGGAUCGUAUAUUCGUAUAUGCGCGCGAGUGAAUUGAAGUAAAAAGCAUGAAUCAUCAGACCUGCAAUAAUCUUCAGUUUAGCCGGUUCAUCAAUUGCCAUUAAUCGAUCCUGAUUAAAACCUCAACGAAUCGAUGGCUAGUGAAUUUCAAUCGACAGCGGCUGUUCGCGGCCCUGACCAUCUCCCUAUUGCGUCACCGACCAGGACGCCGUUCGGUCGCUCGGCGAGGAGCGCCGUGUCAGUCGGACCUGAAGCACAGUGGCCAUGAGACACCAUCGGUCGCGUCGAUCCGACCCCAACACGGCCGCCAUCACUACUGCCCAGAUUCUGCUGCCAGCCGACAGCAGCAACCGUGCGAAACUGCGAACCAAAGGAUCUGGCGACGACGCGCCUGAGAACUCUAGAUAUGGCUUGAAAACCAGAAAUAUGCUUCACGGAUGUAGAGCGUGUUUGGUUGAGUUCCAGGAGCAAAAUUGCCUGGCCUGAGACCUUCCUGGGUUGUGCCUGCUUGUUGUUUGGAUAGUAGCCUCAAAUCACAGGCAUGUUCCUGGCCUGGAGUUGACAUGCACCUGAUUAGCCUGGGUAGAUCACAGGCAGCUUGAUUAGCCUGGAUGAGGCCAACGGAACCAGACGCCUGGCCUCCAGGCAGAUGCGUUUUGCGUCAAUUAGCAAGUUGUAUACUGUACUUUUUGUCAACUCAGCCGUCCCAUCUAAUUAUUUAAUAUUUAAGUACGUGUCCCAGGCCAGGUUUGCAACCAAACAUCACAUGCACACAGCAGCCUGGCCAGGCAAAAAUCCUCCUUCUCCCAGGCUACUAUCAGGCAUCAACUUUUGCUAGGCAUCACACCCAGGACAUGAACCAAACAUGCCCGUAGUGCGUCACUGACCUGGGGAUGAGCUCGUCGCCGGCUCGAGAAAAAGUCGCUCCCUGCUGCGCUUUUGGGGAAGAUAGGAAAUGUAGAAGAAUGAGCCAAUCUAGUGAAUCCCGUGGAACUUAAUGGAACCUGCACUCAUUUGGGAGCACAAAGAACAACAUCAAUUGAAAAAAAUUCAUGCAGAAUUUGGGGGAGAGUAGAGGUACCAACGAGGGAACACUUGUAAAAGGCCAGUAGCGGAGACUAAUUAUCGUCCUGUCAACCAUGGCAGCCUGCAAGUAAAAGGAGGAGAAUGAGGAAGGAGAAGCUCCACGAUGGAGAUUAAAUGGACGCAAUUGAAUGGAUGUUGUAACUGAGCCCAGUUAUUGGCCACCGGUGAGUGCGCCUCAUCGAUUGCAAAUUUGCCAUUAUAAUGGUCCGCUGCAACUAUGAAUUGAGUCCCGAAUCGCGGGCAACUGGAGGCAACCGACAGGGGACGAUCCGUUGCCCCGGAUACCUCCUGCUGGCGUCGCCCAGCGAGGCAACCCGGCCGGUCGCGUAGGUCGAGGCACAUCCGGUCGGUCCAAUCGACCUCGCAUCGGCACUGUUUUUUUUUCUCGCAUCAGGACUGGAUGAACGCUCAUCGGUCGCUCGUGUGUAACCCUAGUCGAUGGAACCGCACAAGUGGACCUUCUUCAGCGAAGCCCGUGGGCUGGAAUGGGCUGGCCGACGGCCCAGUUAACCACAGGGCUACGUUUUGGCCUGCGGAGCAGAAGCCCCAGGACAGCCGGCCCAGUUUUUAUCAGAUGUGGGACAGAUUGCUUUAAACAGGAGAUCCGACGACCAAAAACGUCUAGAUCGUGCAAACGGAUGGUCAGAAACGCGAAGCGCUGAGAGAGCUCGCUUUAGGUGCAGUUGUAUUGUACUUAAUAUAUACCUGGCCGGACUCGGUUCGGUCACCAGAGACGUCAUCACGGUCUCCUUCUUGCACCGGCAUUGUGUCACCGGAGCCGUCCUCACGGUCUCCUUCUUGCACCGGCAUUAGGUCACCGGAGCCAUCAUAAUCAUAGCCAGCUGCUUCCAUACCAUCGGUGUCGUUGAGAAACAACGAGCAGACGGCAUCCCUUCCUCGUGCGAUUAUGUCCCCCAACAACUCUUCUUGUACUUCGUCUCGGGCGGUGUCCAUAGUUUCUACAAAUAUUUAUAACAUGGCAAUUAUUAUUCAAACAUGACAGAUGGAUAUAUUAGUGGCAAACGUAGAACUAAUAUUAAUUAGUGGCCUCGACGCUACUUCUCUAGGGUUUGGGGUGGCCUCGACGCUGCUUCUCCAGGGUUUGAAGUGGCCUCGACAACGCUUCAAGGAUAAAAAAAGAAGAGGAAGAAGAAAAAAAGGGGAGAAGAAAGAAUAGAUCCUCUUUUUUUUUCUUCUUCUUCCUCUUUUUUUUUAUCGGGAACGAGGGUCGUCGACGCCCACGUCACUUGUGGGACGUGGAUGUAGUGUCCGACACCGAUGGCCACAUGUAUCUCACACCCACGAUACUUACUAUUUAGGGUUUCCUCUACCGCUCGGCGACCCUGACCCUCGACGACCCUCGUUUCNNNNNNNNNNNNNNNNNNNNNNNNNNNNNNNNNNNNNNNNNNNNNNNNNNNNNNNNNNNNNNNNNNNNNNNNNNNNNNNNNNNNNNNNNNNNNNNNNNNNNNNNNNNNNNNNNNNNNNNNNNNNNNNNNNNNNNNNNNNNNNNNNNNNNNNNNNNNNNNNNNNNNNNNNNNNNNNNNNNNNNNNNNNNNNNNNNNNNNNNNNNNNNNNNNNNNNNNNNNNNNNNNNNNNNNNNNNNNNNNNNNNNNNNNNNNNNNNNNNNNNNNNNNNNNNNNNNNNNNNNNNNNNNNNNNNNNNNNNNNNNNNNNNNNNNNNNNNNNNNNNNNNNNNNNNNNNNNNNNNNNNNNNNNNNNNNNNNNNNNNNNNNNNNNNNNNNNNNNNNNNNNNNNNNNNNNNNNNNNNNNNNNNNNNNNNNNNNNNNNNNNNNNNNNNNNNNNNNNNNNNNNNNNNNNNNNNNNNNNNNNNNNNNNNNNNNNNNNNNNNNNNNNNNNNNNNNNNNNNNNNNNNNNNNNNNNNNNNNNNNNNNNNNNNNNNNNNNNNNNNNNNNNNNNNNNNNNNNNNNNNNNNNNNNNNNNNNNNNNNNNNNNNNNNNNNNNNNNNNNNNNNNNNNNNNNNNNNNNNNNNNNNNNNNNNNNNNNNNNNNNNNNNNNNNNNNNNNNNNNNNNNNNNNNNNNNNNNNNNNNNNNNNNNNNNNNNNNNNNNNNNNNNNNNNNNNNNNNNNNNNNNNNNNNNNNNNNNNNNNNNNNNNNNNNNNNNNNNNNNNNNNNNNNNNNNNNNNNNNNNNNNNNNNNNNNNNNNNNNNNNNNNNNNNNNNNNNNNNNNNNNNNNNNNNNNNNNNNNNNNNNNNNNNNNNNNNNNNNNNNNNNNNNNNNNNNNNNNNNNNNNNNNNNNNNNNNNNNNNNNNNNNNNNNNNNNNNNNNNNNNNNNNNNNNNNNNNNNNNNNNNNNNNNNNNNNNNNNNNNNNNNNNNNNNNNNNNNNNNNNNNNNNNNNNNNNNNNNNNNNNNNNNNNNNNNNNNNNNNNNNNNNNNNNNNNNNNNNNNNNNNNNNNNNNNNNNNNNNNNNNNNNNNNNNNNNNNNNNNNNNNNNNNNNNNNNNNNNNNNNNNNNNNNNNNNNNNNNNNNNNNNNNNNNNNNNNNNNNNNNNNNNNNNNNNNNNNNNNNNNNNNNNNNNNNNNNNNNNNNNNNNNNNNNNNNNNNNNNNNNNNNNNNNNNNNNNNNNNNNNNNNNNNNNNNNNNNNNNNNNNNNNNNNNNNNNNNNNNNNNNNNNNNNNNNCGGGACUAAAGGGGGGCAUUGGUCACGGUUUGUGCCACGAACCGUGACCAAUGCCCCCUUUAGUCCCGGUUGGUGCCAUCAACCGGGACCAAAGGCCUGCGCCUGCCAAAGCCGUGGUGCGGUAGGAUGUUUAGUCCCACCUCGCUAGCUGAGGAGCGGCCGCACCUGUUUAUAAGCGCUGCACCUGUUUGGGCCUAAUCUCACAACGCUAUGCCUGCUGGGCCUUCUGCGGGCCUGAAUCCUGGCCCAUGGAUGGGCUUCUAGUCGUAUUCAGGCCGUGGUGGCCCAGUAGGUGGCAUUUUUUAUUACUAUUUGAUUUUUCAUUUCUACUUAGAACUAAAUACUUGUAGUUUUUUAGUGAUUUUUUUCUUUUAGGUCACAAAAAUUAUAAACUUUCUAUUAUUGCCAUUAGUUUUAAAAUUUGAAUAGUUUAAUUUUGAAUUUUUUAAAAUUUGUGUGAAUCACUAGUUUAUGAAUAACUUUACCGUAAAAAUUGAUUUUUGAGUCAUUUUUUUCCUGCUAUUUAAUAUUACUGUGUUUUAUCAUUAUACUCAAUUUGGUAAUUUUAGUUAGUCAUAACAAAUAUUAUAGGCAUUUUUUUCUUUUUUGCUAUUUUUUUUCAUUUCUACUUAGAACAAAAUACUUAUAGUUCUUUAGUGAUUUCUUUUUUCUUUUAGGUCACAAAAAUUAUAAACUUUCUGGUAGUUCCAUUAGUUUUCANNNNNNNNNNNNNNNNNNNNNNNNNNNNNNNNNNNNNNNNNNNNNNNNNNNNNNNNNNNNNNNNNNNNNNNNNNNNNNNNNNNNNNNNNNNNNNNNNNNNNNNNNNNNNNNNNNNNNNNNNNNNNNNNNNNNNNNNNNNNNNNNNNNNNNNNNNNNNNNNNNNNNNNNNNNNNNNNNNNNNNNNNNNNNNNNNNNNNNNNNNNNNNNNNNNNNNNNNNNNNNNNNNNNNNNNNNNNNNNNNNNUUAAUUCUUUUUGCUUUUCGUUUUAGAAAAAUUAUAAACUUUCUGUUAGUGCCAUUAGUUUUCAAAUUUGAAAACACUUUUUUAGUUUUUUUGCUUUCUUUGUUGCUUUAUUUAUUUUAUUUUGUUUCUACUUACAAAAAAAUACUUAUUGUUGCUAUUUUUUUUCAGUUUUUGUUUUGUUUUCUUUAUUAUUUAUUUUCUUUUGUUUUUUGCUUUAAUUUUUAAUUCUUUUUGCUUUUAGGUCAGCAAAAUUAUAAACUUUCUGUUAGUGCCACUAGUUUUAGAAAAAUUAUAAACUUUCUGUUAGUGCCAUUAGUUUUCAAAUUUGAAUAGUUAAAAUUUGAAUUCUUUAAAAUUUGUAUGAACCACAAGUUUGUGAUUAACUUUACUAAAAAAAUGAACAUAGAUGCACCUAUAGAGAAAAUUCGACCUAAAUUCAUAGUUUUCAAAUGAACUCUCAAAAAGUUGGCAUAGCAUACUCGUGUGUUACAAAGUUGGCAUGGUAUCAUCAUAAUAGUUGCUUGAGAAAGUCUUCACUUUUUCUUCGCUUGUGUCAUUUGCUUAUUGCGCCGUAACCAUGGAUAAUCUUCAUCGUUUAUCAGGAUGCUUGGGUCAGCCUUGACAUUGAAGGGAGGAAUUUCAUGAAACUUUUCAUAAUCUUCAGACAUGUCUGUCUUGCCCUCCACUCCCAGGAUAUCCCUUUUUCCUGAAAGAACUAUAUGGCGCUUUGGCUCAUCGUAUGAUGUAUUCGCUUCCUUAUCUUUUCUUUUUCUCGGUUUGGUAGACAUGUCCUUCACAUAGAUAACCUGUGCCACAUCAUUGGCUAGGACGAACGGUUCGUCAGUAUACCCAAGAUUUUUCAGAUCCACUGUUGUCAUUCCGUACUGUGGGUCUACCUGUACCCCGCCGCCUGACAGAUUGACCCAUUUGCACUUAAACAAAGGGACCUUAAAAUCAUGUCCGUAGUCAAGUUCCCAUAUGUCCAUUAUGUAACCAUAAUAUGCAUCCUUUCCGCUCUCGGUUGCUGCAUCAAAGCGGACACCGCUGUUUUGGUUGGUGCUCUUUUGAUCUUGGGCGAUCAUGUAAAAUGUAUUCCCAUUUAUCUCGUAUCCUUUGUAAGUCAAUACAGUCAAAGAUGGUCCCCUGGACAACAAGUGCAACUCAUCACAAACAGUGUUGUCACCUCUGAGACGUGUUUCCAACCAACUGUUGAAAGUCCUGAUGUGUUCACAUGUAAUCUAGUCGUCGCACUGCUCCGGAUGUUUGGAGCGCAGACUGUUUUUGUGUUCAUCGAUAUACGGGGCCACCAUGGUAGAGUUCUGUAGAACUGUGUAGUGUGCUUGAGACCAAGAAUAUCCGUCCCUGCAUAUUAUUGAGUCACUUCCAAGAGUGCCUUUUCCAGUCAGUCUCCCCUCAUACCGCGAUUUAGGGAGACCUAUCUUCUUAAGGCCAGGAAUGAAGUCAACACAAAAUUCGAUAACAUCCUCUGUUUGAUGGCCCAUGGAGAUGCUUCCUUCUGACCUAGCGCGGUUACGGACAUAUUUCUUUAGGACUCCCAUGAACCUCUCAAAGGGGAACAUAUUGUGUAGAAAUACGGGCCCCAGGAUGACAAUCUCGUCGACUAGAUGAACUAGGACGUGCGUCAUGAUAUUGAAGAAGGAUGGUGGGAACACCAGCUCGAAACUGACAAGACAUUGCGCCACAUCACUCCUUAGCCUUGGUACAAUUUCUGGAUCGAUCACCUUCUGAGAGAUUGCAUUGAGGAAUGCACAUAGCUUCACAAUGGCUAAUCGGACGUUUUCUGGUAGAAGCCCCCUCAAUGCAGCCGGAAGCAGUUGCGUCAUAAUCACAUGGCAGUCAUGAGACUUUAGGUUCUGAAACUUUUUCUCUGGCAUAUUUAUUAUUCCCUUUAUAUUCGAUGAGAAGCCAGUCGUGACCUUCAUACUGAGCAGGCAUUCAAAGAAGAUUUCUUUCUCUUCUUUCGUAAGAGCAUAGCUGGCAGGACCUUUAUACUGCUUCGGAGGCAUGCCGUCUUUUUCAUGCAAAUGUUGCAGGUCCUCCCAUGCCUCGGAUGUAUCUUUUGUCUUCCCAUACAAGAAGCCUACCAGGUUCACACAAAGGUUCUUCAUCACGUGCAUCACGUCGAUUGAAGAGCAGACCUCUAGGUCUUUCCAGUAGGGUAGGUCCCAAAAUAUAGAUUUCUUCUUCCACAUGGGUGCGUGUCCCUCAGCGUCAUUCGGAACAGCUAGUCCGCCGGGACACUUUCCAAAGAUUACAUGUAAAUCAUUGACCAUAGCAAGUACGUGAUCACCGGUACGCAUGGCGGGCUUCUUCUGGUGAUCUGCCUCGCCUUUGAAAUGCUUGCCUUUCUUUCGACAUUGAUGGUUGGUCGGAAGAAAUCAACGAUGGCCCAGGUACACAUUUUUCCUGCAUUUGUCCAGGUAUAUACUUUCAGUGUCAUCUAAACAGUGCGUGCAUGCGUGGUAUCCUUUGUUUGUCUAUCCUGAAAGGUUACUGAGAGCGGGCCAAUCAUUGACGGUCACGAACAGCAAAGCCUUUAGGUUAAAUUCCUCCUGUCUAUGGUCAUCCCACGUACGUACACUGUUUCCAUUCCACAGCUGUAAAAGUUCUUCAACUAAUGGCCUUAGGUACACAUCAAUGUCCUUGCCGGGUUGCUUAGUGUAGGGGAACAUAGUAAUUUCAAAAUUUUCCUACGCACACGCAAGAUCAUGGUGAUGCAUAGCAACGAGAGGGGAGAGUGUUGUCUAUGUACCCUCGUAGACCGAAGCGGAAGCGCUGACACAACGUAGAGGAAGUAGUCGUACGUCUUCCCGAUCCUACCGAUCCAAGCACCGUUACUCCGGCACCUCCGAGUUCUUAGCACACGUACAGCUCGAUGACGCUCCCCAGGCUUCGAUCCAACAAAGCUUCGGGGAUGAGUUCCAUCAGCACAACGGCGUGGUGACGAUGAUGAUGUUCUACCGACGCAGGGCUUCGCCUAAGCACUACAAUGAUAUGACCGAGGUGGAAUAUGGUGGAAGGGGGCACCGCACACGGCUAAGGAACGAUCACGUUGAUCAAUUGUGUGUUCUAGGGUGUCCCCUUGCCUCCGUAUAUAAAGGAUCCAAGGGGGAGGGGUUCGGCCGGCCCUAUGGAGGCGCAGGAGGAGUCCUACUCCUACCGGGAGUAGGACUCCCCCCUUUCCUAGUCCAAGUAGGAUUGGUGGAGAAGAAAGGGAAAGAGGGGGGUGCAGCCCCUCCCUCCUUGUCCAAUUCGGACUAGGGGGAGAGGGGGCGCGCGGCCUGCCCUGGCAGCCCCUUCCUAUUCUCCACUUUAGGCCCAUGAGGCCCAUUAACACCCCGGGGGGUUCCGGUAACCCCCCGGUGCUCCGGUUUUAUCCGAAACUUCAUCGGAACCCUUCCGGUGUCUGAAUAUAGUCAUCCAAUAUAUCAAUCUUUAUGUCUCGACCAUUUCGAGACUCCUCGUCAUGCCCGUGAUCACAUCCGGGACACCGAACUAACUUCGGUACAUCAAAAUGUAUAAACUCAUAAUAACUAUCAUCGUAACGUUAAGCGUGCGGACCCUAUGGUUCGAGAACAAUGUAGACAUGACCGAGACACGUCUCCGGUCAAUAACCAAUAGCGGGACCUGGAUGCCCAUAUUGGCUCCUACAUAUUCUACGAAGAUCUUUAUCGGUCAGACCGCAUAACAACAUACGUUGUUCCCUUUGUCAUCGGUAUGUUACUUGCCCGAGAUUCGAUCGUCGGUAUCCAAUACCUAGUUCAAUCUCGUUACCGGCAAAUCUCUUUACUCGUUCCGUAAUACAUCAUCUCACAACUAACUCAUUAGUUGUAAUGCUUGCAAGGCUUAUGUGAUGUGCAUUACCGAGAGGGCCCAGAGAUACCUCUCCGACAAUCGGAGUGACAAAUCCUAAUCUCGAAAUACGCCAACCCAACAUCUACCUUUGGAGACACCUGUAGAGCACCUUUAUAAUCACCCAGUUACGUUGUGACGUUUGGUAGCACACAAAGUGUUCCUCCGGCAAACGGGAGUUGCAUAAUCUCAUAGUCAUAGGAACAUGUAUAAGUCAUGAAGAAAGCAAUAGCAACAUACUAAACGAUCGGGUGCUAAGCUAAUGGAAUGGGUCAUGUCAAUCAGAUCAUUCAACUAAUGAUGUGAUCUCGUUAAUCAAAUAACAACUCUUUGUUCAUGGUUAGGAAACAUAACCAUCUUUGAUUAACGAGCUAGUCAAGUAGAGGCAUACUAGUGACACUCUGUUUGUCUAUGUAUUCACACAUGUAUUAUGUUUCCGGUUAAUACAAUUCUAGCAUGAAUAAUAAACAUUUAUCAUGAUGUAAGGAAAUAAAUAAUAACUUUAUUAUUGCCUCUAGGGCAUAUUUCCUUCAGUCUCCCACUUGCACUAGAGUCAAUAAUCUAGAUUACACAGUAAUGAUUCUAACACCCAUGGAGCCUUGGUGCUGAUCAUGUUUUGCUCGUGGAAGAGGCUUAGUCAACGGGUCUGCAACAUUCAGAUCCGUAUGUAUCUUGCAAAUCUCUAUGUCUCCCACCUGGACUAGAUCCCGGAUGGAAUUGAAGCGUCUCUUGAUGUGCUUGGUUCUCUUGUGAAAUAUGGAUUCCUUUGCCAAGGCAAUUGCACCAGUAUUGUCACAAAAGAUUUUCAUUAGACCCGAUGCACUAGGUAUGACACCUAGAUCGGAUAUGAACUCCUUCAUCCAGACUCCUUCGUUUGCUACUUCCGAAGCAGCUAUGUACUCCGCUUCACAUGUAGAUCCCGCCACAAUGCUUUGUUCAGAACUGCACCAACUGACAGCUCAACCGUUUAAUGUAAACAUGUAUCCGGUUUGUGAUUUAGAAUCGUCCGGAUCAGUGUCAAAGCUUGCAUCAACGUAACCGUUUACGAUGAGCUCUUUGUCACCUCCAUAUACGAGAAACAUAUCCUUAGUCCUUUUCAGGUACUUCAGGAUGUUCUUGACCGUUGUCCAGUGAUCCACUCCUGGAUUACUUUGGUACCUCCCUGCUAAACUUAUAGCAGGGCACACAUCAGGUCUGGUACACAGCAUUGCAUACAUGAUAGAGCCUAUGGCUGAAGCAUAGGGAACAUCUUUCAUUUUCUCUCUAUCUUCUGAAGUGGUCGGGCAUUGAGUCUGACUCAACUUCACACCUUGUAACACAGGCAAGAACCCUUUCUUUGCUUGAUCCAUUUUGAACUUCUUCAAAAUCUUGUCAAGGUAUGUGCUUUGUGAAAGUCCAAUUAAGCGUCUUGAUCUAUCUCUAUAGAUCUUUAUGCCUAAUAUGUAAGCAGCUUCACCGAGGUCUUUCAUUGAAAAACUCUUAUUCAAGUAUCCCUUUAUGCUAUCCAGAAAUUCUAUAUCAUUUCCAAUCAGUAAUAUGUCAUCCACAUAUAAUAUCAGAAAUGCUAUAGAGCUCCCACUCACUUUCUUGUCAAUACAGGCUUCUCCAAAAGUCUGUACAAAACCAAAUGCUUUGAUCACACUAUCAAAGCGUUUAUUCCAACUCCGAGAGGCUUGCACCAGUCCAUAAAUGGAUCGCUGGAGCUUGCACACUUUGUUAGAUCCUUUCGGAUCGACAAAACCUUCCGGUUGCAUCAUAUACAACUCUUCUUCCAGAAAUCCAUUCAGGAAUGCAGUUUUGACAUCCAUCUGCCAAAUUUCGUAAUCAUAAAAUGCGGCAAUUGCUAACAUGAUUCGAACGGACUUAAGCAUCGCUACGGGUGAGAAGGUCUCAUCAUAGUCAACCCCUUGAACUUGUCCAAAACCUUUUGCGACAAGUCGAGCUUUGUAGACAGUAACAUUACCGUCAGCGUCAGUCUUUUUCUUGAAGAUCCAUUUAUUCUCAAUUGCUUGCCGACCAUCGGGCAAGUUAACCAAAGUCCAUACUUUGUUCUCAUACAUGGAUCCCAUUUCAGAUUUCAUGGCUUCAAGCCAUUUUGCGGAAUCUGGGCUCACCAUCGCUUCUUCAUAGUUAGUAGGUUCAUCAUGAUCUAGCAGCAUGAUUUCUAGAACAGGAUUACCGUACCACUCUGGCGCGGAUCUCACUCUGGUUGAUCUACGAGGUUCAGUAGUAUCUUGUCCUGAAGUUUCAUGAUCAUUAUCAUUAGCUUCCUCACUUAUGGGUGUAGGUGUCGCAGAAACAGUUUUCUGUGAUGUACUUCUUUCCAAUAAGGGGGCAGGUACAGUUACCUCGUCAAGUUCUACUUUCCUCCCACUCACUUCUUUCGAGAGAAACUCCUUCUCUAGAAAGGAUCCAUUCUUAGCAACGAAUGUCUUGCCUUCGGAUCUGUGAUAGAAGGUGUACCCAACAGUCUCCUUUGGGUAACCUAUGAAGACACAUUUCUCCGAUUUGGGUUCAAGCUUAUCAGGUUGAAGCUUUUUCACAUAAGCAUCGCAGCCCCAGACUUUAAGAAACGACAACUUUGGUUUCUUGCCAAACCAUAGUUCAUAAGGCGUCGUCUCAACGGAUUUUGAUGCUGCCCUAUUUAACGUGAAUGCGGCCGUCUCUAAAGCAUAACCCCAAAACGAUAGCGGUAAAUCAGUAAGAGACAUCAUAGAUCGCACCAUAUCUAGUAAAGUACGAUUACGACGUUCGGACACACCAUUACGCUGUGGUGUUCCGGGUGGCGUGAGUUGCGAAACUAUUCCGCAUUGUUUCAAAUGUACACCAAACUCGUAACUCAAAUAUUCUCCUCCAUGAUCAGAUCGUAGAAACUUUAUUUUCUCGUUACGAUGAUUUUCAACUUCACUCUGAAAUUCUUUGAACUUUUCAAAUGUUUCAGACUUGUGUUUCAUUAAGUAGAUAUACCCAUAUCUGCUUAAAUCAUUUGUGAAGUUGAGAAAAUAACGAUAUCCGCCACGAGCCUCAAUAUUCAUCGGACCACAUACAUCGGUAUGUAUGAUUUCCAACAAAUCUGUUGCUCUCUCCAUAGUACCGGAGAACGGUGUUUUAGUCAUCUUGCCCAUGAGGCACGGUUCGCAAGUACCAAGUGAUUCAUAAUCAAGUAGUUCCAAAAGUCCAUCAGUAUGGAGUUUCUUCAUGCGCUUUACACCGAUAUGACCUAAACGGCAGUGCCACAAAUAAGUUGCACUAUCAUUAUCAACUCUGCAUCUUUUGGUUUCAACAUUAUGAAUAUGUGUAUCACUACUAUCGAGAUUCAUCAGAAAUAGACCACUCUUCAAGGGUUCAUGACCAUAAAAGAUAUUACUCAUAUAAAUAGAACAACCAUUAUUCUCUGAUUUAAAUGAAUAACCGUCUCGCAUCAAACAAGAUCCAGAUAUAAUGUUCAUGCUUAACGCUGGCACCAAAUGACAAUUAUUUAGGUCUAAUACUAAUCCCGAAGGUAGAUGUAGAGGUAGCGUGCCGACCGCGAUCACAUCGACUUUGGAACCGUUUCCCACGCGCAUCGUCACCUCGUCCUUUGCCAGUGUUCGCCUAAUCCGUAGUCCCUGUUUCGAGUUGCAAAUAUUAGCAAUAUAACCAGUAUCAAAUACCCAGGUGCUACUGCGAGCUCUAGUAAGGUACACAUCAAUAACAUGUAUAUCACUUAUACCUUUAUUCACCUUGCCAUCCUUCUUAUCCGCCAAAUACUUGGGGCAGUUCCGCUUCCAGUGACCAGUCUGCUUGUAGUAGAAGCACUCAGUUUCAGGCUUAGGUCCAGACUUGGGUUUCUUCUCCUGAGCAGCAACUUGCUUGCCGUUCUUCUUGAAGUUCCCCUUCUUCUUCCCUUUGCCCCUUUUCUUGAAACUAGUGGUCUUGUUGACCAUCAACACUUCAUGCUCCUUCUUGAUUUCUACCUCCGCAGCUUUCAGCAUUGCGAAGAGCUCGAGAAUAGUCUUAUUCAUCCAUUGCAUAUUAUAGUUCAUCACAAAGCUCUUGUAGCUUGGUGGCAGUGAUUGGAGAAUUCUGUCAAUGACGCAAUCAUCUGGAAAAUUAACUCCCAUCUAAAUCAAGUGAUUAUUAUACCCAGACAUUUUGAGUAUAUGCUCACUGACAGAACUAUUCUCCUCCAUCUUGCAGCUAUAGAACUUAUUGGAGACUUCAUAUCUCUCAAUCCGGGCAUUUGCUUGAAAUAUUAGCUUCAACUCCUGGAACAUCUCAUAUGCUCCAUGACGUUCAAAACGUCGUUGAAGUCCCAAUUCUAAGCCGUAAAGCAUGGCACACUGAACUAUCGAGUGGUCAUCAGCUUUGCUCCGCCAGACGUUCAUAACAUCUGGUGUUGCUCCAGCAGCAGGCCUGGCACCCAGCGGUGCUUCCAGGACGUAAUUCUUCUGUGCAGCAAUGAGGAUAAUCCUCAAGUUACGGACCCAGUCCGUGUAAUUGCUACCAUCAUCUUUCAACUUUGCUUUUGUUGGGGAACGUAGUAAUUUCAAAAAUUUCCUACGCACACGCAAGAUCAUGGUGAUGCAUAGCAACGAGGGGGAGAGUCUGAUCUACGUACCCUUGUAGAUCGCAACGGAAGCGUUGACACAACGUAGAGGAAGUAGUCGUACGUCUUCUUCCCGAUCCGACCGAUCCAAGCACUGUUACUCCGGCACCUCCGAGUUCUUAGCACACGUUCAGCUCGAUGACGAUCCUCGGGCUCCGAUCCAGCAAAGCGUCGAGGAAGAGUUCCGUCAGCACGACGGCGUGGUGACGAUCUUGACGUACUACCGACGUAGGGCUUCGCCUAAGCACUACAACGGUAUGAUCGAGGUGGAAUUUGGUGGCAGGGGGCACCGCACACGGCUAAGGAACGAUUUCAAGGAUCAACUUGUGUGUCUAUGGGGAGCCCCCCGCCCCUGUAUAUAAAGGAUGGAGGAGGAGGAGGCCGGCCAAGGCAAAGGUGCGGCCAGGAUAGGGAGUCCUACUAGGACUCCAAGUCCUAGUAGGAGUCCACCAAAAGGGGAGGAAGGGAGAAGGAAUAGGAGGAGAAGGAGAGGUGGCCGGCCCCCUUUUCCCUAGUCCAAUUCGGACCAAAGGGGAGGGGGGGCGCAGCAGCCUUUUCCUCUUCCCACUAAAGCCCAUCAAGGCCCAUUACUUCUCCCGUAACUACCCGGUACUCCGAAAAAUACCCGAAUCACUCGGAACCUUUCCGAUGUCCGAAUAUAGUCGUCCAAUAUAUCGAUCUUUACGUCUCGACCAUUUCGAGACUCCUCGUCAUGUCCCCGAUUUCAUCCGGGACUCCGAACUCCUUCGGUACAUCAAUACUCAUAAACUCAUAAUAUAACUGUCAUCGAAACCUAAAGCGUGCGGACCCUAUGGUUCGAGAACAAUGUAGACAUGACCGAGACACGUCUUCGGUCAAUAACCAAUAGCGGGACCUGGAUGCCCAUAUUGGCUCCUACAUAUUCUACGAAGAUCUUUAUCGGUCAGACCGCAUAACAACAUACGUUGUUCCCUUUGUCAUCGGUAUGUUACUUGCCCGAGAUUCGAUCGUCGGUAUCCAAUACCUAGUUCAAUCUCGUUACCGGCAAGUCUCUUUACUCAUUCUAUAAUACAUCAUCCCACAACUAACUCAUUAGUUGCAAUGCUUGCAAGGCUUAAGUGAUGUGCAUUACCGAGAGGGCCCAGAGAUACCUCUCCGAUAAUCGGAGUGACAAAUCCUAAUCUCGAAAUACGCCAACCCAACAUCUUCCUUUGGAGACACCUGUAAUGCUCCUUUAUAAUCACCCAGUUACGUUGUGACGUUUUGUAGCACCCAAAGUGAUCCUCCGGCAAACGGGAGUUGCAUAAUCUCAUAGUCAUAGGAACAUGUAUAAGUCAUGAAGAAAGCAAUAGCAACAUACUAAACGAUCGGGUGCUAAGCUAAUGGAAUGGGUCAUGUCAAUCAGAUCAUUCAACUAAUGAUGUGACCUCGUUAAUCAAAUAACAACUCUUUUGUCCAUGGUUAGGAAACAUAACCAUCUUUGAUUAACGAGCUAGUCAAGUAGAGGCAUACUAGUGACACUCUGUUUGUCUAUGUAUUCACACAUGUAUUAUGUUUCCGGUUAAUACAAUUCUAGCAUGAAUAAUAAACAUUUAUCAUGAUAUAAGGAAAUAAAUAAUAACUUCAUUAUUGCCUCUAGGGCAUAUUUCCUUCAGUCUCCCACUUGCACUAGAGUCAAUAAUCUAGUUCACAUCGCCAUGUGAUUUAACAGCAAUAGUUCACAUCACCAUGUGAUUAACACCCAUAGUUCACAUCGUCAUGUGACCAACACUCAAAGGGUUUACUAGAGUCAGUAAUCUAGUUCACAUAUCUAUGUGAUUAACACCCAAAGAGUACUAAGGUGUGAUCAUGUUUUGCUUGUGAGAUAAUUUUAGUCAACGGGUCUGUCACAUUCAGAUCUGUAAGUAUUUUGCAAGUUCUAUGUCUACAAUGCUCUACACGGAGCUACUCUAGCUAAUUGCUCCCACUUUCAAUAUGUAUCCAGAUUGAGACUUUAGAUUCAUCUGGAUCAGUGUCAAAAACUUGCAUCGACGUAACCCUUUACGACGAACCUUUUUGUCACGUCCAUAAUCGAGAAACAUAUCCUUAUUUCACUAAGGAUAAUUCUGACCGCUGUCCAGUGAUCUACUCCUAGAUCACUAUUAUACUCCCUUGCCAAAUCAAUGCAGGGUAUACAAUAGAUCUGGUAUACAGCAUGACAUACUUUAUAGAACCUAUGGCCAAGGCAUAGGGAAUGACUUUCAUUCUCUUUCUAUCUUCUGCCGUGGUCGGGCUUUGAGUCUUACUCAACUUCACACCUUGUAAUACAGGCAAGAACUCUUUCUUUGACUGCUCCAUUUUGAGCUACUUCAAAAUCUUGUCAAGGUAUGUACUUAUUGAAAAAACUUAUCAAGCGUCUUGAUCUAUCUCUAUAGAUCUUGAAGCUCAAUAUGUAAGCAGCUUCACCGAAGUCUUUCUUUGAAAAACUCCUUUCAAACACUCCUUUAUGCUUUACAGAAUAAUUCUACAUUAUUUCCGAUCAACAAUAUGUCAAUCACAUAUACUUAUCAGAAAUGCUGUAGUGUCCCACUCACUUUCUUGUAAAUACAGGCUUCACCGCAAGUCUGUAUAAAACUAUAUGCUUUGAUCAACUCAUCAAAGCGUAUAUUCCAACUCCGAGAUGCUUGCACCAGUCCACAGAUGGAUCGCUGGAGCUUGCACAUUUUGUUAGCACCUUUCGGAUUGACAAAACCUUCUGUUGCAUCAUAUACAACUCUUCUUUAAUAAAUCCAUUAAGGAAUGCAGUUUUGUUUAUCCAUUUGCCAGAUUUCAUAAAAUGCGGCAAUUACUAACAUGAUUCGGACAGACUCAAGCAUAGAUACGAGUGAGAAGCUCUCAUCGUAGUCAACACCUUGAACUUGUCGAAAACCUUUUUGCGACAAUUCUAGCUUUGUAGAUAGUAACACUACUAUCAGCGUCCGUCUUCCUCUUGAAGAUCCAUUUAUUCUCAAUUGCUUGCCGAUCAUUGGGCAAGUCAACCAAAGUCCAAACUUUGUUCUCAUACAUGGAUCAUAUCUCAGAUUUCAUGGCCUCAAACCAUUUCGCGGAAUCUGGGCUCAUCAUUGCUUCCUCAUAGUUCGUAGGUUCAUCAUGAUCUAGUAGCAUGACUUCCAGGAUUGGAUUACCGUACCACACUGGUGCGGAUCUCACUCUGGUUGAUCUACGUGGUUCAGUAGUAUCUUGUCCUGAAGUUUCAUGAUCAUCAUCAUUAGCUUCCUCACUAAUUGGUAUAGGUGUCGCAGAAACAGUUUUCUGUGAUGUACUAUUUUCCAAUAAGGGAGCAGGUACAGUUACCUCGUCAAGUUCUACUUUCCUCCCACUCACUUCUUUUGAGAGAAACUCCUUCUCUAGAAAGGAUCCAUUAUAAGCAACGAAUGUCUUGCCUUAGGAUCUGUGAUAGAAGGUGUACCCAACAGUCUCCUUUGGGUAUCCUAUGAAGACAUAUUUCUCCGAUUUGGGUUUGAGCUUAUCAGGAUGAAACUUUUUCUCAUAAGCAUCGCAACCCCAAACUUCAAGAAACGACAACUUUGGUUUCUUGCCUAACCAUAGUUCAUACGGUGUCGUCUCAACGGAUUUAGAUGGUGCCCUAUUUAACGUGAAUGCAGCUUUCUCUAAUGCAUGAUCCCAAAACGAUAUUGGUAAAUCGGUAAGAAACAUCAUAGAUUGUACUAUAUCCAAUAAAGUACGGUUAUGACGUUCGGACACACCAUUAUGCUGUGGUGUUCCAGGUGGCGUGAGUAGUGAAACUAUUUCACAUUGUUUUAACUGAAGACCAAACUCGUAACUCAAAUACUCUUUUCCACGAUCAGAUCGUAGAAACUUUAUUUUCUUGUUACGAUGAUUUUCCACUUCACUCUGAAAUUAUAUGAACUUUUCAAAUGUAUCAGACUUCUAUUUCAUUAAGUAGAUAUACCCAUAUCUGCUCAAAUCAUCUGUGAAGGUUUAGAAAAUAAUGAUACCCGCUGCAAGCCUUAAAUAUUCAUCGGACCACAUACAUUUGUAUGUAUGAUUUCCAACAAAUCUGUUGCUUGCUCCAUUGUUCCGGAGAACGGCGUUUUAGUCAUCUUGCCCAAAAGGCAUGGUUCGCAAGCAUCAAGUGAUUCCGAAAGCCCAUCAGCAUGGAGUUUCUUCAUGUGCUUUAUACCAAUAUGACCUAAACGGCAGUGCCACAAAUAAGUUGCACUAUCAUUAUUAACUUUGCAUCUUUUGGUUUCAAUAUUAUGAAUAUGUGUAUCACUACGAUCGAGAUCCAACGAACUUGUUUCAUUGGGUGUAUGACCAUCGAAGGUUUUAUUCAUGUAAACAGAACAACAAUUAUUCUCUGACUUUAAUGAAUAACCGUAUUGCAAUAAACAUGAUCAAAUCAUAUUCAUGCUCAACCAAAUAACACUUAUUUAAGUUCAACACUAAUCCCGAAAGUAUAGGGGAGUGUGUGAUGAUGAUCAUAUCAAUCUUGGAACUACUUCCAACACACAUCGUCACUUCACCCUUAACUAGUCUUUGUUUAUUCUGCAACUCCUGUUUCGAGUUACUACUCUUAGCAACUGAACCAAUAUCAAAUACUGAGGGGUUGCUAUAAACACUAGUAAAGCACACAUCAAUAACAUGUAUAUCAAAUAUACUUUUGUUCACUUUGCCAUCCUUCUUAUCCGCCAAAUACUUGGGGCAGUUCCGCUUCCAGUGACCAGUCCCUUUGCAGUAGAAGCACUUAGUCUCAGGCUUAGGACCAAACUUCGGCUUCUUCACUUGAGCAGCAACUUGCUUGCCGUUCUUCUUGAAGUUCCCCUUCUUCCCUUUGCCCUUUUCUUGAAACUAGUGAUCCUGUCAACCAUCAACACUUGAUGUUUUUCUUGAUUUCGACCUUCGUUGAUUUCAGCAUCACGAAGAGCUUGGGAGUUGUUUCCGUUAUCCCUUGCAUAUUAUAGUUCAUCACGAAGUUCUACUAACUUGGUGAUGGUGACUAGAGAAUUUUGUCAAUCACUAUCUUAUCUGGAAGAUUAACUCCCACUUGAUUCAAGCGAUUGUAGUACUCAGAUAAUCUGGGCACAUGCUCACUAGUUGAGCGAUUCUCCCCCAUCUUUCAGCUAUAGAACUUGUUGGAGACUUCAUAUCUCUCAACUCGGGUAUUUACUUGAAAUAUUAACUUCAGCUUCUGGAACAUCUCAUAUGGUCCAUGACGCUCAGAACGUCUUUGAAGUCCCGAUUCUAAGCCAUUAAGCAUGGUGCACUAAACUAUCAAGUAGUCAUCAUAUUGGGCUAGCCAAACGUUCAUAACGUCGGCAUCUGCUCCUGCAAUAGGUCUGUCACCUAGCGGUGCAUCAAGGACAUAAUUCCUCUAUGCAGCAAUGAGGAUAAAACUCAGAUCACGGAUCCAAUCCGCAUCAUUGCUACUAACAUCUUUCAACACAAUUUUCUCUAGGGACAUGUCAAAAUAAACACAGGGAAGCAACAACGCGAGCUAUUGAUCUACAACAUAAUUUGCAAAAUACUACCAGGACUAAGUUCAUGAUAAAUUUAAGUUCAAUUAAUCAUAUUACUUAAGAACUCCCACUUAGAUAGAUAUCCCUCUAAUCCUCUAAGUGAUCACGUGAUCCAAAUCAACUAAACCAUAACCGAUCAUCACGUGAGAUGGAGUAGUUUUCAAUGGUGAACAUCGUCAUGUUGAUCAUAUCUACUAUAUGAUUCACGCUCGACCUUUCGGUCUCUGUGUUCCGAGGCCAUAUCUGCAUAUGCUAGGCUCGUCAAGUUUAACCUGAGUAUUCUGCGUGUGCAAAACUGGCUUGCACCCGUUGUAGAUGGACGUAGAGCUUAUCACACCCGAUCAUCACGUGGUGUCUGGGCACGACGAACUUUGGCAACGGUGCAUACUCAGGGAGAACACUUCUUGAUAAUUCAGUGAGAGAUCAUCUUAUAAUGCUACCGUCAAUCAAAGCAAGAUAAGAUGCAUAAAAAGAUAAACAUCAUAUGUAAUCAAAAUAUGUGACAUGAUAUGGCCAUCAUCAUCUUGCUUCUUUGAUCUCCAUCUCCAAAGUACUGUCAUGAUCUAUAUCGUCACCGGCAUGACACCAUGAUCUCCAUCAUCUUGAUCUAUAUCAAUGUGUCGUCGUGUGGUCGUCUCACCAACAAUUGCUCUUGCAACUAUUGCUAUCGCAUAGCGAUAAAGUAAAGCAAUUACUGGACGCUUGCAUCUCAUGAAAUAGAGAGACAACCAUAAGGAUUUUGUCAGUUGCUGAUAACUUCAACAAAACAUGAUCAUCUUAUACAACAACUUAUAACUCAUCACGUUUUGACCAUAUCACAUCACAACAUGCCCUGCAAAAACAAGUUAGACGUCCUCUACUUUGUUGUUGCAAAUUUUACGUGGCUGCUACGGGCUUAGCAAGAACCAAUCUUACCUACGCAUCAAAACCACAACGAUAGUUUGUCAAAUAGACUCCGUUUUAACCUUCGCAAGGACCGGGCGUAGCCACACUCGGUUCAACUAAAGUUGGAGAAACAGUCACCCGCAAGUCACCUAUGUGCAAAGCACGUCGGGGAAACCGGUCUCGCGUAAGCGUACGCGUAAUGUCGGUCCGGGCCGCUUCAUCCAACAAUACCGCGGAACCAAAGUAUGACAUGCUGGUAGGCAGUAUGACUUAUAUCGCCCACAACUCACUUGUGUUCUACUCGUGCAUAUAACAUCAAACCAUAAAACCUAGGCUCGGAUGCCACUGUUGGGGAACGUAGUAAUUUCAAAAAUUUCCUACGCACACGCAAGAUCAUGGUGAUGCAUAGCAACGAGGGGGAGAGUCUGAUCUACGUACCCUUGUAGAUCGCAACGGAAGCGUUGACACAACGUAGAGGAAGUAGUCGUACGUCUUCUUCCUGAUCCGACCGAUCCAAGCACCGUUACUCCGGCACCUCCGAGUUCUUAGCACACGUUCAGCUCGAUGACGAUCCUCGGGCUCCGAUCCAGCAAAGCGUCGAGGAAGAGUUCCGUCAGCAUGACGGCGUGGUGACGAUCUUGAUGUACUACCGAUGUAGGGCUUCGCCUAAGCACUACAACGGUAUGAUCGAGGUGGAAUUUGGUGGCAGGGGGCACCGCACACGGCUAAGGAACGAUCUCAAGGAUCAACUUGUGUGUCUAUGGGGUGCCCCCUGCCCCUGUAUAUAAAGGAUGGAGGAGGAGGAGGCCGGCCAAGGCAAAGGUGCGGCCAGGAUAGGGAGUCCUACUAGGACUCCAAGUCCUAGUAGGAGUCCACCAAAAGGGGAGGAAGGGAGAAGGAAUAGGAGGAGAAGGAGAGGUGGCCGGCCCCCUUUUCCCUAGUCCAAUUCGGACCAAAGGGGAGGGGGGCGCAGCAGCCUUUUCCUCUUCCCACUAAAGCCCAUCAAGGCCCAUUACUUCUCCCGUAACUACCCGGUACUCCGAAAAAUACCCGAAUCACUCCGAACCUUUCCGAUGUCCAAAUAUAGUCGUUCAAUAUAUCGAUCUUUACGUCUCGACCAUUUCAAGACUCCUCGUCAUGUCCCCGAUCUCAUCCGGGACUCCGAACUCCUUCGGUACAUCAAUACUCAUAAACUCAUAAUUUAACUGUCAUGGAAACCUUAAGCGUGCGGACCCUACGGUUCGAGAACAAUGUAGACAUGACCGAGACACGUCUCCGGUCAAUAACCAAUAGCGGGACCUGGAUGCCCAUAUUGGCUCCUACAUAUUCUACGAAGAUCUUUAUCGGUCAGACCGCAUAACAACAUACGUUGUUCCCUUUGUCAUCGGUAUGUUACUUGCCCGAGAUUCGAUCGUUGGUAUCCAAUACCUAGUUCAAUCUCGUUACCGGCAAGUCUCUUUACUCGUUCUAUAAUACAUCAUCCCACAACUAACUCAUUAGUUGCAAUGCUUGCAAGGCUUAAGUGAUGUGCAUUACCGAGAGGGCCCAGAGAUACCUCUCCGACAAUCGGAGUGACAAAUCCUAAUCUCGAAAUACGCCAACCCAACAUCUUCCUUUGGAGACACCUGUAAUGCUCCUUUAUAAUCACCCAGUUACGUUGUGACGUUUGGUAGCACCCAAAGUGUUCCUCCGGCAAACGGGAGUUGCAUAAUCUCAUAGUCAUAGGAACAUGUAUAAGUCAUGAAGAAAGCAAUAGCAACAUACUAAACGAUCGGGUGCUAAGCUAAUGGAAUGGGUCAUGUCAAUCAGAUCAUUCAACUAAUGAUGUGACCUCGUUAAUCAAAUAACAACUCUUUUGUCCAUGGUUAGGAAACAUAACCAUCUUUGAUUAAUGAGCUAGUCAAGUAGAGGCAUACUAGUGACACUUUGUUUGUCUAUGUAUUCACACAUGUAUUAUGUUUCCCGUUAAUACAAUUCUAGCAUGAAUAAUAAACAUUUAUCUUGUGCUUGUGAUCUCCAUCUCCGAAGCACCUUCAUGAUCACCAUCGUCACCGGCGCGACACCUUGAUCUCCAUCGUAGCAUCGUUGUCGUCUCGCCAAUCUUAUGCUUCCACGACUAUCGCUACCGCUUAGUGAUAAAGUAAAGCAUUACAACGCGAUUGCAUUGCAUACAAUAAAGCGACAACCAUAUGGCUCCUGCCAGUUGCCGAUAACUUGGUUACAAAACAUGAUCAUCUCAUACAAUAAAAUUUAGCAUCAUGUCUUGACCAUAUCACAUCACAACAUGCCCUGCAAAAACAAGUUAGACGUCCUCUACUUUGUUGUUGCAUGUUUUACGUGGCUGCUACAGGCUUAAGCAAGAACCAAUCUUACCUAUGCAUCAAAACCACAACGAUAGUUUGUCAAGUUGAUGCCGUUUUAACCUUCGCAAGGACCGGGCGUAGCCACACUCGGUUCAACUAAAGUUGGAGAAACAGUCACCCGCAAGCCACCUUUGUGCAAAGCACGUCGGGAGAACCGGUCUCGCGUAAGCGUACGCGUAAUGUCGGUCUGGGCCGCUUCAUCCAACAAUACCGCCGAACCAAAGUAUGACAUGCUGGUAGGCAGUAUGACUUAUAUCGCCCACAACUCACUUGUGUUCUACUCAUGCAUAUAACAUCAAACCAUAAAACCUAGGCUCUGAUACCACUGUUGGGGAACGUAGCAAUUUCAAAAAAUUUCUACGCACACGCAAGAUCAUGGUGAUGCAUAGCAACAAGAGGGGAGAGUGUUGUCUAGAAGCGUUGACACAACGUAGAGGAAGUAGUCGUACGUCUUCCCGAUCCGACCGAUCCAAGCACCGUUACUCCGGCACCUCCGAGUUCUUAGCACACGUACAACUCGAUGACGCUCCCCGGGCUCCGAUCUAGCAAAGCUUCGGGGAUGAGUUCCGUCAGCACAACGGCGUGGUGACGAUGAUGAUGUUCUACCGACGCAGGGCUUCGCCUAAGCACUACAACGAUAUGACCGAGGUGGAAUAUGGUGGAAGGGGGCACCGCACACGGCUAAGGAACGAUCACGUUGAUCAAUUGUGUGUUCUAGGGUGCCCCCUUGCCUCCGUAUAUAAAGGAUCCAAGGGAGAGGGGUUCGGCCGGCCCUAUGGAGGCGCAGGAGGAGUCCUACUCCUAUCGGGAGUAGGACUCCCCCCCUUUUCCUUGUCCAAGUAGGAUUGGUGGAGAAGAAUGGGAAAGAGGGGGGCGCCGCCCCUCCCUCCUUGUCCAAUUCGGACUAGGGGGAGAGGGGGCGUGCGGCCUGCCCUGGCAGCCCCUUCCUCUUCUCCACUUUAGGCCCAUGAGGCCCAUUAACCCCCCGGGGGGUUCCGGUAACCCCCCGGUGCUCCGAUUUUAUCCGAAACUUCAUCGGAACCCUUCCGGUGUCCGAAUAUAGUCAUCCAAUAUAUCAAUCUUUAUGUCUUGACAAUUUUGAGACUCCUCGUCAUGUCCGUGAUCACAUCCGGGACUCCGAACUAACUUCGGUACAUCAAAAUGUAUAAACUUAUAAUAACUGCCAUCGUAACGUUAAGCGUGCGGACCCUACGGUUCGAGAACAAUGUAGACAUGGCCGAGACACGUCUCCGGUCAAUAACCAAUAGCGGGACCUGGAUGCCCAUAUUGGCUCCUACAUAUUCUACGAAGAUCUUUAUCGGUCAGACCGCAUAACAACAUACGUUGUUCCCUUUGUCAUCGGUAUGUUACUUGCCCGAGAUUCGAUCGUCCGUAUCCAAUACCUAGUUCAAUCUCGUUACCAGCAAGUCUCUUUACUCGUUCCGUAAUACAUCAUCUCGCAACUAACUCAUUAGUUGUAAUGCUUGCAAGGCUUAUGUGAUGUGCAUUACCGAGAGGGCCCAGAGAUACCUCUCCGACAAUCGGAGUGACAAAUCCUAAUCUCGAAAUACGCCAACCCAACAUCUACCUUUGGAUACAUCUUUAGAGCACCUUUAUAAUCACCCAGUUAUGUUGUGACGUUUGGUAGCACACAAAGUGUUCCUCCGGCAAACGGGAGUUGCAUAAUCUCAUAGUCAUAGGAACAUGUAUAAGUCAUGAAGAAAGCAAUAGCAACAUACUAAACGAUCGGGUGCUAAGCUAAUGGAAUGGGUCAUGUCAAUCAGAUCAUUCAACUAAUGAUGUGAUCUCGUUAAUCAAAUAACAACUCUUUGUUCAUGGUUAGGAAACAUAACCAUCUUUGAUUAACGAGCUAGUCAAGUAGAGGCAUACUAGUGACACUUUGUUUGUCUAUGCAUUCACACAUGUAUUAUGUUUCCGGUUAAUACUAUUAUAGCAUGAAUAAUAAACAUUUAUCAUGACAUAAGGAAAUAAAUAAUAACUUUGUUAUUGCCUCUAGGGCAUAUUUCCUUCACUUAGGGCCUUGGAUGAGAACUGGCAUCAUAAUGAACUUCCGCUUCAUGCACAUCCAAGGAGGAAGGUUAUACAUACAUAGAGUCACGGGCCAGGUGCUGUGAUUGCUGCUCUGCUCCCCUAUAGGAUUAAUGCCAUCCAUGCUUAAAGCAAACCAUACAUUCCAUGGGUCGUUUGCAAACUCAUCCCAGUACUUUCUCUCGAUUUUUCUCCACUGCGACCCGUCAGCGGGUGCUCUCAAUUUUCCGUCUUUCUUCCGGUCCUCACUGUGCCAUCGCAUCAACUUGGCAUGCUCUUCGUUUUUGAAUAGACGUUUCAACCGUGGUAUUAUAGGAGCAUACCACAUCACCUUCGCAGGAACCCUCUUCUUGGGGGGCUCACCGUCAACGUCACCAGGGUCAUCUCGUCUGAUCUUAUACCGCAAUGCACCGCAUACCGGGCAUGCAUUCAGAUCCUUGUAUGCACCGCGGUAGAGGAUGCAGUCAUUAGGGCAUGCAUGUAUCUUCUCCACCUCCAAUCCUAGAGGGCAUACGACUUUCUUUGCUGCGUAUGUACUGUCGGGCAAUUCGUUAUCCUUUGGAAGAUUCUUCUUCAAUAUUUUCAGUAGCUUCUCAAAUCCUUUGUCAGCCACAGCAUUCUCUGCCUUCCACUGCAGCAAUUCCAGUACGGUACCGAGCUUUGUGUUGCCAUCUUCGCAAUUGGGCUACAACCCUUUUUUGUGAUCCUCUAACAUGCGAUCGAACUUCAGCUUCUCCUUUUGACUUUCGCAUUGCGUCCUUGCAUCGACAAUGACCCGGCGGAGAUCAUCAUCAUCGGGCAGAUCGUCUGGUUCCUCUUGAUCUUCAGCAGCUUCACCCGUUGCAGCAUCAUUGGGCACAUCGUCUGUUUCCUCUUGAUCUUCACCAGCUCCCUCCAUUGCAGCAUAACCGUAUUCAGGGGGCACAUAGUUGUCAUCGUACUCUUCUUCUUUGCCAUCUUCCAUCAUAACACCUAUUUCUCCGUGCCUCGUCCAAACAUUAUAGUGUGGCAUGAAACCCUUGUAAAGAAGGAGGGGGUGAAGGAUUUUCCGGUUAGAGUAAUACCUCGUAUUCCCACAUUCAGUGCAUGGACAACACAUAAAACCAUUCUGCUUCUUUGCCUCAGCCGCACCGAGAAACUCAUGCACGCCCUUAAUGUACCCGGAGGUGUGUCUGUCACCGUACAUCCAUUGCCAGUUCAUCUACGUGCAUUAUAUAUAAUUAAGUGUCCAAAUUAAUAGAAGUUCAUCAUCACAUUAAAACCAAAGUACAUACAUAGUUCUCAUCUAACAACAUAUAGCUCUCCAGAGCAUCUAAUUAAUUAAACCAUACAUUGAAACUAUGUAAAACAUUUCAAUGCGAAAACAAAUGCGAUCAUAAUUGCAACCAAGGUAACAAUUGAUCCAACGGCAUAAUGAUACCAAGCCUCGGUAUGAACGACAUAUUUUCUAAUCUUUCUAAUCUUCAAGCGCAUUGCAUCCAUCUUGAUCCUGUGAUCAUAGACGACAUCCGCAACAUGCAACUCCAAUAUCAUCUUCUCCUCCUCAAUUUUUUUAUUUUUUCCUCCAACAAAUAGUUUUCUUCUUCAACUAAAUUUAGCCUCUCGGCAAUAGGGUCGGUUGGCAUUUCCGAUUCACAUACAUCCUACAUAAAUAAAAUCUAUGUCACGUUGAUCGGCAUAAUUUUCAUAAACAAUAAAUGAACCAAUAGUUAUAAAGAUAAUAUAUAUACCACAUUCGAAUCAUAGACAGGACGAGGGCGACGGGGGCGGAUACCAAAACCAUCGCACUAUAUAAGAUGCAAUAAUAAAAGUAAGAAAAUAAUACAAGUAUCUAUGUAAACAUACAAGUAAGAAUAUUUUUCCUUUCAGAAAGAAGAUAAGAACAAGAGGCUCACCAUGGUGGUGCCGGCAAGGCCCACCUUGGUCCAUGCGGGGAUGCACAAAAUAAGCUAUGUGCGGCCCAUGCGGGGAAUUUUGGUUACGCAUGGCCCAUACAUAUGGUGAUCCAGCCGUACGUGACCAAAUAGGAUGGACGGACAAACGAAAACGGACAAAAAUUAGGGACCAACCAAUUAGUACCACCUCGCGUAUAUGUUUUAUAUUUAAACUGAAAGCGUAAAUUUUCAUGAAAAGAAAUGUACUGUGACGGUGAACCCGACAAAGUCAAUCCGUGCUUUAUUAUUAGGGAAAGAUAUACUAAUUGGAGGCACCUUUGGAGCGUCUACGUUAAUCCACGUCAUUAAGAUUAAUAUAGCCGUUUGAUAUUAAAUUUAAUGGUUAAGAUAUGCUAGAAGACUAUGCCUUAUUAUAGAAGAAAACAACAUGUACGUAGGGAUGAAAUCCACGCAUACAAAAAAAAACUCAUGUAAAGAAAAAUCAAUUCUCACCACAUAGAUGAAACUCAUUAAACUUGCACAUGCAAAAAAAGUCCUAAGCUCCCACGUCCAUGAAAGAUUAGACAUGCACAUAAAAAAAGAGUCCUAAAUGCCCACGCCCAGGUUCCAAGAAAAAGUACGUGCCUACUCCUUGCAAAAAGAGGACGCGUGGCAAAACUAAAAAAUAUGAAUAUAAUCAUCUCAAUCUCUUUCUAAUAAUAAAAUAUGAAUUGAUUUUGUCAGGUUCGUCGUCACAAUACACUUUUUCCUGUAAAUUUACGCUUUCACUUUGAAUUUAAAACAUAUAGGUGAGGUGGUACUAAAAAACUGUUCAUUGGUCGCGUACGUCAAUUAGUAUAAGUCGCUUUUUUUAGUCCCUCCGGCUCGCUAGACUGGGCCGUGUUGAUCAUUCCCGUGAUGACUGAACUGGGCCUGGUCAAAAAGAAAAAAAACGAUGCAAAAAAUAAUUCCCCAUGAGCUUCGAACCAAGACGAAGGCCCUCAGUCACAAAGGAGAACGCCAACUAGAUUGCUCUAUUUUGUUCUGCCAAAUUGUGUCCCUGUAGAUAUAAUAGUCCCACAUCGCUUCUUUGCACUGUAUCUUAUCGAUUUUUAUACAUCGGCGGACUUGUCCUAGCAGAAGUUAAUUGGAAGAGGAAGCAAGGAAUAAAGAACGAACGCAGGAGGAAUUUGGCCAGAAGAAACAAGGUCGGGGAGCGUGAGGUUUAUGGUGAAUAUUCAGAGAACGGCAGCUGCAUUGUUCGAAUUUAGUCUAUCUUUGGACAUGUCUUUUCCGGGGAUUCGACACCAUGUUUUGUGCGCGAAUGGUUUUAUUAGGGUUUUUGACUGUUCCAAGUUAGAAGAGGCCAGAGUUUUCUCUGGUUCUUCAGUGGCCUGAAGCAACCAUGCUUACGCUUUUUUUUUUCAACCAUUCAUUGCCCAUUUUCAUUAAUUUCUUAAAGAAAAUACAUCAACCGUCCUUGCAGAAAGAACGAGGCAGCUUCACAGCUGGAAAUCAAGAGUGCGGUGUCCAGUUUUACGGGGAAAAGAAUUCUAUGAGACCAGGUCUCACGCGAGACCCAUCCUAAUGAAUGCCACGUGCUAUCCAUCAGAACGGGUCUCACCUGCUAACCGUGAGACUUGGUCUCAUAUAUUUUUUUUCCGUUUUACGGGGAAGCAUCAUCAGAAAUCUAGCAAAUCAUUCGCAUUAUUCUCUCACAUACAGUACAGAUCCUUCGGAUCGCCACAUCACAGCUGGACUUCAUUGCUUUGGGUGUCUAAUUAAGGGCUUGUUCGGUUAAUCCUCUCGCGAAGAGGAUUGGAGGGGAUUGGCAAGGAUUGGUUCGUAUUUUGACUUCUAAGAGGUUUAAGUCCUCCUCAAACCCCUUCAAUCCAUUCGGAUUCACACGCAACCAAACAAGGCCUAAACGGGAUCCGCAUCUGAACUAUUAAGCAGCAAAUGAUAGUGUGCGUGAAACAGGUAGGCAAUGUCAAUGAGGACAAACUGUGAUGAUAUCGUUUGAAAACUCAGCUGUCGUCCGUAGUGUUUGGCAUGUGACAGAUAGAUCCUGUUGAUUGUCUAACGAAAGCCAACGGUGAUGUCAAACUAGACUAUUUUAACAUAGUCGGUAAGACAAAAAUGGGAAACAUAUGUAUAUAUGACUACCGAGAACACGACAUCCAUUGUAUCUCGAUUAAGCAUCUUCAAAUAUUAUUCCUGUCGUGAUAUUGACAACAUUAUUAGUUUGUACUUGAAUGAAUAGUCAAGGAACUUUUGAGUGUUCCAAGUUAAACAUCCAAAUUUGUGUCGCAUUUCAGUAUGGGAGGCGCGUAUGACUCUCAAGUUUUUCCGAAUUUGAGUAAUACGGGUCAACUAUUUGCAAAAAUAAAAUAAAAACAUGUUAUCUAGCAUAUGUUUUUACCGUGUUAACACAUUCACAAUUAUUCCAUUUUGAAAAAAGGUACCUAGGUGGUAAAUGAACUACAAACCUUGCUCGACAUAUAUCGAGAAAUAUGUAUUGACAUACACAACAGAGAAAAUAAAUCAAAAUACAUUGCGCAGAACAUUGACAAUAAAUUAGUUGGUGAAAUUAGACAAUUUAGUUGGUGAACUUAGAAAAUUGUUACAUAAGGCUCCAACUUAAUUUCUCAGCAGUUGGAUCAGUUUUUUUUUUUGAGGACCAUGGAAAUACUGAAACCAUGGUUGAUACAAACUCCCCUCUCACACCUAAACUUUGAGCUAGAUAUUUCCUUUUAGUGAGUUUAGCUACUAAUUUUAAAGGGGUUCGCUAAAUCUCAGUCAAUUGAGAUUUAAUGUAGUCUCAAUCACCUUUCCAAGCCGUUGAAUACAUGCACACUAAGAUUAUGUGCUAGGAAACUUUUCUUUGUUAUUGUGAGGUGGAACGGAAAGAGAUGUGUGUGUGCCUUUCUGGACUAUUCGAAGUGUGCGUGUUUUUCCGAGGAAAGAGCCUACAAUCUACACGAGAAGCUUGUGUUUGGGCCAAGUCCAAACAUAAUAUAAUUUGUCAAACCAAACAACCAACAUUUUCUAAAACCGAAAUCAACAUAGCAAAAACAUGUUUGCUUUCGAAUAUUAAUAAAUAACUGUAUAUAAAUAAUCCCACUUCAAUGCACCACUCCUCUCACACCCGGUGAUAGUGUGAUGUUCGUUGAGGCAACAUCGAAGGACAUGAAUGUAGUUUCAUUAAUCUUUUUCCGAAUUGUGUACACCAAAAAUUGUAUCAUCAUUAACGACGGUGGCAAAAAUGAAAAGUGGCAACAUGAACGAGUCACUGAAAACAUGCGAAGACUUUCUCCUUCCGGUGCAAUGCACGACACAUUAAAUGAUGCAUACAAAGGUUAAAGGGAACCUUCUUUUGAGAAACAAAGACAAACACAGACUCACAAACACGUACAUACAUGAACACCUAGAGAGACUGAGCUGACAAGUCUUGAGAUUGAUGAACACACCACAAGUGUCUCGCUUCGACGCGAACGUCACCAUGCACUGAAAAAAUAUUUCACCUUUGUGAAACAUGAAAUUAAGCGUCAAAGUUAGGUUUUAAUUCUUGCUCUAUUGGGUAUCACCGCCCUGCAAACCAUCCAAUCAGAGAUUGGUUCUCAGGGUUAAAGCGAAACUAACCAAUACAUUUAUUUGAUAUGAAAAAAUGAACCCUUCCAAACCAAGCAAACAACUAUCUCUAAGAAAUCCAACAUAGCAACAAUGCUUUGUAUUCAAAUGUUUUGGAAAUUCUAAAAAAAAACUUUUGGAUUAGUUUUUAAACUCUCGGUUAGUAUAGAACAUUCCAAUGUUUGUAUGUUGCACUAAAAAUAAAUGCACCACUCUUUCACCCGGUGGUAGUGCUAAGCUAAAGGAGUGCCAUCAAAGGACACCACUAUGACUAUCUUAACUCUACUCCAUGAUGCGGACACCAAUAAUCAUUUUUAUUUACCAACACGAAGGCGUUUUUUUAAGAUAGUGAGUGUUUCUAAAUGUUCUUGGUUUCAAAAAAUAUAUUCAUGUUUUAAAUAUGUUUAAACUUUUGAAGAAAUGCUGAAAAUUCCUAAAAAAUGGUUCCAAUUAAAAACCAGCUAUAAUUGUUCAAAAAAUCAUUAAAAAAAAUCAUGAAAUCGCUUGUUUAUAUAAUGUUCGACUUCAAAAAAUAUUCCAAUUCUAGUAAGAAAUUAAAAAAUAGUCGAUUUCUUAAAAAAUAAAGAAAUAUUUGUGUUGUCUUUCAAAAAGCAAAAUAUAUACCGAUUCACAUACUAUUCCAUGCACAACUAUUCUUCCAACAGAUGUGGGAAGUUAGGUUGGUUCUUCAUGUACACACUUCAAGCUCCGAACAAAAAUUAGAGUUUAACAUUAUUACUCUGGUUUAUCAGCCUUUGAUACAAGAAAUGGCACAUGAAGCGCACUUUUAUUUGCCCGUUGCAACGCACGGGCAUUUGUACUAGUAAAUAUCAAUUGAAGGAAUAUCAUUCUGCAAAGGCAGAUUCUUGAAUAGGAUUGUUUCACAACUGCAUCCAUCAAUUUUAAAGUUUACUAUCUAAUAUGAUGCUAGAUAGAUAAAGCCUCAAUUAAGUAUAACAUUGUGUUUGUUGGUUAAGUUAGGAGCACUUACUAAUGUACUAAAAGAGAAAUAUAUAUUAUAUAUGGUUUGAGUACCAUUGUAGUAGUGGUGCAUAUACAUACGCGCACCACCUACUAUAUAUCGAAAUAAUUCAUACUCGCUUUCUCCCUUAUAUAUAUAGUAGGUGGUGUCAAAUUCUUGCUAAUUUGACAUGAAGGCUUCAUUCAGACCAGUGAUGAUACUUUGCGCAACAUAAAUGGGAAAGUAGAGGCACUCUUCCAUAUAAUGAAGUUUAUAAUAUAUGUGUUUAUAUUGUACUAUAAUUGUUUGAAUAACUUACCAUAUGUUCAGAUGUAUGAUAUCUGUAAUUUAAGCGCUUGAAUUUUACAUAUAAAUAUAAUUUUAUUAAUAAAUAUGUACCCAUAUAAUAGCUAGGCCGUGUAGUUGCACGGGUAGAUGACUAGUGAUUACAAUCUUGUUUGUGAGCAAGUCAAGAUUAUCUAGUUUACACGUAACAACUUGUAGAACAUUACAAAAAUUAUGCUUGCUAAUAACUUCUAGAACACUACAACACUUGACAUGUAAAAGGAAUUUGAUGAGUCAUGGCCUACUAAAGCAAGUUACAUUACUACUCUUAUCUAUCUUAACAGACCACACAAGAUUACAAACUAAGUACCGUGACAGCCAUGCUUAUCUAAUUUAUGCGUAACAAUUUGCGGAAAAUUACAAAUUUAGUUUUAGAAAAAUAGGCAAUCUAGAUUAGUGUUUGAGCUGUAAUGUGAAUAAGAUGAGUCGUGCGUCUUGUCACACCUUUUUGGUGGUGGAAUGAUAGUGCAACAACAAGGAACUUUAAUGACCAGUCCAAGAAUACACUUGUAAGUAGUGCCACCAAACAGAACAUACCAAAUUAUGAUUUUGAGAAGAAUCCAAGCACUUUCCACACAAGCAAAUGCCAAUUGUGAAAGAGAUCAUUCCAUGGCAGCUAUAAAUAGCCCCAUAGCAUGACGCUCAUCCUUCCUCAUCCAUCAUUCUCAUAAGUAGAGUGCAUCAUUUAAGCCAAGCAAGCUGUGGUCAAUACAAAUCCACCAUGAAGACCUUUCUCAUCCUUUCCCUCCUUGCUAUCGUGGCAACCACCGCCACAACUGCAUUUAGAAUUCUAGUGCCACAAUUGCAGCCACAAAAUCCAUCUUAGCAACAACCACAAGAGCAAGUUCCAUUGGUACAACAACAGCAAUUUCUAGGGCAGCAACAACCAUUUCCACCACAACAACCAUAUCCACAGCCGCAACCAUUUCCAUCACAACAACCAUAUCUGCAGCUGCAACCAUUUCCGCAGCCGCAACCACCAUAUUCGCAGCCGCAACCAUUUCGACCACAAUAACCAUAUCUCCACAACCGCAACCACAGUAUUCGCAACCACAAUAACCAAUUUCGCAGCAGCAACAACAACAACAACAACAACAACAACAACAAAUCCUUCAACAAAUUUUGCAACAACAACUGAUUCCAUGCAUGGAUGUUGUAUUGCAGCAACACAACAUAGCGCAUGGAAGAUCACAAGUUUUGCAACAAAGUAGUUACCAGCUGUUGCAAGAAUUGUGUUUUCAGCACCUAUGACAGAUCCCUGAGCAGUCGCAGUGCCAAGCCAUCCACAAUGUUGUCCAUGCUAUUAUUCUGCAUCAACAACAAAAACAACAACAACAACAACAACAAAAACAACAACCAUCGAGCCAGGUCUCCUUCCAACAGCCCCAGCAACAAUAUCCAUCAGGCCAGGGCUCCUUCCGGCCAUCUCUGCAAAAUCCACAGGCCCAGGGCUCGGUCCAGCCUCAACAGCUGCCCAGUUCGAGGAAAUAAGGAACCUAGCGCUACAGACGCUACCUGCAAUGUGCAAUCUCUACAUCCCUCCAUAUUGCACCAUCGCGCCAUUUGGCAUCUUCGGUACUAACUGAGAAGAAAAUAACUCUAGUACUAGAUAUAUGAAACACCGUUUUCUUAGUCCAUGGUUUGGUCAUUGUAGCGGUGAAAAAAUAAAGUGACAUGCACUACCAUGUAAGAACUCGAACUAUACUAGUUCAAACUUGGGAAUAAAAGACAAACACAGGUCUUGUCUACAUAUUUAUGUUGCAUUUAUCUAAAGAUAACAAAAUGAGUCUAAAAUUUGAAUUAAAUUGAAGUAUUUUCUUGGACUUUCAAAUUGAGUAUUAUUAACGUAGUAAGGACUAUCCUCAUCCUUGGCCUGCCCCUAAUCAAUUAUUUCCAGAGAAGCAUUCAAUUCAUCAAUCAAUUACAUUGAUUUUUGUGGCUGGUACUUCUCCUCAACAUCAGUAUAUUCACCGUGGCUACUCCAAAUCGGCAAGAAUGAGGUACCGGUGCUCUGGAGCAGUGCCAACUAAUUGCUUCUCAUGUGAAGGGGUGCGGGCGCGGGAGAGGUAUUUCUGGUGGGCCAAGGGAGUAAGAAGCCACCGUGGGAGUGGUACAGACGCCCGUAAAGCCCCAUAGUUUCUUUUUGGUUUACAGGAAAAUGCACAUCCAUACCGGCCUGGGGAGUAUAGGACCGUAUUGGAUGGAAAACCAUGUCCGGAUGGUUGCGAGCGGUUUGAGGGUUAGCUUUUGUAACGCCCGGUUAGUUAUGCUAUAGCAAUUCCCUGCUAAUGAUGUCACGUCACCAAGAUUACUGUUGUUAUCCUCACAAUGAUUCAAUGCCAUUCUAAUUCAAAUUUAAAAUAAAGGCAAGCAUCAAAAGUUUUCAAACAUUAAAACUAAAAUCUUUGAGAGGUAACAAAUAAUGCAUAAGUAAUUAUGGUGGAGAAACCACACUUUAAUAAAAUGUUUAAAUACUCUAAAAUGAAAAAAACAGUGGCUUAAACUAUUAUUUAAAUGCUUUUAAAAUAGUAAAAAUGUUCUAACUAAAUUAAUUGGGUACCAACCUUUUGGUGGCAGUGGUAUAUUUAGUAGAACUAAUUUAGAUGCUAGUUAUAUGAUUUAGAAAAUUAGGGUCAAUUGAAAAAUAGGAUAAAACAGAGAAGGAAAGACAAAACAAAUAAAAGCAAAAGGGGGCAACCCCUCACUGGCCUUGGCCUAGCUGGCCACUGGGCUAGCUAGGUCGGCCCCGCCGCCUCCCUUAACCCCCUGUCGGUGUCGAAACCGGUGGAUGGUACCAUGAGUAGAUCUACCACGAGAUCGGAGAGGCUAAACCCUAGAGGCUAGCCUAUGAUAUGAUUGUAUGUGUCCUACGGACUAAAACCCUCCGGUUUAUAUAGACACCGGAGAGGGUUAGGGUUACACAAGGUCGGUUACAAAGGAGGAGAUAUCCAUAUCCGUAUUGCCUAGCUUGCCUGCCACGCCAAGUAGAGUCCCAUCCGGACACGGGACGAAGUCUUCAAUCUUGUAUCUUCAUAGUGCAACAGUCCGAAAAAGGAUAUAGUCCGGCUGUCCGGAGACCCCCUAAUCCAGGACUCCCUCAGUAGCCCCUGAACCAGGCUUCAAUGACGAUGAGUCUGGCGCGCAGUAUUGUCUUCGACAUUGCAAGGCGGGUUCCUCCUCCGAAUGCAUCACAGAAGAAUUUGAAUACGAGGAUAGUGUCCGACCCUGCAACAUAAGUUCCACAUAAUUCCAUACAGAGAAUAAUAUUUUCGCAAAUCUAAUUUGCUUACUUGUUUUGACAGUACGACAUUAUGUCAUGGCCCGGUGAUUAUUCGAACCGUUUCCUUUAACUAGCCCCGCACAUAACGCGAGGCAGUUUUUCGACAUGUCUUGUCAAAGCAGAGAUCGUGUCCCCUUAUUACUGGAUUCUCAUCAAUACGGGCGUGGGUAACCCAACCGCGCCAUCGAUUGCGGCACUUGGGGGAUGAGCUAUUUUUACCUGGCAAGUGGGGACGCUUAGUUUCGUCCGCCCAUAUAAAGGGAUAAGGAUUCACCUUUCUAUCCAUGCCUUCUUCCUCCUUUGCUCAUCCGUUUUUGCACACUCGAGCUCUAGCGCCCAAGUUCGCACUUCCCACCUCAACCUUCUCCAACCAUGUCCCGAGCGGGAGGCAGGUGGAUGGUAUCCUCCGUCACGGAUGGAGACAUCAAGAAGCUGAGGAGCGCCGGAUACCUGCCUGACGACAUCGCGCACCGGCUCCCAGAUGAGGGGCAGCUCACCCCCACCCCCAGGCCCCAUGAGAGGGUAGUGUUCCUCACCCAUUUCCUCCGCGGACUGGGAUUCCCUCUCCACCCAUUUGUCCCGGGGCUCAUGUUCUAUUACGACCUGGAUUUCCAUGAUCUGGCCCCGAACUUCAUCCUCAACAUCUCGGCGUUUAUCGUUGUGUGCGUGGCCUUCCUCCGCAUCAAGCCCCACUUCGGCUUAUGGUUGAAGACCUUUAAUGUCAAGCCGAAGGUUGUGGGCGACCGCCAGGCGGAGUGCGGAGGCGCCAUGGUGGGCAAGAUGCCCAACGUAACAUGGCUCGAGGGCUCUUUUGUGGAAACCAUAAAGGGGUGGCAAUCGGGUGGUUCUACAUCACCGAGCCGCGUGACCCUGCAUGGGCAGCGGCCCCCCGAGUUCUGAUCUGGCAUCCCCACGCGGCUCACCUCCUGGAAAGAGAAGGGCCUGUCCUGGGGUAGUUUGGAAGAGCUGACCAGACUCCAAACAUGUAUUCAAAACAUGGUGAACAAGAAGCUCAAACUCGUCAACGUGGUCCAGGUCAUGCUCCACCGCCGGAUCCUCCCGUGCCAAUAACGGGAGUUCAACUUGUGGGAGUACAACCCAGCGCAGCACCGAACUCUGAACAGGCUUUUCGACACAACUCACGAAGAUGCCUCGAGGGUGCUGUUCAAAAUCACCAAGGUCCCCCUCCCAUUACUGAGGAUCACGGAUUCAGCGUGAAGCGCCAAGCCAGUGCGGCAGGCUGCUUUACCUUUCACAGGCUACUUAUUUUUUAUAGAUUGACUCCAUGCGGGAUCUAAACUCCCGUACCUUUGACAGGACUGGCAGGAGAUGGCCGGACAGAUCGACUGUCCGGCUCCUAUGCCCGAAGGCCCAGCAGACGCUCUUCUAGCGAAGAUGCUGACUUCGGCUCCUUAUACGGUGCCGGAGAAGACCAAGAAGGACAAGGGAACCCGAAAGAGUUCCCGACGCCAGGCGUCGUCGGACUCACCGUCCGAUGACUCUGCGGCGCACUCCUCCCCCGAAGACGAGGAAGAGGAAGAAGACGCUCCCUCUCUGGCUGGGGGAGAUAAGAAAAGGAAGGCCGCCCCAACUGGGGGGGCGGAAGGGUCCAAGAAGGGAAGGAAUCUCCUUCCGGAUAGUUGCACCGCUGCCGACGAAGGCGAAGACGAGGGGUUGCCCAGGGCCAAGCCCCUGGGGAGAUCGUAAGUAUUCAGAUACCAGAGUAACUCAUAGCAUUCCUUUGUCGCACUGCUUUCCCUAACGUCAAACAUAAUUAUGCAGGUCGCCAUGAGCCAGUAUCGAUGUGUGACGCCCGGAUAAUCAUGCUACAGUAAUCCCACGCUAAUCAUGCCACGUCACCUCGGUUACUGUUGCUAAUCUAUCGUUAGGUCAAAGCUGGUCCAAAAUUCAAAUUCAAAGUUUGGUAAAUAAUAACAGUUUUCAAAAAUUAAAACAAAAAUGUUCGGUGAUUGCCGAAUAAUGCAUAGGUAAUUAUGGUGGAGAAACCACACUUUUAUAAAAUGUUUAAAUAAUCUAAAAUGAAUAAAACAGUAGAAAAACCAAAUCUAAAUGCUUUUAUAAAUAAAUAAAACACUAAACUAAAUUGUUUUGGGAUAAAGCCUUUUGUGGCAGUGGGUUUCGUGGUAUUACAAUUUUAGAGUUCAUUUUAAUACUAAGUAAGAAGUAUAAUUAAGAGAAACUAAAAUAAAGAACAGAAAAAAAAGAAUAAAUAAAAGGAAAAGAAAACACAAAACAGAAAAGAAAACUACCAAAAAAAUAUGGUAAAAGGAGACCCCCCCCACUGGACCCCUUGGCCCAACUGGGCCAUGGCCCAGCCGGCCACCCCCNNNNNNNNNNNNNNNNNNNNNNNNNNNNNNNNNNNNNNNNNNNNNNNNNNNNNNNNNNNNNNNNNNNNNNNNNNNNNNNNNNNNNNNNNNNNNNNNNNNNNNNNNNNNNNNNNNNNNNNNNNNNNNNNNNNNNNNNNNNNNNNNNNNNNNNNNNNNNNNNNNNNNNNNNNNNNNNNNNNNNNNNNNNNNNNNNNNNNNNNNNNNNNNNNNNNNNNNNNNNNNNNNNNNNNNNNNNNNNNNNNNNNNNNNNNNNNNNNNNNNNNNNNNNNNNNNNNNNNNNNNNNNNNNNNNNNNNNNNNNNNNNNNNNNNNNNNNNNNNNNNNNNNNNNNNNNNNNNNNNNNNNNNNNNNNNNNNNNNNNNNNNNNNNNNNNNNNNNNNNNNNNNNNNNNNNNNNNNNNNNNNNNNNNNNNNNNNNNNNNNNNNNNNNNNNNNNNNNNNNNNNNNNNNNNNNNNNNNNNNNNNNNNNNNNNNNNNNNNNNNNNNNNNNNNNNNNNNNNNNNNNNNNNNNNNNNNNNNNNNNNNNNNNNNNNNNNNNNNNNNNNNNNNNNNNNNNNNNNNNNNNNNNNNNNNNNNNNNNNNNNNNNNNNNNNNNNNNNNNNNNNNNNNNNNNNNNNNNNNNNNNNNNNNNNNNNNNNNNNNNNNNNNNNNNNNNNNNNNNNNNNNNNNNNNNNNNNNNNNNNNNNNNNNNNNNNNNNNNNNNNNNNNNNNNNNNNNNNNNNNNNNNNNNNNNNNNNNNNNNNNNNNNNNNNNNNNNNNNNNNNNNNNNNNNNNNNNNNNNNNNNNNNNNNNNNNNNNNNNNNNNNNNNNNNNNNNNNNNNNNNNNNNNNNNNNNNNNNNNNNNNNNNNNNNNNNNNNNNNNNNNNNNNNNNNNNNNNNNNNNNNNNNNNNNNNNNNNNNNNNNNNNNNNNNNNNNNNNNNNNNNNNNNNNNNNNNNNNNNNNNNNNNNNNNNNNNNNNNNNNNNNNNNNNNNNNGCCCCUCGGCGCCCGCUCGGCCCUCUCCUGGGUCGGGCGCCCGUAACGCCCAGCGCCCGUAACCCGCUAUGGCCCCCUGGGCAGUUGACAGAUGGGGCCCACGCCCCUGUCUUGUUAGAAAAAAAAACGAAAAGAAAAUGUAAUUAAAAAAAUGAAAAUAAGUAAUUAGUUAUUUAAUUAAUUAUGUAACUAAUUAAUUAAUUAAAUAAGUAAUUACUUAACUUAAUUAACUCCGUUUAGUACUUAAUUAACUUGAUUAGUUAAUUAAAAUUGUUAAUUAGUUGUUAGACUAUGACGAAUGGGACCCACACGUCAGUUUGACCCAGUCAACGCCCUGUUGACUGCUGACGUCAUGCUGACGUCAGCGUACACUAUUCUGGAUAAUGUUAAUUUAAUUAAUAAUUAAUAAAUUAGAAAAUGAUUUAAAAAUUUAAAAAUUAAUAUAAAUUAAACCGUAGCUCAGAUGAAAAAACUUUGUACAUGAAAGUUGCUCAGAACGACGAGACAAAUCUGGAUACACGGCCUGUUUGUUCGUCACGCAUCCCUAGCAUAGCAAACUCGCAACUUUCCCCUCCGGCUCCUCUGCCCGAAAACGCAAAACACCGGGGAUACUUUCCCGGAUGUCAUCCCCCUUCACCGGUAUCACCUAUUACCGCGUUAGGGCACCUCUAACGCCGUUACUUGUCAUGUCAUGCAUCACUAUGCAUAUGCUUGCUUAAAUAUUUAUUAUUUCUUCCCCCUCUUCUCUCGAUAGACACCGAGACCGACGCCGCUGCUACCCAGUACGACUACGCUGUUGACGACCCUCUUUCUUGCCAGAGCAACCAGGCAAGCGCCCCCCUUGAUCACCAGAUAUCGCCUACUCUCUUCUAUACUGCUUGCAUUAGAGUAGUGUAGCAUGUUACUGCUUUCCGUUAUUCCUAUCCUGAUGCAUAGCCUGUCCUUGCUACUACUGUUGUUACCAUUACCUGCUAUCCUACUGCUUAGUAUAGGAUGCUAGUGUUCCAUCAGUGGCCCUACACUCUUGUCCGUCUGCCAUGCUAUACUACUGGGCCGUGAUCACUUCGGGAGGUGAUCAUGGGCAUAUGCUAUAUACUUUACACAGUUACUUUACCUGUGGUACUGUUCGGAGAUGGGGGCUGAAGGGGCAGGUGGUUCCACCCAGGUAGUGGUGGGCCUGGGUUCCCGACGGCCCCCGACUGUUACUUUGUGGCGGAGCGACAGGGCAGGUUCAGACCACCUAGGAGAGAGGUGGGCCUGGCCCUGGUCGGCGUCCGCGGAUACUUAACACACUUAACGAGAUCUGGGUAUUUGAUCUGAGUCUGGCCAUUUGGUCUAUACGCACUAACCAUCUACGCGGGAGUAGUUAUGGGUAUCCCGACGUCGUGGUAUCAGCCGAAGCCUUCGUGACAUCAGCGACUAAGUGGCGCGUGCCGGAUUGGACCGUAAGCCUGCUCUUGUAUUAAGGGGGCUAGUUCUGCUUCCGGCCGCGUUCGCAACGUGCAGGUGUGCAAAGGGCGAUGGGCCCAGACCCCUGCGCCAUAGGAUUUAGACCAGCGUGCUGACCUCUCUGUUGGGCCUAGGUAGGGCUGCGACGUGUUGAUCUUCCGAGGCCGGGCAUGACCCAGAAAAGUGUGUCCGGCCAAAUGGGAUCGAGCGUGUUGGGGUAUGUGGUGCACCCCUGCAGGGAAGUUUAUCUAUUCGAAUAGCCGUGUCCCUCGGUAAAAGGACGACCCGGAGUUGUACUUUGACCUUAUGAUAACUAGAACCGGAUACUUAAUAAAACACACCCUUCCAAGUGCCAGAUACAACCGGUGAUCGCUCUCUCACAGGGCGACGAGGGGAGGAUCAUCGGUUAGGAUUAUGCUAUGCGAUGCUACUUGGAGGACUUCAGUCUACUCUCUUCUACAUGCUGCAAGACGGAGGUUACCAGAAGCGUAGUCUUCGAAAGGACUAGCUAUCCCCCUCUUAUUCCGGCAUUCUGCAGUUCAGUCCACAUAUGAUAGCCUUAUUCCAAUUGAUACCAAUGCAUACAUAUGUAGUGUAGCUCCUUGCUUGCGAGUACUUUGGAUGAGUACUCACGGUUGCUUUCUCCCUCUUUCCCCCCUAUCCCUUCUACCUGGUUGUCGCGACCAGAUGUUGGAGCUCAGGAGCCAGACGCCACCGUUGACGACGACUCCUACUACACCGGUGGUGCCUACUACUACGUGCUGUCCGCUGACGACGACCAGGAGUAGUUUAGGAGGAUCCCAGGCAAGAGGCCUGCGCCUCUUUCGAUCUAUAGCUCAGUUUGUGCUAGCCUUCUUAAGGCAAACUUGUUUAACUUAUGUCUGUACUCAGAUAUUGUUGCUUCCGCUGACUCGUCUAUGAUCGAGCUCUUGUAUUCGAGCCCUCGAGGUCCCUGGCUUGUAAUAUGAUGCUUGUAUGACUUAUUUUAUUUGUAGAGUUGUGUUGUGAUAUCUUUCUGUGAGUCCCUGAUCUUGAUCGUACACGUUUGCGUGUAUGAUUAGUGUACGGUCAAAUCGGGGGCGUCACACGAUGUAUCAUCGGACGGUUCCCUAGGCUCGUCGGACAUGGAUAGCGAUCCAGUCCCGACCCCCACCUCCCCUCAUCCUGCUGACGACGCCGAGGUGCUGUCUCAAGAGGCAUCGGGUCGAGGGGAGACAGUCCUGGAGGCACCUCAAGGCGACCUUCCGGACUCCGGGAGCCGAGGGGACGGGGCCCCUAAGAGCUUCGAGUUCGGCCCUCAGCCGAACACCGCGCUGGAACCUCCAGUGGUUCCGGGCUCGGUCAGGCGGCCUCCUUCUAAGAGGGGCAAGACACCUGUGCCGGUGACCUCUGUCUAUCCAGAGGCGCCGGACAAUCUGCUGGAAGCGCUUCGCAGCGCUUCCAUCGACGAGGAGCACCGCACUAUCAUGAGUGCGGCGAUCCAGAAAGUUUAGUCCGCCAAGAGCGGAUUGACUGAAGCCUGUGCCAGCCUUCUAACAGGCUUUGAGGUAAGUGUUUUAAAAUAUAGGAAAAAUACUACUGCAUAUAUAGUAGCCCCUGAUGCUUUGUUCGGUGUUCAGAAAGAAAAGCCGAACAGAGGAUCAAAUAAUAUCGCAGGACUCUAAUAUAAGUAUGUCAAUAUGCGUAUGCAAGCCUCACUGCUGGCAUCCGCCACACUGACUGCGGAGGUCGCCCUACUGAAGCAGGACCUCGAGAGGUCUAGGAGAGAGCUCGGCCUUGUCAAGAGGCAGCUCGAGGAGAACAAGGGUAAGUAAUACCUUGUCUUUAGAUAUGUAUAUAUAAAAGAAGAAGCGAUUGCAAAAUGACAGGAUCAUCGUACAUUCGCCAGGGGCCACGACCAAGGUGGCAACCCUCAAGCAAGCGCUAACCAAGGCCGAAGAUAACGCGGCCAAGGAGCGCACCGAGUGAGAGAAGCACGAGGCUCGGGUGGGCGAGGUGCAGCAAGAGCUCUAGGCUAUCAUGGUGAAGCACGAGGCAUUGGAGCUUGACUAAAAGACGCGAGAGUCUGAGCUUUCCGCGGCCCUCGAGAGCGCAAAAAGUGCCAAGGCCGAAGCCCAAAGGGGUCUCCAGGCGGGUAUGGCUUUCUAUAUGCAAAGCAAGCAUGUAAAAGUAAAUUACCGAUUACUUACUCGAAUCCGGAGCUCUCCAGGAGCAUUCGCAGAUUUUCCACGCAGCGUGUCCGAUGCCGCACAAUUUUACCAGGCCGAGGAUGGAAGCUCAAUGGAGAAGCUGUUCUGGUAUCAGUAUGCUGAGGCCGGACACCCGGUGCCAAUGAGCGACCAGCUGAAGCAGGUGGUCGAGCUACAUAAGGCGGCCGAUCAGGCCAUGAAGGGCUUUAUAGUCCGGCUGUGGCCUGGCGACGCCCUUCCGAACAGCUUCCUCGGCCUGGUGAGGCGGCUUGUGGAUGCCUGCCCGCGGCUGGAGGUCGUCAAGCGAUCUGUCUACAUUGAGGGUGCACGCCGGGCUUUCGCCCGUGUGAAAUUGCAGUGGGUCAAGCUAGACGCCGUGAAGCUGAUCAAGGAGGGGCCGCCGGAGGGCAAGGAGCACCGCCACCCCGAGAUGUACUACGAGGGUGUUCUGCUGGGUGCCCGUCUCAUAGCGGACGAGUGUUCAAAAGAUGUAAUAUUUGAGUGAGACUUGCUCGUUUUAUCCUGUAUUUAUGAAAACUUGUUUCAUAUGCACUAUGCAACGCUUGUUUGAAUUUAGAAUAUUACCUUCUGUUUGGCCGUUUAUCAAUCUGAGAGAUGGCUAGUCCUCAGCUUCUGCCCCCAUGCCACGAGUGCUGGGGUCUUCGGGAUAAACCUGAGCACUCUUGUUCCCAUAUUUGGGUCCUUGGAGGGAGGUGCUCAGCACAACGAACAAGGAAACCCGACUAAUAAUGCUUUAUCACUCUCACUUAGCGAUAGAAUUCUAUAAUUUUAAAUUUCGGCGAAGCCCCUGGUAUUCGGAAGGCCGAAUUCGGGGCGCGAUACACGCCUUUAAGCCGGACAGGGCCGGCCCCUCGCCCUAAGCGGCAUAAGUCUUUGGGGACUCGAUAACCUCGCCGAACAGCGAUCAGUCUCUCCCCUUAUCAUGACAGUCAGUUUUAGCUUUCUCUACUUAGGUGCCGAACCCAGCAAAACCGGGGCACAAUCGCAGUAGUUCUCCUAGCGCUACCUUAGCCGAUAGAGUGGAACGUAAGGUACCAAAACAUAGGAGCCGGGCAAACCCAACAUUUGACCAAAGACAUGAUUCGGAGCUGAUGCAUAUAAUGCUAUAAGUUUGGGGUGCCGCACUUGUGAAAGUGUUCGGACUUUUCACACCGUAUUGUGGGGUACGUAAGCCCCUGGUGUAUUGGCCGUACCAAAGUGUACGGUUGCAAGGCAUCAUUAAUGAACAUAUAUAUAUAUAUAUAUAUAUAUAUAUAACAAGAGUGCAAUAAUAGUCGUAAUGUCAUGCAUUGUUUAUUCAAAAAAUUACGUUAAAGUAGGGUGAUACAGAUAGUGUGAUAAGCAAAGAGUAGGACUAUGUCCCUUCCCAAGGCAAGCUAAGGAAUGAUAUUAAAUUGAAUAUUUCGCUCGUUACAGUAAUCCACCUAGGAAUUCCGUGGUGUGACGUAGCUAUCUGCCUCCUUGGUUGCUGCAUCGUGUGUUCGGCAAUAGUGCUGCCGGACAGUGUUUCCAGAGGUUAAUGUCCUGAAAAAAAGAGAAAAAUAACCAAACGGGAAGCCCCUAGUGCGGUUUAAGCCGCGUCUUGGGGCGUGCUGCAGUUGUGCCACCCUCCCCACCUGUGCCCAUGGUAUUUUUAAUGCGUAAUUAUGUACGCGUGGCAUGAGUUUCGUCGUUGGGCUGGGAUUGGGGUGGCCGCCUUAUUGCUACGCGAGCUCAGAUCGCGCAAGGCGGUCUAUUUGCCGAUUGCUCCGAGCGCGCUUGAAGGUGUCCGGGCUUUGAAGCGCCGGACUGGUUGAUUGCCUUGAGAGGCUGCUUUGCGCUUCUGCUGCGAGGGCCGCGGUGUGCUCCUCUGUUCGGAGAGAGCACUCUGUGUUUCCAUUGACUGUAAUAACUCCGCGAGGUCCUGACAUCUUGAGCUUGAGGUAUGCAUAGUGCGGUACCGCAUUGAAUCUAGCAAAUGCGGUUCGCUCGAGCAGCGCGUGGUAACCACUGCGGAAUGGGACUAUAUCGAAGAUUAGCUCUUCGCUUCGGAAGUUAUCCGGGGAUCCGAAGACCACUUCCAGUGUAAUUGAGCCUGUGCAAUGGGCCUCUACACCUGGAAUGAGGCCUUUAAAGGUCGUUUUUGUGGGUUUGAUCCUUGAGGGGUCUAUACCCAUUUUGCGCACUAUAUCCUGAUAAAGUAGGUUCAGGCUGCUGCCGCCAUCCAUAAGGACUCGAGUGAGGUGAAAUCCGUCAAUGAUUGGGUCUAGGACUAGUGCGGAAAAUCUACCAUGAUGGAUACUAGUGGGGUGGUCCCUUCGAUCGAAGGUGAUCGGAUAGGAGGACCAAGGGUUGAACUUUGGGGUGACUGGCUCGAACGCAUAUACGUCCAUGAGCGCACGCUUCCGCUCCCUCUUAGGGAUGUGGGUUGCGUAUAUCAUGUUCACCGUCUGCAGUUGCGGGGGAAACCUCUUCUGUCCUUCGAUGUGCGGCUGCCGGGGCUCCUCCUCGUCAUCGCUAUGCGGCCCCUUGUCCUUCUUUUCGGCAAUUAACUUGCGGGCCUGCUUGAACACCCAACAAUCCCUGUUGGUGUGAUUGGCUGGCUUGUCUAGGGUGCCGUGUAUUUGACACGAGCGAUCGAGUAUACGUUCCAAGCUGGAUGGACCUGGCGUACUUUGUUUGAAUGGCUUUUUCCGCUGACCGGGUUUAGAGCCUUUGAAUCCGGCAUUGACUGCCGUAUCCUCGGUAUUUUCGCUGUUAAUGCGGCGGUUAUGUUUGUUGUGACAUGACCUGCUAUUGCCAUCCUUGGUAUCGGAGGUACCAUGGUUCUUUGAUAUGUUAUUACUACGGGCCAGCCAGCUGUCUUCUCCCGCACAAAAGCGGGUCAUGAGCGUCGUGAGAGCUGCCAUAGAUUUCGGCUUUUCCUGACCAAGGUGCCAGGCUAGCCACUCGUCUCGGAUGUUGUGUCUGAAAGCCGCUAAGGCCUCUGCAUCCGGACAGUCGACGAUUUGAUUUUUCUUUGUGAGGAACCAAGUCCAGAAUUGCCUAGCCGACUCUUCUGGCUGCUGAAUUAUGUGGCUCAAGUCAUCGGCGUCUAGUGGUCGCACAUAAGUGCCCUGAAAGUUGUUGAGGAAUGCGGCUUCCAGAUCUUCCCAACAGCUAAUGGAGUCCGCUGGCAAGCUGUUAAGCCAAUGCCGCGCUGGUCCUUUGAGCUUUAGUGGAAGAUAUUUGAUGGCGUGUAAGUCAUCACCGUGGGCCAUGUGGAUGUGGAGGAGGAAAUCCUCGAUCGAUACUGCAGGAUCUGUUGUGCCGUCGUAUGAUUCAAUAUUUACAGGUUUGAAACCUUCUGGGAAUUGAUGAUCCAUUACUUCGUCUCUGAAGCAUAAGGGGUGUGCGGCGCCUCUGUAGUGGGCUAUAUCGCGACGCAGCUCGAAUGGGUCUUGCCCGCUGUGUUCGGCCCGGCCGGAUUUGCUUUUACUGUAUCCGGCGUGACAUUUAUCGUCUCGCAGAGUUGUGCGCCCUCGUGAUCCGUAGAUCGAUCUUGCAUGCUUUGCUUUGUCCUCCAAUAUAUCUCGCAGGUCUGGCGUAUCUCCCCAUGCCUUUUUAUUUGAAUGGCGUCGGGGUGGAGGCUGAGUUUUUGGCUGGACUGCCUCUCUAUCGCGGCCACGAGGUGGCCGAUCCGGGCAGUAACCUGCACUUUGGGUAAUUCUUGGAGGGGUGCUUGAGUUUAUAUUCCUCGGCCGCGAGGACUUCAGUCCAUCUGUUAGUUAAGAGAUCUUGAUCAGCUUGAAGCUGCUGCUGCUUUUUCUUUAGGCUAUUUUCCGUGGCCAUAAGCCGGUGCUUGAAGCGCUCUUGUUCGAUGGGAUCCUCUGGUACAUCGAAUUCAUCAUCGCCGAGGCUUGCCUCGUCUUCGGAGGCGGGCGUGUAAUUGUCAUCCUCCUCCUCUCCGUCUGCCGCUCUUUCAGGAGGGUUGGCUCCUCCAUCCUCCUGCUCUAAAUCUUGCUGGAGGGGAUUAUUGUUGUCUUCGGCACUAUCCGGAGUGUUAUUAUCUCCUGUGCCGGUAUCACCACUUUUGCUUUGGCGGGACUUAGAGCGGCGCCGCUGACAUCGGCGCUUGGGUUGCUUCUUGGAGAGGUCAUCCUCCGUUAUCUCGUCGCCAUUGCCUUCUUUGGGUGUAUCCACCAUGUAUAUGUCGUAUGAUGAUGUGGCUUUCGAGUGCCCUAUGGGCGCUGGUUCAUGUUCAUCUCCUACAUCGUCGUCCAUACCAUCGAUGUCUUCGGAGUCGAAGUCGAGCAUGUCGGUUAAAUUAUCGACAGUGGCUACGAAGUGGGUGGUGGGUGGGCAUCGAAUUUCUUCGUCGUCCGCCUCCCAAUCCUGUUGGCCAUAGUCCGGCCAGGGCUCUCCUGACAAAGAGAGAGACUUUAGUGAAUUCAGAAUGUCACCGAAGGACGAGUGCUGCAAGAUAUCAGCGGCGGCGAAUUCCAUGAUCGGCGCCCAGUCGGAUUCAAUUGGCAGGGGCGCGGACGGUUCGGAGUCCGGAAAAGAGUCCGGCACCUUGGAGUCACGGGCUUUGCAGAGGAUUAGGCUGGUGUUCAACUCGAUCACCGUUGAGACUGCAGCCCCUGAGGCGGUGUCUAGCCACCCGUCCUCGACUGGCGCAGUUGGCUCCGAGCUAAGGGUCAGAGCUGAUGCGGGCGCGGCCUCUGGGGUACUGUCCGGUGGUAGAGCUAGGUCAUACCCAUCGUGACAGUGCAGCGCGCCCGGCUGUGGCUUGAAUCCGUCGAAGAUCAAGUCUCCGAGGAUGUCGGCCGUGUAGUUCAAACUUCCAAAUCUGACCUGAUGGCCAGGGGUGUAGCUUUCAAUCUGCUCCAGAUGGCCAAGCGAAUUAGCCCGUAGUGCAAAGCCGCCGAACACUGGACCGCAUCGUUGUUCAUGAUCGGAGGAGCCAUCGGGCCUAAAGGUGACGACACCGAGGAAAUCUCAAUGGAAGCACCAAUGUCGGUGUCAAAUCCGGCGGAUCUCGGGUAGGGGGUCCCGAACUGUGCGUCUAGGCCGGAUGGUAACAGGAGGCAGGGGACACAAUGUUUUACCCAGGUUCGGGCCCUCUUGAUGGACGUAAAACCCUAUGUCCUUCUUGAUUAAUAUUGAUGAUAUGUGUAGUACAAGAGUAGAUCUACCACGAGAUCAGAGAGGCUAAACCCUAGAAGCUAGCCUAUGGUAUGAUUGUAUACGUCCUACGGACUAAAACCCUCCAGUUUAUAUAAACACCGGAGAGGGUUAGAGUUACACAAGGUCGGUUGCAAAGGAGGAGAUAUCCAUAUCCGUAUUGCCUAGCUUGCCUUCCACGCCAAGUAGAGUCCCAUCCGGACACGGGACGGAGUCUUCAAUCUUGUAUCUUUAUAGUCCAACAGUCCGGCUGUCCGGAGACCCCCUAAUCCAGGACUCCCUCACCCCCACUCCCUAUCGAACCCUAGCCCAAUCGCCCCACCUCCCCCACACCCCCUCGCCAGCCUCCCCACCUCUUGAUCCCAUCUGGAUCGGGGAGGGGAUCACCCCCAUCGACCCCGUCGCCGUCGCCGGAUCGCCCGUCAGCGUCGCCAGGCCUCCUCCCCGCCGCCCGUCUCCGGCUCGCCUCCCCUCUCGCUCCUCUUUCCCGACCCGAUCAGGAUCGUGAACGAGCAAUGAGCGCGACGCCCCCCCUUCAUCGGCGCCAUCACCGUGCGCCACCACCACCGCCUGAAGACCUCGCCGUCGCUGACCUUGUGUCGUCUCCUGGUAUCCCUUCCCGACUCGCGUCCUCAAGCCAGGCCGACCCCCUUCUCGGCAAUGCUGUGAGACGCCCCCCGUUUCCCUCCUCUUUCCACCGUGUUCACCGCGCCGCCUGACGAAGCUACGUACCUAGGGUAGGGGCAUGGACCUGUCCUAAGAGCCCUACCCAAGGACAUCCCUGGAAGAAGUCACCUUUCAAUCGACUUGAAGGUACCCACUCGACGGGUUUAAGACACUCGACCAAGAAGCUACCACUCGACAUGAAGCCAAUCACUCGACUGCCAGGAGAUCUAAAGUCAUUCCACGGGCAAACGGUCGGCUAUUAAGUAGUCUUUAUGGUCAUUAUAGCACUUUAUUACCAGCAUUACCAGUAACGCCCCGCCUUAAUGUACAUUGAACCCUUGGUAACGUAGGCUGGCCGGGGUCCUGGCGCGCUCUAUAUAAGUCACCCCCUCCUCCGAGACAAGGGUUCGCACCUCUAUUGUUCACAUGCCUAUAAUCCAAUCGACCGCCUCCGGGCACUGAGACGUAGGGCUGUUACUUCCUCCGCGAAGGGCCUGAACUCGUACACCUUGGUGUGUUUACAACUUCCCAAUAGCUGAGAUCUAGCCUCUCCAUACACACCCCCCUACAUCACUGUCAGAGUUAGAACCACAAUAGUUGGCGCCCACCGCGGGGCCAGAAUCUUAGCGCUUACUUGGAGAAGUUGCGAUUCUUCUGAUCCCUUUGAUCAUGGUUUCAUGCGGAGUUUUGGUGGAGGGGCGCGAGAUCCGUCUCGGCGCGCUCACAUUCAUCGCCGACGACUCCGCUUGGUUUCAGGAGGCUCCACUCGACAUCGACGUGCUCCCCGUCCGUGGUGCGACGCACUUCCGCGCAUGCGUUCGUGGCGUCCUCCUGCGGCAGCCGUCGACCCAGUAUCGGUCGGCCCUCGUGUCGUCUCCCCGCUCUGUCUCCCUCCGACGCAAGCGCUUUGGUAGGUCGAGACUUUAGAGGUGGGUGAGGCAUGCCGUGGCUCGCCAGUCGGCCGCCCCACAAGUCGCGGCAAUCGAGCCCGACAAAUCCCUCUGCAGCCUGUUCGACUGGCUCCGCGGAGACUUCAUCCGAGUGUGACAGCAGAGACCCAGCGGCUGAGGUUCUGGCGGUCGAUGGGACACACUGUCCUCCCGGUUUCCCUCGCGCUAAUGGAGGCGCGGGUGGGGGCGACCCGUCGCAUCCCCACGAUGAGUAUCUCCCCGAAUGUCUCACGGCAUCGCAGCGAGAGGAACUUCACCGCCGGAACAUAGACGCACUCCACACUCCUAUCGUCGGAGAAACCCCCGAGGCCCGGGCCUUGGAGGACGCGCGCUUGGCUAACUUGGCUGAGCGCACUCGACUGGAGAAUCUCCAGCUAAUACUCGAUGAGCAAGCGCGCCAGUGAGCUCCCGAGUCCAGUCGACGUCAGCUCUUUCCGCCGAUGCAGGUAUAUUGAACCCUAGUUCAGAAUUUGGCCGCCGCGGCCCGUAUAGCAGAGUCAAUUCAGCCCUCCCAGUCAGAGGCUGGCAGGGGCUUGUUGCAGAUCAGAGCAUUGCUCCGGGCGGCGGGGAACCAGAAUUCCGCUGUUUCUCAGUCGCAGAAUAGGAUCCACAGUCGAUCCGUUGCAACAGAUACAGUCCAGUCGGCUCACAGCCCGAGAUCGCCCCCGAGGCGUGAGGGACAUGGAGACCGGCACGAUCAGUACAGAAGAAAUGAGCAGUAUGAUCACCGAUUCGAUCGUGAGGAUCGACGUCGAGUGCCAACCCCUCCCCCGAGGAGUGGGUCAUAUGCGCCUCGAUAGCGAGAUGACAGGCGCCCUCAUAGUGUUGGGCAGAGGAUUCCAGUCGACCCCAGGGACCCAGGCUUUGAUGCGAGAUCCAUCCUUGAUCAAGGUCUGGUUGACAGGAACGGGGCUCACCGAGAAUGCCAGGACAGAGAUGCGCCUGCCAGCAGCAGAGUGCGUGUUUCAGGGACAGAGUGUUUCAGUCGAGCCAUCAGAGCCACAGUGAUUCCUCCCAACUUCAGGUUGGCGACUGGAGUCAGCUAGUUCACCGGUGAGUCUAAGCCUGACACUUGGCUCGAAGAUUACCGAGUGGCUGUACAGAUUGGCAGUGGCAAUGAUGAGGUGGACAUGAAGCAUUUGCCUCUCAUGUUAGAGGGCUCAGCCAGAGCAUGGCUAAAUCAGUUAGUGCCCAGCAGCAUUUACACUUGGGAGGACCUCUCCCGAGUGUUUGUCACAACCUUUGAGGGAACAUGCAAGCGACCUGCAGGCCUUACAGAGUUGCGGUCUUGCACGCAGAAACCGAAUGAAACGCUGAGGGAUUACAUCCAGAGGUGGAUCACAUUGCAUCACACAGUUGAGAAUGUUCCAGAUCAUCAAGCAGUUUGUGCCUUCAAAGAAGGCGUUAAGUACAGAGAAUUGAAUCUGAAGUUCGGUCGAACUGGAGAGAUGUCUCUGAAUCGGAUGAUGGAGAUUGCCACCAAAUACGCUAAUGGUGAAGACGAAGAUCGCCUCCGGAGUGGCAAGCGCAAGGCAGUCGCCCAAGAAACCGGAGGAAACUCCAGUCAGAAACAGAAGCGGAAGGCUGAGCCAGCCGCCCCUGGGGAGGCCCUGGCCGUAACCCAGGGAAAUUUCAAGGGAAAACCCAAGGGCCCCUGGAAGCCCAAGAAAGUCAAGGAUCAAGAUGGAAAUGAUGUUUUGGAUCUGCCAUGUCACUCCACACCAAGAAAGAUGAAGAGGGUAAUUUUAUUUACCCAAAGCAUACCACUCGACAGUGCCAGCUCCUGAUCCAGCAGUUUCAGGGCAAGCAACCCAAAGAUAAGGAAAAAGAGCCAGACAGAGUUGAGGACAAGGAUGAUAGUGACGAUGGAUACCCCCAAGUCAAUUCCACCCUGAUGAUUUUUGCUGAUGUCGAAAGCAAAAGUCGACUGAAAGUCAUUAAUCGUGAAGUGAAUAUGGUUGCUCCGGCAACACCUAGUUAUCUGAAGUGGUCUCAGGCUGCCAUAACAUUCGACCAGUCUGAUCACCCUACGCACAUUGCCACCCCUGGGAGGCAAGCUUUGGUGGUCGACCCAGUUGUCGAAGGCACUCGACUGACCAAAGUCCUGAUGGAUGGUGGCAGUGGCCUGAACAUACUGUAUGCUAAAACAUUGAAAGGGAUGGGCAUUCCGAUGUCCGGGCUCAGUACCAGCAACAUGAGCUUCCACGGAGUCAUUCCCGGGAAGUAAGCCGAAUCACUCGGCCAGAUUGCUCUUGAUGUGGUUUUCGGUGAUUCAAAGACUUACCGCAAGGAAAAGUUGACAUUCGAGGUUGUGGACUUCCAAAGUGCUUAUCAUGCCAUUUUGGGCAGACCAGCUUAUGCACGCUUCAUGGCCUGACCAUGUUAUGUGUAUCUCAAAUUGAAGAUGCCUGGUCCUAAAGGUGUGAUCACUGUUACAGGCAAUCGGAAGAAGGCAGAAGAGUGUUUUCAGAAAGGCUCAAAGAUUGCUGACGCUCAGAUGGCAGUGGUUGAGCUGCAAGAGUAUCAGAAGACUGCAGAUCCGAGUGAGUUGCUACGAGCUAAGAAGCCCACUUCGGAGUCAGCUUUUCAGUAGUCUGGUGAAAUGAAGGCAGUUCACAUUCACCCGACCAACCCCGAGGCUGCCCCGACUCACAUCUCAAAGACGCUCGACUCCAAAUAGGAAGAAGUGCUCAUCCAGUUCCUCCGUGAGAACUGGGACAUCUUCGCAUGGAAGCCUUCUGACAUGCCUGGAAUAACCAGGGGGCUGGCUGAGCACCGUCUACGAGUCGACCCAAAGUUCAAGCCUAUGAAAGAACAUCUUCGACGGUCCGCCGUCCAAAAGAGGAAAGCUAUUGGCGAGGAGGUGGCUCGGCUCUUAGCAGCAGAGUUCAUCCGAGAGAUGUACCACUCUGAGUGGCUCGCCAAUGUUGUCAUGGUCCCCAAGAAGGACAAGUCGCUUCGCAUAUGCAUCGACUUUAAACAUAUCAAUCGGGCCUGCCCGAAAGAUCAUUUUCCUCUCCCUCGCAUCGACCAAAUAGUCGACUUGACCGCGGGGUGUGAGCGAUUGUCUUUUCUAGACGGCUAUUCCGGGUACCAUCAGAUCCGUCUGUAUGGACCCGAUGAGAUCAAAACAGCUUUCAUCACUCCAUUCGGGUGCUUCCGUUAUGUCACCAUGCCCUUCGGCCUCAAGAACGCUGGAGCCACGUUCAUGAGGAUGAUUCAGAAGUGUUUGCUCACUCAAAUCAGUCGGAACGUGGAAGCAUACAUGGAUGAUAUUGUGGUCAAGUCGCGGAAAGGUUCCGACCUGCUGACUGACCUUGCUGCAACCUUUGCCAACCUUAGGAGGUAUGAUAUCAAGCUUAAUCCAUCAAACUGCACAUUCGGAGUUCCGGGUGGAAAGUUACUCGGUUUUCUCGUUUCCGAAUGAGGAAUCAACGCCAAUCCCGAGAAAGUUGGCACCAUACUCCGGAUGAAGCGCCCUGUGCGUGUGCACGAUGUCCAGAAGCUUAUGGGUUGCUUGGCCGCUCUAAGUCGAUUCAUUUCUCGUCUCAGUGAAAAGGCAUUGCCUCUUUACCGACUGAUGAAGAAGUCUGACAAGUUCGAGUGGACUCCAGAAGCUGAUGCAGCGUUUGCAGACCUCAAAGCUCUGCUCUCCACCCAGCCGGUGCUUGCUGCCCCAAUCAGUAAAGAGCCUUUGCUGCUUUACAUUGCAGCCACAGGACAAGUUGUCAGUACAGUACUUAUGGUCGAGCGGGAAGAUGAAGGAUAGGCCUUCAGAGUUCAACGCCCAGUAUAUUAUGUGUCUGAAGUUUUGACACCUUCAAAACAAAGAUAUCCUCAUUAUCAGAAGCUUGUAUACGGGAUUUAUAUGACCACGAAGAAGGUUGCACAUUACUUCUCUGACCACUCCAUUACAGUCGUCAGCGACGCCCCACUGUCAGAGAUUCUGCAUAACAGAGAUGCAACUGGUCGAGUGGCGAAGUGGGCGAUUGAACUCCUUCCCCUAGAUAUCAAGUUUGAAGCAAAUAAGGCUAUCAAGUCCCAAGCAAUUGCAGAUUUCAUCACCGAGUGGAUCGAACAGCAGCUUCCGACUCAAGUUCACCCGGAGCACUGGACCAUGUUCUUCGAUGGAUCUAAGAUGCUGAAUGGUUCCGGUGCUGGGGUAGUAUUGGUCUCCCCCCGAGGAGAUAAGCUCAGAUAUGUUCUCCAGAUUCACUUUGAUUCCUCCAAUAAUGAAGCAGAAUAUGAAGCACUUUUGUAUGGGUUGCGCAUGGCCAUUUCACUUGGCGUCCGUCGCCUCAUGGUCUAUGGCGACUCAGAUUUGGUGGUUAAUCAGGCGAUGAAGGAGUGAGACGUCAGAAGUCCGGCAAUGACUGGUUAUUGCAAUGUAGUGAGAAAGCUAGAAAAGAAAUUCGAGGGGUUAGAGCUUCAUCACAUCCCCCGACUGAAAAAUCAGGUAGCUGACGAUUUGGCAAAGAUAGGCCCCAAGAGAGAAGCCAUUCCCAGCAACGUGUUCCUGGAACACAUUCAUUCGCCAUCAGUCCAAGAAGAUCCUUUUACAGAAGAAGCCCCGCAGCCGAAAAGUGCCACAGAUCCGACUGAAGUCGAAGUCCCUGCUGUGGUCGACCUAAUCAUGGAAGUCUUCGCAAUCACUCCCGACUGGACGAUACCGUACAUCGCGUAUAUCCUAAGGAAAGAACUCCCGGAGGACGAGGAAGAGGCUCGACAGAUCGUCCGCCGAUCCAAAGCCUUCACAGUCACAAGGGGACAGUUGUAUAGAGAAAGCGCGACUGGGAUCGGUCAGAAGUGCAUAACACUAGAAGAGGUUCAGAUAAUCCUUGACGACAUCCACUCGCGGACCUGUGGUCACCAUGCGUCUUCUCGGACCAUUGUGGCUAAAGCAUACCGAGCGGGAUUUUACUGGCCAAGAGCAAAUGAGAUGGCAAAAGAGAUAGUCGACCAGUGUGGAGGGUGCUAGUUCUACUCCAACAUGUCACACAAGCCUGCGUCAGCCCUGAAGACCAUUCCACUCGUCUGGCCCUUUGCUGUCUGGGGACUGGACAUGGUUGGUCCACUAAGAACAGGCAGGAGCGGUUUCACUCAUGUGCUUGUGGUAGUCGACAAGUUUACCAAAUGGAUUGAGGCUAAGCGCAUCAAGAAUCUUGAUGCUUGCACUACUAUCAGUUUCGUCAGAGGGCUAACAUUCAGAUAUGGAGUCCCGCAUAGCAUCAUCACUGACAAUGGGUCAAACUUUGAUUCGGACAAGUUCAGAGCUUUUUGCGCCUCUCAAGGCACACGAGUCGACUACGCAUCGGUCGCCCAUCCCCAGUCGAAUGGACAAGCAGAGAGAGCAAAUGGUUUGAUUCUCAAAGGACUAAAGCCUCGACUGAUGCGCGAUCUCAAGCACGCGGCAGGUGCUUAGGUCGACGAGCUUCCGUCAGUUCUGUGGGGAUUGAGGACCACCCCGAACCGGUCGACUGGAGGAACUCCAUUCUUUCUGGUUUAUGGAGCCGAGGCAGUUCUGCCGAGUGAUCUUCUUCACAACGCACCCCGAGUCGAACUUUAUACCGAAGAUGAAGCAGAACAAGCCCGGCAAGACGCAGUCGACCUACUAGAAGAAGAGAGGGAGAUGGCCAUGAUCAGAUCGACCAUUUAUCAGCAAGACUUGCGUCGAUUCCACGCUAGGAAUGUGAAGAGUCGAGCCUUCCAAGAAGGAGAUUUGGUCCUCCUAGUGGAUCAACAGAAACCACACAAGCUUGCUCCUACUUGGGAAGGCCCCUUCAUCGUCACCAGAGUCCUCCACAAUGGAGCGUAUCACCUCUACAAUGUUGAUCGCCAGAUCGAUGAGCCGCGAGCUUGGAAUGCGGAACUGCUCCGCCCCUUUUACACUUGAGUUCUCCCUUGGACGAGAUGUAAUAAGAAAAAAUUUCUGCAGUUCAUUUUUAUCAAAGGCAAGAGUGUUCCAAUAAUUGCUGUCACUUUUGUUUGCAUACGAAAUCCCCCAGUGGGUGACUUAGCUGCGAAUCCGUUUCGCCUAAGUUUGAAAAAUCCUACCGAGUGGAGAGCCAGAUUCCCACUCGGGGGCUUAGCUCCAGCCCAGUGCUUGCCUAAGUGUUCAAAAAUCCUACCAAGUGAGAGCAAUCCUCCCACUUGGGGGCUUAGCUGCAGUCCAGUACUCGCCUAAGUUCUCCCACUUAGAGACUUAGCUGCAGUCAGGCACUCGCCUAAGUUUGAAAAAAUCCUACCGAGUGGAGAGCAAUCCUCCCACUCGAGGGCUUAGCUGCAGUCCAGUACUCGCCUAAGUUCUCCCACUUAGAGACUUAGCUACAGUCAGGCACUCGCCUAAGUUUGAAAAAAUCCUACCGAGUGGAGAGCAACCCUCCGACUCGGGGGCUUAGCUGCAGUCCAGUACUCACCAAAGUUCUCCCACUUAGAGACUUAGCUANNNNNNNNNNNNNNNNNNNNNNNNNNNNNNNNNNNNNNNNNNNNNNNNNNNNNNNNNNNNNNNNNNNNNNNNNNNNNNNNNNNNNNNNNNNNNNNNNNNNNNNNNNNNNNNNNNNNNNNNNNNNNNNNNNNNNNNNNNNNNNNNNNNNNNNNNNNNNNNNNNNNNNNNNNNNNNNNNNNNNNNNNNNNNNNNNNNNNNNNNNNNNNNNNNNNNCUCUCCUUCCGAGCUACGCCACAAGUACAACAUGCGCUCUGCAAGGAGGACGAGGUGCAGGUCGACUGCUACCCUCUCCUUCCGAGCUACGCCACCAAUUCAAAAUCCUACUGAGUGGAGAGCAAACCUCCCACUCGGGGGCUUAGCUGCAGCCCAGUGCUCGCCUAAGUAUUUGAAAUCCUACCGAGUGGAGAGCAAACCUCCCACUCAGGGGCUUAGCUGCAGCNNNNNNNNNNNNNNNNNNNNNNNNNNNNNNNNNNNNNNNNNNNNNNNNNNNNNNNNNNNNNNNNNNNNNNNNNNNNNNNNAAAUCCUACCGAGUGGAGAGCAAACCUCCCACUCGGGGGCUUAGCUACAGCCCAGUGCUCGCCUAAGUAUUUAAAAAUCCUACCGAGUGGAGAGGAAACCUCCCACUCGGGGGCUUAGCUGCAGCCCAGUGCUCGCCUAUGUGUUUAGAAAUCCUACCGAGUGGAGAGCAAACCUCCCACUCGGGGGCUUAGCUGCAGCCCAGUGCUCGCCUAAGUGUUUAGAAAUCCUACCGAGUGGAGAGCAAACCUCCCACUCGGGGGCUUAGCUGCAGCCCAGUGCUCGCCUAAGUGUUUAGAAAUCCUACCGAGUGGAGAGCAAACCUCCCACUCGGGGGCUUAGCUGCAGCCCAGUGGUCGCCUAAGUGUUUAAAAAUCCUACCGAGUGGAGAGCCAGACUCCCACUCGGGGGCUUAGCUGCAGCCUAGCGCUCGCCUAAGUGUUUAAAAAUCCUACCGAGUGAGAGCAAACCCCUCACUCGGAGGGCUUAGCUGCAGCCCGGUGCUCACCUAAGUACAGGACACAACCCAAUCCGCAAGAAGUUACGCCACAAAUACAAGGUUAUUCCGAGUGAAGAUCAAGUUGCACUCGACAGAUCAAACCAUGAAGAUAUCCAACGAGAAAUCAAGUUCGGAUAAAGCCUAAAGGUCCCAGACCUCAGAUCAAAGUACUCGAGCCCUCGGCUCGGCAGAGUUUAACGGUUACAAAUCCACUCAGCAUUCCGAGGCAAAUUUAAAGUGAAGCACGACGAACUCGUCCAAGUCGAUCCCGUCUGCAAUACGAGUGGCAGCAGCGAUGAAAGUCUCCAUGAAGUCUUGAAAGCUGUGCUUCCUGGUAUUGGCAACUUGGAUGGCGGCCGGCUUUUCUUCUCGCGCCUCCUUGCAAUGGACGCGGACCAGAGACAGAGCGACAUCAGCACCACAUCUAGCAGAAGAUUUCUUCCAUUCCGCCACUCAACCCGGGACUUCAUUCUGUCGAGCCAUCAGAGACUCGAGGUCGUUCUGAAGCAUCAUCCCAGGCCAGAGUGAUGUGUCAAUCCGCGACAUCGCAACCUUCAGUCGAGCAAGAUAGUCAACAACACUGGUAACACGAGACUCCAGUCGGAGCACGUUCAUAGCAGCUUCAUCCUUCACGAGAGAAUUGGCGGGGUCCAAGCCUGGCUCCACUCGACUGGUUUCCUCUUCGAAGUUCUGGCAGAAUUCUGCAAACACGAUUCAAGAGUCAGACAUUGGCUCUACACAGGCUUGGCAACUGCAAGACAGUCGGGGCAGAGUAAUUACCUUCGAGCAUGACGAACAGCUUCUUGGUGAGUCCACCGAGAUAAGCCUCCAGAUCAUUUACCUUCCCCGCCAGCUUACCCGCCUGGUCGUGUAGAACCAUCUUUUCAUUCUUCAGUCGGCUGACCUCUUGAUUAGCUGUCUCGAGAGCAGUUUUCAGCCUCGAGUUCUCCUGUUCAAGAGUUCCGACCGAAGCCAUUUUCUCUUCUCCAAGCUUCGUUCUGCUCAAGGCCUCCUUCUGUGAUUCUGCAAGAUCUUGAUCCUUCUUCUUCAGAGCUUCUUCCAGUUUAUCUGCGGCACGUCGAGUGAAAUCAACAUCAAGAAUGGACAAGCAAGAAAAAUCACUCGUCAAGAAUGGAGAACCUCACCAGCCAUACCUUUUGCUUCUUCUUGCGCCUUCCUCAAAUUCUCUUGAGCAAGCUUCAAGUUAAGGUUGAGCUGGAUCUGCUUAUUCUCCAACUCAGUAUAGCGAGCUACAAGUUCACAGGAUUUCUGCAAAAAGAAAAAUCAGUGGACAGACGUCCAAGAUAAGUUGCUUCCCAAUAACUAAAAGACAACGAUGGCGUUUCUAAGACUAUAGCCGAAUCUAAAACAUUCGACAGUAGUCUCGGGGACUACACCCAGUGGGUGCACUCUGCGUGCCCCCAUUGUAAAAAAAGUCGACUGCCCGCAGUCGACCGGAUACAGUUCCAUUCGACAUGGCCUGACCAGACCGAAUGAAGAAAUACAGCUACAACAACACAAUAUAAAGACUACAGUCGACUGCCAGCAGUCCACCAUAGUCUCGGGGACUACACCCAGUGGGUGCACUUAGCGUUCCCCCACUCGUCCAAGAAUUGGCAGACACACCCAGUGGGUGUACAGAUAUAAAGAUCUUCAAAAAAAAAGAUUCUUCAAACAGCAUAUCGUAACAGACCAAGUGUUGAGUCGACUGACCUGGACGUUACUCUGAAGAGCCGAACUCGCGUCAUAAGCCGCUUGGCUGGCCUCCCAAGCCGCUUUCACUUGUUCCAUCAUAAUCCCCGCCUGGCGUAUGGCCUCUUUUGCAGCAGCUGCUUGGUCCUCAGGGACGGGGUACGUGGCAAAAAGCGAAGGCGGAUCCGCAGUCGACGUCAAGGGCCGCACCCUCGUCAGAGGAAUGGCGAAAGUCACAGAAGCCCGAGUGGUUUCACCACCGUCUCGGGCUACGGCCUCAGGCGCCGGAGUGGAUUGUGGGGUCUCGCCAGCCGACGCUCCCCUGUUCCUUCUCACUCUCAGCGGCACGUCAUCGUCGUCAUCCGGAAGGUUGAUAACAUGAUAAGGAGCUACAAGAAAAAAUUCAAUCGACCAGAGUUGCAAUAAGUGUCCAGUCGACUGAAGGCAGAACAUCAGUAAUCAUACCAGGGUGGAGGUAACAGCAUCCUCCAUCUCUUGGUCGUCGUCCUUGGCAGAGACCUCCGAAGUAGGAGCACUGCAAAUCUCGAAAGUCAGUCAGUUGGCUCAAUGAAUCGACCAAGGAUCUGUCCACGGUCGACAAAGGAAAACAAGUUUUGUUAUUACCCAGAAAUGGUGGGGACAGCCAUCUUCAUCUUGGGCAGAGCCUUGGGCGGCUUGGACGGCGUCGCGCGUGGGUGCUUGGGAGCCUUUCCAGUCAGCGUAGGAGAAGAGGUUCGAGGGCGUUUCGACAACUGCCCAACAGGAGCAGUCGCCUACCACGUUCCCGCGCUGGAUCAUGUGUGAGCUUGGAUCGCCUCUCCCGGUGGGGGGGGGGGGGGGGUCAACCUCCUCCUCCUCCUCUUCGCUGGAGUUGACGUCGUCGUCUCCCUCUCCUUCGCCAUCGGACUCCCACUCGCCUUGAUCGUCUCCACUCUCACAUCCGCUCGCCUCCCCUUCCUCAGUUGGCUCCUGUGCCCCGUUGGGUGUCGAGUACAUCUCAGUAGUCGCCUGGAAAACAACAGACAAGACAAAAGUUAGUCGACCAAUUCAAAGAAGACCAAUGAAGAAAACAAGAUUUCAAUCGGGAGCGUAAAGUCAGACCUGGUCCACUUCGUAUUGUUGUCGAGUGGAGAAACCCUCCUGGCGCCUCGGGGGUUGUCUUUGUUUCCUGUGAUGCUCGUCAGCCACCCCUCCAACAUCUCAUCAGUGACCUCCUCCGGGUGGAUCCGAGUGGUGUCUUCGAGGCCCGAGUACAGCCACAUCGGGUGGCCGCGAGCCUGGAGCGGUUGGAUGCGCCUCCGAAGAAAGACCUCCAGCAAGUCCAUGCCAGUCACGCCAUCACGGACGAGCUGAACCACUCGACCAACCAGCACUUUGAAUUGGGUCUUUUCUUCUGGCGUCACUUUCAGAGAAGCAGGUUUUUGAGCUCGGUCGAGAGAGAAAUGGGGAAGCCCGGUCGACUGUCCUGGGGUCACCUGGUCUUUGCAGUAAAACCAGGUCGCCUGCCAACCACGGACCGACUCUGGGAAAAUGAUAGAUGGAAAACAACUCUUUCCCCUCGUCUGGAUCGCGAGGCCCCCGCACAGCUGGAUCACUUGCGUCCUUUCCUCACUCGACUUGGCCUUCUUGACCGAUUGGGAGCGGCAAGUAAAGAUGUGCUUAAAGAGCCCCCAAUGGGGGCGGCAACCCAGGAAACCCUCACACAAGGAAAUGAAGGUAGCAAGGUACACGAUAGAGUUGGGAGUGAAGUGGUGGAGCUGCGCUCCGAAGAAAUUUAGAAAACUCCGGAAAAAAGGAUGAGGAGGCAGAGAAAACCCUCGAUCGAUGUGGGUGGUGAGAAGGACACACUCACCAUCACGGGGUUGAGGCUCGACUUCUCCCCCCUGGAGACGCGCAGCCUCGUAAGGAAUGACUCCCCCCUCAACCAUAUCGUCGAGGUCUUCCUGCCGAAUCACCGACGGCAUCCAAUCGCCCUGGAUCCAGCCUCUGGGCAGAGCAGUCCUUGAGGAAGAUCCGCCCCAAGCGGACUUCUUCCCUUUCCCCUGCACCGACGCCUUCUUCGCGCGCUCCAGAGCAGACGUCUUGCCCUUCACCAUCGUCGCCGGCGAAUCUCAAACGGGUCUGCGGCGCUAGGGUGAGAGCGGAGGUGGCGGAGGACUUCGCGAAGGGAGAAAGAAGAGAAAGAAGAGAAAGGAGAGAGCACUGUUCGGGAACCCGAGCAGGCGGCUUAUAAGAGGCCGCUCCUGAGUGGCUGACUGGUAGGCCCAGGCUAUCCCGUCAAAUCCCGCAGUAGACGCGCGCGCAGCUCGUGGCGGAAAAGGUGGCACGGGAAUCGAGGAGCUUCUGCCUUAUCACAUCCGAUUACUGCGGCCGCGCCCGUCCCGCUCGCUCCCCGAUGUUCAAAUCCCGCGAAAUCCGCGGGCUGCGGAACAACUCAUCAAAUAGAAGAUCCCUCUCGUGCCGGCACUCGGUAUUUCACAAGUAAGGAAAUUCACUCGACGGGAGACCAAGAAUGGAUCAAGGCGACCGAAAGAAGUUGACAACGUCAUCCUUGGCGAUAGAUCUAGUACAAGACGUCCAUAUGACGCUAAAAACCAGUCGGAAGGACCCCCAACUCCUUCCCCACUCGAACCUCGAUCCAUUCGGGGGCUAAUGACGAAGCUACGUACCUAGGGUAGGGGGAUGGACCUGUCCUAAGAGCCCUACCCAAGGACAUCCCUGGAAGAAGUCACCUUUCAAUCGACUUGAAGGUACCCACUCGACGGGUUUAAGACACUCGACCAAGAAGCUACCACUCGACACGAAGCCAAUCACUCGACUGCCAGGAGAUCUAAAGUCAUUCCACGGGCAAACGGUCGGCUAUUAAGUAGUCUUUAUGGUCAUUAUAGCACUUUAUUACCAGCGUUACCAGUAACGCCCCGCCUUAAUGUACAUUGAACCCUUGGUAACGUAGGCUGGCCGGGGUCCUGGCGCGCUCUAUAUAAGCCACCCCCUCCUCCGAGACAAGGGUUCGCACCUCUGUUAUUCACACGCCUAUAAUCCAAUCGACCGCCUCCGGGCACCGAGACGUAGGGCUGUUACUUCCUCCGCGAAGGGCCUGAACUCGUACACCUUGUUGUGUUUACAACUUCCCAAUAGCUGAGAUCUAGCCUCUCCAUACACACCCCCAACAUCACUGUCAGAGUUAGAACCACGACACCGCCUGCCGUGCCCCUCGCCGCACGCCCACCACCGCGCCAGCCCCCACUCUGUGGACGACCCUAGCCGCGCCCGCGCCGUGAUCCCCUUUUCCGCCCUACCUUCCCGCACUCGCCGCGGUCCCGAUGCUCCCCCGCGCCCUCUUUCAGGGGCGCCGACUGCCCCUGUCCCAUUACUCGCCGCCGCGCCUCGCCACCGCUCUACUGCUACGUUACUACUGCGCUGCGGCCGCCGCCUCUUCCCGCUGCUCCGCUAGCGCCGAAGCUCCCGGCUGGCUCUGCCACUGGUCACGUUUAACUACCGGUCUAAAUGGCCUAACCUCCCGGCAAAUGAACCCCCAGUAACCCACUGACACCGGGAGCCACAUCCCCUAAUUAACCAUUAAUAAAUUAAAACUCUUAAAUUAACAUUAGUGUAUGACAUGUGCGUCCCCUGUUAAUUAAUAAUUUACAUUAGUGUAUGACAUGUGCGUACCCUGUUAAAUAAACUGAUUUAAUUAAAAUCUAUUAACUUCGAGUCUAUGACAUAUCACUACUUGGGAAAAUCCUAGCAGUAGCGUGGGUAUUUUUCCUAUCAGUUGCGCCGGAUACCGCUCUACUGAUAAGGCACUACAGCUAACAUGUAGCAGUAAUGCGUGUCAUCCAACGCUACUGCUGUACAUGGCUAGCAGUAGCGAGCUUUAGUGCAAAGCGCUGCUGCUAAUAUCUGCAGCGCUUUUCAGCAUGAAGUGAUACUGGUAAGGGACCUCUACUACUAACUUUAUUCCCCUCGCUACUGCUAGUUUUAUUAGUUUCUGUUUUUUUCUGCAUAUUUCUUUUGUAUUUGAACAGGCUUUAUACAAUAAUAUUUAGCGUAUCAUACACAUACAAAUGUAAUCAUAGCAUAUACAUACAAAUAGUCUCGUCAAAUCAUGUCAUCAUCAUAAUCAUCAUCCAUCACAAAGUGGUCUCUCGUCAUCAUCUCUAAAAUAGCGAUACAAGUCUCGAUUACUUGCAACUACAUUGUCAUCCGUCUAAACAAUGAUAUACGCGAGAAGAGCUAUCACUAUGAGUGAGAGCGGAACUAUGCAGUACAUGAGUUUGUAUCCCUCUCUCGCAUUAGCGUGAACCUAAACUAACUACUAGUUGUCGCUCGGAAACCAGAAACCGGUACACCUGGGCCUGACACUCCGUCCACUCAUCUUAUACUCCUGGCGUAGCACUUCUGUGCCAUCGAUGAUCUAUGCACCUGCAUCGUCACAUGAGUCGAUGAUAUGCAACAUAUAUAGUUGAGCAAUAGAAACAGACAGACUUGGCAAAAAUAGAAGCAACAUAUCAUAAGCAUAAAUAACAAAGUUCAUCAUACCCAAAAUGCCCUAACUAGAGUGAUCUUCGCUAGUCGAGGAGGACGGUUUAAUUACAUCACAAAUAAUGUUUCAUCUUGCAUAACUCAAAGUGCCAUCAUACAGAAAGUAUGAACUAAACGGACACAUUGUCAUAUGUCGACAAUCACUCCAACAUGUCGUGCCAUCGAUCCAAGUCAAGGAGAUAGUCCCCGAGCUUAGUGAAAGGCUUCAGGUUGAGACGCUGAGCGGCAACGCGUGUUCGGACGUCUUCCCUCGACAUUUUUCCUUCUUCAUAGAACAUCCCUGUUUUUUCGAUGACCUCCCUCAUGAUGAUUUGGGCAAGUUCGCACUGGAAGUGAUAGAACUCAUCUUGAAGUCGAUGAUCCUCGAUAUCUCCUAAGUUCUUUGCCCAUUGCAGAAUAUGGGCAUCGCCGAAUCUAGGUGUCAUGCAAAGGUUCUGGUGAUCCCGUAUGUACUCCAUCAUGUGGUGUAGGACAUAGAAUCCAUCAUUAAGAGAAUCACUCAGUUGCUGGAUACAGCAGAAGCCGGUCUUAUGGCCGAAGGCGGGCCUGCCGUCCCUUUUCUUCUUGUCCUUGACCUCUCCACCCCGUGCACCGUAGUAAAACAUAGCACCGUCGAGAACAUACUUGAUGUGGGUGUAAUCCUUUUUUUUAAUGUUCUUCGAUGAGUCCAAGUAAAGAGCGUGGGAGUAUCGGGGGUAGAGGAUGAUGAGGAUGGUGCACCCGCCGCUGCGCAAAAUAAGUACACCUCAAAUUAAUUAGCCUCCACCGUGCAAAUGAAUGAUUGAAAUCGUAGGAAGGAUAUCCGCGUGGAUGACUUACAGGGGAUGAUAAGGCACAAGAAUCACCUCCUUGUCCUUAUUGGCACGCAUGAAAUUGACGAUGUAUUCCUCGCGUAUUCACGGUGCUUUGCGUGGACUCACAAGAAGACCUCGUGCAUGAAGUACCGAUCAGUGACACAGAUAUGAGGUAUUUGCUCAACCCCGAUGAGGUAGUUCAUGUGCAAGGCAUAAAGGUGGACGAAUGUAAAAUCCAGCUUCUUUAAGUGAAACAUGUCGAAGAUGUAAUCCAAUCGAAGGAAGAACUUGUUCGAGGGGAAUGUGUCGAUGUACGACAAUUGCAGCGACACGUUAACCACGGAGAGUGGGUAUGCUGGAUUUUUUGAGGCAAUGAGGCCUUUCUCUAUCAGCAACACAUCAUCAUGAAGUCUCCUUAUAUCGCCAAAUCAGGCCCCUAGCGCUGCUUUAGGUAGGAUUGGUUAACCGGGGAUACGCCAUAUUGCCGCACCGAGGAUAUCUAUACGGUCUUGAACCCGAGCCUGCUGAGGUGGCUGGAUCAUAGAAGCACCUUUGUUUCCUUUCCUCGGUGUCUUCCUUGGCUUCUUUGCUACCGGAAAGUCGUCUAUAAUAUGUUCAGCCUCUGGAGGCGGCAAUUCAGGCACCAACUCAUGCGCUCAAACCCUGAGUAGGCGCCAGUAUUGAGGUAUUGUUGAAUGUCAUCGUCGUCCUCAUCUAUGGCGAUGUCACUAGCGACAAAUCGAGCCUCUUCCUCACCCCGUCCGCUAUCACCCAGCACGACAGCCGACGCUAAUUGGGUAGGUGGGGUGUUGAUGUUCGUACCUAACUGCGUGCUCGUGUGUGUGCUCCCGGCCGCCUCCAGACAAAGCAGACUCUUUGACCACAACAGGACCCACCCAUUGCAACCACCAAGCCGCUGCGGGGUCUCGUCGUCAUCCCCUAGUAUCGGAGGAGCCAAAUUCUCGUGGCCCGGUUUGACACUGGCCACGAAAACUUUGAAGACAUACGGGGGGAUUGGUCGGCCAUGGAACAAUGGUUCCUUCGGCUUCAUUACCGUCACCUUCCCCACGUCCACCUUUUGGUCGCCGAUGUUGUACAAUAUGGUGCACGGGGUUACAUCGGCCUGCAAAGACACCGUGAGAUUAUACAUUUAUGGAAGAGGGCCGGUGUGACAGAUACCGUGAGGGCGUCGAGCUCAGCCAAAGACGAAGGACAGCUGAGCACGGCCGGUGUGGGAGCCGGUGUGGGAGCCGGUGCAGGUGCAGGUGCUGGUGCAUCGCUAGUCGUGCUACUCCCGAAGAAGUCAACAAUGGGAAAGUCCGCUGCAUUUUUUCUGGAUUUUGCAUGCUCCAAUUGAAAACGGCUGGAACCAAGACAAUAGACAUAUCUGCAACCACCUGUUUUGCGGCAGCUACCGUUAUCGUGACAGUCUCAGAUGAUUUCUUCUCUACUGCAAUCUCAACCUUCUUGUCGAUGUUUUCUUCAGUUAACCUCCAUCUUUCCUUUCUCUCCUCCGUGGUCUCACGGUAGCACUUCUUCCACGUGGCCCCGUCUCCGACACCGUGAACGCGUCCAUACGACGACCGAGUCUCCACUGGGAGUCCUUUCAAUAUGUUCAAUGCCCGGUUGAAUGGAGUGUCCCACUUGGGCCUCGCCAACGCCUCAGACGGCGAGUCUCUUUCGGUCGCAAUCUUGUGCUGCUCUCUCUACAAAAGGAACAAGGAUCAUUUACAAAUAUGACUAAACGUGCAGUCGAAUUGAUCAGAAACUAAAAUUACCAGCAGUCUCAUGAACUCCGUCGUGAUCGGGUCCGUCUUGAAAACCUUCUUGACCGAGUGCCAAUGGUGCCGUGCCCUGAGGACGUCAUGCUCCUACAGGACGGUGAAGUCCGCCAAGGGGUCUAGGAUGCCAGACUUUCGCGUUUCGUGUCCUCCUUGGCCCAUAUGGACCUCUUCCUGCUGUAACCACGGCUUCCGAGGUGGCGGUGCCCCAUGUUCCUUUGUUGAAACCCCUUCAUGUACUUUGACUUUGUUUUGGCAGUUUCAGCCUCGCAAGCCGCCUUGAAUAUUUCAAAGUGCUCUCCCGUGAUUGUCGGAUUAUCCUUUACAAUCUCGGAGUAGGGUUGAUACGUCUCCAAUGUAUCUAUUAUUUUUGAUUGCUCCAUGCUAUAUUAUCUACUGUUUUGGACAUUAUUGGGCUUUAUUAUCUACUUUUAUAUUAUAAUUUGGACUAACCUAUUAACCGGAGGCCCGAGCCCAGAAUUGCUGUUUUUUUGCCUGUCUUAGGGUUUCAAAGAAAAGGAAUAUCAAACGGAGUCCAAACGGAAUGAAACCUUCGGGAACGUGAUUUUCUCAACGAACAAGACCCAGGAGACUUUGACCCUACAUCAAGACACAAGGCGAAUCAUGUACGUAGCCACUAGUGAAACAUAUUAUCUUUAUUAUAUCUAUCAGAUCUCACUCUCGUAAGUGGCCGUGUUGGGAUUGACAACCCCUAUUCAUGUUGGUUGAGAGGAUUGAUUUGUUUUGUGCAAGUACAAAGGACUCGCGCGUAGCCUCCUAUUGGAUUAAUAGCUUGGUUCUCAAAAAGUGAGGGAAAUACUUACGCUACUUUGUUGCAUCAUCCCUUCCUCUUCGGGGAAAACCAACGCAGUGCUCAAGAGGUAGCAAGAAGGAUUUGCUGNNNNNNNNNNNNNNNNNNNNNNNNNNNNNNNNNNNNNNNNNNNNNNNNNNNNNNNNNNNNNNNNNNNNNNNNNNNNNNNNNNNNNNNNNNNNNNNNNNNNNNNNNNNNNNNNNNNNNNNNNNNNNNNNNNNNNNNNNNNNNNNNNNNNNNNNNNNNNNNNNNNNNNNNNNNNNNNNNNNNNNNNNNNNNNNNNNNNNNNNNNNNNNNNNNNNNNNNNNNNNNNNNNNNNNNNNNNNNNNNNNNNNNNNNNNNNNNNNNCCUCCACCCUCGUGGGCCCCCUGUUGCUCCACCGACGUACUCCUUCCUCCUAUAUAUACCUACGUACCCCCAAACGAUCAUAUACGGAGCCAAAACCCUAAUUCCACCGCCACAACUUUCUGUAUCCACGAGAUCCCAUCUUGGGGCCUGUUCCGGAGCUCCGCCGGAGGGGGCAUCAAUCACGGAGGGCUUCUACAUCAACACCAUAACCUCUCCGAUGAAGUGUGAGUAGUUCACCUCAAACCUACGGUUCCAUAGUUAUUAGCUAGAUGGCUUCUUCUCUCUUUUUGGAUCUAAAUACAAUGUUCUCCCCCUCUCUUGUGGAGAAUUAUUCGAUGUAAUCUUAUUUUUGCGGUGUGUUUAUUGAGACCGAUGAAUUGUGGGUUUAUGAUCAAGUCUCUCUAUGAAUAAUAUUUCAAUCUUCUCUGAAUUAUUUUAUGUAUGAUUGGUUAUCUUUGCAAGUCUCCUCGAAUUAUCAGUUUGGUUUGGCCCACUAGAUUGAUCUUUCUUGCAAUGGGAGAAGUGCUUAGCUUUGGGUUCAAUCUUGCGGUGUCCUUUCCCAGUGACAGUAGGGGCAGCAAGGCACGUAUUGUAUUGUUGCCAUCAUGGACAACAAAAUGGGGUUUUCAUCAUAUUGCAUCAGUCUAGCCCUCUACAUCAUGUUAUCUUGCUUAAGGCGUUAAUUUGUUUUUAACUUAAUACUCUAGAUGCAUGCUGGAUAGCGGUCGAUGAGUGGAGUAAUAGUAGUAGAUGCAGGCAAGAGCGGUCUACUUGUCUCGGACAUGAUGCCUAUAUACAUGAUGAUACCUAGAUAUUCUCAUAACUAUGCUCAAUUCUGUCAAUUGCUGAACAGUAAUUUGUUCACCCACCGUAGAAUACUUAUGCUCUCGAGGGAAGCCACUAGUGAAACCUAUGGCCCCGGGUCUAUCUUUAUCAUAUUAAUCUUCUACUACUUAGUUAUUUCCUUUGCUUUUUACUUUUCCUUUAUUUUACUUUGCAUCUUUAUCACCAAAAUACCAAUAAAAUUAUCUUUAUCAUAUCUAUCAAAUCUCACUCUGGUAAGUGGCCGUGUAGGGAUUGACAACCCCUAUUCGUGUUGGUUGCGAGGAUUUAUUUGUUUUGUGCAGGUACGAGGGACUCGCGCGUAGCCUCCUACUGGAUUGAUACCUUGGUUCUCAAAACCUGAGGGAAAUACUUACGCUACUUUGCUGCAUCAUCCCUUCCUGUUCGGGGAAAACCAACGCAGUGCUCAAGAGGUAGCAAGGGUUCCUUUUUGUCGACGAUCCGAUGUUUCAACCUUGUUUUCCAGGCGGCCAACGCGUCGCUAAACUUGGGCAUGGCGUGUUUGUUUAUCUUCUUCAUUGCCACGUCCUUAUCUGGAUCAUUAUUAUCCUUUUCAUUGCAGUCAGGGAACAAGAAUAUCUGGUGCAGCUUCUUUAGGAGGGAGGGCCUCAUAUUAUCUAUCUUCUGUAGUUUCCCAUCGUUGAUCGUGGCAGUUGUCCGUACGAUGCAACCUAUUUGAUUGCCGUAGCACGAUCGCGCUUCCUCGGGCGCUAUUGUCUCAAAAAUACCGUUGUCCAUCUCCGUGACCACCAGUCUAGUACUCAUGAGCUGGUUUGGGUGCCGUGGCCUCUUUGCUUUCGGUUCUAGACCAGCUCCGCUAGUCUCGGCGCCGGUCUCAGUCUCAUCACCGGUCUGCAUGUCGGUAUCAGUCCCCGAUGCGACAGCACAGUCGCUGCAACAUGGGUAAGGGAGACCACAUCAGUGCUGGGGUGGUCUGAAAAUUGGGACACACUUUCGCGCAUUGCGGGCCGCCUCUCAGACAGCUACUGGGGAGGCGGCGGAGUACCUGGGUGCGCGACGAAUCCCCGGGAACUCGGUGACCAACUUCCUUCCCAUGUAGCGCAUGGAGACGAUGGCGACCCCGCCGAAGAGCAGCUUAGUUGCGAGCUGCACAGCCUCGUCCACCUCCUAAGUUGGGACCUCCGCGCGAGCGUUGCGGGGCCGCCGCUCGGAUGGCUUCUGGAAGGCGCUUGUACAUGGGCACAGGGUGAAUCCCGGCAAGAGCUGGCCAUUGGUGCGCGCAAGUAGACGACGACGUCGCCGACGAAGAGCAGCCCGGCCAGCUCGCCUCACUCUCCUUUGAUUAGAAUUGAAAGAUUGGGAAGAAGCAGACUUGAGCCUGCAGGGAAAGGAUAAGGUGACGAUGCAGUCUCCACUCGUUCGGGGCGACACGCGUACUGAAUGUAUGAGAAACGCGACGUGGCAGGGACCCCAAGAUACUCCCUCCAUUUAUUUUUAGUCUGCAUAUAAAGUUUGGUCAAAGUCAAGAUUUGUAAAUUUUAACUAACUUUAUAAUAAAAAAAAUCAACAUUCACAAUAUGAAAUAAUUAUUACCAGAUGCGUCAUGAAAUGUAUUUCCAUACUAUAUAGGUUUGGUAAUGUAGAUGUUCAUAUUCUUUUAUAUAAAUGGGAAGUAGAGGCACUCUUCCAUAUAAUGAAGUUUAUAAUAUAUGUGCUUAUAUUAUACUAUAAUUGUUUGAAUAACUUAGCAUAUGUUCAGAUGUAUGAUAUCUGUAAUUUAAGCGCUUGAAUUUUACAUAUAAAUAUUUAUUAAUAAAUAUGUACCCCUAUAAUAGCUAGGCCGUGCAGUUGCACGGGUAGAUGACUAGUGAUUACAAUCUUGUUUGUGUGCAAGUCAAGCUUAUCUAGUUUACACGUAACAACUUGUAGAACAUUACAAAAUUUAUGCUUGCUAAUAACUUCUAGAACACUACAACACUUGACAUGUAAAAGGAAUUUGACGAGUCAUGGCCUACUAAAGAAAGUUACAUUACUAGUCUUAUAUCUAUCUUAAUAGACCACACAAGACUACAAAUUAAGUACCGUGACAGCCAUGAUUAUCUAGUUUAUGCGUAACAAUUUGCAGAAAAUUACAAACUUAGUUUUAGAAAAAUAGGCAAUCCAGAUUAGUGUUUGAGCUGUAAAGUGAAUAAGAUGAGUCAUGCGUGUUAUCACACCUUUUUGGUGGUGGAAUGAUAGUGCAAAACAAGGAACUUUAAUGAACAGUCCAAUAAUACACUUGUAAGUAGUGCCACCAAACAGAACAUACCAAAUGAUGAUUUUGAGAAGCAUCCAAGCACUUUCCACACAAACAAAUGCCAAUUGUGAAAGAGAUCAUUCCAUGGCAGCUAUAAAUAGCCCCGUAGCAUGACGAUCAUCCUUCCUCAUCCAUCAUUCUCAUAAGUAGAGCGCAUCAUUUAAGCCAAGCAAGCUGUGGUCAAUACAAAUCCACCAUGAAGACAUUUCUCAUCCUUGCCCUCCUUGCUAUCGUGGCGACCACCGCCACAACUGCAGUUAGAGUUCCAGUGCCACAAUUGCAGCCACAAAAUCCAUCUCAGCAACAGUCACAAGAGCAAGUUCCAUUGGUACAACAACAACAAUUUCUAGGGCAGCAACAACCAUUUCCACCACAACAACCAUAUCCACAGCCGCAACCAUUUCCAUCACAACAACCAUAUCUGCAGCUGCAACCAUUUCCGCAGCCGCAACUACCAUAUUCGCAGCCACAACCAUUUCGACCACAACAACCAUAUCCACAACCGCAACCACAAUAUUCGCAACCACAACAUCCAAUUUCACAGCAGCAGCAGCAGCAACAACAACAACAACAACAAGAACAACAAAUACUUCAACAAAUUUUGCAACAACAACUGAUUCCAUGCAUGGAUGUUGUAUUGCAGCAACACAACAUAGCGCAUGGAAGAUCACAAGUUUUGCAACAAAGUACUUACCAGCUGUUGCAAGAAUUGUGUUGUCAGCACCUAUGGCAGAUCCCUGAGCAGUCGCAGUGCCAGGCCAUCCACAAUGUUGUUCAUGCUAUUAUUCUGCGUCAACAACAAAAACAACAACAACAACCAUCGAGCCAGGUCUCCUUCCAACAGCCUCAGCAACAAUAUCCAUUAGGCCAGGGCUCCUUCCGGCCAUCUCAGCAAAACCCACAGGCCCAGGGCUCUGUCCAGCCUCAACAACUGCCCCAGUUCGAGGAAAUAAGGAACCUAGCGCUACAGACGCUACCUGCAAUGUGCAAUGUCUACAUCCCUCCAUAUUGCACCAUCGCGCCAUUUGGCAUCUUUGGUACUAACUAAGAAGAAAAUAACUCUAGUACUAGAUAUAUGAAACACCGUUUUCUCAGUCCAUGGUUUGGUCGUUGUAGCGGUGAAAAAAUAAAGUGACAUGCACUAUCAUGUAAGAACCCAAACUAUACUAGUUCAAACUUGGGAAUAAAAGACAAACACAGGUCUUGUCUACAUAUUUAUGCUGCAUCUAUUUAUAUAUUAAAAGUAAUAUAAGGUGAACCAGGAGCAAGGUAAAUAUGGUAGAAAAUUGCACGUUAAUUAGAAAUUACUAGCCCUCGAUCUGGUAAAUCUUAACAAAUAUAAUUAUCUUGACCGUUAGAUUUAUGUAACAUAUAUAAUGCUCUAGGCCUCCAACGACUGUACGUGACACAUCUGAACGCAGAUAUGUUAAAGAAAAUAUAUUUGGUAAAUGGUGGGCCUCUUUAAAAAGAGAACUUACGUACAUACACCAACUAAGAAAAACACAUACAUGUAAACGGGAAAAGGAUGAGAUUUUCUCACAUACGUGUGUUGAUGCUUAAAAGUGGCAUGAUCAUAAAGCAGCAUGCCAGGGUGAAAACCUUGCCGGGGUAAAAUCUUGCCGGUGUGAAAGCUUGCCGGUGUGAAGGCUUGCCGGUGUGGAAAGCUUGCCGGCACAGAAAGAUCGCCGGUGCUUGCCGGUGUGAAAUCUUGCCGGGGGAGAAACCUUGUCAGGGAGGAACCCUUGCCGGAGUACAAACCUUGCCGUAGUGAAACCUUGCCGGUGUGAAAGCUUGCCGGGUAGAAACAUUGCCGGUGUGGAAAGCUUACUCGGAUGGAAAACUUGCCGGGUUGGAGGCUGUGAUAGUCAAUCGAACGAGAAGUUGAAGAUGGGCUCAAAAGGUUAUUCAGAUGAUCUCGGAUGGAAAAAUGAUCUACAGGGGUUGUCUUCGUCUCGUCGAAACGAUCGAUUUUGAUAUAAAAAUCAUUCAAAUCCGAGUUCGUAUGCAAAAUUUAGAGCAAUCGGAGUGCAGCCCUGUCACGAGGCGAGAUGUGGCGCGCCCCACCAAACACAUGUCUGACGGGUAGCGCGAGGAAAUAGCCUGUGUUGCGAGACCGAUCUGACCCUCAAGAUGAUCUCUGAUCCAAAAACCUUCAACAUGAAAGUUGUUCGUCUCAUCGAAACGGUCAAGAUUGCUUUUGGGCUUGUUUUCAUCCGGGAUCGUUUACCACCGCAAAAAAGACCCGCAAGGUGCAGCCAGUUUAAACCGAACAGUUUUGGAAAGUUUGGAUAAACCAGUCCGAAUUUGACUAGGGUUUUGGACGUGAAUUGAUGUAAUUUUCUUGUAAGGAAAGCCUAGAUAAAUUCUUUGCUUGUACGGGAAGUCCAGCUGCCUCUUAUAUAUGUUGGGGGUGACGGGCGAUUGAAACAACACACAAUCGAACAAACACAUCUACUACUUUUUCGUGUUCAUCUACUUUUUAUCUCUCCCUUGUAUCUUUCUUCUCGUUCUUCGCUAGUUCUUCUUGCUGGAGGCUGCGGAUCCACGAGGCUCUAGGGGCGAGCGAAUCGACCUAGGGCAGCCCUGACGGGGUCCCUCCCGGGUGCGCGGGGUUUCGGGUCUGCAAAAGCGCCCGCCGACUGUCUUGCGUAUCACGCUAUCGGUCGGGUCUCCUUCGACGUGAGCUGCGGUGCAUCACCCCCGGCAUCGAGGGUACACGUGACGUGUUCGUGUGCGAACACACUUUUUCGCGACUCCACUGGGGACGAAGCUUUGAAUAGUCUCCAGCCUGUUCUUGCUACGAGGAGAGCGUCAUCAAGCGACUGCAUUCUACAACGGUAACAUGUAUCAUCAAUCUCCUUGCGUAGAUGCAAAUAGCCAUUAUGUUGAUGUUGCUAGAUCUUUCAAUGGACAUGUGAUGUCGGCCAGCCCUAAUGAGGAAAGGCCGACUAGUUAUUCCAUUGGAGAAACUUGGAAUUUACAGAAUCGUGACAUGCAACUUAUGAAUCUGAACUUUCGUGCAUCGGCAACAACUUUCAAUAUGCCGGUGAACAACACGAUUUGUUCGAGUGAUCAAUAUAGGACACCUCAUGUAAAAGUUUUAUCCAUCGGCAGCCGACUCGCAAUAUGCUGGUUCAUCCCCAAACAUGCCGAUGAAUGGGGGAAUCAGCCAUGCUUCUGUUAGCUAUUUGGCCGGUUAUCCUCAAACAUCAUAUACUACACCUCAUCCGAUUAAUUGUUCAGUGGCAUAUGAAACUAAAAAUAUUAAUAACACGGCUCACGUUCACGGUCAUGGACGAGUGAAUGGGGAUACUAUAGGAGCAUAUGUGUGUGACGCCCCCAAUUUAAUCGUACACUAAUCAUACACGCAAACAUGUACGAUCAAGAUCAGGGACUCACGGGAAGAUAUCACAACACAACUCUACAAAUAAAAUAAGUCAUGCAAGCAUCAUAUUACAAGCCAGGGGCCUCGAAGGCUCGAAUACAAGAGCUCGAUCAUAGACGAGUCAGCGGAAGCAACAAUAUCUGAGUACAGACAUAAGUUAAACAAGUUUGCCUUAAGAAGGCUAGCACAAACUGGGAUACAGAUUGAAAGAGGCACAGGCCUCCUGCCUGGGAACCUCCUAACUACUCCUGGUCGUCGUUCUGAGGGCAGCACGUAGUAGUAGGCACCUCCAGCGUAGUAGGAGUCGUCGUCGACGAUGGCGUCUGGAUCCUGGGCUCCAGCAUCUGGUUGCGACAACCAGGUAGAAGGGAUAGAGGGAAAAGAAGGAGAAAGCAACCGUGAGUACUCAUCCAAAGUACUCGCAAGCAAGGAGCUACACUACAUAUGUAUGCGUUGGUAUCAACUGGAAUAAGGCUAUUAUAUGUGGACUGAACUGCAGAAAGCCGGAAUACGAGGGAGAUAGCUAGUCCUUUCGAAGACUACGCUUUUGGUAACCUCCAUCUUGCAGCAUGUAGAAGAGAGUAGACGGAAGUCCUCCAAGUAGCAUCGCAUAGCAUAAACCUAACCGAUGAUCCUCCCCUCGUCGCCCUGUGCGAGAGCGAUCACCGGUUGUAUCUGGCUCUUGGAAGGGUGUGUUUUAUUAAGUAUCCGGUUCUAGUUGUCAUAAGGUCAAGGUACAACUCCGGGUCGUCCUUUUAUCGAGGGACACGGCUAUUCGAAUAGAUAAACUUCCCUGCAGGGGUGCACCACAUAACCCAACACGCUCGAUCCCAUUUGGCCGGACACACUUUUCUGGGUCAUGCCCGGCCUCGGAAGAUCAACACGUCGUAGCCCUACCUAGGCACAACAGAGAGGUCAGCACGCCGGUCUAAAUCCUAUGGCGCAGGGGUCUGGGCCCAUCGCCCUUUGCACACCUGCACGUUGCGAACGCGGCCGGAAGCAGACCUAGCCUAGUGGCGUUCCAGUCCAAUCCGGCGCGCGCCACUCAGUCACUGAUGUCACGAAGGCUUCGGCUGAUACCACGACGUCGAGUGGCCAUAACUGUCCCCGCAUAGAUGGUUAGUGCGUAUAAGCCAGAUGGCCAGACUCAGAUCAAAUACCCAGAUCUCGUUAAGCGUGUUAUGUAUCCGCGAACACCGACCAGGGCCAGGACCACCUCUCUCCUACGUGGUCUGAACCUGCCCUGUCGCUCCGCCACAAAGUAACAGUCGGGGGCCGUCGGGAACCCAGGCCCACCUCUACCGGGAUGGAGCCACCUACCCCUUCAGCCCCAACUACGAACAGUACCACAGGUAAUGUAACAGUGUAAAGUAUAUAGUAAAUGCCCGUGAUCACCUCCCGAAGUGAUCACGGCCCAGUAGUAUAGCAUGGCAGACGGACAAGAGAGUAGGGCCACUGAUGGAACACUAGCAUCCUAUACUAAGCAGUAGGAUAGCAGGUAAUGGUAACAAUAGUAGUAGCAAGGACAGGCUAUGCAUCAGGAUAGGAAUAACGGAAAGCAGUAACAUGCUACACUACUUUAAUGCAAGCAGUAUAGAGAAGAGUAGGCGAUAUCUGGUGAUCAAAGGGGGGGCUUGCCUGGUUGCUAUGGCAAGAGAGAGCGGUCGUCAACACCGUAGUCGUACUGUGUAGCAGCGCCGUCAGUCUCGGUGUCUAGCGAGAGAAGAGGGGGAGGAAACAAUAAAUAUAAUGCAAACAAAUGCAUGAUGAUGCAUGACACGACAAAGCGUGAUGCUAGGUGUGCCCUAACGCGGUACGAGGUGGUACCGGUGAAGGGGGGAAACAUCCGGGAAAGUAUUCCCGGUGUUUCGCGUUUUCGGACAGAGGAGUCAGAGGGGGAAAGUUGCGUGUUCGGUAUGCUAGGGAGGCGUGGUGGACGAACGGGUUGUCUAUCCGAGUUCGUCUCGUCGUUCUGAGCAACUUUCAUGUUGAAAAUAAUUUAAUCCGAGUUACGUAUUAAAAGAUAUGGUUUUCUAAAGAUUUUACUAAUUUCUGGAAUUUAAUUAAUUAUUUAAUUUAAUUUGAAAUUUGGAUUUAUGACAUCAGCAUGAUGUCAUGCUGACAUCAGCAGUCAACAUGGGUUGACUAGGUCAACUGAUGCGUGGGUCCAGUGGGACCCACCUGUCAUACUAUAUUAGGUUAAUUAGGGUUUAGUUAAUUGAUUAGGCUAAUCUAAUCAGGAUUACUUUGUUUAAUUAAUUCUUUAAUUAAUUAAUUAUCAUUUUAACUAAUUUUAAUUAUUAUUUAUUAAUUCAUUCAUUUUUUUAAAUUAUUAUUUUUAUUUCGUUCUCGUUUCAGGGGGGCGUGGGGCCCCGCACACAGGGCCACCGCGAGGCUGUUGCCAGCGGGCGCUGGGGCGAUGGGUGCGGGCGCACCCGAGCGGGCACUCGCCCGCAGGGCGGGAUGAGCCGCCGGCGGGCAGCGACAGGCGCGUGCCAACCGGGCGGUGGCCGCGGCUGAUAGGGCGCAGGAAGGGGAGAGGCGAGAACGCGACGCACGGGGAAGCAGCAUCAGGGGCGAGGAGCACCACGGGACGAAGCGCAGCGGGCGCCGGUCNNNNNNNNNNNNNNNNNNNNNNNNNNNNNNNNNNNNNNNNNNNNNNNNNNNNNNNNNNNNNNNNNNNNNNNNNNNNNNNNNNNNNNNNNNNNNNNNNNNNNNNNNNNNNNNNNNNNNNNNNNNNNNNNNNNNNNNNNNNNNNNNNNNNNNNNNNNNNNNNNNNNNNNNNNNNNNNNNNNNNNNNNNNNNNNNNNNNNNNNNNNNNNNNNNNNNNNNNNNNNNNNNNNNNNNNNNNNNNNNNNNNNNNNNNNNNNNNNNNNNNNNNNNNNNNNNNNNNNNNNNNNNNNNNNNNNNNNNNNNNNNNNNNNNNNNNNNNNNNNNNNNNNNNNNNNNNNNNNNNNNNNNNNNNNNNNNNNNNNNNNNNNNNNNNNNNNNNNNNNNNNNNNNNNNNNNNNNNNNNNNNNNNNNNNNNNNNNNNNNNNNNNNNNNNNNNNNNNNNNNNNNNNNNNNNNNNNNNNNNNNNNNNNNNNNNNNNNNNNNNNNNNNNNNNNNNNNNNNNNNNNNNNNNNNNNNNNNNNNNNNNNNNNNNNNNNNNNNNNNNNNNNNNNNNNNNNNNNNNNNNNNNNNNNNNNNNNNNNNNNNNNNNNNNNNNNNNNNNNNNNNNNNNNNNNNNNNNNNNNNNNGGCCUGGGGUUUGUCCUAGCUAGCAGCUGGGCCGAGUGGCCCAGUGGGGGGGGGGUUGUUUUAUUCCUUUCCCUUUUAUACCUUUUCACACUUUUCUUCUUUUGUUUUAUUUUAGUUACACAUUAAUUUUAAUUUUUGACAAAUAUAUCUAUAGCCCCUAAAAUAAUGUUUCAGAACAAUCCACUACUAUAGAAAGUUUUACCCUGAUAAAAUAGUCUAGUAUUUUAUAAAAUACCAAACUCGUUUAAAUAGUUGUUUAGCUACUAUUUAAAUCAUUUUAGUGCUUUAAAUCUUUUUACUAAAAUGUGGUUCCUCCACCAUUUGGACUUAGGAUUUAUUUGUCCCAUUUUGAACAUUUUAGUCUUAACGUUUGAAGAAUUUACCGUUUGACUCGAUUUUGAAUUUGAAUUUGAAUCGGUGUCGAACUAACACGAGAUUAGCAACAGUAACCAUCGUGACGUGGCAUCAUUAACAGAGGUUUACUGUAUAUCAAAUACCCGGGCGUCACAAUUCUCCUCCACUACAAGAAAUCUCGUCCCGAGAUUUAAGAGGGGAGUAUGGGGGAAAGAUCUGGUUACGAAAUUCUAACGAGUCUUCUCGGUCUUGCUUGCUCUUGUCGAAAUGGUCGAUCCAUUAUGUUGAUGUUUUCAUUUCUCUGCUUCAGGUCAUCAUGGUGAAGUCGUCCUUUUCUUCGGGAACUCCAACGUGCUUACGAAUAGGUAAGGGGCAGCUUGGCUACGACAGAAUGCUUAUGAGGGAAACAAUCUGGUGAUAACCCAUGAAUGAACAUAAGAUUAUCUCUCGAGUUGAACAUAUAAAAUACAUCAAGAGUAAGGUACGAAGGUACCAUGAGAAGUUUCAAACGGAUAGGCAAUCGUUCGAUGUCUGAAACAACACGCGAAAGGGGUCCAGAGCAACGAGAUUGAGUAUUGCGUCUGUUACCAGAAUAGAUCACUAGGACGGUGGUCUGUGAAUUACAUACAAGGUCACGCACGAGGAAUAACUUUAGGAACAGGGGGUGUACAGGAGAGUCAGGUUCGAUCCUGUGGAACUGUGGGUUAUGGGCCCACCAUGUGGGUUAAAGUAGGAAGGGCAGUGACGUCUUGCAAGAUCAUGUAAGCAAGGCAUGUCAGAGGAUAGCCUGUCAGCUAUGUCGACGACAACAUCGAUACCAAGGGCGAGGGACGAAGAGAACCAUUUUCCUGCUCGUUGAACGAGGCGGACCAAUAAGAAAAGUUCUCGUCCAUCAGUGGUUACCAGAAUGUCAUCAACAAAGGUAAUAGGGUCUUUCUGACAGAGUGGUACAACGAGGUGACUGCUUAUAUAAUAUAGAUUACAAGAAGGUUUAAACAGAACAAUGGAAAGGAAAAUGUGUGUAAACACACAUUUCAAGGGUAUAUCCUUCCCAAGGACAAGCAAAGCAAGAUAUCCAUGAAAGGAUAUAAUGUAGAAAACUCUUUAGGUAAGGUGAGAGAAAUUUCAUGACAUUACCCAUACAAUGGUGUUUGGAUAAAUGAGCGAGAAACAUUUAGCAUUGGGCUUCAAAUGUUCUUUGUGGAAAAUUGGAGUACCACAGACAUGCUUCGAGAUAGCGUUGGCGUGGUAUUCAAGCAAAGGUCAGACUUAGGAUGCACAAAGGAUUCAUCAGGAACAACUUAUAGAAUAAGUCUUACCAUUUCUCAAGGAAGAAUAGAUAACCUUGCUAAAAAGAAAAACUAUAACAUUAGGUCCUCCGACCAGGUGGGCUAGGCAUGCUAUCACCUUACUGGGUUAUAUUGAUAACAAUGUUAUAACUCUUGGAAAUAUGUCUCAACCAUCAUAUCUGACCGAGAUUCAGAUCCGAUUGGUGUCAGGAUACAUCAGACAUCAGGAUGCCUGAGAAGAGAAGGUGCAACACAAUUUAACGAGAUGACACUGCGAGAAUCUCAGAAAUGAUCUAUGGAAGCGAGUUCCGAAGCAAGAGUUCAUCAUUAAACCAAGGAGAGGAUGAGGGGUGGCUGAUGAACUAACGGCAAUUCAUCGAGAUUUCCAAAAGAUGGAUUUCCACAAUCAUGUGAACAAAGAGUUAACAUUUGUCAGAUCAAACAAUAUAAUGAGGUGUGCUCGAGGAAAACAUACUCAAUUAAACAUUGGUGGAAAGCUGCACCCAAAAUAUGGGCUUAGGUAGCCUGAUCAAUGUUGGAACGGUGAUUCGAUAACCAAUAUUCUAAGAAUGAAAGGUCGACCAUUAACUUCAAAGCAAUAUGGUUGCUAGAAGUACAGAAUCCAAGCAACAACGUUCACCUGUUGGUAUCCCGGUUAGAAUCAACACGGGAACCAAGAAAGAAUGAUGAUGGUGAGGAGUAUCGCUAUACCAAGAAUUCUCAAGAGGUGGAGCAAUCCUCACAACAUACAUGUCAUCAAGGACAUUGAUACUUCAAGGUAGAAUAUCAUAAAAGCUAGAUAGCAAGUUGCAUCCAUAACAUGGACAAGUUUGUGUUGGGGGAAGGCAAGAAAGUGAUCGAUGAUAACACAAAUCAUCGAGGGCAAGGAUGGUACUUUUCAUUAUGAAUUCGAUUGAUAUCCUGCAAGAGCUCAAGAUGUGGGUGCUGAUGACGACACAUUUGUCGAGAGAUUUCAUGAAGAUGUAGUCUAUCGGCGAUGACAUCAAGUCAAAGGAAUUAUGAAGCAAAAGGUUAUCGGAACCAUGGGUACGACACAAACUCAAAAUCAAGCUUGUUGUUCAAGGUGAAAGAUAUGACGAGAAAGAUCAACGUAAGCUUAGCUCAUCGUUGAAAGUUGUGUUCCGGGAAGAAGGACCAGGUAGCACAGUUAAAAUUUAGCACGGUAAUGAUAUAGCCAACCGGGCUAGGAAUGACUUGAAGGAUUAUUAAACUCAUAAGCAGUAAAAAUUACUUAUAGUUAUUGAAUCGAAGUACAGACUCGAUUCACUGUCGGUGUCCUUGAGUGUCUAACAACUCAGAACCCGGGGAAAAUUUUGGAACCAGUGAGAAAUAAUACUUGAAGAAUAACUCAUAAGAAGUUAUGCAGUUCCAUGAUAAUCUCGAGAUACCAGGGGGUAAUACUCGACGACAGAUCAAAGUAGAGGUUGGACUAGGGAUUGCUCUGUAGAAGACAAGUGCUCAAACUUGCACGAGAAAUGGAAUCAAGGAGAAACAUGGUCGAAACCUCGUCCACAGGUACAAGAUGAACUUAUAACAAGUGGACAAUUAUUUUAAGAGAAGCUUCCAUGAUAAGGUAUACAUCGUGUCCAUGGGCAUGAACACAGGGUUCAAGGUCGACUCCCACUUAUUCAACACAUAACCUUUCAUGCACCUCUCGUAUUUCAAAAAUGACAUUAGUUCUUGAAAGUUUUUACCUGGUGCAAUACCAGAUACAUAUUACCCGUGAAAUCUUUCGGGUUCACACGGAUUAGGCAAGGCGUAGGUUCAACCCAUCAGGGCAUCUUAGGAACAUAUACCACAAACUUCGGAGUAAAUAAUACAAGCUUGAAAGUAGAGCAUGGUUGACAAAAGGGGAGGAUACAAUUUACCACAGGCAUUAUGUAUCGGAGAAAGAACUCACAAGGUGAUUAAUUUUGAAGGACACUGUCGGAUAAUAAUCCAACAGUGGAAUUGGCGAUCCACAAUGGAGCUGAUGUGAGUAUCGAUACCCAAUCAGAGGAAGAAAGAAUGCAAAUGCAUCGGUUUAUAGAACAUCUGAAUAAUUCAACGUUUAAAUAGCAAAGGAAUUAUGAUUUUCAAAUCAAGGGAUCGGGAGCAAAUGCUCUGAUUAGGGAUGGGUAAGUAGAAUAGCCUUAGGGGUACAUGCGACGACAUUUGGAUUUGUUGAGAACCAGCUCAUGUUUAAAAUGACGUCUGAGCCGGAAUGAUAAUUUAAAAGGAUCAACUGAUGAUUGCGUGCAUUCGCACUCAUGUUGAGUCAAUAGGAUCAAAAAGACGAUGCCUAAGGAUACUAACGAAUAUUUCCAGACAUAUGGAAAGCAUCCAUAAUGCAAGCAGGCAAGUAUUGCAGAGCAAUAAGCUACUAAGGAUUUUUGGAGGAUCGAAUAGUAUUUUGAAGACCAUUGUGAAACACAUGAACAACUGGGGAUGAGUGGAUACUCGACAAGUGCGAGGAUUUAAUUGAAGGGGUAUUCAUGUGGCAAGGAACUGCUAGGCAGUAGGCACAAAGUAUUCUCGGAACAAUAGAGAGAAUUUUGGGGCAUCUUGUAAUAACAAGAUCAAUGAGGAAUGAUUAUAUGAAUAGCACAUGUAGGUGGUUAUCCAUAGAGGUCUAUCGAUAGAAGGGAAUUGCAAAAGCAACAGGCACAAGGUCUCGACAGAAUAUCGGAGAGUAUCUUCGAAAUCUUCUAGUGUAGUCGGCGAUCAUCUGGAUUGAAAGGGCUCUCCGGGAGAAAGUAUUUUCGAGAACCUAAGUUAGAUUUUUAGUAAAUUCAUUAAACCCGAAUAGGAGGGAGUUCAGAGUCCCAGAGCAUAGACGAGGAAUAAAAGAUCCUAAUACCACCCAAUGGCGACGUGGGCCCAUAGGCCACACAGCCAUGUUAGUAAAGGUUUUGCAAUGACUAGACUCAACUUCGGCCAAGGAGGUGGAAAGGGGAUUCCUACAGGCAGUCGGCUCUGAUACCAACUUGUGACACCCCCGAUUUAAUCGUACACUAAUCAUACACGCAAACGUGUACGAUCAAGAUCAGGGACUCACGGGAAGAUAUCACAACACAACUCUACAAAUAAAAUAAGUCAUACAAGCAUCAUAUUACAAGCCAGGCGCCUCGAAGGCUCGAAUACAAGAGCUCGAUCAUAGACGAGUCAGCGGAAGCAACAAUAUCUGAGUACAGACAUAAGUUAAACAAGUUUGCCUUAAGAAGGCUAGCACAAACUGGGAUACAGAUCGAAAGAGGCGCAUGCCUCCUGCCUGGGAUCCUCCUAACUACUCCUGGUCGUCGUUCUGAGGGCAGCACAUAGUAGUAGGCACCUCCAGUGUAGUAGGAGUCGUCGUCGACGAUGGCGUCUGGAUCCUGGGCUCCAGCAUCUGGUUGCGACAACCAGGUAGAAGGGAUAGAGGGAAAAGAAGGAGAAAGCAACCGUCAGUACUCAUCCAAAGUACUCGCAAGCAAGGAGCUACACUACAUAUGUAUGCGUUGGUAUCAACUGGAAUAAGGCUAUUAUAUGUGGAUUGAACUGCAGAAAGCCGGAAUACGAGGGGGAUAGCUAGUCCUUUCGAAGACUACGCUUCCGGUAACCUCCAGCUUGCAGCAUGUAGAAGAGAGUAGACGGAAGUCCUCCAAGUAGCAUCGCAUAGCAUAAACCUAACCGAUGAUCCUCCCCUCGUCGCCCUAUGAGAGAGCGAUCACCGGUUUUAUCUGGCUCUUGGAAGGGUGUGUUUUAUUACGGUUCUAGUUGUCAUAAGGUCAAGGUACAACUCCGGGUCGUCCUUUUACCGAGGGACACGGCUAUUCGAAUAGAUAAACUUCCCUGCAGGGGUGCACCACAUAACCCAACACGCUCGAUCCCAUUUGGCCGAACACACUUUUCUAGGUCAUGCCCGUCCUCGGAAGAUCAACACGUCGCAGCCCUACCUAGGCACAACAGAGAGGUCAGCACGCCGGUCUAAAUCCUAUGGCGCAGGGGUCUGGCCCCAUCGCCCUUUGCACACCUGCAUGUUGCGGACGCGGCCGGAAGCAGACCUAGCCUAGUGGCGUUCUAGUCCAAUCCGGCGCGCGCCACUCAGUCGCUGACGUCACGAAGGCUUCGGCUGAUACCACGACGUUGAGUGCCCAUAACUGUCCCCACGUAGAUGGUUAGUGCGUAUAAGCCAGAUGGCCAGACUCAGAUCAAAUACCCAGAUCUCGUUAAGCGUGUUAAGUAUCUGCGAACGCCGACCAGGGCCAGGCCCACCUCUCUCCUAGGUGGUCUGAACCUGCCCGGUCGCUUCGCCACAAAGUAACAGUCGGGGGCCGUCGGGAACCCAGGCCCACCUCUACCGGGAUGGAGCCACCUGCCCCUUUAGCCCCCAACUCCGAACAGUACCAUAGGUAAUGUAACAGUGUAAAGUAUAUAGUAAAUGCCCGUGAUCACCUCCCGAAGUGAUCACGGCCCAGUAGUAUAGCAUGGCAGACGGACAAGAGUGUAGGGCCACUAAUGGAACACUAGCAUCCUAUACUAAGCAGUAGGAUAGCAGGUAAUGGUAAUAAUAUUAGUAGCAAGGACAGGCUAUGCAUCAGGAUAGGAAUAACGGAAAGCAGUAACAUGCUACACUACUCUAAUGCAAGCAGUAUAGAGAAGAGUAGGCGAUAUCUGGUGAUCAAAGGGGGGGCUUGCCUGGUUGCUCUGGCAAGAGAGAGGGGUCGUCAACACCGUAGUCGUACUGUGUAGCAGCAACGUCGGUCUCGGUGUCUAGCGAGAGAAGAGGGGGAGGAAACAAUAAAUAUAAUGCAAACAAAUGCAUGACGAUGCAUGACACGACAAAGCGUGAUGCUAGGUGUGCCCUAACGUGGUACGAGGUGGUACCGGUGAAGGGGGGAAACAUCCGAGAAAGUAUUCCCGGUGUUUCACAUUUACGGACAGAGGAGUCAGAGGGGGAAAGUUGCGUGUUCGGUAUGCUAGGGAGGCGUGGUGGACGAACGAGUUGCGUAUCCGGGUUCGUCUCGUCGUUCUGAGCAACUUUCAUGUUGAAAAUAAUUUAAUCCGAGUUACGUAUUAAAAGAUAUGGUUUUCUAAAGAUUUUACUAAUUUCUGGAAUUUAAUUAAUUAUUUAAUUUAAUUUGAAAUAUGGAUUUAUGACAUCAGCAUGAUGUCAUGCUGACAUCAGCAGUCAACAUGGGUUGACUGGGUCAACUGACGCGUGGGUCCAGUGGGACCCAUGAAGGAAAUAUGCCCUAGAGGCAAUAAUAAAGUUAUUAUUUAUUUCCUUAUAUCAUGAUAAGAGUUUAUUAUUCAUGCUAGAAUUGUAUUAACCGGAAACAUAAUACAUGUGUGAAUACAUAGACCAACAGAGUGUCACUAGUAUGCCUCUACUUGACUAGCUCGUUAAUCAAAGAUGGUUAUGUUUCCUAACCAUGAACAAAGAGUUGUUAUUUGUUUAACGAGGUCACAUCAUUAGUAGAAUGAUCUGAUUGACAUGACCCAAUCCAUUAGCUUAGCACCCGAUCGUUUAGUAAGUUGCUAUUGCUUUCUUCAUGACUUAUACAUGUUCCUAUAACUAUGAGAUUAUGCAACUCCCGUUUACCGGAGGAACACUUUGGGUACUACCAAACGUCACAACGUAACUGGGUGAUUAUAAAGGAGUAUUACAGGUGUCUCCAAUGGUAGAUGUUGGGUUGGCGUAUUUCGAGAUUAGGGUUUGUCACUCCGAUUGACGGAGAGGUAUCUCUGGGCCCUCUCGGUAAUACACAUCACAUAAGCCUUGCAAGCACUGCAACUAAUAAGUUAGUUGUGAGAUGAUGUAUUACGGAACGAGUAAAGAGACUUGCCGGUAACGAGAUUGAACUAGGUAUUGGAUACCGACGAUCGAAUCUCGGGCAAGUAACAUACCGAUGACAAAGGGAACAACGUAUGUUGUUAUGCGGUCUGACCGAUAAAGAUCUUUGUAGAAUAUGUAGGAGCCAAUAUGGGCAUCCAGGUCCCGCUAUUGGUUAUUGACCGGAAGCGUGUCUCGGUCAUGUCUACAUUGUUCUCGAACCGUAGGGUCCGCACGCUUAACGUUACGAUGACAGUUAUUAUGAGUUUAUGCAUUUUGAUGUACCGAAGGUUGUUCGGAGUCCCGGAUGAGAUCACGGACAUGACGAGGAGUCUCGAAAUGGUCGAGACGUAAAGAUUGAUAUAUUGGAAGCCUAUGUUUGGGCACCGGAAGCGUUCCGGGUGAAAUCGGGAUUUUACCGGAAUACCGGGAGGGUUACCGGAACCCCCCGGGAGACUAAUGGGCCUAUUGGGCCUUAGUGGAAAAGAGAAAAGGGAAGCCCACUAGCUGGCCAGCGCCCCCCUAGAGUCCUAUUAGGAAUAGGACAAGGGGCCGGCCCCCCUUCUCUCUCUUUUUCCCCGGGAGUCCUAAUAGGAUUAGGAUUAGGGGGAGGAGUCCUACUCCCGGUGGGAGUAGGACUCCCCUGCGCCUCCUCUCUCCUAGCCGGCCGAACCCCCUGCCCCUGGCCUUUUAUAUACGGGGGCAGGGGGCACCCCAAGACACACAACUUGAUCCUUGAGAUCGUUCCUUAGCCGUGUGCGGUGCCCCCUGCCACCAAAUUCCACCUCGAUCGUACCGUUGUAGUGCUUAGGCGAAGCCCUGCGUCAGUAGUACAUCAAGAUCGUCAACACGCCAUCGUGCUGACGGAACUCUUCCUCGACGCUUUGCUGGAUCGGAGCCCGAGGAACGUCAUCGAGCUGAACGUGUGCUAAGAACUCGGAGGUACCGGAGUAACGGUGCUUGGAUCGGUCGGAUCGGGAAGAAGACGUACGACUACUUCCUCUACGUUGUGUGAUCGCUUCCGCAGUCGGUCUGCGUUGGUACGUAGACAACACUCUCCUCUCUCGUUGCUGUGCAUCACCAUGAUCUUGCGUGUGCGUAGGAAAAUUUUUGAAAUUACUGCGUUACCGAACAGUGGCAUCUGAGCCUGGUUUUAUGGUUUGAUGUUAUAUGCACGAGUAGAACACAAGUGAGUUGUGGGCGAUACAAGUCAGACUGCCUACCAGCAUGUCAUACUUUGGUUCGGCGGUAUUGUUGGUUGAGACGAUCCGGACCAACCUUACGCGUACUCUUACGCGAGACCGGUUCCCUCGACGUGCUUUGCACAUAGAUGGCUUGCGGAAGACUGUCUCUCCAACUUUAGUUGAACCAAGUGUGACUACGCCCGGUCCUUGAGAAGGUUAAAACAGAGUCUAUUUGACGAACUAUCGUUGUGGUUUUGAUGCGUAGGUGAGAUGAGUUCUUACUUAAGCCCGUAGCAGCCACGUAAAACUUGCAACAACAAAGUAGAGGACGUCUAACUUGUUUUUGCAGUGUAUGUUGUGAUGUGAUAUGGUCAAGGCAUGAUGCUGAUUUUAUUGUAUGAGAUGAUCAUGUUUUGUAACUAAGUUAUCGGCAACUGGCAGGAGCCAUAUGGUUGUCGCUUUAUUGUAUGCAAUGCAAUCGCGAUGUAAUGCUUUACUAGAUUACUAAACGGUAGUAAUAGUCGUGGAAGCAUAAGAUUGGCAAGACGACAACGAUGCUACGAUGGAGAUCAAAGUGUCGCGCCGGUGACGAUGGUGAUCAUGACGGUGCUUCGGAGAUGGAGAUCACAAGCACAAGAUGAUGAUGGCCAUAUCAUAUCACUUAUAUUGAUUGCAUGUGAUGUUUAUCCUUUUAUGCAUCUUAUCUUGCUUUGAUUGACGGUAGCAUUAUAAGAUGAUCUCUCACUAAAUUAUCAAGAAGUGUUCUCCCUGAGUAUGCACCGUUGCCAAAGUUCGUCGUGCCCAGACACCACGUGAUGAUCGGGUGUGAUAAGCUCUACGUCCAUCUACAACGGGUGCAAGCCAGUUUUGCACACGCAGAAUACUCAGGUUAUACUUGACGAGCCUAGCAUAUGCAGAUAUGGCCUCGGAACACAGAGACCGAAAGGUCGAGCGUGAAUCAUAUAGUAGAUAUGAUCAACAUAACGAUGUUCACCAUUGAAAACUACUCCAUCUCACGUGAUGAUCGGUUAUGGUUUAGUUGCUUUGGAUCACGUGAUCACUUAGAAGAUUAGAGGGAUGUCUAGCUAAGUGGGAGUUCCUAAGUAAUUUGAUUAACUGAACUUAAACUUAUCAUGAACUUAGUACCUGAUAGUAUCUUGCUUGUUUAUGUUGCUUGUAGAUAGAUGGCUCGUGCUAUUGUUCCGUUGAAUUUUAAUGCGUUCCUUGAGAAAGCAAAGUUGAAAGAUGAUGGUAGCAAUUACACGGACUGGGUCUGUAACCUGAGGAUUAUCCUCAUUGCUGCACAGAAGAAUUACGUCCUGGAAGCACCGCUGGGUGACAGGCCUGCUGCUGGAGCAACGCCAGAUGUUAUGAACGUCUGGCAGAGCAAAGCUGAUGACUACUCGAUAGUUCAGUGUGCCAUGCUUUACGGCUUAGAAUCGGGACUUCAACGACGUUUUGAACGUCAUGGAGCAUAUGAGAUGUUCCAGGAGUUGAAGUUAAUAUUUCAAGCAAAUGCCCGAAUUGAGAGAUAUGAAGUCUCCAAUAAGUUCUAUAGCUGUAAGAUGGAGGAGAACAGUUCUGUCAGUGAGCAUAUACUCAAAAUGUCUGGGUAUAAUAAUCACUUGAUUCAGAUGGGAGUUAAUCUUCCAGAUGAUUGCAUCAUUGACAGAAUUCUCCAAUCACUACCACCAAGCUACAAGAGCUUCGUGAUGAACUAUAAUAUGCAAGGGAUGAACAAGACUAUUCCCGAGCUCUUCGCAAUGCUGAAAGCUGCGGAGGUAGAAAUCAAAAAGGAGCAUCAAGUGUUGAUGGUUAGCAAGACCACUAGUUUCAAGAAAAAGGGUAAAGGGAAGAAGAAGGGAAACUUCAAGAAGAACAGCAAGCAAGUUGCUGCUCAAGAGAAGAAACCCAAGUCUGGACCUAAGCCUGAAGCUGAGUGCUUCUACUGCAAGCAGACUGGUCACUGGAAGCGGAACUGCCCCAAGUAUUUGGCGGAUAAGAAGGAUGGCAAAGUGAGCAAAGGUAUAUGUGAUAUACAUGUUAUUGAUGUGUACCUUACUAGAGCUCGCAGUAGCACCUGGGUAUUUGAUACUGGUUCUGUUGCUAAUAUUUGCAACUCGAAACAGGGACUACGGAAUAAGCGGACACUAGCAAAGGACGAGGUGACGAUGCGCGUGGGAAACGGUUCCAAAGUCGAUGUGAUCGCGGUCGGCACGCUGCCUCUACAUCUACCUUCGGGAUUAAUAUUAGACCUAAAUAAUUGUUAUUUGGUGCCAGCGUUGAGCAUGAACAUUAUAUCUGGAUCUUGUUUAAUGCGAGACGGUUAUUCAUUUAAAUCAGAGAAUAAUGGUUGUUCUAUUUAUAUGAAUAAUAUCUUUUAUGGUCAUGCACCUUUGAAGAGUGGUCUAUUCUUGUUGAAUCUCGAAGAUAGUGAUACACAUAUUCAUAAUGUAGAAGCCAAAAGAUGCAAAGUUAAUAAUGAUAGUGCAACUUAUUUGUGGCACUGCCGUUUAGGUCAUAUCGGUGUAAAGCGCAUGAAGAAACUCCAUACUGAUGGGCUUUUGGAAUCACUUGAUUAUGAAUCACUUGGUACUUGCGAACCGUGCCUCAUAGGCAAGAUGACUAAAACACCGUUCUCCGGUACUAUGGAGAGAGCAACAGAUUUGUUGGAAAUCAUACAUACCGAUGUAUGUGGUCCGAUGAAUAUUGAGGCUCGCGGCGGAUAUCGUUAUUUUUCACCUUCACAGAUGAUUUAAGCAGAUAUGGGUAUAUCUACUUAAUGAAACACAAGUCUGAAACAUUUGAAAAGUUCAAGGAAUUUCAGAGUGAAGUUGAAAAUCAUCGUAACAAGAAAAUAAAAUUUCUACGAUCUGAUCGUGGAGGAGAAUAUUUGAGUUACGAGUUUGGUGUACAUUUGAAAAAUUGUGGAAUAGUUUCGCAACUCACGCCACCCGGAACACCACAGCGUAAUGGUGUGUCCGAACGUCGUAAUCGUACUUUACUAGAUAUGGUGCGAUCAAUGAUGUCUCUUACUGAUUUACCGCUAUCGUUUUGGGGUUAUGCUUUAGAGACGGCCGCAUUCACGUUAAAUAGGGCACCAUCAAAAUCCGUUGAGACGACGCCUUAUGAACUAUGGUUUGGCAAGAAACCAAAGUUGUCGUUUCUCAAAGUUUGGGGCUGCGAUGCUUAUGUGAAAAAGCUUCAACCUGAUAAGCUCGAACCCAAAGCGGAGAAAUGUGUCUUCAUAGGAUACCCAAAGGAAACUGUUGGGUAUACCUUCUAUCACAGAUCCGAAGGCAAGACAUUCGUUGCUAAGAAUGGAUCAUUUCUAGAGAAGGAGUUUCUCUCGAAAGAAGUGAGUGGGAGGAAAGUAGAACUUGACGAGGUAACUAUACCUGCUCCCUUAUUGGAAAGUAGUACAUCACAGAAAACUGUUUCUGCGACACCUAUACCAAUCAGUGAGAAAGCUAAUGAUGAUGAUCAUGAAGCUUCAGAACAAGAUACUACUGAACCACGUAGAUCAACCAGAGUGAGAUCCGCACCAGAGUGGUACGGUAAUCCACUUCUGGAAGUCAUGAUGCUAGAUCAUGAUGAACCUACGAACUAUGAAGAAGCGAUGGUGAGCCCAGAUUCCGCAAAGUGGCUUGAGGCCAUGAAAUCUGAGAUGGGAUCCAUGUAUGAGAACAAAGUAUGGACUUUGGUUGACUUGCCCGAUGAUCGGCAAGCAAUUGAGAAUAAAUGGAUCUUCAAGAAAAAGACUGACGCUGACGGUAAUGUUACUGUCUAUAAAGCUCGACUUGUCGCAAAAGGUUUUCGACAAGUUCAAGGGGUUGACUACGAUGAGACUUUCUCACCCGUAGCGAUGCUUAAAUCCGUCAGAAUUAUGUUAGCAAUUGCCGCAUUUUAUAAUUAUGAAAUAUGGCAGAUGGAUGUCAAAGCUGCAUUCCUGAAUGGAUUUCUGGAAGAAGAGUUGUAUAUGGUACAACCAGAAGGUUUUGUCGAUCCAAAAGGAGCUAACAAAGUAUGCAAACUCCAGCGAUCCAUUUAUGGACUGGUGCAAGCAUCUCGGAGUUGGAAUAAACGCUUUGAUAGUGUGAUCAAAGCAUUUGGCUUUAUACAGACUUUUGGAGAAGCCUGUAUUUACAAGAAAGUGAGUGGGAGCUCUGUAGCAUUUCUGAUAUUAUAUGUGGAUGACAUAUUGCUGAUUGGAAAUGAUAUAGAAUUUUUGGAUAGCAUAAAGGGAUACUUGAAUAAAAGUUUUUCGAUGAAAGACCUUGGGGAAGCUGCUUACAUAUUAGGCAUAAAGAUCUAUAGAGAUAGAUCAAAACGCUUAAUUGGACUUUCACAGAGCACAUACCUUGACAAGAUUUUGAAGAAAUUCAAAAUGGAUCAAGCAAAGAAAGGGUUCUUGCCUGUGUUACAAGGUGUGAAGUUGAGUAAGACUCAAUGCCCGACCACUGCAGAAGAUAGAGAGAAAAUGAAAGAUGUUACCUAUGCUUCAGCCAUAGGCUCUAUCAUGUAUGCAAUGCUGUGUACCAGACCUGAUGUGUGCCUUGCUAUAAGUUUAGCAGGGAGGUACCAAAGUAAUCCUGGAAUGGAUCACUGGACAGCGGUCAAGAACAUCCUAAAAUACCUGAAAAGGACUAAGGAUAUGUUUCUCGUAUAUGGAGGUGACAAAGAGCUCACCGUAAGAGGUUACGUUGAUGCAAGCUUUGACACUGAUCCGGACGAUUCUAAAUCGCAAACCGGAUACGUGUUUACUUUAAACGGUGGAGCUGUCAGUUGGUGCAGUUCUAAACAAAGCGUCGUAGCGGGAUCUACAUGUGAAGCGGAGUACAUAGCCGCUUCGGAAGCAGCGAACGAAGGAGUCUGGAUGAAGGAGUUCAUAUCCGAUCUAGGUGUCAUACCUAGUGCAUCGGGUCCAAUGAAAAUCUUCUGUGACAAUACUGGUGCAAUUGCCUUGGCAAAGGAAUCCAGAUUUCACAAGAGGACCAAACACAUCAAGAGACGCUUCAACUCCAUCCGGGAUUUAGUCCAGGUGGGAGACAUAGAGAUUUGCAAGAUACAUACGGAUCUGAAUGUUCCAGACCCGUUGACUAAGCCUCUUCCACGAGCAAAACAUGAUCAGCACCAAGGCUCCAUGGGUGUUAGAAUCAUUACUGUAUAAUCUAGAUUAUUGACUCUAGUGCAAGUGGGAGACUGAAGGAAAUAUGCCCUAGAGGCAAUAAUAAAGUUAUUAUUUAUUUCCUUAUAUCAUGAUAAGAGUUUAUUAUUCAUGCUAGAAUUGUAUUAACCGGAAACAUAAUACAUGUGUGAAUACAUAGACCAACAGAGUGUCACUAGUAUGCCUCUACUUGACUAGCUCGUUAAUCAAAGAUGGUUAUGUUUCCUAACCAUGAACAAAGAUUUGUUAUUUGUUUAACGAGGUCACAUCAUUAGUAGAAUGAUCUGAUUGACAUGACCCAAUCCAUUAGCUUAGCACCCGAUCGUUUAGUAAGUUGCUAUUGCUUUCUUCAUGACUUAUACAUGUUCCUAUAACUAUGAGAUUAUGCAACUCCCGUUUACCGGAGGAACACUUUGGGUACUACCAAACGUCACAACGUAACUGGGUGAUUAUAAAGGAGUAUUACAGGUGUCUCCAAUGGUAGAUGUUGGGUUGGCGUAUUUCGAGAUUAGGGUUUGUCACUCCGAUUGACGGAGAGGUAUCUCUGGGCCCUCUCGGUAAUACACAUCACAUAAGCCUUGCAAGCACUGCAACUAAUAAGUUAGUUGUGAGAUGAUGUAUUACGGAACGAGUAAAGAGACUUGCCGGUAACGAGAUUGAACUAGGUAUUGGAUACCGACGAUCGAAUCUCGGGCAAGUAACAUACCGAUGACAAAGGGAACAACGUAUGUUGUUAUGCGGUCUGACCGAUAAAGAUCUUCGUAGAAUAUGUAGGAGCCAAUAUGGGCAUCCAGGUCCCGCUAUUGGUUAUUGACCGGAAGCGUGUCUCGGUCAUGUCUACAUUGUUCUCGAACCGUAGGGUCCGCACGCUUAACGUUACGAUGACAGUUAUUAUGAGUUUAUGCAUUUUGAUGUACCGAAGGUUGUUCGGUGUCCCGGAUGAGAUCACGGACAUGACGAGGAGUCUCGAAAUGGUCGAGACGUAAAGAUUGAUAUAUUGGAAGCCUAUGUUUGGGCACCGGAAGCGUUCCGGGUGAAAUCGGGAUUUUACCGGAAUACCGGGAGGGUUACCGGAACCCCCCGGGAGACUAAUGGGCCUAUUGGGCCUUAGUGGAAAAGAGAAAAGGGAAGCCCACUAGCUGGCCGGCGCCCCCUAGAGUCCUAUUAGGAAUAGGACAAGGGGCCGGCCCCCCUUCUCUCUCUUUUUCCCCGGGAGUCCUAAUAGGAUUAGGAUUAGGGGGAGGAGUCCUACUCCCGGUGGGAGUAGGACUCCCCUGCGCCUCCUCUCUCCUCGCCGGCCGAACCCCCUGCCCCUGGCCUUUAUAUACGGGGGCAGGGGGCACCCCAAGACACACAACUUGAUCCUUGAGAUCGUUCCUUAGCCGUGUGCGGUGCCCCCUGCCACCAAAUUCCACCUCGAUCGUACCGUUGUAGUGCUUAGGCGAAGCCCUGCGUCGGUAGUACAUCAAGAUCGUCAUCACGCCGUCGUGCUGACGGAACUCUUCCUCGACGCUUUGCUGGAUCGGAGCCCGAGGAACGUCAUCGAGCUGAACGUGUGCUAAGAACUCGGAGGUACCGGAGUAACGGUGCUUGGAUCGGUCUGAUCGGGAAGAAGACGUACGACUACUUCCUCUACGUUGUGUGAUCGCUUCCGCAGUCGGUCUGCGUUGGUACGUAGACAACACUCUCCUCUCUCGUUGCUGUGCAUCACCAUGAUCUUGCGUGUGCGUAGGAAAUUUUUUGAAAUUACUGCGUUACCCAACAACCCACCUGUCAUACUCUGUUAGGUUAAUUAGGGUUUAGUUAAUUGAUUAGGCUAAUCUAAUCAGGAUUACUUUGUUUAAGUAAUUCUUCAAUUAAUUAAUUAUCAUUUUAACUAAUUUAAUUAUUAUUUAUUAAUUCAUUCAUUUUUUUAAAUUAUUAUUUUUAUUUCGUUCUCGUUUCAGGGGGGCGUGGGGCCCCGCACACGGGGCCACCGCGGGGCUGUUGCCAGCGGGCGCUGGGGCGCUGGGUGCGGGCGCACCCGAGCGGGCACUCGCCCGCAGGGCGGGACGAGGCUGCCGAGGCAUCGACAGCGGGGCAAGCCNNNNNNNNNNNNNNNNNNNNNNNNNNNNNNNNNNNNNNNNNNNNNNNNNNNNNNNNNNNNNNNNNNNNNNNNNNNNNNNNNNNNNNNNNNNNNNNNNNNNNNNNNNNNNNNNNNNNNNNNNNNNNNNNNNNNNNNNNNNNNNNNNNNNNNNNNNNNNNNNNNNNNNNNNNNNNNNNNNNNNNNNNNNNNNNNNNNNNNNNNNNNNNNNNNNNNNNNNNNNNNNNNNNNNNNNNNNNNNNNNNNNNNNNNNNNNNNNNNNNNNNNNNNNNNNNNNNNNNNNNNNNNNNNNNNNNNNNNNNNNNNNNNNNNNNNNNNNNNNNNNNNNNNNNNNNNNNNNNNNNNNNNNNNNNNNNNNNNNNNNNNNNNNNNNNNNNNNNNNNNNNNNNNNNNNNNNNNNNNNNNNNNNNNNNNNNNNNNNNNNNNNNNNNNNNNNNNNNNNNNNNNNNNNNNNNNNNNNNNNNNNNNNNNNNNNNNNNNNNNNNNNNNNNNNNNNNNNNNNNNNNNNNNNNNNNNNNNNNNNNNNNNNNNNNNNNNNNNNNNNNNNNNNNNNNNNNNNNNNNNNNNNNNNNNNNNNNNNNNNNNNNNNNNNNNNNNNNNNNNNNNNNNNNNNNNNNNNNNNNNNNNNNNNNNNNNNNNNNNNNNNNNNNNNNNNNNNNNNNNNNNNNNNNNNNNNNNNNNNNNNNNNNNNNNNNNNNNNNNNNNNNNNNNNNNNNNNNNNNNNNNNNNNNNNNNNNNNNNNNNNNNNNNNNNNNNNNNNNNNNNNNNNNNNNNNNNNNNNNNNNNNNNNNNNNNNNNNNNNNNNNNNNNNNNNNNNNNNNNNNNNNNNNNNNNNNNNNNNNNNNNNNNNNNNNNNNNNNNNNNNNNNNNNNNNNNNNNNNNNNNNNNNNNNNNNNNNNNNNNNNNNNNNNNNNNNNNNNNNNNNNNNNNNNNNNNNNNNNNNNNNNNNNNNNNNNNNNAGUGGCCCAGUGGGGGGGGGGGUUGUUUUAUUCCUUUCCCUUUUAUACCUUUUCACACUUUUCUUCUUUUGUUUUAUUUUAGUUACACGUUAAUUUUAAUUUUAGACAAAUAUAUCUAUAGCCCCUAAAAUAAUGUUUCAGAACAAUCCACUACUAUAAAAAGUUUUACCCUGAUAAAAUAGUCUAGUAUUUUAUAAAAUACCAAAGUCGUUUAAAUAGUUGUUUAGCUACUAUUUAAAUCAUUUUAGUGCUUUAAAUCAUUUUACUAAAAUGUGGUUCCUCCACCAUUUGGACUUAGGAUUUAUUUGUCCCAUUUUGAACAUUUUAGUCUUGACGUUUGAAGAAUUUACCGUUUGACUCGAUUUUGAAUUUGAAUUUGAAUCGGUGUCGAACUAACACGAGAUUAGCAACAGUAACCAUCAUGACGUGGCAUCAUUAACAGAGGUUUACUGUAUCUCAAAUACCCGGGCGUCACAAUGUGCCUAAUAUUGCAGGAGAUGAGGUGGCUCUGGCUGCAUUAAAAUUUUUAGCCCAAAAUAAGAAGAUUAGUGAUAUUUUCCUUGAGCAACACGACAAGGGAUUGGUUCCUCAUUAUGAGGCAAUAAUAGCUAGGGUUUUGAAAGAAGACCAAGUGUUGCCGAUUGAUCAAAUUGUCGAGAGAAAAUAUUCAACAAUGAUGCAGAUGCCUUCACCUAUCAUUGCAACAUGUUAUACACCCCCUGUACAAGCGCAAAAUUUCGGCAACAUCAAUUCAUUGCCGAAAGAUCCUAAAAGUAUUGGGGGGCAAGCCGAUCCAAGCAGGGUUGAGUUUAAAGAAAAAUAUCUAGCCCAGGUGGACAAGAUCAAGCCAAAGCUCACAGGGAAUAGAGUCAACGAAUUUACUACACCUACCCUUGAGGAAUUACCAGCAGAAUAUCAACAGGCCUACGAAGCACUCAAGAAGAAACGUGGAGAGAGAUAUUUGCAAGAAUACGUCAAGUGCCUUCCUCCAUGUAGCAACCAUGUUGGCCCUUCUACACUAUUGAGGCAAGAUAAAAAAGAAGCUUUGCAAGCAAACCAGCAAAAAAGGAUUCACUCGGCUAAUACGGUGGAUUCGGUUGAAACCGGAUUGAGCAACAGGAUGUUUAAGGCCGAGUGCGUUGCAUCGUGCCAGCCGAGUGCAUCGUUCCAGACGAGUGCAUCACCAGCUAAAGCCGAGUGCAUCAAGCCAACUAUUGCCUCGUGUACGAAAAUAGAAGAUGCAAGCUUGGCUGAGCAAAGGAACGACAAACGCAACAAAUUGGUUGUGCUCGAUUUUUCUGGAUGUAAGGGAGCUUACAUGCUACCUUAUGAGUUUCAUGCUAAAGAUAUUGAUGAGCAUCAAGAACACAGUAAUGGCUGAACACAGUUCAGUUAACGAUGAACAUCAAGACCAAGAAAAUGCGGCCGAGCAAAGUUCAACUGACAAAGAGCGUCCGAGUGAAAUCCACUCGGGCAAUCCGACUGAAAUAUACUCGGGCAAUUCAAGUGAAAUAUACUCGGGCAACCUGAGUGAUGAGGCACCAGAUCCAGAAAAAGAGGAAGAGGCAUUGGAGAAUUAUUCAGAAGUGGAGCAAUGUAUUGUUCCAGUGGUACAACCAUCUUCUCCUUCCAACGUCUUCACAAAGGUACACCUAGCAGAUAGUUUACUCAAUUUUCGAUUUGGUCAAAAUCAUAUUGUUGAUGCACCUAUUAGUAAGAUUCUAAUUAAUUUUGAAAGACCAAUUGAAAUGAGUAAUCUUUUUGUUAGGAAGGAUCUUGUCACUAAUCAUGAUAGUCAACACAUGGUAUCGUUCAUAGAGGUUAAUAGUGACAACUUAUCAAAACCAAAGUUGUUCUUGUCAUGCCAACUGAACUUUGUAUUCAUAUGGACAACUUUGUUUGUUUCAUGCCUAGCUAACAUUUGGACUCCUAUGAGCCGUAUAUUCUGUAAUUAUUUUAGUUGCAGAAACAUAAAGUCAGGUCCAAAGUCCUUCGAAGCCGAUUCAAAUGCAUCAGGAAAAGAAGAUGAAUCUUUCCCAAUUGAUAAAAUUGGCGAGCAAAAAUAUGGUUUUACAACAAUGCAUAUGCCUUCACCUAAUACUACAUCAUAUUAUACAGCCCCUACACAAUUGCAAAGUUUCGGCAACACCCAUGUGCCAUUGCCGAAAGAAUCUAAAAGCAAUGGGGGACAAUCGUAUCCGAAGUGGGCUGAAAAUGAGAAAAAGAUUAAAGCCAAUUUCGCCGCUCGCCGGCAGAAACAAAAAGAAACAGAAUUGGCUCAAGUGAAAGAAGCAUUGCCAAUUGGUAGAAGCAAUGUAAAGAAAGAUGAUUCAGAACAUGAAAGUACUAAGGUUAAAAGAGCCGAAUCAAGGAGUAUAUAUUCUGAAUCCAUCAAAUGCAAAGAGGCAAGCAUUAUUGAGAAAGGGCAUGGCAAGCAUAGCAAAGCGACCAUACUUGAUUUUUCUAAAGUUAAUGGAACCUACUUCCUGCCCUAUGAGUUUUGUGCCAGAGAAAUUGAUGAACUUCAAGGACAAGAAUAAGUAGCCGAACAAAGUUCGGCCGACAAAAAUCUUCAAUGUAAUGAUGCACGAAAUCAACAAAAAGAUGAUGAAGAAGCGUUGGGGAGCCAUCCAAAGGCGGAGCAAGAUAUUGUUCAAGUCACACCACCAUCGUGCUCUCCCAACAUAUUUGAAGAGGUAUGUUUAGCAAGUAAUUUACCUAUUUUCAGAUUUGGUCAGGACUUUAUUGUUGAUGCAUCUAUUAGAAAAAUCCUCAUAAGUAAUUUUGAAAGACCAAUGAAGCAGGGUAAUUUACUUGCUAGCAAUAAAGUUGUUAUUGAGCAUAUCGGUCAACCCAUUACGCCAUUUAUAAAGACCGAUAGUGACUUAUUAUUACAGCCAAAGUUUUCCCCGUUGCUUUAUCUAAAGUUCAUAUCUAUUUGGGUAGCUUUGCUUAUUUCAUACUUGGCUUGCACUUGGUCCCAAUUGAGACAUGUGUGUUCUAACUAUUUUCGUUUUAGAAAUUUAAAGCCAAGAUUAAAUUCUGUUGAGAAAACCGAUGCUAGUAUAAUAUCUUACCCAAAGACAUCGGAGAUAGAUUGCAAAACACAAUGCAUAGCCGAAUGGUGUGAUGCAAAAUCUGAACCAUUCGUUUGCUUCAUUCCGAAGCCGUUCUCACAGCAAGAUCGGCUAGAAAACAAGAAGUAUACCUUCAAUUCAAGCAUGUGUGUUCAAAUAUUUGAUUUGUUGCUGAAAAAUAAUUACAUUACAAUUCUUGAUCACCAUGUUAAGCCAUCAAUCCAAGGACGAAUGUAUUGUAAGUUGCAUGAUUCGUCCAAGCAUAAUUUUGAGGAUUGCAACAUGUUUCGUCAAAUAGUUAAAUCGGCCAUUGAAAAAGGACGAUUGAAGUUUGUUGAAACACCAAGAGAUGACCAGUCUAUUCCGAUUGGUCCCGAUGGCAAAAAGUUUUUGCAUCGACUGCUUCAAGCCGAUCCAUUUAAAGAGAAGGUAAAAACUGCAGGUGAUGGGAUCAAGCUUUCAAGUAAAGAAGUUGUUGAAGAGCAUAAUGAACAUAAUCUUGAGGGUGAGAAUUCCAUCCAAGCUACAAUGGAGACGCCAAGGACUGGGGGGCAGCAAGCAAAUCCAACGAUCGAUGAAAGAAAACCAAAAGAAAACAAAGGCCGAAAUAAGCGCAAGUGUAAAAGAUCAAAAAUCACCUUCGAUGAACUAUUUGAGAAAUAUCAAAAGAAGAGUGAAGAGAAGAAUGCUUAUCGGCCCAAUCAUGCAAAGAAACCAAGAUCACCCCCAAGGCGCAAAUAUGAGGAUCGGUAUUGGCAAUGUGAGAGUUUCAAUGCAACAUAUUCAUAUCCUUAUUUUGGGCCGCCAAUGCCAAUGCCGUGGAUGCCUCCCUAUGCUCAUGUAGAUCCAUAUUCAUCAUGGGACAGGUAUGAUACAAGGGCACAUUCUCCAUCUUAUUUUAGACCAUCUCACCAAUAUUAUGCAGCUCCGAGAAGAUCAACAUUUGAACAGUCACAUGUUAAAGACCGUUUCAAUUAUAAGGAAUCGGUCCGGACACCAUGGAUGAAAAAAGAGGUGGUCAAGCAAGUCUACCGCGUGAAACUAUGAAGGACCGAGCCGAAGGAUUCAACAUCUUUGGUCUACACAUUAUCCAAAUUCUUCAACUAUGUCGUUAACGCCUAUGCCAUGGAAUUCGUCAUCAGGUAUGAUCGGUAACCCUCAAUGGGCUUAUUUUAAUCCAUGGAUGCAAUAUAAUUUCUUACGUCAUGAAAGGGUAUUACCAAGUCACUAUACAUUUGAUUAGCUACAAGUUUGUUGCUGAUCCAAAGGGCCGAAAUACUUGAUUUGUCAUUUCAUUUGUUUAUUUCGGCUAUAUGUGCUUUGAAUGAAGUUUAGAUGGUAAUGGCCGAUGAUAUUUAUCUAUCGUCCUAAGAGUAUGUCAAUGCAUGGCAGGUGUAGUAUUCUAAUAUCGUCCUUAGUUUGAUUGGUGAGCGAGACAAUGUACAUGCUCAUGAAAAUUUAUAUGUAUGCCUAUAUUAUGAUUGAAUGGAGUUGAGACAUCAUGACCGAUGUCAUUGAAUAUAUGCUGCAUAGACCAAUUCAUAGCUGCGGAAUUGGUUGAUGGGCUUAUACUUUGUUUGGAUAUGAUUUGGCUUAUGCAUCUUUGAGAUCUAUAAGAGGCCAAAUCAUAGUUGAUUUUGUUACUGAACAUCGGAUUAGUGUCAUGCAUAAUAUUAAUAUUAGCCUUGUCUCUCUAGUACUAUGGAGAUUAUGUUUUGAUGGUUCAAUUCAUAGCAAUGGCCAAAGUGUUGGUGUUGUUUAUAUAUUUCUUUAUGGUACUAUUUUUUGAAGCCUCGUGCCGCUUAGAAUAUUUUUAUGCACGAUUAAUCAAGGCCGAAUAUGCAUUGUUAUUCGGAUUGACUCUUUUACUUGCUAUAGGUGUUAUACAUAUUGAGGCUUUUGGUGAUUCGUUCUGAGUAGUGCAACAAAUAUCCAAGGAUUAUCAAUGUGUUUUACCGAAUCACUUAUAGUUUAUCUUGGGCUAUGUCUAGAUGAAGAAUUUACCUUGGGUUGCAUUCAAAUUGUUCAUAUAUUUAGACAUGGCAAUUGGAGAGAGUUGGCAUAGCAAGCAUCCGGCUACCAUGUCCAUCAUGUUGUAUUGCAUUUCUCUCAAUAGCCGAUGCUUAGUCUUGUCAACAUAGGUAAGGUCGAACCGAAGUCCAGAACUUCGGCCACUAAUGAAAUUUUUAUGCAGGCCAAAGUAAGGAUUGGAGAAAGUUUAUUGUUGAUUGUCUACAAAAUCCUAGCAAAAGGGUGAACAAUAUGGUUCGGAGGAUGACAUUGAGAUACAUAUCUAUGGAACUUUAUCACCGGAUUGUUAAUGAAGCUGAGAAGGUUUCACCCGAGUUUGCAUCAGAAAGUUCACACAAGACAUGGCCGAUAUAUACUUAUCGUCCUAAGAACAUAUAAAUGGCCGAUGGAGUGUUGACAUCGUCCUUAGAACAAACUUGGUACAAGUAUUUUUCGACACGCUAGGUUUACCGAAAAACAGUGGGGCAUGUGUUGACGCUCAAAAGUGGCACGAUCAUAAAGCAGCAUGCUGGGGCGAAAACCUUGCCGGGGUAAAAUCUUGCCGGUGUGAAAGCUUGCCGGUGUGAAAGCUUGCCGGUGUGAAGGCUUGCCGGCGUGGAAAGCUUGCCGGCACAGAAAGAUCGCCGGUGCUUGCCGGUGUGAAAUCUUGCCGAGGGAGAAACCUUGUCAGGAAGGAACCCUUGCCGGAGUACAAACCUUGCCGGAGUGAAACCUUGCCUGUGUGAAAGCUUGCCGGGUAGAAACAUUGCCGGUGUGGAAAGCUUACUCGGACGGAAAACUUGCCGGGUUGGAGGCUGUGAUAGUCAAUCGAACGAGAAGUUGAAGAUGGGCUCAAAAGGUUAUUCAGAUGAUCUCGGAUGGAAAAAUGAUCUACACGGGUUGUCUUCGUCUCGUCGAAACGAUCGAUUUUGGUAUAAAAAUCAUUCAAAUUCGAGUUUGUAUGCAAAAGUUAGAGCAAUCGGAGUGCAGCCCUGUCACGAGGCGAGAUGUGGCGUGCCCCACCAGACACAUGUCUGACGGGUAGUGCGAGGAAAUAGCCUGUGUUGCGAGACCGAUCUGACCCUCAAGAUGAUCUCUGAUCAAAACACCUUCAACAUGAAAGCUGUUCGUCUCGUCGAAACGGUCAAGAUUGCUUUUGGGCUUGUUUUCAUCCGGGAUCGUUUACCACUGCCAAAAAGACCCGCAAUGUGCAGCCAGUUUAAACCGAACAGUUUUGGAAAGUUCAGAUAAACCAGUCCGAAUUUGACUAGGGUUUUGUACGUGAAUUGAUGUAAUUUUCUUGUAAGGAAAGCCGAGAUAAAUUCUUUGCUUGUACGGGAAGUCCAGCCGCCUCUUAUAUAUGUUGGGGGUGACGGCCGAUUGAAACAACACACAAUCGAACAAACACAUCUACUACCUUUUCAUGUUCAUCUACUUUUUAUCUCUCCCUUGUAUCUUUCUUCUCGUUCUUCGCUAGUUCUUCAUGCUGGAGGGCUGCGGAUCCACGAGGCUUUAGGGCCUAGCUAGCGAAUCGACCUAGGGCAGCCCAUAGCCGCCGCAAUCCCUGACGGGGUCCCUCUCGGGUGCGCGGGGUUUCGGGUCUGCAAAAGCGCCCGCCGACUGUCUUGCGUAUCGCGCUGUCGGUCGGGUCUCCUUCGACGUGAGCUGCGGUGCAUCACCCCUGGCGUCGAGGAUACAUGUGACGUGUUCGUGUGCGAACAACGUGCUCCCUGGCUCCACCCCAUUGAAAAAAUAUACAUCUGGAGGCUGCUUUGUUUCCUCAUCAAAAAAAACUUACGUUAAAAAGAUUGCAUGCAUCCCAGGAAAAAUAAUCAAGAAGUCGGACUCAUCCUUACAAAAACAAGGAACGUGUUAAGUUGACUUCAAAGAAAAAAGGAACAUGUUAAGUUAAAAAAAACAAGAAACCUGUUAAGUUAGAAAAAAACAAGGAACGUGUUGUCCUAGGAAAGAUAUGUGUCAAAUCUUACAAAAAAAAGAAUACACACACGUACGUUCAUGCACUUGGAAAAUAGAAAAAAAAGAACAUCACGUAUGUAUACACUUUGGAAACUCAUUACAUGACCAUGUCUGAUAUACUCCUCUAAUGCUUAACAUUAGUGCCUAAUAAUUUAUAUUUAAAAUUUAAUUUACUGAUCAAAUAUCCCCACUGUUUAAAUUUUAAUUUGGCACAUUGUUUGACUACAGUAUGAACCUAAAUUUCCUCUUAUUAAUAUAUAUCAUGGUAAUAAUCCAAAGGCGACUAAUCUGCGCCGGUGCACCGGCGCAAUCAAUUUGGCCGGACACAGCGCGGCCUUUUGAUUAGAUUGCAUUUAACCAUCAGAUCUGGAAUCGUUUUCUUUCCAAUUAAACGGAUUCAACCAAACAGCAGAGGGGAAAACAAAGCAGCGCCGCCGCCAACACUAGCCAUGGACGAUCGAUGUACCAAAACCUUGAAUAACUGCCGCCGGUCGCCACCCUCGCCGCUGGUGGCCGCCCUCGCCGUCGGUCACCGCCGAUCACCGCCCUCGCUGCCUGCGUUUCUCAUCGGCUUCAUGCAUGCAACAGCAUGCAGUCGUGGUUGCAGGCUUGCAGCUCCGGCUCCGGGGGACAUGGCCGCAUCUCCGGUAACGCCAGCCGCCGACCGCAGCACCUGUCGUUAUGGUCGCGUUGUACCUCGCCGUGUGCCCUCCCGAGGCUCUUGCUGGUUCCAACAAAAAACAAUACGUGUUGUAGCAAAAAAGUUUAUCGCUUCCAGCAAAAAAGCUUACCGCUACAGCCCGCCAUCGUCAUUGUAGCAAAAAUGUUAACCCGAUGUAGCUUUUGUGGUUGCCGACUGCAACAAAAAAUGACGUGGUUGUAGCAAAACACAAAAGAAAAAUGCCGGCCGGCCGCUGUGUAUGGUGGUAACAAACCCUAUAGCCGGUGGUAGCGAAAAACUUCAUAGUUUGCAGCAAAAAAAUGUUGUCGCCCGUCGUCGAGGUUGCAUCGUCUUCAUGAAUUAUGUCGCAAAAAAACAUUGUCGCCGGUAGUAGCAAAUGAAGCCGCCGGUAGUAGCAAAACAAGACACUGGUUCCAGCCAAAAAAUAAAUCAGCGACAGAACCUUUGGUUGGUUACAACAAAAAAACUUGUCGGUUGUAACAUCCCUCGCCGCCGGAUGUAGCAUCUCCCGGGGCUGGUUGCAACACUCCAUAAAAAAAAUGUUGUCUAUGAGCGCAUCCAUGGCGACUGCUGCACCAUCAGCAACGAGGGGAAGAGGAGGCAAUGAAAAUCGUUCGAGUCGUAGCUCCACAGGACGCGGCUGCAGCAUGGGGAGUCCAAAAAUCUGUCACAAGCAACAUGCGCCUCACCAUCCUCCUGCGCAGGAGAGAGAAGAAAAAGGAAUAAGAGGAAGAAGAAAGGAAACGGGAGGAAGAAAAAAGAAACGAUUGGUGGUGGGCUGAGGCAAUUAGUCAAACGAGGGGCACGCGGGGCCGCAGGAUACAGCGCAAUCGAACGAAGCGCGCGCGUCCGGCCGAAGACUCGGCCGGACUGCCGUCUGGAAACGUUUCCCUAAUCCAAAGGCUUUGUCUGAAUGACAAGUCGUCUGGGUUACCGGCUAACUAGAAAAAAGAUAAAUAUGCUAGAGAAUUUCAUAAUAAUUAGAAAUAUCUAGCCUUUAAUUAUGUAAAUCAGAAAAUCACAACCGUUGGAUUUACUUUAAAGGUAAAUUUCUCUAAAUUCCCACCAUUGCCAGUAUGUAGAAACAUGUGCUGCUUCAAUUCUCCCAUAAUCACCAAUCAAUCAACAACACAAAACAUACCUCAGUUAAAAAAACUGAACAAAAAAAAAGAAAAAAGAAGAAAGGACAAGAUACACGCAUGUACACGACAGCCUUGGCUUGAAACACAUCAGUAGAUCAAGUGUCCGCCUCCCUUACACAGAAUAAACUCAUAGGGAAGAAAAUAAUUGUGCAACCUAACCUUAUACGUACUAUUCUAUCCUCACGUCCCAUGAGGUUUACUAGCCUACCGCCGCCGCAUCAUGCCAUCCCCUCCUUUCAGCUCCCAUGCUUUCCAGCACCCUCAUUGCCGCGCCACUACUUGCCUAGGGAUAUUGCUGCUCAGACCGUGGAGCUUAACCUGCUUCUUCUUCAGCAAAUAUGGUACUGCUUUAGGAUCCUUCUCACAUCAGCACGUAUGGGCCUCAUUAUACUGCAGCUCCUGGACCUCCUACAAUUGGUUGGCUAUGGCCAGUUGAUCGAUGUGCCGAAGUCCAGGUCUGUUUGCUGGCACAUAUGCUUUGGAAAUAGGCCACUAUGUUUGUACUUCAAAAUUGUUUCUGUAUUCUUGAGUGGUACAUCCUUUUAAGCGCCAGUUUUUUAUGUCAAUUCAUGCUGACAACACUUAACCUAGCCUUUCAUCUUCACGUACUAAAUACAGGAGCAAGUAAAAACAACAGACCACCUAAUUGCUCUGCAUGUACUACAUAGGAAAAUUUGUCAUGUUCUACGAUCGCACCAUCCCACACUUCUCUCUUGGUAUGGGCGCCAAUUGAGGGAUUGAUAAAACUGAAACGAAGACGUCACGGGGCUGGAAGUACCGCUAGCCUGGUUUGCACUGCAACCUACUCAACGCCAUCAGAAACUAGCAACUGAGGCAGUUGUUGAUCGAUUCUCUCAAAUUGCUCUCAUGUAAGUACUACCCCUUGCAUGUGCGUACAUACCUUUGUUCCAUUCUCAAACAGAUAGAACAUUUAUGAUCGGUGCAUGGCUAUUUUUCAUCACAUGACAUCCAGAUAACAAGCAUGAAAGGACUACAUUGGAGAUCAAAAAAUAUUGGUUCCUGGCUAGAGGACCACUACCUAUGGACUUGUCUCCAUAGAAUUUGUUCCCAAGACGUUAUUUUAAUUAACCUCUUUAGCUUUCUUCCAUUGCAAACGGUGAUGUGCAUCAUGGUAUAUACGUGACCAUCUUGCACAUGUAUACACAAGAGGCUCAGACGGAGGUGCUGGAUUCUGGACGAGGGAAUAUGAAGCAGGAGUGAGCGAAGAGUAAAUAAUGGUGGGAGUACCGAUUGGUGUUAUGAAGAAAAAUGCCAUUCAAAGAUUGAUUAGUGUCAUGGAAGAUUAAUUUCUGAAUGCGAAUAUAUAUGUUACAUUGGUUUGGAUCUUUUUGAGAUAAUUGCACCUAAAUUAGGUUCUUUCUUAUUUCAUAUGUAUACCUUAUUUCAGUAAAAGUUCACAACGAACUUAGUAGGACAAAUAUAAUUUUGUUUGUGCUUUCUGUUGUCCGCCACCAAAGCUCAGUUUGAACUCUCUAGAAAUGGACAAUGAUUUAUGCAUUCUAUAUCUUCUUGAUUGAUUAGUCAUGACAAGGAAAUAAAAUGAUUGACUGAUAUAGCAUAACUUUGGAACGAUCUGUUCGUAGAGGUUACUACAAAUUAGAGUAGUGUCUGUUGGAAUUUUGCUAGUAGGCCUUUGGCCCAAAGCCCAACUAAAAUUCUGAAAUUCUCUUGGCUCAUUCAUGCACACAUGUGAGUGGAGUGAGUGAGACUAAAGUUUAGUCCCUCCCCGAAAGUUGAGAGAGUGUUGCACCUCUUUAUAAGGUGAGCUCUUCUACCACUUGUAUGAGCAUGGGAAGAGGAGACCUACACGCGCGCUCCUCCUCCUCGCUCACCAUGCCUCGUCACGACGCGCCGCGCCGCACCGCGUGGUGGGUUGUGGGAUUGAGCCGAGCCGAGGACGUUGUCUAUAUUUUUGCUGCUCGGGAAAAAUUAAUGAGUCAUUAAUUAAUAAUUAAUGGACGCGUUAAUUACUGAACCGUUUCCGAUUCUUUUGGAUCCUGACGACUCGGACGUGGGGUUUACUCCCACGACCUACCCGACCUGCACUACAUAGCCAGGCAGACGUCUACCUUAGCCGCCGCCCCUUCGUAUGGUUUCUCACCACCGUUACAGAUCAUUGCGCCGCCAAGCAAGUUUUCUCCAUCCCUCGUUUCGGCGUGCACCGGGAGAAGGGACAGCAGGCCUCCGGAACCCCGCCUCUCGUGAUCCUGUACGGAAGAGGGGCGAUCAGGUUUUUGGGGAGCGCAUCGCACGACUGCUGGCAGCGACGACUUCGCGAACGACGACUUCUUCCCCGACCUCGGCAACCUCAUCCUCGAGGACAUGGGCGACAACGUCAACGCCGGCGGUGCUACACCCACUGCACCGUAUGUUAUUCUAUCCUUCUUGUUCGAGAUCGUGGUAGAAUUCAUGUUUCUAGUAUGUGCCCUAGAGGUGAUCUGUUCAUCUACUAUGCUAGUUCGCAUGAUUAGUUUAAUCUCUGCUAUUGCUGUCAUGAUCUAUUUCCUAUUUAUUCGGAUUAAAUCUCGUAGUAAUUUUCUCAUUUUUCCAACAAUCCAAAAACCUAAUUAUAGGCAACUUACUCCGAGUGGUUUUGAUGCGCAUCUGAAAGCCGCCUGCCUUUAAGGGGGCGCAAUAUAAGAGGUGGCGCACGAGAGCAGUCUACUGGUUUCAGAUCAUGGGCUGCUAUGACGCCAUCGAUACCCUCUUUAAAGGCACUCUUCUGAGUGUUCUUGAUGACUCCAUUGUGGAUUCGUAUAUGUCGUUGACAACGGCAAGAAUAUGUGGGCUGCGCUCGAGGCCAAGUUUGGUGCCUCGGAUGCUAGUAGCGAGUUGUACGUCAUGGAGCAAUUCUAUGACUCCAAGAUGACUGAUGAGCGCCCUGUUGUACAGCAGGCUCAUGAGAUACAGUCGCUCGGAAAAGAACUUGAGUACUUCAAGUGUGUGUUGCCGAACAAAUUUUUUGCCGGAGGCAUCAUUGCCAAGCUUCCACCUUCGUGGAACAAUUUUGCUACUUCCCUGAAACACAAGAGACAGGAGUUUUUCGUUGCGGAUCUCAUUGGUACUCUUGAUGUUGAAGAGAAGGCGAGAGCAAAGGAUACACGUGCUCGAGUUGCUGAGGGAGGUUCUAGUGCCCACAUGGUACAGAAGAAGAACUUCCAGCCCGUUCAAAAACAACAAGAACAAAACUCAGGGCAAAGGCAAGUUUGAUACAAAGAACAAGCCAUCACAUUCUACCAACUUCAAGAAGAAUUCUCAUAAGAAGGGGAAGGGACUUUGCCAUGUCUGCGGUGAUCCUAAUCACUGGGCUCUGAAGUGUCCUAACUGCUUUGAGGAGCGCGAACAUGAGAAGAGCGGCAAGUCCGCUAAUGUUGUCAUCGGUGAUACUGAUAUGAAGGAAUCAGGGUACGGUAUUUUUCCUACCAUCCUUUCAGUUUUCCAAACCCCUGAUUGGUUAAUUGACACCGGUGCCAAUGUACAUGUUUGUGCUGAUGCCUCCAUGUUUUCUUCUUACCAGGCCAUUGGGACUUCACCCGUGCUGAUGGGGAACGGGUCACAUGCCAUCGUUCGAGGUGUUGGUACGGUCGAUCUGAAGUUUACUUCGGGGAAGACCGUGCGUCGGAAGAACGUUCAUCAUGUUCCAUCCAUCAAUAAAAAUCUCGUUAGCGGUUCCCGUUUAUGUCGAGAUGGUUUUAAGUUGGUUUUCGAAUACACUAAAGUUGUAAUUUCUAAGUACGGACAAUUUGGUGGAAAAGGCUAUGAGAGCGAAGGCUUGUUUUGCCUGUCUUUGUCAGAUAUUUUCACUAAAGUUAUUAAUAAUGUUUGCCACAACAAUGAGUCUGAUAUUUGGCAUUCACGACUUUGUCACAUUAACUUUGGUUGCAUGACGCGGCUAGCCAAUAUGAAUUUAAUUCCGAAAAUCUCUACUGUCAAAGGCUCUAAGUGCCAAGUAUGUGUGCAAGCUAGCUAAGCAACCUCGCAAGUCCCAUAAGACUGUAGAGGCAAGAGACUUGGCGCCACUAGAGCUUAUACAUUCUGAUAUUUGUGAGAUGAAUGGCGUGUUGACAAAAGGUGGAAAGAGAUACUUCAUGACGUUGAUUGAUGACUCCACUAGAUAUUGUUAUGUGUAUCUUAUGAAAUCAAAAGAUGAGGCUUUGACUUUCUUCAAAAACUAUAAAGCUGAGGCAGAGAACCAACUUGAUCAAAAAAUUAAACGGCUUAGGUCCGAUCAUGGUGGAGUGUAUUUUUCCAAUGAAUUUGAUCUGUUUUGUGCGGAACAUGGUAUAAUCCAUGAGAGGAUGCGUCCCUACUCAGCCUAGUCAAAUGGGGUAGCCAAAAUAAAGAACCGAACUCUAACUGAUAUGGUUAACACCAUGUUAGACACUUCAGGUCUAUCCAAGGAAUGGUGGGGGCAGGCGCUAACGACUGCGUGUCAUGUCCUAAACAGAGUACCCACAAAGCAUAAGACCAUGACUCCAUUUGAGGAAUGUGAAAGGAAAAUGUUGAAACUCUCUUACCUACGUACUUGGGGUUGUUUGGCGAAAGUCAAUAUACCAAUUCCCAAGAAGCGCAAGGUUGGACCAAAAACCGUGGAUUGUGUUCUUCUGGGCUAUGCUUUUCAUAGCAUCGGCUAUAGAUUUUUGAUAAUAAAAUCUGAGGUAUCCGACAUGCAUGUUGGUACGAUUAUGGAGUCGAAUGAUGCAACUUUCUUUGAGGACAUAUUUCCUAUGAAGGAUAUGUCGAGUUCAUCAAAUCAGGAGACACCUACUCCAUCUAGUGAGGAAUUCACUGUAAUUCCUGAACCCACCAUUGCGAUGGAACACGUUGAGAAUCCUGUUGAGGGUGACAAUGGAACUCCUAUGAGGAGUAAGAGACACAGGACUACAAAGUCCUUUGGUGAUGAUUUCAUUGUGUUCCUCGUGGAUGACACACCCAGGACUAUUUCAGAAGCCUGUGCAUCUCUUGAUGCUAACUACUGGAAGGAAGCUGUACGUAGCGAGAUGGAUUCCAUCUUAGGUAACGGAACCUGGGAGAUCACUGACCGUCCUUAUGGGUGCAAACUUGUAGGAUGUAAGUGGGUGUUCAAGAAGAAGCUUAGACCUGAUGGUACGAUUGAAAAGUACAAGGCACGGCUUGUGGCCAAGGGUUAUACCCAGAAAGAAGGUGAAGACUUCUUUGAUACUUACUCACCCGUGGCUAGAAUGACCACAAUUCGGGUGCUACUAUCACUUGCUGCCUCACAUGGUCUUCUCGUUCAUCAAAUGGAUGUUAAGACAGCUUUCCUCAAUGGAGAGAGUUGGAGGAAGAAAUUUACAUGGAUCAGCCAGAUGGUUUUGUAGUACCUAGUUAGGAAGGAAAGGUGUGCAAGUUAUUAAAGUCUUUAUAUGGCCUUAAACAAGCUCCUAAAGAGUGGCAUGAGUAGUUUGAAAGAACAUUAACUGCUGCCGGCUUUGUAGUAAACGAUGAUGACAAGUGCGUGUACUAUCGCUAUGGUGGGGCGAAGGAGUUAUUCUUUCUCUGUAUGUCGACGACAUAUUGAUCUUUGGAGCCAAACUUGAUUUAAUCAAGGAGGUUAAGGAUUUCUUAUCUUGUUGUUUUGAGAUGAAGGAUCUAGGAGUAGCUGAUGUUAUCUUAAACAUCAAGCUGUUGAGAGAUGAGAAUGGUGGGAUCACACUACUUCAGUCUCACUAUGUGGAAAAGGUCUUGAGUCAUUUUGGGUAUAGCGACUGCACACCUUCUCCAACUCCAUAUGAUGCUAGUGUGUUGCAUCGAAAGAAUCGAUGGAUUGCUAGAGAUCAACUGAGGUAUUCUCAUAUUAUUGGCCCGCUUAUGUAUUUGACGAGUGCCACGAGGCCUAACAUCUCAUUUGCUGUUAGCAAGCUGAGUCGGUUUGUGUCAAAACCGGGAGAUGAUCGUUGGCAUGCUCUUGAGAGAGUUAUGCGCUAUUUGAAAGGCACCGCGAGCUAUGGGAUUCACUACACCGGGUAUCCAAGGGUACUGGAGGGUUAUAGUGACUCAAACUGGAAGUCCUGCAAACAGACCAUCUUAACAAGGUCAAGUAUGGAAGCAGAACUCACAGCAUUAGAAACUGCCACUGUGAUAAUCAAACUAUGAUCGUCAAGAUAAACAGUUACGGACAAUAUGAAGUCCUCAAGGCAUGUGAAGAGGAGACUGAAAUCUGUCAGAAAAUUGAGGAACUCUGGAGUUAUUACGUUGGAUUAUAUCGAAACAUCGAAAAAUUUGGCAGAUCCCUUCACAGAGGGUCUAUCACGUAAUGUGAUAGAUAAUGCAUCGAUGGAGAUGGGUCUGAGACCCACCGCAUGAGUUGUCCAUAGUGGUCUAUGUGAUCGGAGAUCCCGUGAAGUAGAAGUGGGAGACAAGUUGUUGAUCAGCUGGGAGGAUAGUAUCCCUAUAUUACCUAUCCCACUCCAUGAAGAUGCAAUACUCUCCUAAUCUGCAUGGCAGGUUGACACUUAUGUUAAUGUGUUCCAAGUGGCUUAUUCGGGUAAGCAGAGAUGUUGUCCUGCAGAACAUCUUCUAAGGAACACACCUAUAUGAAUUUGACUGUUAACGUCGCAGUAUGUGAGAAUUGGGUGUUCUCUAAUAAAUUGAUGAAAAGGCCCUGGAGUAUGACGUAUACGCUCCACCCGCGGGGAAGCCUUGCGGCAGCCCAGUAUCGGUCAAGAAUUUGUGUGAAACUAGUCUCGCAGAAAAUUUGUAGUUCAAGGCGUAGUCCAAACGGAAUAUCAAACGGAGUCCAAACGGAAUGAAACCUUUGGGAACGUGAUUUUCUCAACGAACAAGACCCAGGAGACUUGGACCCUACGUCCAGACACAAAAGAGGAGGCCACGAGGUAGGGGGGCGCGCCCUCCACCCUCGUGGGGCCCCUGUUGCUGAAGGACAUAUGCCCUAGAGGCAAUAAUAAAGUUAUGAUUUAUUUCCUUAUAUCAUGAUAAAUGUUUAUUAUUCAUGCUGGAAUUGUAUUAACCGGAAACAUAAUACAUGUGUGAAUACAUAGACAAACAAAGUGUCACCAGUAUGCCUCUACUUGACUAGAUUGUUAAUCAAAGAUGGUUAUGUUUCCUAACCAUAGACAAAGAGUUGUUAUUUGAUUAACGGGAUCACAUCAUUAGUUGAAUGAUCUGAUUGACAUGACCCAUUCCAUUAGCUUAGCACCCGAUCGUUUAGUAUGUUGCUAUUGCUUUCUUCAUGACUUAUACAUGUUCGUAUGACUAUGAGAUUAUGCAACUCCCGUUUACCGAAGGAACACUUUGUGUGCUACCAAACGUCACAACGUAACUGGGUGAAUAUAAAGGAGUUCUACAGGUGUCUCCAAAGGUACAUGUUGGGUUGGCGUAUUUCGAGAUUAGGAUUUGUCACUCCGUUUGUCGGAGAGGUAUCUCUGGGCCCUCUCGGUAAUGCACAUCACAUAAUCCUUGCAAGCAUUGCAACUAAUGUGUUAGUUGUGAGAUGAUGUAUUACGGAACGAGGAAAGAGACUUGCCGGUAAUGAGAUUGAACUAGGUAUUGGAUACCGACGAUCGAAUCUCGGGCAAGUAACAUACCGAUGACAAUGGGAACAACGUAUGUAGUUAUGCGGUCUGACCGAUAAAGAUCUUCGUAGAAUAUGUAGGAGCCAAUAUGGGCAUCCAGGUCCCGCUAUUGGUUAUUGACCAUAGACGUGUCUCGGUCAAGUCUACAUUGUUCUCGAACCGUAGGGUCUGCACGCUUAAAGUUACGAUGACAAUUUCAUUAUGAGUUUAUGUAUUUUGAUGUACCGAAGGUUGUUCGGAGUCCCGGAUGUGAUCACGGACAUGACGAGGAGUCACGAAAUGGUCGAGACAUAAAGAUCGAUAUAUUGGAAGCCUAUAUUUGGACAUCGGAAUCGUUCCGGGUGAAAUCGGCAUUUUACCAGAGUACCGCGGGGUUACCGGAACCCCCGGGGGGGUUAUUGGGCCUACAUGGGCCUUGAAGAAGAGAGGAGGCAGGAGGUGGCCGCGCGCCCCUCCCCUUCCUAGUCCGAAUAGGACAAGGGAAGGGGGGUGGCGCCCCCCCUUUCCUUCCCCUCUUCCUCCUCUUUCCCCCCUUCUCCUUCUCCAACUAGGAAAGAAGGGAGUCCUACUCCCGGUGGGAGUAGGACUCCCCCUGGCGCGCCCCUCCUUGGCCGGCCGCCCCCUCCCCUUGGUUCCUUCAUAUACGGGGGCAGGGGGCACCCUAGGACACAGAAGUUGAUCUUCGUGAUCGUUCCUUAGUCGUGUGCGGUGCCCCCCUCCACGAUAUUACACCUCGAUCAUAUUGUAGCAGUGCUUAGGCGAAGCCCUGUGACGGUUAAACAUCAAGAUCGUCACCACGCCGUCGUGCUGACCAAACUCCUCCCCGAAGCUUUGCUGGAUCCGAGCCGGGGGUGCGUCAUCGAGCCGUACGUGUCUCAAGAACUCGGAGGUGCCGGAGUAAAGGUGCUUGGAUUGGUUGGACCGGGAAGACGUACGACUACUUCCUCUACGUUGCGUCAACGCUUCCGCUUCGGUCUACAAGGAUACGUAGACAACACUCUCCCCUCUUGUUGCUAUGCAUCACCAUGAACUUGCGUGUGCGUAGGAAAUUUUUUGAAAUUACUACAUUCCCCAACAGUGGCAUCCGAGCCUAGGUUUUAUGGUUUGAUGUUAUACGCACGAGUAGAACACAAGUGAGUUGUGGGCGAUAUAAGUCAUACUGCCUACCAGCAUGUCAUACUUUGGUUCGGCGGUAUUGUUGGAUGAAGUGGCCCGGACCGACAUUACGCGUACGCUUACGCGAGACUGGUUCUACCGCCGUGCUUUGCACAUAGAUGGCUGGCGGGUGUCAGUUUCUCCAACUUUAGUUGAACCGAGUGUGGCUACGCCCGGUCCUUGCGAAGGUUAAAACGGCAUCAACUUGACAAACUAUCUGUCACAGCCCUAGAAUUUGCUUGUAGCUAUUUACCCGAGUGAGCAUGAUGCAUCAUGUCUAAAUUCUGAAAGUUGAAUUGAGGUUAGUAGAAACCCUCAUAAAUCACUUCAAAAAUAAUCAACAUUAAAAUCUUUUCAAAGAAGUCCAAGAAAGUGUUCCUCUUAGUCUCUGAAAAUAUUGGCAAGAGGUAAAACUUAAAACAAUAUUUUUGGAAUCUCAGAGAUAUUUAUUUUGGGCCUUUGAAUUAAUUCAAUAACAAUUUGCAUUGGAUAUAUAUUUUAUAUAUAACUAAUAUAUGUCCAAUAAUUCUAGAACAUUUUAUGUGGUUUGUUAUAUUUUAGUUCUAGCCACAUAAUUAUUUUCAGGAUUUUAUUAAAUGGUUUAGUAUUUUUACUAAACCAAAACAAAACAGAACAAAAUAGAAAAAAACUGAAACAGAAAGCAAACAGAAAAUAGAGAGAGAGAGAGGAGCUACCUGGGCUUACCUGGCGCCCCAACUGGCCCACCUCUGUAGCAGCCCAACUGGCCAAAGCCAGCCCGGCCCAUCAGGGGCAGCACUGUCUUCUUCCUCCUGCCAGGAGGAGAAGCAGCUGCGUGCCCGAUGGCCGGCGAGCCGCGCUGGCUCCUCCCUGCCUGCGUGCCCCCCCUCGACUUCCUGGAUGCCAUGCACUCCCCCUCGCCCCCUGCACCUCUCCUCUCUCCCCCUGGACCCCAUCCCCUCCUCUGCUCCCCUCUCGCGCGCACCACCGAGCGGAGCUCGUCGUCAUCGUCGCCGUACUCGUGGCCACCGGCCACCCCUCGCCCUGCCGCUGCGCCCAAAAGCUCUGCCAUUUCGUCCUCGACCCCCUCACCGAGCCACGCCACCGCGGGAGCCCCACAUCGCGGCUACGAGUCGUCCUCCCCGAGCACGGCCGCCGGACUUCAUCGAUGAAUUCGUCGCCUUCCGGUCGUCCCCGAGCCAGCUGAGCUCCGCUUCGACCUCACCGUGAGAUCCUCUACCAAACCCCUCUCUCCCCGCCGUCUAUUUCCUCCUCUAGCCUCACUAACCACCGUGGCCGAAGCUCGCCGCCGCCGUACCUCAUCGCCGCCACGGCCAUAGCUGCCGCCACCCACGCCCGAGCUUUGCCCCAUGCUCAGCACUCUCCCAGGAGCCGGGCGCGCCCACCCAUUCGACCCGUUGUGCCCCCUAGCGCCAACCCCGACCUCGCCCGAAUUCCGGCCGCCGCAAAAGUUGCCGCCACCGUCGAUUUAGUCAACCCCGGUGCGAGGUGUUGCCACCGAUGGAUGCGCGAGUCUCCCAGCUCGCCGUAGCCACAAACCACGAGCGAAACGAUGCUCUGUAGCUCCGUCCCGAGCAUCUCCGGCGAGCCACGGCCGUGCUUUUGGUCGCCGGCGUCGACCGCUGACGUGGUCGCUUAAUUAAGUCUAAUCACCACUAAUCCCUGCCUAACAGACGCUGACUCACGGGCCCCACCUGUUAAUUAACCACAAGGUUAUACCCUGUUUAAUUUAAGCUAAUGACCGUGGCCCCACGGGUCAGUUUGACCUGGCCACGUCACCGUUGACCUGGUCCCACACGUCAGCCACAGAAACCAGCCCUGGGUCACUGACCAGUGGGCCCCACUAGUCAGGUUUGACCCGGACCAGCCCUGUUGACUUGCUUACGUCACCCUGAUGUCAUGCUGACGCAGUAAUUAAUUUCUGUUUUAUAAUAAUUCAGAAAAUUUCAGAAAAUGUCCAAAACUUCUAAAAAUCAUAGAAAUUAAACUGUAACUCCAAAUAAAAUAAAUUAUAUAUGUAAAAUUAUCAGAAAAAUUCAAGGAAUCUGUUUAUGGCAUUUUCAUGCAUGUUUGAAAAAUGUUUGACCUCUGUUUUGGACAAAACAAUAAAGGGCAUUUAAAUAAUCAUAUAUGGAGUUUGAAUUUGAAUCUUGUAUUCAAACCAACUUCAUUUAAUUGUGUUGUUAGUUGCUUUAGGUCAAUCAAUAGCAUAUUGCCAUGUCAUUAUCAUGCAUCAUAUUGUUGCAUCGCAUUGAUUGUGUCCUUCCUUGUUUGCCGGUAAUUGCCCCCUCUCAGUAGACGUUGUUUCCGACGACGUGAUCGAUGACACCGAUGAAGAGCUAUUCUAUCUUCAGAAGUGCCAGGCAAGCACAACCCCCUUGUUCAUUCCGAUACAAGCCCACUCUCUCGCUCCUGCUCUCUUUUACUGCAUUAGGACAACAAUGAUUCAUUUGUUACUUGUUGCGGUAGUUGAACCCCUUAUCCUCUGCAUGACCUAUCAUUGCCACAGUAAUUAGAUGAAACCCGCUAGCAUGAGUAGGAGUUGUUUGAGCCCUGAUGUGCCUACUCAUUCAUGCUUGUUUGUCAUGCCUGCUACUGCUUAGAGUUGAGUCAGGUCUGAUUCAUCGGGGAUGGAUCGGAGGUGUGUAAACAUGUCCUAUUGUGUGUGAGCUAAGUGUGUGAACACGUUUUGGUAAAGGUAGCGGUGACAGGCCAUGUAGGAGUACAUGGUGGGUUGUCUCAUUGAAACCGUCCACAGGAACUAAGUUCUGUGUUUGUGAUCCAUGAAACAGCUGCUACCACACGUUGGGCCCCGAAAUAUGACCCCGCUCGACUUACUGACCCCUCUCUUCCUCUGUCCAGGAGUUGCAAUUAGUUUCUGGUGUUUAUAGGAUAUGUGUUGGCGGCCGUGUGUAGCGCUGACCCUAGGGGUGGGCUAUGAUGCGGUAGAUACACUGUGGCCCGGUGUACCGGGCGCCCGUUUGGUGUCUCUGGAACCCUGCACACAUCGUUUGGGGCUGUGAGCGAAACUCCGUCCGGAUCUCCUCGCGGAUGGAACCCGAAUAGGCGAUAAACCUGGACUAGAGACUUGUGUGGUUAGUCAGGUCGUGGUCUACACCCACGUCGGCUUUCGCUUGAAGUCUGCCGAGCACAUGUCGUGUGCAGACGCUAAGUGGUGGAAACAUGUGUGACGAAGUACACCCCCGCAGGGUUAUAAAUGAUCUAUUCGAAUAGCCGUGUCCGCGGUAAAGGACUUCUGGGUUGCCUAUAACAGUUCAUAGACAAGUGAAAGUGGAUACUCUAAAAACUCGCAAGAUAAGUGUGAGUGCUACGGAUGGCCUUCUCGUAGGGAGACGAGAGCGGAUCCAUAGUGGUCUAUUGAAUGGUGAAUAUGUGGACUCGUGUGCGCCACCUUAAAAGAGUUGCUUGCCAUCGUAGUUCAGGUUAGCCCCGGAAUCAAAGCUGGCUUGCUGCCGUUAAACUCCACCCCCCUUUGAUGAUACCGAUGCAUAUGUAGUUUAGAUCUGAUGUAAGUAUUGCUGAGUACCUUUGUACUCACGUUUGCUUAAUUUAUGUUUUGCAGAGAGACUUCAGUCUCGCUAGUAGUUCCGCGUGGACUUCGACGUUUAGCUUGAUACCUCAGCUACGAUCUUGUGCCCUCGACAGGAUCUGGUAGAUAGUCAGGCUUCUUAGCCUUUUUCAUUUAUAGAUGUCUGUACUCAGACAUGUUAAGCUUCCGCAUGUGCUUUGCAUUGUAUGCUAUGAUUGUCGGGUCAUGAGACCCAUGCUUGUAAUAUCUAGCUCUUCGGAGCCUAAUGAAUUAAUACUUGAGUCGUAGAGUCUUGUUUUGAUGCCAUGUUGUAUUUACACAUAUCGAGCAUAUUGUGUGUAUGAUUGAAAUGCUUGGUAUGUGUAGGAUCCAACAACCUAGUUGUUUAUCCUUCGCAGCCUUUCUUAUGGGGAAAUGUAGUCUAGUGUUCCUCGAGCCAUAGUAGUCCGCUACAGCCCGGUUCACCGGAGUCCUGCUAGCCCAGCACUACUGUUCAGGACACUUGACUGGCCGGCAUGUGUUUCACUUCAUCCCUAUGUCUGUCCCUUCGGGGAAAUGUCACGCGGUGAUUUCCGGAGUCCUGCCUAGCCUGCUACAGCCCGGGAUCCCCGGAGUCCUGUUAGCCCAGUGCCACAGCCCGGAAUAACUCAUUGAUGACCGACAUGUUCGAUGUGAUUCAUGUAUGCCUGUCUCCAUAGGUCUGUGCCACUUUGGGUUCACGACUAGCCAUGUCGGCCCGGGUUCUUUGUCAUAUGGAUGCUAGCGACACUAUCAUAUACGUGAGCCAAAAGGCGCAAACGGUCCCGGGCCAGGUAAGGUGGCACCCGUGGGAAUACCGUGCGUGAGGCCACAAAGUGAUAUGAUGUGUUACAUGCUAGAUCGGUGUGACCUAGGAUCGGGGUCCUGAUAGCGUUGGUAUCAGAGCCUGACUGCCUGUAGGAUUACCAAGCCAAACUGGUCGAAGUUGAGUCUAGAAAUGCUUUAGUUAUGUAAGGGAAUUGAUUGCGGAAGGGAACGUAAGGCUCUUUUUAUUCCUUAUACCUCAUGCCCUUGUGAUCUGAGUCAUCCUCUUCCUUUCUAUGGGGAUUAAGAACUAGGCUUUCUUAUCUAUCUAUCAGGAUGACGUGUUACUAACCCGUUGACUUAUAGGAUUGAUGGAUUCAUGCUGCAGUUCAGUUCCUACUACUUCCAUAUAUUCAUAACUGGCCGCAGAACCUUGAUAUUAUGAUUCGAGUGGUUAUGCCACCAUUUUUGCAGGAUGUCUCAAAUCUUUUCGAGCAUUUACAGCCGUUAUGCUGUCCGAGUCAUCCCAGGUUUCUAAAUAGUCUGAUGCAUUUGCAAACCUUUUCCCCUGUUCCUGAUGUCCAUUUAGGCCAGGUUAAUCACACUAAUUGUGAGUUGGCGUAUUCUUUUGCCUGGACAUAUAUUUUGGAAUUAUUAUUAUGACCCUAGAUGUCUUAGAGUGCCACCUAGUAAUCGAACCAUGUUUUGCGUUUCUAGUGUGAUGAUUCUGGCCGUUAUUCUUGAAAGCAUCCCGUGAUGCCAUUUAGUUAGUAGGCAUUCUAUUCCUGGGUUUUGAACCCGAGACCCACCCUACCUGCUUCAUGUUGAUAGUGUUUGCUAGUUCCUUAGGACAUUAGUAAACCUUGUGAUAGACCUCGAGGUCCGUGGUAUUUCCUUCUUCCAAUUAUCAUGAACCAUUCAUGGCAGGAGUUCUUUUGAACCAAAAGGUCACGACAGAGUGCUCUUGAUGAGUUCUCCAUUCUAUAUUGUGGCUCUGCCAGUUCUACCUUUCUGCAUGGGUUAUCCGGAAGAAAUAUGUUGAACUCGUUCGACAUACUAACCUAUGCAUCCACAACUCAGAAAGUUAUAUGUUCCUUGAGUUGUUCCUCUUCAGUUGUAUUCCGACCAUCCUCUAUCAGUAGAUAGCCAAGAGUAUGUGUGCAUUUGUGUUCAUCGGUGCCUCUUAUUCUUGUGGUUCGUCGAGCCGUUCUAUUUUAGAAUGACUAGGAGAAACAAACUCCAGUACCUCAUCCAUAUCUAGGGUUGGGUCAAAAUAGUUGUAUUCCGCAGAUCAAAAUGCAACCCAGCUUUUGGUUCUGUUCUACCCUGAAGUAUUACCCACCUUAUGUCAAGAGCGACGUGAGAAUUGCACCUUCUCCUAUGAAUUCUUGACGCAGUGAUACUUCUUGCCAUCAUUGUUCAUUCCUCGGUUCCUGUGUUAUUGUAACCAGAAUGCCGGCACGUGAGUCGUUAUGUGUGAAAUCAAUACUCCUAGCAACUAUGCUGCUUGGUAGUUAAUGGACAAUAUUCUCAUUCUUAGCGUGUUGGUUAUUGAAUUAUCAUUCUAAGACUGAUCGUGCUACCUAGUCCAUAUUUCUGGUGCACACUUCGAUCAAUGGGUUAGGACUGUGCCAAUCCCUCACUCUUUGAUCAUAUCAUCUUGCCCUGAAAAGCAAGGUUGUUCUCGAGCUUAGUAACAUACCGGUGGUUCGUGAUUUUCCGAAUAUCUUCUCAGAAGUGUUACUAGGUUGUCACCUGACCGUUAUGUUGAGUUCAUGAUCAAGAUGGUUUUUCAAUAAACCACUUUUCCCUAAGAAUCUGUGUUGGAUACCCCUGAGCUAGUUGGUUAAGCUUAACAACAACUUGGAGAGUUGGAAGAUGAAAACUUGUCCGACUUAGCUCAUCCCUAAGGGAUAUCCUUGUGUGUGUGGGUGUUGAAGAAAGAUGAUAUAUUCACCAAUUGGUCCUCAUGAUCAGUUGUUGUAUCUAUUAUCUUGUCCAAACCUUGAUUUGAGUGUGGGCUAUCGUCAAAUCAAAUCAGAACCAACGAUGUUCAUAAUGUUGUCUUACUUACGGUUGUCCCUCGAGCAUACACCAUUAUAUAUUUGGUUUGACCAAUACUAUCACAUUGUUCACAUAGUGGUGGAAGUCCAGUGAUAUGGAAAUACCGAUGCGUUGUUGUUGAUCCCAUCAGCAGCCUUUUGUCUCCCCCAUGAGUCAUGUUGAAUGCUACACUAGUAUUGGAAACUUAUAAGCAUUAUCUUUGUGUUUCGUUCAUGAAGCAUAUGUUUGGAUGAAAGAAGUGACUUCCUCUAAUUCAUGUGCACUCGAUGUAAGUUGCCACCAUGAAUUGAGCAAGGUUUGUUUUGUUUCCCUUGGAAUCAUCCCAAAUCAGUCAUGCAUAUGUGCGAAGUAUUCUAUGGUUUGGUAGAUUAAUUACCUCCACUCCAUAUGUGUUCCUAGCACACCAAGCCACUGGUUGAUUUGUUCAAGGAGAAGAAGUUCCUUCUUAAGAAUCAUGACUUAUGUUAGGACUUUGUUAUCCUCGAUAAUGGUUCCCCACCUGAACUCGGUAGUGUUUUAUUAUAAGACUACCAUGUGGUCAUGCUUUUCUGGGACAGCGUGUUCACAUGUGUUUAGCAGAACCAGCUCAUGCUUUGGAGCUUACUACCGUAGUUCAUUCCCCGAGAAUCUCGCAAUGUCGUCUCGUCGAUUUGUGUUGCAAACCUUCAUUUUCCUUUCUAGACUCGAUGAGUCUGGAAUAUCCCGUCACCAACCAGAUCUGAAUCUCAGGCAGAUAUGAUGGUUGGAGCAUUUUCCAAGAACUAUAAUAUUGGUCUCCCGAUAACCGGUAAAGUGGAUGUCGUGGCCAACACAUCCAGCCGGGCGACCUAUUAUUGUAGUAUCUUGAUUGAAGAAAGUUGGCCACCUUCCCAUGAGGAUUUCAUAGGAUUUACUCCAGAAGUUGUUCCUUAUGGAUCUAUUGUAUUCCGAAGUCCGACCACUACUUGGUGGCUAUGCCGAUGCUUAAAGCAUGACCGUGGUUGCCCCCUCUCAGUAGACGUUGUUUCCGACGACGUGAUCGAUGACACCGAUGAAGAGCUAUUCUAUCUUCAGAAGUGCCAGGCAAGCACAACCCCCUUGUUCAUUCCGAUACAAGCCCACUCUCUCGCUCCAGCUCUCUUUUACUGCAUUAGGACAACAACGAUUCAUCUGUUACUUGUUGCGGUAGUUGAACCCCUUAUCCUCUGCAUGACCUGUCAUUGCCACAGUAAUUAGAUGAAACCCACUAGCAUGAGUAGGAGUUGUUUGAGCCCUGAUGUGCCUACUCAUUCAUGCUUGUUUGUCAUGCCUGCUACUGCUUAGAGUUGAGUCAGGUCUGAUUCAUCGGGGAUGGAUCGGAGGUGUGUAAACAUGUCCUAUUGUGUGUGAGCUAAGUGUGUGAACACGUUUUGGUAAAGGUAGCGGUGAGAGGCCAUGUAGGAGUACAUGGUGGGUUGUCUCAUUGAAACCGUCCUCAGGAACUGAGUUCUGUGUUUGUGAUCCAUGAAAUAGCUACUACGACACGUUGGCCCUGAAAUAUGACCCCGCUCGACUUACUGACCCCUCUCGUCCUCUGUCCAGGAGUUGCAAUUAGUUUCUGGUGUUUAUAGGAUAUGUGUUGGCGGCCGUGCGUAGCGCUGACCCUAGGGGUGGGCUAUGAUGCGGUAGAUACACCGUGGCCCGGUGUACCGGGCGCCCGUUUGGUGUCUCGGGAACCCUGCACACAUCGUUUGGGGCUGUGAGCGAAACUCCGGCCGGAUCUCCUCGCGGAUGGAACCCGAAUAGGCAAUAAACCUGGACUAGAGACUUGUGUGGUUAGUCAGGUCGUGGUCUACACCCAUGUCGGCUUUCGCUUGAAGUCUGCCGAGCACAUGUCGUGUGCAGACGCUAAGUGGUGGAAACAUGUGUGACGAAGUACACCCCUACAGGGUUAUAAAUGAUCUAUUCGAAUAGCCGUGUCCGCGGUAAAGGACUUCUGGGUUGCCUAUAACAGUUCAUAGACAAGUGAAAGUGGAUACUCUAAAAACUCGCAAGAUAAGUGUGAGUGCUAUGGAUGGCCUUCUCGUAGGGAGACGAGAGCGGAUCCAUAGUGGUGUAUUGAAUGGUGAAUAUGUGGACUCGUGUGCGCCACCUCAAAAGAGUUGCUUUCAAUCGUAUUUCAGGUUAGCCCCGGAGUCAAAGCUGGCUUGCUGUAGUUAAACUCCACCCCCCCCCUUUGAUGAUACCGAUGCAUAUGUAGUUUAGAUCUGAUGUAAGUCUUGCUGAGUACCUUUGUACUCACGUUUGCUUAAUUUAUGUUUUGUAGAGAGACUUCAGUCUCGCUAGUAGUUCCGCGUGGACCUCGAGGUUUAGCUUGAUACCUCAGCUACGAUCUUGUGCCCUCGACAGGAUCUGGUAGAUAGUCAGGCUUCUUAGCCUUUUUCAUUUAUAGAUGUCUGUACUCAGACAUGUUAAGCUUCCGCAUGUGCUUUGGAUUGUAUGCUAUGAUUGUUGGGUCAUGAGACCCAUGCUUGUAAUAUCUGGCUCUUCAGAGCCUAAUGAAUUAAUACUUGAGUCGUAGAGUCUUGUUGUGAUGCCAUGUUGUAUUUACACAUAUCGACCAUAUUGUGUGUAUGAUUGAAAUGCUUGGUAUGUGUAGGAUCCGACAACCUAGUUGUUUAUCCCUCGCAACCUUUCUUAUGGGGAAAUGUAGUCUAGUGUUCCUUGAGCCAUAGUAGUCCGCUAUAGCCCGGUUCACCGGAGUCCUACUAGCCCAGCACUACUGUUCAGGACACUUGACUGGCCGGCAUGUGUUUCACUUCGUCCCUAUGUCUGUCCCUUCGGGGAAAUGUCACGCGGUGAUUUCCGGUGUCCUGCCUAGCCUCCUACAGCCCGGGAUCCCCGGAGUCCUGUUAGCCCAGUGCCACAGCCCGGAAUCACUCGUUGAUGACCGACAUGUUCGAUGUGAUUCAUGUAUGCCUGUCUCCAUAGGUCUGUGCCGCUUUGGGUUCACGACAAGCCAUGUCGGCCCAGGUUCUUUGUCAUAUGGAUGCUAGCGACACUAUCAUAUACGUGAGCCAAAAGGCGCAAACGGUCCCGGGCCAGUUAAGGUGGCACCCGUGGGAAUACCGCGCGUGAGGCCACAAAGUGAUAUGAUGUGUUACAUGCUAGAUUGGUGUAACCUAGGAUCGGGGUCCUGACACUAUCGUUGUGGUUUUGAUGCGUAGGUAAGAUUGGUUCUUGCUUAAGCCCGUAGCAGCCACGUAAAACUUGCAACAAACAAAGUAGAGGACGUCUAACUUGUUUUUGUAGGGCAUGUUGUGAUGUGAUAUGGUCAAGACAUGAUGCUAAAUUUUAUUGUAUGAGAUGAUCAUGUUUUGUAACUGAGUUAUCGGCAAUUGGCAGGAGCCAUAUGGUUGUCGCUUUAUUGUAUGCAAUGCAAUCGCCCUGUAAUGCUUUACUUUAUCACUAAGCGGCCGGUAGCGAUAGUCGUAGAAGCAUAAGAUUGGCGAGACGACAACGAUGCUACGAUGGAGAUCAAGGUGUCGCGCCGGUGACGAUGGUGAUCAUGACGGUGCUUCAGAGAUGGAGAUCACAAGCACAAGAUGAUGAUGGCCAUAUCAUAUCACUUAUAUUGAUUGCAUGUGAUGUUUAUCUUUUAUGCAUCUUAUCUUGCUUUGAUUGACGAUAGCAUUAUAAGAUGAUCUCUCACUAAAUUAUCAAGAAGUGUUCUCCCUAUGUAUGCACCGUUGCUAAAGUUCGUCGUGCCCAGACACCACGUGAUGAUCGAGUGUGAUAAGCUCUACGUCCAUCUACAACGGGUGCAAGCCAAUUUUGCACACGCAGAAUACUUGGGUUAAACUUGACGAGCCUAGCAUAUGCAGAUAUGGCCUCGGAACACGGAGACUGAAAGGUCGAGCGUGAAUCAUAUAGUAGAUAUGAUCAACAUAAUGAUGUUCACCAUUGAAAACUAAUCCAUUUCACGUGAUGAUCGGUUAUGGUUUAGUUGAUUUGGAUCACGUGAUCACUUAGAGGAUUAGAGGGAUGUCUAUCUAAGUGGGAGUUCUUAAGUAAUAUGAUUAAUUGAACUUCAAUUUAUCAUGAACUUAGUCCCUGAUAGUAUCUUGCUUGUUUAUGUUGAUUGUAGAUAGAUGGCCCGUGCUGUUGUUCCAUUAAAUUUUAAUGCGUUCCUUGAGAAAGCAAAGUUGAAAGAUGAUGGUAGCAAUUACACGGACUUGGUCCAUAACUUGAGGAUUAUCCUCAUUGCUGCACAGAAGAGUUACGUCCUGGAAGCACCGCUGGGUGCCAGGCCUGCUGCUGAUGCAACUGACGACGUUAAGAACGUCUGGCAGAGCAAAGCUGAUGACUACUCGAUAGUUCAAUGUGCCAUGCUUUACGGCUUAGAACCGGGACUUCAACGGCGUUUUGAACAUCAUGGGGCAUAUAAGAUGUUCCAGGUGUUGAAGUUAAUAUUCCAGCAGAAUGCCCGGAUUGAGAGAUAUGAAGUCUCCAAUAAAUUCUAUAGCUGCAAGAUGGAGGAGAAUAGUUCUGUCAGUGAGCAUAUACUCAAGAUGUCUGGGUAUUGUAAUCACUUGAUUCAACUGGGAGUUAAUCUUCCGGAUGAUAGCGUCAUUGACAGAAUUCUCCAAUCACUUCCACCAAGCUACAAGAGCUUCGGGAUGAACUAUAAUAUGCAAGGGAUGGAUAAGACAAUUCCCGAGCUCUUCGCAAUGCUAAAGGUUGCGGAGGUAGAAAUCAAGAAGGAGCAUCAAGUGUUGAUGGUCAACAAGACCACUUGUUUCAAGAAAAAGGGCAAAGGGAAGAAGAAGGGGAACUUCAAGAAGAACAGCAAGCAAGUUGCUGCUCAGGAGAAGAAACCCAAGUCUGGACCUAAGCCUGAAACCGAGUGCUUCUACUACAAGCAGACUGGUCACUUGAAGCGGAACUGCCCCAAGUAUUUGGCGGAUAAGAAGGAUGGCAAAGUGAACAAAGGUAUAUGUGAUAUAGAUGUUAUUGAUGUGUACCUUACUAGAGCUCGCAGUAGCACCUGGGUAUUUGAUACUGGUUCUGUUGCUAAUAUUUGCAACUCGAAACAGGGACUACGGAUUAAGCGAACACUGGCAAAGGACGAGGUGACGAUGCGCAUGGGAAAUGGUUCCAAAGUCGAUGUGAUCGCGGUCGGCAUGCUACCUCUACAUCUACCUUCGGGAUUAGUAUUAGACCUAAAUAAUUGUUAUUUGGUGCCAGUGUUGAGCAUGAACAUUAUAUCUAGAUCUUGUUUAAUGCGAGACGGUUAUUCAUUUAAAUCAGAGAAUAAUGGUUGUUCUAGUUAUAUGAGUAAUAUCUUUUAUGGUCAUGCACCCUUGAAGAGUGGUCUAUUUUUGAUGAAUCUCGAUAGUAGUGAUACACAUAUUCAUAAUGUUGAAGCCAAAAGAUGCAGAGUUGAUAAUGAUUGUGCAACUUAUUUGUGGCACUGCCAUUUAGGUCAUAUCGGUGUAAAGCGCAUGAAGAAACUCCAUACUGAUGGACUUUUGGAACCACUUGAUUAUGAAUCACUUGGUACUUGCGAACCGUGCCUCAUGGGCAAGAUGACUAAAGCACCAUUCUCCGGUACUAUGGAGAGAGCAACAGAUUUGUUGGAAAUCAUACAUACAGAUGUAUGUGGUCCGAUGAAUGUUGAGGCUCGUGGCGGAUAUCAUUAUUUUCUCACCUUCACAGAUGAUUUAAGCAGAUAUGGGUAUAUCUACUUAAUGAAACAUAAGUCUGAAACAUUUGAAAAGUUCAAAGAAUUUCAGAGUGAAGUGGAAAAUCAUCGUAACAAGAAAAUAAAGUUUCUACGAUCUGAUCGUGGAGGAGAAUAUUUGAGUUACGAGUUUGGUGUACAUUUGAAACAAUGCGGAAUAGUUUCGCAACUCACGCCACCCAGAACACCACAACGUAAUGGUGUGUCCGAACGUCGUAAUCUUACUUUACUAGAUAUGGUGCAAUCUAUGAUGUCUCUUACAGAUUUACCGCUAUCGUUUUGGGGUUAUGCUUUAGAGACGGCCACAUUCACGUUAAGUAGGGCACCAUCAAAAUCCGUUGAGACGACAACUUAUGAACUGUGGUUUGGCAAGAAACCAAAGUUGUCAUUUCUUAAAGUUUGGGGCUGCGAUGCUUAUGUGAAAAAGCUUCAACCUGAUAAGCUCGAACGAUAAUCGGAGAAAUGUGUCUUCAUAGGAUACCCAAAGGAAACUGUUGGUUACACCUUCUAUCAUAGAUCCGAAGGCAAGACAUUCGUUGCUAAAAAUGGAUCCUUUCUAGAGAAGGAGUUUCUCUCGAAAGAAGUGAGUGGGAGGAAAGUAGAACUUGAUGAGGUAACUAUACCUGCUCCCUUAUUGGAAAGUAGUUCAUCACAGAAACCGGUUUCUGCGACACCUACACCAAUUAGUGAUGAAUUUAAUGAUGAUGAUCAUGAAAUUUCAGAUCAAGUUACUACUGAGCCUCGUAGAUCAACCAGAGUAAGAUCCGCACCAGAGUGGUACGGUAAUCCUGUUCUAGAAGUCAUGCUACUAGAUCAUGAUGAACCUACGAACUAUGAAGAAGCGAUGGUGAGCCCAGAUUCCGCAAAAUGGCUUGAAGCCAUGAAAUCUGAGAUGGGAUCCAUGUAUGAUAACAAAGUAUGGACUUUGGUUGACUUGCCCGAUGAUCGGCAAGCAAUUGAGAACAAAUGGAUCUUUAAGAAGAAGACUGACGUGACGGUAAUGUUACUGUCUACAAAGCUCGACUUGUCGCAAAAGGUUUUCAACAAGUUGAAGGGAUUGACUACGAUGAGACCUUCUCACCCGUAGCGAUGCUUAAGUCUAUCCGAAUCAUGUUAGCAAUUGCCGCAUUUUAUGAUUAUGAAAUUUGGCAGAUGGAUCUAAAAACUGCAUUCCUGAAUGGAUUUCUGGAAGAAGAGUUGUAUAUGAUGCAACCAGAAGGUUUUAUCGAUCCAAAGGGAACUAACAAAGUGUGCAAGCUCCAGCGAUCCAUUUAUGGACUGGUGCAAGCCUCUCGGAGUUGGAAUAAACUCUUUGAUAGUGUGAUCAAAGCAUUUGGGUUUGUAUAGACUUUUGGAGAAGCCUGUAUUUACAAGAAAGUGAGUGGGAGCUCUAUAGCAUUUCUGAUAUUAUAUGUGGAUGACAUAUUACUAAUCGGAAAUGAUAUAGAAUUUCUGGAUAGCAUAAAGGGAUACUUGAAUAAGAGUUUUUCAAUGAAAGACCUCGGUGAAGCUGCUUACAUAUUGGGCAUUAAGAUCUAUAGAGAUAGAUCAAGACGCUUAAUUGGACUUUCACAAAACACAUACCUUGACAAAGUUUUGAAGAGGUUCAAAAUGGAUCAAGCAAAGAAAGGGUUCUUGCCUGUGUUACAAGGUGUGAAGUUGAGUAAGAAUCAAUGCUCGACCACUUCAGAAGAUAGAGAGAAAAUGAAAGAUGUUCCCUAUGCUUCAGCAGUAGGCUCUAUCAUGUAUGCAAUGCUGUGUACCAGACCUGAUGUGUGCCUUGCUAUAAGUUUAGCAGGGAGGUACCAAAGUAAUCCAGCAGUGGAUCACUGGACGGCGGUCAAGAACAUCCUGAAGUACCUAAAAAGGACUAAGGAUAUGUUUCUCGUAUAUGGAGGUGACAAAGAGCUCAUUGUAAACAGUUACGUUGAUGCAAGCUUUGACACUGAUCCGGACAAUUCUAAAUCGCAAACCAGAUACGUGUUUACAUUAAACGGUGGAGCUGUCAGUUGGUGCAGUUCUAAACAAAGCGUCGUGGCAGGAUCUACAUGUGAAGCGGAGUACAUAGCUGCUUCGGAAGCAGCAAACGAAGGAGUCUGGAUGAAGGAGUUCAUAUCCGAUCUAGGUGUCAUACCUAGUGCAUCGGGUCCAAUGAAAACCUUUUGUGACAAUACUAGUGCAAUUGCCUUGGCAAAGGAAUCCAUAUUUCACAAAAGAACCAAGCACAUCAAGAGACGCUUCAAUUCCAUCCGAGAUCUAGUCCAGGUGGGAGAGAUAGAGAUUUGCAAGAUACAUACGGAUCUGAAUGUAGAAGACCCAUUGACUAAGCCUCUUCCACGAGCAAAACAUGAUCAUCACCAAGGCUCCAUGGGUGUCAGAAUCAUUACUGUGUAAUCUAGAUUAUUGACUCUAGUGCAAGUGGGAGACUGAAGGAAAUAUGCCCUAGAGGCAAUAAUAAAGUUAUUAUUUAUUUCCUUAUAUCAUGAUGAAUGUUUAUUAUUCAUGCUGGAAUUGUAUUAACCGGAAACAUAAUACAUGUGUGAAUACAUAGACAAACAAAGUGUCACUAGUAUGCCUCUACUUGACUAGCUCGUUAAUCAAAGAUGGUUAUGUUUCCUAACCAUAGACAAAGAGUUUUUAUUUGAUUAAUAGGAUCACAUCAUUAGUUGAAUGAUAUGAUUGACAUGACCCAUUCCAUUAGCUUAGCACCCGAUCAUUCUUCAUGACUUAUACAUGUUCCUAUGACUAUGAGAUGAUGCAACUUCCGUUUACUGGAGGAACACUUUGUGUGCUACCAAACGUCACAACGUAACUGGGUGAUUAUAAAGGAGCCCUAUAGGUGUCUCCAAAGGUACAUAUUGGGUUGGCGUAUUUCGAGAUUAGGAUUUGUCACUCCGUUUGUCGGAGAGGUAUCUCUGGGCCCUCUCGGUAAUGCACAUCACAUAAGCCUUGCAAGCAUUGCAACUACUGUGUUACUUGUGAGACGAUGUAUUACGGAACGAGUAAAGAGACUUGCCGGUAAAGAGAUUGAACUAGGUAUUGGAUACCGACGAUCGAAUCUCGGGCAGGUAACAUAUCGAUGACAAAGGGAACAACGUAUGUAGUUAUGCGGUCUCAACGAUAAAGAUCUUCGUAGAAUAUGUAGGAUCCAAUAUGGGCAUCCAGGUCCUGCUAUUGGUUAUUGACCGGAAACGUGUCUCGGUCAUGUCUACAUUGUUCUCGAACCGUAGGGUCCGCACGCUUAAAGUUACGAUGACAGUUUCAUUAUGAGUUUAUGUAUUUUGAUGUACCGAAGGUUGUUCGGAGUCCCGGAUGUGAUCACGGACAUGACGAGGAGUCUCGGAAUGGUCGAGACAUAAAGAUCGAUAUAUUGGAAGCCUAUAUUUGGACAUCGGAAUCGUUUUGGGUGAAAUCGGCAUUAUACCGGAGUACCGGGGGGUUACCGGAACCCCCCGGGGGGUUAUUGGGCCUACAUGGGCCUUGAGGAAGAAGAGAGAAGGAGGUAGGAGGUGGCCGCGCGCCCCUCCCCUUCCUAGUAUGAAUAGGACAAGGGAAGGGGGCGGUGCCCCCCCCUUUCCUUCCCCUCUUCCUCCUCUUUCCUCCCUUCUCCUUCUCCAACUAGGAAAGAAGGGAGUCCUACUCCCGGUGGGAGUAGGACUCCCCCCUGGUGCGCCCCUCCUUGGCCGGCCGCCCCCUCCCCUUGGCUCCUUUAUAUACGGGGGCAGGGGGGCACCCUAGGACACAGAAGUUGACCUUCGUGAUCGUUCCUUAGCCGUGUGCGGUGCCCCCCUCCACGAUAUUACACCUCGAUCAUAUUGUAGUAGUGCUUAGGCGAAGCCCUGCGACGGUUAAACAUCAAGAUCGUCACCACGCCGUCGUGCUGACGAAACUCCUCCCCGAAGCUUUGCUGGAUCGGAGCUCGGGGUGCAUCAUCGAGCUGUACGUGUGUCAAGAACUCGGAGGUGCUGGAGUAACGGUGCUUGGAUUGGUUGGACCGGGAAGACGUACGACUACUUCCUCUACGUUGCGUCAACGCUUCCGCUUCGGUCUACGAGGGUACGUAGACAACACUCUCCCCUCUCGUUGCUAUGCAUCACCAUGAUCUUGCGUGUGCGUAGGAAAUUUUUUGAAAUUACUACAUUCCCCAACAGUUGCUCCACCGACGUACUCCUUCCUCCUAUAUAUACCUGCGUACCCCCAAACGACCAGAUACGGAGCCAAAACCCUAAUUCCACCACCGCAACUUUCUGUAUCCACGAGAUCCCAUCUUGGCGCCUGUUCCGGAGCUCCACCGGAGAGGGCAUCGAUCACGGAGGGCUUCCACAUGAACAGCAUAGCCUCUCCGAUGAAGUGUGAGUAGUUGACCUCAGACCUACAGUCCAUAGUUAUUACCUAGAUGGCUUCUCCUCUCUUUUUGGAUCUCAAUACAAUGUUCUCCCCUCUCUUGUGGAGAACUAUUCGAUGUAAUCUUCUUUUUGCGGUGUGUUUAUUGAGACCGAUGAAUUGUGGGUUGAUGAUCAAGUCUAUCUAUGAAUAAUAUUUGAAUCUUCUCUGAAUUCUUUUAUGUAUGAUUGUUUAUCUUUGCGAGUCUCUUCGAACUAUUAGUUUGGUUUGGCCUACUAGAUUGAUCUUUCUUACAAUGGGAGAAGUGCUUAGCUUUAGGUUCAAUCUUGCGGUGUCCUUUCCCAGUGACAGUAGGGGCAGCAAGGCAUGUAUUGUAUUUUUGCCAUCGAGGACAACAAGAUGGGGUUUUCAUCAUAUUGCAUUAGUUUAUCCCUCUACAUCAUGUCAUCUAGCUUAAGGCGUUACUCUGUUUUUAACUUAAUACUCUAGAAGCAUGCUGGAUAGCGGUCGAUGAGUGGAGUAAUAGUAGUAGAUGCAGGCAGAAGUCGGUCUACUUGUCUCGGACGUGAUGCCUAUAUACAUGAUCAUACCUAGAUAUUCUCAUAAAUAUGCUCAAUUCUGUCAAUUGCUCAACAGUAAUUUGUUCACCCACCAUAGAAUAAUUAUGCUCUCGAGAGAAGCUACUAGUGAAACCUAUGGCCUCGGGAUCUAUGUUUAUCAUAUUAAUCUUCUACUACUUAGUUAUUUCCUUUGCCUUUAUUUUACUUUUCAUUUUUAUCAAAAAAAAUACCAAACAUAUUAUCUUUAUCAUAUCUAUUAGAUCUCACUCUCGUAAGUGGCCGUGUAGGGAUUGACAACCCCUAUUCGUGUUGGUUCCGAGGAUUUAUUUGUUUUGUGCAAGUACGAGGGACUCGCACGUAGCCUCCUACUGGAUUGAUACCUUGGUUCUCAAAAACUGAGGGAAAUACUUAUGCUACUUUGCUGCAUCAUCCCUUCCUCUUCGGGGAAAACCAACGCAGUGCUCAAGAGGUAGCAAGAAGGAUUUCUGGUGCCGUUGCCGGGGAGGUCUACGCAAAAGUCAACAUACCAAGUACCCAUCACAUACCCUUAUCUCCCGCAUUACAUUAUUUGCCAUUUGCCUCUCGUUUUCACCUCCCCCACUUCACCCUUGCCGUUUUAUUCGCCGUCUCUCUCUAUCCUCCCUCUCUUUCUCUAUUUGCCUCUUUUUUCCCGCUUGCUUUCUGUUUGCUUGUGUGUUAGUUGCUUGCUUGUCAUGAUGGCUCAAGAUAAUACUAAAUUAUGUGACUUCACGAUGGCUAAAGCUUGGUUUUCAUCUUUGCCUAAAAAUAGUAAUGAUUCAUGGAAUAAGUGCAAAGAUGCUUUUUUCUCUAAGUAUUUUCCUCCUGCUAAGAUCAUCUCUCUUAGAAACGAUAUUAUGAAUUUUAAGCAACUUGAUCAUGAACAUGUUGCACAAGCUUGGGAGAGAAUGAAACUAAUGGUACAUAAUUGCGCUGCCCAUGGUUUAAAUUUGUGGAUGAUUAUACAAAUAUUUUAUGCCGGAUUGAAUUUUGCUUCAAGAAAUCUUUUAGAUUUGGCCGCGGGAGGCACUUUUAUGGAAAUCACUUUAGGAGAAGCUACUAAACUCAUAGAUAAUAUUAUGGUGAAUUAUGCUCAACGGCAUACUGAAAGAUCUACUAAUAAAAAGGUGCAUGCGAUAGAAGAAAUUAAUGUUUUGAGUGGAAAGAUGGAUGAACUUAUGAAAUUAUUUGCUAAUAAGAGUGUUUCUUCUAAUCCUAAUGAUAUGCCCUUGUCUAGUUUGAUUCAGAAUAAUAACGAAUCUAUGGAUGUGGAUUUUGUUGGUAGGAACAAUUUUGGUAACAACGCGUAUAGAGGAAAUUUCAACCCUAGGCCUUAUCCUAGUAAUCUCUCUAAUAAUUAUGGUAAUUCCGACAACAAUUCUUAUGGAAAUUAUAAUAAGAUGCCCUCUGAUUUUGAAUCUAAUAUUAAAGAAUUUAUUACUUCGCAAAAGAAUUUCAAUGCUUUGAUUGAAGAAAAAUUGCUUAAGAUUGAUGAUUUGGCUAGGAACGUUGAUAGAAUUACUCUUGAUGUUGAUUCUUUGAAACUUAGAUCUAUUCCACCUAAGAAUGAUGUCAAUGAGUCUCUCAAAGCCAUGAGAAUUUCCAUUGAUGAGUGCAAAGAAAGAACCGCUAGGAUGCGUGCUAAGAAAGAUGCCUUUAUAAUAGCGUGUUCUUCUAGUUCCUAUGAAAAUAAUGAUGAAGAUCUAAAAGUUAUUGAUGUGUUCCCUAUUAAAUCUUUGUUUUGCAAUAUGAAUCUUGAUAGUGAUGGGACUGAAUAUGAUCCACCUUUACCUAGAAGGCGUUCCAAGAAUUCAGAAUUUGUUGAUCUUGAUGCUAAAAUUGAUAAAGGAGGGAUUGAAGAAAUUAAAACCCUAGAUGUUGCUAAACCCACUAUUAUGGAUUUCAAGGACUUUAACUAUGAAAAUUGCUCUUUGAUUGAUUGUAUAUCCUUUUUACAAUCCGUGCUAAAUUCUCCUCAUGCUUAUAGUCAAAAUAAAUCGUUUACUAAACAUAUCGUUGAUACCUUGAUGCAAUCUUAUGAAGAAAAACUUGAAUUGGAAGUUUCUUUCCCUAGAAAGCUUUAUGAUGAGUGGGAACCAACUAUUAAAAUUAAAAUUAAAUAUCAUGAAUGCUAUGCUUUAUGUGAUUUGGGUGCUAGUGUUUCCACGAUUCCAAAGACUUUGUGUGAUUUGUUAGGUUUCCAUGAUUUUGAUGAUUGCUCUUUAAACUUGCGCCUUGCGGAUUCCACUAUUAAGAAACCUAUGGGAAGAAUUAAUGAUGUUCUUAUUGAUGCAAAUAGGAAUUAUGUGCUUGUAGAUUUUAUUGUUCUUGACAUAGAUUGCAAUCUUUCAUGUCCUAUUAUUCUUGGUAGACCUUUCCUUAGAACGAUUGGUGCAAUUAUUGAUAUGAAGGAAGGAAAUAUUAGAUUCCAAUUUCCAUUAAGGAAAGGCAUGGAACACUUUACUAGAAAGUCAAUUAAAUUACCUUAUGAAUCUAUUAUGAUAGCCACUUAUGGAUUGUUGGGGAACGUAGUAAUUUCAAAAAAUUUCCUACGCACACGCAAGAUCAUGGUGAUGCAUAGCAACGAGAGGGGAGAGUGUUGUCUAUGUACCCUCGUAGACUGAAGCGGAAGCGUUGACGCAACGUAGAGGAAGUAGUCGUACGUCUUCCUGAUCCGACCGAUCCAAGCACCGUUACUCAGGCACCUCCGAGGUCUUGGCACACGUUCAGCUCGAUGACGAUCCCCAGGCUCCGAUCCAGCAAAGCGUCGGGGAGGAGUUCCGUCAGCACGACUGCGUGGUGACGAUCUUGAUGUUCUACCGUCGCAGGGCUUCGCCUAAGCACCGCUAAAAUAUGACCGAGGUGUAAUAUCAUGGAGAGGGGCACCGCACAAGGCUAAGGAACAAUCACGAAGAUCAACUUGUGUGUCCAUGGGGUGCCCCCUGCCCCCGUAUAUAAAGGAGUGGAGGACGGGAGGGCGACCCUCUCUAUGGCGCGCCCUAGGGGAGUCCUACUCCCAUAGGGAGUAGGAUUCCCCCUUUUCCUAGUCCAACUAGGAGUCCUUCCAUGUAGUAGCACUAGUGCAGAACCGGGCAAUAGCACCGGUUCGUAAGGCCCUUUAGUGCCGGUUAGGUAACCGGCACUAAAAUUUCAGCACUAAAGGCCCCCCCUUUAGUACCGGUUCAGCACGAACCGGUGCUAAAGGGCAACCACAUGGCACGAGCGAGCUCCGGGGGCCGGGAGCCCUUUAGUACCGGUUGGUAACACCAACCGGUACUAAAAUGUUUGGGGGGUUUUUGGUUUUAUGAUUUCUUUUUCAUUAAAUUUUGUGUUUUCCAUUUUAAUUCUUUUUCGUUUGCUGGUAUUUUACGGUACUACACGUUGUACACGUUAUAUAUAUAUAUAUAUAUAAAUAGAAUUUCUAGUAGAACCAAUCAUAUAUAUAUCAUCAAUCAUGUCUCACAAAACACCAUAUUAAUUCACACAUACACACAUGUAUAGCUAUAUACAAUUUCUCCUACAUAUGCAUGUUGCCUUCGGAGCCAGUGGCAUUAGCCUGAUUGGUGCCUUCGGAGCACGAUGACAAUUGGAAGUGGUUCAUGACCUGGUCGAUGGGGGCGGUAGCGGGUAAUAGUAUUCUCCCUUCGGAUUUAUGACCUGGUCGAGCAAAAAUCCUGCUAUUUCCUAUUGAAGUGCUUCUACGCGCUCCGUUUCUAGGAGCUUGUCCCGCACCUCUUUGAACUAUUAAGAAGGAGAUCAAUAUGCAUGUGUAUUAGUUGUGUGACUAGAUAUUGAUAAUGGUGUAAAAAUUGUGAAUAGUGUUCUGACAAGCGUACCCAUUCCUGUCUUUGAGAUCUGCUCCUUCCGGACGCCAUCAUGCGAAUGUUCUCGCAAACGCAGAAUGCACACAGUUCAGUCCCCUGCGCCUGCUUCAGGGCCUUUAUUACGAGAAUGGAAUUUAAUUUGAUCAGAUAAUAAUUAAUCAAGCAUGAUAAUUAAAGAGAUGGCAGCUAGCUAGCUAGCUAGUACUACUUAAUUACUUACCUUGGCUCGAGACCAUUUCAGCUGUGGUUUCCAUUCGCCUUCCGUGUCGCUGAUGAACCUUGCCCAAGCCCUGCCCGCCGACAAAGAAAAUGAAUAAAGGGGUUAUUAAAUAGUUCAUAUCAUGAAAUGAAGAACUAAAUAGGCCGAGAUAUAUAGUUAAUAAUGAUUGAAAUUACCUGUUGACUAUCCCAAACAAGAUGUUAUAGUCACUAUUUCCUUUGAGUAGCGAGUCCAGUAUUUCAACUAUUCCGGCAUCAACUUUAAUGAUACACAAGAUCCAGUGAAAUCUGCAUGCACACACGUUUGCAAGUCUUAAUUAAGCGGGCAUAUGUAAGCAAAAACAUGUAGCUAGCUAGUAGGCAAAAAUAGAGAAUUUGUAGUACAAGAAAGUGUGACUCACUGGCAGUUGUAAGGAAGUAGUAUAUCUUCAUUGUAUUUGAGGAGCUUCAAGAACUCUAGCAUGCUGUCCUCUACCUCUUUUUCAUGAUGCUUGUUUAUUUUCCAUGUGUAUUCAUUAACGGUGUUUGGGUCAAUGAACCCAAUGCCAUAGCGUCCACCUUUUCUCAUUCCAUACAUCUUCAUCCUGCAUAAUACCACAGAAAAGAAUAUAGUAAGGAUAAUUACACGUAAUGAUUGAUCAAAAGGAUCACUACAGCUAGCUUGAGACUUAAAUUACAGAAAGAAAUCACUUACAGACAAUAGCAACUGACGAUAGAUUUGUCGAGUGUGUCUUGAUUGUAUAACUGAAACAGUUCAGAAUACUCAACGGCCACAACUUUCUCAUGGUAGUAAUCAUCCUUCUUGACAUACACCAUGAGGGACUCUCGAUCGGAUCUCUUGGUAAUGUCCAUGUACCAUUGAUGCAAUUCAUACAUUCUCGUUGGGAGCUUCUUGACAUCUUCUGGCUCGACCAAAGGUUGGCCCCGAACAUAUUUCCGUUUUAUUUCCUCCUCUGUAAUCAGAGGCAUGUCCUCGAUCUCGAGGAGUUGUCCAACAGUGAUCUUGAGUUCUUCAGCCUGCAUUAUAUGCUCCUCGGUUAUUACCACAUCGCCCACCUCGGGAAUGUAAACUGUUUGGCCACAAUAAUAUUGGGCGCGCGUACUGUCACGUGUUGUUGGCGGCACAACAAGCGGNNNNNNNNNNNNNNNNNNNNNNNNNNNNNNNNNNNNNNNNNNNNNNNNNNNNNNNNNNNNNNNNNNNNNNNNNNNNNNNNNNNNNNNNNNNNNNNNNNNNNNNNNNNNNNNNNNNNNNNNNNNNNNNNNNNNNNNNNNNNNNNNNNNNNNNNNNNNNNNNNNNNNNNNNNNNNNNNNNNNNNNNNNNNNNNNNNNNNNNNNNNNNNNNNNNNNNNNNNNNNNNNNNNNNNNNNNNNNNNNNNNNNNNNNNNNNNNNNNNNNNNNUUCCCAGCUGGGCAACGGUUUUCCUGCAUUUUUUGACAGCUGCUUGUUGUUUGCUCGAGCUCGAGCUCGCCUCCUUCUGUAGACGUUGUCGAUGUAACUUCCUGAUGUGGCGCUCAUAGUCUGUUUCAACAGGCUUAGGAGCUAGUGGUUGAGCCAUACGAAUGAAGUGGUCAACUACUUCCACAGGCACUUUCUCCCUUGGCGGCGGUGGCGGUUUCGGUCCAAAAUGGGCGUCGACUUCUGCCCGCACUAUGGCAUUGGUUUGCUCCUCAGUCCUGUCGUAAGCCCUCACAGGAAGAGGAGUACUGAGGUUUGGACCAUAUUUAUAUCGCUUGCCUCCACCUGUACUUCCUGUACUAUCACCUCGACUCGUACCGCUACGCACCAUAGCUGCGGGGUGUCUCUUCUGCGAUUGCUGAGGCGGCGGAGACGGCAGACGGGGCUGAGUUAGACGAGGAGGAGUGGCCUGAAGCUGUGCCGGACUUGGAGGAGGAGUGGCCUGAGGUUGUGCCGGACUUGGAGGAGGAGUGGACGUCUGACGCUGUGUCGGACUUGGAGGAGGAGUGGCCUCACACAUUGCCGGACUUGGAGGAGGAGGAGUGGCCUCACGCGUUGAUGGACUUGGAGCGGGAGUCUGCUGACUCGGUGGUGGACUUCGACGAGGAGUCGGGUGACGCGGUGUCGGUGGCCUUCGAAAGAUGAUGCAAUCCUUUCUCCAUAGGAUGACAUGAUGUAUGGCCUCUCCCAAUGUGUGCUCGUCGUCACCUCUAGGAAUGUCAAGUUGUAGCUCCGAAUAUGGGUCCACCACCUCAUCAACCAAGACACGAGCAUAGCCUGCUGGAAUCGGGUUGCAAUGGAAGGUUGCCUCGGGGGAAUUUGAAAAAGCAACGGCGUCCGCCACCUUCAUGGAUAUGUUCUUCAUUUUGAAGUGUACCUCGCAGUUAGUGUUCUCCGUGAUGUCAUCCAUGGGGUAUCUAUCCAGCACUGCGUCGCCCGGGGCGGAACCCACGCUGCUUCUCGGCAUGGAUGGGGUGGUGGUAUCCAAUGCUGGAUCAUCCGCUAGGUGCUGCAGCUGCUGAGACCCCAUUUGCUGGCUAAGUGAGUCGAUCUGCUCCUGCUGCCGCUGGAAUUUAGCUGCCAAUUCCGCUUGACUUGCUUCUAGGCCUUGAAGGCGUUCAUAGUCCCGCUUCCUUUGCUCCUCCUCCAUCUUCCUCUUCUUCUCCUCCGCAAUCUUCUUUCUCGCACGGGUUCUGUAGUCGGCGUUCCAGUCCGAAAACCCCUCAUACCACGGAAUAGCGCCCUUGCCUCGUGGUCUUCCCGGGUGUUCAGGAUUUCCCUGGGCACGCGUAAGCUCGUCCUUCUCUCUGUUGGGCUGAAACACCCCCGAUCGAGCCUCUUCUAUUGCAACAAGUAGCGCAUCGUCGGCUCCAUUCAGACAUGCCUUCGUCAAAACAUUGCCUGUCUUCGGGUCCAACUCCCCCCCAUGCGCAUAGAACCAAGUCCUGCACCUAGGGGGCCAACUCUUAGUAAACGGAGUGGCACCUGCAUCCUCCAUCUCUUUCUCAGACUUAUCCCACUUAGGCAUUGCCACCGUGUAGCCAGCUGGCCCCAGCUUAUGGAACUUAUCCUUUUUUCGGCAUUCUUCUUGUUUAUUCUCGACCGUUCCUUAGCUAAUUCGGAAUCCUUGAAUUUCAUGAAAUCGUCCCAAUGAGAACUUUGAUUCUCUAGUAUCCCCUCGAAUACUGGAGUCUUCCUUCCUCCCUUGACGUACUUCUCCCACGUCGUUCUCUUGUGGUUCUUGAAUGCAACCGCCAUCUUCCUAAAAGCAGCGUCCUUGACUUUCUGCACAUCUGCUUCCGUGAAAUGAUCUGGUAGGGUGAAAUGUUCCAUGAGAGUAUCCCAAAGCAGUUUUUUAUAUUCUCGUCUACAAAAGUAUCAUUUGGACGUGGCUUUGCUGGCUUUCUCCAUUCUUGAAGGGAGAUCGGGAGUUGGUCCUUCACAAGAACUCCACACUAACGAACGAACUUGUCCGCAAUCUUCUUAGGCGCUAAUGGUUCGCCAUUAGGUUUGAAUGCCUCGAUAUUGUACUUUACGCCCUCCUUCAACUUUUUGUUCGGGCCUCGUUUUGUCCUUUUGCCUGAAGAUUUGCUCGAUCCGGAUGGCUGAAAGAAGAAAGAUCGAUUCGUUAAUAUAUCUUCAACUCAUUUAAAACAUGCGAUGAUCACCAGAUUCCUGCUUAUAUAAAUAUAUAUACCUCGCCGGUACAUGUUGUUUCAGGGUCAACAUGUUCUUCGUCGUAGUUCAGGACUUCAUCUUCUCGGUCAUCGCGAUCAAAUAUCAUAUCACCCUCUCCGGUGUUGUUUAGAAAUUCAGAGCCGUCAAAAUCUUCUUCAUUCUGAUCAUCAUCUGGCCCGCGUAUGAUACCGAACAUGGUAUGUUCUCUCUCUCUGUCGGUAUUGUCCGCCAUAGCUUUUAUUUAACUAUGCCAAAAGAAAUAUAAAAUAAUUUAGUAUAAUCUCGAAUAAUAGAUAUAAUCUCGAAUACAUCGUCUCGAAUAAUAGAUAUAAUCUCGAAUACAUCGUCUCGAAUAAUAGAUUUAAUCUCGAAUACAUCGUCUCGAAUAAUAGAUAUAAUCUCGAAUACAUCGUCUCGAAUAAUAGAUUUAAUCUCGAAUACAUCGUCUAGAAUAAUAGAUUUAAUCUCGAAUACAUCGUCUCGAAUAAUAUAUAAUAUUGAAUAGUACAUCAUUGGCUAGGCGGUGGACACCCAAAGAGAAGGAACCCUCACAGGAUCAUAGCUGAAGUGAGAGCCCCGAAGAAACUGCCAGGUUUUGGAGAACCUUCCGCCCUCUAACGCAACCAUGUAGCGAUGGAUGUAAUCGUCCUCCUCCCUGACACGACGACGUACCACCUCCGGCGGGGCCGGCUCCCUCCGCACCGAAACUGGCCCACGCGAACGCCACCAAACGAGAUCAGGGUCGAUCACAGGACCCGGGGCCGGGUUCCUCAUCAAGCGGCGCGCCCCUCCAGGCAGCACCUCCCAGUGCCAGCCCGGCGGAGCCCAGUCCCGGACAUGGGUCAGCUGGACGUCGUCGCGGACGUGUCGACGGUGAGGAUGUGGGCCGGGCAUCGUCGACAACAAAUACUAGCUAUAUGCCCGCAAAAAGUAACAUUUUUUUAAUGAUUGGAAUUUGAUAACUAAAAUUUCUAACAUUUCUAUAUAACACUAAUUAUGCUAUCAUUGCAUAUGUCAAAAUUCUAUAUGCUAUUUCAUACUAAUUAAGCAUCUAACACUAAAAACAGAAAACACAACUUCUAUACAUCCAUUAAAAAAACUGAAAAACAACAUUAUAUAAACAAAUUUCAAUACUAAUUAAACACUAAUUAUAUCCAUCUAACAUGCAUUCAUACAUAUAUGCUAGUGAAAAAAUAAUAAUCUAAAAAAUCUAAACUAAUUAAACAUACAAAAUACGUAUAUACUAAUAUAUACAUGCAUUAAUUCAUACAUAUGUACGUGUGUGUGUGUGUGUGCUCGGGGAGGGGUGGUGCCCAUGGUGGCCGCCGGGGGCGAGGGAGAGGGGUUAGAGGGGGAGAGCUCACAGCAGGGUGACGGCGACGGCCAGGGGCGGCGACGGGCCGGGGUGUGACGCGGGGGCGGCGACGCGGGGACGGUGCGACGGGGACGGGCCUGGGGCGGCGACGGGGACGGGCCCGAUGACGGGGACGGGGGCGGCGACGGCGACAUCGUCGAUUGAUCGGGGUGCGCGGGCGGUGCUUCAAUGGGGAAACAGAGGAAGAAACAAAGGGAGAAUGAAAUUUUCGUAAGUGUUCUAUAUAUAGAAGGCACCUUCAGUACCGGUUGGAGCCACCAACCGGUACUAAAGGCCUGUUUUGGCCAGGCCAAGCCGCGGGAAGCACCCCCCUUUAGUACCGGUUCCUGGCUCCAACCGGUACUAAAGGCCCCCCCUUUAGUACCGGUUGGUGCCACCAACCGGUACUAAAGGGGGGUACGCUGCCAGGCGAGGGGCACAAAACUUUAGUCCCACCUCGCUAGCCGAGGGGCACUCACACCUUCUUAUAAGCCCCGCCGUCGCUGCUGUCUCGAGCUCCACUCUUAAGCACGCCUUCUGGGCCUACCUCUUCUGCGAUGCCCUGUUGGGCCUACUGGGCUAGUGGGCCUGCAUCCUGGCCCAACUUGAAUAUGGGUUUCUAGUCGUAUGCAGGCCGCUGUGGCCCAGUAGGUGGGCUUUUUUUUCUUAUUUUUUUGCUUUAUUUAUUUUUGUGAAUAACUUAACUUUGAAAAUAGAUUUUUCAGUGAUUCUUUUUUCUUAUGUUUAAUAUUAGUGUGUUUUAUCAUUAUAUUCAAUUUGGUAAUGCUUAGGUUAUUUAAAAAAUGAAAUGCCUUUGUAACGGAUGAGUUUUCGUCCGAAACCCUGAUACUUCGAAACAGAUUGUCCAUUUUGUACACGAAGUGCAUCCAGUUUUUGCGGUAACCCUCUCUACUUUUUUGCACAUGCUAUGUGGGUGAAAUUAUGAUACCAUGCCAACUUUCAUCCUUUUCUGAGUUCAUUUGAAAUUCUUUUCAAUUUUAGGGUCAUUUAGGUGAAAAAAAUCAGUAAAUGCAUGAAAGAAUUUGCUUGCACAUAAAAUUUCUUCGCGUUUCAAAUGCCAAAACACAUAACUAGCUACCCUAACUAUUACAGAGAUUCCCUCCUGGGUGUGAAACACAGAAGAAAGUGAUGAUAGUUACGCCGAUCAUAUCCCAGAUCUUUGGGUGUGAAACUUUUUCUUCGCGUGUGUCCCUUUGCGUCGUAGCCAUGGAAAAUCUUCAUCAUUUAACGGGAUGCUCGGGUCAAUAUUCACUGUGAAUGGAGCAAUUUCAUCAAACUUUUCAUAAUCAUCUGACUUGUCUGUUUUGUCAUCCACUCCCAUGAUGUUUCUCUUCCCAGAAAGAACUAUGUGCCGCUUUGGCUCAUCGUACGAUGCAUUCACUUCCUUAUCUUUUCUUUUUCUUGGCUUGUUAGACAUGUCCUUCACACAGAAAACCUAUGCCACAUCAUUGGCUAGGACGAACGGUUCGUCUGCAUACGCAAGAUUGUUGAGAUCCACUGUUGUCAUUCCGUACUGCGGGUCUUCCAUUACCCAGCCUCGUGUCAUAUUAACCCAUUUGCACCGAAACAAAGGGACCUUCAAACCACGUCGAUAGUCAAGUUCCCAUAUGUCCUGUAUAUAACCAUAAUAUGUUUCCUUUCCCGUCUUGGUUUCUGCAUCAAAGCGGACACCACUGUUUUGGUUGGUGCUCUUAUUAUCUUGGGCGAUCGUGUAAAAUGUAUUACCAUUUAUCUCGUACCCUUUGAAAGUCAUUAUAUUCGAAGAUGGUAAUUGGGAUAGCAAGUACAUGUCAUCUUCAAUAGAGGUGUCAUGCAUGGUACGUGGUUGCAACCAGCUGGCGAAACUCCUGGUUUGUUCACGUGUAAUCCAGUCAUCAGACCGCUCCGGGUGUUUGGAGCGUAGCAAAUUCUUGUGUUCAUCCAUAUACGGAGCCACCGAGGCAGAAUUCUGUAGAACUAUGUAGUGUGCUUCAGUGAGAGAAUGUCCAGCCAUAUAUACAUAUUAUUUGUUCCCCUCCUAGCGUGCCUUUUCCAUCCAGUCUGCCCUUAUGCCGCGAUUCAGGAACACCAAUCGGCUUAAGGUCAGGAAUAAAGUCAAUACAAAACUCACUGACCUCCUCAUUUUGACGGCCCUUGGAGAUGCUUCCUUCUGGCCUAGCACGGUUAUGAACAUAUUUCUUUAAGUCUCCCACGAACCUCUCAAAGGGGAACAUAUUGUGUAGAAAUACAGGACCCAAAACGUUAAUCUCUUCGCAUAGGUGAACUAGGACGUGCGUCAUGAUGUUGAAGAAGGAUGGUGGGAACACCAACUCGAAACUGACAAGACAUUGCACCAAAUCAUUCUGUAACCUUGGUAUGAUUUCUGGAUCGAUUACCUUCUGAGAGAUUGCAUUGAGAAAUGCACAUAGCUUCACAAUGGCUAAUCGAACGUUUUCCGGUAGAAGCCCCCUCAAUGCAACCGGAAGUACUUGCGUCAUAAUCACGUGGCAGUCAUGAGACUUUAGGUUCUGGAACUUUUUCUCUGCCAUGUUUAUUAUUCCCUUUAUAUUCGACGAGAAGCCAGAUGGUACCUUAAUAAUGAGUAGGCAUUCAAAGAACAUUUCCUUCUCUUCUUUGGUAAGAGCGUAGCUUGCAUGACCCUGAUGUAUGCCGUCUUUUCCGUGCAUACGUUGCUGGUCCUCCUGUGCCUUAGGUGUAUCUUUUGUCAUCCCAUACACGCCCAAGAAGCCAAGCAGGGUCACACAAAGAUUCUUCGUCACGUGCAUCACGUCGAUUGCGGAGCGGACCUCGAGGUCUUUCCAAUAGUGCAGGUCCCAAAAUAUAGAUUUCUUCUUCCACAUGGGUGCGCGUCCGUCAGCGUCAUUCGGAACAGGUUGUCCACCAGGACCCUUUCUAAAGACCACCUUCAAAUCCUUGACCAUAUCAUGUACAUCAGCACCAGUACGGUGGCGAGGCUUCGUCCGGUGAUCCGCCUCACCUUUGAAAUGCUUGCAUUUCUUUCUUACGGGAUGCCUGCUCGUAAGAAAUCGACGAUGUCCUAGGUACACAUUCUUAUUAGCCAAAUAUAUACUGUCGGUAUCGUCCAAACAGUGCGUGCAUGCGCGGUAUCCCUUGUUUGUCUGUCCUGAAAGGUUACUGAGAGCAGGCCAAUCAUUGAUGGUCACGAACAGCAACGCCUUUAGGUCAAAUUCUUCCCCCAUGUGCUCAUCCCACACACGUACACCUGUUCCAUUCCAUAGUUGUAAGAGUUCUUCAACUAAUGGCCUUAGGUACACAUCAAUGUCGUUGCCGGGUUGCUUAGGGCCUUGGAUGAGCACUGGCAUCAUAAUGAACUUCCGCUUCAUGCACAACCAAGGAGGAAGGUUAUACAAACAUAGAGUCACAGGCCAAGUGCUAUGGUUGCUGCUCUGCUCCCCAAAAGGAUUAAUGCCAUCUGCGCUUAGACCAAACCAUACGCUCCUUGCGUCAUUUGCAAACUCCUUCCCGUACUUUCUUUCGAUUUUUCUCCACUGUGAACCGUCAGCGGUUAGUGUCAACUUUCCAUCUUUCUUACGGUCUUCGCUGUGCCAUCGCAUCGCCUUGGCAUGCUCUUUGUUUUGGAACAAACGUUUCAACCGUGGUAUUAUAGGAGCAUACCACAUCACCUUGGCAGGAAUCUUCUUCCUGGGGCGCCGGCCCUCGACAUCACCAGGGUCAUCGCGGCUGAUCUUAUAGCGCAAUACACCACAUACCGGGCAAGCGUUCAAAUCCUCGUACUCACCACGGUAGAGGAUGCAAUCAUUAGGGCAUGCAUGUAUCUUCUCCACCUCUAACCCUAGAGGGCAGAGAACCUUCUUUGCUUCGUACAUACUCUCGGGCAAUUCGUUGUCCUUUGGAAGGAUAUCCUUUAUCAUUACCAGCAACUUUCCAAAUCCCUUGUCAGAUACACCAUUCUCUGCCUUCCAUUGCAGCAAUUCCAGUGUGGUGCCCAGUUUUUUCUUGUCAGCUACGCAAUUCGGGUACAACAAUUUUUUGUGAUCCCCUAACAUGCACUGCAACUUCUUCUCCAAAUCACUUGCGCAGUUUCUCUUUGCAUCGGCAAUGGCCCGACCUAGAUCAUCAACGGGCUCAUCUGAUGCCUCUUCUUCAGCUUCUUCCCGCAUUGCCGGCUCAGCUUCUUCCCGCAUUACCGGCUCAGCUUCUUCCACCAUUGUUGUAUCAUCGUAUUCAGGGAACCCAUGGCCAGGAUAGCUGUCGUCGUCCUCUUCUUCUUCAUUGUCUUCCAUCAUAACCCCUCUUUAUCCGUGCUUGGUCCAAACAUUAUAAUGGGGCAUGAAACCAGACUUAAACAGGUGGACGUGAAUGGUUCUUGACGUACAGUAAUUGUGACCAUUCUUACAGCGAGCACAUGGACAAGGCAUAAAACCAUCCGCCCCCUUGUUUGCCUCAGCCGCAAGCAGAAAAGUAUGCACGCCCUCAACGAACUGGGGAGAGCAUCGGUCAUCGUACAUCCAUUGCCGGCUCAUCUUCAUUACACAACAACGAAUAGAACAAAUUAAUACAAGUUCAUACAUAAAGUUCAUACAACACUUAAAUGCAACAAACAAAUAACUCUCUAGCUAAAGCAUUUAAAUGCAACAACAAAUACGAUCAAGAUCGCAACUAAGGUAACAAUGGAUCCAACAGCAUAAUGAAACCAAGCCUCACUAUCGAUGGCAUAUUUUCUAAUCUUUCUAAUCUUCAAGCGCAUUUUCUCCAUCUUGAUCUUGUGAUCAUCGACGAUACCGGCAACAUGCAACUCCAAUUCCAUCUUCUCCCCCUCAAUUCUUUUCAAUUUUUCUUUCAAGUACUCGUUUUCUCUUUCAACUAAAUUUAACCUCUCGGCAAUAGGGUAGGUUGGAAUUUCCGGUUGAUGGGCAUAAUUUGUAAUAAACACGAAAUGCAACUAGUUUUAAAAGAGAAUAUACAUACCACAUCCGAAUCAUAACAAGGACUAGGGCCGACGGGGACGGAUAUCAAAACCAUGGCACUAUAUGUAUAACAAACAACGUACAGGUAAGAUAAUUAUACGAGUAACUAUAUAUCCAAAUCACACAAACAUCAAUUUUUAUAUAAAAUUUCAUGAACAAGAGGCUCACCACAAGGUGGUGCCGGCGACGGGACGGUGCGGGCGAUCCACGGUGGCUACGAUGGAGAUUUAGAAGGCACUAAGUAAACCACACCUACAUAUGCAAACUAAAUGUUAUUUUUGACCUCAAAUUGCAUAUAAAUCAAAUACUAGCACAUAUAUAUAUAUCAUCCCAAAUUACUAAACUCACAAAUUAAUCACUAUAUAAAGCAUUGCAAGAGCUAAUCUAGCAACGAGAGAUGAAAGGACAAAGUUGCUAACCUUUGUGAUCAUUUGAAUGGAUGGGGGCCUUCAAAUCUUGACAAAUUUUGGGCAAAAUGUGUGAUGAGCUCGAGAGGAAGAGGGGAAGAACAGAGAGGAGAGGGGAAAGGGGAAGAAUAGAGCGAGCUCGGGUGGACGAAGGGUUUAUGUAGGACGACCUUUAGUACCGGUUUGUGCCAAGAACCGGUACUAAAGGGGCUGGAGGGGCCCCAUACUGACAACAUCCUGCCACCACUCUCAUUAGUACCGGUUCGUGGCACGAACCGGUGCUAAAGGUUCGCCAUGAACCGGUACUAAUGAAAGCAGCCUGGUUAGCCGUUGGAACCGGCACUAAUGUAUACAUUAGUGCCGGCUCAAAUACAAACCGGCACUAAUGUGCUUCAUGUUUGACCCUUUUUCCACUAGUGUAGGAGUAGGAGACAAGGAAGGGGAAGGGAGAAGGGAAAGAAGGAGGGGGCGCGGCCCCUCCCCCUAGUCCAAUUCGGACUAGGCCUUGGGGGGGCGCGCGGCCUGCCCUAGGCAGCCCCUCUCUCUUUCCCGUAUGGCCCAAUAAGGCCCAAUACUUCUCCCGGCGAAUUCCCGUAACUCUCCGGUACUCCGAAAAAUACCCGAACCACUCGAAACCUUUCCGAUGUCCGAAUAUAGUCGUCCAAUAUAUCGAUCUUUACAUCUCGACCAUUUCGAGACUCCUCCUCAUGUCCCCGAUCCCAUCCGGGACUCCGAACUCCUUCGGUACAUCAAAACUCAUAAACUCAAAAUAUAACUGUCAUCGAAACCUUAAGCGUGCGGACCCUACAGUUCGAGAACAAUGUAGACAUGAUCGAGACACAUGUCCGGUCAAUGACUAAUAGCGGGACCUGGAUGCCCAUAAUGGCUCCUACAUAUUCUACGAAGAUCUUUAUCGGUCAGACCGCAUAACAACAUACGUUGUUCCCUUUGUCAUCGGUAUGUUACUUGCCUGAGAUUUGAUCGUCGGUAUCUCAAUACCUAGUUCAAUCUUGUUACCGGCAAGUCUCUUUACUCGUUCCGUAAUACAUCAUCUCGCAACUAACUCAUUAGUUGCAAUGCUUGCAAGGCUUAUGUGAUGUGCAUUACCGAGAGGGCCUAGAGAUACCUCUCCGACAAUCGGAGUGACAAAUCCUAAUCUCGAAAUACGCCAGCCCAACAUGUACCUUUGGAGACACCUGUAGAGCUCCUUUAUAAUCACCCAGUUAUGUUGUGACGUUUGGUAGAACACAAAGUGUUCCUCCGGCAAAUGGGAGUUGCAUAAUCUCAUAGUCAUAUGAACAUGUAUAAGUCAUGAAGAAAGCAAUAGCAACAUACUAAACGAUUGGGUGCUAAGCUAAUGGAAUGGGUCAUGUCAAUCAGAUCAUUCAACUAAUGAUCUGAUCCCGUUAAUCAAAUAACAACUCUUUGUCCAUGGUUAGGAAACAUAACCAUCUUUGAUUAACGAGCUAGUCAAGUAGAGGCAUACUAGUGACACUCUGUUUUCUAUGUAUUCACACAUGUAUUAUGUUUCCGGUUAAUACAAUUCUAGCAUGAAUAAUAAACAUUUAUCAUGAUAUAAGUAAAUAAAUAAUAACUUUAUUAUUGCCUCUAGGGUAUAUUUCCAUCAGUCUCCCACUUGCACUAGAGUCAAUAAUCUAGAUCACAUCGCCAUGUGAUUUAACAUCAAUAGUUCACAUCUUUAUGUUAUUGGUUCACAUCUCCAUGUGACUAACACCCAAAGGGUUUACUAGAUUCAAUAAUCUAGUUCACAUCGCUAUGUGAUUAAGACCCAAAAAGUGAUCAUGUUUUGCUUGUGAGAGAAGUUUAGUCAAUAGGUCUUCCACAUUCAGAUCCGCAUGUAUUUUGCAAAUUUCUAUGUCAACAAUGCUCUGCAUGGAGCUACUCUAGCUAAUUGCUCCCACUUUCAAUAUGUAUCCAGAUUGAGACUUAGAGUCAUCUGGAUCAGUGUCAAAACUUGCAUCGACGUAACCCUUUACGACGAACCUUUUGUCACCUCCGUAAUCGAGAAACAUAUCCUUAUUCUACUAAGGAUAAUUUUGACCGCUGUCAAUAGAUCUACUCCUAGAUCACUAUUGUACUCCCUCUCUUAACACAGUGUAUGGUAUACAAUAGAUCUGGUACACAACAUGGCAUACUUUAUAGAACCUAUGACUGAGGCAUAGGGAAUGACUUUCAUUCUCUUUCUAUCUUCUGCCGUGGUCGGGCUUUGAGUCUUACUCAACUUCACGCCUUGUAACACAAGCAAGAAACUUUUUCUUUGACUGUUCCAUUUUGAACUACUUCAAAAUCUUGUCAAGGUAUGUACUCAUCGAAAAAACUUAUCAAGCGUCUUGAUCUAUCUCUAUAGAUCUUGAUACUCAAUAUGUAAGCAGCUUCACCGAGGUCUUUCUUUGAAAAAACUCCUUUCAAACAUUCCUUUAUGCUUUGCAGAAUAAUUCUACAUUAUCUCCGAUCAACAAUAUGUCUUUCACAUAUACUUAUCAGAAAUGAUGUAGUGCUCCCACUCACUUUCUUGUAAAUACAGGCUUCACUGCAAGUCUGUAUAAAACUAUAUGCUUUGAUCAACUCAUGAAAGCGUAUAUUCCAACUCUGAGAUGCUUGCACCAGUCCAUAGAUGGAUCGCUGGAGCUUGCAUAUUUUGUUAGUACCUUUAGGAUUGACAAAACCUUCUGGUUGCAUCAUAAACAACUCUUCUUUAAUAAAUCCAUUAAGGAAUGCAGUUUUGUUUAUCCAUUUGCCAGAUUUCAUAAAAUGCGGCAAUUGCUAACAUGAUUCGGACAGACUUAAGCGUAGAUACGAGUGAGAAACUCUCAUCGUAGUCAACACCUUGAACUUGUCGAAAACCUUUUUGCGACAAUUCUAGUUUUGUAGAUAGUAACACUACUAUCAGCGUCCGUCUUCCUCUUGAAGAUCCAUUUAAUCUCAAUGGCUUGCCGAACAUCGGGCAAGUCAACCAAAGUCCACACUUUGUUCUCAUACAUGGAUCCUAUCUCAGAUUUCAUGGCCUCAAGCCAUUUAUCGGAAUCUGGGCUCAUCAUCGCUUCCUCAUAGGUCGCAAGUUUGUCAUGGUCAAGUAACAUGACCUCCAGAACAGGAUUACCAUACCACUUUGGUGCGGAUCUCAAUCUGGUUUACCUACGAGGUUUGGUAGUAACUUGAUCUGAAGUUACAUGAUCAUCAUCAUUAGCUUCCUCACUAAUUGGUGUAGGAGUCACAGGAACAAAUUUCUGUGAUGAACUACUUUCCAAUAAAGGAGAAGGUACAAUUACCUUAUCAAGUUUUCUACUUUCCUCCCACUCACUUCUUUCAAGAGAAACUCCUUCUCUGGAAAGGAUCCAUUCUCAGUCAACGAAUAUCUUGCCUUCGGAUCUGUGAUAGAAGGUGUACCCAACAUUUUCUUUAGGGUAUCCUAUGAAGAUGCACUUUUCCGAUUUGGGUUUGAGCUUAUCAGGAUGAAACUUUUUCACAUAAGCAUCACAACCCCAAACUUUAAGAAACGACAACUUUGGUUUCUUGCCAAACCACAGUUCAUAAGGCGUCGUCUCAACGGAUUUUGAUGGUGCCCUAUUCAACGUGAAUGCAGCUGUCUCUAAUGCAUAACCCCAAAACGAUAGUGGUAGAUCGGUAAGAGAUAUCAUAGAUCGCACCAUAUCUAAUAAAGUACGGUUAUGAUGUUCGGACACACCAUUACAUUGUGGUGUUCCAGGUGGCAUGAGUAGUGAAACUAUUUCACAUUGUUUUUAACUGAAGGCCAAACUCAUAACUCAAAUACUCUUCUCUACGAUCAGGUCGUAGAAACUUUAUUUUCUUGUUACGAUGAUUUUUCACUUCACUCUGAAAUUCUUUGAACUUUUCAAAUGUUUCAGACUUAUGUUUCAUCAAGUAGAUAUACUCAUAUCUGCUCAAAUCAUCUGUGAAGAUCAGAAAAUAAUGAUACCUGUCGCGAGCCUCAAUAUUCAUCGGACCACAUACAUUAGUAUGUAUGAUUUCCAACAAAUCUGUUGCUCGCUCCAUUGUUCUGAAGAACAGAGUCUUAGUCAUCUUGCCCAUUAGGCAUGGUUCGCAAGCAUCAACUGAUUCAUAACCAACUGAUUCCAAAAGCCCAUCAGCAUGGAGUUUCUUCAUGCGCUUUACACCAAUAUGACCUAAACGGCAGUGCUACAAAUAAGUUGCACUAUCAUUAUUAACUUUGCAUCUUUUGGUUUCAAUAUUAUGAUUAUGUGUAUCACUACAAUCGAGAUCCAACGAACUAUUUUCAUUGGGUGUGUAACCAUAUAAGGUUUUAUUCAUGUAAACAGAACAACAAUUUAUUCUCUUACUUAAAUGAAUAACCGUAUUACAAUAAACAUGAUCAAAUCAUAUUCAUGCUCAACGCAAACACCAAAUAACACUUAUUUAGGUUCAACACUAAUCCUGAAAUUAUAGGGAGUGUGCGAUGAUGAUCAUAUCAAUCUUGGAACCACUUCCAACAUACAUCAUCACUUCACCCUUAACUAGUCUCUGUUUAUUUUGCAACUCCCGUUUCGAGUUACUAAUCUUUGCAACUGAACUAGUAUCAAAUACUGAGGGGUUGCUAUAAACACUUGUAAAGUACACAUCAAUAACAUGUAUAUCAAAUAUACUUAUGUUCACUUUGCCAUCCUUCUUAUCCGCCAAUCACUUGGGGUAGUUCCGCUUCUAGUGACCAGUGCCUUUGCAGUAGAAGCACUUAGUCUCAGGCUUAGGACCAGACUUGGGCUUCUUCACUUGAGCAGCAACUUGCUUGCUGUUCUUCUUGAAGUUCCCCUUCUUCCCUCUGCCCUUUUCUUGAAACUAGUGGUCUUGUCAACCAUCAACACCUGAUGUUUUUCUUGAUUUCUACCUUCAUUGAUUUCAGCAUCACGAAGAGCUUGGGAGUUGUUUCCGUUAUCCCUUGCAUAUUAUGGUUCAUCACGAAGUUCUACUAACUUGGUGAUGGUGACUAGAGAAUUCUGUCAAUCACUAUCUUAUCUGGAAGAUUAACUCCCACUUGGUUCAAGCAAUUGUAGUACCCAGACAAUCUGAGCACGUGCUCACUAGUUGAGCGAUUCUCCUCCAUCUUUUAGCUAUAGAACUUGUUGGAGACUUCAUAUCUCUCAAGUCGGGUAUUUGCUUGAAAUAUUAACUUCAACUCCUAGAACAUCUCAUAUGGUCCAUGAUGUUCAAAACGUCUUUGAAGUCCUGAUUCUAAGCCAUUAAGCAUGGUGCACUAAACUAUCAAGUAGUCAUCAUAUUGGGCUAGCCAAACGUUCAUAACGUCGGCAUCUGCUCCUGCAAUAGGUCUGUCACCUAGCGGUGCAUCAAGGACAUAAUUCCUCUAUGCAGCAAUGAGGAUAAAACUCAGAUCACGGAUCCAAUCCGCAUCAUUGCUACUAACAUCUUUCAACACAAUUUUCUCUAGGAACAUAUCAAAAUAAACAUAGGGAAGCAACAACGCGAGCUAUUGAUCUACAACAUAAUUUGCAAAAUACUACCAGGACUAAGUUCAUGAUAAAUUUAAGUUCAAUUUAAUCAUAUUACUGGAGAACUCCCACUUAGAUAGACAUCCCUCUAAUCCUCUAAGUGAUCACGUGAUCCAAAUCAACUAAACCAUGUCCGAUCACCACGUGAGAUGGAGUAGUUUCAUUGGUGAACAUCACUAUGUUGAUCAUAUCUACUAUCUGAUUCACGCUCGACCUUUCGGUCUCCGUGUUCCGAGGCCAUAUCUGUAUAUGCUUGCCUCGUCAAGUAUAACCUGAGUAUUCCGCGUGUGCAACUGUUUUACACCCGUUGUAUUUGAACGUAGAGCCUAUCACACCCGAUCAUCACGUGGUGUCUCAGCACGAAGAAGUUUCGCAACGGUGCAUACUCAGGGAGAACACUUCUUGAUAAUUAGUGAGAGAUCAUCUUAAAAUGCUACCGUCAAACUAAGCAAAAAUAAGAUGUAUAAAAGAUAAACAUCAUAUGCAAUCAAAAUAUGUGACAUGAUAUGGCCAUCAUCAUCUUGCUUCUUUGAUCUCCAUCUCCAAAGUACUGUCAUGAUCUAUAUCGUCAUCGGCAUGACACCAUGAUCUCCAUCAUCUUGAUCUAUAUCAAUGUGUCGUCACGUGGUCGUCUCGCCAACAAUUGCUCUUGCAACUAUUGCUAUCGCAUAGCGAUAAAGUAAAGCAAUUAUUGGACGCUUGCAUCUUAUGUAAUAGAGAGACAACCAUAAGGAUUUUGCCAGUUGUUGAUAACUUCAACAAAACAUGAUCAUCUCAUACAACAACUUAUAUCUCAUCACGUCUUGACCAUAUCACAUCACAACAUGCCCUGCAAAAACAAGUUAGACGUCCUCUACUUUGUUGUUGCAAGUUUUACGUGGCUGCUACGGGCUUAAGCAAGAACCAAUCUUACCUACGCAUCAAAACCACAACGAUAGUUUGUCAAGUUGGUGCUGUUUUAACCUUCGCAAGGACCGGGCGUAGCCACACUCGGUUCAACUAAAGUUGGAGAAACUGUCACCCCCAAGCCACCUAUGUGCAAAGCACGUCGGGAGAACCGGUCUCGCGUAAGCAUACGCGUAAUGUCGGUCUGGGCCGCUUCAUCCAACAAUACCGCCGAACCAAAGUAUGACAUGCUGGUAAGCAGUAUGACUUAUAUCGCCCACAACUCACUUGUGUUCUACUCGUGCAUAUAACAUCAACACAUAAAACCUAGGCUCAAAUGCCACUGUUGGGGAACGUAGUAAUUUCAAAAAAUUUCCUACGCACACGCAAGAUCAUGGUGAUGCAUAGCAACGAGAGGGGAGAGUGUUGUCAACGUAGCCUUGUAGACCGAAGCAGAAGCGUUGACGCAACGUAGAGGAAGUAGUCGUACGUCUUCCCGAUCCGACCGAUCCAAGCACCAUUACUCCGGCACCUCCGAGUUCUUGGCACACGUUCAGCUCGGUAACGAUCCCCAGGCUCCGAUCCAGCAAAGCGUCGGCGAGGAGUUCCAUCAGCACGACGGCGUGGUGACGAUCUUGAUGUUCUACCGUCGCAGGGCUUCGCCUAAGCACCGCUACAAUAUGACCGAGGUGUAAUAUCGUGGAGAGGGGCACCGCACACGGCUAAGGAACGAUCACGAAGAUCAACUUGUGUGUCCAUGGGGUGCCCCCUGCCCCCGUAUAUAAAGGAGUGGAGGAGGGGAGGGCUGGCCCUCUCUAUGGCGCGCCCUAGGGGAGUCCUACUCCCAACGGGAGUAGGAUUCCCCCUUUUCCUAGUCCAACUAGGAGUCCUUCCAUGUAGUAGGAGUAGGAGACAAGGAAGGGGAAGGGAGAAGGGAAAGAAGGAGGGGGCGCGGCCCCUCCCCCUAGUCCAAUUCGGACUAGGCCUUGGGGGGCGCACGGCCUGCCCUAGGCAGCCCCUCUCUCUUUCCCGUAUGGCCCAAUAAGGCCCAAUACUUCUCCCGGCGAAUUCCUGUAACUCUCCGGUACUCCGAAAAAUACCCGAACCACUCGGAACCUUUCCGAUGUCCGAAUAUAGUCGUCCAAUAUAUCGAUCUUUACGUCUCGACCACUUCGAGACUCCUCGUCAUGUCCCCGAUCCCAUCCGGGACUCCGAAAUCCUUCGGUACAUCAAAACUCAUAAACUCAUAAUAUAACUGUCAUCGAAACCUUAAGCGUGCGGACACUACGGUUCGAGAACAAUGUAGACAUGACUGAGACACGUCUCCAGUCAAUAACCAAUAGCGGGACCUGGAUGCCCAUAUUGGCUCCUACAUAUUCUACGAAGAUCUUUAUCGGUCAGACCGCAUAACAACAUACGUUGUUCCCUUUGUCAUCGGUAUGUUACUUGCCCGAGAUUUGAUCGUCGGUAUCUCAAUACCUACUUCAAUCUCGUUACCGGCAAGUCUCUUUACUCGUUCCGUAAUACAUCAUCUCGCAACUAACUCAUUAGUUGCAAUGCUUGCAAGGCUUAUGUGAUGUGCAUUUCCGAGAGGGCCCAGAGAUACCUCUCCGACAAUCGGAGUGACAAAUCCUAAUCUCGAAAUACGCAAACCCAACAUGUACCUUUGGAGACACCUGUAGAGCUCCUUUAUAAUCACCCAGUUACGGUGUGACGUUUGGUAGCACACAAGGUGUUCCUCCGGCAAACGGGAGUUGCAUAAUCUCAUAGUCAUAGGAACAUGUAUAAGUCAUGAAGAAAGCAAUAUCAACAUACUAAACGAUCGGGUGCUAAGCUAAUGGAAUGGGUCAUGUGAAUCAGAUCAUUCAACUAAUGAUGUGAUCUCGUUAAUCAAAUAACAACUCUUUGUCCAUGGUUAGGAAACAUAACCAUCUUUGAUUAACGAGCUAGUCAAGUAGAGGCAUACUAGUCACACUCUGUUUGUCUAUGUAUUCACACAUGUAUUAUGUUUCCGGUUAAUACAAUUCUAGCAUGUAUAAUAAACAUUUAUCAUGAUAUAAGGAAAUAAAUAAUAAUUUUAUUAUAGCCUCUAGGGCAUAUUUACUUCAUGGAUUGCCUACCAAAGAUGGCAAUAGCUAGAUCUAUCCUUGCUUGUUAUGCCUAACUAGGGGCGUUAAACGAUAGCGCUUUUUGGGAGGCAACCCAAUUUUGUUUUUAUUCCUUGAUUUUUGCUCCUGUUUAGUAAUAAAUAAUUUAUCUAGCCUCUGUUUUGGUUGUGUUCUUUGUGUUUAAUUAGUGUUUGUGCCAGGUAGAACCGUUAGGAAGACUUGGGGAAAGUCUUGUUACACUUGCUGUAAAAAACAGAAACUUCAGCGCUCACGAGAACUGCUGCCAUUUUUAUUUGGAAAGUGCUAUUUAGUUAAUUAUUUCCGCAGAUGAUUAAUAGAUAAAUUCCUCACGUCCAGCACUUUAUUUUAGAAUUUUUGGGGUUCCAGCUCUUGAGCUAGCUACAGAUUACUACAGACUGUUCUGUAUUUGAAACAUUCUGUUUUUUCGUGUGUUGUUUGCUUAUUUUGAUGAACCUAUGGCUAGUAAAAUAGUUUAUAAACCACAGAGAAGUUGGAAUACAGUAGUUAUAACACCAAUAUAAAUAAAUAAUGAGUUCAUUAAAGUACCUUGAAGUGGUCUUUUUUAUUUUCUUUCGCUAACGGAGCUCACAAGAUUUUCUACUUCAAGUUUGUGUUGUGAAGUUUUCAAGUUUUGGGUAAAAAUUUGAUGGAUUAUGGAACAAGUAGUGACAAGAGCCGAAGCUUGGGGAUGCCCAUGGCACCCCCAAGAUAAUCUAAUUACACCUAAAAGCCAAAGCUUGGGGAUGCCCGGGAAGUCAUCCCCUCUUUCGUCUACUUCUAUGGGUAACUUUACUUGGAGCUAUAUUUUUAUUCGCCACAAGAUAUGUGUUUUGCUUGGAGCGUCUUGUAUUGUUUGACUCUUUAUUUUUUAGUUUACCACAAUCAUCCUUGCUGUACACACCUUUUGAGAGAGCCAUACAUGAUUUGGAAUUUGUUAGAAUACUCUAUGGGCUUCGCUUAUAUCUUUUGAGUUAUAUAGUUUUGCUCUAGUACUUCACUUAUAUCUUUUAGAGCACGGUGGUGGAUUUGUUUUAUAAAAACUAUUGAUCUCUCAUGCUUCACUUAGAUUAUUUUGAGAUGCUUAAUAGCAUGGUAAUUUGCUUAAAAUCCUAAUAUGCUAGGUAUUCAAAGUUAGUAAAAUUUUCUUACGAGUGUUUUUAAUACUAAGAGAAGUUUGAUGCUUGAUGAUUGUUUUGAGAUAUGGAGGUAAUAAUAUCAAAGUCGUGCUAGUUGAGUAGUUGUGAAAUUGAGAAAUACUUGUGUUGAAAUUUGCAUGUCCCGUAGCAUGCACGUAUUGUAAACGUUGUGUAACAAAUUUGAAACAUGAGGUGUUAUUUGAUUGUCUUCCUUAUGAGUGGCGGUCGGGGACGAGCGAUGGUCUUUUCCUACCAAUCUAUUGUUUGGGAACGUACUAAUUUCAAAAAAAAUCCUACGCACACGCAAGACCAUGGUGAUGCAUAGCAACGAGAGGGGAGAGUGUGAUCUACGUACCCUUGUAGAUCAACAGCGGAAGCGUUGAUGCAACAUAGAGGAAGUAGUCGUACGUCUUCCUGAUCCGACCGAUCGAAGCACCAUUACUCCGGCACCUCCGAGUUCUUAGCACACGUACAGCUCGAUGACGAUCCCGGGCUCCGAUCCAGCAAAGGGUCGGGGAGGAGUUCCGUCAGCACGACGGCGUGGUGACGAUCUUGAUGUUCUACCGUCGCAGGGCUUCGCCUAAGCACUGCUACAAUAUGAUGGAGGUGGAAUAUGGUGGCACGGGGCACCGCACACGGCUAAGGAACGAUCUCAAUGAUCAACUUGUGUGUCUAGAGGUGCCCCCUGCCUCCGUAUAUAAAGGAGCCAAGGGGGAGGGGGCCGCCGGCCAGGAGGAGGGCGCAGGAGGAGUCCUACUCCUACCGGGAGUAGGACUCCCCCCCCCCAAUCCUAGUUGGACUAGGAUUCCCCGAGGGGGAAAGAGAGAGAGGGGGGCCGGCCACCUCUCCUAGUCCUAAUAGGACUACGGGAGGGGGGAGGCGCGCGGCCACCUUGGGCUGCCCCUUUCUCCUUUCCACUAAAGCCCAUCAAGGCCCAUAUGGCUCCCGGGGGGUUCCGGUAACCUCCCGGUACUCCGGUAAAAUCCCGAUUUCACCCGGAACACUUCCGAUGUCCAAAUAUAGGCUUCCAAUAUAUCAAUCUUUAUGUCUCGACCAUUUCGAUACUCCUCGUCAUGUCUGUGAUCACAUCCGGGACUCCGAACUAACUUCGGUACAUCAAAAUGCAUAAACUCAUAAUAACUGUCAUCGUAACGUUAAGCGUGUGGACCCUACGGUUCGAGAAUAAUGCAGACAUGACUGAGACACAUCUCCGGUCAAUAACCAAUAGCAGGACCUGGAUGCCUAUAUUGGCUCCUACAUUUUCUACGAAGAUCUUUAUCAGUCACACCGCAUAACAACAUAUGUUGUUCCCUUUGUCAUCGGUAUGUCAUUUGCCCGAGAUUCGAUCGUCAGUAUCCAAUACCUAGUUCAAUCUCGUUACCGGCAAGUCUCUUUACUCGUUCCGUAAUACAUCAUCUCGCAACUAACUCAUUAGUUGCAAUGCUUGCAAGGCUUAAGUGAUGUGCAUUACCGAGAGGGCCCAGAGAUACCUCUCCGACAAUCGGAGUGACAAAUCCUAAUCUCGAAAUACGCCAACCCAACAUCUACCUUUGGAGACACCUGUAGUACUCCUUUAUGAUCACCCAGUUACGUUGUGAUGUUUGGUAGCACCCAAAGUGUUCCUCCGGUAAACGGGAGUUGCAUAAUCUCAUAGUCAUAGGAACAUGUAUAAGUCAUGAAGAAUAGCAACAGCAACAUACUAAACGAUCGGGUGCUAAGCUAAUGAAAUGGGUCAUGUCAAUCAGAUCAUUCAACUAAUGAUGUGACCUCGUUAAUCAAAUAACAACUCUUUGUUCAUGGUUAGGAAACAUAACCAUCUUUGAUUAACGAGCUAGUCAAGUAGAGGCAUACUAGUGACACUCUGUUUGUCUAUGUAUUCACACAUGUAUUAUGUUUCCGGUUAAUACAAUUCUAGCAUGAAUAAUAAACAUUUAUCAUGAUAUAAGGAAAUAAAUAAUAACUUUAUUAUUGCCUCUAGGGCAUAUUUCCUUCAGUCUCCCACUUGCACUAGAGUCAAUAAUCUAGAUUACACAGUAAUGAUUCUAACACCCAUGGAGCCUUGGUGCUGAUCAUGUUUUGCUCGUGGAAGAGGCUUAGUCAACGGGUCUGCAAUAUUCAGAUCCAUAUGUAUCUUGCAAAUCUCUAUGUCUCCCACCUAGACUAGAUCCCGGAUGGAAUUGAAGCGUCUCUUGAUGUGCUUGGUUCUCUUGUGAAAUCUGGAUUCCUUUGCCAAGACAAUUGCACCAGUAUUGUCACAAAAGAUUUUCAUUGGACCCGAUGCACUAGGUAUGACACCUAGAUCGGAUAUGAACUCCUUCAUCCAGACUCCUUCGUUUGCUGCUUCCGAAGCAGCUAUGUAUUCUGCUUCACAUGUAGAUCCCGCUACGACGCUUUGUUUAGAACUGCACCAACUGACAGCUCCACCGUUUAAUGUAAACACGUAUCCGGUUUGCGAUUUAGAAUCGUCCGGAUCAGUGUCAAAGCUUGCAUCAACGUAACCUCUUACGGUGAGCUCUUUGUCACCUCCAUAUACGAGAAACAUAUCCUUAGUCCUUUUCAGGUAUUUCAGGAUGUUCUUGACCGCUGUCCAGUGAUCCACUCCUGGAUUACUUUGGUACCUCCCUGCUAAACUUAUAGCAAGGCACACAUCAGGUCUGGUACACAGCAUUGCAUACAUGAUAGAGCCUAUGGCUGAAGCAUAGGGAACAUCUUUCAUUUUCUCUCGAUCUUCUGCAGUGGUCGGGCAUUGAGUCUGGCUCAACUUCACACCUUGUAACACAGGCAAGAACCCUUUCUUUGCUUGAUCCAUUUUGAACUUCUUCAAAAUCUUGUCAAGGUAUGUGCUUUGUGAAAGUCCAAUUAAGCGUCUUGAUCUAUCUCUAUAGAUCUUUAUGCCUAAUAUGUAAGCAGCUUAACCGAGGUCUUUCAUUGAAAAACUCUUAUUCAAGUAUACCUUUAUGCUAUCCAGAAAUUCUAUAUCAUUUCCAAUCAGCAAUAUGUCAUCCACAUAUAAUAUCAGAAAUGCUACAGAGUUCCCACUCACUUUCUUGUAAAUACAGGCUUCACCGAAAGUCUGUAUAAAACCAAAUGCUUUGAUCACACUAUCAAAGCGUUUAUUCCAACUCCGAGAGGCUUCCACCAGUCCAUAAAUGGAUCGCUGGAGCUUGCACACUUUGUUAGCUCCCUUUGGAUCGACAAAACCUUCCGGUUGCAUCAUAUACAACUCUUCUUCCAGAAAUCCAUUCAAGAAUGCAGUUUUGACAUCCAUCUGCCAAAUUUCAUAAUCAUAAAAUGCGGCAAUUGCUAACAUGAUUCGGACAGACUUAAGCAUCGCUACGGGUGAGAAGGUCUCAUCGUAGUCAACCCCUUCAACUUGUCGAAGACCUUUUGCGAGAAGUCGAGCUUCGUAGACAGUAACAUUACCAUCACCGUCAGUCUUCUUCUUGAAGAUCCAUUUAUUCUCAAUUGCUUGCCGAUCAUCGGGCAAGUCAACCAAAUCCAUACUUUGUUCUCAUACAUGGAUCCCAUCUCAGAUUUCAUGGCUUCAAGCCACUUUGCGGAAUAUGGGCUCACCAUCGCUUCUUCAUAGUUCGUAGGUUCAUCAUGAUCUAGCAGCAUGAUUUCCAGAACAGGAUUACCGUACCACUCUGGUGCAGAUCUCGCUCUGGUUGAUCUACGAGGUUCAGUAGUAUCUUGUCCUGAAGUUUCAUGAUCUUUAUCAUUAGCUUCCUCACUAAUUGGUAUAGGUGUCGCAGAAACAGUUUUUCUGUGAUGUACUACUUUCCAAUAAGGGAGCAGGUAUAGUUACCUCGUCAAGUUCUACUUUCCUCCCACUCACUUCUUUCGAGAGAAACUCCUUCUCUAGAAAUGAUCCAUUCUUAGCAAUGAAUGUCUUACCUUCGGAUUUGUGAUAGAAGGUGUACCCAACAGUCUCCUUUGCGUAUCCUAUGAAGACACAUUUCUCCGAUUUGGGCUCGAGCUUAUGAGGUUGAAGCUUUUUCACAUAAGUAUCGCAGCCCCAAACUUUAAGAAACGACAACUUUGGUUUCUUGCCAAACCACAGUUCAUAAGGCGUCGUCUCAGCAGAUUUUGAUGGUGCCGUAUUUAGCGUGAAUGUGAGCGUCUCUAAAGCAUAACCCCAAAACGAUAGCGGUAAAUCAGUAAGAGACAUCAUAGAUCGCACCAUAUCUAGUAAAGUACGAUUCCGAUGUUCGGACACACCAUUACACUGUGGUGUUCCAGGUGGCGUGAGUUGCGAAACUAUUCCACAAUUUUUCAAAUGUACACCAGACUCGUAACUCAAAUAUUCUCCUCCACGAUCAGAUCGUAGAAACUUUAUUUUCUUGUUAUGAUGAUUUUCAACUUCACUCUGAAAUUCUUUGAACUUUUCAAAUGUUUCAGACUUAUGUUUCAUUAAGUAGAUAUACCCAUAUCUGCUUAAGUCAUCUGUGAAGGUGAGAAAAUAACGAUAUCCACCACGAGCCUCAAUAUUCAUCGGACCACAUACAUCAGUAUGCAUGAUUUCCAACAAAUCUGUUGCUCUCUCCAUAGUACCGGAGAACGGUGUUUUAGACAUCUUGCCCAUGGGGCACGGUUCGCAAGUACCAAGUGAUUCAUAAUCAAGUGGUUCCAAAAGUCCAUCGGUAUGGAGUUUCUUCAUGCGCUUUAUACCGAUAUGACCUAAACGGCAGUGCCACAAAUUAGUUGCACUAUCAUUAUCAACUCUGCAUCUUUUCGCCUCAACAUUAUGAAUAUAUGUGUUACUACUAUCGAGAUUCAUCGAAAAUAGACCACUCCUCAAAGGUGCAUGACCAUAAAAGAUAUUACUCAUAUAAAUAGAACAACCAUUAUUCUCUGAUUUAAAUGAAUAACCGUCUCGCAUCAAACAAGUUCCAGAUAUAAUGUUCAUGCUCAACGCUGGAACCAAAUAACAAUUAUUUAGGUCUAAUAUUAAUCCCGAAGGUAGAUGUAGAGGUAGCGUGCUGACCGCGAUCACAUCGACUUUGGAACCGUUUCCCACGCGCAUCGUCACCUCGUCCUUCGCCAGUGUUCGCUUAAUCCGUAGUCCCUGUUUCGAGUUGCAAAUAUUAGCAACAGAACCAGUAUCACAUACCCAGGUGCUACUGCGAGCUCUAGUAAGGUACACAUCAAUAACAUGUAUAUCACAUAUACCUUUGUUCACCUUGCCAUCCUUCUUAUCCGCCAAUACUUGGGGCAGUUCCGCUUCCAGUGACCAGUCUGCUUGCAGUAGAAGCACUCAGUUUCAGGCUUAGGUCCAGACUUGGGUUUCUUCUCUUGAGCAGCAACUUGCUUGCCGUUCUUCUUGAAGUUCCCCUUCUUCUUCCCUUUGCCCUUUUUCUUGAAACUAGUUGUCUUACUGACCAUCAACACUUGAUGCUCCUUUUUGAUUUCUACCUCCGCAGCUUUCAGCAUUGCGAAGAGCUCGGGAAUAGUCUUGUUCAUCCCUUGCAUAUUAUAGUUCAUCACAAAGCUCUUGUAGCUUGGUGGCAGUGAUUGGAGAAUUCUGUCAAUGACGCAAUCAUCUAGAAGAUUAACUCCCAUCUGAAUCAAGUGAUUAUUAUACCCAGACAUUCUGAGUAUAUGCUCACUGACAGAACUGUUCUCCUCCAUCUUGCAGCUAUAGAACUUAUUGGAGACUUCAUAUCUCUCAAUCCGGGCAUUUUCUUGAAAUAUUAACUUCAACUCCUGGAACAUCUCAUAUGCUCCAUGACGUUCAAAACGUCGUUGAAGUCCCGAUUCUAAGCCGUAAAGCAUGGCACACUGAACUAUCAAGUAGUCAUCAGCUUUGCUCUGCCAGACGUUCAUAACAUCUAGUGUUGCUCCAGCAGCAGGCCUGGCACCUAGCGGUGCUUCCAAGACGUAAUUCUUCUGAGCAACAAUGAGGAUAAUCCUCAAGUUACGGACCCAGUCCGUGUAAUUGCUACCAUCAUCUUUCAACUUUGCUUUCUCAAGGAACGUAUUAAAAUUCAACGAAACAACAACACGAGCCAUCUAUCUACAAUCAACAUAAACAAGCAAGAUACUAUCAGGUACUAAGUUCAUGAUAAGUUUAAGUUCAAUUUAAUCAAAUUACUUAAGAACUCCCACUUAGAUAGACAUCCCUCUAAUCGUCUAAGUGAUCACGUGAUCCAAAUCAACUAAACCAUAACCGAUCAUCACGUGAGAUGGAGUAGUUUUCAAUGGUGAACAUCGUUAUGUUGAUCAUAUCUACUAUAUGAUUCAUGCUCGACCUUUCGUUCUCCGUGUUCCGAGGCCAUAUCUGCAUACGCUAGGCUCGUCAAGUUUAACCUGAGUAUUCUGCGUGUGCAAAAACUGGCUUGCACCCGUUGUAGAUGGACGUAGAGCUUAUCACACCCGAUCAUCACGUGGUGUCUGGGCACGACGAACUUUGGCAGCAGUGCAUACUCAGGGAGAACACUUCUUGAUAAUUUAGUGAGAUAUCAUCUUAUAAUGCUACCGUCAAUCAAAGCAAGAUAAGAUGCAUAAAAAGAUAAACAUCACAUGCAAUCAAUAUAAGUGAUAUGAUAUGGCCAUCAUCAUCUUGUGCUUGUGAUCUUCAUCUCCGAAGCACCGUCAUGAUCACCAUCGUCACCGGUGCGACACCUUGAUCUCCAUCGUAGCAUCGUUGUCGUCUCGCCAAUCUUAUGCUUCCACGACUAUCGCUACCGCUUAGUGAUAAAGUAAAGCAUUACAUCGCGAUUGCAUUGCAUACAAUAAAGCGACAACCAUAUGGCUCCUGCCAGUUGCCGAUAACUCGGUUACAAAACAUGAUCAUCUCAUACAAUAAAAUUUAGCAUCAUGUCUUGACCAUAUCACAUCACAACAUGCCCUGCAAAAACAAGUUAGACGUCCUCUACUUUGUUGUUGCAAGUUUUACGUGGCUGCUACGGGCUUAAGCAAGAACCAAUCUCACCCACGCAUCAAAACCACAACGAUAGUUUGUCAAAUAGACUCCGUUUUAUCCUUCGGAAGGACCGGGCGUAGCCACACUCGGUUCAACUAAAGUUGGAGAAACAGUCGCCCGCAAGGCACCUGUGUGCAAAGCACGUCGGGGGAACCGGUCUCACGUAAGCGUACGCGUAAUGUUGGUCCGGGUCGUCUCGUCCAACAAUACCGCCGAACCAAAGUAUGACAUGCUAGUAGGCAGUAUGACUUGUAUCACCCACAACUCACUUGUGUUCUACUCGUGCAUAUAACAUCAAACCAUAAAACCUAGGCUCGGAUGCCACUGUUUGGGAACGUAGUAAUUUCAAAAAAAUUCCUACGCACACGCAAGAUCAUGGUGAUGCAUAUCAACGAGAGGGGAGAGUGUGAUCUACGUACCCUUGUAGAUCAAUAGCGGAAGCAUUGACGCAAUGUAGAGGAAGUAGUCGUACGUCUUCCUUAUCCGAUCGAUCCAAGCACCAUUACUCCGGCACCUCUGAGUUCUUAGCACACGUACAGCUCGAUGACGAUCCCCGGGCUCCGAUCCAGCAAAGCGUCGGGGGGGAGUUCCGUCAACACGACGGCGUGGUGAUGAUCUUGAUGUUCUACCAUCGCAGGGCUUCGCCUAAGCACUGCUCCAAUAUGAUCGAGGUGGAAUAUGGUGGCAGGGGGCACCGCACACGGCUAAGGAACGAUCUCAAUGAUCAACUUGUGUGUCUAGAGGUGCCCCCUGCCUCCGUAUAUAAAGGAGCCAAGGGGGAGGGGGCCGCCGGCCAGGAGGAGGGCGCAGGAGGAGUCCUACUCCUACCAGGAGUAGGACUCCCCCCCCCCAAUCCUAGUUGGACUAGGAUUCCCCGAGGGGGAAAGAGAGAGGGGGGGCCGGCCACCUCUCCUAGUCCUAAUAGGACUAGGGGAGGGGGGAGGCGCGCGGCCACCUUGGGCUGCCCCUUUCUCCUUUCCACUAAAGCCCAUCAAGGCCCAUAUGGCUCCCGGGGGGUUCCGGUAACCUCCCGGUACUCCGGUAAAAUCCCGAUUUCACCCGGAACACUUCCGAUGUCCAAAUGUAGGCUUCCAAUAUAUCAAUCUUUAUGUCUCGACCAUUUCGAGACUCCUCGUCAUGUCCGUGAUCACAUCCGGGACUCCGAACUAACUUUGGUACAUCAAAAUGCAUAAACUCAUAAUAACUGUCAUCGUAACGUUAAGCGUGUGGACCCUACGGUUCGAGAAUAAUGCAGACAUGACUGAGACACAUCUCCGGUCAAUAACCAAUAGCGGGACCUGGAUGCCCAUAUUGGCUCCUACAUUUUCUCCGAAGAUCUUUAUCGGUCAGACCGCAUAACAAAAUACGUUGUUCCCUUUUCAUCGGUAUGUUACUUGCCCGAGAUUUGAUCGUUGGUAUCUCAAUACCUAGUUCAAUCUCGUUACCGGCAAGUCUCUUUACUCGUUCCGUAAUACAUCAUCUCGCAACUAACUCAUUAGUUGCAAUGCUUGCAAGGCUUAUGUGAUGUGCAUUACCGAGAGGGCCCAGAGAUACCUCUCCGACAAUCGGAGUGACAAAUCCUAAUCUCGAAAUACGCCAACCCAACAUCUACCUUUGGAGACACCUGUAGAGCUCCUUUAUAAUCACCCAGUUACAUUGUGACGUUUGUUAGCACACAAAGUGUUCCUCCGGGAAACGGGAGUUGCAUAAUCACAUAGUCAUAGGAACAUGUAUAAGUCAUGAAGAAAGCAGUAGCAACAUACUAAACGAUCGGGUGCUAAGCUAAUGAAAUGGGUCAUGUCAAUCAGAUCAUUCAACCAAUGAUGUGACCUCGUUAAUCAAAUAACAACACCUUGUUCAUGGUUAGGAAACAUAACCAUCUUUGAUUAACGAGCUAGUCAUGUAGAGGCAUACUAGUGACACUAAGUUUGUCUAUGUAUUCACACAUGUAUUAUGUUUCCGGUUAAUACAAUUCUAGUAUGAAUAAUAAACAUUUAUCAUGAUAUAAGGAAAUAAAUAAUAACUUUAUUAUUGCCUCUAAGGCAUAUUUCCUUCAUCUAUCCCCCUAGGAGCAUGCGCGUAGUACCGAGGUUUUUGAUGACUUGUAGAUUUUUGCAAUGAGUAUGUGAGUUCUUUAUGACUAAUGUUGAGUCCAUGAAUUAUACGCACUCUCACCCUUCCAUCCUUGCUAGCCUCUUCGGUACCGUGCAUUGCCCUUUCCCACAUUGAGUGUUGGAGCAAACUUCGCCAAUGCAUCCAAACCCUGUGAUAUGAUACGCUCUUUCACACAUAAACCUCCUUAUAUCUUCCUCAAAACAGCCACCAUACCUACCUAUUAUGGCAUUUCCAUAGCCAUUCCGACUUAUAUUGCCAUGCAACUUUCCACCAUUCCGUUCAUCAUGACACAUUUAGCAUUGUCAUAUUGCUUAGCAUAAUCAUGUAGUUGACAUAGUAUUUGUGGCAAAGCCACCGUUCAUAAUUCUUUCCUACAUGUCACUAUUGGUCCACUGCAUAUCCGGUACACCGCCGGAGGCAUUUAUAUAGAGUCAUACUUUGUUCUAGUAUCGAGUAGUAAUUAUUGAGUUGUAAAUAAAUAGAAGUGUGAUGAUCAUCAUUAAUAGAGCAUGGUCCCAAAAAGAGAAAAAAGGAAGGGCCAAAAAAAGGCCAAAUAAAAAAAUAUAAAAAAGGGGGGCAAUGCUACUAUCCUUUUUUUCCACACUUGUGAUUCAAAGUAGCACCGUAAUCUUCAUGAUAGAGAGUAUCUUGAUUUGUCACUUUCAUAUACUAGUGGGAAUUUUGCAUUGUAGAACAAUGGGCCUCCUCAAGUGCCCUAGCUCUUCGUGAGCAAGCAAGUUGGAUGCACACCCACUUAGUUUCUUUUGUUGAGCUUUCAUACAUUUAUAGCUCUAGUGCAUCCGUUGCAUGGCAAUCCUUACUCCUUGCAUUAACAUCAAUCGAUGGGCAUCUCCAUAGCCCAUUGAUUAGCCUCAUUGAUGUGAGACUUUCUCCUUUUUGUCUUCUCCACAUAACCCCAGUGAUUAUAUUCUAUUCCACCCAUAGUUUUAUGUCCAUGGCUUGCAAUCAUAUAUUGCGUGAAAGUUUAUAGGUUUGAGAUCACUAAAGUAUGAAACAAUUGCUUGGCUUGUCAUCGGGGUUGUGCAUGAUGAGAGCAUUCUUGUGUGAAGAAAAUGAAGCAUGAUUAAACUAUAUGAUUUUGUAGGGAUGAACUUUCUUUGGCCAUGUUAUUUUGAGAAGACAUAAUUGCUCAGUUAGUAUGCUUGACUCUUUUGGAUCUGAAUAUUCAUACCACAAGUAAGAAGAAUUACAUUAAAAUCAUGCCAAGUAGCACUCCGCAUCAAAAAUUCUGUUUUUAUCAUUUACCUACUCUAGGACGAGCAGGAAUUAAGCUUGGGGAUGCUUGAUACGUCUCCAACGUAACUAUAAUUUUUGAUUGCUCCAUGCUAUAUUAUCUACUGUUUUGGACAAUAUUGGGCUUUAUUAUCCACUUUUAUAUUAUUUUGUAACUAACCUAUUAUCUACUGUUUUGGACAAUAUUGCCUAGAUUUGCUGUUUUUUUGCCUGUUUUAGGGUUUCGAAGAAAAGGAAUAUCAAACGGAGUCCAAACGGAAUGAAACCUUCGGGAACGUGAUUUUCUCAACGAACAAGACCCAGGAGACUUGGACCCUCCGUCAAGACACAAAAGAGGAGGCCACGAGGUAGAGGGCGUGCCUACCCCCCCCCCCCUGCGCGCCCACCACCCUCGUGGGCCCCCUGUUGCUCCACCGACGUACUCCUUCCUCCUAUAUAUACCUACGUACCCCCAAACGAUCAUAUACGGAGCCAAAACCCUAAUUCCACCGCCGCAACUUUCUGUAUCCACGAGAUCCCAUCUUGGGGCCUGUUCCGGAGCUCCGCCAGAGGGGGCAUCGAUCACGGAGUGCUUCUACAUCAACACCAUAACCUCUCCGAUGAAGUGUGAGUAGUUCACCUCAGACCUACUGUUCCAUAGUUAUUAGCUAGAUGGCUUCUUCUCUCUUUUUGGAUCUAAAUACAAUGUUCUCCCCCUCUCUUGUGGAGAAUUAUUCGAUGUAAUCUUCUUUUUGCGGUGUGUUUGUUGAGACCGAUGAAUUGUGGGUUUAUGAUCAAGUCUAUCUAUGAAUAAUAUUUCAAUCUUCUCUGAAUUAUUUUAUGUAUGAUUGGUUAUCUUUGCAAGUCUCUUCGAAUUAUCAGUUUGGUUUGGCCUACUAGAUUGAUCUUUCCUGCAAUGGGAGAAGUGCUUAGCUUUGGGUUCAAUCUUGCGGUGUCCUUUCCCAGUGACAGUAGGGGCAGCAAGGCACGUAUUGUAUUGUUGCCAUCGAGGACAACAAGAUGGGGUUUUCAUCAUAUUGCAUGUGUCUAUCCCUCUACAUCAUGUUAUCUUGCUUAAGGCGUUAAUCUGUUUUUAACAUAAUACUCUAGAUGCAUGCUGGAUAGCUGUCGAUGAGUGGAGUAAUAGUAGUAGAUGUAGGCAGGAGCGGUCUACUUGUCUCGGACGUGAUGCCUAUAUACAUGAUGAUACCUAGAUAUUAUCAUAACUAUGCUCAAUUCUGUCAAUUGCUCAACAGUAAUUUGUUCACCCACCGUAGAAUACUUAUGCUCUCGAGGGAAGCCACUAGUGAAACCUAUGGCCCCGGGUCUAUCUUUAUCAUAUUAAUCUCCUACUACUUAGUUAUUUCCUUUGCUUUUUUACUUUGCCUUUAUUUUACUUUGCAUCUUUAUCACAAAAAUACCAAUAAAAUUAUCUUUAUCAUAUCUAUCAAAUCUCACUCUUGUAAGUGGCCGUGUAGGGAUUGACAACCCCUAUUCGCGUUGGUUGCGAGGAUUUAUUUGUUUUGUGCAGGUACGAGGGACUCGUGCGUAGCCUCCUACUGGAUUGAUACCUUGGUUCUCAAAACCUAAGGGAAAUACUUACGCUACUUUGCUGCAUCAUCCCUUCCUCUUCGGGGAAAACCAACGCAGUGCUCAAGAGGUAGCAAGGGUUCCUUUUUGUCGACGAUCCUAUGUUUCAACCUUGUUUUCCAGGCGGCCAAUGCGUCGCUAAACUUGGGCAUGGCGUGUUUGUUUAUCUUCUUCAUUGCCAGGUCCUUAUCUGGAUCUUUAUUAUCCUUUUCAUUGCGGUUAAUGAACAAGAAUAUCUGGUGCCGCUUCUUUAAAAGGGAGGGCCUCAUAUUAUCUAUCUUCUGUAGUUUCCCAUCGUUGAUCGUGGCAGUUGUCCGUACGAUGCAACCUAUUUGAUUGCCAUAGCACGAUUGCGCUUCCUCGGGCGCUAUUGUCUCAAAAAUACCGUUGUCCAUCUCCGUGACCACCAGUCUAGUACUCGUGAGCUGGUUUCGGCGCCGUGGCCUCUUUGCUUUCGGUUCUAGACCAGCUCCGCUAGUCUCGGCGCCGGUCUCAGUCUCAUCGCCGGUCUGCAUGUCGGUAUCAGUCCCCGAUGCGACAGCACAGUCGCUGCAACAUGGGUAAGGGAGACCACAUCAGUGCUGGGGGGGUCUGAAAAUUGGGACACACUUUCGCGCAUCGCGGGCCGCCUCUCAGACAGCUACUGGGGAGGCGGCGGAGUACCUGGGUGCGCGGUAAAUCCCCGGGAACUCGGUGACCAACUUCCUUCCCGUGUGGUGCAUGGAGACGACGACGACCCCGGCAAAGAGCAGCUUAGCCGUGAGCUGCACAGCCUCGUCCACCUCCUAAGUUGGGUCCUCCGCGCGAGCGUUGCGGGGCCGCCGCUCGGAUGGCUUCUGGAAGGCGCUUGUACAUGGGCAUAGGGUGAAUCCCGGCGAGAGCUAGCCAUUGGCGCGCGCAAGUAGACGACGACGUCCCCGACGAAGAGCAGCCCGGCCAGCUCGCCUCACUCUCCUUUGAUUAGAAUUGAAAGAUUGGGAAGAAGCAGACUUGAGCCUGCAGGGAAAGGAUAAGGUGACGAUGCAGUCUCCACUCGUUCGGGGCGACACGCGAAUUGAAUGUAUGAGAAACGUGACGUGGCAGGGACCCCAAGAUACUCCCUCCAUUUAUUUUUAGUCUGCAUAUAAAGUUUGGUCAAAGUCAAGAUUUGUAAAUUUUAACUAACUUUAUAAUAAAAAAAUAUCAACAUUCACAAUAUGAAAUAAUUAUUACCAGAUGCGUGAAGAAAUGUAUUUCCAUACUAUAUAGUUUUGGUAUUGGAGAUGUUCAUAUUUUUUUAUAUAAAUGGGAAGUAGAGGCACUCUUCCAUAUAAUGAAGUUUAUAAUAUAUGUGCUUAUAUUGUACUAUAAUUGUUUGAAUAACUUAGCAUAUGUUCAGAUGUAUGAUAUCUGUAAUUUAAGCGCUUGAAUUUUACAUAUAAAUAUUUAUUAAUAAAUAUGUACCCCUAUAAUAGCUAGGCCGUGCAGUUGCACGGGUAGAUGACUAGUGAUUACAGUCUUGUUUGUGUGCAAGUCAAGCUUAUCUAGUUUACACGUAACAACUCGUAGAACAUGUUUAUGCUUGCUAAUAACUUCUAGAACACUACAACACUUUACAUGUAAAAGGAAUUUCACGAGUCAUGGCCUACUAAAGCAAGUUACAUUACUAGUCUUAUAUCUAUCUUAACAGACCACACAAGACUACAAACUAAGUACCAUGACAGCCAUGCUUAUCUAGUUUAUGCGUAACAAUUUGCAGAAAAUUACAAACUUAGUUUUAGAAAAAUGGGCAAUCCAGAUUAGUGUUUGAGCUGUAAAGUGAAUAAGAUGAGUCAUGUGUGUUAUCACACCUUUUUGGUGGUGGAAUGAUAGUGCAACAACAAGGAACUUUAAUGAACAGUGCAAGAAUACACUUGUAAGUAGUGCCACCAAACAGAACAUACCAAAUGAUGAUUUUGAGAAGCAUCCAAGCACUUUCCACACAAACAAAUGCCAAUUGUGAAAGAGAUCAUUCCAUGGCAGCUAUAAAUAGCCCCGUAGCAUGACGAUCAUCCUUCCUCAUCCAUCAUUCUCAUAAGUAGAACGCAUCAUUUAAGCCAAGCAAGGUGUGGUCAAUACAAAUCCACCAUGAAGACAUUUCUCAUCCUUGCCCUCCUUGCUAUCGUGGCGACCACCGCCACAACUGCAGUUAGAGUUCCAGUGCCACAAUUGCAGCCACAAAAUCCAUCUCAGCAACAGCCACAAGAGCAAGUUCCAUUGGUACAACAACAACAAUUUCUAGGGCAGCAACAACCAUUUCCACCACAACAACCAUAUCCACAGCCGCAACCAUUUCCAUCACAACAACCAUAUCUGCAGCUGCAACCAUUUCCGCAGCCGCAACUACCAUAUUCGCAGCCACAACCAUUUCGACCACAACAACCAUAUCCACAACCGCAACCACAGUAUUCGCAACUACAACAACCAAUUUCACAGCAGCAGCAGCAGCAGCAACAACAACAACAACAACAACAACAACAACAACAACAACAACAACAACAACAACAACAACAACAACAACAACAACAACAACAAGAACAACAAAUCCUUCAACAAAUUUUGCAACAACAACUAAUUCCAUGCAUGGAUGUUGUAUUACAGCAACACAACAUAGCGCAUGGAAGAUCACAAGUUUUGCAACAAAGUACUUACCAGCUGUUGCAAGAAUUGUGUUGUCAGCACCUAUGGCAGAUCCCUGAGCAGUCGCAGUGCCAGGCCAUCCACAAUGUUGUUCAUGCUAUUAUUCUGCAUCAACAACAAAAACAACAACAACAACAACCAUCGAGCCAGGUCUCCUUCCAACAGCCUCAACAACAAUAUCCAUUAGGCCAGGGCUCCUUCCGGCCAUCUCAGCAAAACCCACAGGCCCAGGGCUCUGUCCAGCCUCAACAACUGCCCCAGUUCGAGGAAAUAAGGAACCUAGCGCUACAGACGCUACCUGCAAUGUGCAAUGUCUACAUCCCUCCAUAUUGCACCAUCGUGCCAUUUGGCAUCUUCGGUACUAACUGAGAAGAAAAUAACUCUAGUACUAGAUAUAUGAAACACCGUUUUCUCAGUCCAUGGUUUGGUCAUUGUAGCGGUGAAAAAAUAAUGUGACAUGCACUAUCAUGUAAGAACCCGAACUAUACUAGUUCAAACUUGGGAAUAAAAGACAAACACAGGUCUUGUCUACAUAUUUAUGUUGCAUUUAUCUAAAGAUAACAAAAUGAGUCUAAAAUUUGAAUUAAAUUGAAGUAUUUUCUUGGACUUUAAUUUGCACAUUAAUUAGAAAUUACUAUCCCUCGAUCUGGUAAAUCUUAACAAAUAGAAUUAUCUUGACCGUUAGAUUUAUGUAACAUAUAUAAUGCUCUGGGCCUCCAACGACUGUACGUGACACAUCUGAACGCACAUAUGUUAAAGAAAAUAUAUUUUGUAAAUGGUGGGCCUCUUUAAAAAGAGAACUUACGUACAUACACCAACUAAGAAAAACACAUACAUGUAAAUGGGAAAAGGAUGAGAUUUUCUCACGUACAUGUGUUGAUGCUUAAAAGUGGCACGAUCAUAAAGCAGCAUGCCGGGGCGAAAACCUUGCCGGGGUAAAAUCUUGCUGGUGUGAAAGCUUGCCGGUGUGAAGGCUUGCCGGCGUGGAAACCUUGCCGGCACAGAAAGAUCGCCGGUGCUUGCCGGUGUGAAAUCUUGCCGGGGGAGAAACCUUGUCAGGGAGGAACCCUUGCCGGAGUACAAACCUUGCCGGAGUGAAACCUUGCCGGUGUGAAAGCUUGCCGGGUAGAAACUUUGCCGGUGUGGAAAGCUUACUCGGAUGGAAAACUUGCCGGGUUGGAGGCUGAGAUAGUCAAUCGAACGAGAAGUUGAAGAUGGGCUCAAAAGGUUAUUCAGAUGAUCUCGGAUGGAAAAAUGAUCUACAGGGUUGUCUUCGUCUCGUCGAAACGAUCGAUUUUGAUAUAAAAAUCAUUCAAAUCCGAGUUCGUAUGCAAAAGUUAGAGCAAUCAGAGUGCAGCCCUGUCACGAGGCGAGAUGUGGCACGCCCACCAGACACAUGUCUGACGGGUAGUGUGAGGAAAUAGCCUGUGUUGCGAGACCGAUCUGACCCUCAAGAUGACCUCUGAUCAAAAAACCUUCAACAUGAAAGUUGUUCGUCUCGUCGAAACGGUCAAGAUUGCUUUUGGGCUUGUUUUCAUCCGGAAUCGUUUACCACCGCAAAAAAGACCCGCAAGGUGCAGCCAGUUUUAACCGAACAGUUUUGGAAAGUUUGGAUAAACCAGUCCGAAUUUGACUAAUGUUUUGGACGUGAAUUGAUGUAAUUUUCUUGUAAGGAAAGCCUAGAUAAAUUCUUGGCUUGUACGGGAAGUCCAGCUGCCUCUUAUAUAUGUUGGGGGUGGCGGCCGAUUGAAACAACACAUAAUCGAACAAACACAUAUACUACUUUUUCGUGUUCAUCUACUUUUUAUCUCUCCCUUGUAUCUUUCUUCUCGUUCUUCGCUAGUUCUUCAUGCUGGAGGGCUGCGGAUCCACGAGGCUCUAGGGGCGAGUGAAUCGACCUAGGGCAGCCCAUAGCCGCCGCAAUCCCUGACGGGGUCCCUCCCGGGUGCGCGGGGUUUCGGGUCUGCAAAAGCGCCCGCCGACUGCCUUGCGUAUCACGCUGUCGGUCGGGUCUCCUUCGACGUGAGCUACGGUGCAUCACCCCCGGCGUCGAGGGUAAACGUGACAUGUUCGUGUGCGAACACACUUUUUGGCGACUCCGCUGGGGACGAAGCUCUGAACAGUCUCCAGCCUGUUCUUGCUACGAGGAGAGCGUCACCAAGCGGCUGCAAUCUACAACGGUAACAUGUAUCGUCAAUCUCCUUGCGUAGAUGCAAAUAGCCAUUAUGUUGAUGUUGCUAGAUCUUUCAACGGACAUGUGAUGUCGGCCAGCCCUAAUGAGGAAAGGCCGACUAGUUAUUCCAUUGGAGAAACUUGGAAUUUACAGAAUCGUGACAUGCAACUUAUGAAUCUGAACUUUCGUGCAUCGGCAACAACUUUCAAUAUGCCGGUGAACAACACGAUUUGUUCGAGUGAUCAAUAUAGGACACCUCAUGUACAGGAGGGUAUCUCAAAGUUUUAUCCAUCGGCAGCCGGCUCGCAAUAUGCGGGUUCAUCCCCAAACAUGCCGAUGAAUGGGGGAAUCGGUCAUGCUUUUGUUAGCUAUUUGGCCGGUUAUCCUCAAACAUCAUAUACUACACCUCAUCAGAUUAAUUGUUCAAUGGCGUAUGAAACUAAAAAUAUUCAUAACUCGGCUCACGUUCACGGUCAUGGCCGAGUGAAUGGAGAUACUAUAGGAGCAUAUGUGCCUAAUAUUGCAGGAGAUGAGGUGGCUCUGGCUGCAUUAAAAAUUUUAGCCCAAAAUAAGAAGAUUAGUGCUAUUUUCCUUGAGCAACACGACAAGGGAUUGGUUCCUGAUUAUGAGGCAAUAAGAGCUAGGGUUUUGAAAGAAGACCAAGUGUUGCCGAUUGAUCAAAUUGUCGAGAGAAAAUAUUCAACAACGAUGCACAUGCCUUCACCUAUCAUUGCAGCAUGUUAUACACCCCCUGUACAAGCGCAAAAUUUCGGCAACAUUAAUUCAUUGCCGAAAGAUCCUAAAAGUAUUGGGGGGCAAGCCGAUCCAAGCAGGGUUGAGUUUAAAGAAAAAUAUCUAGCCCAAGUGGACAAGAUCAAGCCAAAGCUCACAGGGAAUAGAGUCAACGAAUUUACUACACCUACCCUUGAGGAAUUACCAGCAGAAUAUCGACAGGCCUACGAAGCACUCAAGAAGAAACGUGGAGAGGGAUAUUUGCAAGAAUACUUCAAGUGCCUUCCUCCAUGUAGCAACCAUGUUGGCCCUUCUACACUGUUGAGGCAAGAUAAAAAAAGAAGCUUUGCAAGCAAACCAGCAAAAAAGGAUUCACUCGGCUAAUACGGUGGAUUCGGUUGAAACCGGAUUGAGCAACGGGAUGUUUAAGGCCGAGUGCGUUGCAUCGUGCCAGCCGAGUGCAUCGUUCCAGACGAGUGCAUCACCAGCUAAAGCCGAGUGCAUCAAGCCAACUAUUGCCUCGUGUACGAAAAUAGAAGAUGCAAGCUUGGCUGAGCAAAGGAACAACAAACGCAACAAAUUGGUUGUGCUCGAUUUUUCUGGAUCUAAGGGAGCUUACAUGCUACCUUAUGAGUUUCGUGCUAAAGAUAUUGAUGAGCAUCAAGAACACAGUAAUGGCUGAACACAGUUCAGUUAACGAUGAACAUCAAGACCAAGAAAAUGCGGCCGAGCAAAGUUCAACUGACAAAGAGCGUCCGAGUGAAAUCCACUCGGGCAAUCCGACUGAAAUAUACUCGGGCAAUUCGAGUGAAAUAUACUCAGGCAAUCCGAGUGAUGAGGCACCAGAUCCAGAAAAAGAGGAAGAGGCAUUGGAGAAUUAUUCAUAAGUGGAGCAAUGUAUUGUUCCAGUGGUGCAACCAUCUUCUCCUUCCAAUGUCUUCACAAAGGUACACCUAGAAGAUAGUUUACUCAAUUUUCAAUUCGGUCAAAAUGAUAUUGUUGAUGUACCUAUUAGUAAGAUUCUAAUUAAUUUUGAAAGACCAAUUGAAAUGAGUAAUCUUUUUGUUAGGAAGGAUCUUGUCACUAAUCAUGAUAGUCAACACAUGGUAUCGUUCAUAGAGGCUAAUAGUGACAACUUAUCAAAACCAAAGUUGUUCUUGUCAUGCCAACUGAACUUUGUAUUCAUAUGGACAACUUUGUUUGUUUCAUGCCCGGCUAACAUUUGGACUCGUAUGAGCCGUAUAUUCUGUAAUUAUUUUAGUUGCAGAAACAUAAAGCCAGGUCCAAAGUCCUUCGAAGCCAAUUCAAAUGCAUCAGGAAAAGAAGAUGAAUCUUUCCCAAUUGAUAAAAUUGGCGAGCAAAAAUAUGGUUUUACAACAAUGCAUAUGCCUUCACCUAAUACUACAUCAUAUUAUACAGCCCCUACACAAUUGCAAAGUUUCGGCAACACCCAUGUGCCAUUGCCGAAAGAGUCUAAAAGCAAUGGGGGACAAUCGUAUCCGAAGUGGGCUGAAAAUGAGAAAAAGAUUAAAGCCAAUUUCGCCACUCGCCGCCAGAAACAAAAAGAAACAGAAUUGGCUCAAGUGAAAGAAGCAUUGCCAAUUGGUAGAAGCAAUGUAAAGAAAGAUGAUUCAGAACAUGAAAGUACUCCGGUUAAAAGAGCCGAAUCAAGAAGUAUAUAUUCUGAAUCCAUCAAAUGCAAAGAGGCAAGCAUUAUUGAGAAAGGGCAUGGCAAGCAUAGCAAAGCGACCAUACUUGAUUUUUCUAAAGUUAAUGGAACCUACUUCCUGCCCUAUGAGUUUCGUGCCAGAGAAUUUUGAUGAACUUCAAGGACAAGAACAAGUAGCCGAACAAAGUUCGGCCGACAAAAAUCUUCAAUGUAAUGAUGCACGGAAUCAAGAAAAAGAUGAUGAAGAAGCGUUGGGGGGCCAUCCAAAGGCGGAGCAAGAUAUUGUUCAAGUCACACCACCAUCGUGCUCUCCCAACAUAUUUGAAGAGGUAUGUUUAGCAAGUAAUUUACUUAUUUUCAGAUUUGGUCAGGACUUUAUUGUUGAUGCAUCUAUUGGAAAAAUCCUCAUAAGUAAUUUUGAAAGACCAAUGAAGAAGGGUAAUUUACUUGCUAGCAAUAAAGUUGUUAUUGAGCAUAUCGGUCAACCCAUUACGCCAUUUAUAAAGACCGAUAGUGACUUAUUAUUACAGCCAAAGCUUUCCCCGUUGCUUUAUCUAAAGUUCAUAUCUAUUUGGGUAGCUUUGCUUAUUUCAUACUUGGCUUGCACUUGGUCUCAAUUGAGACAUGUGUGUUCUAACUAUUUUCGUUUUAGAAAUUUAAAGCCAAGAUUAAAUUCUGUUGAGAAAACCGAUGCUAGUAUAAUAUCUUACCCAAAGACAUCGGAGAUAGAGUGCAAAACACAAUGCAUAGCCGAAUGGUGUGAUGCAAAAUCUGAACCAUUCGUUUGCUUAAUUCCAAAGCCGUUCUCACAGCAAGAUCGGCUAGAAAACAAGAAGUAUACCUUCAAUUCAAGCAUGUGUGUUCAAAUAUUUGAUUUGUUGCUGAAAAAUAAUUACAUUACAAUUCUUGAUCACCAUGUUAAGCCAUCAAUCCAAGGACGAAUGUAUUGUAAGUUGCAUGAUUCGUCCAAGCAUGAUUUUGAGGAUUGCAACAUGUUUCGUCAAAUAGUUAAAUCGGCCAUUGAAAAAGGACGAUUGAAGUUUGUUGAAACACCAAGAGAUGACCAGUCUAUUCCGAUUGGUCCCGAUGGCAAAAAGUUUUUGCAUCGGCUGCUUCGAGCCGAUCCAUUUAAAGAGAAGGUAAAAACUGCAGGUGAUGGGAUCAAGCUUUCAACUAAAGAAGUUGUUGAAGAGCAUAAUGAACAUAAUCUUGAGGGUGAGAAUUCCAUCGAAGCUACAAUGGAGACGCCAAGGACUGGGGGGCAGCAAGCAAAUCCAACGAUCGAUGAAAGCAAACCAAAAGAAAACAAAGGCCGAAAUAAGCGCAAGUGUAAAAUAUCAAAAAUCACCUUCGCUGAACUAUUGGAGAAAUAUCAAAAGAAGAGUGAAGAGAAGAAUGCUUAUCGGCCCAAUCAUGCAAAGAAACCAAAAUCACCCCCAAGGCGCAAAUAUGAGGAUCCGUAUUGGCAAAGUGAGAGUUUCAAUGCAACAUAUUCAUAUCCUUAUUUUGGGCCGCCAAUGACAAUGCCGUGGAUGCCUCCCUAUACUCAUGUAGAUCCAUGUUCAUCAUGGGACAGGUAUGAUACAAGGGCACAUUCUCCAUCUUAUUUUAGACCAUCUCACCAAUAUUAUGCAGCUCCGAGAAGAUCAACAUUUGAACAGUCACAUGUUAAAGAUCGUUUCAAUUAUAAGGAAUCGGUCCGGACACCAUGGAUGAAAAAAGAGGUGGUCAACCAAGUCUACCGCGUGAAAAGAGAUGGUCGUAAGUGUGCUACUUCAGAUUUGAUCUCAAAUAAUAAAGAGCCAAUUAAAGUGUUGACAUUGUCUACAAAAGGCAAUGAGACGAAGCAACCAAUUAUUGAGAGUCAAAGUGCCAAAUCAGAAGAAAAGAAGUUGAGAGUGCACAAGGUCAAAAAGGAAUUGCCAUUGGUCAGAACAGAAUCAUAGCCGAGAUGCCCACUCGGCUUAUCGUAUUGGCAAAAGAGGGAAUUACACAAACUUAGUGCACAAGAACUUGAAGAAAGGAACAUGGCAUGGGUUCCCAAAGGAAGUGCUCAAAAUAAGAAUUAUGUGCAUGCCUCCAUUACAAGAAGUGCGGCAAAAGUGAAGAAGGAAAAGAGUAAAAACUAUGAAGGACCAAGCCGAAGGAUUCAACAUCUUUGGUCUACACAUUAUCCAUAUUCUUCAACUAUGCCAUUAACGCCUAUGCCAUGGAAUUCGUCAUCAGGUAUGAUUGGUAACCCUCAAUGGGCUUAUUUUAAUCCAUGGAUGCAAUAUAAUUUCUUACGUCAUGAAAGGGUAUUACCAAGUCACUAUACAUUUGAUUAGCUACAAGUUUGUUGCUGAUCCAGAGGGCCGAAAUACUUGAUUUGUCAUUUCAUUUGUUUAUUUCGGCUAUAUGUGCUUUGAAUGAAGUUUACAUGGUAAUGGCCGAUGAUAUUUAUCUAUCGUCCUAAGAGUAUGUCAAUUCAUGCCCGGUGUAGUAUUCUAAUAUCAUCCUUAGUUUGAUGGAGAGCGAGACAAGGUACAUGCUCAUGAAAAUUUAUAUGUAUGCCUAUAUUAUGAUUGAAUGGAGUUGAGACAUCAUGACCGAUGUCAUUGAAUAUAUGCUGCAUAGACCAAUUCAUAGCUGCAGAAUUGGUUGGUGGGCUUAUACUUUGUUUGGAUAUGAUUUGGCUUAUGCAUCUUUGAGAUCUAUAAGAGGCCAAAUCAUAGUUGAUUUUGUUACUGAACAUCGGAUUAGUGUCAUGCAUAAUAUUAAUAUUAUCCUUGUCUCUCUAGUACUAUGGAGAUUAUGUUUUGAUGGUUCAAUUCAUAGCAAUGGCCAAAGUGUUGGUGUUGUUUAUAUAUUUCUUUAUGGUACUAUUUUUUGAAGCCUCGUGCCGCUUAGAAUAUUUUUAUGCACGAUUAAUCAAGGCCGAAUAUGCAUUGUUAUUCGGAUUGACUCUUUUACUUGCUGUAGGUGUUAUACAGAUUGAGGCUUUUGGUGAUUCGUUAUGAGUAGUGCAACAAAUAUCCAAGGAUUAUCAAUGUGUUUUGACGAAUCACUUAUAGUUUAUCUUGGGUUUGUCUAGAUGAAGAAUUUACCUUGGGUUGCAUUAAAUUUUUUCAUAUAUUUAGACAUGACAAUUGGAGAGAGUUGGCAUAGCAAGCAUCCGGCUACCAUGUCCAUCAUGUUGUAUUGCGUUUCUCUCAAUAGCCGAUGCUUAGUCUUGUCAACAUAGGUAAGGCCGAACCGAAGUCUAGAACUUCGGACACUAAUGAAAUUUUUAUGCAGGCGAAAGUAAGGAUUGGAGAAAGUUUAUUGUUGAUUGUCUACAAAAUCCUAGCAAAAGGGUGAACAAUAUGGUUCGGAGUAUGACAUUGAGAUACAUAUCUAUGGAACUUUAUCACCGGAUUGUUAAUGAAGCUGAGAAGGUUUCACCCAAGUUUGCAUCAGAAAGUUCACACAAGACAUGGCCGAUAUAUACUUAUCGUCCUAAGAACAUAUAAAUGGCCGAUGGAGUGUUGACAUCGUCCUUAGAACAAACUUGGUACAAGUAUUUUUCGGCAUGCUAGCUUUACCGAAAAACGGGAGGGCAUGUGUUGACGCUCAAAAGUGGCACGAUCAUAAAGCAGCAUGCCGGGGCGAAAACCUUGCCGGGGUAAAAUCUUGCCGGUGUGAAAGCUUGCCGGUGUGAAGGCUUACCGGCGUGGAAAGCUUGCCGGCACAGAAAGAUCGCCGGUGCUUGCCGGUGUGAAAUCUUGCCGAGGGAGAAAUCUUGUCAGGGAGGAACCCUUGCCGGAGUACAAACCUUGCCAGAGUGAAACCUUGCCGGUGUGAAAGCUUGCCGGGUAGAAACAUUGCCGGUGUGGAAACCUUACUCGGAUGGAAAACUUGCCGGGUUGGAGGCUGUGAUAGUCAAUCGAACGAGAAGUUGAAGAUGGGCUCAAAAGGUUAUUUAGAUGAUCUCGGAUGGAAAAAUGAUCUACACGGGUUGUCUUCAUCUCGUCCAAACGAUCGAUUUUGAUAUAAAAAUCGUUCAAAUUUGAGUUUGUAUGCAAAAGUUAGAGCAAUCGGAGUGCAGCCCUGUCACGAGGCGAGAUGUGGCGCCCCCCACCAGACACAUAUCUGACGGGUAGCGCGAGGAAAUAGCCUGUGUUGCGAGACCGAUCUGACCCUCAAGAUGAUCUCUGAUCAAAAAACCUUCAACAUGAAAGUUUUUCGUCUCGUCGAAACAGUCAAGAUUGCUUUUGGGCUUGUUUUCAUCCGGGAUCGUUUACCACCGCAAAAAAGACCCGCAAUGUGCAGCCAGUUUAAACCGAACAGUUUUGGAAAGUUCGGAUAAACCAGUCGGAAUUUGACUAGGGUUUUGGACGUGAAUUGAUGUAAUUUUCUUGUAAGGAAAGCCUAGAUAAAUUCUUUGCUUGUACGGGGAGUCCAGCCGCCUCUUAUAUAUGUUGGGGGUGACGGCCGAUUGAAACAACACACAAUCGAACAAACACAUCUACUACUUUUUCGUGUUCAUCUACUUUUUAUCUCUCCCUUGUAUCUUUCUUCUCGUUUUUCGCAAGUUCUUCAUGCUGGAGGGCUGCGGAUCCACGAGGCUCUAGGGCCGAGCGAAUCGACCUAGGGCAGCCCAUAGCCGCCGCAAUCCCUAACGGGGUCCCUCUCAGGUGCGCGGGAUUUCGGGUCUACAAAAGCGCCCGCCGACUGUCUUGCGUAUCGCGCUGUCGGUCGGGUCUCCUUCGACGUGAGCUGCGGUGCAUCACCCCCGGCGUCAAGGUUACAUGUGACGUGUUCGUGUGCGAACAACGUGCUCCCUGGCUCCACCCCGUUGAAAAAAUAUACAUUUGGAGGCCACUUUGUUUCCUCAUCAAAAAAAACUUACGUUAAAAAGAUUGCAUGCAUCCCAGGGAAAGUAAUCAAGAAGAAGUCGGACUCUUCCUUACAAAAACAAGGAACGUGUUAAGUUAACUUCAAAGAAAAAGGAACAUGUUAAGUUAAAAAAAAGAAGAAACAUGUUAAGUUAGAAAAAAACAAGGAACGUGUUGUCCUAGGAAAGAUAUGUGUCAAAUCUUACAAAAAAAAGAAUACACACACGUACGUUCAUGCACUUGGAAAAUAGAAAAAAAAGGAACAUCACGUAUGUAUACACUUCGGAAACUCAUUACAUGACCAUGUCUGAUAUACUCAUCUAAUGCUUAAUAUUAGUGCCUAAUAAUUUAUAUUUAAAAUUUAAUUUACUGAUCAAAUAUCCCCAAUGUUUAAAUUUUAAUUUGGCACAUUGUUUGGCUAUAGUAUGAACCUAAAUUUCCUCUUAUUAUUAUAUAUCAUGAUAAUAAUCCAAAGGCGACUAAUCUGCGCUGGUGCACCGGGGCAAUCAAUUCGGCCGGACACAGCGCGGCCUUUUGAUUAGAUUGCAUUUAACCGUCUGAUCUGGAAUUGUUUUCUUUCCAAUUAAACGGAUUCAACCAAACAGCAGAGGGGAAAACAAAGCAGCGCCGCCGCCAACACUAGCCAUGGACGAUCGAUGUAGCAAAACCUUGAAGAACCGCCGCCGGUCGCCACCCUCGCCGCUGGUGGCCGCCCUCGCCAUCGGUCACCGCCGGUCGCCGCCCUCGCCGCCUGCGUUUCUCAUCGGCUUCAUGCAUGCAACAACAUGCACUCGUGGUUGCAGGCUUGCAGCUCCGGCUCCGGGGGACAUGGCCGCAUCUCCGGUAACGCCGGCCGCCAACCAUAGCACCUGUCAUUGUGGUCGCGUUGUACCUCACCGUGUGCCCUCCCAAGGCUCUUGCUGGUUCCAACAAAAAACGAUACCUGUUGUAGCAAAAAAGUUUAUCGCUUCCAGCAAAAAAGCUUUCCGCUACAGCCCGCCAUUGUCAUUGUAGCAAAAAUGUUAACCCGAUGUAGCUUUUGUGGUUGCCGACUGCAACAAAAAAUGACAUGGUUGAAGCAAAACACAAAAGAAAAACGCCGGCCGGCCGCUGUGUAUGGUGGUAACAAACCCUAUAGCCGGUGGUAGCGAAAAACUUCAUAGUUUGCAGCAAAAAAAUGUUGUCGCCCGUCGUCGAGGUUGCAUCAUCUUCAUGAAUUAUGUCGCAAAAAAACAUUGUCGCCGGUAGUAGCAAAUGAAGCCGCCCGGUAGUAGCAAAACAAGACACUGGUUCCAGCCAAAAAAAAUCAGCGACAGAACCUUUGGUUGGUUCCAACAAAAAAACUUGUCGGUUGUAACAUCCCUCGCCGCCGGAUGUAGCAUCUCCCGGGGCUGGUUGCAACACUCUAAAAAAAAGUUGUCUAAGAGCGCAUCCAUGGCGACUGCUGCACCGUCAGCAACGAGGGGAAGAGGAGGCAAUGAAAAUCGUUCGAGUCGUAGCUCCACAGGACGCGGCUGCAGCAUGGGGAGUCCAAAAAUCUGUCACAAGCAACAUGCGCCUCGCCAUCCUCCUGCGUAGGAGAGAGAAGAAAAAGGAAUAAGAGGAAGAAGAAAGGAAACGGGAGAAAGAAAAAAGAAACGAUUGGUGGUGGGCUGAGGCAAUUAGUCAAACGAGGGGCACGCGGGGCCGCAGGAUACAGCGCAAUCGAACGAAGCACGCGCGUCCGGCCGAAGACUCGGCCGGACUGCCGGCUGGAAACGUUUCCCUAAUCCAAAGGCUUUGUCUGAAUGACAAGUCGUCUAGGUUACCGGCUAACUAGAAAAAAGAUAAAUAUGCUAGAGAAUUUCAUAAUAAUUAGAAAUAUCUAGCCUUUAAUUAUGUAAAUCAGAAAAUCACAACCGUAGGAUUUACUUUAAAGGUAAAUUUCUCUAAAUUCCCACCAUUGCCAGUAUGUAGAAACAUGUGCUGCUUCAAUUCUCCCAUAAUCACCAAUCAAUCAACAACACAAAACAUACCUCAGUUAAAAAAAACUGAACAAAAAAAAGAAAAAAAGAAGAAAGGACAAGAUACACGCAUGUACACGACAGCCUUGGCUUGAAACACAUCAGUAGAUCAAGUGUCCGCCUCCCUUACACAGAAUAAAUUCUAGGGAAGAAAAUAAUAGUGCAACCUAACCUUAUACGUACUAUUCUAUCCUCACGUCCCAUGAGGUUUACUAGCCUACCGCCGCCGCAUCAUGCCAUCCUCUCCUUUCAGCUCCCAUGCUCUCCAGCAUCCUCCUUGCCGCGCCACUACUCGCCUAGGAAUAUUGCUGCUCAGACCGCGGAGCUUAACCUGCUUCUUCUUCAGCAAAUAUGGAACUGCUUUAGGAUCCUUCUCACAUCAGCACGUAUGGGCCUCAUUAUACUGCAGCUCCUGGACCUCCUACAAUUGGUUGGCUAUGGCCAGUUGAUCGAUGUGCUGAAGUCUAGGUCUGUUUGCUGGCACAUAUGCUUUGGAAAUAGGCCACUAUGUUUGUACUUCAAAAUUGUUUCGGUAUUCUUGAGUGGUACAUCCUUUUAAGUGCCAGUUUUUUAUGUUAAUUCGACAACACUUAACCUAGCCUUUCAUGUUCACGUACUAAAUACAGGAGCAAGUAAAAAAAACAGACCACCUAAUUGCUCUGCAAGUUCUACAUAGGAAAAUUUGUCAUGUUCUACGAUCGCACCAUCCCACCCUUCUCUCUUGGUAUGGGCGCCAAUUGAGGGAUUGAUAAAACUGAAAUGAAGACGUCACAGGGCUGGAAGUACCGCUAGCCUGGUUUGCACUGCAACCUACCCAACGCCAUCAGAAACUAGCAACUGAGGCAGGUGUUGAUCGAUUCUCUCAAAUUGCUCUCAUGUAAGUACUACCCCUUGCAUGUGCGUACAUACCUUUGUUGCAUUCUCAAACAGAUAGAACAUGUAUGAUCGGUGCAUGGCUAUUUUUAGGUAUAGCGACUGCACAACUUCUUCAACUCCAUAUGAUGCUAGUGUAUUGCAUCGAAAGAAUCAACGGAUUGCUAGAGAUCAACUGAGGUAUUCUCAUAUUAUUGGCUCGCUUAUGUAUUUGACGACUGCCACGAGGCCUAACAUCUCGUUUGCUGUUAGCAAGCUGAGUCGGUUUGUGUAAAAACCAGGAGAUGAUCAUUGCCAUGCGCUUGAGAGAGUUAUGCGCUAUUUGAAAGGCACCGCGAGCAAUGGGAUUCACUACACCGGGUAUCCAAGGGUACUGGAGGGUUAUAGUGACUCAAACUGGAUAUCUGAUGCUAAUGAGAUUAAGGCCACAAGUGGUUAUGUUUUUACACUUGGUGGUGGCACUGUUUCUUGGAAGUCCUGCAAACAGACCAUCUUAAUGAGGUCAACUAUGGAAGCGGAACUCACAGCAUUAGAAACUACCACUGUUGAAGCAGAGUGGCUUCGUGAGUUCUUGAUGGACUUACCUAUAGUUGAAAAACCAAUACCCCCUAUCCCUAUGAACUGUGAUAAUCAAACUGUGAUUGUCAAGAUAAACAGUUCUAAGGACAAUAUGAAGUCCUCAAGGCAUGUGAAGAGGAGACUGAAAUCUGUCAGAAAAUUGAGGAACUCCGAAGUUAUUACGUUGGAUUAUAUCAAAACGUCGAAAAAUUUGGCUGAUCCCUUCACAAAGGGUCUAUCACGUAAUGUGAUAGAUAAUGCAUCGAUGGAGAUGGGUCUGAGACCCACCGCAUGAGUUGUCCAUAGUGGUAACCCACUCUAUGUGAUCGGAGAUCCCGUGAAGUAGAAGUGGGAGACAAGUUGUUGGUCAGCUGGGAGGAGAGUAUCCCUAUAUUACCUAUCCCACUCCCUGAAGAUGCAAUACUCUCCUAAUCUGCAUGGCAGGUUGAUACUUACCUUAAUGUGUUCCAAGUGGCUUAUUCGGGUAAGUAGAAAUGUUGUCCUGCAGAACAUCUUCUGAGGAACACACCUAUAUGAAUUUGACUGUUAACAUUGUAGUCUGUGAGAAUUGGGUGUUCUCUAAUAAAUUCAUGAAAAGGCCCUGGAGUAUGACGUAUACGCUCCACCCGCGGGGAAGCCUUGCGGCAGCCUAGUAUCGGUCAAGAAUUUGUGUGAAACUAGUCUCGCAGAAAAUUUGUAGUUCAAGGCAUAGUCCACUAUUUAAGUUGUGAUCUAGUGUAGCAUAAAUCUCUAAGUGGAAGUUCAACUUCAUAGUCUCCACUAAGCACCGGUAUAUAAACAAUGUUUUGGAACUAAAUGAUGAGAUGUUCCAAUGAGUCUUUGUGGGGGAAUUGUUGGAAUUUUGCUAGUACGCCUUUGGCCCAAAGCCCAACUAAAAUUAUGAAAUUUUCUUGGCCCAUUCAUGCAUACAUGUGAGUGGAGUGAGUGAGACUAAAGUAUAGUCCCACCCCGGAAGUUGAGAGAGAGCACCUCUUUAUAAGGUAAGCUCUUCUACCACUUGUAUGAGCAUGAGAAUAGGAGACCUACACACGCGCUCCUCCUUGCUCGCCACGCCACGCCUCGUCACGACGCGCUGCAGGUUGCGGGAUUGAGCGGAGCCGAGGACAGAGCUAUGCACGUUGUCUAUUUUUUGCUACCCGGGAAAAAUUAAUGAGUCAUUAAUUAAUAAUUAAUGGACGCGUUAAUAACUGAACCGUUUCCGAUUCUUUUGGAUCGUGACGACUCGGACAUGGGGUUUACUCCCACGACCUACCCGGCCCGCACUAUAUAGUCAGUCAGACGUCUACCCUAGCCGCCGCCGCUUCGUAUGGUUUCUCACCACCAUUCCAGAUCAUUGCGCCGCAAAGCAAGUCUUCUCCAUACCUCCUUUCGGCGUGCACUGGGAGAAGGAACAGCAGGCCUUCGGAACCCCGCCGCUCGUGAUCCUGUACGGGAGAGGGGCGAUCAGGUUUUUGGGGAGCGCACUCGCGCGACUGCUGGCAGCGACGACUUCGCGAAUGACGACUUCAUCCCGGACCUCGGCAACCUCAUCCUCGACGACAUGGGUGACAACGUCAACGCCGGCGGUGCUGCAGCCGCUGCACCGUAUGUUAUUCUAUCCUUCUUGUUCGAGAUCGUGGUAGAAUUCAGGUUUCUAGUAUGUGCCCUAGAUGUGAUCUGUUCAUCUACUCUGCUAGUUCGCAUGAUUAGUUUAAUCUCUGCUAUUGCUGUCAUGAUCUAUUUCCAAUUUAUUCGGAUUAAAUCUCGUAGUAAUUUGCUCAUUUUUCCAACAAUGCCAUCUGAUAGAUGAUGUAAUUCUCGUCAAGUUUGACGUUGUUGAGCUAAUUUACAAAAAAACCUCAUCAUUAUUGGAUGUCCUUAACAGCUCAAGAACAAGUUGGGGUCGAACUAAUGGAUUUUACACUUUUACAUUAAAGGUUUAGCUAAAGCUAGCAGGUGUUUUUAAACCUGAUUUUUUUCCUCCUAAAUUUCUUUGUAUUUUCUUAUUGACACUAUUUAUACAAUCAUCUGACAAAGAUUUGCUAAAGCUGCUUGUAGAUACGUUGAAACCUGAAAAGCUUCUUUGGUUUUCUCAUAGGUCUUAAUUCUUAUGUAAUACCAAGAUGCAUUGUGGUAGUGUACAUGUGUUAAAUUCGUGUUGUUAUUCACAAUUUGCGACAAAAUUUAGCUCACGCUACAUUUCAAUAUGUUGAAAUGUGAAAGCUCUUUUUCUUCUCCUUUCUACACCUUGCAUCGGAUUGCAUCCCUUUAGUUAUCCAACAUUUUGUACAACAUGUAGAGAUUAGGAAGUUCAUCAUAGUUUGUCUAUUUCGGUGCUAAUAAAUGUAUGAAAUCUGCAUUUCCAAGCUAUUAGGACAAGUAAAAAAUAAUAAUUUUACUAUAGGAUUCAAAAACAGCAGUUCUGAAGUGCACUUUAUUUAUUUGCGAAAGUGACCACAUUUUGUUUCAUUUUUCUAUAGACAAAUCUACUAAUACAUACUCACGAUAAAACUAUAAAAGUUCUAGUCCGCACAUUGGGCGGGCCACCCGGCUGGUUCGUCUAAAGAAAACAAAAUGAGUCUGGAAUUUGAAUUAAAUUGAAGUAUUUUCUUGGACUUUCAAAUUGAGUAUAGUUAAAGUAGUAAGGACUAUCCACAUCCUUGGCUUGCCCCUAAUCAAUUAUUUCCAGAGAAGCAUUCAAUUCAUCAAUCAAUUACAUUGAUUUUAGUGGCUGGUACUUCUCCUGAACAUCAGUAUAUUCACCGUGGCCACUCCAAAUCGGCAAGAAUGAGGUACCAGUGCUCUGGAGCAGUGCAAGCUAAUUGCUUCUCAUGUGAAGGGGUGCGGGCGCGGGAGAGGUAUUUCUGGUGGGCCAAGGGACUAAGAAGCGACCGUGGCAGCGGUACAGACGCCCGCAAAGCCCCAUAGUUUGUUUUUGAUUUACAGGAAAAUUGCACAUCCAUACUGGCCUGGGGAAUAUAGGACCGUAUUGGAUGGAAAACCAUGUCCGGAUGGUUGCGAGCGGUUUGAGGGUUAGCUUUUGUAACACCCGGUUAGUUAUGCUACAGCAAUUCCCUGCUAAUGAUGUCACGUCACCACGAUUACUGUUGUUAACCUCACAAUGAUUGAAUCCCAUUCAAAUUCAAAUUUAAAAUAAAGGCAAACAUCAAAAGUUUUCAAACAUGAAAACUAAAAUCUUUGAGAGGUGACAAAUAAUGCAUAAGUAAUUAUGGUGGAGAAACCACACUUUAAUUAAAUGUUAAAAUACUCUAAAAUGAAAAAAACAGUGGCUUAAACUAUUAUUUAAAUGCUUUUAAAAUAGUAAAAAUCUUCUAACUAAAUUAUUUGGGUACCAAACUUUUGGUGGCAGUGGUAUAUUUAGUAGAACUAAUUUAGAUGCUAAUUAUAUAAUUUACAAAAUUAGAAUAAAUUGAAAAAUAGGAUAAAACGGAAAAGGAAAGACAAAACAAAUAAAAGCAAAAAGGGGGCAACCCCUCGCUGGGCCUCGGCCUAGCUGGCCACUAGGCGAGCUAGGCUGGCCCCGCUGCCUCCCUUAACCCCCACACUCCUCAUCGAACCCAAGCCCGAUCGCCCCACUUCCCCACACCCCCUCGCCAGCCUCCCCACCCCUUGAUCCCAUCUGGAUCGGCGAGUGUAUUGCCCCCAUCGACCCCGUUGCCAUCGCUAGAUCGCCCGCCGACGUCGCCAGGCCUCCUCCCCGCCGCACGUCUUUGGCUCGCCUCUCCUCUCGCUCCUCUUCCCCGGCCCGAUCUUGAUCGUGAACGAGCAAUGAGCUUGAAGCCCCCCUUCACCGGCGCCAUCACCGUGCGCCACCACCACCGCCUGAAGACCUCACCGUCGCUGAACCUUGCGUCGCCUCCUCGUAUCCCUCCCCUACUCACGUCCUCAAGCCAGGCCGAGCCCCUUCUCGGCAACGCUGUGAGACGCCCCCGUUUCCCUCCUCUUUCCACCGCGUUCACCACGCCGCCCGCCAUGCCCCUCGCCGUGCGCAUGCCCACCACCGCACCAGCCCCCGCUCCGCGCACGACCCUACCCGCGCCCGCGACAUGAUCCCCUUUUCCGCCCUAUCUUCCUGCGCUCGCCGCGGUCCCGAUGCUCCCCCGCGCCUUCUUUCAGGGGCGCCGACUGCCCCUGUCCCGCUGCUCGCCGCCGUGCCUCGCCACCGCUCUACUGCUGCGUUACUACUGUGCUGCGGCCGCCGCCUCUUCCUGCUGCUCCGCCAGCGCCGAAGCUCCCAGUUGGCUCCACCACUGCUCACUUUAAACCGCCGGCCUAAAUGGCCUAACCCCGGCUAAUGAACCCCCACUAACCCACUGACACCGGGACCCACAUUCCCUAAUUAACCAUUUAAUAAAUUAAAACUCUUAAAUUAACAUUAGUGUAUGACAUGUGCGUCCCCUGUUAAUUAAUAAUUUUGCUGCUAGUUUUAUUAGUUUCUGUUUUUCUGCAUAUUUCUUUUGUAUUUGAACACGCUUUAUACAGUAAUAUUUAGCGUAUCAUACACAUACAAAUGUAAUCAUAGCAUAUACAUACAAAUAGUCUCAUCAAAUCAUGUCAUCAUCAUAAUCAUCAUCCAUCACAAAGUGGUCUCUCGUCAUCAUCUCGAAAAUAGCGAUACAAGUCUCGAUUACUUGCAACUACAUCGUCAUCCAUCUAAAUAAUGAUAUACGCGAGAAGAGCUAUUACUAUGAGUACGAGCGGAACUAUGCAGUACAUGAGGCUGUAUCCCUCUCUCGCAUUAGCGUGAACCUAAACUAACUACUGGCUGUUGCUCGGAAACCGGAAACCGGUACACCUAGGCUUGACACUCCGGCCACUCGUCGUAUACUCCUGGCGUAGAACUUCUUCUCCAUCGAUGAUCUAUGUGAAGGAAAUAUGCCCUAGAGGCAAUAAUAAAGUUAUUAUUUAUUUCCUUAUAUCAUGAUAAAUCGUGAUGGGAAUGGGCCGGGUCGGCCCGCUGGGUCACUGACUCGGCCCGAAAUCUCGAGGCCAAUGGGCCAGGGAGGUUGGCCUCGAAUCACAAAACGGGUCAGUGGAGCCGGCCCCGUGUGACCCGAUGGACCAGAUGGGUCGACCCAGCGCUGCCCUAGUCCUCCAUCUAUGCCGCCGCCCCCCACGAUCUCUGUAGCCGCUCCCGAUGAUUUCUUCCGCCGCCGGCCAUCUUUGCCGCCCCUGGCAUCCCCCGACCUUCUCUAUCGGCCGCUCCCGACCUGCUGCCGCCGCCGGCUGCCCCUGAACAUCUUUGCUGGCCUGCUGCCGCCGGCGUUCCUCCCGCAUCUCGUUCGUCGUCUUGGUCGCCGUCGAGCUCGCUGACCUGCGGUCCCGUCCACCAUCUACCUCGCCAUUCCGGUCGCCGUCCUCAUCGUCAUCAUCACGCAGGUGAGACUCUUGCCGGCUUCCUCCCUGUCCCAGCGCAGCUGCAAUGACUGGUCUAGUUUAGGUUCUUGGUCUUGCUGGCACUCUCUGCGUUGUCUGCAAUUGUUUCAGUAGUUGGAGCUUGGAAGAAAUAGUCAACACUCAAAAAUAGACUGUUUGAUUGUUCAGCAUGGGACUUGUUUGAUUGUUCUCAAGAAGAAAUAGUGCUUCAGUUGAGCUCCUGUGUAGCUGCAGUUUAGCAUUCAACAACAGUUUUCUUUUUUGUGCAGCAUGCCACUUUCUUUUUUGUGCAGCAGCUUAGCUGCAGUUUAGCCUUUCGGUCCUCUGAUCCGAGGAAAAGUAAUUAGUGUUACUUCCUGUUGUUGGUUACUAAAUAAACCAGAAAUAGUUGUCCUGUGAAACAAUUUUACUCUGUUUUUUUGUUGAAUCGGCAAAUUUUACUCUGCUGGUAGGAUGGAGUAGUGCAUAUGUUGAUGAUGCUCACGAAAAACCUUCCUGGAGUAGUGCAUAUGUCCAACUGUGAGUUUCUUCUAUUCCUCGAAUGGCCGUUUGGUGUGGUGUUCUCCUAAUUUGUUGCCUGACAAGCUAGGUGUUGUGGGCGUGCUGCAUAAGAAGUAACAAUGGUUAGAAGAUGUAGUUAAUGCUUAGUUUUUUAUGUGAUAUAGGGUCAUGUGACUUCUUUUUCUUGGGCUAGCUGCCAGGUUGAGUUUGCGUAUAUGCAUAUCAGUGUAGCUGAUCCAUCGACAAGUCCAGCAUUUUUUAGUGUCAGUUCAGGGGAUGCUUUACUGGCAGCGAUUUCUGUAGUGUUGCUCAAUGGGAUGCUUUGCCGACAGUGAUUAGACCGUAAACUAAACUAUCCGGUUUCUUAUCUGCAUGCAUCUGCUGUUGAUUUUGAAAGUUAAUGCUCUCUAAUGUUCAUAUAUUUCCCUCUGAUUAGAAAAAUGGAAGAGGAGGAAGGGGACCAUGAGGCAUACCAAAGUGGUGGUUCAUCGUUGAUAUCCGGUGCGAUAAUGAGAAGGGCUCAACCACCCCCAGGGGUGUCUCCUUCUUCGAUAGACAUCUGUAGAGCUUAUCAUGGUGAGUAUUGUUAAUCUUUCUUUUUAUAGGGAUGCAAAUUAAUGGUUGCUAAAAUAAAAAAUACUCAUAAUUGUAAUGUUAACACUCGUGUCCUUUGCUCAGCAGGACGUUCGCAAGACACUCGUAUGGUUGAUUUUGAAGAAGAUGAGGCUGAUGAAGAAGAUGUUGACUAUGAAGAAGCAGAGGAAGGAGAAGAAGAUGAGGAUGAUGAAGAAGAAGAAGAAGAUGAUGAUGAUGAAGAAGAAGAAGAAGAGGGAGAUAAUGUGGAUGAAGAGGGAGAGGUUGAGAUCAUUGACAUGGGAUCGUUUUCUGAACCGGGAAGAAAGUUUUUGUCGAAAGUGUGGAAAGAAUAUGAGCCUAUCCGUGUUGAUGGCAUUGUUGUAGCUGCUGAGUGCAAACACUGUGCAAGGAAUAUUUGUGCUGAGCGUAAACAUGGAACAAGUUCAUUGCGCAAACAUUUGAAGAGAUGCAGGGAAAGGAAGAAGGUUCUUAGAGUUUCUGGACAGCUGAGUGCUUCUAUCGUGAGUCCUGAUGGAGUUGCAAUGGGGCUUUGGACCUUUAAUCAGGCAUUAGCACGCCGAGAGCUGAUGAGGAUGAUAGUGUUGCAUGAAUUGGCAUUCUCAUUGGUGGAGUACGAUGGAUUUAGAAGAUUUGUCUCUAGUUUAAAUCCUAGCUUCAAGAUGAUAUGCAGAAAAACUGUGAAGGAGGACUGCAUGAAAGCAUUUAAGGAAGAGAAGAGAAUUUUGCAAAGGAUGUUCCAAAACUCCAAAUCCAAGAUUUCUUUGACUACGGACCUAUGGACAUCAAAUCAGACAGUGGGGUACAUUUGCAUCACAGCUCACUUCAUUGAUGAGGAGUGGAAGCAGCAGAAGAGGAUAGUGAAAUUUGCAGCUAUGGAGACGCCGCACACAGGAGCUGCAAUGUUCAACGUCAUGGUGAAUUUCAUAAGAGAGUGGAACAUUGAAGAUAAUCUCUUUGCUGUGACGCUAGACAAUGCAUCGAACAAUGGUGCAAUGAUGAAGCUAUUGAAGGCACAUCUCCUGCUUAAGAAGAUGUUACCUGGUGGUGGCAAGUUGUUUCACCAACGUUGUGCCGCCCAUGUCAUAAAUCUGAUAUGUCAAGCAGGAUUGAACUUCCUUGGUCCAGUGAUCAACAUGAUACGUGAAACUGUGAAAUAUAUUCGAAGCUCACCAAGUCGAAAGGAAAAAUUUCAAGAAAUUGUUGAGCAACAUGGUGUAUCAUGUAGGAGAACUCCAAUUCUUGAUGUUCCAACUCGUUGGAACUCAACCUACAUGAUGAUUGAUAUAGCAAAAGAGUAUCGUGGAGUGUUUGACUCUUUGGCCAUUCAAGAUAAACAAUAUACCUUCAAGCCAUCUUUUGAGGAUUGGGAAAAUGCUGAAGAUGUUUGCAGGCUACUGAAGGUAUUUUAUGAAGCCACUAAUGUGAUAUCCGGCACAAAAUAUCCAACUGCUAACUUGUAUUUCCAUGAAAUGUGGAAAGUGAAGCUGACCUUAGAGCAACAACAUUAUGAAGAGGAUUCUGAGAUGGGCACAACGGUCAAAUAUAUGAAGAGAAAAUUUAGAAGGUAUUGGAAGAUGACAUGGUUGAGCCUUUGUAUUCCAGUGAUUUUGGACCCACAAUUCAAGUUGAAAUAUGUUGAUUUCCGAUUUGGCCUAGAGUUUGGGAACGAAGUUGCAGCAAUGAUUGCUAAAAUAAAAAAUGUGUUCCAAGGGUUGUUCAAGGAAUACCUCCAAUUGAAUGACAAUGGAUCAGAUCCCAUGUCACAAGGAGGUGAUGAUGACAUGGCUGUAAGUGGUGAAGAUCCUAUGGCUGAUUGGGUCCAACAUGUCACCCUCACUGCUCGAUCAACAAAUUUGGAUUAUACCGAACUUGAUUCGUACUUGUCAAAGGUACCCAUCCGCCGAAGUGAUCAAUUCAAUAUCCUUACAUGGUGGCAGACGAACUCCAGUGAAUACCCAACGCUGAGUCGCAUGGCAGCUGAUAUCUUGGCGGCUCCUUCCUCUGCGGUGGCAUCCGAGUCCGCCUUCAGCACAGGGAAGAGAGUCCUAUCAGAUUUUCGAAGUCGAAUGACCGCAACGACACUUGAAGCUCUUGUUUGUUUACAAGAUUGGAUAAGGGCCAACGGUAAAGCCAUACGACACAAGUUUCUUCUUUGUUUCUUAUUAAUGCUUCAAGUUUACAAGUUUCUUUUUUUUCUGCAGCUAAUACUCAACGUAGCUUGGCUUCAGUUCAUGACAUUAUAAUGGACUUACAAGGUAUGAGAAAUCUUCUGAUGUAUAUAGUGCCAUGUAUAUGAAGUACACUUAGUAUGAAGUCUGCUUUUUAUUUAGGGAUUUCAUAUCUACAGUUUGUUCCAGGGAACUAUUUGCAAGAUGCAACCCAAACAUGUAGAUGAGUAUAUAGAGUGUUUUACACACAGAACUAGUGCUUUUAUUUUUGGUUUCCCCAAGUUGUAGUUGAUCUCUAAUAUAUAUUUCUUUUUUCUCUCAGAUAUGAAUGUGUAGUUUAGAUUCAUUUUUUUAAUCGCCAAACUAUAUUAAAAAUAUGCAUUGCUAACUACAGUAACUUGAUUAGAAUAUGUUGCGGAGUGGAUGACAGGUAGUGUAUAAUGGAUAUUUAGAAGUGUAUUUUCUUGCAAACCUGAUCAUGAAUUGGUUUUCUGGAACACGCCUUUGCUACUAAGAAUAUUCCUCUGUUCAUAAAUAUAUUAUUUAGUUUUUUUGUGGAUAAAUAUACUAUUUAGUUGAUGUGCACAGAAUUACUCUUGUAACAUUUCUUUGCAAAUACAGAUAUCGAGGACUGAUGCUUGUUGGAGCAAUUGAUGUUAAAGCUCAAGCAGAUGGUGAAGAAGAUAUGUCAGCUUUCUCUAUAACCUACUGGAUGUGAAAAGAUUAGCAUGUUGAACUUGUAAUAUUUUGAUCUUGCAUGAGUCUGUUGGAUUGAGGUCAUUAGCUUGACGUUCUUUGAAAUCUGUAAUCUUUUGGUCUUGUUCGAAUCUGUUGGAUUGAGGUCUUUUGCUUGAUGCUCUUUGAAACAUGUAAUCUCAUGAUCUUGCCAUUCUAGAAACAUUUGCUAAAUUCUGGGUCGGCCUCAUGUACCCAAUGGGUCAAUGGGGCCACAAAAUUCUGAUGAAAUGGGCCGGCCCGUGGCCUCACAUUUUGACCUUGGGGCCACGGGGCCGGGGCCGGGGCCAGGGCCGGGUCGGCCCAUUCCCAUUCUGAAUGAUAAAUGUUUAUUAUUCAUGCUAGAAUUGUAUUAACCGGAAACAUAAUACAUGUGUGAAUACAUAGACAAACAGAGUGUCACUAGUAUGCCUCUACUAGACUAGCUCGUUAAUCAAAGAUGGUUAAGUUUCCUAACCAUAAACAAAGAGUCGUUAUUUGAUUAACGAGGUCACAUCAUUAGUUGAAUGAUCUGAUUGACAUGACCCAUUCCAUUAGCUUAGCACCCGAUCGUUUAGUAUGUUGCUAUUGCUUUCUUCAUGUCUUAUACAUGUUCCUAUGACUAUGAGAUUAUGCAACUCCCGUUUGCCGGAGGAACACUUUGUGUGCUACCAAACGUCACAACGUAACUGGGUGAUUAUAAAGGAGCUCUACAGGUGUCUCCAAUGGUAGAUGUUGGGUUGGCGUAUUUCGAGAAUAGGAUUUGACACUCCGAUUGUCGGAGAGGUAUCUCUGGGCCCUCUCGGUAAUGCACAUUACACAAGCCUUGCAAGCAUUGCAACUAAUGAGUUAGUUGCGGGAUGAUGUAUUACAGAACGAGUAAAGAUACUUGCCGGUAACGAGAUUGAACUAGGUAUUGGAUACCGACGAUCGAAUCUCGGGAAAGUAACAUACCGAUGACAAAGGGAACAACGUAUGUUGUUAUGCGGUCUGACCGAUAAAGAUCUUCGUAGAAUAUGCAGGAGCCAAUAUGGGCAUCCAGGUCCCUCUAUUGGUUAUUGACCAGAGACGUGUCCUGGUCAUGUCUACAUUGUUCUCGAACUGUAGGGUCCGCACGCUUAACGUUACGAUGACAGUUAUUAUGAGUUUAUGCAUUUUGAUGUACCGAAGGUAGUUCGGAGUCCCGGAUGUGAUCACGGACAUGACGAGGAGUCUCGAAAUUGUCACACCCUAGCUAGUUUAUGCAUUAGAGUGUGCAUCAUGUUUACCUUCAUCAGAAAUUGAAAUGGGGAGAGCAGAACCCCCAGCACCCCCCCCCUGAAAUCAACGAGGGUUUACUAAAAAUAAAUUCAAUGAACCUGAAAUGCCCUUGAAAUAUGUUCACCCUCUUUGCCUUGGGUUAGAACCCUUGGGAAAAAUGGUGCAUAUAAUUUUAGGUCAACAAAAGGGGCAUUGACUUAAUUCAUAAAUAUUUGAAUUUGGGCAUUUAAAAUACUAUUAUAUAAUUCAAAUGCUCAAAUAAUGUUGGAACUAUUUUUGGGCCACUGAAAUAUUUCAGAAAGUGUCCAUAAAUAUUUUCAGGAUUUUAUAAAAUGAUUUAGUAUCUGAACUAAAUCAAAACAGAAUAACAGAAAUAGAAAAACAAAAAAAAAUAAAGAGGGAAAGACCAUGGGCCACUUACCUGGCCCAGCGCCAGGCCACUAGCGGCCCAGCCCACCAGGCCGAUGCCAGUCGUCCCCUAGCUCCUGCCAGGAGGACGAAGGGCGUGUGCCCGCGGUGCGCCAGCACGCACACGGCCACCGACGGCCACCUCCUGCUUCGGCCGCCUCCCCGACGUCGCUUUGGACGCCACGCAUCCCCCCCUGACCCCUCGCUCACUCUCUUUCAUCCUCAUCCCCUCCUCUGCUCUCUCUCCCGCGCAACCGCCAUGAGCCCGAGAGCGCCGACGAGGACCACCACGGCCACCGCCUACCCCUCGCUUCCCUGACCAGCUUAGAGGCUCCGCCUCGACCCCGUCUUCCUUCUCACCGAACCACGCCCCGCCGGAAGCCCUGCGUCAUCAAAUUCAAGCUCUUCUUCAAGCUUCGGCACCGACGAUCGCCGCCGUCGAUUCGCUUGCUCCAGUGCCUCCCCGAGCUUGCCGAGGCCACCGCUGCAACUGCUGUGAGCUCCUGUGUCGUUUCCCCCUCCCCCCUGGCUCGAUUUCUUCUUCUAACACCGAUGCCCGUCAGAACCGAGAGCUCUUCGCCGCCGGCCAUGCCGCCACCGUGACCACAGCCGUGCAAGCUCACUCCCGAGCACGGCAACGUGCUCCACACCUCACCAAGAGCACGUGGAACCCAUCAGUUUCCCCUCCCGUGCACCACAACGCCGAUCCGCUCAACUCCCGAACUCCGGCCGCCGCGCAAGUUGCCGCCGCCGUCGUUUUAGGCCACUAGGGCUGCUGCCGUGUGCACAGAUAGAUGCGGGCGAGUCCCAGCUCCGCGUAGAUGCCCUCCGCUGGCCAUUUGGUCGCCGGAGGAGGAUUUCCGAGCCCCUCCGCCGUCUCUGGCCUUGCCGGCGACGAGCCGGGGUCAACUCCGGCGUGUUUUGACCCCGGGUCGGCUGGGUUGACUCCCCCCUGACUCACUGACGUGUGGGCCCAGGCGCCUGCCUAAUUACCAUUAGUUAAUUAGAGUUAAUAAAAAUUAGCUAAUUAGUGAGCCACUGACAUGCGGGCCCCGCCCGGCUAACCAAGUUAGUUAGGGUUAACUAACUUAGUUAGUUGAUUGUGUCACUGACCAGUGGACCCCACUGGUCAUGUUUGACCUGGAGGCGCCAGUUGACCUGCUGACAUCAGGGUGAUGUCAUGCUGACGCAAUAACUCUUUUUCUGGAUUUAAUUUUAUAUAGAAAAUUCCAGAAAAUUGCCUAAACUUCAAAAAUUCAUAGAAAUUCAACCAUAACUCCAAAUGAGACAAAUUAUAUAUGAAAAAUUAUCAGAAAAAUUCAAGGAAUCCAUCUGUACCAUUUUCAUGCAUGUUUGAACAAUGCUUGUCCUCUGUUUUGGACAAAACAAAUAAAGGGCAUUUAAAUAAUCAUAUAUGGGGUUGGAAUUUGAAUCUUGUACUCAAACCAACUCCAUUUAAAUCAUAGCUAGUUGCAUAAGCUCAAGACACAUCCAUAUUGCCAUGUCAUAGCAUGCAUCAUAUUGUUGCAUAUCAUCAUGUGUUGAUUGUGCUCGGUUGUGUUCUUCGUGGUAGGUUCUGCCUCCGAGGAUAUUCACGAGUAUCCAACUGAAGGGCAGUAUCCCGUUACCACUCCAUCAGGCAAGCAACCAUUGAUCAUUCCGAUACAACCCAUGUUCUCGCUCCUACUCUUGUUUACUGCAUUAAGACAACACGAUUCAAACUGCCGUGUGCUACGGUAGUUGAACCCUUAUCCUCUGCAUGACCUGUCAUUGCCACAGUAACUAGAUGAAACCCACUAGCAUGUGUAGGAGUUGAUUGAGCCAUGUUUUGUGAUUCCUACCUUGCUAUGCCUGCUAUGCUUAGAGUUGUGUCAGGUCUGGUUCAUCUGGGGAAUGGGCUAGAGUGAAAUGCUUGUGCCAGUAAAUUGUGGGAUGUGUUGAACAUGUUUUGGUAAAGGUAUCGAUGAGAGGCCAUGUAGGAGUACAUGGUGGGUUGUUUCAUUGAAGCCGUCCCUAAGAACUGAGUUCUGUAUGCGUGAAUUAAGAUUCAGCUACUACCACACAUUGGGCCCUGAAAUAUGACCCCGCUCGACUUACCGACCCCUCUCGCCUCAGUCCAGGAGUUGCAACUAGUUUCUGGUGUUUGUAGGAUAUGUGUUGGCGGCCGUGCGUAGCGCUGACCCUAGGGGUGGGCUAUGUUGCGGUAGAUACACCGUGGCACGGUGUACUGAGUCACCCGUUUGGUGUCUCGGGAACCCUGUUCACAUCGUUCGGGGCCGUUGAGGACACCCCGGCCGGAUUUCCUUGCGGAUGGAACCUGAAUAGGCGAUGACCCUGGACUAGAGACUCGUGAGGUUAGUCAGGUCGUGGUCUACACCCACGUCGGUUUUCGCUUGAAGUCUGCCGAGCACAUUUCGUGUGCAGACGCUAAGUGGUGGAAACAUGUGUGACGAAGUACACCCCUGCAGGGUAUAAAACUAUUCGAAUAGCCGUGUCCGCGGUAAAGGACUACUUGGUUGCAUAUACAGUUCAUAGACAAGUUAAUGGAUACUACUAAAAGACUCAAGAUAAGUGUGAGUACCGAGGAUGGCUCCCUCGCAGGAUACGAGGGAGGAUCCACGGUGGAGUAUUGUGAUGGUGAGUAGUGGACUCGUGUGCAAAAACUAUUUUGCUAAAAGAUUCCGUAGGAUAGCUUAGCCAAGAGUCAAAGCUGGUUUGCUGCAUAAACCCCACCACCUUCUUGAGAAUGAGCAUGUACAGUAGGUUCUGAUGUAAGACUUGCUGAGUACCUUUGUACUCAUGUUUGCUUAUUUAUUGUUUUCAGACGACAACACUGCCCCCUCCGAUGGGUUUUACGUAGACCUUGACGUCGACGAGUGACUAGCCACCCAGGUGGUGAUCCAGGCCAUGGAGGGCCCUAUGUAGAUAGACAGGCUUCGAGAAGCCUUCUUUCUUUCUAGAGUCUGUACCCAGACUAGUUGCUUCCGCAUGUGCUUGUAUGACUGUAUGACUUGAGUGUCGGGUCAUGUGACCCCUACCUGUAUGGAUAUGUUAUGUAUGGCUCCCUGGAGCCUUUAAAUAAAGUACCUGAGUUGUAGAGUUUUGUUGUGAUGCCAUGUUGUAUGUACUCAUAUCGAGCAUAUUGUAUGUAUGAUUGAAAUGCUUGGUAUGAGUGGGAUCCGACAAUCUAGUUGUUUGUCCUUCGCAGCCUUUCUUAUGGGGAAAUGUAGUCUAGUGCUCCUCGAGCCAUAGUAGUCCGCUACAGCCCGGUUCAGCGGAGUCCUACUAGCCCAGCACUACUGUUCAGGACACUUGACUAGCCGGCAUGUGUUUCACUUCGGGGAAAUGUCACGCGGUGAUCUCCGGAGUCCUGUCUAGCCUGCUACAGCCCGGGAUCCCCCGGAGUCCUGUUAGCCCAGUGCUACAGCCCGGAAUCACUCGUUGAUGACCGACAUGUUCGUUGUGAUUCAUGUAUGCCUGUCUCCAUAGGUCUGUGCCGCUUUGGGUUCACGACUAGCCAUGUCGGCCCGGGUUCUCGGUCAUAUGGAUGCUAGCGACAUUGUCAUAUACGCGAGCCAAAAGGCGCAAACGGUCCCGGGCCAUGGUAAGGCGACACCCGUGGGAUACCGUGAGUGAGGCCGCAAAGUGAUAUGAGGUGUUACCGGCUAGAUCGAUGUGGCUUAGAAUCGGGGUCCUGACAGCGUUGGCAUCAGAGCCGGACUGCCUAUAGGUUCGUUCAGCCAAACUGGUCGAUGUCGAGUCUAGAAAUGCUUUAGUUAUAUGUAAGGGAAUUGAUUGUGGGAGGGAACGUAAGGUUCUUUUACUCCUUUACCCUAUGCUUCUGAUCUGAGUCAUUCUCUUCUCAUUCAACGUGGGUUAAGGACUAGGCUCUCUUCUUCUAUCAGGUUCACGUGUUACUAAUCCGUAGUAGUUCAUAGGAUUAUUGCUACGAGUUCCAGUCCAGUUUCUACUAUUUUAGUACGUUGCUAUUUGAAUCAGAACCUUGAUAUGAUGCUGUUGAGCGGUAUUGUGAACUGUUGUGGAUGUCUCAAAUCUUUUUCUGAGCAUUUACAACCGCUAUGCUGCCCAAUUUUCCCUAGGAAUUCUGAUGUCUUUGUCUUGUGGUUGUGCUUUCAGAUGGCCAACCAUUCUCAAAAUCAAGUGGUUCGCCUGACUAGGUGCCUCGACGUGCCCGGUCAUACUGCUAUGUUGGUCCGGGUCAUGAUCGAGACAGGAUACCGUUGGUAUCCCGAAUACACUGUUGAAGAGCAGUUCCGCGACUUUAAUCAAAGCCAGUAUUUAUGCACCGUCAGGAUAUUUCCUUCCUAUCCUGGAUCUACCGAGCCCCUUCACUGUUCCUAUGGACUCGGAGUUACCAUUGAGAUGGCUGUGCAGGAUGCUGCCUAUUUCAUGAUGACCAUCUUGCGAGUCCGGACUGGCCUGCUUCGGAACACUGACUUCCGUUACAUGCCAGCUUCACUUCCGGGAGCGCAGGGGUAUCUUCAGGCUAUCUAUGCUGACUCCACUCAGGAGGACUCAUUAACUCGUACCACCGCUGAGAUGCUCGAAGAUAUGGACCGAGAGAAUCGGGCCUUGAGGCUGGAGCUCUUUAAUACCCGUGCUGAUCAUUGGGCCACAUUGACUCGGUUUGCACCCGCGGUGCAAGCGGGAUGUAUGGAUACCAGGGAUCUGUAUCCUGUGAGAGCAGCUCUGCCAGACAUGGUGGAUUGGCGUGAUGUGGGAGGCAUCACCCCACCCCUUGGUCACCGCAGGCCACCGUUUGUGGGUCCAAGACCUUAUCCUAGCCCCUAUGGUCCACAGGCUCCUCAGGACCGUCUGUUUCCGGAUGAUCACGUUGAACUUCCAGGCUAUGGAGGUGACUUCUAUGAGGACUACUACGGAGCUAUCUGAGUUAGUAGUAGUACCACUAGUAUUGUAGUAGUUGUAUCUCCACUGUCCUGUGUGACUUGUGGAAUACGACUUGGUGUGUAAUCGAUUCCGGAGGUGUAGACAAAUAAUGUAUAGGGACUCGGAAUGCCUCCGAUGAGAUGUAACGUCUACCUUCAUAGUUGUACUGUAGCAUGGGCUUGUACUAAACUAUGUAUGACGAGUAUGACCGUUGGUGUAUAUAUGGCAGUUUUAUAUUACCAUGGCAUACGAAUGAGCAUCUCUGCAUUCCGCGUUAUCCUUUACAUUCUGCACUUCCCUGUUAAGUUUGAGCCAUCCUUGUCUAAACCGUUGUCUUGUUUCCUCCUAGGAUGGUCAACACCCGCGGAAACCCUGCUGCCCCGGAGCAGGGGGAAGCCAAUGCAGCUAGAGGUGAAAAUUUGCCUCACCCGCCUUCCCUGGCCGAAGUGAUGCUGGAGGCGGAAAGGAACAAGCGUGAGACCAACCGCCUGCUGGAGCGGAUUGAGCAGAACACUGCACGCCACCCACGAAAUGACUUGGUGUCAAUCAACGACUUUAUCAAGCUGUACCCACCAAAGUUUAACCAUUCCGUCGAGCCCCUCGACGCGGAUGAUUGGCUUCGCAGCAUCACCCACAAGCUACGUUCUGCCAACGUAGCUGAAGCCGACAAGGUUACCUAUGCUGCUUAUCAUCUUGAGGGCCCCGCUAGCCAUUGGUGGGAAAACUACGAAGCUAUGCGCCCGGUCGGCCAAAUCACUACCUGGGCUGAGUUCAGCGAGGCUUUCCGUGAGCAUCACAUUCCGGAAGGUCUCAUGGAUCGCAAGAGGGAGGAGUUCUGUAACUUCACCCAAGGAAGGCUGACUGUGGAUGCAUAUAGCCGAGAAUUUGGGAACCUGGCACGCUAUGCUCCUGAAGAGGUUUCUACUGACGCCAAGAAGCAGGGAAGGUUCCGUAAGGGACUUAGCCCUGAGCUUCGCUGCGAUCUCCGUCCGCACGAGUGCACAUCCUUCCAGAAGCUGGUCAAUAAAGCUAUCAGUGCUGAGACAGGCCAGACUGAUUAUGACGCUUCACGCAAGCACUCUCGUGAUUUUGGGUCUUCAUCCGGCUCUGGAGCUCAGAAGCGCCGGGUGUGGAUUCCAAGCACCGCACUGCCAGCCAGAUUCACCCCGAGGCCAUCCUUUGAGGCGCCUCAUCCCAACCAGCAAUUUGCACCGCCCAAGCCCUAUGGUGGCCCCGCUGCUAAUGUUGCUCCACGCCCCACUAUGGUAACAUGCUUCAUGUGUGGAGAACCGGGUCACUAUAGUCGAGAGUGUCCCCAGAACAACCCCAAUCAAGCUGGAAAGUCCGUUGGCCGUGGUAAGCCCGCGGGAAAGACUUUCUAUGCCAAGCCGGCCACUACUGCACGUGGCCAUGUAAACUACGUCUCAGCCGAAGAGGCUCAUGAGGAUCCCAACGUCGUCCUUGGUACGCUCCUUGUUAACUGCCAUCCGGCAUCUGUUCUUUUCGAUACUGGAGCAUCUCAUUCAUUCAUAUCCGAGAAUUAUGCUCGGUCGCAUAACACGACAUUCUGUGACAUGCCCACUUCCAUGGUAAUUCAAACUCCGGGUUCCAAAUGGCAAACUUCUAGGGUAAGCCAUGGGAACGAAAUUCUUGUCGAUAGGCUUGUUUUCCUUGCAUCUUUAAUAGCUCUCAAGUCCUCCGACAUAAACAUCAUCUUGGGUAUGGACUGGAUGUCGGCUCAUUAUGCCAAGAUCGAUUGUGCCACUAGAACCGUUCAACUUAUUCAUCCCUCAGGCAAGACAGUUAAUGUCUUAACUCGAGUGGCCAAGCGCCAACUUUACUCUCUCAAUGCCAACCCUCUUCCAGACCUUGAGGACGUUCCGGUAGUCCGAGACUUCCCGGAUGUGUUUCCGGAAGAACUGCCAGGUGUUCCACCUGACCGGGAUGUCGAGUUUGUGAUAGACCUUGUUCCAGGAACCGUUCCAAUUGCUAGAAGACCCUACAAGAUGGCACCCUUAGAACUAGCCGAGCUUAAGAACCAACUCGAUGAGUCCUUGAACAAAGGGUUCAUCCGUCCUAGCUCCUCUCCUUGGGCUUGCCCCGUCCUCUUCGUCAAGAAGAAGGAUGGAACGGAUCGAAUGGUUGUGGAUUACCGACCUGUCAAUCUGGUCACCAUCAAGAACAAAUACCCGCUUCCCAGGAUCAACGACCUGUAUGAUCAGCUCACUGGAUCCUCAGUCUUCUCCAAGAUGGAUUUGAGGCUGGGCUACCAUCAAAUCAAAAUCAGAAACGGGGACAUUCCCAAAACGGCCUUUGUUACUCGUUAUGGCCAAUACGGGUACACCGUCAUGUCCUUCGGUUUAACCAAUGCCCCGGCCACUUUCUCCUGGUUAAUGAACUCGGUUUUCAUGGAGUACUUGGACAAAUUCGUUGUAGUAUACCUCGAUGACAUACUCAUCUACUCCAAGAAUGAAGAGGAACAUGCCGAACAUCUAAGGCUGGUAUUGAUGAAACUUCGAGAGCAUCGCCUUUAUGCCAAAUUCUCCAAGUGUGAAUUUUGGUUGUCAGAAGUGACCUAUCUAGGCCAUGUAAUCUCUGGUAAGGGUAUUGCUGUCAAUCCCGAGCGAGUUCAAGCCGUCCUUGAUUGGACUCCACCUGAAACGGUCAAGCAAGUUCGGAGUUUCCUUGGCCUAGCGAGCUAUUGCCGCCGCUUCGUCGAGAAUUUCUCCAAGGUUGCUAAACCUCUAACUGAACUCCUCAAGAAAGAUAAAAAGUUCGAGUGGACUCCGCAGUGCGAGUUCAGUUUUCAGGAAUUGAAAAGACGCCUGACAUCUGCUCCCGUACUGGUACCACCAGAUUUCUCCAAGGACUUUAUUAUCUAUUGCGACGCCUCGCGACAAGGACUAGGUUGCAUACUCAUGCAAGAUCGUCAGGUAAUUGCCUAUGCUUCAUGGCAAUUACACCCACAUGAGGAAAAUUAUCCCACACAUGAUCUAGAGCUUGCAGCUGUAGUCCAUGCACUCAAAACCUCGCGACAUUACCUCCUCGGUAAUCGUUGCGAGAUCUUCACCGAUCACCAAAGCUUGAAAUAUAUCUUCACCCAACCAGAUUUGAAUCUCAGGCAAAGACGUUGGGUCGAGUUGAUCUCGGAUUACGACUUAGGAAUAACUUACACCCCUGGCAAAGCCAAUGUCAUGGCCGAUCCGCUAAGUCGUAAGUCCUACUGUAACAACCUGCUGUUACAACAAAGUCAACCACUUCUCCAUGAGGAAUUUCGCAAGCUUAAUCUUCACAUUGUUCCUCAAGGAUUCUUGUCUACUCUGGUGGCGAAACCUACCCUUAUGGAUCAAAUCAUAGCUGCCCAAAAGCGUGAUAAGGGCAUAUCCCGGAUUAAGGAAAACAUUGCUAGCGGAGUAGCUAAAUGUUUUUCCAUGGAUGAGCAAGGUGCUGUCUUCUUUGAGAACCGCCUGGUGGUUCCCAAGAACCAACAUCUACGCCAGAUGAUCCUUAAGGAAGCUCAUGAAUCCCCUCUCACCAUUCAUCCCAGUAGUACUAAAAUGUAUCAAGACUUACGCCAGAGGUUUUGGUGGACUAGGAUGAAGAGAGAAAUCGCUCAAUACAUUGCUAAUUGCGACGUUUGUCGUCGUGUUAAAGCAGAGCAUCAACGGCCUGCUGGCACCCUUCAACCUUUGGCUAUUCCUGAAUGGAAAUGGGACAAAAUCAGUAUGGAUUUCAUCACUGGGUUUCCCAGGACCAAGAGGGGAAAUAAUGCCAUCUUCGUCGUGAUCGACCGUCUUUCCAAAGUAGCCCAUUUUCUACCUGUUCGUGAGAGUAUCACCGCUAGCCAGCUAGCUGACCUAUACAUCUCCCGAAUAGUGUCUCUUCAUGGUGUCCCAUUGGAAAUUAACUCAGACCGUGGAAGUCUCUUCACCUCUCGAUUUUGGGAAAGUUUCCAAAAUGCUAUGGGAACUCAUCUCUCCUUUAGCACCGCCUUCCAUCCUCAAUCAAGUGGUCAAGUAGAGCGAGUAAAUCAAAUUCUGGAAGAUAUGCUCCGAGCUUCUGUUAUCUCGUUCGGAAUGAGUUGGGAAAAAUGCCUUCCAUUCGCGGAGUUUGCUUAUAACAAUAGCUAUCAAGCUAGUUUGGGCAAGGCUCCCUUCGAAGUUCUCUAUGGACGAAAAUGUCGAACGCCUCUUAACUGGUCAGAAACCGGGGAAAGGCAACUCUUUGGCCCGGAUAUGAUUCAGGAAGCAGAAGAGCAGGUUCGCGUUAUUCGUGAGAAAUUGAAAACGGCCCAAUCUCGCCAAAAGAGUCAAUAUGAUCGUAAGCAUAAGCCAAUGACAUUUGAAAUUGACGAGAAAGCUUAUCUUCGGGUUACCCCGUUAAAGGGAACCCAUCGCUUCGGUAUCAAAGGCAAAUUGGCUCCUCGUUACAUUGGACCCUUUCGCAUUCUUGCCAAACGAGGAGAAGCUGCCUACCAAUUGGAACUACCUCCGCAUCUUUCCAGAGUUCACGACGUCUUCCACGUUUCGCAACUCAGGCGUUGCUUCGCGGAUCCUAUCCGUGGAGUGGACCACGAAACGCUUGAUUUACAAGAUAACCUCUCUUAUCGGGAAUACCCCGUUCGUAUCCUUGAUCAAGCCGAGCGUACCACUCGACGUCAUAAUAUCAAGUUUCUCAAGGUUCAAUGGUCACACCAUUCCGAGGAAGAAGCCACUUGGGAAAGGGAGGAUCGUCUUCGACUCGAGUACCCCGCCUUCUUCCCAGAUGAUCCUAAAUCUCGGGACGAGAUUCUAUUGAGUGGGGGUGAGUUGUCACACCCUAGCUAGUUUAUGCAUUAGAGUGUGCAUCAUGUUUACCUUCAUCAGAAAUUGAAAUGGGGAAAGCAGAACCCCCAGCACCCCCCCUGAAAUCAACUAGGGUUUACUAAAAAUAAAUUCAAUGAACCUGAAAUGCCCUUCAAAUAUGUUCACCCUCUUUGCCUUGGGUUAGAACCCUUGGGAAAAAUGGUGCAUAUAAUUUUAGGUCAACAAAAGGGGCAUUGACUUAAUUCAUAAAUAUUUGAAUUUGGGCAUUUAAAAUACUAUUAUAUAAUUCAAAUGCUCAAAUAAUGUUGGAACUAUUUUUGGGCCACUGAAAUAUUUCAGAAAGUGUCCAUAAAUAUUUUCAGGAUUUUAUAAAAUGAUUUAGUAUUUGAACUAAAUCAAAACAGAAUAACAGAAAUAGAAAAACACAAAAAAAAAUAAAGAGGGAAAGACCAUGGGCCACUUACCUGGCCCAGCGCCAGGCCACCAGCGGCCCAGCCCACCAGGCCGAUGCCAGUCGUCCCCUAGCUCCUGCCAGGAGGACGAAGGGCGUGUGCCCGCGGUGCGCCAGCACGCGCACGGCCACCGACGGCCACCUCCUGCUUCGGCCGCCUCCCCGACGUCGCUUUGGACGCCACGCAUCCCCCCCUGACCCCUCGCUCACUCUCUUCCAUCCUCAUCCCCUCCUCUGCUCUCUCUCCCGCGCAACCGCCAUGAGCCCGAGAGCGCCGACGAGGACCACCACGGCCACCGCCUCCCCCUCGCUUCCCUGACCAGCUUGGAGGCUCCGCCUCGACCCCGUCUUCCUUCUCACCGAACCACGCCCCGCCGGAAGCCCUGCAUCGUCGAAUUCAAGCUCUUCUUCAAGCUUUGGCACCGACGAUCGCCGUCGUCGAUUCGCUUGCUCCAGUGCCUCCCCGAGCUUGCCGAGGCCACCGCUGCAACUGCUGUGAGCUCCUGUGUCAUUUCCCCCUCUCCCCUGGCUCGAUUUCUUCUUCUAACACCGAUGCCCGUCGGAACCGAGAGCUCUUCGCCGCCGGCCAUGCCGCCACCGUGACCACAACCGUGCAAGCUCACUCCCGAGCACGGCAACGUGCUCCACACCUCACCAGGAGCACGUGGAACCCAUCAGUUUCCCCUCCCGUGCACCACAACGCCGAUCCGCUCAACUCCCGAACUCCGGCUGCCGCGCAAGUUGCCGCCGCCGUCGUUUUAGGCCACUAGGGCUGCUGCCGUGUGCACAGAUAGAUGCGAGCGAGUCCCAGCUCCGCGUAGAUGCCCUCCACUGGCCAUUUGGUCGCCGGAGGAGGAUUUCCGAGCCCCUCCGCCGUCUCUGGCCUUGCCGGCGACGAGCCGGGGUCAACUCCGGCGUGUUUUGACCCCGGGUCGGCUGGGUUGACUCCCCCCGGACUCACUGACGUGUGGGCCCAGGCGCCUGCCUAAUUACCGUUAGUUAAUUAGAGUUAAUAAAAAUUAGCUAAUUAGUGAGCCACUGACAUGCGGGCCCCGCCCGGCUAACCAAGUUAGUUAGGGUUAACUAACUUAGUUAGUUGAUUGUGUCACUGACCAGUGGACCCCACUGGUCAGGUUUGACAUGGAGGCGCCAGUUGACCUGCUGACAUCAGGGUGAUGUCAUGCUGACGCAAUAACUCUUUUUCUGGAUUUAAUUUUAUAUAGAAAAUUCCAGAAAAUUGCCUAAACUUCAAAAAUUCAUAGAAAUUCAACCAUAACUCCAAAUGAGACAAAUUAUAUAUGAAAAAUUAUCAGAAAAAUUCAAGGAAUCCAUCUGUACCAUUUUCAUGCAUGUUUGAACAAUGCUUGUCCUCUGUUUUGGACAAAACAAAUAAAGGGCAUUUAAAUAAUCAUAUAUGGGGUUGGAAUUUGAAUCUUGUACUCAAACCAACUCCAUUUAAAUCAUAGCUAGUUGUAUAAGCUCAAGACACAUCCAUAUUGCCAUGUCAUAGCAUGCAUCAUAUUGUUGCAUAUCGUCAUGUGUUGAUUGUGCUCGGUUGUGUUCUUCGUGGUAGGUUCUGCCUCCGAGGAUAUUCACGAGUAUCCAACUGAAGGGCAGUAUCCCGUUACCACUCCAUCAGGCAAGCAAGCAUUGAUCAUUCCGAUACAACCCAUGUUCUCGCUCCUGCUCUUGUUUACUGCAUUAAGACAACACGAUUCAAACUGCCGUGUGCUACGGUAGUUGAACCCUUAUCCUCUGCAUGACCUGUCAUUGCCACAGUAACUAGAUGAAACCCACUAGCAUGUGUAGGAGUUGAUUGAGCCAUGUUUUGUGAUUCCUACCUUGCUAUGCCUGCUAUGCUUAGAGUUGUGUCAGGUCUGGUUCAUCUGGGGAAUGGGCUAGAGUGAAAUGCUUGUGCCAGUAAAUUGUGGGAUGUGUUGAACAUGUUUUGGUAAAGGUAUCGAUGAGAGGCCAUGUAGGAGUACAUGGUGGGUUGUUUCAUUGAAGCCGUCCCUAAGAACUGAGUUCUGUAUGCGUGAAUUAAGAUUCAGCUACUACCACACAUUGGGCCCUGAAAUAUGACCCCGCUCGACUUACCGACCCCUCUCGCCUCAGUCCAGGAGUUGCAACUAGUUUCUGGUGUUUGUAGGAUAUGUGUUGGCGGCCGUGCGUAGCGCUGACCCUAGGGGUGGGCUAUGUUGCGGUAGAUACACUGUGGCACGGUGUACCGAGUCACCCGUUUGGUGUCUCGGGAACCCUGUUCACAUCGUUCGGGGCCGUUGAGGACACCCCGGCCGGAUUUCCUUGCGGAUGGAACCUGAAUAGGCGAUGACCCUGGACUAGAGACUUGUGAGGUUAGUCAGGUCGUGGUCUACACCCACGUCGGUUUUCGCUUGAAGUCUGCCGAGCACAUUUCGUGUGCAGACGCUAAGAGGUGGAAACAUGUGUGACGAAGUACACCCGUGCAGGGUAUAAAACUAUUCGAAUAGCCGUGUCCGCAGUAAAGGACUACUUGGUUGCAUAUACAGUUCAUAGACAAGUUAAUGGAUACUACUAAAAGACUCAAGAUAAGUGUGAGUACCGAGGAUGGCUCCCUCAUGUGACCCCUACCUGUAUGGAUAUGUUAUGUAUGGCUCCCUGGAGCCUUUAAAUAAAGUACCUGAGUUGUAGAGUUUUGUUGUGAUGCCAUGUUGUAUGUACUCAUAUCGAGCAUAUUGUAUGUAUGAUUGAAAUGCUUGGUAUGAGUGGGAUCCGACAAUCUAGUUGUUUGUCCUUCGCAGCCUUUCUUAUGGGGAAAUGUAGUCUAGUGCUCCUCGAGCCAGAGUAGUCCGCUACAGCCCGGUUCACCGGAGUCCUGCUAGCCCAGCACUACUGUUCAGGACACUUGACUGGCCGGCAUGUGUUUCACUUCGUCCCUAUGUCUGUCCCUUCGGGGAAAUUUCACGCGGUGAUCUCCGGAGUCCUGUCUAGCCUGCUACAGCCCGGGAUCCCCCGGAGUCCUGUUAGCCCAGUGCUACAGCCUGGAAUCACUCCUUGAUGACCGACAUGUUCGUUGUGAUUCAUGUAUGCCUGUCUCCAUAGGUCUGUGCCGCUUUGGGUUCACGACUAGCCAUGUCGGCCCGGGUUCUCGGUCAUAUGGAUGCUAGCGACAUUGUCAUAUACGCGAGCCAAAAGGCGCAAACGGUCCCGGGCCAUGGUAAGGCGACACCCGUGGGAUACCGUGCGUGAGGCCGCAAAUUGAUAUGAGGUGUUACCGGCUAGAUCGAUGUGGCUUAGAAUCGGGGUCCUGACAGAAAUGGUCGAGACAUAAAGAUUGAUAUAUUGGAAGCCUAUAUUUGGAUAUCGGAAGUGUUCCGGGUAAAAUCGAGAUUUUGCCAGAUUACCGGGAGGUUACCAGAACCCCCCGGGAGCCAUAUGGGCCUUAUUGGGCUUUAGUGGAAAGGUGAAAAGGGCUGCCAUGGUGGGCUGCACGCCUCCCCCCUCCCCUAGUCCUAUUAGGACUAGGAGAGGUGGCCGGCCACCUCUCUCUCUCUUUCCCCCUUGGGAGUCCUAUUUGGAAUAGGAUUGGGGGGGAGUCCUACUCACGGUAGGAGUAGGACUCCUCCUGCACCCUCCUCUUUGCCGGCCAGCCCCUCCCCCUUGGAUCCUUUAUAUACAGGGGCAGGGGGCACCUCUAGACACACAAGUUGAUCAUUGAGAUCGUUCCUUCGCCGUGUGCGGUGCCCCCUGCCACCAUAUUCCACCUCGAUCAUAUCGUUGUAGAGCUUAGGCGAAGCCCUGUGUCGGUAGAACAUCAAGAUCGUCACCAUGCCGUCGUGCUGAUGGAACUCCUCCACGAAGCUUUGCUGGAUCGGAGCCCGGGGAUCGUGAUCGAGCUGUACGUGUGCUAAGAACUCGGAGGUGCCGGAGUAACGGUGCUUGGAUCGGUCGGAUCGGGAAGAAGACGUACGACUACUUCCUCUACGUUGUGUCAACGCUUCCGUUGCGAUCUACAAGGGUACGUAGAUUAGACUCUCCCCCUCGUUGCUAUGCAUCACCAUGAUCUUGCGUGUGCGUAGGAAAAUUUUGAAAUUACUACGUUCCCCAACACUAUGCACCUGCAUCGUCACAUGAGUCGAUGAUAUGCAACAUAUAUAGUUGAGCAUCAGAAAGAGAUAGACUUGGCAAAAAUAGAAGCAACAUAUCAUAAGCAUAAAUAACAAAGUUCAUCGUACCCAAAAUGCCCUAACUAGAGUGAUCUUCGGUAGUCAAGGAGGAAGGUUUAAUUACAUCACAAAUAAUGUUUCGUCGUGCAUAACUCAAAGUUCCGUCAUACAGAAGGUAUGAACUAAACGGACACAUUGUCAUAUUUCGAAAAUCACUCCAACAUGGCGUGCCAUCCAUCCAAGUCAAGGAGAUAGUGCCCGAGCUUAGUGAAAGGCUUCAGGUCGAGACGCUGAGCGGCUACGCGUGUUCGGACUCUUCCCAUGACAUUUGUCCUUCUUCAUAGAACAUCCCUGUUUUUUCGACGACCUCCAUCAUGAUGAUUUGGGCAAGUUCGCACUGGAAGUGAUAUAACUCAUCUUGAAGUCGAUGAUCCUCGAUAUCUUCUAAGUUCUUUGCCCAUUGCAGAAUAUGGGCAUGGCUGAAUUUAGGUGACAUGCAAAGGUUCUGGUGAUCCUGUCUGUACUCCAUCAUGUGGUGUAGGACAUAGAACCCAUCAUCAAGAGAAUCACUCGGUUGCUGGAUGCAGCUGAAGUCGGUCUUAUGGGCCUGCCGUCCCUUUUCUUCUUGUCCUUGACCUCUCCACCCCGUGCAUCGUAGUAAAACAUAGCACUAUCGAGAACAAACUUGAUGUGGGUGUAAUCCUUUUUGUUAAUGUUCUUCGACGAGUCCACAAUAUCGGGGGUAGAGGAUGAUGAGGACGGCGCGCCUGCCGUUGCGCAAAAUAAGUACACCUCAAAUGAAUUAAACUCCAUCGUUCAAAUGAAUGAUUGAAAUCGAAGGAAGGAUAUCUGCGCGGAUGACUUACACGGGAUGAUAAGGCACGAGAAUCGCCUCCUUGUCCUUAUUGGCAAGCAUGAAAUUGACGAUGUAUUCCUCGUGUAUUCAUGGUGCUUUGCGCGGACUCCCAAGACGCCCUCGUGCAUGAAGUACGGGUCAGCGACAUAGAUAUGAGGUAUCUGCUCAACCCCGAUGAGGUAGUUCAUGUGCAAGGCAUAAAGGCGGACAAACAUAAAAUCCAGCUUCUUUAAGUGAAACAUGUUGAAGAUGUAAUCAGAUCGAAGGAAAAACUUCUUCGAGGGGAAUGUGUCGACGUACGACAAUUGCCCGGCACGUUAACCACGUAGAGAGGGUAUCCUGGAUUUUUCGAGGCGAUGAGGCCUUUCUCUAUCCGCAACACGUCGUCAUGAAGUCUCCUUAGAUCGCCGGAUCUGGCCCCUAGCGCUGCUUUCGGUAGGAUUGGUUCACCAGGAUACGCCAUUUUGCCGCUCCGGGGACAUCUAUACGGUCUUGAACCCGAGGCUGCUGAGGCGGCUGGAUCAUAGAAGCAGCUUUGUUGGCUUUCCUCAGUGUAUUCCUAGGCUUCUUUGCUACAGGAAGGUCAUCUAUGAUAUGUUCAGCCUCCAGAGGCGGCAAUUCAGGCACCGACUCAUGACGCUCAAACCCUGAGUAGGCGCCAGUAUUGAGAUACUGUUGAGUGCCAUUGUUGUCCUCAUCUAUGGCGGUGUCACCAGCGACAAAUGGAGCCUCUUCCUCACCCCGUUCGCUAUCACCCAGCACGACAGCCGGCGCUAAUUGGGUAGGUGGGGUGUUGAUGUUCAUACCUAACUGCGUGCUCGUGUGUGUGCUCCCGGCCGUCUCCAAACAAAGUAGACUCUUUGGCCACAACAGGACCCACCCAUUGCAAUCACCAAUCCCCUGCGGGAUCUCGUCGUCAUUCCCCCUAGUACCGGAGGAGCCAAAUUCUCCUGGCCUGGUUUGACACUGGCCACGGAAACUUUGUAGACGUCCGAGGGGAUCGGUCGGCCGUGGAACAAUGGUUCCUUAGGCUUCAUUAUCGUCACCUUCCCCACGUCCACCUCCUGGUAGCGGAUGUUGUACAAUAUGGUGCACGGGGUUACAUUGGCCUGCAAAGACAUUUCUGCGAUGUGAGAUAUCCGACAGGCAACAAAAAAUGGGAGAUUAUACAUUUAUUGAAGAGGGCUGGUGUGACAGAUAUAGUGAGGGCGUCGAGCUCAUCCAAAGAUGAAGCACCGCUGAGCACGUCCGGUGUCGGAGCCGGUGCGGGAGCAGGUGCAGGUGCUGGUGCAACGCUAGUCGAGCUGCUCCCGAAGAAGUCAGCAAGGGGAAAGUCCGCUGCAUUUUUUUUCUGGAUUUUGCGUGCUCGAAUUGAAAACGGCCGAAACCAAGACAGUAGACAUAUCUGCAACCACCUGUUUUGCGGCAGCUAUCGCUGUUGCGACUGUCUCAGAUGAUUUCUUCUCAAUCGGAAUCUAAACCUUCUGGCUGAUGUUUUCUUCAGUUAACCUCCGUCUUUCCUUUCGCUCCUCCGUGGUCUCACGGUAGUACUUCUUCCACGUGGCGCCGUCUACGACACCGUCCACGCGUCCAUACGACGGCCGAUUCUCCACCAGGAGUCCUUUCAAUAUGUUCAAUACCCGGUUGAAUGGAGUCUACCACUUGGGCCUCGCCAACGCCUCAGACGGCGAGUCACUUUCGGCUGCAAUCUUGUGCUGCUCUCUCUUCAAAAGGAACAAGGAUCGUUUACAAAUAUGACUAAACGUGCAGUCGAAUUGAUCAGAAACUAAAAUUACCAGCAGUCUCGUGAACUCCGUCGUGAUCGGGUCCGUCUUAAAAACCUUCUUGACUGAGUCCCAAUGGUGCCGUGCCCCGAGGACGUCACGCUCCUGCGGGACGGUGAAGUCCGCCAAGGGGUCUGGGAUGCCCAGACGUUCGCGUUCCGCGUCCUCCUUGGCCCAUAUGGACCUCUUCCCGCCGUAACCACGGCUUCCGAGGUGGUGGCGCCCCAUGUUCCUUUGUUGAAGCCCUUUCAUGUACUUCGACUUUUUUUUGGCAGCUUCGGCCUCGCAAGCCGCCUUGAAUUUUUCAAAGUGCUCUCCCGUGAUUGUCGGAUUAUCCUUUACAAUCUCGGAGUAUGGUUCCUUUUUGUCGACAAUCCGAUGUUUCAACCUUGUUUUCCAGGUGGCCAACGUGUCGCUAAACUUGGUCAUGGCGUGUUUGUUUAUCUUCUUCAUUGCCGGGUCCUUAUUUGGAUAUUUAUAAUCCUUUUCAUUCCGGCCCGGGAACAACAAUAUCUGGUGCAGCUUCUUUAGGAGGGAGGACCUCAUAUUAUCUAUCUUCUGUAGUUUCCCAUGGUUGAUCGUGGCAGUUAUCCGUACGAUGCAGCCUAUUUGAUUGCCGUAGCACGAUCGCGCUUCCUUGGGCGCUAUUGUCUGAAAAAUACGGUCGUCCAUCUCCGUGACCACCAGUCUAGUUGUCAUGAGCUGGUUUGGGCGCCGUGGCUUCUUAGCUUUCGGUUCUAGAUCAGCUCCGCUAGUCUCGGCGCCGGUCUCAGUCUCAUCGCCGGUCUGCAUGUCGGUAUCAGUCCCCGAUGCGACAGGUCGGCCCAGCAACAACAUUCGUUGAUCGUCGGCAAGGCUCAAAAAUUCAUCUGCCGCCAGGUAGACGUGUCGCAAUCACCAGAACCCUAUCCUUCAUCAUUGCUAGCCAUGUUUCCUACGAUUAUAUCUAGUCAAUUAAUUCUAGACCUAAUAAAAUGAAUAAUGACAUAAAACAGGCCAAUGUUUUGCAGGAUUACAACUCAACCCAUUGCAGAUUAGAAAACAAUCCCGUGUGAAUGCACAGGCUGACGACUAGUAUAUAUAAAGCUUAAUGGUGCCUAAGAAAGCUCGCACAAUUUUACAGUGGCUAUGGAAAUGUGUUGCCAAACUUUGACAUAAGAUUUUCGUUUGGCAUCCAGAGUUGCAAAACGCUUGUGUUGUCCUUAAUCCAUGGCCACUCUAAUUUUUCCGGCUGGGCCUUCCCUGUGGUAUCGCGGCAAGGCUUGCGUGUGUAUAUGUUUCCUUUAACUACCACUAGCACAUAUGCCCGUGCGUGCGUUGCAACGGGAGAGAUAAUGGCGUAUCCACCAAUAUAUCUAACAGCAUGACCCAACAAUAUCCGAAUGAUGUCACCCGAUGACGGCAGGAAGGCACGCACAGAGGUCUAGUAAAAACUCAUAUCAAUUGUAAGGGCAUGGUUAAUUCGCGUGAAUUCAGGGGUGUGAGAUUAGUUAGUGUUGGUCCCACAAUUGAAUUCGGGGGGUGAUUAGUUAGUGUGGGCCCACCCUCGAAUUCACGGGGGGAGACAAAAUAAUUAGGGUGAGGAGAGAUUUACGGGGCUUGGUCCCCAGAUGCGUUGUGGCAGUCAUUAUUCGAGCAUUGCAAUGCUCGCACGUGACGAGCUCUUUUUCCAAUUGUAUAUUAAGAAGCAUGCUACAGAUACAAUGUUUUUGAUACGUUUUUUGUACAAUGAUCCUGAUCUUAAAGGGCCACCUAAUUUUUAUAUCUUAAAGGCAUUAUUUGUAAGUUGUCGUGAAAAAAAUCUCGCUAAAAGGGUUGUGUUAGACCAUCUUCAGUACAUUAGAAAUAACGAAUUAUAAUUCCUUGGCAUUUGAAGAAACAAUCGCUACUUAUUUACACAUACAAUUCUUUUGGUACGAUUUUGAAAUCUUGAAGGCAUUAUUUGUAAGUUGAAGCAAUUUUGAAAUCUCACUAAAAGGUCUGUUAGACCCUCUAGAGCUUUAGAAAUAACUAAUUAUAAUUUUGCAAAAAAAAGAAAUAACUAAUUAUAAUUCCUUAAGCAUCUGACCGAAACGACCCCGAAUUAUUGUCUGGGUAGUAAUUCCUUUGCAACAUUAUUCUCUCCUUUUUUGAAGGAGCUCUUGCCUGGGUAGUAAUUCCUAUUUGCAAGGUUAUUCUCUCCUUCAUUUUUACAGGAGCUCUCCUUCCUUAUACUAAUUGGUCAUUAUCCUCUCCUUCCUUUUUCUUUUUGCCAAACUCUCUUUCCAUACUUAUGCCGCUAACCACGCCACUCUUUUUCCUUAUUUAUGCCCUUUGAUCACGCCACACAUCUCAUGAAAUCUAAGCCAUAUCACCCAUCUUUUUUCCUUAUUCUCAAAGGCGCUUUCCUCACAAACAGUAGUUCUCUAGGAUGCUUAACGAUUUUGAAACAGAAACAUAUAUAAAUCGGUAGAACGGGUUGUCAAGCAGCGAGGUGGUACUAGUUUAUAAAGAAACAAAUUAACCUUUUCUUUUUGUGUAAUGAUGCCUUGGUUCGGCUGGUUGCUGCCUUUGCCCUUGAUGUGCAGCGUUGGGAAAAGGAUGGGCGAAGUGGACGAACCAAAAACGGACAAAAUUACGGUAGUAAGAAGCGAUAGCCCAUUUAUUAGUAGGUAUAGAUAUAGAUGUCGAGGAUGAGGAUUUACUGCACACAAGUGCGGGGGCACUCAGGUCCUGGUGCCGGCCUUUUAUUUUGGCUUCCGAUUUUCAAACUUCUAUAUCUUUUAAACGAAAAGUUCAAUUUAAGUUACGUUUUCAUAUUCGUGCUUCUCGCGGCCAGCGCUUUCAAAUAAGAUCCAUUUUGCAUACAUUUUGGCUGCUUUUGGAAACAUUGCUAAGUUUCAUUGUUUGAAACUUAGUACGAGCGACCGAUAAAAUUUAAUUAUUUUGUGUCUACGACCAACAGGAGAAAUUGCUUAAAAUUACAUCUUUGAAACUGGUCAUUUUUUUACUGUGUCCUACUUCACGAAUCACGAGGCAAAUCAAGUAGGCGGCAUGCCCUGGCCGGUGAGUGCCAUUGCACUUACUUGCCCCAGCGAUUUUCCGCGUGCAUUGUAGAAUUCUUUCUCCGAGUCCUGUGAAUUAAAGAUGGUGCAGACAAAAGUAUAUCCUAUAUGCGUACAUGUGCAUGAUCAGAACAUGUUUUUACGUGCGUCUACUAUAAAUCAUGACCAUUUUUAACACAAAUCAUGACCAUUCAUGAUUAGUGAAUCAUACUGUCUUAACUUAUGUGAAAUCAUGUGGAGUAAUAUAAUAUAAUACAAUAGAUAGACAGAUCCAUGUUGUAUUAUUUUUUGUUUACAAAAAAAUCUGUAAUUACACAUUUUGAUUUAUGCAUUUGUUUACAAAAAAACAGUAACAUUUCAUGGUGGAAAGUUUGUAUUGUUUCAUACUGAACACCAAUGUUUUCCUGUAAAAGAAAAUAAUGCCUACGCAUAUGCUUUUAUAUUAUUAUUAUUCUUUCAAACUUAUUCAUAUAGUAUUUUUGAUUGUGCAACCAUAAUUUUUAUUAUCUCUCUCGUUCCACUACAUGCUCUUACUCAAUGAUUUUCUUUAUAAUGGGUGUUUUUAUUAACUCAAAAUAUAGCAUCAAGCGGAUACAGAACAUACUGAGCCACACCCGGUCUCUGCAUAACUAAGAUGCACACAGCCAAAAGCGGAAGUCUGACAAAAAUAAGAUAAGAAAAUCGACAUAUCGACAACAGUGAGUCAUAUAGUUCCGACACUAUGCCUCUGUCGAAGGAGGGGGUGGAGCGAUCUAGAGAUUAUGCUGCCUUCCAUGUUGAGUAAACACCUCCCUGGCCACUUGUUCCAACUGCAUAGACGCCGCCACGAAUAACGGUUGGUACUCUGUUCGGUGUAGCAUACACCAUGUAGGAAGUGAGUGCUCACUCCUAGUUACUGAAUUAUGUACACACUAGUAGAAAAAGGCCCAUUUGUCCCGGUUCGUAAGGCCCAUUUGUCCCAGUUGGGGAACCGGGACUAAAGGGUCGGUACUAAAGCCCUACACCUUUAGUCCCGGUUCUUACACCAACCGAGACAGAUGGGGCUCCACGUGGCCGUUGCGGCUUACCGUGGCAGGUGGGCCUUUUGUCCCGGUUGGUAGCACCAACCGGGACCAAUAAGCUACCACGCGUCAGCAUUUGAGGGGCUANNNNNNNNNNNNNNNNNNNNNNNNNNNNNNNNNNNNNNNNNNNNNNNNNNNNNNNNNNNNNNNNNNNNNNNNNNNNNNNNNNNNNNNNNNNNNNNNNNNNNNNNNNNNNNNNNNNNNNNNNNNNNNNNNNNNNNNNNNNNNNNNNNNNNNNNNNNNNNNNNNNNNNNNNNNNNNNNNNNNNNNNNNNNNNNNNNNNNNNNNNNNNNNNNNNNNNNNNNNNNNNNNNNNNNNNNNNNNNNNNNNNNNNNNNNNNNNNNNNNNNNNNNNNNNNNNNNNNNNNNNNNNNNNNNNNNNNNNNNNNNNNNNNNNNNNNNNNNNNNNNNNNNNNNNNNNNNNNNNNNNNNNNNNNNNNNNNNGGUUAAUUUUGGAGGGUUUCAUAUAUUGUGUUAGGUAGCUAAUUAAUUAAUACAGAGAAGUGUCAUCUCUUAUCUCCGUGCUUGGUCGACGCUACGUACUAUACGUACAGAGAGGCCCUCGACACGCUAGCCAGUAAGCAAAUGAAGGAAACCAUUAAGUACAGAAGUUCGUCAUGAACAUAUGCAUACAAACUAAGUGAUAUCGACCUCUCCUUCUCUGAGAGAUAGGUCGAACAACAAGUUUCCGUAUAUCUAUCCGGCGCUACUAGCUACAUAUAUACAAUAUUAAGAUCUCUUACAAUAUAAUCCCCUAAUUAUAUAUGAACUCAGCUUUCAGAUGGUAUUCUCCGGCUUUAUUGAUGACGUGGUCAAGAAAGAAUCCCUCCAAUUCCUCUUGAAUUGCUUUGAUGCGAUCUUCUGGUAGGAGUUCAUCCCGCAUCUGCCACAUCUAAUUUGAAGAAGGGGGUCAAUCACUAGUAGAAUAACAGCCAUUUGUCCUGGUUCGUAAGGCUCAUUCGUCCUGGUUGGGGAACCGAGACUAAAGGGUCGUUACUAAAGCCCUACACCUUUAGUCCCGGUUCUUACACCAACUGGGACAGAUGGGCCUCCACGUGGCCGCUGCGGCGAGCCCAGGCAGGAGGUCCUUUGGUCCCGGUUAGUGGCACUGAUACUUCUCCAACGUAUCUAUAAUUUUUGAUUGCUCCAUGCUAUUAUGUUAUCUAUUUUGGAUGUUAAUGGGCUUUAUUUUACACCUUUAUAUCAUUUUUGGGACUAACCUACUAAUCGGAGGCCCAGCCCAAAUUGUUGUUUUUUUGCCUAUUUUAGGUUUUCGAAGAAAAGGAAUAUCAAACGAAGUCCAAACGGAAUGAAACCUUCGGGAACGUGAUUUUCUCAACGAACAUGAUCCAGGAGACUUGAAGUGUGCGCCAAGAAAGAAGGGAGGAAGGCAAGAGGCAGGGGGCACGCCUACCCCCCUUGGGCGUGCCCUCCACCCUCGUGGGCCCUCCGCUGCUCCAUCGACGUACUUCUUCCUCCUAUAUAUAUCCACGUACCCCUCGAACAUCCAGGAGCACCACGAAAACCUAAUUCCACCGCCGCAACCUUCUGUACCCGAGAGAUCCCAUCUUGGGGCCUUUUCCGGAGGUCCACCGGAGGGGGCAUCGAUCACGGAGGUCCUCUACAUCAACUCCAUGGCCUAUCCAGUGAUGUGUGAGUAGUUCACUUCAGACCUACGGGUCCAUAGUUAUUAGCUAGAUGGCUUCUUCUCUCUCUUUGGAUCUCGAUACAAAGUUCUUUUCGAUUUUCUUGGAGAUCUAUUUGAUGUAACCUUAUUUUGCGGUGUGUUUGUCGAGAUCCGAUGAAUUAUGGGUUUAUGACCCAGAUUAUCUAUGAACAAUAUUUGAUUCUCCUCUAAAUUCUUUUAUGUAUGAUUGGUUUAUCUUUGCAAGUCUCUUCGAAUUAUCAGUUUGUUUUGGCCUACUAGAUUGAUCUUUCUUGCAAUGGGAGAAGUGCUUAGCUUUGGGUUCAAUCUUGCGGUGUUUGAUCCUAGUGACAGAAAGGGAACCGAUACGUAUUGUAUUGUUGCCAUCGAGGAUAAAAAGAUGGGGUUUAUAUCAUAUCGCAUGAGUUUAUCCCUCUACAUCAUGUCAUCUUCCUUAAAGCAUUACUCUGUUCUCUUGAACUUAAUACUCUAGAUGUGUGCUGGAUUGCGGUCGAUGUGUGGAGUAAUAGUAGUAGAUGCAGAAUCGUUUCGGUCUACUUGUCUCGGACGUGAUGCCUAUAUACAUGAUCAUACCUAGAUAUUCUCAUAACUAUGCUCAAUUCUGUACAAUAUGGUGCACGCGGUUACAUCGGCCUGCAAAGACAUUUCUGCGAUGUGAGACAUCCGAAAAGCAACGAAAACGGGAGAUUAUACAUUUAUUGAAGAGGGCCGGAGUGACAGAUACCGUGAGGGUCUCGAGCUCAGCCAAAGACAAAGGACAGAUGAGCACGGCCUAUGUCGGAGCCAGUGCGGGAGCCGGUGCGGGAGCAGGUGCAGGUGCAGGUGCUGGUGCAAUGCUAGUCGAGCUGCUCCUAAAGAAGUCAACAAUGGGAAAGUCCGCUACAUUUUUUCUGGAUUUUGCGUGCUCCAAUUGAAUACAGCUGGAACCAAGACAGUAGACAUAUCUGUUGGAAAUAUGCCCGAGAGCCAAUAAUAAAUUGGUUAUUAUUAUAUUUCCUUGUUCAUGAUAAUCGUUUAUUAUCCAUGCUAGAAUUGUAUUGAUAGGAAACUCAGAUACAUGUGUGGAUACAUAGACAACACCAUGUCCCUAGUAAGCCUCUAGUUGACUAGCUCGUUGAUCAAUAGAUGCUUACGGUUUCCUGACCAUGGACAUUGGAUGUCGUUGAUAACGGGAUCACAUCAUUAGGAGAAUGAUGUGAUGGACAAGACCCAAUCCAUAUCUAGCACAAGAUCGUGUAGUUCGUAUGCUAAAGCUUUUCUAAUGUCAAGUAUCAUUUCCUUAGACCAUGAGAUUGUGCAACUCCCGGAUACAGUAGGAGUGCUUUGGGUGUGCCAAACAUCACAACGUAACUGGGUGGCUAUAAAGGUGCACUACGGGUAUCUCUAAAAGUGUCUGUUGGGUUGGCACGAAUCGAGACUAGGAUUUGUCACUCCGUGUAAAUGGAGAGGUAUCUCUGGGCCCACUCAGUAGGACAUCAUCAUAAUGAGCACAAUGUGAUCAAGGAGUUGAUCAAGGGAUGAUGUCUUACGGAACGAGUAAAGAGACUUGCCGGUAAUGAGAUUGAACAAGGUAUCGGGAUACCGACGAUCAAAUCUCGGGCAAGUAUCGUACCGAUAGACAAAGAGAAUUGUAUACGGGAUUGAUUGAAUCCUUGACAUCGUGGUUCAUCCGAUGAGAUCAUUGUGGAGCAUGUGGGAGCCAACAUGGGUAUCCAGAUCCCGCUAUUGGUUAUUGACCGGAGAGUUGUCUUGGCCAUGUCUGCAUGACUCCUGAGCUCGUAGGGUCUACACACUUAAGGUUCGAUGACGCUAGGGUUAUAGGGAAAGUAUGUACGCGGUUACCGAAUGUUGUUCGGAGUCCCAGAUGAGAUCCCAGACAUCACGAGGAGUUCUGGAAUGGUCCGGAGGUAAAGAUUUAUAUAUGGGAAGUUCCGUUUUGGUCACCGGAAAUGUUUCGGGUGCUAUCGGUAACGUACCGGGACCACCGGGAGGGUCCCAGGGGUCCAUCAGGUGGGGCCACCAGCCCCGGAGGCCUACAUGGGCCAAUAGUGGGAAGGGACCAGCCCCUAGGUGGGCUGGGGCGCCUCCCGACAAGGCCCAAGUCGCCUCCAAGAGGGGAAGGGGGCAAACCCUAGGGCAGAUGGGCCCCAAGGCCCACCCUAGGUGCGCCUCCCCCUCUCCCCCUUGUAGCCGCCACCCUAGAUGGGAUCUAGGGCUGCCGCACCCCUUGGGGUGGGAACCCUAGAGGGGGCGCAGCCCCCUCCCCUCCCCCUAUAUAUACUUGAGGUAUGGGGGCUGCCCAACAUACGAUUUGAUCUCUCUCUUGGCGCAGCCCUACCCCUCUCCCUCCUCGUCUCUCAUAGUGCUUGGCGAAGCCCUGCUGGAGUUCCGCGCUCCUCCACCACCACUACCACGUCGUCGUGCUGCUGCUGGACGGACUCUUCCCAACCUCUCCUUCUCCCCUUGCUGGAUCAAGGCGUGGGAGACGUCACCGGGCUGCAGAUGUGUUGAACGCGGAGGCGCCGUGGUUCGGCGCUUAGAUCGGAAUCAACCGAGAUCUGAAUCGCUACGAGUACGGCUCCUUCAUCCGCGUUCUUGCAACGCUUCCGCUUAGCGAUCUACAAGGGUAUGUAGGUGCACUACCCUUCCCUUCGUUGCUAGGUUACUCCAUAGAUUGAUCUUGGUGAUGCGUAGAAAAUUUUAAAUUUCUGCUACGAUCCACAACAGUGGCAUCAUGAGCUAGGUCUAUGCGUAGUUUCUAUGCACGAGUAGAACAUAAAACAGUUGUGGGCGUCAAUAUUGUCAAUUACUUGCCGUUAGUAGUCUUAUCUUGAUUCGGCGGCAUCGUGGGAUGAAGCGGCCCGGACUGACCCUACACGUACGCUUACGUGAGACUUGUUCCACUGACUGACAUGCACUAGUUGCAUAAGGUGGCUAGUGGGUGUCUGUCUUUCCCACUUUAGUCAGAUCGGAUUCGAUGAAAAGGGUCCUUAUGAAGGGUAAAUAAAAAUUGGCAUACCACGUUGUCGUUUUGGCGUAGGUAAGAAAUGUUCUUGCUAGAAACCUAUAGGAGCCACGUAAAAACUUGCAACAACAAUUUGAGGACCUCUAACUUGUUUUUGCAGCAUGUGCCGUGUGAUGUGAUAUGGCCAAAAGGAUGUGAUGAAUGAUAUAUGUGAUGUAUGAGAUUGAUCAUGUUCUUGUAAUAGGAAUCACGACUUGCAUGUCGAUGAGUAUGACAACCGGCAGGAGCCAUAGGAGUUGUCUUUAUUUAUUUAUGACCUGCGUGUCAACAUAAACGUCAUGUAAUUACUUUACUUUAUUGCUAAAGCGUUAGCCAUAGUAAUGGAAGUAAUAGAUGACAAGACAACUUCAAGAAGACACGAUGAUGGAGAUCAUGAUGAUGGAGAUCAUGGUGUCAAGCCCGUGACAACGAUGAUCAUGGAGCCCCAAAGAUGGAGAUCAUAAGGAGCAAAAUGAUAUUGGCCAUAUCAUGUCACUAUUUGAUUGCAUGUGAUGUUUAUCAUGUUUUACCUCUUAUUUUCUUAGAACGACGGUAGCUUAAAUAAGAUGAUACCUCGCAAUAAUUUCAAGAAAGUGUUUCCCCUAACUGUGCACCGUUGCGAAGAUUCGUUGUUUUGAAGCACCACGUGAUGAUCGGGUGUGAUAUAUUCUAACGUUCAAAUACAACAGGUGUAAGCCAGAUUUACACACACAAUACACUUAGGUUGACUUGAUGAGCCUAGCAUUUACAGACAUGGCCUCGGAACACGGUAGACCGAAAGGUCGAGCAUGAGUCGUAUAGAAGAUACGAUCAACAUGAAGAUGUUCACCGAUGUUGACUAGUCCGUCUCACGUGAUGAUCGGCCACGGCCUAGUUGACUCGGAUCAUGUUUCACAUAGAUGACUAGAGGGAUGUCUAUCUGAGUGGGAGUUCAUUAAAUAAUUUGAUUAGAUGAACUUAAUUAUCAUGAACAUAGUCCAAAUUGUCUUUGCAAAUAUGUUGUGGAUAAAUAGCUCACGCUUUAGCUCCCUGUUUUAAUAUGUUCCUAGAGAAAAGACUAACUGGAAAGAUAUUGUAAGCAUUAACGCUGACUAGGUCUGUUGCCUGAGGAGUGUCCUCACUGCUACACAGAAGGCUUAUGUCUUUGAUGCACCGCUCGGUGUGCCAACCCCUCCGGCGUCGUCUGUGGAUGUUGUGAACACCCGACAGACACAUCCUGAUGACUACUUGAAAGUUUAGUGCACCAUACUUUACGGCUUAGAAUCGGGAUUCCAAUGACGUUUUGAACGCCAUAAGACAUAUGAGAUGUUCCAAGAGCUGAAAUUGGGAUUUCAGGCUCAUGCCCGUGUUGAGAGGUAUGGACCUCUGACAAGUGCUUUUGCCAACAAGAUGGAGUAGAAUAGCUCAGCUAGAGAGCAUGUGCUCGGAAUGUCUGGGUGCUACAAUCACUUAAAUCAAGUGGGAGUUAAGCUUCCAGAUAAGAUAGUGAUUGAUAGAGUUCUCUAGCCACUAUCACUAAGAUACUAGAUCUUCGUGAUGAACUAUGACAUGCAAGGGAUGGAGUUGAUCCCGGAGCUGUUCACGGUGCUUAAGAUCGCAAAAGGUAGAAAUCAAGAAGGAGCAUCAAGUGUUGAUGGUUUAACAAGACCACUAGUUUCAAGAAGGGCAAGGGCUAGAAGGGAAACUUCAUGAAUGGCAAACCAGUUACCAAUCAAGUGAAGGAACCCAAGGUUGAACCCAAACCCGAGACAAAGUGCUUCUAUUGUAAGGGGAACAGUCACUGGUAGCGGAACUACCCCAAAUACAUGGUAGAUAAGAAGGAUGGCAACUUCAACAAAGUAUAUACAUGUUAUUAAUGUGUACCUCACCAGUACUCUUGGUAGCACCUGGGUAUUGGAUACCGGUUCAGUUGCUAUUAUUGGUGACUUGAAGCAAAAGCUACGGACUAAACGGAGACUGGCUAAGGGCGAGGUGACGUUGUGUGGUGGAAGUGUUUCCAAAGUUGAUAAGAUCACCAUCGCAUGCUCCAUCUGCCUUUGGGAUUAGUAUUGAACCUAGAUAAAUGUUAUCAGGUGUCUACGUUGAGGAUGAAUAUGAUUAGAUCAUGUUCAUUGCAAUACGGUUAUUCAUUUAAGAUAGAGAAUAAUGGUUAUUCUGUUUACAUGAAUAAUACCUUUCAUGGUCAUGCACCCUAUGUGAAUGGUUCAUUGAAUCUCGGUCGUGGUAAUACAGAUGUUCACGCCAAAAGAUGUAGAGUUAACAAUGAUAGUACCACUUUCUUGUGGAACUGCCGCUUAGGUCAUAUUGGCAUAAGAUGCAUGAAGAAACUCCAUGUCGAUGGAUGUUUGGAGUCAAUUGAUUUUGAAUCGCUUGACACAUGCGAGCCAUGAUUCAUGGGCAGGAUGACUAAGACCCCGUUUUCAGGUAAAAUAAAACGGGCAAGUGACUUCUUGGAAAUCAUACAUGCUGAUGCAUGUGUUCCAAUCAGAAUUGAAGCGUGCGGUGGAUAUCGCUAUUUUCUCAUCUUCACUGACGAUUUGAGUAGAUAUAGGUAUAUUUACUUAAUGAAGCACAAGUCUGAAACAUUUGAAAAGUUCAAGCGAUUUUAGAGUGAAGUUAAGAACCAUCAUAUAUAAUAAGAAGAUCAAAUUCCUACGAUCUGAUCGAUGAGAAUUUCUGAGUUAUGAGUUGGGCAAUCACUUAAGACAUUGUGGAAUUGUUUCAUAGUUGAAGCCACCUGGAACAACACAGGGUAAUGGUGUGUCCGGACGUCGUAAUCGAACCUUAUGAGAUAUGGUGCGAUCUAUGAUGUCCCUUACCGAUCUACCAUUUUCAUUUUGAGGAUAUGCGUUAGAGAAAGCUGCAUUCACUUUUGAUAGGACACCAUCUAAGUCCGUUGAGAUGACGUCGUAUGAAUAUGGUUUGGCAAGAAACCAAAAUUGUCGUUUCUUAAUGUUUGGGGCUGCGAUGCUUAAGGCUUCAGGCGGAGAAGAUCGAACCCAAAAGAGGACAAACACAUCUUCAUAGGAUACCCAAAGGUGACAGUUUGGUAUACCUUCUAUCUCCAAUCUGAGGGCAAGUUGUUUGUCGCUAAGAAUGGUUCCUUUCUCGAGAAGGAGUUUCUCUCGAAAGAAUUGAGUGGGAAGAAGAUAGAACUUGAUGAGGUUGUCGAACCUUUGUUUCAACCAGAGAGUGAUGCAACACAGAAAGAUGUUUUCUGUGGCACCUACGUCUGUUGAAGAGGAAGUUAAUGAUAGUGAUCAUGAAGCUUCGGAUCAAGUUGCUAUCGAACCUCAUAGGUCGACCAGGAUAUGUACUACUCCUGAGUGGUACGGUAAUCCUGUCUUAGAUAUCAUGUUGUUAGACAACAAUGAACCCAUGAGCUAUGGAGAAGCGAUGGUGGGCCCGUAUUCCGACAAAUGGUUAGAAGCCAUGAAAUCCGAGAUAGGCUCCAUGUAUCAGAACAAAGUAUGGACUUUGGUGGACUUGCCCGAUGAUCGGCGAGCCAUUGAGAUAAAUGGAUCUUUAAGAAGAAGACGGACGUGGGCGGUAAUGUUACCAUCUAUGAAGCUCGACUUGUGGGAAAGAGUCUUUUCACAAGUUCAAGGAGUUGACUACGAUGAGAAUUUCUCACCCGUAGCGAUGCUUAAGUCCGUCGGAAUCAUGUUAGCAUUAGCUGUAUUUUUCGAUUAUGAAAUCUGACAGAUGGAUCUCAAAACAAGUUUUCUUACCAGUUUUCGUAAGAAAAAGUUGUAUGUGAUACAAUAAAAGGUUUUGUCGAUCCUAAGGAUGCUAAAAGGUAUGCUGGCUCCAGCAAUCCUUCUAUGGACUAGAGCAAGCAUCUCGAAGUUGGAAUAUAUGCUUUGAUGGAGUGAUCAAAGCUUUUAGGUUUAUACAAUGUUUGCUAGAAACUUGUAUUUACAAGAAAGUGAGUGGGAGAACUACAACAUUUCUGAUAAGUAUAUGUGGAUGACAUAUUGCUGAUUCAAAAUAAUGUAGAAUUUCUGGAAAGCAUAAACGGUUGUUUGAAGAGUGAUUUUCAAAGGCAGACCUGGAUAAAGCUGCUUACAAAUUGGGCAUCAAGAUCUGUAGAAAUAGAUCAAGACGCCUGAUGAUACUUUCAAAGAACGCACACCUUGACAUGUUUUUGAAGGAGUUCAAAAUAGAUCAGGCAAAGAAGGGGUUCUUACCUGUGUUGUAAGGUGUGAAGUUGAGUAAGACUUGAAAGCUUGACCACGACAGAAGAAAGAGGAAGGAUGAAGGUCAUCCCCUAUGCUUUUGUCAUAGGCUCUAUACGGUAUGCCAUGCUGAGUACCACACCAGAUGAGUGCCUUGCCACAUGUCUGGCAAGAGGGUACAAAGGUGAUCUAGGAGUGGAUCACCAGAUAGCGGUCAAAAUUGUCCUUAGAGGAAUAAGGAAAUGUUUCUCAGUUACGGAGCUGAUAAAGAGUUCGACAUAAAGAGUUACGUCGAUACAUGCUUAAACACCAAUCCGGAUAGCUCUGAGUAGAGAUACCAGAUACGUAUAAUGGAGCAACAAUUUGGAAUAGCUCCAAGUGGAACGUGGUAGCAGCAUCUACGAUAUGACAUAAAGUUUUGGGAAAUACAUAGGGAUCUGAAUAUUACAGACCCGUUGACUACAACCUCUCUCACAAGCAUAACAUGAUCAAACCCAGAACUCAUUGAGUGUUAAUCGCAUAGUGAUGUGAACUAGAUUAUUGAAUCUAGUAAACUCUUUAGAUGUUGGUCACAUGGCGAUGUGACCAGUGAGUGUUAAUCACAUGGCGAUGUGAACUAGAUUAUUGACUCUAGUGCAAGUGGGAGACUGUUGGAAAUAUGCCCUAGAGCUAAUAAUAAAUUGGUUAUUAUUAUAUUUCCUUGUUCAUGAUAAUCGUUUAUUAUCCAUGCUAGAAUUGUAUUGAUAGGAAACUCAGAUACAUGUGUGGAUACAUAGACAACACCAUGUCCCUAGUAAGCCUCUAGUUGACUAGCUCGUUGAUCAAUAGAUGGUUACGCUUUCCUGACCAUGGACAUUGGAUGUCGUUGAUAACGGGAUCACAUCAUUAGGAGAAUGACGUGAUGGACAAGACCUAAUCCUAAGCCUAGAACAAGAUCAUGUAGUUCGUAUGCUAAAGCUUUUCUAAUGUCAAGUAUCAUUUCCUUAGACCAUGAGAUUGUGCAACUCCCAGAUACAGUAGGAGUGCUUUGGGUGUGCCAAACGUGACAACGUAACGGGGUGGCUAUAAAGGUGCACUACGGGUAUCUCUGAAAGUGUCUGUUGGGUUGGCAUGAACCGAGACUGGGAUUUGUCACUCCGUGUAAACGGAGAGGUAUAUCUGGGCCCACUCGGUAGGACAUCAUCAUAAUGUGCACACUGUGAUCAAGGAGUUGAUCACGGGAUGAUGUAUUACGGAACGAGUAAAGAGACUUGCCGGUAACGAGAUUGAACAAGCUAUCGGGAUACCGACGAUCGAAUCUCGGGCAAGUAUCAUACCGAUAGACAAAGGGAAUUGUAUACGGGAUUGAUUGAAUCCUUGACAUCAUGGUUAAUCUGAUGAGAUCAUCGUGGAGCAUGUGGGAGCCAACAUGGGUAUCCAGAUCCCGCUGUUGGUUAUUGACCGGAGAGUUGUCUCGGCCAUGUCUACAUGACUCCCGAGCCCGUAGGGUCUACACACUUAAGGUUCGAUGACGCUAGGGUUAUAGGGAAAGUAUGUACACGGUUACAGAAUGUUGUUCGGAGUCUUGGAUGAGAUCCCGGACGUCACGAGGAGUUCCAGAAUGGUCCAGUGGUAAAGAUUUAUAUAUGGGAAGUCCCGUUUUGGUCACCGGAAAGGUUUCGGGUGCUAUCGGUAACGUACCGGGACCACCGGGAGGGUCCCAGGGGUCCAUCAGGUGGGGCCACCAGCCCCGGAGGCCUACAUGGGCCAAUAGUGGGAAGGGACCAGCCCCUAGGCGGGCUGGGGCGCCUCCCACCAAGGCCCAAGGCGCCUCCAAGAGGGGAAGGGGGCAAACCCUAGGGCAGAUGGGCCCCAAGGCCCACCCUAGGUGCGCCUCCCCCUCUCCCCCUUGUAGCCGCCACCCUAUAUGGGAUCUAGGGCUGCCGCACCCCUUGGGGUGGGAACCCUAGAGGGGGCGCAGCCCCCUCCCCUCCCCCUAUAUAUACUCGAGGUAUGGGGGCUGCCCAACAUAUGAUUUGAUCUCUCUCUUGGCGCAGCCCUACCUCUCUCCCUCCUCGUCUCUCAUAGUGCAUGGCGAAGCCCUGCUGGAGUUCCGCACUCCUCCACCACCACCACACCGUCGUUCUGCUGCUGGACGGAGUCUUCCCAACCUCUCCUUCUCCCCUUGCUGGAUCAAGGUGUGGGAGACGUCACCGGGCUGCACGUGUGUUGAACGCGGAGGCGUCGUGGUUCGGCGCUUAGAUCGGAAUUAACCGCGAUCUAAAUCGCUACGAGUACGGCUCCUUCAUCCGUGUUCUUGCAACGCUUCCGCUUAGAGAUCUACAAGGGUAUGUAGAUGCACUCCCCUUCCCUUUGUUGCUAGAUUACUACAUAGAUUGAUCUUGGUGAUGCGUAGAAAAUUUUAAAUUUCUGCUACGAUCCCCAACAAUAUCUGCAACCACCUGUUUUGCGGCAGCUACUGCUGUCGCGAAUGUCUUAGAUGAUUUCUUCUCAACCGCAAUCUCAACCUUCUUGUCGAUGUUUUCUUCAGUUAACCUCCAUCUUUCCUUUCUCUCCUCCGUGGUCUCACAGUAGUACUUCUUCCACGUGGCCCCGUCUCCGACACCGUGAACGCGUCCAUACGACGACCUAGUCUCCACCGGCAGUCCUUUCAAUAUGUUCAAUGCCCGGGUGAAUGGAGUGUCCCACUUGGGCCUCGCCAACGCCUCAGACGGUGAGUCGCUUUCAGCCACAAUCAUGUGCUUCUCUCUCUACAAAAGGAACAAGGAUCAUUUACAAAUAUGACUAAACGUGCAGUCGAAUUGAUCAGAAACUAAAAUUACCAGCAGUCUCAUGAACUCCGUCGUGAUCGGGUCCGUCUUGAAAACCUUCUUGACCGAGUUCGAAUGGUGUCGUGCCCUGAGGACGUCAUGCUCCUAUGGGACGGUGAAGUCCGCCAAGGGGUCUAGGAUGCCAGACUUUCGUGUUCCGUGUCCUGCUUGGCCCAUAUGGACCUCUUCCUGCCGUAACCACGGCUUCUGAGGUGGUGGCGCCCCAUGUUCCUUUGUUGAAGCCCCUUCAUGUACUUUGACUUUGUUUUGGCGGCUUCGGCCUCGCAAGCCGCCUUUAAUAUUUCAAAGUGCUCUCCCGUGAUUGUCGGAUUAUCCUUUACAAUCUCGGAGUAGGGUUGAUACGUCUCCAACGUAUCUAUUAUUUUUGAUUGCUCCAUGCUAUAUUAUCUACAGUUUUGGACAUUAUUGGGCUUUAUUAUCUACUUUUAUAUUAUUUUUGGGACUAACCUAUUAACCAGAGGUCCAGCCCAGAAUUGCUGUUUUUUUGCCUGUUUUAGGGUUUCGAAGAAAAGGAAUAUCAAACGGAGUCCAAACGGAAUGAAGCCUUCGGGAAUGAGAUUUUCUCAACGAACAAGACCCGGGAGACUUGGACCCUACGUCAAGACAAAANNNNNNNNNNNNNNNNNNNNNNNNNNNNNNNNNNNNNNNNNNNNNNNNNNNNNNNNNNNNNNNNNNNNNNNNNNNNNNNNNNNNNNNNNNNNNNNNNNNNNNNNNNNNNNNNNNNNNNNNNNNNNNNNNNNNNNNNNNNNNNNNNNNNNNNNNNNNNNNNNNNNNNNNNNNNNNNNNNNNNNNNNNNNNNNNNNNNNNNNCACCGACGUACUUCUUCCUCCUAUAUAUACCUACGUACCCCCAAACGAUCAUAUACGGAGCCAAAACCCUAAUUCCACCGCCGCAACUUUCUGUAUCCAUGAGAUCCCAUCUUGGCGCCUGUUCCGGAGCUCCGCCGGAGGGGGCAUCGAUCACGGAGGGCUUCUACAUCAACAGCAUAGCCUCUCCGAUGAAGUGUGAGUAGUUGACCUCAGACCUACGGGUCCAUAAUUAUUACCUAGAUGGCUUCUUCUCUCUUUUUGGAUCUCAAUACAAUGUUCUCCCCCUCUCUUGUGGAGAACUAUUCGAUGUAAUAUUCUUUUUGCGGUGUGUUUAUUGAGAUCGAUGAAUUGUGGGUUUAUGAUCAAGUCUAUCUAUGAAUAAUAUUUGAAUCUUCUCUGAAUUCUUUAAUGUAUGAUUGUUUAUCUUUGCAAGUCUCUUCGAAUUAUCAGUUUGGUUUGGCCUACUAGAUUGAUCUUUCUUACAAUGGGAGAAGUGCUUAGCUUUGGGUUCAAUCUUGCGGUGUCCUUUCCCAGUGACAGUAGGGGCAGCAAGGCAUGUAUUGUAUUGUUGCCAUCGAGGACAACAAGAUGGGGUUUUCAUCAUAUUGCAUUAUUCUAUCCCUCUACAUCAUGUCAUCUAGCUUAAGGCGUCACUCUGUUUUUAACUUAAUACUCUAGAUGCAUGCUGGAUAGCGGUCGAUGAGUGGAGUAAUAGUAGUAGAUGCAGGCAGGAGUCGGUCUACUUGUCUCGGACGUGAUGCCUAUAUACAUGAUCAUACCUAGAUAUUCUCAUAAAUAUGCUCAAUUCUGUCAAUUGCUCAACAGUAAUUUGUUCACCCACCAUAGAAUAAUUAUACUCUCAAGAGAAGCUACUAGUGAAACCUAUGGCCCCCGGGUCUAUCUUUAUCAUAUUAAUCUCCUACUACUUAGUUAUUUCCUUUGCUUUUUCCUUUGUAUUUCCUUUGCUUUUUUCCUUUGCCUUUAUUUUACUUUUCAUCUUUAUCACAAAAAUACCAAACAUAUUAUCUUUAUCAUAUCUAUCAGAUCUCACUCUCGUAAGUGGCCUUGUAGGGAUUGACAACCCCUAUUCGUGUUGGUUGUGAGGAUUUAUUUGUUUUGUGCAAUUACGAGGGACUCGCGCGUAGCCUCCUACUGGAUUGAUACCUUCGUUCUCAAAAACUGAGGGAAAUACUUACGCUACUUUGCUGCAUCAUCCCUUCCUCUUCGGGGAAAACCAACGCAGUGCUCAAGAGGUAGCAAGAAGGAUUUCUGGUGCCGUUGCCGGGGAGGUCUACGCAAAAGUGAACAUACCAAGUACCCAUCACAUACCCUUAUCUCCCGCAUUACAUUAUUUUCCAUUUGCCUCUCGUUUUCACCUCCCCCACUUCACCCUUGCUGUUUUAUUCGCCCUCUCUCUCUAUCCGCCCUCUCUUUCUCUAUUUGCCUCUUUUUUCCCGCUUGCUUUCUGUUUGCUUGUGUGUUAGUUGCUUGCUUGUCACGAUGGCUCAAGAUAAUACUAAAUUAUGUGACUUCACAAUGGCGAAAGCCUGGUUUUCGUCUUUGGCUAAAAAUAGUAUUGAUUCAUGGAAUAAGUGCAAAGAUGCUUUUAUCUCUAAGUAUUUUCCUCCUGCUAAGAUCAUCUCUCUUAGAAACGAUAUAAUGAAUUUUAAGCAACUUGAUCAUGAACAUGUUGCACAAGCUUGGGAGAGAAUGAAACUAAUGGUACAUAAUUGCCCUGCCCAUGAUUUAAAUUUGUGGAUGAUUAUACAAAAUCUUUAUGCCGGAUUGAAUUUUGCUUCUAGAAAUCUUUUAGAUUCAGCCGCGGGAGGCACUUUUAUGGAAAUCACUUUAGGAGAAACUCCUAGAUAAUAUUAUGGUCAAUUAUUCUCAACGGCAUACUGAAAGAUCUAAUAAUAAAAUGGUGCAUGCGAUAGAAGAAAUUAAUGUUUUGAGUGGAAAGAUGGAUGAACUUCUGAAAUUAUUUGCUAAUAAGAGUGUUUCUUCUGAUCCUAAUGAUAUGCCCUUGUCUAAUUUGAUUGGGAAUAAUAAUGAAUCUAUGGAUGUGGAUUUUGUUGGUAGGAACAAUUUUGGUGACAACGCGUAUAGAGGAAAUUUCAACCCUAGGCUUUAUCCUAGUAAUCUCUCUAAUAAUGAUGGUAAUUCCUACAACAAUUCUUAUGGAAAUUAUAAUAAGAUUCCCUCUGAUUUUGAAUCUAAUAUUAAAGAAUUUAUUACUUUGCAAAAGAAUUUCAAUGCCUAGAUUGAAGAAAAAUUGCUUAAGAUUGAUGAUUUGGCUAGGAACGUUGAUAGAAUUACUCUUGAUGUUGAUUCUUUGAAACUUAGAACUAUUCCACCUAAGCAUGAUGUCAAUGAGUCUCUCAAAGCCAUGAGAAUUUCCAUUGAUGAGUGCAAAGAAAGAACCGCUAGGAUGCGUGCUAAGAAAGAUGCCUUUAUAAGAGCGUGUUCUUCUCGUUCCUAUGAAAAUAAUGAUGAAGAUCUAACAGUUAUUGAUGUGUUCCCUAUUAAAUCUUUGUUUUGCAAUAUGAAUCUUGAUAAUGAUGGGACUGAAUAUGAUCCACCUUUACCUAUCAGGCGUUCCAAGAAUUCAGAAUUUGUUGAUCUUGAUGCUAAAAUUGAUAAAGGUGGGAUUGAAGAAAUUAAAACCCUUGAUGUUGCUAAACCCACUAUUAUGGAUUUCAAGGAAUUUAACUAUGAAAAUUGCUCUUUUAUUGAUUGUAUAUCCUUGUUACAAUCCAUGCUAAAUUCUCCUCAUGCUUAUAGUCAAAAUAAAGCGUUUACUAAACAUAUCGUUGAUGCCUUGAUGCAAUCUUAUGAAGAAAAACUUGAAUUGGAAGUUUAUAUCCCUAGAAAGCUUUAUGAUGAGUGGGAAUCAACUAUUAAAAUUAAAAUUAAAUAUCAUGAAUGCUAUGCUUUAUGUGAUUUAGGUGCUAGUGUUUCCAUGAUUCCAAAGACUUUGUGUGAUUUGUUAGGUUUCCGUGAUUUUGAUGAUUGCUCUUUAAACUUGCGCCUUGCGGAUUCCACUAUUAAGAAACCUAUGGGAAGAAUUAAUGAUGUUCUUAUUGAUGCAAAUAGGAAUUAUGUGCCUGUAGAUUUUAUUGUUCUUGACAUAGAUUGCAAUCUUUCAUGUCCUAUUAUUCUUGGUAGACCUUUCCUUAGAACGAUUGGUGCAAUUAUUGAUAUGAAGGAAGGAAAUAUUAGAUUCCAAUUUCCAUUAAGGAAAGUCAUGGAACACUUUACUAGAAAGUAAAUUAAAUUAACUUAGGAAUCUAUUAUGAUAGCCACUUAUGGAUUGCCUACCAAAGAUGGCAAUACCUAGAUCUAUCCUUGCUUGUUAUGCCUAGCUAGGGGCAUUAAACGAUAGCGCUUGUUGGGAGGCAACCCAAUUUUGUUUUUAUUCCUUGAUUUUUGCUCCUGUUUAGUAAUAAAUAAUUUAUCUAGCCUCUGUUUCGGUUGUGUUCUUUGUGUUUAAUUACUGUUUGUGCCAAGUAGAACCGUUAGGAAGACUUGGGGAAAGUCUUGUUACACUUGCUGUAAAAAACAGAAACUUCAGCGCUCACGAGAACUGCUGCCAUUUUUAUUUGGAAGUGCUAUUUAGUUAAUUAUUUCUGCAGAUGAUUAAUACAUAAAUUCCUCACGUCCAGCAAUUUAUUUUAGAAUUUUUGGAGUUCCAGCUCUUGAGCUAGCUACAGAUUACUACAGACUAUUCUGUUUUUGAAAGAUUCUGUUUUUUCGUGUGUUGUUUGCUUAUUUUGAUGAACCUAUGGCUAGUAAAAUAGUUUAUAAACCAUAGAGAAGUUGGAAUACAGUAGGUAUAACACCAAUAUAAAUAAAUAAUGAGUUCAUUAUAGUACCUUCAAGUGGUCUUUUAUUUUCUUUCGCUAACGGAGCUCACGAGAUUUUCUACUUUAAGUUUUGUGUUGUGAAGUUUUCAAGUUUUGGGUAAAGAUUUGGUGGAUUAUGGAACAAGGAGUGACAAGAGCCUAAGCUUGGGGAUGCCCAUGGCACCCCCAAGAUAAUCUAAGUACACAUAAAAGCCAAAGCUUGGGGAUGCCCCGGAAGUCAUCCCCUCUUUCGUCUACUUCUAUCGGUAACUUUACUUGGAGCUAUAUUUUUAUUUGCCACAUGAUAUGUGUUUUGCUUGGAGCGUCUUGUAUUAUUUGACUUGUCAGGACCCCGAUUCCAAGCCACAUCGAUCUAGACGGUAACACCUCAUAUCACUUUGCAGCCUCACGCACGAUAUUCCACGGGUGUCGCAUUACCAUGGCCUGGGACCGUUUGCGCCUUUUGGCUCACGUAUAUGAUAGUGUCGCUAGCAUCCAUAUGACAGAGAACCCGGGCCGACAUGGCUAGUCGUGAACCCAAAGCGGCACAGACCUAUGGAGACAGGCAUACAUGAAUCACAUCGAGCAUGUCGGUCAUCAGCGAGUGAUUCCGGGCUUUAGCACUGGGCUAACAGGACUCCGGGGAACCCGGGCUGUAGCAGGCUAGGCAGGACUCCGGAAGUCACCGCGUGACAUUUCCCCGAAGAGACAGACAUAGGAACAAAGUGAAUCACAUGCUGGCCAGUCAAGUGUCCUGAGCAGUAGUGCUAGGCUAGCAGGACUCUGGUGAACCGGGCUGUAGCGGACUACUAUGGCUCGAGGAACACUAGACUACAUUUCCCCAUAAGAAAGGCUGCCAAGGAUAAACAACUAGAUUUUCGGAUCCCACUCAUACCAAGCAUUUCAAUCAUACACACAAUAUGCCCGAUAUGAGUACAUACAACAUGGCAUCACAACAAAACUCUACAAAUCAAGUACUUUAUUUAAAGGCUCCAGAGAGCCAUACAUAACAUGUUCAUACAGAUAGGGGUCACAUGACCCGACACUCAAGUCAUACAAUCAUACAAGCACAUGCGGAAGCAACCGGUCUGAGUACGGACACUAGAAAGAAAGAAGGCUCCUCGAGGCCUGUUUAUCUACAUAGGGCCCUCCAUGGCCAGGAUCACCACCUGGGUGGCUAGUCACUCGUCGACGUCAAGGUCUACAUAGAACCCAUCGGAGGGGGCGGUGUUGUCGUCUGAAAACAGUAAUUAAGCAAACAUGAGUACAAAGGUACUCAGCAAGUCUUACAACAGAACCUACUAUACAUGCUUAUUCUCAAGAAGGUGGUGGGGAUAUUGCAGCAAGCCAGCUUUGACUCUUGGCUAAACUAUCCUAUGGAACUUCUCUAGUAAAAUAGUUUUCGCACACGAGUCCACUACUCACCAACACAAUACUCCACCGGGGAUCCUCCCUCGUCAUCCUACGAGAGGGCCAUCCUCGGUACUCACACUUAUCUUGAGUCUUUUAGUAGUAUCCAUUUACUUGUCUACGAACUGUAUAGGCAACCAAGUAGUCCUUUACCGCGGACGCGGCUAUUCGAAUAGUUUUAUACCCUGCAGGGGUGUACUUCGUCAUGCACGCUUUCACCACUUAUCGCCGUUUACACGACAUGUACUCGGCAACCUUCAAGCGGAAGCCCAGUGAGGGUGUCGGCCACGGCCUACCUAAACACUUAAGUCUCUAGUCCAGGUUUAUCGCCUAUCCAGGUUCCAUCCGCAGGGAGUCCGGCCGAGGUUUCCACAUACGGCCCGAACGAUGUGAACAGGGUCCCGAGACGCCAAUCGGGCACCCGGCAUACCCGGCCACGGUGUAUCUACCGCAACAUAGCCCACCCCUAGGGUCAGCACUACGCACGGCCGCCAACACAUAACCUACAAGCACCAGAAACUAUUUGCAACUCCUGGACAGAGUACUAGGGUGAUUAAGAAGCCGAGAGGGUCAAUUAAGGAUCCCAAUGCAUGGUAGUAGCUGAAUCUUAAAUCGCACAUACAGAUCUCAGUUCUUUGGGACGGUCUCAAUGAAACAACCCACCAUGUACUCCUACAUGGCCUCUCAUCGAUACCUUUACCAAAACAUGUUCAACACAUUCCUCAUAUUACCGACAUAAUCAUAUCACUCUAGCCCAUCACCCAGAUGAACCAGACCUGACACAACUCUAAGCAUAGCAGGCAUAGCAAGGUAGGAAUCACAGACAUGGCUCAAUCAACUCCUACACAUGCUAGUGGGUUUCAUCUAGUUACUGCGGCAAUGACAGAUCAUGUAGAGGAUAAGGGUUCAACUACCGUAGCACACAGUAGUUUGAAUCGCGUUGUCUUAAUCCAGUAAACAAGAGCAAAGGCGAGAACAUGGGUUGUAUCGGAAUGAUCAAUGGGUUGCUUGCCUGAUGGAGUGGUAGCGGGAUACUGCCCUUCAGUUGGAUACUCGUGAAUAUCCUCGGAGGCAGAACCUACCACGAAGAACACAUCGGAACACAAUCAACACAUGACGAUAUGCAACAAUAUGAUGCAUGCUAUGACAUGGCUAUGGUGUUGGCCUAAUGCAAGCUAAAAUAGAAAGGGAUGAACUCAUUUGAAUCAAAGAUUCAAAUAUUAGCUCAUUAAACAUGGCCUUAAUAGUGGAUUUCCUUAUUCUGCUUAAACAGCAAGGUAAACUUGUUUUUUCAUGCAUGAAACCAUUACAUAUGGAUAGAUUGAAUUUUUCUGAUAAAUUUUUCAUAUAUAAAUUAUUUCAUUUGGAGUUACGGUUGAAUUUCUAUGAUUUUUAGAAGUUUUAAACAUUUUCUGGAAUUUCCUGAAUAAAGAUAAAUCCAGAAAAUGCAUUACUGCAUCAGCAUUGCGUCAUGCUGACCUCAGCAGGUCAAAGGCGCCAGCCCAGGUCAAACCUGACUGGUGGGCCCCUUCUGUCAGUCUCUGAGUUAAAUAACAGGAUUAGAUUAACACUAAUUAGCUGUCAGUGGGGCCUGGGCCCACAUGUCAGUGACUGAUUAAAAUAAAAUUAGUUAAAACUAAUCCUAGAUUAGUUAGCAGACCGGCCCCACCUGUCAUAGACUCAGGGGGGUCUACCUGGGCCCACCCAGGGUCAAACUGGGUCAAACUCACCGGCGUUGAGCAGCCGGCGAGGCCCGAGACGGUGGCGCAGCUCGGAAAACGCCUAUAGGGCAUGAGGGAGGCCGUUCUUGGGCUCGUUGGAGAGCUCUUGCAAUCGCGCAUCUAGUGGUGGUGGUGGCCGAGCCUACGGUGGCCGGAGACGACGACGGCGAGCUCCAAGGCGGCGGCCGGAGUUCGGCCAUGUGCGGGGUGUGGGCUGCGGUGUGCAAACGUGGAAACUGAGGCGCUAGCGAGGCACUACGCGAUGCGGCAAGCAUGUUGCGUAGCACGGGAUGACCAAAUGGUCGCCGAAGCGGCACCGGCGACAAGCUCGAGCGGAGACGAGCUUCGGCCAUGGUGGAACUAUGGCCUAGAGGGUGCAAACGCGUGGAAAAGAAGAGGGGAAAGGUGGGGGAGCUCACAGGGAGGUCGAUGAGCAGCUCAGCGGGCUUGGGGGCGACCGGAGUGAGGCGAAUCGAUGAGCGGUGUCCGGUGGGUACCGAGGUUGAAGACGAUCCGAUGGCGGCGAUGCAGGGCCUCCGGCGAUGCGUGGCUCGGUGGGGAGGGCGAGGGCGUCACGGCAGAGCUUCUGGACAGGUCUGAGAGGCGAGAGGGUGACGGAGGGCGUGACUACGGCGGUGAGAGGGCGACGGGUGCGUCGGCCAUCGCGGGAGAGGGAGAGGGAGACGCGGUGGAGAGUGAGAGAGGAUGAGAGGGGGACGUGGGGGUCGCGUGGCAUUCCCUAGACGUCUCCCGGUGUCGGCGGAAGCAGGAGGUGGCCGGCGUGUGGCCGCGGGCGUCGGCCACGCGCUCCGCGUCCUUCUGGCACGAGGAGGACGACGACUGGCAGCGCCAGUAGGCUGGGCCGAGCCAGGUGGGCUGGCCAGCACAGGUAAGGCCCAGGUGGGCUUCUCCCUCUCUUUUUUUAAUUUGUUUCUGUUUUCUAUUUAACUGUAACUGUUGGGCUUUAUUUAAAAUACUAAAACAUUUCCAAAAAUCCUGAAAAUAAUUGUGGGCUCUAUUUGGAUUAUUUCCAACAGCAAACAUUUAUUUCCAGAAUUAUUUGAGCAUCUAAAUUAUUUAAUAGCAUUUAAAUGUCCAAAUUCAAAUACUUAUGAUUUAAAUCAAUGACCUUCUGUUGACCAAGAAAAAUUGUGCACCAAUUUUGCCAGAGGUUCUAACCCAAGACAAAGAGGGUGAACUUUUUAGAAGGGCAUUUCAGGUUCAUUGAAAAUAAUUUUAGUAAACCCUAGUUGUUUCCAGGGGGGUGUUGGGGGUUUGUGCCUUCCCCAACUCAAAUUUAAGAGGAAUUUAAACAUGAUGCACAUUCUAAUGCUUGAACUAGCUAGGGUGUGACAACUCACCCCCAGUCAAAAGAAUCUCGUCCUGAGAUUUAGGAUCCUCUGGAAAGAAGGUGGGGUACUCGAGUCGAAGACGAUCCUCCCUUUCCCAAGUGGCUUCUUUCUCGGAAUGGUGUGACCAUUGAACCUUGAGAAACUUGAUAUUAUGACGUCGAGUGGUACGCUCGGCUUGAUCAAGGAGACGAACGGGAUAUUAUCGUUAAGAGAGAUUAUCUUGUAGAUCAAGCGUUUUGUGGUCCACUCCACGAAUAGGAUCCGCGAAGCAACGCCUGAGUUGUGAAACGUGGAAGACAUCAUGAACUCUGGAAAGAUGCGGAGGUAGUUCCAAUUGGUAGGCAACUUCUCCUCGUUUGGCAAGAAUGCGAAAGGGUCCAAUGUAACGAGGAGCCAAUUUGCCUUUGAUACCGAAACGAUGGGUUCCUUUUAAUGGGGUAACCCGAAGGUAAGCCUUCUCGUCGACUUCAUAAGUCAUAGGCUUAUGUUUACGAUCAUAUUGACUCUUUUGACGAGAUUGGGCUGUUUUCAAUUUCUCACGAAUAACGCGAACCUGCUCUUCCGCUUCCUGAAUCAUAUCCGGUCCAAAGAGUUGUCUUUCCCCGGUUACUGACCAGUUAAGAGGCGUUCGACAUUUUCGUCCAUAGAGAACUUCGAAAGGAGCUUUGCCCAAGCUAGCUUGAUAACUAUUAUUAUAAGGAAACUCCGCGAAUGGGAGGCAUUUCUCCCAACUCAUUCCGAACAAGAUAACAUAAGCUCGGAGCAUAUCUUCCAGAAUUUGAUUGACUUGCUCUACUUGACAACUUGAUUGAGGAUGGAAGGCUGUACUAAAAGAGAGACGAGUUCCCAUAGCAUUUUGGAAACUUUCCCAAAAUCGAGAGGUGAAGAGACUCCCACGGUCUGAGUUAAUUUCCAAUGGGACACCAUGGAGAGACACUAUUCGGGAGAUGUAUAAAUCGGCUAGCUGGAUAGCAGUGAUAUUCUCACGAACAGGUAGGAAAUGGGCUACUUUGGAAAGACGGUCGAUCACGACGAAGAUGGCAUUAUUCCCUCUCUUGGUCCUGGGAAACCCAGUAAUGAAAUCCAUACUGAUUUUAUCCAAUUACCAUUCAGGAAUAGCCAAAGGUUGAAGGGUGCCAGCAGGCCGUUGAUGCUCUGCUUUAACACGACGACAGACGUUGCAGCUAGCAAUGUAUUGAGCGAUUUAUCUCUUCAUCCUAGUCCACCAAAACCUGUGGCGUAGGUCUUGAUACAUUUUAGUGCUACCGGGAUGAAUGGUGAGAGGGGAUUCAUGAGCUUCCUUAAGGAUCAAUUGGCGUAGAUGUUGUUUCUUGGGAACCACCAAACGAUUCUCAAAGAAGACAGCACCCCGCUUAUCCAUGAAAAAACAUUUAGCAACUCCACUAGUAAUGUUUUCCUUAAUCCGGGAUAUGCCCUUAUCAUACCACUGGGCGGUUAUGAUCUGAUCCAUAAGGUUAGGUUUCGCCACCAGGGUGGAUAGGAAUCCUCGAGGAACAAUGUGAAGAUUAAGCUUACGGAAUUCCUCAUGCAGAAGUGGUUGACUUUGUUGUAACAUCGGGUUGUUACAAUAGUAUUACGGCUUAGCGCAUCAGCCAUGACAUUGGCUUUGCAUGGGGUGUAGGUUAUUCCUAAGUCGUUAUCCAAGAUCAACUCAACCCAACGUCUUUGCCUGAGAUUCAAAUCUGGUUGGGUGAAGAUAUAUUUCAAGCUUUGGUGAUCGGUGAAGAUCUCGCAACGAUUACCGAGGAGGUAAUGUCGCCAAGUUUUAAGUGCAUGGACUACAGCUGCCAGCUCUAGAUCAUGUGUGGGAUAAUUUUCCUCAUGUGGGUGUAAUUGCCGUGAAGCGUAGGCAAUUACCUGAUGAUCUUGCAUGAGUAUGCAACCUAGUCCUUGUCGCGAGGCGUCGCAAUAGAUAAUAAAGUCCUUGGAGAAAUCCGGUGGUACCAGUACGGGAGAAGAUGUCAGGCGUCUUUUCAGUUCCUGAAAGUUGAACUCGCACUGUGGAGUCCACUCAAACUUUUUAUCUUUCUUGAGGAGUUCAGUUAGAGGUUUAGCAACCUUGGAUAAAUUCUCGACGAAGCGGCGGCAAUAGCUCGCUAAGCCAAGGAAGCUCCGAACUUGCUUGACCGUCUCAGGUGGAGUCCAAUCAAGGACGGCUUGAACUCGCUCGGGAUUGACGGCAAUACCCUUACCAGAGAUUACAUGGCCUAAAUAGGUUACUUCUGGCAACCAAAAUCGACACUUGGAGAACUUGGCAUAAAGGCGAUGCUCUCGAAGUUUCAUCAAUACCAGCCUUAGAUGUUCGGCAUGUUCCUCUUCAUUCUUGGAGUAGAUGAGUAUGUCAUCGAGGUAUACUACGACGAAUUUAUCCAAGUACUCCAUGAAAACCGAGUUCAUUAACCGGGAGAAGGUAGCCGGGGCAUUGGUUAAACCGAAGGACAUAACGGUGUACUCGUAUUGGCCAUAACGAGUAACAAAGGUCGUUUUGGGAAUGUCCCCGUUUCUGAUUUUGAUUUGAUGGUAGCCCAACCUCAAAUCCAUCUUGGAAAAGACUGAGGAUCCAGCGAGCUGAUCAUACAGAUCAUUGAUCCUGGGAAGCGUGUAUUUGUUCUUGAUGGUGACCAAGUUGACAGGUCGGUAAUCCACAACCAUUCGAUCUGUUCCAUCCUUCUUCUUGACGAAGAGGAUGGGGCAAGCCCAAGGAGAGGAACUAGGACGGAUGAAACCCUUUUUCAAGGACUCAUCGAGUUGGUUCUUAAGCUCGGCUAGUUCUAAGGGUGCCAUCUUGUAGGGUCUUCUAGAAAUUGGAACGGUUCUUGGAACAAGGUCUAUCACAAACUCGACAUCCCUGUCAGGUGGAACACCUGGCAGUUCUUCUGGAAAGACAUCCGGAAAGUCUCGGACUACCGGAACAUCCUCAAGGUCUAGAAGGGGGUUGAUAUUUAGGGAGUAAAGUUGGCGCUUGGCCACUCGAGUUAAGACAUUAACUGUCUUGCCCGAUGGGUAAGUUGAACGGUUCUAGUGGCACAGUCAAUCUUAGCAUAAUGAGCUGACUUCCAGUCCAUACCUAAGAUGAUGUUUAUGUCCGAGGACUUGAGAGCUAUUAAGGCUGCAAGGAAGACAAGUCUAUCGACAAGAAUUCGUUCCCAUGGCUUACUCUAGAAGUUUGCCAUCUAGAGCCAGGGGUUUGAAUUUCCAUGGUAGAGGGCAUGUCACAGAAUGUGGUGUUGUGCAAUCGAGCAUAGUUCUCGGAUAUGAAUGAAUGAGAUGCUCCAGUAUUGAAAAGAACAGAUGCCGGAUGGCAGUUAACAAGGAGCGUACUAAGGACGACGUUGGGAUCCUCAUGAGCCUCCUCGGCUGAAACAUAGUUGACAUGGCCACGUGCAGUGGUGGCCGGCUUGGCGUAGAAUGUUUUUCCGACGGGCUUACCACGGCCAACGGACUUUCCAGUUUGAUUGGGGUUGUUGUUCUGGGGACACUCUCGGCUAUAGUGACUCGGCUCUCCACACUUAAAGCAUGUCACCACAUUGGGGCGUGGAGCAGCAUUAGCAGCGGGGCCACCAUAGGGCUUGGGCGGUGCAAAUUGCUGGUUGGGACGUGGUACCUCAAAGGAUGGCCUCGGGAUGAACCUGGGUGGCAGUGCCGUGCUUGGAAUCCACACCCGGCGCUUCUCAGCUCCAGAGCCAGAUGAAGAGCCAAAAUCACGGGAGUGCUUGCGUGAAGCGUCAUAAUCAGUCUGGCUUGUCUCAGCACUGAUGGCUUUAUUGACCAACUUCUGAAAGGAGGUGCACUCGUGCAGAUGAAGAUCGCGGCGAAGCUCAGGGCUAAGUCCCUUGCGGAACCUUGCCUGCUUCUUAGCAUCAGUAGAUACCUCUUCGGGGGCAUAACGUGCCAGAUUCCCAAAUUCACGACUGUAAGCAUCCAUAGUCAGUCUUCCUUGGGUGAAGUUGAAUAACUCCUCCCUCUUGCGAUCCAUGAGACCUUCCAGAAUGUGAUGCUCACGGAAAACCUCACUGAAUUCAGCCCAAGUAGUGAUUUGGCCGACUGGGCGCAUAGCUUCGAAGUUUUCCCACCAAAGGCUAGCAGGGCCUUCGAGGUGAUAGGCAGCAUAAGUAACCUUCUCGGCUUCGGCUACGUUGGCAGAACGUAGCUUGUGGGUGAUGCUGCGAAGCCAGUCAUCCGCGUCGAGGGGCUCGACGGAAUGGUUAAACUUUGGUGGGUACAGCUUGAUAAAGUCAUUGAUUGACACCAAGUCAUUUUGCGGGUGGCGUGAAGUGUUUUGCUCAAUCCGCUCCAGCAGGCGGUUGGUCUCACGCUUGUUUCUUUCCGCCUCCAGCAUUACUUCAGCCAAAGAAGGCAUGUGAGGCAGAUUUUCACCUCUAGCAGCACUGGCUUCCCCCUGCUCCGGGGCUGCAGGGUUGCUGCGGGUGUUGACCAUCCUAGGAGAAAACAAGACAACGGUUUAGACAAGGAUGGCUCAAACUUAGCAAGGAAGUGCAUAAUGUAAUGGAUAACACGGAAUGCAGAGAUGUUCAUCCGUAUGUCAUGGUAAUAUAAAACUGCAAUAUAUAUACCAACGGUCAUACACAUCAUACAUAGUUUAGUACAAGCCCAGGCUACAGUACAACUAUGAUGAAAGACGUUACAUCUCAUCGGAGGCAUUCCAAGAUCCUAUACAUUAUUGUCUACACCUCCGGAAUUGAUUACACGCAAAGUCAUAUUCCACAAGUCACGCAGGACAGUGGAGAUACAACUACUACAAUACUAGUGGUACUACUAUGUCACGACCGGUUUUCCAAUAAAAAUAUUUAUUGAGAAACCAAUCUUUUGAGUCCAGUAUGAGGGAAAUCCUCCUCACUGGUAGACAAAAUUCUUGAUACAAUAAGCCAGUAGCAAAGAAUAUAUUACAAGGUUGAGCUAGGGCUGCUCAACAAUUUAUAACAAGCGCGCCAACAAUUAUAUAUAAUGGCGGAUAUACCACAAUGGUGUGGUGGCAUACUACUGACUCGGGGAUAAAGUGAUGGUGGAAUAACACAGUGGGGAGUGUGAUAACAUGACUCUCAAACUGGCAUCUCAUCGAGCGUCGAGGUGAGGCUCGAUGAAUUUUAUUCGGGUUGCGGAAGCGAAUAUAAUACAUUGACCGAAUCCAGGGUCGCACGAGACUGAUUGGGACUCCUCUAGGCGUCGGACUCGCUAUCGAACUAUUCAUCCAUGAGAUCGCCUUCGUCAGCAUCUGGCCAAAUCAACAAGCCAGUGAGUACUUUGAUAGUACUCGCAAGACAGUUUGGACUUAAGAUAUAACAAAUGCAUGCAUGAAUGCGUCAUGAUUAAUUCACCAAAUGUGCAUUCCAAAAAUUAGCAUAACAAAGCAAGUAAAAGGGAAACGGCGGUAGUCCGCCUGAAAUCCCAACAAAAGCAUAAAUGAAAACCGAUCGGGUGUCUGAAGCGAUGCCUCGAAAGGUGAACAAAUAAAUAAAGGAGAAAGUCAUGCCACAGUCGGGCGUCUUCACGACACCACAUAAAGGGCUUUGAAAGAAAUGCCACAGUCGGACGUCGGGGCGACAUCACAGAAAGGGCUUUAAAAGAAAUGCCACAGUCGGACGUCGGGGCGACAUCACAGAAAGGGCUUUAAAAAAAUGCCACAGUCAGAANNNNNNNNNNNNNNNNNNNNNNNNNNNNNNNNNNNNNNNNNNNNNNNNNNNNNNNNNNNNNNNNNNNNNNNNNNNNNNNNNNNNNNNNNNNNNNNNNNNNNNNNNNNNNNNNNNNNNNNNNNNNNNNNNNNNNNNNNNNNNNNNNNNNNNNNNNNNNNNNNNNNNNNNNNNNNNNNNNNNNNNNNNNNNNNNNNNNNNNNNNNNNNNNNNNNNNNNNNNNNNNNNNNNNNNNNNNNNNNNNNNCGGACGUCGGGGCGACAUCACAAAAAGGGCUUUAAAAGAAAUGCCACAGUCGGAUGUCGGGGCGACAUCACAAAAAGGGCUUUAAAAGAAAUGCCACAGUCGGACGUCGGGGUAACAUCACAGAAAGGGCUUUAAAAGAAAUGCCACAGUCGGACUUCGGGGCGACAUCACAGAAAGGGCUGUAAAAGAAAUGCCACAGUCGGACGUCGGAGCGACAUCGCAGAAAGGGUUUUAUUCACAAGUAAAUAAUAAUCAUAAUAAAUAUUCAAUUCAUGAUAAUAAACAGGUUAGUCCAUCCACAGGAAUAACAUUUAGCCGGGCUUAGCACUCAUGGGAUUCACCGGAGUCUCUGUCAUCAAACUGAUACUGUUAGGCCAAGAUGAUACGAAUUUGGACAUGGAAUAGAUGAUUCAAGGAAUGUAUGACUCUGCAGAGUUUGUACAAAAUUUUUUCCCACAGCCAACGGAUUUCCGUAGUCACGAGGGACUAGUUCCGUUUACGGUUUUUCGGAAGAAAACACAGCUAACCAAUACACACCCAUCCUACCUCUCGAUGCCAGGACUCACCCUAGACAUCGUCCAAGAAAAACUUUUGAGACGGGGAGAUCACAAUCUCGAAUAGCAUGGGAUCAAAUUUAUAUAUGCGCGCUCUAAGGGGUGCCCCCCUCUCGGUCCCAACCGGAAACACCCAUGCCCCCUGACCGGAUGACUGGCUUUAAUCCAGGGCCAUGGAACCAUCAUCCUGGCCUCUCCUUUUGGUGUGUACCAGGAAAGCGGUUUGCAACUUACUAAGCCAUAUUCCUUGCGAAAAACAUGUGGUAGUACAGGGAAGGAAAUGGGAGGAACUGGACUGGUACGGUUUGACCCUGAAGUCAUAUAGUCUGGCAUAAGACUGGCAUGCUACAACACUGCCAUCUUACCCAUCCUCAUGCCAACACAUGGCCAUUCAUACUCACAUCCAUCCACUUAUGGAUCAUCGAACUCACUUACCUCAACAUUUCAUAAAAAAAAUAACGUUCAUCGGUAUGCUCAUCAACAUGCCAUGAAACUAACUAAAUGCAAAACAUGCCAAGACACUCAUCAUAUCAAAAGUUCAAACAUGCUUGCCUGGUUCAGAGUAGUCGGAGCCUAGCUCGGUGAAGUUCGCGGCUCCGUCACCUCCUUCGGUAUCUAUGGUAUAAAGAAAAUAUAUGCGCUAUCGUAAAUUCCAAGAGGUGCACAGAAAGUAUUCCAAAUAUUUUUCAAAUAAAUAUGAUAAAAAACUAGACAAAAAUCUGAAGAGGACAGGAAAAGAAUCACUCAAAAAUUCCUUUCUGUUAAAAAGUUAUAAGGGUUUUAAUCCAAGGACUUAUCUGUAAUGAAACAGAAAGUUUCCAGGGGCUAGUUUAUAAAAACAGAAAACGCUUCGGCAGAAACUACGCCAGCCCAGAGGGAAGGCGCAUUUGGCAGAAGGCGUUUUCAGAAAACGAUUCGCUUAGACAGGAUAGAGAGGCUGACAGCGGGUCCCGCCCGUCAGGUUUAAACUUUCAAACGGGGGGGGGGGCAGAUUUCGCCGGUGCCCGAGAGCCGCGGUGGUCGCCGGCGGCGAUCCACGGCCAGGCAGGGUGAUCGGAGAUUACCAACGUGCUCACCGUGUCCUUCCGCAAUGGUGGGUGGUGGUGUUGGUCGCCGGUGAGCACCACGUCGACGCAGAGCUUGGUCGGGAAGGUUUAGGGAGUUGGGCGUCAUCGCGAAGUUGCACCGGUUCCAUUUAGGUGCUAAGCGAGCUUGGAUUGGGGUGCUAAGGGCGAAGUCGACGGAACGGGGCGGCGCGGGCCCGUCGGCGGCAGGGAGCAUGUUUCGUGCUUGCCGGGCCGCAGUGAUGGUGCCACGGGCGUGCGCUGGCAUGCAUGAGGACAUGCGGAGAGCCAGGGAGCUUUGGGUGGCGCCGAACGGCGUUCUGCCGUGGUGUGCCUUCUGUCGGCCGCCACAGGAGGUCCCGACGCCGCAGAAGACGCCGGCGAGGGCGGGCCAGCGCGCCACUGACGCCAGGAAAGCUCCAAGCACGCGUGUGAAGCUCCGGACAAGAGGGAGGGGCUGCGAGCAUCGAGCCAAAGGCACUGUGAGCAUAUGCCUGAAACUCUGAAGAAAACGACACUGUAAAACUGAAUUUUACUGAACUUUUCUGAAAAAUGCAAAGAACAGUGCAGCUCAGGUGAUCGACAGAAUGUUUUUGGCAUCUAGGGAUUUUUCCUUGAGCUAAAACUUGGUGGAGUGGCCUCUCAUUGCUCCAGUAGGCUGCCUGAAUUUUGGUGGAAUUUUUUUGGAGAAGUGUAGAUAUGAAUUUCACCAAAUUUGGCAAAUCUGGUCCAAACUUGCAGUGAGUGAAAUUGAAAUAUUUGAAAAGAAUAAGAGUGGAUCAAGAUGGUUCUAGGUUGUGGGUACUAAAGACAAUCCAGGGAAGUUGGUUUGGGAUAAAAACUCAAAGGCAAAGUGAUACUUGCUUUGAAAAUCACUUAAGCUCAAAAUAAAUGGCAGAAAUGUUUUGGGGGAUAAAAUAAUUGAAAUAAAAUCCAAAACUUGUUUGGACUUGUUGAGACAGAGAAUUUAGAUUGUUCAAAGGUGGAGGGAUGGAUUUUGAGAGGAUUUACUAUAGGAGACAUGGUAAAACCAUGGGUGUUUUCAAAAAGAAAGAAGUCCCAAAACUCCUAGGGUUUCCUUUUUUUUGAAAAAAAUAAGUUUGAGAGGGUAACAACCAGAAGGAAAAGCUCCCAAAAACUUCAACACCAAAUUUGAAAAGGGAAAAGAAAAUCCUUGACAAAGGAAAGGAAGUUUUUAAGAGGAAGGAUUUCUGGAAAAGAAAUUUUUAAAAAACCCUCUUUUAAAAUCCAACAAGGUUUUGAUAAAAACCAAAUUAAAAUUUUGGAGUGUCACAGCACUUACCCCCUUAGGAAAAAUCUCGUCCCCGAGAUUUCAGCUGAUCCUUAAAUAAGCGAGGAUGCUCUGUCCGAAGAAAAUCCUCUCUUUCCCAAGUUGUUUCACUGUCGGUGUGAUUGCUCCACUGGACUUUGAAAAACUUGAUGGUCUUCUGUCGGGUCCUCCUUUCAGACUCCUCUAAUAUUCUUACAGGACGUUCCCGAUAAGUGAGGUCUGGCUGCACGUCGAUGUUCUCAUGGGAUACUUGUUUCUCUGGGUUGCUUACGCACUUCCUCAAUUGCGAGACGUGGAACACGUCGUGGACAUCGGAUAAUUCCUCGGGUAAGUCUAGCUGGUAGGCUACCGUGCCUCUUCGUGCCCUUAUACAGAAAGGUCCGAUGAAUCUUGGUGCUAGCUUCCCUUCAAUCUUGAACCAUUGCAAUCCGCUCAUAGGGAUACUCUUAGGUAUACGAACUCACCGGGUUCGAAGCUGACCCCACGAUGUUUCUGAUCGUAAUAACUCUUCUGUCGACUUUGAGCAGUCUUAAGUCGGUCUCUGAUUAGUUUGACUUUUUCCUCGGCUUCUCUGAGCAUGUCUGGUCCGAAGAUGCGGCUGUCUCCGGUCUCUGACCAAUUUAACGGGGUACGACAUCUUCGUCCGUAUAAGGCCUCAAAUGGUGCCAUUUGCAGGCUGGCCUGGUAGCUAUUGUUGUACGCGAACUCGGCGUAUGGCAGGCUUUCUUCCCAACUAUUUUCAUAGGUGAGGACACAUGCUCUCAGCAUGUCUUCUAAAACCUGGUUUACGCGUUCUGUUUGCCCAUCGGUCUGUGGGUGGUAUGCGGUACUGAAGGCUAGUUGGGUUCCCAGAGCCUGUUGUAAAUGCUCCCAAAAGCUCGAGACGAACUGAGUGCCUCUGUCGGACAUUAUAGUCUUCGGGACACCGUGCAGACAAACUAUGCGGGAAAGAUAAAUCCUGGCAAGCCUCUGAGUGGUGUGGGUCGUCUUUAUUGGAAUAAAGUGUGCCACUUUGGUUAACCUAUCAGUGAUGACCCAUAUGGCAUCAUUCCCGUGUCGUGACCGAGGUAGUCCGACAAUGAAAUCCAUCCCUAUUUCAUCCCAUUUCCACUCAGGUAUUUUGUUCGGUUGCAGUAGUCCGGCUGGUCUCUGAUGCUCAGCUUUUAUGCGUUGACAUGAGUCGCAGCGCGCAAUGAAGGUGGCUAUGUCCCUCUUCAUACUGUGCCACCAAAAUCUUUCCUGAAUAUCUUUAUACGUUUUGGUUCCUCCAGGGUGGAUCGAGUACGAGGCGGUGUGGGCUUCAGCUAAAAUUUGCUAUUUAAGGUCUUCUAUGUUUGGCACGCAGAGUCUGUCUCCGUACCAUAAUAUUCCUUCAUUGUCUAUGACUAAUUCCGAGGCUUUGCCCAUACUCACCUUUCUUUUGAUGCCUUCGAUGCUGGGGUGACCGGGCUGAGCUCCUUUAAUUUCCCCCACAAGGUCGGGUUGUAUUUCCAAGUUUGAUAUGGUGCCUUCUGCUACCAUCAUCAAGUUGAGCUUGGCAAAUUCUUGUUGGAAUUCGGGCCUCAAUCUGUGCAAAUUGUUGUCGUCGGAGCUGGGAUUCCGACUAAGAGCAUCGGCCACUACAUUUGCUUUUCCUGGAUGGUAAUGGAUACCAACAUCAUAAUCCUUUACCAAUUCCAACCAACGUCGUUGCCGUAAGUUUAGUUCUGGCUGUGUGAAAAUAUAUUUGAGGCUUUUGUGAUCCGUAUAUAUUUCACAUCGAUUCCCAAGUAAGAAAUGCCUCCAUUCCUUGAGUGCAUGAAUAACUGCUGCCAUUUCUAAGUCAUGAGUGGGAUAAUUUUCCUCAUGCUUACGAAGUUGCCUUGAAGCGUAGGCGACAACCUUGCCUUCCUGCAUCAACACGCAUCCGAGGCCCUUUCUGGACGCGUCACAAUAUACUUCAAAAUUCUUGUGUAUGUUGGGUACAAUUAAUACCGGUGAUGUCGUUAAUUUCCGUUUUAGCUCUUGGAAACUUUUCUCGCAGGCUUCUUUCCAUUCAAACUUCUUGUCUUUCUUGAGUAACUGUGUCAUAGGCUUGGCUAUGGUGGAGAACACUUCAAUAAAACUGUGGUAAUAUCCUAACAUUCCCAAGAAACUUCGUAUGUCCGUUACGCUGGCUAGUGACAUCCAGCCAAGUAUGGCCUUGACUUUCUCUGGGUCCACUGCGAUACCGUCUUGGGUCAGUACGUGGCCUAGAAAGCCUACUUUUCUUAGCCAAAAUUCGCACUUGCUGAACUUGGCAUACAAUUGGUGUUUUCUGAGCUCUCCUAGCACAAUCUUGAGAUGUUCUGCGUGCUCUUCUGGUGUCUUGGAGUAUACCAGAAUAUCGUCGAUGAAUACCACGACGAACUUGUCCAUAAACUUCAUAAAUACUUUGUUCAUGAGGUGAACAAAAUAUGCGGGGGCGUUAGUUAAUCCAAAUGGCAUCACUGUGAACUCGUACAGUCCAUAUCUGGAGGUGAAGGCUGUUUUGGGAAUAUCUUCUGUUCGCACCUUUAAUUGAUGGUAUCCUGACCUUAAGUCAAUUUUUGAGAAUACCUUGGCCUGAGCGAGUUGAUCAAACAAAUCGUUUAUCCUUGGCAUCGGGUAUUUGUUCUUGACUGUGACCAUGUUAAGUGCUCGAUAGUCAAUACACAAUCUCAGUGUUCCAUCCUUCUUUUGGCAAAUAAAAUUGGUGAUCCCCAAGGUGAGGAGCUGGCUCGAAUGUAUCCUUUGUCUAGCAAUUCCCUUAUUUGUUUCUUCAACUCAACUAAUUUGGAUGGUGCCAUUCGGUACGGUUUCUUGUAUAUGGGGGUGGUUCCUAGUGCGAGCUCAAUGCUGAACUCUAUCUCUCGGUCUGGUGGCAUGCCUGGUUGCUCUUCAGGGAAUACGUCUGGAAAUUCACACACUACUGGAACCUUGUUUAGCUCAGAAAUGUCCACCUUAUUCAAUCUCGGUUGGCAGGGUAUUUUUCCUUCCUUGGCUGAUACUCUUAUUGUCUUCCCUUGGUGGUGUGUGAGAAUUACGGUCCUGUUGAAACAGUCGAUAAACCCCUUGUUGGUGGUUAGCCAAUCCAUCCCUAGGAUGACAUCCAGUCCUUUAUUUUCCAACACAAUAAGAUUUGCGUGAAACUCCAAUCCUUCGAACUCAAUGACCACAUUCUGACACUAAUUCUGAGUAACUUGCUGAAUCCCAGGGGACUUGAUGAUCAUGGAUUUCUCCAAAGGAAGCAUCGAAAAAUUAUUUUGCAAAGCAAAACUUUUCAAAAUGAAAGAGUGAGAAGCUCCAGAAUCAAACAAAACCGUUGCAGGUAUUGUGUUGACAGGAAACGUACCGAGUACGAUAUCCGGAGCAUUUUGUGCCUCCUCUUUGGUUACGUGGUUCAGAUGAUCCUUCCUGUGGUUGUUGUUGGGAUUGAAAUUGUUUCGCUUGGGCACUGAAUUACUGCCGCCGUUGUUCGGCUUUGGGGUUGAGUUCCUUGGCUUGGGGCACUGUUUGGCAUAGUGCCCUUCUUCUCCACAAGUGUAACAAGUAACGCCGGGGCGAUAUGUGAACUCCUUGUCCCUUGCAUGAAAAUUCUUGAUUGGGAGUGAGACGUUGGAUGAGGAUUUGUGCGUCCCACCCUUUUUGAAAUCUGUCUUGCUCCGGUGAUUGCGAGCAAGGUUAGUCUGGUCCCUUUUUCGCUUGCGGAUAUCUUCCAGACUGCGUCUCUCAUUCUCCAGAGUAAUGGCUUUGUCCACCAGUGUUUUAAAAUCAGGAAAAGUGUGCACGACCAGUUGGCAUUUAAGCGCGGGCACCAUACCGUCAAGGAAUUUCUCCAUCUUCUUGCUUUCAGUCAUACGCUCUUCAUUGGCGUAGCGGGACAAUAGAGUAAAUUGACUGUUGUAAUCUGACACUGUCAUGUUCCUUUGCUUGAGGUCGUCGAACUCUCUCUUCUUGAUUUUCAUAAUACUCUUAGGAAUGUGUGCACCACGGAAACCUUCCUUGAAAUCAUCCCAGGUUAUGUCAUUUUCAUUGGGAUGCAUGUGCAGAAAAUUCUCCCACCACGAUGCGGCUGCUCCUGUGAGAUAGUGCGGAGUAUACAGUGCUUUUUCGGGGUCUGAACAUUUUGCAAUAUCUCUAAGCCAGUCCUCGGCUUCAAGAGGUUUGUCAGUGUGAGAAAAUGUUUGGGGACGUGUCUUCUGAAGCUUAGAUAACUUGGAUUGCUGCUGAUACUGUCCAUGGUGAUUCCCCAUGUUGAUGACUUGGUUCAUCAUUUCACGAUGUUGUUGCUGACUUUGUUCAUAUAGGCGGCACAUUUGGGAAAGUGUCGUUUCACUGUCCUGUUGACUCGACUGCCCUUGUGUGAAAUUGUUGCCUGGUUGAGUGUCAUAAUUUUCCUCUGGUGGAGUAGGCAUGGAGCGAGUCCAAGGACGAGACAUUUUUCACUAUGGGGAUAUAAUUUGCAAAACUCAUAAGAAAAGCGAAAAUGGUCGCAAAAACAAAUCCAAAAUUGCACAAGGAUGGCAAAUAAUUUAAAUGACCAAGAUCACUUAAGAAAACAAAUCGAAUUGCGCACGGAGAAGGACUGCUCAUUACAUAUCUUACACGCGGGCGAUAAUUAUACAAUACAUCACUCAGGAUAUGUGUACAUAAUCCUGACAUGUUAUUUAGGCUAGUGCACUUCUCUAGUUCCUACAUGAUGCGCAAACAAGCUACUCCUCACAACCUAUGUACAUAUCUUACAAAGCGGUACAUCGCAUGACGGGCAAGCGCACUCAGCCGGAAAUGUUGACGAUCUCCUUGGCCCUGCCAAGGGUGAGGCGCAGUGAGGCUGGGGACUCGACCUCCUCCUCACUAAUAGGCUCCAGACGUGAAGAGCUGCGUCGGGUAGAUGGAGCGGGUGCCAGGGGCGGAGCAACACGAAUAGGAGUAGGCACAACGGGUGGUGCAGUGCGCGCUGGAGUGGGCGCAAUGGCCUGGUUGAACUCCUAAGUGGUAGGCGGGCGACGAGUAGGUGCAAAAGAUGCUGAUGACAAGACCAAAGUCAGUGGCGGUGCGGCGGGUAGGAGCUCCCUCCUAUUGGUGGCACAGCCAUGGAUUGAGUCCAUGCGGGCAGCUACGAAGUCGUCCACCAGGUUGUCGAAGGCUGCCUCCAGAGCCCGGAGAUACUCAAUAAGCAUCUCAAAAGCCUCAUCUUGUUCUCCUCUGGGGCAGGAGAAUGCGUAGUGACAGGUGUAAGGCACAUGGCAUGGAAGAUAGCGGUAGCGACGAGUCUUCAUCGCGGGAAGGACAUCCCUGAGGCGAGCUAUCGCCUCACGGGCUGCCAUCUGCAUAGCAUGCCUCUCCGUAGGCAUGGCUCUUCCCACGAACCGGAAGCGGCGUAACUCACCACGCCCUCCCCUGAACUGCACCGUGACCUGGUGCAUGGUCAGAUUGUCGCUGACCUUGUGCUGGUAGAGUGUGAAGACUAGGCGCACAGACAGCCCCAUCGCGACCUGAACGAUGAAGGAGAGAAGCUUGACGAACCCAUUGGGCACGUUGGCGAAGGUUUGAGACUCGCAGCUGUUGUCGGCCAUCUACAAAAGUAGGCAAAAUUCCUGCAUGGUCAGAUCAUAAAUUUAUGCUGACUGUCAGAAAAUGACUACCAUUGCAAAAAUAUAAAUUAGCUCUAUUAUGCUAAUAACGAAUUAGCGAUCGCACCUAGUGGCUUCCUACGGUCAGCCUGACUCUGAUACCAAGCUUGUCACGACCGGUUUUCCAAUAAAAAUAUUUAUUGAGAAACCAAUCUUUUGAGUCCAGUAUGAGGGAAAUCCUCCUCACUGGUAGACAAAAUUCUUGAUACAAUAAGCCAGUAGCAAAGAAUAUAUUACAAGGUUGAGCUAGGGCUGCUCAACAAUUUAUAACAAGCGCGCCAACAAUUAUACAUAAUGGCGGAUAUAACACAAUGGUGUGGUGGCAUACUACUGACUCGGGGAUAAAGUGAUGGUGGAAUAACACAGUGGGGAGUGUGAUAACAUGACUCUCAAACUGGCAUCUCAUCGAGCGUCGAGGUGAGGCUCGAUGAAUUUUAUUCGGGUUGCGGAAGCGAAUAUAAUACAGUGACCGAAUCCAGGGUCGCACGAGACUGAGUGGGACUCCUCUAGGCGUCGGACUCGCUAUCGAACUCUUCAUCCAUGAGAUCGCCUUCGUCAGCAUCUGGCCAAAUCAACAAGCCAGUGAGUACUUCAACAGUACUCGCAAGACAGUUCGGACGUAAUAUAUAACAAAUGCAUGCAUGAAUGCGUCAUGAUUAAUUCACCAAAUGUGCAUUCCAAAAAUUAGCAUAACGAAGCAAGUAAAAGGGAAACGGCGGUAGUCCGCCUGAAAUCCCAACAAAAGCAUAAAUGAAAACCGAUCGGGUGUCUGAAGCGACGCCUCGAAAGGGUGAACAAAUAAAUAAAGGAGAAAAUCAUGCCACAGUCGGGCGUCUUUGCGACACCACAUAAAGGGCUUUAAAAGAAAUGCCACAGUCGGACGUCGGGGCGACAUCACAGAAAGGGCUUUAAAAGAAAUGCCACAGUCGGACGUCGGGGCGACAUCACAGAAAGGGCUUUAAAAAAAUGCCACANNNNNNNNNNNNNNNNNNNNNNNNNNNNNNNNNNNNNNNNNNNNNNNNNNNNNNNNNNNNNNNNNNNNNNNNNNNNNNNNNNNNNNNNNNNNNNNNNNNNNNNNNNNNNNNNNNNNNNNNNNNNNNNNNNNNNNNNNAACCGAUCGGGUGUCUGAAGUGACGCCUCGAAAGGUGAACAAAUAAAUAAAGGAGAAAAUCAUGCCACAGUCGGGCGUCUUAGCGACACCACAUAAAGGGCUUUAAAAAAAAUGCCACAGUCGGACGUCGGGGCGACAUCACAGAAAGGGCUUUAAAAGAAAUGCCACAGUCGGACGUCGGGGCGACAUCACAGAAAGGGCUUUAAAAGAAAUGCCACAGUCGGACGUCGGGGCGACAUCACAGAAAGGGCUUUAUUCACAAGUAAAUAAUACUCAUAAUAAAUAUUCAAUUCAUGAUAAUAAACANNNNNNNNNNNNNNNNNNNNNNNNNNNNNNNNNNNNNNNNNNNNNNNNNNNNNNNNNNNNNNNNNNNNNNNNNNNNNNNNNNNNNNNNNNNNNNNNNNNNNNNNNNNNNNNNNNNNNNNNNCAGAAAGGGCUUUAAAAAAAUGCCACAGUCAGACGUCGGGGCGACAUCACAGAAAGGGCUUUAAAAGAAAUGCCACAGUCAGACGUCGGGGCGACAUCACAAAAAGGGCUUUAAAAGAAAUGCCAUAGUCGGACGUUGGGGCGACAUCACAGAAAGGGCUUUAAAAGAAAUGCCACAGUCGGACGUCGGAGCGACAUCGCAGAAAGGGCUUUUAUUCACAAGUAGAUAAUACUCAUAAUAAAUAUUCAAUUCAUGAUAAUAAACAGGUUAGUCCAUCCACAGGAAUAACAUUUAGCCGGGCUUAGCACUCAUGGGAUUCACCGGAGUCUCUGUCAUCAAACUGAUACUGUUAGGCCAAGAUGAUACGAAUUUGGACAUGGAAUAGAUGAUUCAAGGAAUGUAUGACUCUGCAGAGUUUGUACAAAUUUUUUUCCCACAGCCAACGGAUUUCUGUAGUCACGAGGGACUAGUUCCGUUUACGGUUUUUUGGAAGAAAACACAGCUAACCAGUACACACCCAUCCUACCUCUCGAUGCCAGGACUCAGCCUAGACAUCGUCCAAGAAAAACUUUUGAGAUGGGGAGAUCACAAUCUCGAAUAGCAUGGGAUCAAAUUUAUAUACGCGCGCUCUAAGGGGUGCCCCCCUCUCGGUCCCAACCGGAAACACCCAUGCCCCCUGACCGGAUGACUGGCUUUAAUCCAGGGCCAUGGAACCAUCAUCCCGGCCUCUCCUUUUGGUGUGUACCAGGAAAGCGGUUUGCAACUUACUAAGCCAUAUUCCUUGCGGAAAACAUGUGGUAGUACAGGGAAGGAAAUGGGAGGAACUGGACCGGUAGAGUUUGACCCUGAAGUCAUAUAGUCUGGCAUAAGACUGGCAUGCUACAACACUGCCAUCUUACCCAUCCUCAUGCCAACACAUGGCCAUUCAUAAUCACAUCCAUCCACUUAUGGAUCAUCGAACUCACUUACCUCAACAUUUCAUAAAAAAAUAACGUUCAUCGGUAUGCUCAUCAACAUGCCAUGAAACUAACUAAAUGCAAAACAUGCCAAGACACUCAUCAUAUCAAAAGUUCAAACAUGCUUGCGUGGUUCAGAGUAGUUGGACCCUAGCUCGGUGAAGUUCGCGGCUCUGUCACCUCCUUCGGUAUCUACGGUAUAAAGAAAAUAUAUGCGCUAUCGUAAAUACCAAGAGGUGCACAGAAAGUAUUCCAAAUAUUUUUCAAAUAAAUAUGAUAAAAAACUAGACAAAAAUCUGAAGAGGACAGGAAAAGAAUCACUCAAAAAUUCCUUUCUGUUAAAAAGUUAUAAGGGUGUGAAUCCAAGGACUUAUCUGUAAUGAAACAGAAAGUUUCCAGGGGCUAGUUUAUAAAAACAGAAAAUGCUUCGGCAGAAACUACGCCAGCCCAGAGGGAAGGCGCAUUUGGCAGAAGGCGUUUUCAGAAAACGAUUCGCUUAGACAGGAUAGAGAGGCUGAUAGCGGGUCCCGCCCGUCAGGUUUAAACUUUCAGACGGGGGUGGCAGAUAUCGCCGGUGCCCGAGAGCCGCGGUGGUCGCCGGCGGCGAUCCACGGCCAGGCAGGGUGAUCGGAGAUUACCAACGUGCUCACCGUGUCCUUCCGCAACGGUGGGUGGUGGUGUUGGUCGCCGGCGAGCACUACGUUGACGGCGGUCUUGACUCCGGCGGACGAUGGUUCGGGCGUUGAUGGAUCUCGCCGAGGAGGGCUGCAAGGAUCAAAUUGAGGUGGGGGUUAGAGCACUAGGUGUAAGAGAAGGCUACGGAUGAGGUUUGGGCGCCGGAGAUGGCCUCACCGGAGUGAAUCGAGGUGGAGGCCGAGGCGGAGCGAGGCGGCCGGAGUUGGGGAAGGAGACCUCCUCGAGGUCCUCCUGGUGGCUUGGCAGGGUCCUGGAGAGGUGCAGUGAAGGUGUGGGUCUCGUGAGCGAGCUCGGGGUCCUUUUUAUAGGCGAGCCGAGGCGGUGGCCGUGAAUGGGGAUCUCCGGCGAAGGUUACGGCGGCGCAGAGCUUGGUCGGGAAGGUUUAGGGAGUUGGGCGUCAUCGCGGAGUUCCACCAGUUCCAUUUAGGUGCUAAGUGAGCUUGGAUUGGGGUGCUAAGGGCGAGCUCGAUGGAACAUGGCGGCGCGGGCCCGUCGGCGGCAGGGAGCACGUUCCGUGCUUGCCGGGCCGCGGUGAUGGUGCCACGGGCGUGCGCUGGCAUGCAUGAGGCCACGCGGAGAGCCAAGGAGCUUUGGGCGGCACCGAACGGCGUUCUGCCGUGGUGUGCCUUCUGUCGGCCGCCACAGGAGGUCCCGACGCCGCAGAACACGCCGGCGAGGGCGGGCCAGCGCGCCACCGACGCCAGGAAAGCUCCAAGCACGCGUGUGAAGCUCCGGACAAGAGGGAGGGGCUGCGAGCAUCGAGCCAAAGGCACUGUGAGCAUGUGCCUGAAACUCUGAAGAAAACGACACUGUAAAACUGAAUUUUACUCAACUUUUCUAAAAAAUGCAAAGAACAGUGCAGCUCAGGUGUUCGACAGAAUGUUUUUGGCAUCUAGGGAUUUUUCCUUGAGCUAAAACUUGGUGGAGUGGCCUCUCAUUGCUCCAGUAGGCUGCCUGAAUUUUGGUGGAUUUUUUUUUGGAGAAGUGUAGAUAUGAAUUUCACCAAAUUUGGCAAAUCUGGUCCAACUUGCAGUGAGUGAAAUUUGAAAUAUUUGAAAAGAAGAAGAGUGGAUCAAGAUGGUUCUAGGUUGUGGGUACUAAAGACAAUCCAGGGAAGUUGGUUUGGGGUAAAAACUCAAAGGCAAAGUGAUACUUGCUUUGAAAAUCACUUAAGCUCAAAAUAAAUGGCAGAAAUGUUUUGGGGGAUAAAAUAAUUGAAAUAAAAUCCAAAACUUGUUUGGACUUGUUGAGACAGAGAAUUUAGAUUGUUCAAAGGUGGAGGGAUGGAUUUUGAGAGGAUUUACUAUAGGAGACAUGGUAAAACCAUGGGUGUUUUCAAAAAGAAAGAAGUCCCAAAACUCCUAGGGUUUCCUUUUUUUUGAAAAAAAUAAGUUUGAUAGGGUAACAACCAGAAGGAAAAGCUCCCAAAAACUUCAACACCAAAUUUGAAAAGGGAAAAGAAAAUCCUUGUCAAAGGAAAGGAAGUUUUUAAGAGGAAGGAUUUCUGGAAAAGAAAUUUUUAAAAAAACCCUCUUUUAAAAUCCAACAAGGUUUUGAUAAAAACCAAAUUAAAAUUUUGGAGUGUCACAACCUACUAACUCAGAUAGCUCCAUAGUAGUCCUCAUAGAAGUCACCUCCAUAGCCUGGAAGUUCAACGUGACCAUCCGGGAACAGACGGUCUUGAGGAGCCUGUGGACCAUAGGGGCUAGGAUGGGGUCUUGGACCAACAAACGGUGGCCUGCGGGGACCACGGGGUGGGGUGAUGCCUCCCACAUCACGCCAAUCCACCACGUCUGGCAAAGCAGACCUCACAGGAUACAGAUAUCUUGUAUACAUACAUCCAGCUUGCACCGCAGGUGCAAACCGAGUCAAUGUGGCCCAAUGAUCAGCACGGGUAUUAAAAAGCUCCAGCCUCAAGGCCCGAUUCUCUCGGUCCUUAUCUUCGAGCAUCUCGGCAGUGGUACGAGUUAAUGAAUCCUCCCGAGUGGAGUCAGCAUAGAUAGCCUGAAGAUACCGUUGCGCUCCCGGAAGUGAAGCUAGCAUGUAUCGGAAGUCGGUGUUCCGAAGCAGGCCAGUCCGGACUCGCAUGAUGGUCAUCAUGGAAUAGGCAGCAUCCUGCACAGCCAUCUCAACAGUAACCCCGACUCUCGGAAUAACUGACGGUGCAGAAAUACUGGCUUUGAUUAAAGUCUCGGAAUUGCUCUUCGACGGUGUAUUCGGGAUACCAACGGUAACCCGUCUCGAUCAUGACCCGGACUAACAUAGCAGUAUGACCGGGCACGUCGAGGCACCGGGUCAGGCGAACCACUUGGUUUUGAGCACGGUUGGGCAUUUUAAAGCACAACCACAAUGCGAAGACAUCAGAAUUUCUAGGGAAAAUUGGACCGCAUAACAGCUGUAAAUGCUCAGAAAAAGAUUUGAGACAUCCACAACAGUUCGCAAUACCACUCAACAACAUCAUAUCAAGGUUCUGAUCCAAAUAGCAACAUACUAAAAAUAGUAGAAACUGAACUGGGCUUGUAACAACAAUCCUAUAAGCUACUACGGAUUGGUAACACGUGAACCUGAUAGAAGAAGAGAGCCUAGUCCUUAACCCAUGUUGAAUGAGAAGGGAAUGACUCAGAUAAGAGGCAUAGGGUAAAGGAGUAAAAGAGCCUUAUGUUCCCUCCCACAAUCAAUUCCCCUACAUAUAACUAAAGCAUUUCUAGACUCGGCAUCGACCAGUUUGGCUCAACGAACCUACAGGCAGUCCAGCUCUGAUGCCAAAGCUGUCAGGACCCCGAUUUCAAGCCACAUCGAUCUAGCCGGUAACACCUCAUAUCACUUUGCGGCCUCACGCACGAUAUUCCACGGGUGUCGCCUUACCAUGGCCCGGGACCGUUUGUGCCUUUUGGCUCACGUAUAUGAUAGUGUCGCUAGCAUCCGUAUGACAGAGAACCCGGGCCGACAUGGCUAGUCGUGAACCCAAAGCGGCACAGACCUAUGGAGACAGGCAUACAUGAAUCACAUCGAGCAUGUCGGUCAUCAGCGAGUGAUUCCGGGCUGUAGCACUGGGCUAACAGGACUCCGGGGAACUCGGGCUGUAGCAGGCUAGGCAGGACUCCGGAAGUCACCGUGUGACAUUUCCCCGAAGGGACAGACAUAGGAACGAAGUGAAUCACAUGCCGGCCAGUCAAGUGUCCUGAGCAGUAGUGCUGGGCUAGCAGGACUCCGCUGAACCGGGCUGUAGCGGACUACUAUGGCUCGAGGAACACUAGACUACAUUUCCCCAUAAGAAAGGCUGCAAAGGAUAAACAACUAGAUUGUGGGAUCCCACUCAUACCAAGCAUUUCAAUCAUACACACAAUAUGCCCGAUAUGAGUACAUACAACAUGGCAUCACAACAAAACUCUACAACUCAAGUACUUUAUUUAAAGGCUCCAGAGAGCCAUACAUAACAUGUUCAUAUAGAUAGGGGUCACAUGACCCGACACUCAAGUCAUACAAUCAUACAAGCACAUGCGGAAGCAACGGGUCUUGAAAGUGCGUUAUAUCGGCUAGGGGGGGGGGUGAAUAGGCGAUUUUUAUGGAAGUCUUCAAAACGUGGAAGUUAUGAAGACAAACAGAGUGAACAAGCCUAUCACUAUGCAGCGGAAGUUAGAUUACACAACGCAAGCCAUGGUCAAGUAUACAAUAUAGUGAAAGCACAGUGACAAAUAGCUUCAGUGUAAUGAGGAUCAGGUUGGAAGAAGUUAUGAAGCCAAACAGAUCAUACAGUCAAGUUGUGAAGACAGAAGAUAAAGCAAGCAUGCAAUAGCUUCACAAUGUGUACUGGUAAGUAAAGGGAGGCGAAGAUGAAACCAGUGACACGUUGAAGACAAUGAUAUGUUGGACCAGUUCCAGUUGCUGUGACAACUGUACGUCUGGUUGGAGCGGCUAGGUAUUUAAACAAAAGGACACACAGUCCCGGACACCCAGUCCUGAACACGCAGCUCAGGACACCCAGUCCUCACCGUUUUCUCCUUGAGCUAAGGUCACACAGACCCCGCCCAAUCACUCUGGUAAGUCUUCAAGGUAGACUCCCAAACCUUCACAGACUUUGUUCACCGGCAAUCCACAAUUCCUCUUGGAUGCUCAGAACGCGACGCCUAACUGUCUGGAGGAUGCACAGUCCUCAAGUGUAAUAAGUCUUCAGAUCACUCAGACAAGAAGACUUAAGUGAUGCCCAAUUACUCUGGCUCUGGGUGGUUAGGGCUUUUCUCCUCACUAAGGAUUUUCUCUCAAUGGCUUCGAGGUGGGUUGCUCUCAAACGACAAAAGCCGUGCACUGAAAUCUGAGCAGCCAACCGUUUAUGGUUGUAGGGGUGGACUAUUUAUAGCCGCUUGGCAACCCUGACCUGAUUUGUCCGAAAUGACCCUGGGUCACUAAGGAACUGACACGUGUACUAACGGUCGGAUUUUGAACUCUCACGGCAACUUUACUUGGGCUGCAAGUAAAGCUGACUUUUCUGACUCUGGACAAGAUUUUCUCUCAUUGUCUUCACUCGAAGACAUAGGAUUUGAAUUAGGCAUCAUUUCAGUCAUCCUGACUGGUUCUCUUGGACCCCACUUAACAGUACGGUGGUUCCUAUGACACAACAUGAAUAAAGUAAAACUACAAAGGAUCUAAGUCUUCGAGUUCCAAAGGCUUCAUGGGGAGUCUUCAUAUGUCAUUGUCUUCGACAUGAAUGUCUUCAUGAACCACCAUUGUCUUCAAUGUCUUCGUACAUUUUUCGGGGUCAUCUCUGGUAACUAAACCGAAUCAAUGAGGGACUUCUACCUGUGUUAUCCUGCAAUUCUCACAAACACAUUAGUCCCUCAACUAGGUUUGUCGUCAAUACUCCAAAACCAACUAGGGGUGGCACUAGAUGCACUUACAAUCUCCCCCUUUUUGGUGAUUGAUGACAAACUAGUUGAAGUUUUCAACGGGGAAUAUAAUUUGUGAAAUUGUAAAGGAAUUGUCUUCAUAAGCUGCAAGGGCUCCCCCUGAGGAUGUGCAUAUAAGUGAUUUGCUUUUGGAACGCGAAUGCACAUAGCAGGUUGUAUUUGUGGGAAUCCACUUCAACUUAUGAUGACAAUCCAUCAUGCAUGUAAACAUAUAAGAAGAUAAUGAUAUGCAUAAUGAAAAAUGGACGCCUGCGAAAUGAUAUAAGUGCGGAAAUUAUCGUCGUACAUGCGGAAUUUAUCUUCGCAAAAACACAGUGGCAAACAUAGUAGCAGACGACCAUCAAGUUUAAGUGUUACAACUCAAAGAACCAAAUGUAGCAAAACGAGAGUUGUAAGCACGAAGCAAAAUAUAAUAAAGCACCAGCCCUUAUUAUUGACCCGCUUGAAGACUAUAAACAUCAUAUGCUUCUCCCCCUUUUGUCAGUGAUGACCAAAAAGGUUUGAAGGCAUAGAGUUUUCUACGUGUUCCCAGGCGCAGCAGGGUCGAUGGAGGCGUUUGGUGGAGCUGGCGAGCUUGGUGCAGUGAUGAUGCGCGCUGAAGAAGGUGGUGGUGAUGUAGCAUCGUCUUCUUCCUCAAUGAUUUUUCCAGUCACUAUGGCAGCAGAGGAAGAGAACUCUGAUUCUUCAAGCGACGGAGUUCCACGCAACACAGCUCUUCUGGGGGGUGUGGAGUCAAACUUGAAUCUCUCUUUGAAGCCAUCCUCUUGCAGUUCAGCUUCAGUGCACAUCAUUGUGAGGCCUUUCCAAGUGCGGCGACAGGUUUCAUGUGCGACAAAGGCAUUCUUGGUGGCCAGAUUCCUGAUGCGAUUGACUUCUUGCAUGAUACUGCGCAUCUGCCUUUUGAGCCAGUCGUGAUGCCUAUCUUGCUUUUGGUGCAGAGCCACAAGAAGUUCACGGUCAGUGAGUGUACGAGCGCGUUUCUUGGGUCUCUGUGCAGCUGUGCUGUCAGUGGCUUCAGUUGAUGCAGGGGCACGCGUGGUGCCAGCCAUUGGAUAGACUCUGGAAAUGGCUUCAACACCUUCAUCAUGCUGAGUGAAGCUCUGGUGUUCUACAUUCUGAAGACUUAAUGGCUGCUUGGCAGGCUCAGGAUAAAUCGCUUCAGCAGAGGUGUCCACAUCAGGUAAGAAGAUUCUGUGGUUGCGGGCAGAGUGUUGAUAGGAUAUGGUAGAGUGGAGCUUGAUGAGCCUCAUAACCCAUGGAGCAUAAAUCUUCAGACCAAAGAGAUCUGAGCCAAACGCUGCUAGUUGACGUAUAAAGAGAUCCUGGGCAUUGAAGCAUUUGCCAUGCAGGAUGCAGAAGAUGAGAGUCUUCAUGGCACCUUCAACCUUGGCAUAUCGAGAGUGCCCCUUAAUGGGCCAUAGAGUCCGCCUGAUGAUGUGAUAGAUAGUUCUAGGCAGGUACUCUAAGUCUUCAACGAAGAACUCGGUUGGGUAAGGUGCGUCAGGAGGCAAUGGCUUCAUCAUUGAGAGCAUCUGACUCAUAUUUGGCUCAGGUCGCUGAAAUAUGCUCUCAACUGCUUCAGCAUGGAGUUGGCAGCCUUCUUCGAAGAGUUCGCCUGGAGUGGGUAGGCCGGUGAGCUCAAUGAUAUCAAAUGCAUUGGCUUCAUGAUGGACGUUGCCGGUCAUCCACUCCAGGACCCAAGUCUUUGGAUCUUUGUUGUAGCCUUUGAUGUGCAGUGUGGCAUAGAACUGGAGCAGAAGCUCUUCAUUCCAGUGCUCUUCAUCCGUGACAAACGGCAGCAGGCCAACUUGCUUGAAGCAGUCCAGUGCUUCUUCCAGACCAGGCAGACCAGCAAUAGCUUCAACCUCAAGGCGCUGGUGUGGAAAGAUACGGCCUUGGUUGUAGAGGACGCAGAAGUAGUAGCUGCGCUGUGGGUAGCUCCAGAACCUAUCUAACACAAUCCGUUCCCUUGAGUAAGGGUUCUUGGAGCGGUUGAAGAAGGUGUUACCUGCCCUGAAGCUAUUGACAUUAAAGGAGCCAGGAGCGGUGGCAGGACCUGGGAACCUUGGCAGUCGUGGGAUUGGCUUCUGUACCUGGGGCCUGUGCGCAACAUGAUAGUUGAACUGUGGACCGGCAGCAGACUCAGGCACAGAAGGGUCAGAGGCAGAAGCUUCAGUAUCUCUUGAAGCUGUUGGUUGGUCGGGCUCCACAAAUGCUUCAGUAUUGGGUGUGGCAGCCGCAGUGGUGUCAGCCUCAUCACGUGUAGUGAGAGGGAUGGAUUCAGGUACGUUCUCCUUGAGAACUUCUUCUUGUUGGUGUGGGGGAGAUGGAGCUUGAGGUUCUUCAUGCUCUUCUUCAUGUUCUUCGGCUGAUGCAGCCGGAAUGUCGUCAGCAGUCUGAGCCCUUGGCCCUUUGCGAAGCCUACGGAAUGCAGGCAACGCCGGUGGAGUUGCAGUGGGCUGGGGCUCAUCCUCUUCCUCCUGCGGGCGAUCUGCCCAUGAUGCAUCUUGGGUGAUUGGCGUCAAGGGACGACCAAUGCUGAUCAUUUCACUCGUUUCGAGCUGAGGAAGGACUGCAUCACCUUGCACAUUGUCUUGGAGACCAAUGUCUUCAGCAGCGUUGGAGUCGGCUGCUGGAAUGUCUUCAGCAUGCGGAGCCUUUGUGAGAGCAGGCUCAUGCACGGUCAGCUGACGAUCUUCAUGAGGAAAGCAAACGGAGAGGGGUUCGACUAUCAAGGGCUCUGUGGGAGCAGCCCGAGACUUCUUGUUCUUGCGCUUCUUGAUGGUGGGGUCUAAAGGAGAGGCUUCAGGGUGUUUCCUCUUCCUUGCUUCAGCUUCGGCUGUCCUUGUCUUCUUAACCUAUGAAGCGGUUGAGCGGUGCUUUGGCUUCGAGCCAGGCUUGGCAGUGGGGAAGACAAUCGGAACAGCUUCUUGUCGUGGGGCCUCUUGUUCAGCCACAGUGGGCUUCUUCUUUUUCUUAGCGGCCAUCCUGGGGUCGAUGCUGGGACGCCCAAGCGCCUUUCGCUUCUCGGACUCAUUGUAGGCCUGCACACAGAGAUCAGCCAAAUUCUUCAUGCGCUCACGUGAACCCUGAGCCUCUGCACGUUUCUGCAUAAAGUUUUCCUUCAACUCGUGCAGCAUGACUUUGAAGUCUUUGACUUCUUGGACGCUGAGCGUGGCCAUGUUCUGCUUGAACUGAGCCUUUUCAAAAUCUAUCUUCUGCUUCAGUUCCACUAUGCGCUGGGCAAUUGCGAGUUCUGAAGCAAUAGCUCCUUGGAAGGCUACGCUGAGGCCAAUGGGCAGCUGCAGAUCAUGGAAGCUGAUGUUGGGUGUAUCAAACCACUCAUCAAUGAAGUUGUGGAUGAUUGCUGCAUCGAACAAAGGCAGAUUGUUGAAGAUUUCAGCCUCCUCCUUGCUCUUGAUUAGCUGCUCAAGAGCGUCAUCGGCAAGAUCGUCGUCACUUGACAGAUCAAUGGCCUCGCAGCGCAGAACGGCUGCGGCAGUGAGCUCUUUGUCAGUAUGUGGCUGAUGCUUCUUGGCUUCUUGGGGCUUGGAGACUCGUGAUAAGUCUUCAGACUGCACACUUGCUUCAGGAGGUGCAGUGGCCAAUGGCUUCGCUCUGGAGAUCUUGGGAGAAGCGGCUGGCUUGGAAGCUUUUGGCUUCUUCUUCAUCUGCUUCGGCUCCGGGGCAGCAGGAGCGUCAUCAGACUCAGUGUCUACUGGAGGGUCGUUCACGGCAGUCCCUUGGACUAGAAUGCGAGUGAUGAGGCCUUUGAGAUUGGCAUACGGCCCGAUGACAUUGGGAUUUGCAUCGCGUGUGCCAUCCGCCCUUGGCUUAGAGGGACCAGGGUUGAAGUCCAGUCCAAACUCCUUCUUGUUUUGCUUCGCAGAGUUCUGAGCAAAUUGGAAGUUGCGCUUGAAGAGAUUGUCAUCGCGACACCAGAGAAGUGAUGACGGAUGUGCCUCAGCUGGCUGUGGUCCUCUGACCAUGCAUGGAUAGAAGCCUUGAGCAAUGGCUUCGUCUCUGGACCGGGGUACGAGAUUUUUGUACAAGACAUCUCCCCAUGGCCUCUGGAUGGCGCACUUCUCUGCAUAUUCCUUGGCGACGAAGCGGUAUUGGAACCACUGCUCUGCCCAAUAUCUUCGAAUCCAUUGGAUUCGUGUCUAGCGCUGACCAUAGCUCUCUUCAGGAUCAGUUUGGUACAUUUCUGCCAAAUCUUCAGGCAGAUCUUUAGACGUUUCACCACGUCUCUGUCUGCCUCCCUUCCUUGCUGGUUUUUCUGUUGCCAUGAAGCUUAACUUGGAAGGCUUCAAGAGAUUCAAAGUCUUCAAAGGCUUCCUUUUGCUUGACCAACAGGAACUUGCUUCGGGUGAAUUGAUGUGACGCUGUAGGAACUCUGCAAAUGAAUGCAGACUAUGAGAACCAAAAGAUUCUCCCACGGACAUGUACCUGUGACAGCAUUAAGGUGCGAGGGAAGGGGAAGAGGUCAUAUGCAUUCUCAAAAGAUUUUGAAGAUAAAUCAGUUUAGAAGAUAUUGACCUCAUCAUGCGAAGACAUUCACUUUAUAGAAAAGAAGUUGGUUCCAGAUUUGUACGAACCCAUAGAUCAGUACAAGUGAGGAAUCUAACUACUUCAUGAAGAACAAGUGAAUAUACUAGGCACGUUAUGAGAUACAGAUGAGAGGGAUUAAACUUUUGUGAAUGGAAACCUCUUUUGGCAGAAAGUGAUGGAGCUAUAGGAUCAAAAGAGGCUGUAAAAAGACUUGUUAUUUACCAGACUUGGAACUGCUAGACGAGGUGAGAGUUGAGGCCGAGCAGUUCGAUCCUCCGUGCCCUAACUUGGCGACGGAAGACACCUAGGGCGACGGCGGAGAGACUGAUGUCCGCUGUCGGCGUGAGAACGGCAUCGGAGAGGUUGCGGCAGUGAAGCACUUCGUCGCCGGCGUCGUUGAGAGUUAGCGGUGGCGCUAGGGUUUGUGCGAGGGUGGAAGAAGAGAUAAUGACCGCAGUGAAACGUGUAUUUAUAGGGAUAUGGGCGGCACUGCGCUAUUACUCAGGUGCCCCUGGCGAUUCGCAUCUGAUCAGUACGUGGCCAGCAUGCGGAAUUGUGGGGGCAGUUUCACCCCACGCACGCCUGGUUUGUCGGAAGCCGUUCCUACUUCUCUGGAUUUCUUGUUGAUGAAAAAACAUUAAAAUCUGUUUUAAAGUUUGUCUCUGUGUCUUCUUCUGACAAGGAUGCAGUGAAGACAUUCGACAGUUUCAAUAGAAUGCAUAGACUUGGAGAGAUAGAGUUUGAGGUAGGAAGCAUGGAGAGGUUAGGGUCCGAUCACAUUCACUUAGUUCAAAAGAUUCAAACAAGAAGACAUAGCUAUAAGUGAAUGCUGUAGAGGACAGAACACCAGUACAUAUAUAAUCAACAUAGUGAAGAUAAUCAUGAAGACAUGUUGAGAUUGAAGCUAAACCAAAUGUGAAGACAUAGCAAAUGUAAUGCCAUGAGUGAAACACUUCAAGCAGAAAAAUUUGGUGGUGGCGCUACCCACCGUAUAGGAAGUAUUGGACCCAGACACGGCGCACAAUUAUCGUGGCGCUCCGAGGUCAAAUUCCACGUUAAUGUGUUCACACUUAGAAUGUAUGUCUUCAUUGAUUGAAGAUAUACGUUACUUCGUGUGUUGCACAUCUAAGUCAUCAUCAUGCAUAAGUGUUAGGAUGUGUGCCUGAUCACAGGACAUUUGAGGAUUCCAAGAUAUUUAGCUCACACCGUAACUUGCAAAAUCUCUUCUCAUCCAAGGGCUUGGUGAAGAUAUCUGCCAAUUGCUCUUUAGUGUUGACGUGUAUGAUAUCAAUGUCUUCCUUUGCAACAUGAUCUCUGAGAAAAUGAUGACGAAUUUCAAUGUGCUUUGUCUUCGAGUGCUGAACUGGGUUGUUGGCGAUCUUGAUGGCACUUUCGUUGUCGCAGUAAAGUGGCACUUGCUUCAGAUGAAUGCCAUAAUCCUUGAGGGUUUGCUUCAUCCAUAGAAGCUGAGCGCAGCAGGAUCCAGCAGCAAUGUAUUCAGAUUCAGCAGUGGAGAGAGAUACACAGUUCUGCUUCUUUGAAGACCAACAGACAAGUGAUCGCCCAGAAAGUGACAUGUGCCUGAUGUGGACUUCCGAUCAACCUUGUCACCAGCGUAAUCAGCGUCCGAAAAUCCAACCAGAUCAAACUCUGAGCCCUUUGGAUACCAUGACCCUAGAGUUGGGGUGUGAGCCAAAUAUCGAAGAAUUCGCUUCACAGCUAAGUGAUGCGACUCCUUUGGUGCCGCUUGAAACCGAGCACACAUGUAAACACUAAGCAUAAUAUCUGGCCUAGAUGCACAUAAAUAAAGCAAAGAACCAAUCAUGGAGCGGUAUACCUUUUGAUCGAACUCUUUACCAUUGUCGUCAGGACCCAGAUGAUGUUUGGCUGGCAUUGGUGUUGUGAAGCCUUUGCAGUCUUGCAUACCGAACUUCUUCAGGCAGUCUUUGAGAUAUUUCUCUUGAGAUAUGAAGAUGCCAUUGCGUUGUUGCCGUAUCUGAAGACCGAGGAAGAAUUUCAGCUCCCCCAUCAUAGACAUCUGAUAUUGCUCUUGCAUCAUAUAUCCGAACUCCUCACUGUACUUCUGAUUGGUGCAGCCGAAGAUAAUGUCAUCCACGUAUAUUUGGCACACAAACAGUUCACCAUCAUAUGUCUUUGUGAAGAGAGUGGGAUCCAGGGAACCAGGUAUGAAGCCUUUGCUCUUCAGGAAGUAUUUGAGUGUAUCAUACCAGGCCCGAGGGGCUUGUUUGAGGCCAUAUAGUGCCUUUUUGAGCUUGUACACCAUGUCAGGAUGUUUUGGAUCUUCAAACCCAGGUGGUUGUGCAACAUACACUUCUUCUUCAAUUUUGCCAUUGAGGAAGGCACUUUUUACAUCCAUUUGAUACAGGAUUAUGUUGUGAUGAUUUGCAUAGGCCAGCAGUAUACGGAUGGCUUCAAGUCUGGCAACAGGAGCAAAUGUUUCAUCGAAGUCAAUGCCUUCGAGUUGAGUAUAUCCUUGAGCAACGAAACGAGCCUUGUUUCUGACGACUUGGCCAUGCUCAUCUUGCUUGUUGCGGUAUAUCCAUUUGGUGCCUAUUAUGUUAUGCUUCCAUGGAUCAGGACGCUUAACCAACUCCCAUACAUUGUUCAGCUCAAAUUGUUGAAGCGCUUCUUGCAUAGCUUGAAUCCAUUCAGGUUCCAUAAAGGCUUCAUCAAUUUUCCUGGGUUCUGUCAUUGAAACGAAUGCGAAGUGUCCGCAGAAGUUUGCCAGUUGAGUUGCCCUUGAAUGAGUCAGUGGACCAGGUGCAUUGAUGCUAUCAAUUAUUCUGCAAUCUGCACUUCAUUGGCAACAUGAGGAUGUAGGGGUCGAAGACUUUGCUCUUGCUGAUCUACGUUGUCAUGGGGAGGAAUGUCUUCAGGCUGAGCGUUGUCUUCAUGUGGAUCAGGUGCUGAGAUGAUAAGUUCUUCUUCAGGACGAGCUUCAGAAGGUAUAAUUUCUCCAGUUCCCAUUAGCUUGAUUGAUUCACUGGCUGGAACUUCAUCUAGCACAUCUGGUAGUUGCUCUCUUUGUGACCCAUUGGUCUCAUCGAACCGCACAUCCACUGUUUCAACCACUUUGUAGUGGAAGAGAUUGGAGACUCUGUAGGAGUGCGAAUCCUUUCCAUAUCCAAGCAUGAAGCCCUCAUGUGCUUUUGGAGCAAAUUUUUAGGUGUGGUGAGGGUCCUUGAUCCAGCAUCUUGAUCCAAAUACUCUAAAGUACCUUACAUUUGGCUUCUUGCCAGUCAGAAGUUCAUAAGAUGUCUUGUUCAGCAGCUUGUGAAGAUAUACACGGUUGAUAGUAUGGCAUGCAGUGUCAAUGGCUUCAGUCCAGAAUUUUCUUGGUGUCUUGUACUCAUCUAACAUUGUUCUGGCCAUCUCAAUGAGUGUUCUGUUCUUGUGUUCGACGAUGCCAUUCUGUUGUGGCGUGUAUGGAGCUGAGAAUUCAUGAGUGAUGCCCAAUGUAUCAAGAUAUGUGUCAAGGCCGGUGUUCUUGAAUUCUGUGCCAUUGUCACUUCUGAUGUGCUUUAUCUUGGCGCCAUAAUUGUUCAUUGCCCGAUUUGCGAAGCGUCUGAAGACAUCCUGCACUUCAGUCUUGUAAAGGAUUAUGUGCACCCAAGUAUAUCUAGAGUAAUCAUCAACAAUGACGAAGCCAUAGAGGCAAGCAGUAGUGGAGAAAGUUGAGUAGUGAGUGGGACCGAAGAGAUCCAUGUGAAGCAGUUCGAAGGGUUGAGUAGUGGUCAUGAUUUUCUUCGAAGGAUGUUUUGCCCUUGUCAUCUUCCCAGCUUCACAGGCACCGCAUAAGUGAUCUUUCUUGAACUUGACGCCCUCGAUGCCUAUGACAUGCUUCUUCUUCGCAAGGGUGUGGAGGUUCCUCAUGCCAGCAUGCCCAAGUCUUCGAUGCCAAAGCCAGCAUUCUGAAGCCUUUGCGAGAAGACAAACUGCAAGCUGUGGCCCUGCUGAGAAAUCUACCACGUACAAAUCAUCUUUUCGAUACCCUUCAAACUCUAGAGACUUGUCAGAUUCCAUUAGUACCAGACAACGAUAUUUUCCAAAGAUUACAAUCAUGUUUAAAUCGCAAAGCAUUGAGACAGACAUUAAGUUGAAGCCAAGGGACUCAACAAACAUGACUUUAUCCAUGUGUUGAUCCUUUGAGAUUGCAACUCUACCUAGACCCAGUACCUUACUUUUACCAGUGUCAGCGAAUGUGAUGUGGCUCUUGUCAGAUGGACGUAAGGUUGAGUCCAUAAAGAGACUUCUUUUGCCAGUCAUGUGAUUUGUACACCCAUUGUCAAUAAUCCAUUCUGAAGACUCUGAAGUCACUGGUGUCGUACCCUACAGUGCAGUUAGGGGGAUAGGCUUCACGAAGAGUGUUGUGAAGCAAAAACAUUUGACGAACCAGUGGAUUAUGAAAACUUAGAUCCAGGUUAGGACAAGUAGGGAGAGUAGCAUGCGAUUCAGGUAUGAAAUACAUAGUGAUGCCAUUCGGGCAUUUGAUCUUGCGCCCACAAGAUUUUUAAGGUCCCCAGCAAUAGCAUCAGAAGAUUUUGGUUUUGUGCUGGAGACCUUUCCCUGCAAAAGAGAGUUAAGCUUUCUUAACCACCCACAUCUUCAAGGGUGGCUUAGAAGCAAACAGUCUAGCAGGUGGGCAAUAGUACUCAUAAGAAUAGGCAGAAUAGUUUUUGGUCAUAUGAGAAUGACGGUUUGAAGAACCGCUCUCAUAUGCCUGAGCAUGGUUUCCCUGCAAAACAUUUGUGUUAGUGCGACUCAAAUGAGUCCUCUGCCUGUAUGAAGCCUUUGGACCAUAUAUGAAGCCUUUGGUCCGAGGUUUGUCUUCUUCAUGUGAGGUGUCAUGAGGACAUUCACAGGAAGAUUCUCAAGACACGUUUUUGGAACCCAGAUCUUCUUCAUAGGCGGUCCAUUCCUGCAGUUAGUACCAAUGUACCUGGCAAAUACUUCACCAUUCUGAUUCCUGAACAGUUUAUAGUUUGCAUCAAAGGAUUCAUCAAUGAUAAUUGGAUUAGCACAAGUGAAGCCAGAUAGAUUGGAUGGAUCUGCUGAGGAUUCCUUUGCAGCAACCCAUGUGGUUUUGGGGUACUGCUCAGGUUUCCAGUAAGAGCCAUCUGCAUUAAUUUUCCUCACGAACCCAACACCCUCCUUCCUAGGGUUUUGGUUCAGAAUCUGCUUCUUGAGGACAUCACAUAAUGUCUGAUGUCCUUUGAGACUUUUGUACAUCCCUGUUUCAAGCAAUGUCUUCAACCUAGCAUUUUCAUCAGCAAUAGCAGUGGUAUCCUCAGUAGAGGGGUUAGUUACCACUUCAACAGUUGCAACAGCAGUAGCAGUGGAACAUUCAGCAACAGAAAUAGCAUUAUCACAAUCAAUGCAUUUAAGGCAUGGUGGUUCAAAUCCUUCCUGAACAGAACUGAUCUGUUCGGCUCGAAGUGACUCGUUUUCCUUUUGAAGAUCUUCAUGAUCCGUUUUUCAAGAUGUUGCUUCUUUUGAAGAUAAUCAUAGGAAAGCUUUUCAUGAGUAGUUGAGAGAGUCUCAAGACGAUCUUCGAGUUCCUGAUACUUAACAUGAAGAUUUUUUAUGUCUUCAAUUAAGGAUUCAGAACGAGUCAUUUCAGCACCCAACAGAUCAUCGCUUCUGUCUAACAGUUUUUGAAUAUGUUCCAUGGCCUUUUGUUGUUCAGUUGCAAUUUUAGCAAGUGUUUUGUAACUGGGUUUUGAAUCACAAUCAGAGUCAUCGUCACUAGAUGUUUGAUAGUGAGUAGUGCGUGUGUUUACCUUGGCACCACGUGCCAUGAAGCAGUAGGUAGGAGUAGAGUCGUCCUUGUCAUUUGCAUCGGUGAUGGUGAUGGAGUCAUUGUCUUCAGUGUUGAAGAUGGACUUGGCGACGUAGGCUGUAGCCAGACUCGCAAUGCCUGAAUCAGACUCCUCCUCAGACUCCACCUCUGCCUCCUCAGAAGCGGACUCCUCCUCUGAAUCCAUUUCCUUGCCAACAAACGCACGAGCCUUGCCAGAUGAACUCUUCUUGUGUGAUGAAGACUUUGAGGAAGACUUGGACGAAGACUUUGAGUAUUUCUUUGUCUUCUUAUCGUCAGAGUCAUAUUCCAUGCUCUAAUUCUUCUUUCUGUUCUCAUUGUCCCACUGUGGACACUCAGAGAUGAAGUGUCCAGUUUUCUUGCACUUGUGACAUGUUUUCUUCUUGUAGUCAUGCGCAGAAGCUUCAUCAUUCCUUGAGCUUGAUCGUGAAGACUUUCUGAAGCCUUUCUUCUUGGUGAAUUUCUGGAACUUCUUCACUAGCAUUGCAAGUUCCCUUCCAAUGUCUUCAGGAUCAUCAGAACUGCUGUCAGAUUCUUCUUCAGAUGAGGACACAGCUUUUGCCUUCAAGGCACGAGUUCGCCCAUAGUUUGGACCGUAGAUAUCUCUUUUCUCAGAAAGCUGAAACUCAUGUGUGUUGAGCCUCUCAAGUAUGUCAGACGGAUCGAGUGUCUUGAAGUCUGGAUGUCAAAUGAACUGUCAAGUGAUCUUAGCAGCGUCUUAACGAUUUCAUGUUUGGUGAUCUCAGUGGCGCCGAGGGCUUGAAGCUCAUUUGUGAUGUCAGUGAGCCGGUCAAAUGUGUGAUGGACAUUCUCAUUGUCAUUUCGCUUGAAGCGGUUGAAGAGAUUGCGAAGAACACUGAUUCUCUGAUCUCUCUGGGUUGAGAUGCCUUCAUUGACCUUGGAGAGCCAGUCCCAAACCAGCUUGGAUGUCUUCAAGGCACUCACACGGCCGUACUGUCCCUUGGUCAGAUGACCACAGAUAAUAUUCUUGGCAGUGGAGUCCAGUUGAGUGAACUUCUUGACAUCAGCCGCAGUGACACCUUCUCCAGCCUUGGGAACGCCGUUUUUGACGACAUACCAUAGGUGGACGUCAAUGGCUUCAAGAUGCAUGCGCAUCUUAUUCUUCCAGUAGGGAUAUUCAGUUCCAUCGAAGACGGGGCACGCAGCGGAGACUUUAAUUAUCCCUGCAGUCGACAUAGCUAAAACUUUAGGUGGUUAAACCAAAUCACACAGAACAAGGGAGCACCUUGCUCUGAUACCAAUUGAAAGUGCGUUAUAUCGGCUAGGGGGUGAAUAGGUGAUUUUAAUGAAAGUCUUCAAAACGUGGAAGUUAUGAAGACAAACAGAGUGAACAAGCCUAUCACUAUGCAGCGGAAGUUAGAUUACACAACGCAAGCCAUGGUCAAGUAUACAAUAUAGUGAAAGCACGGUGACAAAUAGCUUCAGUGUAAUGAGGAUCAGGUUGGAAGAAGUUAUGAAGCCAAACAGAUCAUACAGUCAAGUUGUGAGGACAGAAGAUAAAGCAAGCAUGCAAUAGCUUCACAAUGUGUACUGGUAAGUAAAGGGAGGCGAAGAUGAAACCAGUGACACGUUGAAGAGAAUGAUAUGUUGGACCAGUUCCAGUUGCUGUGACAACUAUACGUCUGGUUGGAGCGGCUAGGUAUUUAAACCAAAGGACACACAGUCCCGGACACCCAGUCCUGAACACGCAGCUCAGGACACCCAGUCCUCACCGUUUUCUCCUUGAGCUAAGGUCACACAGACCCCGCCCAAUCACUCUGGUAAGUCUUCAAGGUAGACUCCCAAACCUUCACAGACUUCGUUCACCGGCAAUCCACAAUUCCUCUUGGAUGCUCAGAACGCGACGCCUAACCGUCUGGAGGAUGCACAGUCCUCAAGUGUAAUAAGUCUUCAGAUCACUCAGACAAGAAGACUUAAGUGAUGCCCAAUUACUCUGGCUCUGGGUGGUUAGGGCUUUUCUCCUCACUAAGGAUUUUCUCUCAAAGGCUUAGAGGUGGGUUGCUCUCAAACGACAAAAGCAGUGCACUGAAAUCUGAGCAGCCAACCGUUUAUGGUUGUAGGGGUGGACUAUUUAUAGCCGCUUGGCAACCCUGACCUGAUUUGUCCGAAAUGACCCUGUGUCACUAAGGAACUGACACGUGUACUAACGGUCGGAUUUUGAACUCUCACGGCAACUUUACUUGGGCUGCAAGUAAAGCUGACUUGUCUGACUCUGGACAAGAUUUUCUCUCAUUGUCUUCACUCGAAGACAUAGGAUUUGAAUUAGGCAUCACUUCAGUCAUCCUGACUGGUUCUCUUGGACCCCACUUAACAGUACGGUGGUUCCUAUGACACAACAUGAAUAAAGUAAAACUACGAAGGAUCUAAGUCUUCGAGUUCCAAAGGCUUCAUGGGGAGUCUUCAUAUGUCAUUGUCUUCGACAUGAAUGUCUUCAUGAACCACCAUUGUCUUCAAUGUCUUCGUACAUUUUUAGGGGUCAUCUCUGGUAACUAAACCGAAUCAAUGAGGGACUUCUACUAGUGUUAUCCUGCAAUUCUCACAAACACAUUAGUCCCUCAACUAGGUUUGUCUUCAAUACUCCAAAACCAACUAGGGGUGGCACUAGAUGCACUUACAGGUCUGGGUACAGACACUAGAAAGAAAGAAGGCUCCUCGAGGCCUGUCUAUCUACAUAGGGCCCUCCAUGGCCAGGAUCACCACCUGGGUGGCUAGUCACUCAUCGAAGUCAAGGUCUACAUAGAACCCAUCGGAGGGGGCGGUGUUGUCGUCUGAAAACAGUAAUUAAGCAAACAUGAGUACAAAGGUACUCAGCAAGUCUUACAACAGAACCUACUAUACAUGCUUAUUCUCAAGAAGGCGGUGGGGAUAUUGCAGCAAGCCAGCUUUGACUCUUGGCUAAACUAUCCUACGGAACUUCUCUAGUAAAAUAGUUUUCGCACACGAGUCCACUACUCACCAACACAAUACUCCAACGGGGAUCCUCCCUCAUCAUCCUACGAGAGGGCCAUCCUCGGUACUCACACUUAUCUUGAGUCUUUUAGUAGUAUCCAUUUACUUGUCUAUGAACUGUAUAGGCAACUAAGUAGUCCUUUACCGCGGACGCGGCUAUUCGAAUAGUUUUAUACCCUGCAGGGGUGUACUUCGUCAUACACGCUUUCACCACUUAUCGCCGUUUACACGACAUGUACUCGGCAACCUUCAAGCGGAAGCCCAGCGAGGGUGUCGGCCACGGCCUACCUAAACACUUAAGUCUCUAGUCCUGCUUUAUCGCCUAUCCAAGUUCCAUCCGCAGGGAUUCCGGCCGAGGUUUCCACAUACGGCCCCGAACGAUGUGAACAGGAUCCCGAGACGCCAAACGGGUGCCCGGCAUACCCGGCCACGGUGUAUCUACCACAACAUAGCCCACCCCUAGGGUCAGCGCUACGCACGGCCGCCAACACAUAACCUACAAACACCAGAAACUAUUUGCAACUCCUGGAGAGAGUACUAGGGUGAUUAAGAAGCCGAUAGGGUCAAUUAAGGAUCCCAAUGCAUGGUAGUAGCUGAAUCUUAAAUCAUACAUACAGAUCUGAGUUCUUAGGGACGGUCUCAAUGAAACAACCCACCAUGUACUCCUACAUGGCCUCUCAUCGAUACCUUUACCAAAACAUGUUCAACACAUUCCUCAUAUUACCGACAUAAUCAUAUCACUCUAGCCCAUCACCCUGAUGAACCAGACCUGACACAACUCUAAGCAUAGCAGGCAUACCAAGGUACAAAUCACAUACAUGGCUCAAUCAACUCCUACACAUGCUAGUGGGUUUCAUCUAGUUACUGUGGCAAUGAAAGGUCAUGCAGAGGAUAAGGGUUCAACUACCGUAGCACACAGCAGUUUGAAUCGCGUUAUCUUAAUGCAGUAAACAAGAGUAGAGGCGAGAAUAUGGGUUGUAUCGGAAUGAUCAAUGGGUUGCUUGCCUGAUGGAGUGGUAGUGGGAUACUGCCCUUCAGUUGGAUACUCGUGAAUAUCCUCGGAGGCAGAACCUACCACGAAGAACACAUCGGAACACAAUCAAUACAUGACGAUAUGCAACAAUAUGAUGCAUGCUAUGACAUGGCAAUAUGAAUGUGUCUUGGCCUAAUGCAAGCUAAAAUAGAAAGGGAUGAACUCAUUUGAAUCAAAGAUACAAAUAUUAUCUCAUUAAACAUGGCCUUAAUAUUGCAUUUACUUAUUCUGCUUAAACAGAAAGGUAAACUUGUUUUGUCAUGCAUGAAACCAUUACAGGUGGAUAGAUUGAAUUUUUCUGAUAAUUUUUCAUAUAUAAAUUAUUUCAUUUGGAGUUACAGUUGAAUUUCUAUGAUUUUUAGAAUUUUUAAACAUUACUGCGUCAGCAUUGCGUCAUGCUGACCUCAGCAGGUCAAAGGCGCCAGCCCAGGUCAAACCUGACUGGAGGGCCCCUUCUGUCAGUCUCUUAAUUAAAUAACAGGACUAGAUUAACACUAAUUAGCUGUCAGUGGGGCCUGGGCCCACAUGUCAGUGACUGAUUAAAAUAAAAUUAGUUAAAACUAAUCCUAGAUUAGUUAGCAGACCAGCCCCACCUAUCAUAGACUCAGGGGGGGUCUACCUGGGCCCACCCAGGGUCAAACUAGGUCAAACUCGCCGGCGUUGAGCCGCCGGCGAGGCCCGAGACGGUGGCGCAGCUCGGAAAACGCCUAUAGGGCACGAGCGAGGCCGUUCUUGGGCUCGUUGGAGAGCUCUUGCAGUCGCGCAUCUAGUGGUGGUGGUGGCGGGCCUACGGUGGCCGGAGACGACGACGGCGAGCUCCAAGGCAGCGGCCGGAGUUCGGCCAUGUGCGGGGUGUGGGCUGCGGCGUGCAAACUUGGAAACUGAGGCGCUAGCGAGGCACUACGCGAUGCGGCAAGCACGUUGCGUAGCACGGGAUGACCAAAUGGUCGCCGGAGCGGCGCCAGCGACAAGCUCGAGCAGAGACGAGCUUCGGCCAUGGUGGAACUAUGGCCUAGAGGGUGCAAACGCAUGGAAAAGAAGAGGGGAAAGGUGGCGGACCUCACGGGGAGGUCGAUGAGUAGCUCAGUGGGCUCGGGGGUGACCGGAGCGAGGCGAAUCGAUGAGCGGCGUCCGGCGGGUACCGAGGUUGAAGACGAUCCGAUGGCGGCGAUGCAGGGCCUCCGGCGAUGCGUGGGGAGGGCGAGGGCGUCACGGCGGAGCUUCUGGACAGGUCAGAGAGGCGAGGGGGUGACAGAGGGCGCGACUACGGCGGUGAGACGGCGACGGGUGCAUCGGCCAUCGCGGGAGAGGGAGAGGGGGACGUGGGGGAGAGUGAGAGAGGAUGAGAGGGGGACAUGUGGGUCGCGUGGCAUUCCCUGGACGUCUCCCGGCGUCGGCGAAAGCAGGAGGUGGCCGACGUGUGGCCGCGGGCGCCGGCCACGCGCUCCGCGUCCUUCUGGCGCGAGGAGGACGACGACGGGCAGCGCCAGUAGGCUAGGCCGAGCCCGGUGGGCUGGCCAGCACAGGUAAGGCCCAGGUGGGCUUCUCCCUCUCUUUUUUUAAUUUGUUUCUGUUUUCUAUUUAACUGUAACUGUUGGGCUUUAUUUAAAAUACUAAAAUAUUUCCAGAAAUCCUGAAAAUAAUUGUGGGCUCUGCUUGGAUUAUGUCCAACAGCAAACAUUUAUUUCCAGAAUUAUUUGAGCAUUUAAAUUAUUUAAUAGCAUUUAAAUGCCCAAAUUCAAAUACUUAUGAUUUAAAUCAAUGACCUUCUAUUGACCUAGAAAAAUUGUGCAUCAAUUUUGCCAGAGGUUCUAACCCAAGACAAAGAGGGUGAACUUUUUAGAAGGGCAUUUCAGGUUCAUUGAAAAUAAUUUUAGUAAACCCUAGUUGUUUCCAGGGGGUGUUGGGGGUUUCUCCCUUCCCCAAUUCAAAUUUAAGAGGAAUUUAAACAUGAUGGAGAUUCUAAUGCUUGAACUAGCUAGGGUGUGACAUGACUCUUUAUUUGUUAGUUUACCAUAAUCAUCCUUGCUGUACACACCUUUUGAGAGGGCCAUACAUGAUUUGGAAUUUGUUAGAAUACUCUAUGUGCUUCGCUUAUAUCUUUUGAGUUAUAUAGUUUUGCUCUAGUACUUCACUUAUAUCUUUUAGAGCACGGUGGUGGAUUUGUUUUAUAAAAACUAUUGAUCUCUCAUGCUUCACUUACAUUAUUUUGAGAUGCUUAAUAGCAUGGUAAUUUGCUUAAAAUCUUAAUAUGCUAGGUAUUCAAAGUUAGUAAAAUUUUCUUAAGAGUGUUUUGAAUACUAAGAGAAGUUUGAUGCUUGAUGAUUGUUUUGAGAUAUGGAGGUAAUAAUAUCACAGUCAUGCUAGUUGAGUAGUUGUGAAAUUGAGAAAUACUUGUGUUGAAAUUUGCACGUAUGGUAAACGUUGUGUAACAAAUUUGAAACAUGAGGCGUUAUUUGAUUGUCUUCCUUAUGAGUGGCGGUCGGGGACGAGCGAUGGUCUUUUCCUACCAAUCCAUCCCCCUAGGAGCAUGCGCGUAGUACCUAGGUUUUUGAUGACUUGUAGAUUUUUGCAAUAAGUAUGUGAGUUCUUUAUGACUAAUGUUGAGUCCAUGAAUUAUACGCACUCUGACCCUUCCAUCCUUGCUAGCCUCUUAGGUACCAUGCAUUGCCCUUUCCCACAUUGAGUGUUGGAGCAAACUUCGCCGGUGCAUCCAAACCCCGUGAUAUGAUAUGCUCUUUCACACAUAAACCUCCUUAUAUCUUCCUCAAAACAGCCACCAUACCUACCUAUUAUGGCAUUUCCAUAGCCAUUCCGACAUAUAUUGACAUGCAACUUUCCACCAUUCCGUUCAUCAUGACACAUUCAUCAUUGUCAUAUUGCUUAGCAUAAUCAUGUAGUUGACAUAGUAUUUGUGGCAAGGCCACCGUUCAUAAUUCUUUCAUACAUGUCACUAUUGGUCCAUUGCAUAUCCCAGUACACCGCCGGAGGCAUUCAUAUAGAGUCAUACUUUGUUCUAGUAUCGAGUAGAAAUUAUUGAGUUGUAAAUAAAUAGAAGUGUGAUGAUCAUCAUUAAUAGAGCAUGGUCCCAAAAAUAUAAAAAAGGAAGGGCCAAAAAAAGGCCAAAUAAAAAAAUGUAAAAAAGGGGGGCAAUGCUACUAUCCUUUUUUCCACACUUGUGAUUCAAAGUAGCACCGUAAUCUUCAUGAUAGAGAGUAUCUUGAUUUGUCAUUUUCAUCUACUAGUGGGAAUUUUUCAUUAUAGAACUUGGCCUGUAUAUUCCAACAAUGGGCCUCCUCAAGUUCCCUAGGUCUUCGUGAGCAAGCAAGUUGGAUGCACACCCACUUAGUUUCUUUUGUUGAGCUUUCAUACAUUUAUAGCUCUAGUGCAUCUGUUGCAUGGCAAUCCCUACUCCUUGCAUUAACAUCAAUCGAUGGGCAUCUCCAUAGCCCAUUGAUUAGCCUCGUUGAUGUGAGACUUUAUCCUUUUUGUCUUCUCCACAUAACUCCAGUCAUUAUAUUCUAUUCCACCCAUAGUGUUAUGUCCAUGGCAUGCAAUCAUAUAUUGCGUGAAAGUUUAUAGGUUUGAGAUCACUAAAGUAUGAAACAAUUGCUUGGCUUCUCAUCGGGGUUGUGCAUGAUGAGAGCAUUCUUGUGUGACCAAAAUGAAGCAUGAUUAAACUAUAUGAUUUUGUAGGGAUGAACUUUCUUUGGCCAUGUUAUUUUGAGAAGACAUAAUUGCUCAGUUAGUAUGCUUGAAGUAUUAUUAUUUUUAUGUCAAUAUGAACUUUUGUCUUGAAUCUUUCGGAUCUGAAUAUUCAUACCACAAUUAAGAAGAUUUACAUUAAAAUCAUGCCAACUAGCACUCUGCAUCAAAAAUUCUGUUUUUAUCAUUUACCUACUCAAGGACGAGCAGUAAUUAAGCUUGGGGAUGCUUGAUACGUCUCCAACGUAUCUAUAAUUUUUGAUUGCUCCAUGCUAUAUUAUCUACUGUUUUGGACAAUAUUGGGCUUUGUUAUCCACUUUUAUAUUAUUUUUGGGACUAACCUAUUAACCAGAGGCCCAGCCCAGAAUUGUUGUUUUUUGCCUGUUUUAGGGUUUCGAAGAAAAGGAAUAUCAAACGGAGUCCAAACGGAAUGAAACCUUCGGGNNNNNNNNNNNNNNNNNNNNNNNNNNNNNNNNNNNNNNNNNNNNNNNNNNNNNNNNNNNNNNNNNNNNNNNNNNNNNNNNNNNNNNNNNNNNNNNNNNNNNNNNNNNNNNNNNNNNNNNNNNNNNNNNNNNNNNNNNNNNNNNNNNNNNNNNNNNNNNNNNNNNNNNNNNNNNNNNNNNNNNNNNNNNNNNNNNNNNNNNNNNNNNNNNNNNNNNNNNNNNNNNNNNNNNNNNNNNNNNNNNNNNNNNNNNNNNNNNNNNNNNNNNNNNNNNNNNNNNNNNNNNNNNNNNNNNNNNNNNNNNNNNNNNNNNNNNNNNNNNNNNNNNNNNNNNNNNNNNNNNNNNNNNNNNNNNNNNNUGUUGCUCCACCGACGUACUCCUUCCUCCUAUAUAUACCUACGUAUCCCCAAACGACCAUGUACGGAGACAAAACCCUAAUUCCACCGCCGAAACUUUCUGUAUCCACGAGAUUCCAUCUUGGCGCCUGUUCCGGAGCUCCGCCGGAGGGGGCAUCGAUUAUGGAGGGCUUCUACAUCAACACCAUAGCCUCUCCGAUGAAGUGUGCGUAGUUGACCUCAGACCUACGGGUCCAUAGUUAUUACCUAGAUGGCUUCUUCUCUCUUUUUGGAUCUCAAUACAAUGUUCUUCCCCUCUCUUGUGGAGAACUAUUCGAUGUAAUCUUCUUUUUGCGGUGUGUUUGUUGAGACCGAUGAAUUGUGGGUUUAUGAUCAAGUCUAUCUAUGAAUAAUAUUUGAAUCUUCUCUGAAAUAUUUUAUGUAUGAUUGGUUAUCUUUGCAAGUCUCUUCGAAUUAUCAGUUUGGUUUGGCCUACUAGAUUGAUCUUUCUUGCAAUGGGAGAAGUGCUUAGCUUUGGGUUCAAUCUUGCGGUGUCCUUUCCCAGUGACAGUAGGGGCAGCAAGGCACGUAUUGUAUUGUUGGCAUCGAGGACAACAAGAUGGGGUUUUCAUCAUAUUUUAUGAGUCUUUCCCACUACAUCAUGUCAUCUUACUUAAGGCGUUAAUCUGUAUUUAACUUAAUACUCUAGAUGCAUGCUGGAUAGCGGUCGAUGAGUGGAGUAGUAGUAGUAGAUGCAGGCAGGAGUCGGUCUACUUGUCUUGGACGUGAUGCCUAUAUACAUGAUCAUACCUAGAUAAUCUCAUAACUAUGCUCAAUUCUGUCAAUUGCUCAAUAGUAAUUUGUUCACCCACCGUAGAAUACUUAUGCUCUCGAGAGAAGCCACUAGUGAAACUUAUGGCCCCCGGGUCUAUCUUUAUCAUAUUAAUCUCCUACUACUUAGUUAUUUCCUAUGCUUUUUUACUUUGCCUUUAUUUUACUUUGCAUCUUUAACACAAAAAUACAAAAAAAUUAUCUUUAUCAUAUCUACCAAAUCUCACUCUCGUAAGUGGCCGUGUAGGGAUUGACAACCCCUAUUCGCGUUGGUUGCGAGGAUUUAUUUGUUUUGUGCAGGUACGAGGGACUGGCGCAUAGCCUCCUACUGGAUUGAUACCUUGGUUCUCAAAACCUGAGGGAAAUACAUACACUACUUUGCUGCAUCAUCCCUCACUCUUCGGGGAAAACCAACGCAGUGCUCAAGAGGUAGCAAGGGUUCCUUUUUGUCGACGAUCUGAUGUUUCAACCUUGUUUUCCAGGCGGCCAACGCGUCGCUAAACUUGGUCAUGGCGUGUUUUUUUAUCUUCUUCAUUGCCAGGUCCUUAUCUGGAUCUUUAUUAUCCUUUUCAUUACGGUCCGGGAACAAGAAUAUCUGGUGCAGCCUCUUUAGGAGGGAGGGCCUCAUAUUAUCUAUCUUCUGUAGUUUCCCAUCGUUGAUCGUGGCAGUUGUCCAUACAAUGCAACCUAUUUGAUUGCCGUAGCACGAUCGCGCUUCCUCAGGCGCUAUUGUCUCAAAAAUACCGUCGUCCAACUCCGUGACCACCAGUCUAGUACUCAGGAGCUGGUUUGGGCGCCGUGGCCUCUUUGCUUUCGGUUCUAGACCAACUCCGCUAGUCUCGGCGCCGGUCUCAGUCUCAUCGCCGGUCUGCAUGUCGGUAUCAGUCCCCGAUGCGACAACACAGUCGCUGCAACAUGGGUAAGGGAGACCUCCGCGCGUUUGUACAUAGGCACAGGGUGAAUCCCGGUGAGAGAUGGCCAUUGGCGCAUGCAAGUAGACGACGACGUCCCCGACGAAGAGCAGCCGGCCAGCUCGCCUCACUCUCCUUUGAUUAGAAAUGAAAGAUUGGGAAGAAGCAGACUGGAGCCUGCAGGGAAAGGAUAAGGUGACGAUGCAGUCUCCACUCGUUCGGGGCGACACACGUACUGAAUGUAUGAGAAACGUGACGUGGCAGAGACCCCAAGAUACUCCCUCCAUUUAUUUUUAGUCUGCAUAUAAAGUUUGGUCAAAGUCAAGAUUUGUAAAUUUUAACUAACUUUAUAAUAAAAAAAUAUCAACAUUCACAAUAUGAAAUCAAUAUUACCAGAUGUGUCAUGAAAUGUAUUUCCAUACUAUAUAGUUUUGGUAUUGUAGAUGUUCAUAUUUUUUAUAUAAAUGGGAAGUAGAGGCACUCUUGCAUAUAAUGAAGUUUAUAAUAUAUGUGCUUAUAUUGUACUACAAUUGUUUGAAUAGCUUAGCAUAUGUUCAGAUGUAUGAUAUCUGUAAUUUAAGCGCUUGAAUUUUACAUAUAAAUAUUUAUUAAUAAAUAUGUACCCCUAUAAUAGCUAGGCCGUGCAUUUGCACGGGUAGAUGACUAGUGAUUACAAUCUUGUUUGUGUGCAAGUCAAGCUUAUCUAGUUUACACGUAACAACUUGUAGAACGUUACAAAAUUUAUGCUUGCUAAUAACUUCUAGAACACUACAACACUUGACAUGUAAAAGGAAUUUGACGAGUCAUGGCCUACUAAAGCAAGUUACAUUACUAGUCUUAUCUAUCUUAACAGACCACACAAGAUUACAAACUAAGUACCGUGACAGCCAUGCUUAUCUAGUUUAUGCGUAACAAUUUGCAGAAAAUUACAAACUUAGUUUCAGAAAAAUAGGCAAUCUAGAUUAGUGUUUGAGCUGUAAAGUGAAUAAGAUGAGUCAUGCAUGUUAUCACACCUUUUUGGUGGUGGAAUGAUAGUGCAACAACAAGGAACUUUAAUGACCAGUCCAAGAAUACACUUGUAAGUAGUGCUACCAAACAGAACAUACCAAAUGAUGAUUUUUAGAAGCAUCCAAGCACUUUCCACACAAACAAAUGCCAAUUGUGAAAGAGAUCAUUCCAUGGCAGCUAUAAAUAGCCCCAUAGCAUGACGAUCAUCCUUCCUCAUCCAUCAUUCUUAUUAGUAGAGCGCAUCAUUUAAGCCAAGCAAGCUGUGGUCAAUACAAAUCCACCAUGAAGACCUUUCUCAUCCUUGCCCUCCUUGCUAUCGUGGCGACCACCGCCACAACUGCAGUUAGAGUUCCAGUGCCACAAUUGCAGCCACAACAUCCAUCUCAGCAACAGCCACAAGAGCAAGUUCCAUUGGUACAACAACAACAAUUUCUAGGGCAGCAACAACCAUUUCCACCACAACAACCAUAUCCACAGCCGCAACCAUUUCCAUCACAACAACCAUAUCUGCAACUACAACCAUUUCCGCAGCCGCAACUACCAUAUUCGCAGCCACAACCAUUUCGACCACAACAACCAUAUCCACAACCGCAACCACAGUAUUCGCAACCACAACAACCAAUUUCACAGCAGCAGCAGCAGCAGCAACAACAACAACAACAACAACAACAACAAAUCCUUCAACAAAUUUUGCAACAACAACUGAUUCCAUGCAUGGAUGUUGUAUUGCAGCAACACAACAUAGCGCAUGGAAGAUCACAAGUUUUGCAACAAAGUACUUACCAGCUGUUACAAGAAUUGUGUUGUCAGCACCUAUGGCAGAUCCCUGAGCAGUCGCAGUGCCAGGCCAUCCACAAUGUUGUUCAUGCUAUUAUUCUGCAUCAACAACAAAAACCACAACAACAACCAUCGAGCCAGGUCUCCUUCCAACAGCCUCUGCAACAAUAUCCAUUAGGCCAGGGCUCCUUCCGGCCAUCUCAGCAAAACCCACAGGCCCGGGGCUCUGUCCAGCCUCAACAACUGCCCCAGUUCGAGGAAAUAAGGAACCUAGCGCUACAGACGCUACCCGCAAUGUGCAAUGUCUACAUCCCUCCAUAUUGCACCAUCGCGCCAUUUGGCAUCUUCGGUACUAACUGAGAAGAAAAUAACUCUAGUACUAGAUAUAUGAAACACCGUUUUCUCAGUCCAUGGUUUGGUCGUUGUAGCGGUGAAAAAAUAAUGUGACAUGCACUAUCAGGUAAGAACCCGAACUAUACUAGUUCAAACUUGGGAAUAAAAGACAAACACAGGUCUUGUCUACAUAUUUAUGUUGCAUCUAUUUAUAUAUUAAAAGUAAUAUAAGGUGAACCAGGAGCAAGGUAAAUAUGCUAGAAAAUUGCACGUUAAUUAGAAAUUACUAGCCCUCGAUCUGAUAAAUCUUAACGAACAUAUAUAAUGCUCUGGGCCUCCAACGACUGUACGUGACACAUCUGAACGAACAUAUGUUAAAGAAAAUAUAUUUGGUAAAUGGUGGGCUUCUUUAAAAAGAGAACUCACGUACAUGCACCAACUAAGAAAAACACAUACAUGUAAACGGGAAAAGGAUGAGAUUUUCUCACGUACGUGCUCCCUGGCUCCACCCCGUUGAAAAAAUAUACAUCUGGAGGCCACUUUGUUUCCUCAUCAAAAAAACUUACGUUAAAAAGAUUGCAUGCAUCCCAGGGAAAAUAGUCAAGAAGAAGUCGGACUUUUCCUUACAAAAACAAGGAACGUGUUAAGUUGACUUCAAAGAAAAAAGGAACAUGUUAAGUUAAAAAAAAACAAGAAACCUGUUAAGUUAGAAAAAAAACAAGGAACGUGUUGUCCAAGGAAAGAGGAAGAAGAAAGUUGGUUUCAGUGAGUCAUGUGAAUUGUAGAAGAAAUAGGUAAACAAGGCUAGCUCCCCUGGGGGUUGUCAUAUUACAAUCAUUUGUAUUACUUUCCUACCAAUCCUGAACUAGCUAUGACCCUUAUAGCGAGCCUCACUUUACCGUUUCAGAUAGAAACAUAUGGCAGUACUGUACGUACUCGAGAGAAGUUGCUCCCUUCCAUGACAAGGACUAGUUAAGUUUCACUAUCUCCUUUCUCAACUCACUAUAUCCCAGCGGCGGAUUAAUAUAUAUACGUUGAAAAGCAAGGGGAUAAAUUGAACGAAAUGAAGAGCAAUCCAGAAUCCUAUUUUGUAUAUGUGUCAAAUCUUACAAAAAAAAAAGAAUACACACACGUACGUUCAUGCACUUGGAAAAUAGAAAAAAAAGGAACAUCACGUAUGUAUACACUUCGGAAACUCAUUACAUGACCAUGUCUGAUAUACUCCUCUAAUGCUUCAUAUUAGUGCCUAAUAAUUUAUAUUUAAAAUUCAAUUUACUGAUCAAAUAUCCCCACUGUUUAAAUUUUAAUUUGGCACAUUGUUUGGCUAUAGUAUGAACCUAAAUUUCCUCUUAUUAUUAUAUAUCAUGGUAAUAAUCCAAAGGCGACUAAUCUGCGCCGGCGCACCGGCGCAAUCAAUUCCGCUGGACACAGCGCGGCCGUUUGAUUAGAUUGCAUUUAACCGUCAGAUCUGGAAUCGUUUUCUUUCCAAUUAAACAGAUUCAACCAAACAGCAGAGGGGAAAACAAAGCAGCGCCGCCGCCAACACUAGCCAUGGACGACCGAUGUAGCAAAACCUUGAAGAACCGCCGCCGGUCGCCACCCUCGCUGCUGGUCGCCGCCCUCGCCGUCGGUCACCGCCGGUCGCCGCCCUCGCCGCACUCGUGGUUGCAGGCUUGCAUCUCCGCCUCCGGGGGACAUGGCCGCAUGUCCGGUAGCGCCGGCCGCCGGCCGGUGCACCUGUCGUUGUGGUCGCGCUGUACCUCGCCGUGUGCCCUCCCGUGGCUCUUGCUGGUUCCAACAAAAAACGAUACCGGUUGUAGCAAAAAAAUAUCGCUUCCAGCAAAAAAGCUUACCGCUACAGCCCGCCAUCGUCAUUGUAGCAAAAAUGUUAACCCGAUGUAGCUUCUGUGGUUGCCGACUGCAGCAAAAAAUGACAUGGUUGUAGCAAAACACAAAAGAAAAACGCCGGCCGGCCUCUGUGUAUGGUGGUAACAAACCCCAUAGCCGGUGGUAGCGAAAAACUUCAUAGUGCGCAGCAAAAAAAUGUUGUCACCCGUCGUCGAGGUUGCAUCAUCUUCAUGAAUUAUGUCGCAAAAAAACGUUGUCGCCGGUAGUAGCAAAUGAAGCCGCCGGUAGUAGCAAAACAAGACACUGGUUCCAGCCAAAAAAAAUCAGCGACAGAACCUUUGGUUGGUUCCAACAAAAAAACUUGUCGGUCGUAACAUCCCUCGCCGCCGGAUGUAGCAUCUCCCGGGGCUGGUUGCAACACUCCAUAAAAAAAAGUUGUCUAUGAGCGCAUCCAUGGUGACUGCUGCACCGUCAGCAACGAGGGGAAGAGGAGGCAAUGAAAAUCGUUCGAGUCAUAGCUCCACAGGACGCGGCUGCAGCAUGGGGAGUCCAAAAAUCUGUCACAAGCAACAUGCGCCUCGCCAUCCUCCUGCGCAGGAGAGAGAAGAAAAAGGAAUAAGAGGAAGAAGAAAGAAAACGGGAGAAAGAAAAAAGAAACGAUUGGUGGUUGGCUCAGGCAAUUAGUCAAGCGAGGGGCACGCGGGGCGCAGGAUACAGCGCAAUCGAACGAAGCGCGCGCGUCCGGCGAAGACUCGGCCGGACUGCCGGCUGGAAACGUUUCCCUAAUCCAAAGGCUUUAUCUGAAUGACAACUCGUCUGGGUUACCGGCUAACUAGAAAAAAGAUAAAUAUGCUAGAGAAUUUCAUAAUAAUUAGAAAUAUCUAGCCUUUAAUUAUGUAAAUCAGAAAAUCACAACCGUUGGAUUUACUUUAAAGGUAAAUUUCUCUAAAUUCCCACCAUUGCCAGUAUGUAGAAACAUGUGCUGCUUCAAUUCUCCCAUAAUCACCAAUCAAUCAACAACACAAAACAUACCUCAGUUAAAAAAACUGAACAAAAAAAAAGAAAAAAGAAGAAAGGACAAGAUACACGCAUGUACACGACAGCCUUGGCUUGAAACACAUCAGUAGAUCAAGUGUCCGCCUCCCUUACACAGAAUAAACUCAUAGGGAAGAAAAUAAUUGUGCAACCUAACCUUAUACGUACUAUUCUAUCCUCACGUCCCAUGAGGUUUACUAGCCUACCGCCGCCGCAUCAUGCCAUCCCCUCCUUUCAGCUCCCAUGCUUUCCAGCACCCUCAUUGCCGCGCCACUACUUGCCUAGGGAUAUUGCUGCUCAGACCGUGGAGCUUAACCUGCUUCUUCUUCAGCAAAUAUGGUACUGCUUUAGGAUCCUUCUCACAUCAGCACGUAUGGGCCUCAUUAUACUGCAGCUCCUGGACCUCCUACAAUUGGUUGGCUAUGGCCAGUUGAUCGAUGUGCCGAAGUCCAGGUCUGUUUGCUGGCACAUAUGCUUUGGAAAUAGGCCACUAUGUUUGUACUUCAAAAUUGUUUCUGUAUUCUUGAGUGGUACAUCCUUUUAAGCGCCAGUUUUUUAUGUCAAUUCAUGCUGACAACACUUAACCUAGCCUUUCAUCUUCACGUACUAAAUACAGGAGCAAGUAAAAACAACAGACCACCUAAUUGCUCUGCAUGUACUACAUAGGAAAAUUUGUCAUGUUCUACGAUCGCACCAUCCCACACUUCUCUCUUGGUAUGGGCGCCAAUUGAGGGAUUGAUAAAACUGAAACGAAGACGUCACGGGGCUGGAAGUACCGCUAGCCUGGUUUGCACUGCAACCUACUCAACGCCAUCAGAAACUAGCAACUGAGGCAGUUGUUGAUCGAUUCUCUCAAAUUGCUCUCAUGUAAGUACUACCCCUUGCAUGUGCGUACAUACCUUUGUUCCAUUCUCAAACAGAUAGAACAUUUAUGAUCGGUGCAUGGCUAUUUUUCAUCACAUGACAUCCAGAUAACAAGCAUGAAAGGACUACAUUGGAGAUCAAAAAAUAUUGGUUCCUGGCUAGAGGACCACUACCUAUGGACUUGUCUCCAUAGAAUUUGUUCCCAAGAUGUUAUUUUAAUUAACCUCUUUAGCUUUCUUCCAUUGCAAACGGUGAUGUGCAUCUUGGUAUAUACGUGACCAUCUUGCACAUGUAUACACAAGAGGCUCAGACGGAGGUGCUGGAUUCUGGACGAGGGAAUAUGAAGCAGCAGUGAGCGAAGAGUAAAUAAUGGUGGGAGUACCGAUUGGUGUUAUGAAGAAAAAUGCCAUCCAAAGAUUGAUUAGUGUCAUGGAAGAUUAAUUUCUGAAUGCGAAUAUAUAUGUUACAUUGGUUUGGAUCUUUUUGAGAUAAUUGCACAUAAAUUAGGUUCUUUCUUAUUUCAUAUGUAUACCUUAUUUCAGUAAAAGUUCACAACGAACUUAGUAGGACAAAUAUAAUUUUGUUUGUUCUUUCUGUUGUCCGCCACCAAAGCUCAAUUUGAACUCUCUAGAAAUGGACAAUGAUUUAUGCAUUCUAUAUCUUCUUGAUUCAUUAGCCAUGACAAGGAAAUAAAAGGAUUGACUGAUAUAGCAUAACUUUGGAACGAUCUGUUCGUAGAGGUUACUACAAAUUAGAGUAGUGUCUGCUGGAAUUUUGCCAGUAGGUCUUUGGCCCAAAGCCCAACUAAAAUUCUGAAAUUCUCUUGGCUCAUUUAUGCACACAUGUGAGUUGAGUGAGUGAGACUAAAGUUUAGUCCCACCCCGGAGUUGAGAGAGAGUUGCACCUCUUUAUAAGGUGAGCUCUUCUACCACUUGUAUGAGCAUGAGAAGAGGAGACCUACACGCGCGCUCCUCCUCCUCGCUCGCCACGCCUCGCCGCGCCGCGCCGCGGGUUGCGGGAUUGAGCCGAGCCGAGGACGUUGUCUAUAUUUUUGCUGCUCGGGAAAAAUUAAUGAGUCAUUAAUUAAUAAUUAAUGGACGCAUUAAUUACUGAACCGUUUCCGAUUUUUUUGGAUCGUGACGAAUCGGACGCGGGGUUUACUCCCAGGACCUACCCGGCCCGCACUAUAUAGUCAGGCAGACGUCUACCCUAGCCGCCGCCGCUUCAUAUGGUUUCUCACCAUCGUUACAGAUCAUUGCGCCACCAAGCAAGUUUUCUCCAUCCCUCCUUUCGGCGUGCACCGGGAGAAGGGAUAGCAGACCUCCGGAACCCCGCCUCUCGUGAUCCUGUACGGGAGAGGGGCGAUCAGGCUUUUGGGGAGCACACUCGCACUACUGUUGGCAGCGACGACUUCGCAAACGAGGACUUCUUCCCCGACCUCGGCAACCUCAUCCUCGACGACAUGGGCGACAACGUCAACGCCGGCGGUGCUACACCCACUGCACCGUAUGUUAUUCUCUCCUUCUUGUUCGAGGUCGUGGUAGAAUUCAAAGUAUAUGUGCCCUAGAUGUGAUCUGUUCAUCUACUAUGGUAGUUCGCAUGAUUAGUUUAAUCUCUGCUAUUGCUGUCAUGAUCUAUUUCCUAUUUAUUCGGAUUAAAUCUCGUAGUAAUUUGCUCAUUUUUCCAACAAUCCAAAAACCUGAUUAAUGGAAAUUUACUCCGAGUGGUUUUGCUGCGCAUCUGAAAGCCGCUUGCCUUUAAGGGGGCGCAAUAUAAGAGGUGGCUCACAAGAGUAGUCUACUGGUUUCAGAUCAUGGGCUGCUAUGACGCCACCAAGGGCAAGCCUGAGGGCGAUCUUAAUCCAGCACAGCUGGAUGCUAUGACAACGGCAAGAACACGUGGGCUACGCUCGAGGCCAAGUUUGGUGCCUCGGACGCCGGCAGCGAGUUGUACGUCAUGGAGCAAUUCUAUGACUCCAAGAUGACUGAUGAGCGCCCUGUUGUACAGCAGGCUCAUGAGAUACAGUUGCUCGCAAAAGAACUUGAGUACUUCAUGUUGGGGAACGUAGUAAUUUCAAAAAAAUUCCUACGCACACGCAAGAUCAUGGUGAUGCAUAGCAACGAGGGGGAGAGUCUGAUCUACGUACCCUUGUAGAUCGCAACGGAAGUGUUGACACAGCGUAGAGGAAGUAGUCGUACGUCUUCUUCCCGAUCCGACCGAUCCAAGCACCGUUACUCCGGCACCUCCGAGUUCUUAGCACACGUUCAGCUCGAUGACGAUCCCCGGGCUCCGAUCCAGCAAAGCUUCGGGGAGGAGUUCCGUCAGCACGACGGCGUGGUGACGAUCUUGAUGUUCUACCGACGCAGGGCUUCACCUAAGCACUACAACGGUAUGAUCGAGGUGGAAUAUGGUGGCAGGGGGCACCGCACACGGCUAAGGAACGAUCUCAAUGAUCAACUUGUGUGUCUAGAGGUGCCCCCUGCCCCCGUAUAUAAAGGUUGCCAGGGGGAGGGCUGGCCGGCCAAGCUAUGGAGGCGCAGGAGGAGUCCUACUCCUACCGGGAGUAGGACUCCCCCCAAUCCUAUUCCUAAUAGGACUCCCAAGUGGAAAGAGAGGGAGAGAGGUGGCCGGCCACCUCUCCUAGUCCUAAUAGGACUAGGGGAGGGGGGAGGCGUGCAGCCCACCUUGGGCUGCCCCUUUCACCUUGCCACUAAGGCCCAAUAAGGCCCAUUUGGUUCCCGGGGGGUUCCGGUAACCUCCCGGUACUCCGGUAAAAUCCCGAUUUCUCCCGAAACACUUCCGAUGUCCAAACAUAGGCUUCCAAUAUAUCAAUCUUGAUGUCUCGACCAUUUCGAGACUCCUCAUGAUGUCCGCGAUCACAUCCGGGACUCCGAACAACCUUCGGUACAUCAAAAUGCAUAAACUCAUAAUAACUGUCAUCGUAACGUUAAGCGUGCGGACCCUACGGUUCGAGAACAAUGUAGACAUGACCGAGACACGUCUCCGGUCAAUAACCAAUAGCGGGACCUGGAUGCCCAUAUUGGCUCCUACAUAUUCUACGAAGAUCUUUAUCGGUCAGACCGCAUAACAACAUACGUUGUUCCCUUUGUCAUCGGUAUGUUACUUGCCCGAGAUUCGAUCAUCGGUAUCCAAUACCUAGUUCAAUCUCGUUACCGGCAAGUCUCUUUACUCGUUCUGUAAUACAUCAUCCCGCAACUAACUCAUUAGUUGCAAUGCUUGCAAGGGUUGUAUAAUGUGCAUUACCGAGAGGGCCCAGAGGUACCUCUCCGACAAUCGGAGUGACAAAUCCUAUUCUCGAAAUACGCCAACCCAACAUCUACCAUUGGAAACACCUGUAGUACUCCUUUAUAAUCACCCAGUUACGUUGUGACGUUUGGUAGCACCCAAAGUGUUCCUCCGGCAAACGGGAGUUGCAUAAUCUCAUAGUCAUAGGAACAUGUAUAAGUCAUGAAGAAAGCAAUAGCAACAUACUAAACGAUCGGGUGCUAAGCUAAAGGAAUGGGUCAUGUCAAUCAGAUCAUUCAUCUAAUGAUGUGAUCCCAUUAAUCAAAUAACAACUCUUUGUCCAUGGUUCGGAAACAUAACCAUCUUUGAUUAACGAGCUAGUCAAGUAGAGGCAUACUAGUGACACUCUGUUUGUCUAUGUAUUCACACAUGUAUUAUGUUUCCGGUUAAUACAAUUCUAGCAUGAAUAAUAAAUAUUUAUCAUGAUAUAAGGAAAUAAAUAAUAACUUUAUUAUUGCCUCUAGGGCAUAUUUCCUUCAGUCUCCCACUUGCACUAGAGUCAAUAAUCUAGAUCACAUCACCAUGUGAUUAACAUCGAUAGUUCACAUCAUCAUGUGAUUAACACCCAUAGUUCACAUCGCCAUGUGACCAACACCCAAAGGGUUUACUAGAUUCAGUAAUCUAGUUCACAUUGCUAUGUGAUUAACACCCAAAGAGUACUAAGGUGUGAUCAUGUUUUGCUUGUGAGAGAAUCUUAGUCAACGGGUCUGCCACAUUCAGAUCCACAUGUAUUUUGCAAAUUUCUAUGUCAACAAUGCUCUGCAUGGAGCUACUUUAGCUAAUUGCUCCCACUUUCAAUAUGUAUCUAGACCGAGACUUAGAGUCAUCUAGAUUAGUGUCAAAACUUGCAUCGGCGUAACCCUUUACGACGAAUCUUUUUAUCACGUCCAUAAUCGAGAAACAUAUCCUUAUUUCACUAAGGAUAAUUCUGACCGAUGUCCAGUGAUCUACUCCUAGAUCACUAUUGUACUCCCUUGCCAAAUCAGUGCCGGGUAUACAAUAGAUUUGGUAUACAGCAUGUCAUACUUUAUAGAACCUAUGGCCAAGGCAUAGGGAAUGACUUUCAUUCUCUUUCUAUCUUCUGCCGUGGUUGGGCUUUGAGUCUUACUCAACUUCACACCUUAUAAUACAGGCAAGAACUCUUUCUUUGACUGCUCCAUUUUGAACUACUUCAAAAUCUUGUCAAGGUAUGUACUCAUUGAAAAAACUUAUCAAGCGUCUUGAUCUAUCUCUAUAGAUCUUGAAGCUCAAUAUGUAAGCAGCUUCACCGAAGUCUUUCUUUGAAAAACUCCUUUCAAACACUCCUUUAUGCUUUAUAGAAUAAUUCUACAUUAUUUCCGAUUAACAAUAUGUCAUUCACAUAUACUUAUCAGAAAUGUUGUAGUGCUACCACUCACUUUCUUGUAAAUACAGGCUUCACCGCAAGUCUGUAUAAAACUAUAUGCUUUGAUCAACUCAUCAAAGCAUAUAUUCCAACUCCGAGAUGCUUGCACCAGUCCACAGAUGGAUCGCUGGAGCUUGCACAUUUUGUUAGCACCUUUCGGAUUGACAAAACCUUCUGUUGCAUCAUGUACAACUCUUCUUUAAUAAAUCCAUUAAGGAAUGCAGUUUUGUUUAUCCCUUUGCCAGAUUUCAUAAAAUGCGGCAAUUACUAACAUGAUUCGGACAGACUCAAGCAUAGAUACGAGUGAGAAGCUCUCAUCGUAGUCAUCACCUUGAACUUGUCGAAAAACUUUUGCGACAAUUCUAGCUUUGUAGAUAGUAACACUACUAUCAGCGUCCGUCUUCCUCUUGAAGAUCCAUUUAUUCUCAAUUGCUUGCCGAUCAUCGGGCAAGUCAACCAAAGUCCAAACUUUGUUCUCAUACAUGGAUCAUAUCUCAGAUUUCAUGGCCUCAAACCAUUUCGCGGAAUCUGGGCUCAUCAUCGCUUCCUCAUAGUUCGUAGGUUCGUCAUGGUCAAGUAACAUGACCUCCAGAACAGAAUUACCGUACCACUCUGGUGCGGAUCUCACUCUAGUUUACCUACGAGAUUCCGUAGUAACUUGAUCUGAAGUUACAUGAUCAUCAUCAUUAGCUUCCUCACUAAUUUGUGUAGUAGUCACAAGAACAGAUUUUUGUGAUGAACUACUUUCCAAUAAGGUAGAAGGUACAAUUACCUUAUCAAGUUUUCUACUUUCCUCCCACUUACUUCUUUCAAGAGAAACUCCUUCUCUAGAAAGGAUCCAUUAUAAGCAACGAAUGUCUUGCCUUAGGAUCUGUGAUAGAAGGUGUACCCAACAGUCUCCUUUGGGUAUCCUAUGAAGACAUAUUUCUCCGAUUUGGGUUUGAGCUUAUCAGGAUGAAACUUUUUCUCAUAAGCAUCGCAACCCCAAACUUCAAGAAACGACAACUUUGGUUUCGUGCCAAACCAUAGUUCAUAAGGCGUCGUCUCGACGGAUAUAGAUGGUGCCCCUUUUUUUAACGUGAAUGCAGCUGUCUCUAAUGCAUGACCCCAAAAACGAUAGUGGUAAAUCGGUAAGAAACAUCAUAGAUUGCACUAUAUCCAAUAAAGUACGGUUAUGGCGUUCGGACACACCAUUAUGCUGUGGUGUUCCAGGUGGCGUGAGUAGUGAAACUAUUUCACAUUGUUUUAACUGAAGACCAAACUUGUAACUGAAAUACUCUUUUCCACGAUCAGAUCGUAGAAACUUUAUUUUCUUGUUACGAUGAUUUUCCACUUCACUCUGAAAUUCUUUGAACUUUUCAAAUGUUUCCGACUUAUGUUUUAUCAAAUAGAUAUACUCAUAUCUGCUCAAAUCAUCUGUGAAGAUCAGAAAAUAAUGAUACCUAUCGCGAGCCUCAAUAUUCAUCGGACCACAUACAUCAGUAUGUAUGAUUUCCAACAAAUCUGUUGCUCGCUCCAUUGUUCAGAAGAACAAAGUCUUAGUCAUCUUGCCCAAAAGGCAUGGUUCGCAAGCAUCAAGUGAUUCCGAAAGCCCAUCAGCAUGGAGCGCUUUAUACCAAUAUGACCUAAACGGCAGUGCCACAAAUAAGUUGCACUAUCAUUAUUAACUCUGCAUCCUUUGGUUUCAAUAUUAUGAAUAUGUGUAUCACUACGAUCGAGAUCCAACGAACUUGUUUCAUUGGGUGUAUGACCAUCGAAGGUUUUAUUCAUGUAAACAGAACAACAAUUAUUCUCUGACUUUAAUGAAUAACCGUAUUGCAAUAAAUAUGAUCAAAUCAUAUUCAUGCUCAACGCAAAAACCAAAUAACACUUAUUUAAGUUCAACACUAAUCCCGAAAGUAUAGGGGAGUGUGCGAUGAUGAUCAUAUCAAUCUUGGAACUACUUCCAACACACAUCGUCACUUCACCCUUAACUAGUCUCUAUUUAUUCUGCAACUCCUGUUUUGAGUUACUACUCUUAGCAACUGAACCAAUAUCAAAUACUAAGGGGUUGCUAUAAACACUAGUAAAGCACACAUCAAUAACAUGUAUAUCAAAUAUACUUUUGUUCACUUUGCCAUCCUUCUUAUCCGCCAAUCACUUGGGGUAGUUCCGCUUCUAGUGACCAGUCCCUUUGCAGUAGAAGCACUUAGUCUCAGGCUUAGGAUCAGACUUGGGCCUCUUCACUUGAGCAGCAACUUGCUUGCCGUUCUUCUUGAAGUUCCCCUUCUUCCCUUUGCCCUUUUCUUGAAACUAGUGGUCUUGUCAACCAUCAACACUUGAUGUUUUUCUUGAUUUCUACCUUCGUUUAUUUCAGCAUCACGAAGAGCUUGGGAGUUGUUUCUGUUAUCCCUUGCAUAUUAUAGUUCAUCACGAAGUUCUACUAACUUGGUGAUGGUGACUAGAGAAUUCUGUCAAUCACUAUCUUAUCUGGAAGAUUAACUCCCACUUGAUUCAAGCGAUUUUAGUACCCAGACAAUCUGAGCACAUGCUCACUAGUUGAGCGAUUCUCCUCCAUCUUUUAGCCAUAGAACUUGCUGGAAACUUCAUAUCUCUCAACUCGGGUAUUUGCUUGAAAUAUUAACUUCAACUCUUGGAACAUCUCAUAUGGUCUAUGACGUUCAAAACGUCUUUGAAGUCCCGAUUCUAAGCCAUUAAGCAUGGUGCACUAAACUAUCAAGUAGUCAUCAUAUUGAGCUAGCCAAACGUUCAUAACGUCUGCAUCUGCUCCUGCAAUAGGUUUGUCACCUAGCGGUGCAUCAAGGACAUAAUUCUUCUGUGCAGCAAUGAGGAUAAAACUCAGAUCACGGAUCCAAUCCGCAUCAUUGCUACUAACAUCUUUCAACACAAUUUUCUCUAGGAACAUAUCAAAAUAAACACAGGGAAGCAACAACGCGAGCUAUUGAUCUAUAACAUGAUUUACAAAAUACUACCAGGACUAAGUUCAUGAUAAAUUUAAGCUCAAUUAAUCAUGUUACUUAAGAACUCCCACUUAGAUAGACAUCCCUCUAAUCCUCUAAGUGAUCACGUGAUCCAAAUCAACUAAACCAUAACCGAUCAUCACGUGAAAUGGAUUAGUUUUCAAUGGUGAACAUCAUUAUGUUGAUGAUAUCUACUAUAUGAUUCACGCUCGACCUUUCGGUCUCCGUGUUCCGAGGCCAUAUCUUUAUAUGCUAGGCUCGUCAAGUUUAACCUGAGUAUUCUGCGUGUGCAAAACUGGCUUGCACCAGUUGUAGAUGGACGUAGAGCUUAUCACACCCGAUCAUCACGUGGUGUCUGGGCACGACGAACUUUGGCAACGGUGCAUACUCAGGGAGAACACUUCUUGAUAAUUUAGUGAGAGAUCAUCUUAUAAUGCUACCGUCAAUCAAAGCAAGAUAAGAUGCAUAAAAAGAUAAACAUCACAUGCAAUCAAUAUAAGUGAUAUGAUAUGGCCAUCAUCAUCUUGUGCUUGUGAUCUCCAUCUCCGAAGCACCGUCAUGAUCACCAUCGUCACCGGCGCGACACCUUGAUCUCCAUCGUAGCAUCGUUGUCGUCUCGCCAAUCUUAUGCUUCCACGACUAUCGCUACCGCUUAGUGAUAAAGUAAAGCAUUACAUCGCGAUUGCAUUGCAUACAAUAAAGCGACAACCAUAUGGCUCCUGCCAGUUGCCGAUAACUCGGUUACAAAACAUGAUCAUCUCAUACAAUAAAAUUUAGCAUCAUGCCUUGACCAUAUCACAUCACAACAUGCCCUGCAAAAACAAGUUAGACGUCCUCUACUUUGUUGUUGCAAGUUUUACGUGGCUGCUACGGGCUUAAGCAAGAACUCAUCUCACCUACGCAUCAAAACCACAACGAUAGUUUGUCAAAUAGAUUCCGUUUUAACCUUCUCAAGGACCGGGCGUAGCCACACUUGGUUCAACUAAAGUUGGAGAGACAGUCGCCCGCAAGCCAUCUAUGUGCAAAGCACGUCGAGGGAACCGGUCUCGCGUAAGCGUACGCGUAAGGUUGGUCCGGGUCGUCUCGUCCAACAAUACCGCCGAACCAAAGUAUGACAUGCUGGUAGGCAGUAUGACUUGUAUCGCCCACAACUCACUUGUGUUCUACUCGUGCAAAUAAUAUCAAACCAUAAAACCUAGGCUCGGAUGCCACUGUUGGGGAACGUAGUAAUUUCAAAAAAUUUCCUACGCACACGCAAGAUCAUGGUGAUGCAUAGCAACGAGGGGGAGAGUCUGAUCUACGUACCCUUGUAGAUCGCAACGGAAGCGUUGACACAACGUAGAGGAAGUAGUCGUACGUCUUCUUCCCGAUCCGACCGAUCCAUGCACCGUUACUCCGGCACCUCUGAGUUCUUAGCACACGUUCAGCUCGAUGACGAUCCCCGGGCUCCGAUCCAGCAAAGCUUCGGGGAGGAGUUCCGUCAGCAUGACAGCGUGGUGACGAUCUUGAUGUUCUACCGACGCAGGGCUUCGGCUAAGCACUACAACGGUAUGGUCGAGGUGGAAUAUGGUGGCAGGGGGCACUGGACACGGCUAAGGAACGAUCUCAAUGAUCAACUUGUGUGUCUAGAGGUGCCCCUACCCUCGUAUAUAAAGGUUGCCAGGGGAGGGCUGGCCGGCCAAGCUAUGGAGGCGCAGGAGGAGUCAAACUCCUACCGGGAGUAGGACUCCCCCCCCCCAAUCUUAUUCCUAAUAGGACUCCCAAGGGGAAAGAGAGGGAGAGAGGUGGCCGGCCACCUCUCCUAGUCCUAAUAGGACUAGGGGAGGGGGGAGGCGCGCAGGCCACCUUGGGCUGCCCCUUUCACCUUUCCACUAAGGCCCAAUAAGGCCCAUUUGGUUCCCGGGGGUUCCGGUAACCUCCCGGUACUCCGGUAAAAUCCCGAUUUCUCCCGGAACACUUCCGAUGUCCAAACAUAGGCUUCCAAUAUAUCAAUCUUUAUGUAUCGACCAUUUCGAGACUCCCCGUCAUGUCCAGGAUCACAUCCGGGACUCCGAACAACCUUCGGUACAUCAAAAUGCAUAAACUCAUAAUAACUGUCAUCGUAACGUUAAGCGUGCGGACCCUACGGUUCGAGAACAAUGUAGACAUGACCGAGACACGUCUCCGGUCAAUAACCAAUAGCGGGACCUAGAUGCCCAUAUUGGCUCCUACAUAUUCUACGAAGAUCUUUAUCGGUCAGACCGCAUAACAACAUACGUUGUUCCCUUUGUCAUCGGUAUGUUACUUGCCUGAGAUUCGAUCGUCGGUAUCCAAUACCUAGUUCAAUCUCGUUACCGGCAAGUCUCUUUACUCAUUCUGUAAUACAUCAUCUCGCAACUAACUCAUUAGUUGCAAUGCUUGCAAGGCUUGUAUAAUGUGCAUUACCGAGAGGGCCCAGAGGUACCUCUCCGACAAUCGGAGUGACAAAUCCUAUUCUCGAAAUACGCCAACCCAACAUCUACCAUUGGAAACACCUGUAGUACUCCUUUAUAAUCACCCAGUUACAUUGUGAUGUUUGGUAGCACCCAAAGUGUUCCUCCGGCAAACGGGAGUUGCAUAAUCUCAUAGUCAUAGGAACAUGUAUAAGUCAUGAAGAAAGCAAUAGCAACAUACUAAACGAUCGGGUGCUAAGCUAAUGGAAUGGGUCAUGUCAAUCAGAUCAUUCAUCUAAUGAUGUGAUCCCAUUAAUCAAAUAACAACACUUUGUCCAUGGUUAGGAAACAUAACCAUCUUUGAUUAACGAGCUAGUCAAGUAGAGGCAUACUAGUGACACUCUGUUUGUCUAUGUAUUCACACAUGUAUUAUGUUUCUGGUUAAUACAAUUCUAGCAUGAAUAAUAAAUAUUUAUCAUGAUAUAAGGAAAUAAAUAAUAACUUUAUUAUUGCCUGUAGGGCAUAUUUCCUUCACUUCAAGUGUGUGUUGCCGAACAAAUUUGUUGCCGGAGGCAUCAUUGCCAAGCUUCCACCUUCGUGGAACAAUUUUGCUACUUCCCUGAAACACAAGAGACAGGAGUUUUUCGUUGCGGAUCUCAUUGGUACUCUUGAUGUUGAAGAGAAGGCGAGAGCAAAGGAUACACGUGCUCGAGUUGCUGAGGGAGGUUCUAGUGCCCACAUGGUACAGAAGAAGAUCUUCCAGCCCAACAAGUUCAAAAACAACAAGAACAAAACUUAGGGCAAAGGCAAGUUUGAUACAAAGAACAAGCCAUCACAUUCUACCAACUUCAAGAAGAACUCUCAUAAGAAGGGGAAGGGACUUUGCCAUGUCUGCGGUGAUCCUAAUCACUGGGCUCCGAAGUGUCCUAACCGCUUUGAGGAGCGCGAACAUGAGAAGAGCGGCAAGUCUGCUAAUGUUGUCAUCGGUGAUACUGAUAUGAAGGAAUCAGGGUACGGUAUUUUUCCUACCAUCCUUUCAGUAUUCCAAAUCCCUGAUUGGUUAAUUGACAUCGGUGCCAAUGUACAUGUUUGUGCUGAUGCCUCCAUGUUUUCUUCUUACCAGGCCACUUGGACUUCUCCUGUGCUGAUGGGGAACGGGUCACAUGCCAUCGUUCGAGGUGUUGGUGCGGUCAAUCUGAAGUUUACUUCGGGGAAGACCGUGCGUCUGAAGAACGUUCAUCAUGAGCCGUCCAUCAAUAAAAAUCUCGUUAGCGGUUCCCGUUUAUGUCGAGAUGGUUUUAAGUUGGUUUUCGAAUCCAAUAAAGUUAUAAUUUCUAAGUAUGGACAAUUUGUUGGAAAAGGCUAUGAGAGCGGAGGCUUGUUUCGCCUGUCUUUGUCAGAUAUUUGCACUAAAGUUAUUAAUAAUGUUUGCCACAACAAUGAGUCUGAUAUUUGGCAUUCACGACUUUGUCACAUUAACUUUGGUUGCAUGACCCGGCUAGCCAAUAUGAAUUUAAUUCCGAAAUCUCUACUGUCAAAGGCUCUAAGUGCCAAGUAUGUGUGAAAGCUAAGCAACCUCGCAAAUCCCAUAAGACUGCAGAGGCGACAGACUUGGCGCCACUAGAGCUUAUACAUUCUGAUAUUUGUGAGAUGAAUGGCGUGUGGACAAAAGGUGGAAAGAGAUACUUCAUGACGUUGAUUGAUGACUCCACUAGAUAUUGUUAUGUGUAUCUUAUGAAAUCAAAAGAUGAGGCUUUGGCUUUCUUCAAAAACUAUAAAGCUGAGGCAGAGAACCAACUUGAUCGAAAAAUUAAACGGCUUAGGUCCGAUCAUGGUGGAGAGUAUUUUUCCAAUGAAUUUGAUCUAUUUUGUGCGGAACAUGGUAUAAUCCAUGAGAGGAUGCCUCCCUACUCACCCCAGUCAGAUGCGGUAGCCGAAAGAAAGAACCAAACUCUAACUGAUAUGGUUAACACCAUGUUAGACACUUCGGGUCUAUCCAAGGAAUGGUGGGGGGAGGCGCUAAUGACUGCGUGUCAUGUCCUAAACCGAGUUCCCACAAAGCAUAAGACCAUGACUCCAUUUGAGGAAUGUUAAAGGAAAAGGUUGAAACUCUCUUACCUACGUACUUGGGGUUGUUUGGCGAAAGUCAAUAUACCAAUUCCCAAGAAGCGCAAGCUUGGACCAAAAACCGUGGGUUGUGUUCUUCUUGGGUAUGCUUUUCAUAGCAUCGGCUAUAGAUUUUUGAUAAUAAAAUCUGAGGUAUCCGACAUGCAUGUUGGUACGAUUAUGGAGUCGAAUGAUGCAACUUUCUUUGAGGACAUAUUUCCUAUGAAGGAUAUGUUGAGUUCAUCAAAUCAGGAGACACCUACUCCACCUAGUGAGGAAUUCACUGUAAUUCCUGAACCCACCAUUGCGAUGGAACACAUAGAGAAUCCUGUUGAGGGUGACAAUGGAACUCCUGUGAGGAGUAAGAGACAUAGGACUACAAAGUCCUUUGGUGAUGAUUUCAUUGUGUACCUCGUGGAUGACACACCCAGGACUAUUUCAGAAGCCUGUGCAUCUCUUGAUGCUGACUACUGGAAGGAAGCUGUACAUAGCGAGAUGGAUUCCAUCUUAGGUAACAGAACCUGGGAGAUCACUGACCGUCCUUAUGGGUGAAAACCUGUAGGAUGUAAGUGGGUGUUCAAGAAGAAGCUUAGACCUGAUGGUACGAUUGAAAAGUACAAGGCACGGCUUGUGGCCAAGGGUUAUACCCAGAAAGAAGGUGAAGACUUCUUUGAUACUUACUCACCCGUGGCUAGAAUGACCACAAUUUGGGUGCUACUAUCACUUGUUGCCUCACAUGGUCUUCUCGUUCAUCAAAUGGACGUUAAGACAGCUUUCCUCAAUGGAGAGUUGAAGGAGGAAAUUUACAUGGAUCAGCCAGAUGGUUUUGUAGUACCUGGUUAGUAAGGAAAGUUGUGCAAGUUAUUAAAGUCUUUAUAUGGCCUUAAACAAGCUCCUAAAGAGUGGCAUGAGUAGUUUGAAAGAACAUUAACUGCUGCCGGCUUUGUAGUAAACGAUGGUGACAAGUGCGUGUACUAUCGCUAUGGUGGUGGCGAAGGAGUUAUUCUUUGUCUGUAUGUCGACGACAUAUUGAUCUUUGGAACGAAACUUGAUUUAAUCAAGGAGGUUAAGGAUUUCUUAUCUCGCUAUUUUGAGAUGAAGGAUCUAGGAGUAGUUGAUGUUAUCUUAAACAUCAAGCUGUUGAGAGAUGAGAAUGAUGGGAUCACACUGCUUCAGUCUCACUAUGUGGAAAAGGUCUUGAGUCGUUUUGGGUAUAGCGACUGCACACCUUCUCCAACUACAUAUGAUGCUAGCAUGUUGCAUCGAAAGAAUCGACGGAUUGCUAGAGAUCAACUGAGGUAUUCUCAUAUUAUUGGCUCGCUUAUGAUUUGGCGAGUGCCACGAGGCCAAACAUCUCGUUUGCUGUUAGCAAGCUGAGUCGAUUUGUGUCAAAACUAGGAGAUGAUUAUUGGCAUGCGCUUGAGAGAGUUAUGCGCUAUUUGAAAGGCACCGCGAGCUAUGGGAUUCACUACACCGGGUAUCCAAGGGUACUGGAGGGUUAUAGUGACUCAAACUGGAUAUCUGAUGCUAAUGAGAUUAAGGCCACAAGUGGUUAUGUUUUUACACUUGGUGGUGGCGCUGUUUCUUGGAAGUCCUGCAAGCAGACCAUCUUAAUGAGGUCAACUAUGGAAGCAGAACUCACAACAUUAGAAACUGCUACUGUUGAAGCAGUGUGGCUUCGUGAGCUCUUGAUGGACUUUCCUAUGGUUGAAAAACCAAUACCCCCUAUCCCAAUGAACUGUGAUAAUCAAACUGUGAUCGUCAAGAUAAACAGUUCUAAGGACAAUAUGAAGUCCUCAAGGCAUGUGAAGAGGAGACUGAAAUCUGUUAGAAAAUUGAGGAACUCCGGAGUUAUUACGUUGGAUUAUAUCCAAACGUCAAAAAAAUUGGCAGAUCCCUUCACAAAGGGUCUAUCACGUAAUGUGAUAGAUAAUGCAUCGAUGGAGAUGGGUUUGAGACCCACCGCAUGAGUUGUCCAUAGUGGUAACCCACUCUUUGUGAUCGGAGAUCCCGUGAAGUAGAAGUGGGAGACAAGCUGUUGGUCAGCUGGGAGGAGAGUAUCCCUAUAUUACCUGUCCCACUCCAUGAAGAUGCAACACUCUCCUAAUCUGCAUGGCAGGUUGAUACUUAUCUUAAUGUGUUCCAAGUGGCUUAUUCGGGUAAGCAGAGAUGUUGUCCUGCGGAACAUCUUCUGAGGAACACACCUAUAUGAAUUUGAUUGUUAACGUCGCAGUCUGUGAGAAUUGGGUGUUCUCUAAUAAAUUCAUGAAAAGGCCCUGGAGUAUGACGUAUAAGCUCCACCCGCAGGGAAGCCUUGCGGCAGCCCAGUAUCGGUCAAGAAUUUGUGUGAAACUAGUCUCGCAGAAAAUUUGUAGUUCAAGGCAUAGUCCACUAUUCAAGUUGUGAUCUAGUGUAGCAUAAAUCUCUAAGUGGAAGUUCAACUUCAAAGUCUCCACUAAGCCCCGGUAUAUAAACAAUGUUUUGGAACUAAAUGAUGAGAUGUGCCAAUGAGACUUUGUGGGGGAUUGUUGGAAUUUUGCUAGUAUGCCUUUGGCCCAAAGCCCAACUAAAAUUCUGAAAUUCUCUUCGCCCAUUCAUGCACACAUGUGAGUGGAGUGAGUGAGACUAAAGUUUAGUCCCACCCCGGAAGUUGAGAGAGAGCACCUCUUUAUAAGGUGAGCUCUUCUACCACUUGUAUGAGCAUGAGAGUAGGAGACCUACACACGCGCUGCUCCUCCUCGCUCACCACGCCACGCCUGGUCACGACGCGCCGCGGGUUGCGGGAUUGAGCCGAGCCGAGGUCAGAGCUAUGCACGUUGUCUAUUUUUUGCUACCCCGGAAAAUUAAUGAGUCAUUAAUUAAUAAUUAAUGGACGUGUUAAUUACUAAACCGUUUCCGAUUCUUUUGGAUCAUGACGACUCGGACGUGGGGUUUACUCCCACGACCUACCAGGCCCGCACUAUAUAGUCCGGCAGACGUGUACCCUAGCUGUCGCCGCUUCGUAUGGUUUCUCACCACCGUUCCAGAUCAUUGCGUCGCCAAGCAAGUCUUCUCCAUCCCUCCUUUCGGCGUGCACCGGGAGAAGGGACAGCAGGCCUCCGGAACCCCGCCUCUCGUGAUCCUGUAUGGGAGAGGGGCGAUCAGGUUUUUGGGGAGCGCACUCGCGCGACUUCUGGCAGCGACGACUUCGCGAAUGACGACUUCUUCCCUGACCUCGGCAACCUCAUCCUCGACGACAUGGGCGACAACGUCAACGCCGGCGGUCCUGCACCCGCUGCACCGUAUGUUAUUCUAUCCUUCUUGUUCGAGAUCGUGGUAGAAUUCAGGUUUCUAGUAUAUGCCCUAGAUGUGAUCUGUUCAUCUACUAUGCUAGUUCGCAUGAUUAGUUUAAUCUCUGCUAUUGCUGUCAUGAUCUAUUUCCUAUUUAUUCGGAUUAAAUCUCGUAGUAAUUUGCUCAUUUUUCCAAUAGUACCAUCUAAUAGAUGAUGUAAAUCUCCUCUAGUUUGACGUUGUUGAGCUAAUUUACAAAAAAAAAACCUCAUCAUUAUUGGACGUCCUUAACAGCUCAAGAACAAGUUGGGGUCGAACUAAUGGAUUUUACACUUUUACAUUAAAGGUUUAGCUAAAGCUAGCAGGUGUUUUUAAACCUGAAUUUUUUUUUCCUCCUGAAUUUCUUUGUAUUUUCUUAUUGACACUAUUUAUACAAUCAUCUGACAAAGAUUAGCUAAAGAUGUUUGUAGAUACGUUGAAACCUGAAAAGCUUCUUUGGUUAUCCUUUUAAUAGUUCUACGUUUAAUUUCUCAUAGGUCAUAAUUCUUAUGUAAUACCAAGAUGCAUUGUGGUAGUGUACAUGUGUUCAAUUCAGGUUGUUAUUCACAAUUUGCGACAAAAUUUAGCUCACGCUACAUUUAAAUAUGUUGAAAUGUGAAUGCUCUUUUUCUUCUCCUUUCUACACCUUGCAUCGGAUUGCAUCCCUUUAGUUAUCCAACAUUUUGUACAACAUGUAGAGAUUAGGAAGUUCAUCAUAGUUUGUCUAUUUCCGUGCUAAUAAAUGUAUGAAAUCUGCAUUUCCAAGCUACUAGGACAAGUAAAAAAUAAUAAUUUUACUAUAGGAUUCAAAAACAGCAGUUCUGAAGUGCACUUUAUUUAUUUUUGAAAGUGAUCACAUUUUGUUUCAUUUUUCUAUAGACAAAUCUACUAAUACAUACUCACGAUAAAACUAUAAAAAUUCUAGUCCGCACAUUGGGCGGGCCACCCGGCUAGUUAGUCUAAAGAUAACAAAAUGAGUCUGGAAUUUGAAUUAAAUUGAAGUAUUUUCUUGGACUUUCAAAUUAAGUUUUAUUAAAGUAGUAAGGACUAUCCACAUCCUUGGCUUGCCCCUGAUCAAUUAUUUCCAGAGAAGCAUUCGAUUCAUCAAUCAAUUACAUUGAUUUUAGUGGCUGGUACUUCUCCUCAACAUCAGUAUAUUCACCGUGGCCACUCCAAAUCGGCAAGAAUGAGGUACCAGUGCUCUGCAGCAGUGCAAGCUAAUUGCUUCUCAUGUGAAGGGGUGCGGGCGCAGGAGAGGUAUUUCUGGUGGGCCAAGGGACUAAGAAGCGACUGUGGCAGCGGUAUAGAUGCCCGCAAAGCCCCAUAGUUUGUUUUUCGUUUACAGGAAAAAUGCACAUCCAUACCAACCUUGGGAAUAUAGGACCGUAUUGGAUGGAAAACCAUGUCCGGAUGGUUGCGAGCGGUUUGAGGGUUAGCUUUUGUAACGCCCGGUUAGUUAUGCUAUAGCAAUUCCCUGCUAAUGAUGUCACGUCACCACGAUUACUAUUGUUAACCUCACAAUGAUUCAAUCCCCUUCAAAUUCAAAUUUAAAAUAAAGGUAAACAUCAAAAGUUUUCAAACAUUAAAACUAAAAUCUUUGAGAGGUGACAAAUAAUGCAUAAGUAAUUAUGGUGGAGAAACCACACUUUAAUCAAAUGUUUAAAUACUCUAAAAUGAAAAAAACAGUUGCUUAAACUAUUAUUUAAAUGCUUUUAAAAUAGUAAAAAUCUUCUAACUAAAUUAUUUGGGUACCAAACUUUUGGUGGCAGUGGUAUAUUUAGUAGAAUUAAUUUAGAUGCUAAUUAUAUAAUUUACAAAAUUAGAGUAAAUUGAAAAAUAGGAUAAAACGGAAAAGGAAAGACAAAACAAAUAAAAGCAAAAGGGGCCAACCCCUCGCUGGGCCUCGACCUAGCUGCCACUAGGCUAGCUAGGCUGGCCCCGGCGCCUCCCUUAACCCCCCCCCCCACUCCCCAUCGAACCCAAGCCCGAUCGCCCCACUUCCCCCACACCCCCUCGCCAGCCUCCCCACCUCUUGAUCCCAUCUGGAUCGGGGAGGGUAUUGCCCCCAUCGACCCCGUUGCCGUCGCCGGAUUGCCCGCCGAUGUCGCCAGGCCUCCUCCCCGCCGCCCGUCUCCGGCUCGCCUCCCCUCUCGCUCCUCUUCCCCGACCCGAUCUAGAUCGUGAACGAGCAAUGAGCUCGAAGCCCCCUUCACCGGCGCCAUCACCGUGCGCCACCACCACCGCCUGAGGACCUCACCGUCGCCGAAUCUAGCGUCGCCUCCUCGUAUCCCUCCCCUACUCGCGUCCUCAAGCCAGGACGAGCCCCUUCUCGGCAACGCUGUGAGACGCCCCCGUUUCCCUCCUCUUUCCACCGCGUUCAUCGCGCCGCCCGCCGUGCCCCUCGCCGUGCGCACGCCCACCACCGCACCAGCCCCCGCUCCGCGCACGACCCUACCCGCGCCCGCGCCAUGAUCCCCUUUUCCGCCCUACCUUCCUGCGCUCGCCGCGGUCCCGAUGCUCCCCCGCGCCCUCUUUCGGGGGCGCCGACCUCCCCUGUCCCGCUGCUCGGCGCCGUGCCUCGCAAUCGCUCUACUGCUAAGUUACUACUGCGCUGCGGCCGUCGCCUCUUCCUUCUGCUCCGCUAGCGCCGAAGCUCCCGAUUGGCUCCACCACUUCUCACGUUAAACCGCCGGCCUAAAUGGCCUAACCCCGGGCUAAUGAACCCCCACUAACCCACUGACACCGGGACCCACAUUCCCUAAUUAACCAUUUAAUAAAUUAAAACUCUUAAAUUAACAUUAGUGUAUGACAUGUGCGUCCCCUAUUAAUUAAUAAUUUUACUGCUAGUUUUCUUAGUUUCUGUUUUUCUGCAUAUUUCUUUUGUAUUUGAACAGGCUUUAUACAAUAAUAUUUAGCGUCUCAUACACAUACAAAUGUAAUUAUAGCAUAUACAUACAAAUAGUCUCAUCAAAUCAUGUGAUCAUCAUAAUCAUCAUCCAUCACAAAGUGAUCUCUCGUCAUCAUCUCGAAAAUAGCGAUACUAGUCUCGAUUACUUGCAACUACAUCGUCAUCCAUCUAAACAAUGAUAUACGCGAGAAGAGCUAUCACUAUGAGUGAGAGCGGAACUAUGCAGUACAUGAGUUUGUAUCCCUCUCUCACAUUAGCGUGAACCUAAACUAACUACUGGCUGUUGCUCGGAAACCGGAAAACGGUACACCUGGGCCUGACACUCCGGCCACUCGUCGUAUACUCCUGGCGUAGCACUUCUUCGCCAUCGAUGAUCUAUGCACCUGCAUCGUCACAUGAGUCGAUGAUAUGCAACAUAUAUAGUUGAGCAACAGAAAGAGACAGACGUGGCAAAAGUAGAAGCAACAUAUCAUAAGCAUAAAUAACAAAGCUCAUCGUACGCAAAAUGCCCUAACUAGAGUGAUCUGCGCUAGUCAAGGAGGACGGUUUAAUUACAUCACAAAUAAUGUUUCGUCGUGCAUUACUCAAAGUUCCGUCAUACAGAAAGUAUGAACUAAAUGGACACAUUGUCAUAUUUCGAAAAUCACUCCCACAUGUCGUGCCAUCCAUCCAAGUCAAGGAGAUAGUGCCCGAGCUUAGUGAAAGGCUUUAGGUCAAGAUGCUGAGUGGCUACGCGUGUUCGGACGUCUUCCCACGACAUUUGUCCUUCUUCAUAGAACAUCCCUGUUUUUUCGACGACCUCCUUCAUCACUAGAAGAAAAAGGGCCUGUUGUCCCGGUUCUGGAACCGGGACUAAAGGGUCGGUACUAAUGCCCUGUCCCUUUAGUCCCGGUUCAAUCCAGAACCGGGACAGAUGGGCCUCCACGUGGCCUGUGCGCGGAGCCCAGGCAGGAGACCCUUUGGUCCCGGUUGGUGGCACCAACCGGGAACAAUAGGCAUCCACGCGUCAGCAUUUCUGUGGUUGGGGUUUUUGUUNNNNNNNNNNNNNNNNNNNNNNNNNNNNNNNNNNNNNNNNNNNNNNNNNNNNNNNNNNNNNNNNNNNNNNNNNNNNNNNNNNNNNNNNNNNNNNNNNNNNNNNNNNNNNNNNNNNNNNNNNNNNNNNNNNNNNNNNNNNNNNNNNNNNNNNNNNNNNNNNNNNNNNNNNNNNNNNNNNNNNNNNNNNNNNNNNNNNNUGGUGUUUCAUAUAUUGUGUUAGCUAGCUAUAAUUAAUAGAGAAAAGUGUCCUCUCUUAUGUCCGUGCUUGGUCGACGCUACGUACUAUACAUACGUAUAGAGAGGACUAGACACGCUAGCUAGCUAGUAAGCAAACGAAGGAAACAGAAGAUCGUCAUGAACAUAUAUGCAUACAGGACUAGACACGCUAGCUAGCUAGUAACCAAACGAAGUUCAACUAGUAAUGGCGCACCACUCCCACGGUGCGCCAUUAGUAGUUUUGAAAAAAAUUAAUUUUUUUUUUUACUAAUGGCGCACUGUGGAUGUGGUGCGCCAUUAGUAUUUGGACACUAAUGGCGUACCAACACAUGGUGCGCCAUUAGUAUAUAGUAAUGGCGCACCACAGGUCUGGUGCGCCAUUAGUGUCAAUUCCAUCUAUAGCCCUUUUCCUAGUAGUGUUAGGGACGGUCUCAAUGAAACAACCCACCAUGUACUCCUGCAUGGCCUCUCAUCGAUACCUUUACCGAAACAUGUGCAACACAUUCCUCAUAUUACCGACAUAAUCAUAUCACCCUAGCCCAUCACCCAGAUGAACCAGACCUGACACAACUAUAAGCAUAGCAGGCAUAGCAAGGUAGGAAUCACAUACAUGGCUCAAUCAACUCCUACACAUGCUAGUGGGUUUCAUCUAGUUACUGUGGCAAUGACAGGUCAUGGAGAGGAUAAGGGUUCAACUACCGUAGCACACAGCAGUUUGAAUGGCGUUGUCUUAAUGCAGUAAACAAGAGCAGAGGCGAGAACAUGGGUUGUAUCGGAAUGAUCAAUGGGUUGCUUGACUGAUGGAGUGGUAGUGGGAUACUACCCUUCAGUUGGAUACUCGUGAAUAUCCUCGGAGGCAGAACCUACCACGAAGAACACAUCGGAACACAAUCAACACAUGACGAUAUGCAACACUAUGAUGCAUGCUAUGACAUGGCAUUAUGAAUGUGUCUUGGCCUAAUGCAAGCUAAAAUAGAAAGGGAUGAACUCAUUUGAAUCAAAGAUUCAAAUAUUAGCUCAUUAAACAUGGCCUUAGUAGUGCAUUUCCUUAUUCUGCUUAAACAGCAAGGUAAACUUGUUUUGUCAUACAUGAAACCAUUACAGAUGGAUGUAUUGAAUUUUUCUGAUAAUUUUUCAUAUAUAAAUUAUUUCAUUUGGAGUUACGGUUGAAUUUCUAUGAUUUUUAGAAGUUUUAAACAUUUUCUGGAAUUUCCUGAAUAAAAAUAAAUCCAGAAAAUGCAUUACUGCGUCAGUAUUGCAUCAUGCUGACCUCAGCAGGUCAAAGGCGCCAGCCCAGGUCAAAACUGACUGGUGGGCCCCUUCUGUCAGUCUCUCAGUUAAAUAAUAGGAUUAGAUUAACACUAAUUAGCUGUCAGUGGGGCCUGGGCCCACAUGUCACUGACUGAUUAAAAUAAAAUUAGUUAAAACUAAUCCUUGAUUAGUUAGCAGACCGGCCCCUCCUGUCAUAGACUCAGGGGGGUCUACCUGGGCCCACCCAGGGUCAAACUGGGUCAAACUCGCCGGCGUUGAGCCGCCGGCGAGACCCGAGACGGUGGCGCAGCUCGGAAAACGCCUACAGGGCACGAGCGAGGCCGUUCUUGGGCUCGUUGGAGAGCUCUUGCAGCCGCGCAUCUAGUGGUGGUGGGGGCCGGAGACGACGACGGCGAGCUCCAAGGCGGCGGCUGGAGUUCGGCCAUGUGCGGGGUGUGGGCUGUGGCGUGCAAACGUGGAAACUGAAGCGCUAGCGAGGCACUACGCGAUGCGGCAAGCACGUUGCAUAGCACGGGAUGAUCCAAUGGUCGCCGGAGCGGCGCCGGCGACAAGCUCGAGCCGAGACGAGCUUCGGCCAUGGUGGAACUAUGGCCUAGAGGGUGCAAACGCGUGGAAAAGAAGAGGGGAAAGGUGGCGGAGCUCACAGGGAGGUCGAUGAGCAGCUCAAUGGGCUCGGGGGUCACCGGAGUGAGGCGAAUCGAUGAGCGGCGUCCGGCGGGUACCGAGGUUGAAGACGAUCCGAUGGCGGCGAUGCAGGGACUCCGGCGAUGCGUGGCUCAGUGGGGAGGGCGAGGGCGUCACAGCGGAGCUUCUGGACAGGUCAGAGAGGCGAGGGGGUGACGGAGGGCGCGACUACGGCGGUGAGACGGCGACGGGUGCGUCGGCCAUUGCGGGAGAGGGAGAGGGAGACAAGUGGGAGAGUGAGAGAGGAUGAGAGGGGGACGUGGGGGUCGCGUGGCAUUCCCUGGACGUCUCCCAGCAUCGGCGGAAGCAGGAGGUGGCCGGCGUGUGGCCGCGGGCGCCGGCCACGCGCUCCACGUCCUUCUGGCGUGAGGAGGACGACGACUGGCAGCGCCAGUAGGCUGGGCCGAGCCAGGGGGCUGGCCAGCACAGGUAAGGCCCAGGUGGGCAUCUCCCUCUUUUUUUUAAUUUGUUUCUGUUUUCUAUUUAACUGUAACUGUUGGGCUUUAUUUAAAAUACUAAAACAUUUCCAAAAAUCCUGAAAAUAAUUGUGGGCUCUGUUUGGAUUAUUUCCAACAGCAGACAUUUAUUUCCAGAAUUAUUUGAGCAUUUAAAUGCCCAAAUUCAAAUACUUAUGAUUUAAAUCAAUGACCUUCUAUUGACCUCGAAAAGUUGUGCACCAAUUUUGCCAGAGGUUCUAACCCAAGACAAAGAGGGUGAACUUUUUAGAAGGGCAUUUCAGGUUCAUUGAAAAUAAUUUUAGUAAUCCCUAGUUGUUUCCAGGGGGGUGUUGGGGGUUUCUGCCUUCCCCAAUUCAAAUUUAAGAGGAAUUUAAACAUGAUGCACAUUCUAAUGCUUGAUCUAGCUAGGGUGUGACAACUCACCCCCACUCAAAAGAAUCUCAUCCCGAGAUUUAGGAUCCUCUGGAAAGAAGGUGGGGUACUCGAGUCGAAGACGAUCCUCCCUUUCCCAAGUGGCUUCUUUCUCGGAAUGGUGUGACCAUUGAACCAUGAGAAACUUGAUAUUAUGACGUCGAGUAGUAUGCUCGGCUUGAUCAAGGAUACGAACGGGAUAUUCCUGAUAAGAGAGGUUAUCUUGUAGAUCAAGCGUUUCGUGGUCCACUCCACGGAUAGGAUCCGCGAAGCAACGCCUGAGUUGUGAAACGUGGAAGACAUCAGGAACUCUGGAAAGAUGCGGAGGUAGUUCCAAUUGGUAGGCAACUUCUCCUUGUUUGGCAAGAAUGCGAACGGGUCCAAUGUAACGAGGAGCCAAUUUGCCUUUGAUACCGAAACGAUGGGUUCCUUUUAACGGGGUAACCCGAAGGUAAGCCUUCUCAUCGACUUCAUAAGUCAUAGAGUUAUGUUUAUGAUCAUAUUGACUCUUUUCACGAGAUUGGGCUGUUUUCAAUUUCUCACGAAUAACGCGAACCUGCUCUUCCGCUUCCUGAAUCAUAUCCGGGCCAAAGAGUUGUCUUUCCCUGGUUUCUGACCAGUUAAGGGGUGUUCGAUAUUUUCGUCCAUAGAGAACUUUGAAAGGAGCUUUGCCCAAGCUAGCUUGAUAACUAUUGUUAUAAGCAAACUCUGCGAAUGGGAGGCAUUUCUCCCAACUCAUUCUGAAUGAGAUAACAGAAGCUCAGAGCAUAUGUUCCAGAAUUUGAUUGACUCGCUCUACUUGACCACUUGACUGAGGAUGGAAGGCGGUACUAAAAGAGAGACGAGUUCCCAUAGCAUUUUGGAAACUUUCCCAAAAUCGAGAGGUGAAGAGACUCCCACGCUCUGAGUUAUUUUCCAAUGGGACACCAUGGAGAGACACUAUUCGGGAGAUGUAUAAAUCGGCUAGCUGGCUAGCAGUGAUACUCUCACGAACAGGUAGGAAAUGGGCUACUUUGGAAAGACGGUCGAUGAUGACGAAGAUGGCAUUAUUCCCUCUCUUGGUCCUGGGAAACCCAGUAAUGAAAUCCAUACUGAUUUUAUCCCAUUUCCAUUCAGGAAUAGCCAAAGGUUGAAGGGUGCCAGUAGGCCGUUGAUGCUCUGCUUUAACACGAAUACAGACGUCACAGCUAGCAAUGUAUCGAGCAAUUUCUCUCUUCAUCCUAGUACACCAAAACCUCUCGCGUAGGUCUUGAUACAUUUUUGUGCUACCGGGAUGAAUGGUGAGAGGGGAUUCAUGAGCUUCCUUAAGGAUCAAUUGGCGUAGAUGUUGUUUCUUGGGAACCACCAAACGGUUCUCAAAGAAGACAGCACCCCGCUUAUCCAUGGAAAAACAUUUAGCAACUCCGCUAGCAAUGUUUUCCUUAAUCCGGGAUAUGCCCUUAUCAUACCGCUGGGCAGUUAUGAUCUGAUCCAUAAGGUUAGGUUUCGCCACCAGGGUGGAUAGGAAUCCUCGAGGAACAAUGUGAAGAUUAAGCUUACGGAAUUCCUCAUGGAGAAGUGGUUGACUUUGUUGUAACAUCAGGUUGUUACAACAGGAUUUACGGCUUAGCGCAGCAGCCAUGACAUUGGCUUUGCCCGGUGUGUAGGUUAUUCCUAAGUCGUAAUCCGAGAUCAACUCAACCCAACGUCUUUGCCUGAGAUUCAAAUCUGGUUGGGUGAAGAUAUAUUUCAAGCUUUGGUGAUCGGUGAAGAUCUCGCAACGAUUACCGAGGAGGUAAUGUCGCGAAGUUUUAAGUGCAUGGACUACAGCUACCAGCUCUAGAUCAUAUGUGGGAUAAUUUUCCUCAUGUGGGUGUAAUUGCCAUGAAGCGUAGGCAAUUACCUGAGGAUCUUGCAUGAGUAUGCAACCUAGUCCUUGUCGCAGAUGUCAGGCGUCUUUUCAGUUCCUGAAAGCUGAACUCGCACUGUGGAGUCCACUCGAACUUUUUAUCUUUCUUGAGGAGUUCAAUUAGAGGUUUAGCAACCUUGGAGAAACUCUCGCCGAAGCGGCGGCAAUAGCUCGCUAAGCCAAGGAAGCUCCAAACUUGCUUGACCGUCUCAGGUGGAGUCCAAUCAAGGACCGCUUGAACUCGCUCGGGAUUGACGGCAAUACCCUUACCAGAGAUUACAUGGCCUAGAUAGGUUACUUCUGGCAACCAAAAUUCACACUUGGAGAACUUGGCAUAAAGGCGAUGCUCUCGAAGUUUCAUCAAUACCAGCCUUAGAUGUUCGGCAUGUUCCUCUUCAUUCUUGGAGUAGAUGAGUAUGUCAUCGAGGUAUACUACGACGAAUUUAUCCAAGUACUCCAUGAAAACCGAGUUCAUUAACCGGGAGAAGGUAGCCGGGGCAUUGGUUAAACCGAAGGACAUAACGGUGUACUCGUAUUGGCCAUAACGAGUAACAAAGGCCGUUUUGGGAAUGUCCCCGUUUCUGAUUUAGAUUUGAUGGUAGCCCAACCUCAAAUCCAUCUUGGAAAAGACUGAGGAUCCAGCGAGCUGAUCAUACAGAUCGUUGAUCCUGGGAAGUGGGUAUUUGUUCUUGAUGGUGACAAAGUUGACAGGUCGGUAAUCCACAACCAUUCGAUCUGUUCCAUCCUUCUUCUUGACGAAGAGGAUGGGGCAAGCCCAAGGAGAGGAACUAGGACGGAUGAAACCCUUUUUCAAGGACUCAUCGAGUUGGUUCUUAAGCUCGGCUAGUUCUAAGGGUGCCAUCUUGUAGGGUCUUCUAGAAAUUGGAACGGUUCCUGGAACAAGGUCUAUCACAAACUCGACAUCCCUGUCAGGUGGAACACCUGGCAGUUCUUCUGGAAAGACAUCCGGAAAGUCUCGGACUACCGGAACAUCCUCAAGGUCUGGAAGGGGGUUGGCAUUUAGGGAGUAAAGUUGGCGCUUGGCCACUCGAGUUAAGACAUUAACUGUCUUGCCCAAUGGGUGAGUAAGUUGAACGGUUCUAGUGGCACAGUCAAGCUUAGCAUAAUGAGCUGACAUCCACUCCAUACCUAAGAUGAUGUUUAUGUCCGAGGACUUGAGAGCUAUUAAGGAUACAAGGAAGACAAGUCUAUCGACAAGAAUUUCGUUCCCAUGGCUUACUCUAGAAGUUUGCCAUCUAGAGCUAGGGGUUUGAAUUUCCAUGGUAGAGGGCAUGUCACAGAAUGUCGUGUUGUGCAAUCGAGCAUAGUUCUCGGAUAUGAAUGGAUGAGAUGCUCUAGUAUCGAAAAGAACAGAUGUCGGAUGGCAGUUAACAAGGAGCGUACCAAGGACGAGGUUGGGAUCCUCAUGAGCCUCCUCGGCUGAAACAUAGUUGACAUGGCCACGUGCAGUGGUGGCUGGCUUGGCGUAGAAUGUUUUCCCCGCGGGCUUACCACGGCCAACGGACUUUCCAGUUUGAUUGGGGUUGUUGUUCUGGGGACACUCUCGGCUAUAGUGACCCGGCUCUCCACACUUAAAGCAUGUCACCACAUUGGGGCGUGGAGCAGCAUUAGCAGUAGGGCCACCAUAGGGCUUGGGCGGUGCAAAUUGCUGGUUGGGACGUGGUGCCUCAAAGGAUGGCCUCGGGAUGAACCUGGGUGGCAGUGCCGUGCUUGGAAUCCACACCCGGCGCUUCUGAGCUCUAGAGCCGGAUGAAGAGCCAAAAUCACGGGAGUGCUUGCAUGAAGCGUCAUAAUCAGUCUGGCCUUUCUCAGCACUGAUGGCUUUAUUGACCAACUUCUGAAAGGAGGUGCACUCGGGCAGACGAAGAUCGCGGUGAAGCUCAGGGCUAAGUCCCUUGCGGAACCUUGCCUGCUUCUUAGCAUCAAUAGAUACCUCUUUAGGGGCAUAACGUGCCAGAUUCCGAAAUUCACGACCGUAAGCAUCCACAGUCAGUCUUCCUUGGGUGAAGUUGCAGAACUCCUCCCUCUUGCGAUCCAUGAGACCUUCCAGAAUGUGAUGCUCACCGAAAGCCUCACAGAAUUCAGCCCAAGUAGUGAUUUGGCCGACCGGGCGCAUAGCUUCGAAGUUUUCCCACCAAAGGCUAGCAGGGCCUUCGAGGUGAUAGGCAGCAUAAGUAACCUUGUCGGCUGCGGCUGCGUUGGCAGAACGUAGCUUGUGGGUGAUGCUGUGAAGCCAGUCAUCCACAUCGAGGUACUCGACGGAAUGGUUAAACUUUGGUGGGUAUAGCUUGAUAAAGUCAUUGAUUGACACCAAUCAUUUCGUGGGUGGCGUGCAGUGUUCUGCUCAAUCCGCUCCAACAGGCGGUUGGUCUGACGCUUCUUUAUUUCCGCCUCCAGCAUUACUUCGGCCAGAGAAGGCGGGUGAGGCAGAUUUUCACCUCUAGCAGCACUGGCUUCCCCCUGCUCCAGGGCAGCAGGGUUGCUGCGGGUGUUGACCAUCCUAGGAGAAAACAAGACAACGGUUUAGACAAGGAUGUCUCAAAUUAGCAAGGAUGUGCAGAAUGUAAUGGAUAACACGGAAUGCAGAGAUGUUCAUCCGUAUGUCAUGGUAAUAUAAAACUGCCAUAUAUAUACCAACGGUCAUACACAUCAUACAUAGUUUAGUACAAGCCCAGGCUACAAUACAACUAUGAUGAAAGACGUUACAUCUCAUCGGAGGCAUUCCAAGCUCCUAUACAUUAUUGUCUACACCUCCAAAAUUGAUUACACGCAAAGUCAUAUUCCAAAAGUCACGCAGGACAGUGGAGAUACAGCUACUACAAUACUAGUGGUACUACUACUAACUCAGACAGCUCCGUAGUAGUCCUCAUAGAAGUCACCUCCAUAGCCUGGAAGUUCAACGGGACCAUCCGGGAACAGACGGUCCUGAGGAGCCUGUGGACCAUAGGGGCUAGGAUGGUGUCUUGGACCAACAAACGGUGGCCUGCGGGAACCACGGGGUGGGGUGAUGCCUCCCACAUCACGCCAAUCCACCACGUCUGGCAAAGCAGACCUCACAGGAUACAGAUCCCUUGUAUCCAUACAUCUAGCUUGCACCGCAGGUGCAAACCGAGCCAAUGUGGCCCAAUGAUCAGCACGGGUAUUAAAAAGCUCCAGCCUCAAGGCCCGAUUCUCUCGGUCCUUAUCUUCGAGCAUCUCAGCAGUGGUACGAGUUAAUGAAUCCUCCUGAGUGGAGACAGCAUAGAUAGCCUGAAGAUACCCUUGCGCUCCCGGAAGUGAAGCUGGCAUGUAUCGGAAGUCGGUGUUCCGAAGCAGGCCAGUCCGGACUCGCAUGAUGGUCAUCAUGUAAUAGGCAGCAUCCUGCACAGCAAUCUCAACAGUAACCCCGAGUCCAUAGGAAUAGUGAAGGGGCUCGGUAGAUCCAGGAUAAGAAGGAAAUAUCCUGACAGUGCAGAAAUACUGGCUUUGAUUAAAGUCUCGGAAUUGCUCUUCGACGGUGUAUUCGAGAUACCAACGGUAACCCGUCUCGAUCAUGACCCGGACUAACAUAGCAGUAUGACCGGGCACGUCGAGCCACCGGGUUAGGCGAACCACUUGGUUUUGAGCACGGUUGGCCAUCUGAAAGCACAACCACAAUGCAAAGACAUCAGAAUUUCUAGGGAAAAUUGGACAGCAUAACAGCUGUAAAUGCUCAGAAAAAGAUUUGAGACAUCCACAACAGUUCGCAAUACCACUCAAUAACAUCAUAUCAAGGUUCUGAUCCAAAUAGCAACAUACUAAAAAUAGUAGAAACUGAACUGGGGCUUGUAACAACAAUCCUAUAAGCUACUACGGAUUAGUAACACGUGAACCUGAUAGAAGAAGAGAGCCUAGUCCUUAACCCACGUUGAAUGAGAAGGGAAUGACUCAGAUAAGAGGCAUAGGGUAAAGGAGUAAAAGAGACUUACGUUCCCUCCCACAAUCAAUUCCCCUACAUAUAACUAAAGCAUUUCCAGACUCGACAUCGACCAGUUUGGCUCAACGAACCUACAAGCAGUCUGGCUCUGAUGCCAACGCUGUCAGGACCCCGAUUCCAAGCCACAUCGAUCUAGCCGGUAACACCUCAUAUCACUUUGCGGCCUCACGCACGAUAUUCCACGGGUGUCGCCUUACCAUGGCCCGGGACCGUUUGCGCCUUUUGGCUCACGUAUAUGAUAGUGUUGUUAGCAUCCAUAUGACAGAGAACCUGGGCCGACAUGGCUAGUCGUGAACCCAAAGCGGCACAGACCUAUGGAGACAGGCAUACAUGAAUCACAUCGAGCAUGUCGGUCAUCAGCGAGUGAUUCCGGGCUGUAGCACUGGGCUAACAGGACUCCGGGGAACCCGGGCUGUAGCAGGCUAGGCAGGACUCCGGAAGUCACCGCGUGACAUUUCCCCGAAGGGACAGACAUAGGAACGAAGUGAAUCACAUGCCGGCCAUUCAAGUGUCCUAAGUAGUAGUGCUGGGCUAGCAGGACUCCGGUGAACCAGGCUGUAGCGGACUACUAUGGCUCGAGGAACACUAGACUACAUUUCCCCAUAAGGAAGGCUGCCAAGGAUAAACAACUAGAUUGUUGGAUCCCACUCAUACCAAGCAUUUCAAUCAUACACACAAUAUGCCCGAUAUGAGUACAUACAACAUGGCAUCACAACAAAACUCUACAACUCAAGUACUUUAUUUAAAUGCUCCAGAGAGCCAUACAUAACAUGUUCAUACAGAUAGGGGUCACAUGACCCGACACUCAAGUCAUACAAUCAUACAAGCACAUGCGGAAGCAACCGGUCUGAGUACAGACACUAGAAAGAAAGAAGGCUCCUCGAGGCCUGUCUAUCUACAUAGGGCCCUCCAUGGCCAGGAUCACCACCUGGGUGGCUAGUCACUCGUCGAUGUCAAGGUCUACAUAGAACCCAUAGGAGGGGGCGGUGUUGUCGUCUGAAAACGGUAAUUAAGCAAACAUGAGUACAAAGGUACUCAGCAAGUCUUACAACAGAACCUACUAUACAUGCUUAUUCUCAAGAAGGUGGUGGGGAUAUUGCAGCAAGCCAGCUUUGACUCUUGGCUAAACUAUCCUACGGAACAUCUCUAGUAAAAUAGUUUUCGCACACGAGUCCACUACUCACCAACACAAUACUCCACCGGGGAUCCUCCCUCGUCAUCCUAUGAGAGGGUGUCGGGGGUGUCUGAUCCCUCGCACACCUAUGGGGAUCAGCGGACCGAGCCCCUUUUGGUUCGGUAGGGGGCGGUGGAUGCACAAAGAGUAGAUCGAGGCGAAACACAUGAGCGAGACAAUCGAUUUACCCAGGUUCGGGCCACACGGAUGCGUAAAACCCUACUCCUGCUUUGGUGGUUGUAUUGAGUUUUUUCUCGGGAGCAGCUGGCGAGACCGAGCGUGAGAAUGGCUGUCCCCCCCCUGUUGCGCAUGGGCCUCCUUUUAUAUGUCUAAGGGGUCACCGACACGUGGCAACAGAGGUAAGGGUAAAAAUGUAAAAGGGGUGGUAGUUGGCUCCACCGCCUACAUGUCGCAUCCUACCUAACUCUGACGGCAGGGGACAAGGGCAUUAAAUGCCCGUCUGUGUCACCUUGACGGCCCAGAGAGGGACCACUAGGAACGCCACCGUUUGCCACGACGGUUCCUUGUCAGCGUCUGCUUGCCAUUGCAUGCCCCCGGCUGCACAGCCUCCCGCCACGUACGCCAGGAAUGGCCCCAGGGCGACACGUUGGUGGGUGAGCUGGAGCGCGGGCUGCGGGGUAGUGGCUUGCCGCGGCAAGUGCCUUGCCGCGGGUGUUGUCUUGUCACGUCCGGGAGCUUGCCGCUCACCGGGUCUUGUCGGGGCACGCGGUGCGCCGCAGCGAGUCUCUUGAGAUGCUUUGGUUGUCUUCCCGGCAAGCUCCUCUUGCCGGGGUCUCGUCUCCUUCCCGGCAAGCUCCUCUUGCCGGGGCCUUGUUCCCUUCCCGGCAAGCUCCUCUUGCCGGGGCCUUGUUUGGAUCUUGGAUACUUUGUUCUUGAAUGGCUCCAGAGGAACCAUGGAGGGUCUUGGCGGUCGCCCGGCAAGCCUUGCCGCGGGUCGCUGCGACUACCCAUGCACAAGUUCGGGGUACUAAGGUACCCGUACUUUAGCACACCGACAGGAGCCCCCAGGCCUGGGCCAUACACGGUGCCGAGCGCUGUUGGGCCAGGCCCAAAACAGUGCAAGGGCACGCGCGGCCUGGGUCACGCCAUAACUGAUUCCGUAUCCACCGCGCUCUCCCCAAACGGCACGCGUCAAACGCGGCAUCGUGGGAGAGAUCGUGGGCGGUUUUCGAGGUGCCCACUCCCCACGAUCACGGGGUGGGGAGAGACCGCCCCAUCCGUCGCCUCGGUUCUGCACGCCUGCCACGCGGUUCCCGUGCACUUGGGGUCGCGGGCGGCGGAAGCGGGAAACGGGGCCGUCGUGGGUCGAGGGAGUGGGUCGGCCCCGGCUCCCCGCGUCUUGAUUCGCUGAGCGGGGCGGCCGAGCCCCCACCUUGCUCCUUUAUAAAGAGCGGGAGGGGAGGACGGGAGCCUGCAUCCUCCCAUCUUCUCCUUCCUUCAGCUCCUGCUCCCCUCCCCCCAUUCGCCAUGGAGAGAGGGAACCCUGGUCCUUCGUCAGUGGCGGCAAGGGUUGCCGCCAGGCAGCGCAUCCCUCCCUCUCCCGCACCCGUGGCGGCGGAGCCAGCCAUAAGGGGAAGAGGGAGGGGGCGAAGUCGUGGACGAGGCCGUGGCGCUCGGGGAAGAGGUGGGCGAGGCGGCGCGUCGGCUUCGCCUCCGCCGGCGGCUCUUCUUCCCGCGGUGGCCCAUGCCGGGGACGACCCUUGCGAGUUAUUCGUCAGGCUGCGCCGGGCGCCCCGCCGUCGCCUCUGACUCCCGGAUCCGUUUGCGGAAGUGGUGGAGUUGGACCCGCCCGAGACGCUGAGGCUGCAGAUGAGGGCUGUGGGAUCAGCGGCACGCGGGUCCGCGCCGAAUUCCCAGCCCCCGGCGUGAUUUAUCUUGGCCGAGGGUGGAAGACGUUCGCCCGCAUCCACAGCUUGACACCGGGGCUGACCCUCCACUUCAAGUUGGUGGAGGGUGAUCUCCUCUCCGUCAAGGUCUUCGGGUGCUUCAGCGUCCGGGCCCGGUGCUGCGUGGAAAGCUCCUCCGAUAGCGAAGGCUCCUCCUCGAGCAAGAGUGACGAGGAGGGAACGACAGCGGCGACGAGGGGAGCGGGCGGCAGGAUGGCGGGUCCGACUAGGUGUCGGGCGCCGCUCCGCGCGGCACCAGCAACCCCAUCAUCCGGGUCGCCGGCUCCUUGAACUCCCCGGGGGCGUCUCCUUGGGCGGCUGGCGUAGGGAGGCUGCGAAAGAGGAAGAGGGCAGGCGGCAAGGCCGUCAGGUCGGAGUACGAUGGCGUGGUGCCCUCGACAGCGUGCUGACGUCCUGCCGCCUCGUCUUCGAGCCCCCCUUCCGGCGCUGCCAUCACCAUCCAGCCUUGAAGGCCCCCGGGAUGUUCUCUUGGUGUCUUCUGGCACCCGUAGUUCCCCUAGGCACUCCUUUUGCCCUUCUCGCCUCCUUGACCUACCUCCUGAAAAGAGGGGCAGGAAAGAGAUUACGGGCAUCUUAUCUUUUUGAUUUGUAAGCCCUCGGGCCUUAGUUGCAUCUAAAACUUGUAAUCCUCUCUUUCAUGUUUUCCAUUCUCCAUGUACUGUACCUGCGUGGAAUGUUUUAAUGAAAAGGGGAUGCUUGCCAGGUUACUCGUCUCGCGGGUAGAACCCAUGCCAAGGAGCAAAUCCUUGGUAUCUCACAGAUAGACACUCCCUCCCCAGCAACAGGCCCUGCCACAUACCCACGUCGCUCGACCUUUCUCACGCUCUUGACGGAGGCAGAGACGAGGCGGGUGCGGCCCCUCGUUUCAUCCCUUUCCCGCCGCGACUGCGACCAAAGCUUGGCCCUGGGGCCCCAGGGACCAAAGCUAAGGGAGCACGGUGGCUUUCGGGAAGAAGCGAGGUUUUGUAUUCCCAGUCCAAAAGAGAAUGCACGAAGAGGGAUGAAAGACUUAUCUGAGACUGCAGCCCCCGGCAACUCUGGCUUGCCGUGGGGUGAACCUUGGUACUUGCAGCCUCCAGCAACUCUGGCUUGCCGGGGUUCGGAUGCCGGCACGUCCUUCUUCUCCCUUUCGUCCUCACGCGGUCCGACAAGGAUAUGCAAGCCCUGCGAACCAAAGGAAACAAAGGAAGGACAAAGGGACGCACACUAGACCUCUAAGUUAGGGGUUAGCUGCUGUUAGGCACUAUCAACCCUAACCGAGGACUCGACUCGACCUAGCAUGCAUGCUGUAACUCUGGGCGCCAGCGCUUCAUUAUCUUGUGCUCAAGGUCUGUGCCUGGCUUUGUACAAAGGAUUACAUGCAACAGCGUCAAGACUUGUACAAAAGGGUGGUUGCCGGACAGGGUCCGACAACCGCGCCUUACGGGUAAAACUUACAAAGAAGCUUGAUAUUCCAGGAGUUGCUCACUAGUACGCCAUCUUCGGUCUCCAGGCGGACAGUGCCAGGCCUGGUGACUCGUUUCACCCGGUAAGGGCCUUCCCACUUCGGCGUCAACUUGUUGGAAUUCUUGGCGGACUGAACGCGCCGAAGAACAAGGUCGCCUUCCUCGAGGCUCCUAGCAUUAACUUUGCGGCUAUGAUAGCGGCGCAAAGCUUGCUGGUAGCGAGCGGCUCGCACAGCAGCCUGGAGACGAUCUUCCUCAAGGAGCAGCGCGUCAUCUUGCCGCAGCUGCUCUUGCUCAAGCUCAUCAUAGCACUCGAGGUGACCCGUAUACGAGUUCCAUGGGGAUAACUGCCUCCGCUCCAUAGACUAGAGCGAAGGGUGUCUGCCCGGUGGCUCGAUUUGGCGUCGUCCUGAUCGACCAAAGAACCACCGGCAGCUCCUUGAUCCAGUUGCGUCCGCGCUUGUGCAGCCUGUCAAAUGUUCUGGUCUUGAGCCCGUGCAGCACUUCAGCAUUCGCCCUCUUAGCUUGGCCGUUGCUUCUCGGGUGAGCGACAGAAGCAAAGCAGAACUUGGCGCCAAGAUCUUGGACGUACUGCAUGAAGGCGCGGCUUGUAAAUUGUGUACCGUUGUCGGUGAUUAUCCUGUUAGGGAUUCCGAAACGGCAAACAAUCGACCUGAAGAAUUUGAUCGCGGACUGCGCCGUCACCUUCCUCACUGGUUCCACUUCCGGCCACUUUGUGAACUUGUCGAUUGCAACGUACAAGUACUCAAAGCCCCCGACGGAUCGGGGGAAGGGGCCGAGGAUAUCGAGCCCCCAGACCGAAAAUGGCCAGGAUAAAGGGAUCGUCUGGAGAGCUUGAGCUGGCUGGUGUAUCUGCUUGGAAUGGAACUGGCACGCUUCACACUUGGUUACUUGUGCAGUUGCAUCCUGGAGGGCUGUCGGCUAGAAGAAGCCUUGUCGGAAUGCUUUUCCGACAAGAGCUCUUGCGCCAAUGUGGUGACCACAUAUGCCUCCAUGUAUCUCUGCCAACAGCUUCUGUCCAUCUUCCCGAGGAAUACACUUCAAUUUCACACCGUUGAGUCUUCUUCUGCACAGUGUGUUGUCAACAAACUGGUACAUACUGGACUGCCGGGCUACUCUUUCUGCUUCUUCUGGUUCCUCGGGAAGCUCUCCUGUCUGAAGGAAACGGACGGUCUGCUACGCCCAUGUUGGAGCCUGUGGCUCGACAACAAGGACUAAAGGCACAUCUGCUGCUGUGGGAACGCCUACUUCUACGGCAGGAGCCUGCGACUCUGCCGGAGCUUGACAUUCCCCGACAAGCUUGCCGGAGCAGAGCUUGCCGGGAGUGUCUGCUGCAAUGGAACAAACCCUGGGGCUUGCCGGAGUAGACUGCUCCUCAGCACUCUUGGCGUCGAUCUUGGGGACCUUCUUGGCGGCGUCUUCGGGGAGCUUUGCCGGGAGAUAGUCACCAGAGAUCAACUUCCUCUUCUUGCUCUGUCCACUUGAUGGUGCCACGGAUGGCUGAGUUAGCUUGAGCACAAAGGUCCCUGGUUCCACAGGUAACUUAAGUGCUGCGCACUUUGACAGGCGAUCGGCAAUGUCAUUCUCAGCUCUUGGAACAUGUUCCAUUUGCAGGCUGUCAAAGCGCUCUUCCAGCUUCCUCACUUCAUCAACGUAAGCUUCUAUCAAUGGACUUUGGUAAUCUUUGUUCACUUGGCGGACGACAAGCUGCGAGUCACCCCUAACAAUGAGCUUCUUAAUCCCAAGUUCUGCCGCGAUCCUGAGACCGGCAAGCAAGCCUUCUUACUCUGCAGUAUUGUUUGUCGCUUGCUCCUUGGGAAAGUGCAUCUGGACUAUGUACUUGAGGUGCUCCCUGGUGGGUGCGACAAGCAGUACACCAGCACCGGCGCCUUGCAGCGAGAAAGCACCGUGAAAGUACAUGAGCCACUCUUUGCUUGCUUCCUUGGCGGGGAUGCUCGUCUCCGGAAUUUCUUCGUCUGGAGUUGGCGUCCACUCUGCUAUUAACUCUGCCAAUGCUCCGCUCUGGAUUGUUGAUGUACUCUCAAACUUGAGGCCAAAGCUUGACAGUUCCAGUGCCCACUCGACAAUCCUGAAUGUUGCUUCUGGAUUUUGCAAUAUCCUUUUCAGCGGAAAGCGAGUGACAACUGUGAUCUCGUGUGCUUGGAAGUAAUGACGUAGCUUUCUCGAGGCCAUGAGGAGGCCGAAAAGCAGCUUCUGCACACUAGAGUACCUUGACCUAGCCCCCUGUAAAAGGGAGCUGACAAAGUAAACUGGGUGCUGCACCAUUUUCUUCUGUAUCUCCUCUUGUAUCUGCGCAGAUCCUUGGUUGUCGGGACCAGAGCUUGUCGGGGAAGCCCCCUGCUUGUCGCUGGAUGUGCUUGCCGCGGCCGCUGGCUCGUCGUCGGCCUCCCUUUCCGCUACUAACGCAGCACUAACCACUUGAUUGGUUGCCGCUAUGUACAGGAGCAACUUCUCUUGUGGUUUAGGCGCGACAAGUGUUCGGGUGGACGACAGGUAUCUCUUCAAGUCUUGCAGCGCAGCCUCCGCUUCCGGAGUCCAUCUCAUUGGACCUGCCUUUUUCAAAAUUUGAAAAAGGGCAGGGCGCGCUCAGCAGACCAAGGGAUAAACCUGCUAAGAGCAGCUACGCAGCCGGCAAGCUUCCGUACAUCCGUGACGCGCUUUGGUGCUUCGAUCUGCUCAAUGGCCCUGAUCUUGUCGGGGUUGGCUUCGAUUCCCCGCUGAGACACGAAGAACCCGAGAAGCUUGCCGAAAGGGACUCCAAACACACACUUCUCGGGGUUGAGCUUGAGGUUGAUCUUGCGCAGAUAUGCAAAAGUCUCUUCUAAGCCUUGGAUCAGAGUUGCCCUGUCUUUGCUUUUGACCACUAUAUCAUCCAUGUAAGCUUCUACAUUUCUGUGUAUCUAUGGCUUCAAAGCAAUAUGGACUACUCUGGCAAAUGUUGAACCAGCAUUCUUUAAUCCGAAAGGCAUCCGUACGAAACAGUACGUGCCACAUCGAGUAAUGAAUGCGGUUUUCUCCUCAUCCUCUUCCGCCAUGAAGAUCUAAUGGUAUCCUGAGUAUGCAUCAAGAAAUGAAAGCAACUCACAUCCGGCCGUGGAGUCAACAAUCUGGUCAAUGCGCGGCAAGGGAAAUGGAUCUUUUGGACAAGCUUUAUUAACAUCAGUAAAGUCAAUACAAAGCCUCCAUUUCCCAUUCGCCUUGCGCACUACAACCGGAUUGGCCAACCACAUGGGAUGGAGCACCCCUCUAACGAGGCCUGCUGCUUCCAAUUUCUUGAUUUCUUCGGCUAUGAAUUCUUGGCGCUCCACCGCCUGUUUCCUGACCUUCUGCUUGACGGGCCGCGCAUGAGGACAAACUGCAAGGUGGUGCUCAAUUACCUCCCUGGGAACACCGGGGAUGUCAGACGGUUGCCAUGCAAACACGUCGACAUUCGCCCGCGGGAAAGUAACGAGUGCGCUUUCCUAUUUAGGGUCAAGCGUGGCACUGAUGGUGAAGGUACCACCAGUGCCGUCCUCCUUGGCGGGCACCUUCUUGGUAAGUGGUGGAGCGGCCAUCGUCUUCUUACUCUUGCAGCCGGAGCUCGAUGGUGCGUCCUCGACGGCAGCGCAGCACUCCGAAGAGGUGCGCCUGCCGGAGUAGGCAUCAGAGCACUCGCCGGGCUUGGUCUUCUUCUUGCCGGUGGAGCUCGAUGGUGCGUCCUCGACGGUAGCGCAGCACUCCGAAGAGGCGCGCUUGCUGGAGUGGGUACUAGAGCUCUUGCCGGACUUGGUCUUCUUCCCCCUGGGAGCUUCAGCGGCAAGUGUCUCGCGGUCUGUCGCGGCGGCAGCUUCCCGGUAGAUCUUGUCGGCGCAGAUAAGGGCGUCCUUCUUGUCGCCAGGGACAGAGAUGACGCUUAUCGGGCCCGGCAUCUUGAGCAUGUUGUAGGCAUAGUGAUAGGCUGCCAUUAACUUGGCGAGCGCGGGACGGCCAAGUAUCCCAUUGUAGGGCAAUGGGAAAUCGGCAACGUCGAAGGUGACCCUCUCAGUCCUGAAGUUCAUCUCACUGCCGAAUGUCACCGGCAGCGCGACUUUUCCCUUCGGCUUGCUCCUUCCCGGGUUAAUUCCUUGGAAUGUACCGGUUUCUUCGAGCUCACUGUCUGGGAUCUGGAGUUUCUGGAGCACAGCGGAGGAGAUCAGAUUCAGGCCGGCCCCGCCGUCAACUAGCAUCUUGGUGACCUUGAGGUUGCGGAUUGUUGGGGAAACCAACAACGGCAAGCACCCGACCGCAGUCGUGCGAUCAGGGUGGUCCUCAAUGUCAAAGAUGAUCGGCGUGCUGGACCACUUCAGAAGCUUGCGUGAUUCGACAGGUGGCUCUGCCGCAUUAACUUCCCGGAGCCACUGUUUGAGUUGGCGGUGGGAAGUGUGCAGAGAAGCGCCACCGUCAACACACAAGACUUCUGUAGCCUUCUGAAACUCCUGCUCGCUGUUCUCAACAUCAUCCAUGUCUUCGUCGUCGUCUUCGUCUUCGUCCUUAUCGCGGCCGCGAGGAGGUCUGUCUCCUUGCCGCUGCUUGGCCUUGCCACGGCUCCCUCCCGGGCCAGCGCGGUUCUUGCCGGCUUCUCCAUCGCCUCCUUGGGCUCUCUCCUUGUCGCGCCGCUCGUACUCACCUCUUUGUUGCUGGACAAGCUGCUCGACCCUCUUGCAGUUCUGGAGAUCAUGGCCCUUGGUGCGGUGGAUCUUGCAGUACUGCUUGUCGGAGCUGCCCUGCUUGUCGGCGGCCGCCACAGCCUGGCAGUUGGUACACGCGGCAACCUCUUUGCCGGAGCUGACAACUUUGGCUUGCUUGGCGGGGCCGUCAUCGCUGGACUGCUCAACGACCAGUACCUCUUUGCCGCUCUUCUUCUUGUUGGGCCUCCGGUUUUUGCUUGCCGGGGCGGCAUCCUCACUGUCAGAUAUCCCUGCUCUAGCAUCCUCUCCGGGGAGUUUCCUCCCUUCUUCAGCGCGUGCGCACUUGUCGGCCAGGGCGUACAGCUCGCUGACGUCCUUGAUCCUGCUCAUCGCCAUCUCCUCCCGCAUCCUGCAAUUACGCAUGUUCUGAUGGAACGCGCUGAUAACCGCGGUAGGGUGGAUGUCUGGGAUGUUGCGCUGCACGCGGCUGAAUCUCUGGAUAUACUUGCGCAAAGGUUCUCCUUCCUUCUGGGCAAGCAGGUGGAGGUCACUCUCUUGGCCGUGUGGUUUGUGGCCGCCUGUAAAGGCGCCGACAAACUGGUGGCACAAAUCCGCCCAAGAGGAUAUGGAGUUGUCCGGCAAGUGCAUGAGCUAGGAUCUGACUUCGGGCUUGAGCACGAGCGGGAAGUAGUUGGCAAGGACCUUGUCGUCUCGUCCCCGGCAGCUUGCACCGCAAUGGUGUAGAUGCUGAGGAACUCCGACGGGUGUGACUUGCCGUCGUACUUCUCCGGCACGUCUGGCUUGAAAUGCUUCUGGUUGGGCCACUGGACUUGCCGCAGCUCAUGGGUGAACGCGGGACAACCCGCCGCGUACGGCAAGUUACCUGGCUCUCCGGGUGCAUGCAUGUCAACAGAGGGCCCAGCGCACAGGUCAGAUUGACGCCGCGCUUCCCUUCGGCGCUCGAUGCAUGUUCAAGUGUCUUCUUGCUGUCUCUGAUGAAGAACUUGGCGUUGAUCGCGGUGAGCUCGCGGAUCUGACGACGCGGUGGAGUAGCCGUCGAGGUGGAUCCGGUGAGUCGGCGAUCUCGGCCUUCGGGGCGGAGAGUGCACAGUGGUUGCACCCUCACCGGUCUUGUCGCCACCGGCUCGCGCCUGGCUGACUUGCCGCGGCAGCGAUGCGCUCUGCUGCCGUGGGUUGUCACCAUUGGCGCAGCCGAUGAUGCUCUGAAUAGUGGCCCUCCAGUCAUCGAUCUUCUCUAGUGCUGGAGGGUAGUCUAGGAGCAGCUGGGCACGCGCCAACGGUUCCGUCGGAGUGGUGGGCGGCGGCAGCGAACGGUGCGAGGAGCGAGAUAUGCUCGGACUCCUAACCACGUUAGAAGGAGCAACAUCCCGUCCAAGCGACCGCGCCGCGCUCGCGCCAGCACGUUGGCGUGCCUGCUGAUCCUGAGCACUUCGGGAUCCGCCAGCUUGAUCUUGGCCCAGCAGGCGUAUGGUACAGUGGGUACCAUGACGCUACUGGUCCCGCGCCUCCUGGGAUGGGCGCGGUGCGUGUACGGACACCGAGGUCUCGGAGUGCGCGCGGUCGUCGUGGGAGGCGACCGCGCUACCGACGUGCGCCGCAGCCAGGCACUUGGACCUGGCAGUGCCAUGAGUCUCCCCGUCGGCGCCCGCCCUUCCGCCGGCGCCUACUUCACCCGCCGUUCGCUCCGGCGAUGGCGGGCUCGACGCGGACGGAGCGGCUACCUCCGAAGCCUUCUUCUUCGGCGGCAUGUUGAUGAAGACGAUGAAGAUUCGGCUCGCGCGAACGCCGGAUCAGGUUCGCACUACCUCGACGCACCCCCUACCUGGCGCGCCAAAGAUGUCGGGGGUGUCUGAUCCCUCGCACACCUAUGGGGAUCGGCGGACCAAGCCCAUUUUGGUUCGAUAGGGGGCGGUGGAUGCACAAAGAGCAGAUCAAGGCGAAACACACGAGCAAGACGAUUGAUUUACCCAGGUUCGGGCCGCACGGAUGCGUAAAACCCUACUCCUGCUUUGGUGGUUGUAUUGAGUUUUUGCUCGGGAGCGGCGAGUGCUACAGUACACUCAAGCAGCUGGCGAGACCGAGCGUGAGAAUGGCUGUCCCCCUCCCCCUGUUGCGCAUGGGCCUCCUUUUAUAUGUCUAAGGGGUCACCGAUACGUAGCAACAGAGGUAAGGGUAAAAAUGUAAAAGGGGUGGUAGUUGGCUCCACCGCCUACAUGUCGCAUCCUACCUAACUCUGAUGGCAGGGGACAAGGGCAUUAAAUGCCCGUCUGUGUCACCUUGACGGCCCAGAGAGGGACCGCUAGGAACGCCACUGUUUGCCACAACGGUUCCUUGUCAGCGUCUGCUUGCCACCGCAUGCCCCCGGCUGCACAGCCUCCCGCCACGUACGCCAGGAAUGGCCCCAGGGUGACACGUUGGUGCGUGAGCUGGAGCGCGGGCUGCGGGGUAGUGGCUUGCCGCGGUAAGUGCCUUGCCGCGGGUGUUGUCUUGUCGCGUUCGGGAGCUUGCCGCUCACUGGGUCUUGUCGGGGCGUGCGGUGCGCCGCAGCGAGUCUCUUGAGAUGCUUUGGUUGUCUUCCCGGCAAGCUCCUCUUGCCGGGGUCUCGUCUCCUUCCCGACAAGCUCCUCUUACCGGGGCCUUGUUCCCUUCCCGGCAAGCUCCUCUUGCAGGGGCCUUGUUUUUCUCUUGGAUACUUUGUACUUGAAUGGCUCCAGAGGAACCAUGGAGGGUCUUGGCGGUCGCCCGGCAAGCCUUGCCGCGGGUCGCUGCGACUGCCCGUGCACAAGUUCGGGGUACUAAGGUACCCCUACUUUAGUACACCAACAGAGGGCCAUCCUCGGUACUCACACUUAUCUUGAGUAUUUAGUAGUAUCCAUUUACUUGUCUAUGAACUGUAUAGGCAACCAAGUAGUCCUUUACCGCGGACGUGGCUAUUCGAAUAGUUUUAUACCCUGCAGGGGUGUACUUCGUCAUACACGCUUUCACCACUUAUCGCCGUUUACACGACAUGUACUCGGCAACCUUCAAGCGGAAGCCCAGCGAGGGUGUCGGCCACGGCCUACCUAAACACUUAAGUCUCUAGUCCAGGUUUAUCGCCUAUCCAGGUUCCAUCGGCAGGGAGUGCGGCCGAGGUUUCCACAUACGGCCCCGAACGAUGUGAACAGGGUUCCGAGAUGCCAAACGGGCGCCCGGCAUACCCGGCCAGGUGUAUCUACCGCAACAUAGCCCACCCCUAGGGUCAGCGCUACGCACGGCCGCCAACACAUAACCUACAAACCCAGAAACUAUAUGCAACUCCUGGACAGAGUACAAGGGUGAUUAAGAAGCCGAGAGGGUCAAUUAAGGAUCCCAAUGCGUGGUAGUAGCUGAAUCUUAAAUCAACAUACAGAUCUCAGUUCUUAGGGACGGUCUCAAUGAAACAACCCACCAUGUACUCCUACAUGGCCUCUCAUCGAUACCUUUACCAAAACAUGUUCAACACAUUCCUCAUAUUACCGACAUAAUCAUAUCACCCUAGCCCAUCACCCAGAUGAACCAGACCUGACACAACUCUAAGCAUAGCAGGCAUAGCAAGGUAGGAAUCACAUACAUGGCUCAAUCAAAUCAUACACAUGCUAGUGGGUUUCAUCUAGUUAUUGUGGCAAUGACAGGCCAUGUAGAGGAUAAGGGUUCAACUACCGUAGCACACAACAGUUUGAAUCGCGUUGUCUUAAUGAAGUAAACAAGAGCAGAGGCGAGAACAUGGGUUGUAUCGGAAUGAUCAAUGGGUUGCUUGCUUGAUGGAGUGGUAGUGGGAUACUGCCCUUCAGUUGGAUACUCGUGAAUAUCCUCGGAGGUAGAACCUACCACGAAGAACACAUCGGAACACAAUCAACACAUGACGAUAUGCAACAAUAUGAUGCAUGCUAUGACGUGUCUUGGCCUAAUGCAAGCUAAAAUAGAAAGGGAUGAACUCAUUUGAAUCAAAGAUUCAAAUAUUAGCUCACUAAACAUGGCCUUAGUAGUGCAUUUCCUUAUUCUGCUUAAACAGCAAGGUAAACUUGUUUUGUCAUGCAUGAAACCAUUACAGAUGGAUAGAUUGAAUUUUUCUGAUAAUUUUUCAUAUAUAAAUUAUUUCAUUUGGAGUUACGGUUGAAUUUCUAUGAUUUCUAGAAGUUUUAAACAUUUUCUGGAAAUUCCUGAAUAAAAAUAAAUCCAGAAAAUGCAUUACUACGUCAGCAUUGCGUCAUGCUGGCCUCGGCAGGUCAAAGGCGCCAGCCCAGGUCAAACCUGACUGGUGGGCCCCUUCUGUCAGUCUCUCAGUUAAAUAACAGGAUUAGAUUAACACUAAUUAGCUGUCAGUGGGGCCUGGGCCCACAUGUCAGUGACUAAUUAAAAUCAAAUUAGUUAAAACUAAACCUAGAUUAGUUAGCAGACUGGCCCCACCUGUCAUAGACUCAGGGGGGGUCUACCUGGGCCCACCCAGGGUCAAACUCGCCGGCGUUGAGCCGCCGGCGAGACCCGAGACGGUGGCGCAGCUCGAAAAACGCCUACAGGGCACGAGCGAGGCCGUUCAUGGGCUCGUUGGAGAGCUCUUGCAGUCGCGCAUCUAGUGGUGGUGGUGGCCGGGCCUACGGUGGCCGGAGACGACGACGGCGAGCUCCAAGGCGGCGGCCGGAGUUCGGCCAUGUGCGGGGUGUGGGCUGUGGCGUGCAAACGUGGAAACUGAGGCACUAGCGAGGCACUACGCGAUGCGGCAAGCACGUUGCGUAGCACGGGAUGACCAAAUGGUCGCCGGAGCGGCGCCGGCGACAAGCUCGAGCGGAGACGAGCUUCGGCCAUGGUGGCACUAUGGCCUAGAGGGUGCAAACGCGUGGAAAAGAAGAGGGGAAAGGUGGCGGAGCUCACAGGCAGGUCGAUGAGCAGCUCAGUGGGCUCGGGGGCGACCGGAGUGAGGCGAAUCGAUGAGCGGCGUCCGGCGGGUACCGAGGUUGAAGACAAUCCGAUGGCGGCGAUGCAGGGCCUCCGGCGAUGCGUGGCUCGGUGGGGAGGGCGGGGGCGUCACGGCGCAGCUUCUGGACAGGUCAGAGAGGCGAGGGGGUGACGGAGGGCGCGACUACGGCGGUGAGACGGCGAUUAGAAAGAAAGAUUUGGUUCACUCGUACGUGAAAAAAGGAACAAGCGCUUGAUGCCUUCCUUUGCAUCGAUGCCAGACGCGGUGCUGGGAAUCGACAAGAUAACCGCCAAUCUACCAGGAUUAAAUUCCUAGCGCCUCCUUCUAGCGCCUCCCACUGAAAAUGCCCUAACGAUUUUUGAGGGAUUUUUUUACUGUGUCCUACUUCACGAAUCACGAGGCAAAUCAAGUAGGCGGCAUGGCCUGGCCGGUGAGUGCCAUUGCACUUACUUGCCCCAGCAAUUUUCCGCGUGCAUUGUAGAAUUCUUUCUCCGAGUCCUGUGAAUUAAAGAUGGUGCAGACAAAAGUAUAUCCUGUAUGCGUACAUGUGCAUGAUCAGAACAUGUUUUUACGUGCGUCUACUAUAAAUCAUGACCAUUUUUAACACAAAUCAUGACCAUUCAUGAUUAGUGAAUCAUACUGUCUUAACUUAUGUGAAAUCAUGUGGAGUAAUAUAAUAUAAUAUAAUAGAUAGAUAGAUCCAUGUUGUAUUAUUUUUUGUUUACAAAAAAUAUCUGUCAUUACACAUUUUGAUUUAUGCAUUUGUUUACAAAAAAAACAGUAACAUUUCAUGGUGGAAAGUUUGUAUUGUUUCAUACUGAACACCAAUGUUUUCCUGUAAAAGAAAAUAAUGCCUACGCAUAUGCUUUUAUAUUAUUAUUAUUCUUUCAAACUUAUUCAUACAGUAUUUUUGAUUGUGCAACCAUAAUUUUUAUUGUCUCUCUCGUUCCACUACAUGCUCUUACUCAAUGAUUUUUUUUAUAACGGGUGUUUUUAUUAACUCAAAAUAUAGUAUCAAGCGGAUACAAAACAUAAUGAGCCACACCUGGUCUCUGCAUAACUAAGAUGCAUACAGCUAAAAGCAGAUGUCUGACAAAAAUAAGAUAAGAAAAUCGACAUAUCGACAACAGUGAGUCAUAUAGUUCCGACACUAUGCCUCUGUUGAAGGACGGGGUGGAGCGAUCUGAAGAUUAUGCUGCCCUCCAUGUUGAGUAAAUACCUCCCUGGCCACUUGUUCCAACCGCAUAGACGCCGCCACGAAUAAUGGUCGGUACUCUGUUCGGUGUAGCAUACACCAUGUAGGAAGUGAGUGCUCACUUCUAGUUACUAAAUUAUGUACACACUAAUAGAAAAAGGGCCAUUUGUCCCGGUUCGUAAGGCCCAUUUGUCCCAGUUGGGGAACCGGGACUAAAGGGUCGGUACUAAAGCCCUACACAUUUAGUCCCGGUUCUUACACCAUCCGAGACAGAUGGGGCUCCACGUGGCCGCUACAGCUUGCCGUGGCAGGGGGGCCUUUUGUCCCGGUUGGUAGCACCAACCGGGACCAAUAAGCUACCACGCGUCAGCAUUUGAGGGCUAGGUUUUUUGUUUUUUUUCNNNNNNNNNNNNNNNNNNNNNNNNNNNNNNNNNNNNNNNNNNNNNNNNNNNNNNNNNNNNNNNNNNNNNNNNNNNNNNNNNNNNNNNNNNNNNNNNNNNNNNNNNNNNNNNNNNNNNNNNNNNNNNNNNNNNNNNNNNNNNNNNNNNNNNNNNNNNNNNNNNNNNNNNNNNNNNNNNNNNNNNNNNNNNNNNNNNNNNNNNNNNNNNNNNNNNNNNNNNNNNNNNNNNNNNNNNNNNNNNNNNNNNNNNNNNNNNNNNNNNNNNNNNNNNNNNNNNNNNNNNNNNNNNNNNNNNNNNNNNNNNNNNNNNCAAAUGAAGUAAACCAUUAAGUACAGAAGUUCGUCAUGAACAUAUGCAUACAAACAUAAGUGAUAUCGACCUCUCCUUCUCCGACAGAUAGGUCGAACAACAAGUUUCCGUAUAUCUAUCCGGCGCUACUAGCUACAUAUAUACAAUAUUAAGAUCUCUUACAAUAUAAUCCCCUAAUUAUAAAUGAACUCAGCUUCGAGAUGGUAUUCUCCGGCUUUAUUGAUGACGUGGUCAAGAAAGAAUCCCUCCAAUUCCUCUUGAAUUGCUUUGAUGCGAUCUUGUGGUAGGAGUUCAUCCCGCAUCUGCCACAUCUAAUUUGAAGAAGGGGGUCAAUCACCAGUAGAAUAACAGCCAUUUGUCCUGGUUCAUAAGGUUAAUUUGUCCCGGUUGGGGAACCGAGACUAAAGGGUCGUUACUAAAGCCCUACACCUUUAGUCCUGGUUCUUACACCAACUGGGACAGAUGGGCCUCCAUGUGGCUGCUGCGGCGAGCCCAGGCCGGAGGUCCUUUGGUCCCGGUUAGUGGCACUGAUACGUCUCCAACGUAUCUAUAAUUUUUGAUUGCUCCAUGCUAUUAUGUUAUCUAUUUUGGAUGUUAAUGGGCUUUAUUUUACACCUUUAUAUCAUUUUUGGGACUAACCUACUAAUCGGAGGCCCAACCCAAAUUGCUGUUUUCUGCCUAUUUUAGGUUUUCGAAGAAAAGGAAUAUCAAACGGAGUCCAAACGGAAUGAAACCUUCGAGAACGUGAUUUUCUCAACGAACAUGAUUCAGGAGACUUGGAGUGUGCGCCAAGAAACAAGGGAGGAAGGCACGAGGCAGGGGGGGCGCGGCUACCCUCUUGGGCACGCCCUCCACCCUCGUGGGCCCUCCGCUGCUCCACCGACGUACUUCUUCCUCCUAUAUAUAUCCACGUACCCCCAAACAUCCAGGAGCACCACGAAAACCUAAUUCCACCGCUGCAACCUUCUGUACCCAAGAGAACCCAUCUUGGGGCCUUUUCUGGAGGUCCACCGGAGGGGGCAUCGAUCAGGGAGGGCCUCUACAUCAACUCCAUGGCCUCUCCGGUAAUGUGUGAGUAGUUUACUUCAGACCUACGGGUCUAUAGUUAUUAGCUAGAUGGCUUCUUCUUCUCUCUUUGGAUCUCAAUAAAAAGUUCUCCUCGAUUUUCUUGGAGAUCUAUUCGAUGUAACCUUCUUUUGCAGUGUGUUUGUCGAGAUCCGAUGAAUUGUGGGUUUAUGAUCCAGAUUAUCUAUGAACAAUAUUUGAUUCUCCUAUGAAUUCUAUUAUGUAUGACUGGUUUAUCUUUGCAAGUCUCUUCGAAUUAUCAGUUCGGUUUGGCCUACUAGAUUGAUUUCUUGCAAUGGGAGAAGUGCUUAGCUUUGGGUUCAAUCUUGUGGUGUUUGAUCCCAGUGACAGAAAGGGAACCAAUACGUAUUGUAUUGUUGCCAUCGAGGAUAAAAAGAUGGGGUUUAUAUCAUAUCGCAUGAGUUUAUCCCUCUACAUCAUGUCAUCUUCCUUAAAGCAUUACUAUGUUCUCUUGAACUUAAUACUCUAGAUGCAUGCUAGAUAGCGGUCCAUGUGUCGAGUAAUAGUAGUAGAUGCAGAAUCGUUUCGGUCUACUUGUCUAGGACGUGAUGCCUAUAUACAUGAUCAUACCUAGAUAUUCUCAUAACUAUGCUCAAUUCUGUACAAUAUGGUGCACGGGGUUACAUCGGCCUGUAAAGACAUUUAUGCGAUGUGAGACAUCCGAAAAGCAACGAAAACGGGAGAUUAUACAUUUAUUGAAGAGGGCCGGUGUGACAGAUACCGUGAGGGCGUCGAGCUCAGCCAAAGACGACGGACAGCUGAGCACGGCCUGUGUCAGAGCCGGUGCGGGAGCAAGUGCAGGUGCAGGUGCUGGUGCAACGCUAGUCGAGCUGCUCCUGAAGAAGUCAACAAUGGGAAAGUCCGCUGCAUUUUUUCUGCAUUUUGCGUGCUCCAAUUGAAAAUGGCUGGAACCAAGACAGUAGACAUAUCUGCAACCACCUGUUUUCCAGCAGCUACCGCUGUCGCGACUGUCUCAGAUGAUUUCUUCUCAACCGCAAUCUCAACCUUCUUGUCGAUGUUUUAUUCGGUUAACCUCCAUCUUUCCUUUCUCUCCUCUGUGGUCUCACGGUAGUACUUCUUCCACGUGGCCCCGUCUCCGACACCGUGAACGCGUCCAUACGACGACCGAGUCUCCACCGGGAGUCCUUUCAAUAUGUUCAAUGCCCGGUUGAAUGGAGUGUCCCACUUGGGCCUUGCCAAUGCCUCAGACGGCGAGUCGCUUUCGGCCGCAAUCUUGUGCUGCUCUCUUUACAAAAGGAACACGGAUCAUUUACAAAUAUGACUAAACGUGCAGUCAAAUUGAUCAGAAACUAAAAUUACCGGCAGUCUCAUGAACUCCGUCGUGAUCGGGUCCGUCUUGAAAACCUUCUUGACUUAGUCCCAAUGGUGCCGUGCCUUGAGGACGUCAUCCUCCUACGGGAUGGUGAAGUCCGCCAAGGGGUCUGGGAUGCCAGAUUUUCGCAUUCCGUGUCCUCCUUGGCCCAUAUGGACCUCUUCCUGCCGUAACCACUGCUUCCGAGGUGGUGGCGCCCCAUGUUCCUUUGUGGAAGCCCCUUCAUGUACUUCGACUUUGUUUUGGCAGCUUCGGCCUCGCAAGCCGCCUUGAAUAUUUCAAAGUGCUCUCCCAUGAUUGUCAGAUUAUCCUUUACAAUCUCGGAGUAGGGUUGAUACGUCUCCAACGUAUCUAUUAUUUUUGAUUGCUCCAUGCUAUAUUAUCUCCUAUUUUGGACAAUAUUGGGCUUUAUAAUCGACUUUUAUAUUAUUUUUGGGACUAACCUAUUAACCGGAGGCCCAGCCUAGAAUUGUUGUCUUUUGCCUGUUUUAGGGUUUCGAAGAAAAGGAAUAUCAAACGGAGUCCAAACGGAAUGAAACCUUCGGGAACGUGAUUUUCUGAACGAACAAGACCCAGGAGACUUGGACCCUAUGUCAAGACACAAAAGAGGAGGACACGAGGUAGGGGGCGCACCUACCCCCCCCCCCCCCUCGAGGCACGCCCUCCACCCUCGUGGGGCCCCUGUUGCUCCACCGAUGUACUCCUUCCUCCUAUAUAUACCUACGUACCCCCAAACGAUCAGAUACAGAGCCAAAACCCUAAUUCCACUACCGCAACUUUCUGUAUCCACGUGAUCCCAUCUUGGGGCCUGUUCCGGAGCUCCGCCAGAGGGGGCAUCGAUCACGGUGGGCUUCUACAUCAACACCAUAGCCUCUCCGAUGAAGUGUGAGUAGUUCACCUCAGACGUACGGGUCCAUAGUUAUUACCUAGAUGGCUUCUUCUCUCUUUUUGGAUCUCAAUACAAUGUUCUCCCCCUCUCUUGUGGAGAACUAUUCGAUGUAAUCUUCUUUUUGCGGUGUGUUUAUUGAGACCGAUGAAUUGUGGGUUUAUGAUGAAGUCUAUCUAUGAAUAAUAUUUGAAUCUUCUCUGAAUUCUUUUAUGUAUGAUUGUUUAUCUUUGCAAGUCUCUUUGAAUUAUCAGUUUGGUUUGGCCUACUAGAUUGAUCUUUCUUACAAUGGGAGAAGUACUUAGCUUCGGGUUCAAUCUUGCGGUGUCCUUUCCCAAUGACAGUAGGGGCAGCAAGGCAUGUAUUGUAUUGUUGCCAUCGAGGACAACAAGAUGGGGUUUUCAUCAUAUUGCAUGAGUCUAUCCCUCUACAUCAUGUCAUCUUGCUUAAGGCGUUACUCUGUUUUUAACUUAAUACUCUAGAUGCAUGCUGGAUAGCGGUCGAUGAGUGGAGUAAUAGUAGUAGAUGCAGGGAGGAGUCGGUCUACUUGUCUCAAACGUGAUGCCUAUAUACAUGAUCAUACCUAGAUAUUCUCAUAACUAUGCUCAAUUCUGUCAAUUGCUCAACAGUAAUUUGUUCACCCACCAUAGAAUAAUUAUGCUCUUGAGAGAAGCCACUAGUGAAACCUAUGGCCCCUGGGUCUAUCUUUAUCAUAUUAAUCUCCUAUUACUUAGUUAUUUCCUUUGCUUUUUCCUUUGCCUUUAUUUUACUUUUCAUCUUUAUCACAAAAAUACCAAACAUAUUAUCUUUAUCAUACCUAUCAGAUCUCACUCUCGUAAGUGGCUGUGUAGGGAUUGACAACCCCUAUUCGCGUUGGUUGCGAGGAUUUAUUUCUUUUGUGCAAGUACGAGGGACUCGCGCGUAGCCUCCUACUGGAUUGAUACCUUGGUUCUCAAAAACUGAGGGAAAUACUUACGCUACUUUGCUGCAUCAUCCCUUCCUCUUCGGGGAAAACCAACGUAGUUCUCAAGAGCUGGCAAGAUGGAUUUCUGGCGCCGUUGCCGCGGAGGUCUACGCAAAAGUCAACAUACCAAGUACCCAUCACAUACCCUUAUCUCCCUCAUUACAUUAUUUGCCAUUUGCUUCUCGUUUUCCUCUUCCCCACUUCACCCUUGCCUUUUUAUUCGCCCUCUCUCUCUAUCCUCCCUCUCUUUCUCUAUUUGCCUCUUUUUCCCUACUUGCUUUCUGUUUGCUUGUGUGUUAGUUGCUUGCUUGUCACGAUGGCUCAAGAUAAUACUAAAUUACGUGACUUCACCAAUACCAACAACAAUGAUUUUAUUAGCACUCCGAUUUCUCCUCUUACCGAUGCUGAAUCUUGAGAAAUUAAUACUGCUUUGCUGAAUCUUGUCAUGAAAGAUCUGUUUUCCUGCCUUCCUAGUGAAGAUGCCGCUACCCACAUAAAUAGAUUCGUUGAUUUGUGUGACAUGCAAAAGAAGAAAGGUGUGGAUAAUGAUAUUGUUAAAUUGAAGCUAUUUCCUUUUUCGCUUAGAGAUCGUGCUAAAGCUUGGUUUUCGUCUUUGCCUAAAAAUAGUAUUGAUUCAUGGAAUAAGUGCAAAGAUGCUUUUAUCUCUAAGUAUUUUCCUCCUGCUAAGAUCAUCUCUCUUAGAAAUGAUAUUAUGAAUUUUAAGCAACUUGAUCAUGAACAUGUUGCACAAGCUUGGGAGAGAAUGAAACUAAUGAUACGUAAUUGACCUGCCCAUGGUUUAAAUUUGUGGAUGAUUAUACCAAAUUUUUAUGCCGGAUUGAACUUUGCUUCUAGAAAUCUUUUAGAUUAGGCCGCAGGAGGCACUAUUAUGGAAAUCACUUUAGGAGAAGCUACUAAACUCCUAGAUAAUAUUAUGGUUAAUUAUUCUCAACGGCAUACCGAAAGUUCUACUAAUAAAAAGGUGCAUGCGAUAGAAGAAAUUAAUGUUUUGAGUGGAAAGAUGGAUGAACUUCUGAAAUUAUUUGCUAAUAAGAGUAUUUCUUCUGAUCCUAAUGAUAUGCCCUUGUCUACUUUGAUUGAGAAUAAUAAUGAAUCUAUGGAUGUGGAUUUUGUUGGUAGGAACAAUUUUGGUAACAACGCGUAUAGAGGAAAUUUCAACCCUAGGCCUUAUCCUAGUAAUCUCUCUAAUAAUUAUGGUAAUUCCUACAGCAAUUCUUAUGGAAAUUAUAAUAAGAUGCAUACUGAUUUUGAAUCUAAUAUUAGAGAAUUUAUUACUUUGCAAAAGAAUUUCAAUGCUUUGAUUGAAGAAAAAUUGCUUAAGAUUGAUGAUUUGGCUAGGAACAUUGAUAGAAUUACUCUUGAUGUUGAUUCUUUGAAACUUAGAUCUAUUCCACCUAAGCAUGAUGUCAAUGAGUCUCUCAAAGCCAUGAGAAUUUCCAUUGAUGAGUGCAAAGAAAGAACCACUAGGAUGCGUGCUAAGAAAGAUGCCUUUAUAAGAGCGUGUUCUUCUAGUUCCUAUGAAAAUAAUGAUGAAGAUCAAAAAGUUAUUGAUGUGCUCCCUAUUAAAUCUUUGUUUUGCAAUACGAAUCUUGAUAAUCAUGGGACUGAAUAUGAUCCACCUUUACCUAGAAGGCGUUCCAAGAAUUCAGAAUUUGUUGAUCUUGAUGGUAAAACUGAUAAAGGUGGGAUUGAAGAAAUUAAAACCCUAGAUGUUGCUAAACCCACUAUUAUGGAUUUCAAGGAACUUAACUAUCAAAACUGCCCUUUGAUUGAUUGUAUAUCCUUGUUACAAUCCGUGCUAAAUUCUCCUCAUGCUUAUAGUCAAAAUAAAGCAUUUACUAAACAUAUCGUUGAUGCCUUGAUGCAAUCUUAUGAAGAAAAACUUGAAUUGGAAGUUUCUAUCCCUAUAAAGCUUUAUGAUGAGUGGGAACCAACUAUUAAAAUUAAAAUUAAAUAUCAUGAAUGCUAUGCUUUAUGUGAUUUUGUGUGCUAGUGUUUCCACGAUUCCAAAGACUUUGUGUGAUUUGUUAGGUUUCCAUGAUUUUGAUGAUUGCUCUUUAAACUUGCACCUUGCGGAUUCCACUAUUAAGAAACCUAUGGGAAGAAUUAAUGAUGUUCUUAUUGUUGCAAAUAGCAAUUAUGUUCCCGUAGAUUUUAUUGUUCUUGACAUAGAUUGCAAUCUUUCAUGUCCUAUUAUUCUUGGUAGACCUUUCCUUAGAACGACUGGUGCAAUUAUUGAUAUGAAGGAAGGAAAUAUUAGAUUCCAAUUUCCAUUAAGGAAAGGCAUGGAACACUUUCCUAGAAAGUAAAUUAAAUUACCUUAUGAAUCUAUUAUGAUAGCCACUUAUGGAUUGCCUACCAAAGAUGGCAAUACCUAGAUCUAUCCUUGCUUGUUAUGCCUAGCUAGGGGCGUUAAACGAUAGCGCUUGUAGGGAGGCAACCCAAUUUUAUUUUUACUCCUUGAUUUUUGCUCCUGUUUAGUAAUAAAUAAUUUAUAUAGCCUCUGUUUUGCUUGUGUUCUUUGUGUUUAAUUAGUGUUUGUGCCAAGUAGAACCGUUAGGAAGACUUGGGGAAAGUCAUGUUACACUUGCUGUAAAAAACUGAAACUUCAGCGCUCACGAGAACUGCUGCCGUUUUUAUUUGGAAAGUGCUAUUUAGUUAAUUAUUUUUUCAGAUAAAUUCCUCACAUCCAGAAAUUUAUUUUAGAAUUUUUGGGGUUCCAGCUCUUGAGCUAGCUACAGAGUACUACCGACUGUUCUGUUUUUGAAAGAUUCUGUUUUUCGUGUGUUGUUUGCUUAUUUUGAUGAAGCUAUGGCUAGUAAAAUAUUUUAUAAACCAUAGAGAAGUUGGAAUACAGUAGGUAUAACACCAAUAUAAAUAAAUAAUGAGUUCAUUACAGUACCUUGAAGUGGUCUUUUAUUUUCUUUCGCUAACGGAGCUCAUGAGAUAUUCUACUUUAAGUUUUGUGUUGUGAAGUUUUCAAGUUUUGGGUAAAGAUUUGAUGCAUUAUGGAACAAGGAGUGACAAGAGCCUAAGCUUGGGGAUGCCCAUGGCACCCCCAAGAUAAUCUAAGUACACCUAAAAGCCAAAGCUUGGGGAUGCGCCGGAAGUCAUCCCCUCUUUCAUCUACUUCUAUCGGUAACUUUACUUGGAGCUAUAUUUUUAUUCGCCACAUGAUAUGUGUUUUGCUUGGAGCGUCUUGUAUUAUUUGAGUCUUUAUUUGUUAGUUUACCACAAUCAUCCUUGCUGUACACACCUUUUGAGAGAGUCAUACAUGACUUGGAAUUUGUUAGAAUACACUAUGUGUUUCGCUUAUAUCUUUUGAGUUAUAUAGUUUUGCUCUAGUACUUCACUUCUAUCGUUUAGAGCACGGUGGUGGAUUUGUUUUAUAGAAACUAUUGAUCUCUCAUGCUUCACUUAGAUUAUUUUGAGAUUCUUAAUAGCAUGUUAAUUUGCUUAAAAUCCUAAUAUGCUAGGUAUUCAAAGUUAGUAAAAUUUUCUUAAGAGUGUUUUGAAUACUAAGAGAAGUUUGAUGCUUGAUGAUUGUUUUGAGAUAUGGAGGUAAUAAUAUCAAAGUCAUUCUACUUGAGUAGUUGUGAAAUUGAGAAAUACUAGUGUUGAAGUUUGCAUGUCCCGUAGCACGCACGUAUGGUAAACGUUGUGUAACAAAUUUGAAACAUGAGGUGUUAUUUGAUUGUCUUCCUUGUGAGUGGCGGUCGGGGACAAGCUAUGGUCUUUUCCUACCAAUCUAUCCCCCUAGGAGCAUGCGCGUAGUACCAAGGUUUUUGAUGACUUGUAGAUUUUUGCAGUAAGUAUGUGAGUUCUUUAUGACCAAUGUUGAGUCCUUGAAUUAUACGCACUCUCACCCUUCCAUCCUUGCUAGCCUCUUCGGUACCGUGCAUUGCCCUUUCCCACAUUGAGAGUUGGAGCAAACUUCGCCAGUGCAUCCAAACCCCGUGAUAUGAUACGCUCUUUAACACAUAAACCUCCUUAUAUCUUCCUCAAAAUAGCCACCAUACCUACCUAGUAUGGCAUUUCCAUAGCCAUUCCGACAUAUAUUGCCAUGCAACUUUCCACCAUUCCGUUCAUCAUGACACAUUCAUCAUUGUCAUAUUGCUUAGCAUAAUCAUGUUGUUGACAUAGUAUUUGUGGCAAGGCCACCGUUCAUAAUUCUUUCAUACAUGUCACUCUUGGUCCAUUGCAUGUCCCGGUACACCGCCGGAGGCAUUCAUAUAGAGUCCUACUUUGUUCUAGUAUCGAGUAGUAAUUAUUGAUUCGUAAAUAAAUAGAAGUGUGAUGAUCAUCAUUAAUAGAGCAUGGUCCCAAAAAGAAAAAAAGGAAGUGCCAAAAAAGGCCAAAUAAAAAAAUAUAAAAAAGGGGGGCAAUGCUACUAUCCUUUUUUUCCACACUUGUGCUUCAAAGUAGCACCGUAAUCUUCAAGAUAGAGAGUCUCUUGAUUUGUCACUUUCAUAUACUAGUGGGAAUUUUUCAUUAUAGAACUUGGCUUGUAUAUUCCAAUAAUGGGCCUCCUCAAGUGCCCUAGGUCUUCGUGAGCAAGCAAGUUGGAUGCACACCCACUUAGUUUCUUUUGUUGAGCUCUCAUACAUUUAUAGCUCUAGUGCAUCCGUUGCAUGGCAAUCCCUACUCAUUGCAUUAACAUCAAUUAAUGGGCAUCUCCAUAGCCCAUUGAUUAGCCUCGUUGAUGUGAGACUUUCUCCUUUUUGUCUUCUCCACAUAACCCCACUCAUUAUAUUCUAUUCCACCCAUAGUGUUAUGUCCAUGGCUUGCAAUCAUAUAUUGCAUGAAAGUUUAUAGGUUUGAGAUCACUAAAGUAUGAAACAAUUGCUUGGCUUGUCAUCGGGGUUGUGCAUGAUGAGAGCAUUCUUGUGUGACGAAAAUGAAGCAUGACUAAACUAUAUGAUUUUGUAGGGCUGAACUUUCUUUGGCCGUGUUAUUUUGAGAAGACAUAAUUGCUCAGUUAGUAUGCUUGAAGUAUUAUAAUUUUAUGUCAAUAUGAACUUUUGUCUUGAAUGUUUCAGAUCUGAAUAUUCAUACCACAAUUAAAAAGAAUUACAUUAAAAUCAUGCCAUGUAGCACUCCGCAUCAAAAAUUCUGUUUUUAUCAUUUACCUACUCGAGGACGAGCAGGAAUUAAGCUUGGUGAUGCUUGAUACGUCUCCAACGUAUCUAUAAUUUUUGAUUGCUCCAUGUAUAUUAUCUAUUGUUUUGGACAAUAUUGGGCUUUAUUAUCCACUUUUAUAUUAUUUUUGGGACUAACCUAUUAACCGGAGGCCCAGCCCAGAAUUGUUGUUUUUUGCCUGUUUUAGGGUUUCGAAGAAAAGGAAUAUCAAACGGAGUCCAAACGGAAUGAAACCUUCGGGAACGUGAUUUUCUCAACGAACAAGACCUAGGAGACUUGGACCCUCCAUCAAGACAUAAAAGAGGAGGCCACGAGGUAGGGGGCGUGCCUACCCCCCCCCCCCCCGGCGCGCCCUCCACCCUCGUGGGCCCCCCUGUUGCUCCACCGACGUACUCCUUCCUCCUAUAUAUACCUACUAUUGGGGAACGUAGCAGAAUUUUAAAAUUUUCUAUGCAAGAUCAAUCUAUGGAGUCAUCUAGCAACGAGGGAGAGAGGAGUGCAUCUACAUACCCUUGUAGAUCGCGCGCGGAAGCGUUCAAGAGAACGGGGUUGAUGGAGUCGUACUCGUCGUGAUCCAAAUCACCGAUGACCAAGUGCCGAACGGAUAGCACCUCCGCGUUCAACACACGUACGGUUGGGAAGACGUCUCCUCCUUCUUGAUCCAGCAAGGGGGAAGGAGAGGUUGAUGAAGAUCCAGCAGCACGAUGGCAUGGUGGUGGAUGCAGCAGGAUCCCGGCAGGGCUUCGCCAAGUGCAAGCGGGGAGGAGAGGUGUUACGGAAGGAGAGGGAGGCGCCAAGAGAAAGGGUGCGGCUACCCUCCCUCCCCCCCUCUUUAUAUAGGGGCCUUGGGGGGCGCCGGCCCUAGGAGAUGGAUCUCCAAGGGGGGCGAAGGCCAAGGGGUGGCUUCCCCCCCAAGCCAAGUGGGGGGCGCCCCCACCCCUAGGGUUUCCCAACCCUAGGUGCAGGGGAGGCCCAAGGGGGGCGCACCAGCCCACUAGGGGCUGGUUCUGCUCCCAAUUCAGCCCAUGGGGCCCUCCGGGAUGGGUGGCCCCACCCGGUGGACCCCCGGGACCCUUCCGGUGGUCCUGGUACUAUACCGGUGACCCCCGAAACCUUUCCGAUGGCCGAAACUGUACUUCCUAUAUAUAAAUCUUUACCUCCGGACCAUUCCGGAACUCCUCGUGAUGUCCGGGAUCUCCUCCGGGACUCCGAACAUAUCCUGGGUUACUACAUACUAAUAUCUCUACAACCCUAGCGUCACCGAACCUUAAGUGUGUAGACCCUACGGGUUCGGGAGACAUGCAGACAUGACCGAGACGCCUCUCCGGUCAAUAACCAACAGCGGGAUCUGGAUACCCAUGUUGGCUUCCACAUGCUCCAUGAUGAUCUCAUCGGAUGAACCACGAUGUCGAGGAUUCAAUCAAUCUGUAUACAAUUCCCUCUGUCAAUCGGUAGGUUACUUGCCCGAGACUCGAUCGUCGGUAUCCCAAUACCUCGUUCAAUCUCGUUACCAGCAAGUCACUUUACUCGUGCCGUAAUGCAUGAUCCCAUGAUCAACCACUUGGUCACAAUGAGCUCAUUAUGAUGAUGCAUUACCGAGUGGGCCCAGAGAUACCUCUCCGUCAUACGGAGUGACAAAUCCCAGUCUCGAUUCGUGCCAACCCAACAGACACUUUCAGAGAUACCUGUAAUGUUCCUUUAUAGUCACCCAGUUACGUUGUGACAUUUGGCACACCCAAGGCACUCCUACGGUAUCCGGGAGUUGCCCAAUCUCAUGGUCUAAGGAAAUGAUACUUGACAUUCGGAAAAGCUACAGCAAACGAACUACACGAUCUUUGAGCUAUGCUUAGGAUUGGGUCUUGUCCAUCACAUCAUUCUCCUAAUGAUGUGAACCCGUUAUCAAUAACAUCCAAUGUCCAUAGUCAGGAAACCAUGACUAUCUUUUGAUCAACGAGCUAGUCAACUAGAGGCUCACUAGGGACGUGUUGUCUUCUAUGUAUUCACACAUGUAUUACGAUUUCCGGAUAACACAAUUAUAGCAUGAACAAUAGACAAUUAUCAUGAACAAAGAAAUAUAAUAAUAACCAUUUUAUUAUUGCCUCUAGGGCAUAUUUCCAACAGUCUCCCACUUGCACUAGAGUCAAUGUCUAGUUACAUUGUGAUGAAUCGAACACCCUUGAAGUUCUGGAGUUGAUCAUAUUUUUCUCUAGGGAGAGGUUUAGUCAAUGGAUCUGCCACAUUCAGGUCCGUAUGUACUUUACAAAUCUCUAUGUCUCCAUUUUGAACAACUUCACGAAUGGAGUUGAAGUGACGCUUGAUAUGCCUGGUCUUCCUGUGAAACCUGGGCUCCUUGGCAAGUGCAAUAGCUCCAGUGUUGUCACAGAAUAGAGUCAUCGGGCACGGUGCAUUGGGUAUGACUCCUAGGUCGGUAAUGAACUCCUUCACCCAGACUGCUUCUUGUCCUGCCUCCGAGGCUACCAUGUACUCCGCUUCACAUGUAGAUCCCGCCACAACGCUUUGCUUGCAACUCCACCAGCUUAUUGCCCCACCAUUCAAAAUAUACACGUAUCCGGUUUCCGACUUAGAGUCAUCCAGAUCUGUGUCGAAGCUAGCAUCGACGUAACCCUUUACGACGAGCUCUUCGUCACCUACAUAAACGAGAAACAUAUCCUUACUCCUUUUUAGGUACUUGAGGAUAUUCUUGACCGCUGUCCAUGUUAGGGAACGUUGUAAUUUCAAAAAAAUUCCUACGCACACGCAAGAUCAUGGUGAUGCAUAGCAACGAGGGGAGAGUCUGAUCUACGUACCCUUGUAGAUCGCAACGGAAGCGUUGACACAACGUAGGGGAAGUAGUCGUACGUCUUCUUCCCGAUCCGACCGAUCCAAGCACCAUUACUCCGGCACCUCCGAGUUCUUAGCACACGUUCAGCUCGAUGACGAUCCUCGGGCUCCGAUCCAGCAAAGUGUCGAGGAAGAGUUCCGUCAGCACGACGGCGUGGCGACAAUCUUAAUGUACUACCGACGCAGGGCUUCGCCUAAGCACUACAACAGUAUGAUCGAGGUGGAAUUUGGUGGCAGGGGGCACCGAACACGGCUAAGGAACGAUCUCAAUGAUCAACUUGUGUGUCUAGAGGUGCCCCCUGCCCCCGUAUAUAAAGGUUGCCAGGGGGUGGGCUGGCCGGCCAAAGGAGGAGGGCGCAGGAGGAGUCCUACUCCUACCGGGAGUAGGACUCCCCCCCCCAAUCCUAUUCCUAAUAGGACUCCUCGAGAGAGAGAGAGGGAGAAGGGGGCCGGCCACCUCUCCUAGUCCUAAUAGGACUAGGGGAGGGGGGAGGCGCGCAGCCCACCUUGGGCUGCCCCUUUCGCCUUUCCACUAAGGCCCAAUAAGGCCCAUUUGGUUCCCGGGGGGUUCCGGUAACCUCCCUAUACUCCGGUAAAAUUCCCGAUUUCACCCGGAACACUUCCGAUGUCCAAACAUAGGCUUCCAAUAUAUCAAUCUUUAUGUCUCGACCAUUUCGAGACUCCUCGUCAUGUCCGUGAUCACAUCCGGGACUCCGAACAACCUUCGGUACAUCAAAAUGCAUAAACUCAUAAUAACUGUCAUCGUAACGUUAAGCGUGCGGACCCUACGGUUCGAGAACAAUGUAGACAUGACCGAGACACGUCUCCGGUCAAUAACCAAUAGCGGGACCUGGAUGCCCAUAUUUGCUCCUACAUAUUCUACAAAGAUCUUUAUCGGUCAGACCGCAUAACAACAUACGUUGUUCCCUUUGUCAUCGGUAUGUUACUUGCCCGAGAUUCGAUCGUCGGUAUCCAAUACCUAGUUCAAUCUCGUUACUGGCAAGUCUAUUUACUCGUUCCGUAAUACAUCAUCUCACAACUAACAUCUUAGUUAUAAUGCUUGCAAGGCUUCUGUGAUGUGUCUUACCGAGAGGGCCCAGAGAUACCUCUCCGACAAUCGGAGUGACAAACCCUAAUCUCGAAAUACGCCAACCCAACAUCUACCAUUGGAGACACCUGUAGUACUCCUCUAUAAUCACCCAGUUAUGUUGUGACGUUUGGUAGUACCCUAAGUGUUCCUCCGGCAAACGGGAGUUGCAUAAUCUCAUAGUCAUAGGAACAUGUAUAAGUCAUGAAGAAAGCAAUAGCAACAUACUAAACGAUUGGGUGCUAAGCUAAUGAAAUGGGUCAUGUCAAUCAGAUCAUUCAACUAAUGAUGUGACCUCGUUAAUCAAAUAACAACUCUUUGUUCAUGGUUAGGAAACGUAACCAUCUUUGAUUAACGAGCUAGUCAAGUAAAGGCAUACUAGUGACACUCUGUUUGUCUAUGUAUUCACACAUGUAUUAUGUUUCCGGUUAAUACAAUUCUAGCAUGAAUAAUAAACAUUUAUCAUGAUAUAAGGAAAUAAAUAAUAACUUUAUUAUUGCCUCUAGGGCAUAUUUCCUUCAGUCUCCCACUUGCACUAGAGUCAAUUAUCUAGAUUACACAGUAAUGAUUCUAACACCCAUGGAGCCUUGGUGCUGAUCAUGUUUUGCUCAUGGAAGAUGCUUAGUCAACGGGUCUGCAACAUACAGAUCCGUAUGUAUCUUGCAAAUCUCUAUGUCUCCCACCUGGACUAGAUCCCGGAUGGAGUUGAAGCGUCUCUUGAUGUGUUUGGUCCUUUUGUGUAAUCUGGAUUCCUUUGCUAAAGCAAUUGCACCAGUAUUGUCACAAAAGAUUUUCAUUGGACCCGAUGCACUAGGUAUGACACCUAGAUCGGAUAUGAACUCCUUCAUCCAGACUCCUUCGUUCGCUGCUUCCGAAGCAGCUAUGUACUCCGCUUCACAUGUAGAUCCCGCUACGACGCUUGUUUAGAACUGCACCAAUUGACAGCUCCACCGUUUAAAGUAAACACCUAUCCGAUUUGCAAUUUAGAAUCGUCCGGAUCAGUGUCAAAGCUUGCAUCAACGUAACCUCUUACGGUGAGCUCUUUGUCACCUCCAUAUACGAGAAACAUAUCCUUAGUCCUUUUCAGGUACUUCAGGAUGUUCUUGACCGUUGUCCAGUGAUCCACUCCUGGAUUACUUUGGUACCUCCCUGCUAAACUUAUAGCAAGGCACACAUCAGGUCUGGUACACAGCAUUGCAUACAUGAUAGAGCCUAUGGCUGAAGCAUAGGGAACAUCUUUCAUUUUCUCUCUAUCUUCUGCAGUGGUCGGGCAUUGAGUCUGACUCAACUUCACACCUUGUAACACAGGCAAGAACCCUUUCUUUGCUUGAUCCAUUUUGAACUAAUUCAAAAUCUUGUCAAGGUAUGUGCUUUGUGAAAGUCCAAUUAAGCGUCUUGAUCUAUCUCUAUAGAUCUUUAUGCCUAAUAUGUAAGCGGCUUCCCCGAGGUCUUUCAUCGAAAAACUUUUAUUCAAGUAUCCCUUUAUGCUAUCCAGAAAUUCUAUAUCAUUUCCAAUCAGCAAUAUGUCAUCCACAUAUAAUAUCAGAAAUGCUACAGAGCUCCCACUCACUUUCUUGUAAAUACAGGCUUCUCCAAAAGUCUGUAUAAAGCCAAAUGCUUUGAUCACACUAUCAAAGCGUUUAUUCAAACUCCGAGAGGCUUGCACCAGUCCAUAAAUGGAUCGCUGGAGCUUGCACACUUUGUUAGCUCCCUUUGGAUCGAUAAAACCUUCUGGUUGCAUCAUAUACAACUCUUCUUCCAGAAAUCCAUUCAGGAAUGCAGUUUUGACAUCCAUCUGCCAAAUUUCAUAAUCAUAAAAUGCGGCAAUUGCUAACAUGAUUCUGACAGACUUAAGCAUCGCUACGGGUGAGAAGGUCUCAUCGUAGUCAACCCCUUGAACUUGUCGAAAAACUUUUGCGACAAGUCGAGCUUUAUAGACAGUAAUAUUACCGUCAGCGUCAGUCUUUUUCUUGAAGAUCCAUUUAUUCUCAUUUGCUUGCCGAUCAUCAGGCAAGUCAACCAAAGUCCAUACUUUGUUCUCAUAUAUGGAUCCCAUCUCAGAUUUCAUGGCUUCAAGCCACUUUGCGGAAUCUGGGCUCACCAUCGCUUCUUCAUAGUUCGUAGGUUCAUCAUGAUCUAGUAGCAUGACUUCCAGAAUUGGAUUACCGUACCACUCUAGUGCGGAUCUCACUCUGGUUGAUCUAUGUGGUUCAGUAGUAUCUUGUCCUAAAGUUUCAUGAUCAUCAUCAUUAGCUUCCUCACUAAUUGGUAUAGGUGUCGCAGAAACAGUUUUCUGUGAUGUACUAUUUUCCAAUAAGGGAGCAGGUACAGUUACCUCGUCAAGUUCUACUUUCCUCCCACUCACUUCUUUCGAGAGAAACUCCUUCUCUAGAAAUGAUCCAUUCUUAGCAACGAAUGUCUUGCCUUCGGAUCUGUGAUAGAAGGUGUACCCAACAGUCUCCUUUGGGUAUCCUAUGAAGACACAUUUCUCCGCUUUGGGUUCGAGCUUAUCAGGUUGAAGCUUUUUCACAUAAGCAUCGCAGCCCCAAACUUUAAGAAACGACAACUUUGGUUUCUUGCCAACACUACAGGAAUCGGCUACUUUGCCAUGUGCCACGGCGGACGGCAAAGGCCCGAACGGCGGACGGCAAAGGCCUUUGCCGUCAGCGGCGGACGGCAAAAGGCUCCGGCAAAGUAGGCUUCGGUAAACAGGUUCUUUGCCGUCUACUAUUGACGGCAAAGUCUUUGCCGUCUGCGGCGGACGGCAAAGAGAGAGCAGCAGACGGCAAAGACGGCGGACGGCAAUAAUUGCGCUGUCAGUCCGUUAAGUGGCUAACGGAAGGCCUUUGCCGUCCGCCGCUGACGGCAAAAUUUCUAGGGUCUUUGCCGUCCGCCGUAUGAUGUCAUCUACACGUCACUACGUGGCAGGUUCUUUGCCGUCUGCCACUGACGGCAAAGUCUUUGCUGUCUGCCACUGUAGGCAAACUGACCAAAUGGGUCAGCUCCCAGGAAGCACAGGUGGACGCCACGUGGCUUCUUUGCCAUCCGCGGCAGACGGCAAAGAGCCCGUUGCCGUCGGUGGUAGACGGCAAAGAGCCUGCAUAUUGGCUCUUUUUUCUGUUUUUUCAUAUACCCAACCAUUUUCACAGCAAAUAGAUGAUACAUAUAUAUUUUUCACAUGGCAAGUUCACAGCAAACAUAUGAGAUAUCCAACACAUAUAAUUGCAUCAUACAUGCAUAGUUCCAUCAACCAUACAUAGCAAGUUCGACAUACAUGCAUCCAACCAUACAUAUUACAAUAGUGUCAUCCUACCAUACAUGCAUAGUUCAUAGAUACAAAGGAAACAUAGUUCAUCCAAACAAGCACUCCAUCUAUGCAAGCUUCCGUGAAGUGAAUGAAUUCUGCAAAAUGGGAAAUAAGAAAGUUAGAAGAAGAAGAUUGGAAGAAGAAGAAGUAGAAGAAGAAUAUAUAUAUAUAUAUGACAUUUAUGCGCUAAUUUAGGUGAAAUUGAUCAUUUGUGAGCUAACUUAGGUGAAAUGGAUCGUUUAUGAGCUAACCUAGGUGCAAUGGAUCGCUUAUGAGCAAACUUAAGUAAAAUGCAUCAUUUUAGAGGUAACCUAGGUAAGAUGGAUCAUUUUGGAGCUAACCUAGGUAAAAUGGGUCAUUUUAGAGCUAACUUCGGUAGAAUGGAUCAUUUAUGAGCUAGGUAAGGUUAAAUGGAUCAUUUUAGAACUAACUUAGGUAAAAUGGAUCGUUUAUGAGCUAACUUAGGUAAAAUGGAUCGUUUUUGAGCUAACUAAGGUGAAAUGAAUCGUUUUUGAGCUAACUAAGGUGAAGGGCAUCAUUUUUGAGCUAACUAAGGUGAAAUGGAUCGUUUUUGAGCUAACUAAGGUGAAAUGAAUCGUUUUUGAGCUAACUAAGGUAAAAUGGAUCGUUUUUGAGCUAACUUAGGUGAAAUGGAUCGUUUUUGAGCAAACUUAGGUGAAAUGGNNNNNNNNNNNNNNNNNNNNNNNNNNNNNNNNNNNNNNNNNNNNNNNNNNNNNNNNNNNNNNNNNNNNNNNNNNNNNNNNNNNNNNNNNNNNNNNNNNNNNNNNNNNNNNNNNNNNNNNNNNNNNNNNNNNNNNNNNNNNNNNNNNNNNNNNNNNNNNNNNNNNNNNNNNNNNNNNNNNNNNNNNNNNNNNNNNNNNNNNNNNNNNNNNNNNNNGGAUCGUUUUUGAGCUAACUAAGGUGAAAUGGAUCAUUUUUUAGCUAACUAAGGUGAAAUGGAUCGUUUUUGAGCAAACUUAGGUGAAAUGGAUCAUUUAAGAGCUAAUUUAGGUGAAAUGGAUUGUUUUUGAGCUAACUAAGGUGAAAUGGAUCGUUUUUGAGCAAACUUAGGUGAAAUGGAUCAUUUAAGAGCUAAUUUAGGUGAAAUGGAUCGUUUUUGAGCAAACUUAGGUGAAAUGGAUCAUUUAAGAGCUAAUUUAGGUGAAAUGGAUCGUUUUUAGCUAACUUAGGUGAAAUGGAUCGUUUAGGAGCUACUCUAGGUAAAUUGGGUCAUUUUAGAGCUAACUUGGAUAAACUAGAUCACUUAUAAGCUAACCUAGGUAAGAUGGGUCAUUUUGGAGCUAACUUAGGUAAAAUGGAUCGUCUAUGAGCUAACUAAGCUAAUUAUGCAAUUUUUGACAUAAGUAAGCUAAGUAUAGAUUGUUUUAGAGCUAACUUAGGUAAAAUGGAUGGUUUUGGAGGUCAGUAAGCUUAUUUAGUCAUUUUGGAGGAGAAGAAGCUAAGUCUACGUCAUUAUGGUAAGCAUUGGAGGAAAUAAAGCUAAGUCUAGGUCUUUAUGCAUGUGUUAAGCAAAACACUAGAUAAACUUACCAAGAUCCAGGAGGUGUAGGAGUGGGGUGGCUCGUGUCGGUAGCUGGAGAAGGAUCGUGCGAUGCUUGUCUGGAGUUACGCUGCACCAAAGAUCAUUUCCAAUGUCUUGUUAGCAUGAUGACACUCAAAUGUUAAGACUAGUAAGUAAUGUCCAUUCAAAUAAAACUCACCGUGGUCCCAGGAGCAAUCACUGGCAUCGGCGGAGCGGUCUGACCUGUCUUCUCGCACACAGACUGCACAUUUGGUUUUGACGACUCAGUCAUACUAGUUAGUAAUGAGACAAACACUACAUGAAUGUUUUGGCUAAUCUGCAGAUGAAACUUACCACAAGGAGCUCGUACAUGGCCCUUGCCUGCAUGUCAUUCCGUGCCCUCUCCUCCUCCACCAUCUUUGUCGUCCUCUCCUCCAACUCCCGCUGCCUCUCCGCCGCCUCCGCCAGAAGUUUCUCCGUUCUAUCUCUCUCACUCUGUAUGGCAGCCUGCAACACCACUCACAUGACAAUUUGUAAUCAUUGAUGGAAGCGCACACAAUGUAAUGGAGAAAGAUAACUGAGUAUGUAUCACUAACCUUGAUGGCGACUUGCACUGGCCGUUCACGAGGCCUUAUCUUAGGAGCGGAGCUCGACUGGCGCGCCUUGAUCUCCGAGAGAGUGCUAGGACAACGGAUAAGUCCAUCUCCAAUGGCUAUGGAGCCAUGGGACCUCCCGUCACCAGAUAUCAUCAACAGCUCUGGAUCAAUGGGACCCUGGCUCGGGUUAAAGUCCUCCCCUUUCCUCGCCUUCCCCUCAUCUCUAUAUCUCACGAGCUUGUUGUGGGAGGAGAUGUUGGUGAAGUUGUUUGCAUCAUCGAGGUCAGACUGAGAGAAAGCCUUGACUUUCUUGAAAGAGGCAGUGUGGGCCAUGGCAUACAGGUCGUACACCUCUGGCACCUUAUCCGCCUUAUUAUAGCAUGCCUGAAAGAGAGAAACAAUGAAAAUUAGUAAUUAAAGGGCUCAAGCUAGCAUGAUGAAUGAAUUGCAUGAAUCAUGAAGCAAACCACAUACCCAGUUGCGCCCGAACUGAUAUAAGUUGGAGCUGCCUUGAUGGUGUGGCACACCUUCCAUUUUUGCACGUUUGUCCUUGGCCUCCUUGUGGGGGGCUAGCCAUCGUUGUGAGCACCACUCAUCGACCAACACCUCCCAACAAUCCAUCCGAUCCGCACACCAUCUCGGAGGCGCCUAAGUUAGCAAAUAGAAACUUGAGCGCUACGGCUAAGAAUUACUAAAUGAAGGAACUUAAGUAGAGAAGGCCUUGAGAAUUACCUUCAUGUAAUGCUCCUUACUCAGGAACUUAUCGCAGCAUGCCGGCUUGGUCUUCUUGAUACCACGCAAGGCGUAGUAGUCUCGAACAGCCUGCACCCGAGCCUCGUGCCGUAAGUUCUGGAGUAGGCGCUUGCAGACGUUCUCGAUAACAUGUGCCGCGUCCUCCUCGUAUCCCUCCUCACACCUGUAGAAUGUCUGCAAUCAAAUGAGACAAUGUUGAUUAGUACAAUUAAUAACUAGCUAGUUGAAGAUUUUUAAAUGUGUAAAGGAGAAAUUACCCAGAACUUUCUGAUCACCAUGUCUGCCCUCGUGUCACACACGACACCGUCGAUAAUCUCAUUUGGCAGGGCCGGGGCAGCCACGUAGUGCUCCCAGCUCAAUCCAAGCUCUGGAAGCCGACCCUCACCAGGCAACGUGACAAACCCCGGGAAGUUUUGCCGGCAAAGAACUCCAAGGACGGAGUUGGGCCGGCGGACACUAUGAUGGUGGUCCCAACCCCUGCAGCAUGACAAGGCCAACGCAUUAGUUAUUUGAAAAAAUGUGAAUGCACAAGGUACAAAAAUAUUAAAUGCACUUACGUACCUCUCCCCAUCAGGGAAAAUCAACCACCUCUGCUCGCGGGUCACCGGCACGGACGGGAGCCGUGUAGCACCACGCUGGUAGACGGUGCCCCCCUCCUCCUCAAGAUCAGUCGGCUCCCCGCCAUCAUCAGCAUGACCACUCGGCUCCUUGGGCUGAUCCGGCCAGGUACCCCAUCCGGACGUGUGCUCCUCCGGGGUCAUGUGGGCCGAACUCUCGUGGGCUGAAGACCCGUGGACCGGAGGCUCAUGGACCGGAGUUCGUGUAGCCUCCUCCUCGGACGAGUCCACCCUAGCAGUCACGUGCUUGGGUGAAACGGUUGGGGGUGGCGGCGAGGAAGGCACCGUAGCAGUCACCCUACCUCCUCUCCCAGGACCACGUGCCCCACCUCCUCUCUUCCUACCUCGUCCCCUGCUGGGCACCAUGGUCGACGAAGAAGGGCCCGGCGGUGUGGCCAUACUGUCCAGCAACGCUCGGCGGAGAGGUGCGUCUGGAAUGGAAGACCUCAGACCACGCUCCCGACCAGUGCCCACCAUCUUUCAACACCUGCCAUGACAAACAGUAAAUGAAAUUAGUACAACAUAAAAAAGGACCGACAUGAAUAAUAAUAUGUGUAUCACUUAAGUGUAUCAUCAUCAAGUACAACAUAAAAAAAUGUAAUACCGGACACUACUAAUAAUCUCGAUCAGUAUCAUCAAUAAAUGCAUAAUCAUCAUCAUCACUAUAAUCAAUGACGGGCUCAUAGGGUUCAUUGGCAUCAACAUGUGCAAGGCCACCUUGACGUAAUCGGUCAAGCAUUGACAGGUCAUCCGCAGCAGUAACCUCUUCUUGUUCCGGCUCUUCUUGUUCCUCCUCUGGGGUGAUGUCGGAUUCAUUGUCGCUGUCUACUUCAAUGUUUUGGGGUGAAGUAUAGCGGUUCUUGAAACGCUUUUUGGAAAGACGUGUCUCUUGGAAGAAUUCUCCUUCAUAUGUGUCUGGGUUAAUGUGAGGUUCAUAAUCCUCUUCCUUUGCGGGAGAAAGUCUAGCACGUGGCGGCACUUCAUAAACGACAUCCCAACCUUUCAGAUUUGGAUUAGUUUGGCAGGCCCACGGUAGAUAGAAUACUUGGGUCGCCUGUUGAGCCAUAAUAUAGACAUCAAGAACAUCUAAACGAGUGCUUUGGUUGAUUUCAACUAGCCCUACAUGUUCAUGAGUCCUUCUAGUCUCGUUUGGCUGAAACCAAUAACAUUUGAAGACUACGACAUUUUGUGGGUUUUCACCAUAGAACAGAAGUUCAUAAAUUGCUUCAACUCUCCCAUAAUACUCGGUACCUCCUUUGCCGAUAGCAGAUACACAACAAUUUGUUGACUUUGGGUCCGCCAUAGAUAGCUCUUUGCCAUAGGUACGAAAGCGAUACCCGUUGAUGUCGUACUUGUCAAAUGAACGGACCUUAUAGUCAAAACCAUUAGCGACUUGUCUCAAUUCGGCGUCCAUAGAGUCUGGAUUAGCCUACAGGUUUAAUAUGAAAGGAUUGUUGCAUUAUGCACAAAUUAGCGAAUGAAAUGAAAUUGUCUAAUAGAAAUUACCGUUUGUUUGAACCAAGAGAUGAAACCGGGAUAGCCACCUCCUUGCUUUGCGAGAAGCUCAUACUCUUCGACAGAAUCCUUUUGGAUCUCCGCUCCAUACGAGAAUAUGGUGACGUAUCGACUGUAUGACAUAUCCAGGAAUAAGAGUAGUUCAAAGGAAAUAGAAGUUGCGAAACAAUGUAUCGAGAACUUACUCGAUGUACGGCCGCACUUCUAUCAGGUUGUUGAAGAUAUACAAUGAAAUGGUCCGCCAUUCUUUGUUAUCCAAAGAUACUGGAUGUGAAACACCAGCUGGUGCGAGAUUCCCUUUGAAUAGGCUGAGGUUGGAUCCACCCUUUUUAGGCUCGUCAGCAUUGUACCGAGGCUUCGGAUUAUGCAAAUGACGAUUUUUGGCUUCGUAGUGCGCUGUUACGAAGUUUGCCACCUCCUCUGUGAUGAAUGCCUCAGCCAUCGAUGCUUCAAUUCUACGUUUAUUUUUACAUUUUUCUCGAAGCGUGUUCUGCAUCCUCUCAGUUGGGUAGCACCAACGAUUUUGCACGGGCCCCCCCAAUCUUGCCUCGGUCGGGAGAUGCAAAAUCAAAUGCUGCAUUGGAUUAAAGAAGCCCGGUGGAAAGAUUUUCUCUAACUUGUAGAUCAACUCCGGCGCCAACUCUUCCAUUUCUUCUAGCACGCCAGGAGAUAGUUAUUUCGCACAAAGAACACGGAAGAAAUAGCUGAGUUCUGCCAGUACUAGCCAUUCAUCCUCAGGGAUGAAGCCACGCAACAUCACCGGCAUUACCCGCUCAAUCCAUAUUUGCUCCCCUCUUUAGAUUCGCUGCAUACCCAUCGGGGAACAUCAACUGCUGUUGCACCCACAAGAGAAUUUCCCUCAUAGCUGGCCUUCCAAGAUUGAACCAUGCCUUUGGCUUCGUCUAGUUCUGCUUUCCUUUCGGUUCUUUCAUGUUUUGUAACGGCCUAUCACAUAGCGCCUCCAGAUCGACUCUAGCCUUAGUAUUAUCCUUUGACUUCCCAUCCAUGCCGAACAAUGUACCAAAAAGUGCCUCGGUGAUAUUCUUCUCAGUGUGCAUCACGUCGAUGUUGUGUGGGCAAAGGAGGUCUUUGAAGUAAGGCAGAUCCCAUAAGCAUGUUUUGUGAGUCCACGCAUGCUUAGUAUUAUACCCCUUGAAGUACCCUGGACAUUGUGGAUCUGGCUCGAGAGCGUUUAACUGAUCCAGGGUCUGUUGGCCUGUCAAUGCAGGUGGUGCAGAGUUUUUGACAACUCUACCCCUGAUGAAGUUCUUCUUGUCUUCCCUGAACUUAUGGCGAGGAUCCAGGAACUGUCUAUGCAUGUCGAAGCAAGAAAACUUGCGACCGGCCUGAAGCCAACGAAACUCAAGAGCUCCCUGGCAUGUGGGGCACGGGAACCUUCCAUGCACACACCAGCCAAUGAAUAGCGCAUACGCCGGCAAGUCAUGCGUCGAGUACAUGUACUAGACACGCAUUAUGAAGUUCCGUUUGCUAAAGGCAUCGUAUGUCUUGAACCCAUUAUCCCAAGCUUCUUGCAAUUCGUCCUUAAGCGGCUGCAUGUACACAUUCAUAUUUUUGCCCGGAUAGUUGGGUCCUGGAAAUAUCAACGUUAGGAAAAUGUUCUUUCUUUGCAUAAUCUGUGCGGGGGGGAGAUUGAGUGGAAAGACAAAUACGGGCCAACAACUGUAUUGGGCUGCCAUCAUACCAAACACACUGAACCCAUCCGUGCUGAUGCCGACUCGAGAAUGCCUCGGAUCUGCCGCUUUGUCAGCAUGUAAUUCAUCAAACUUUUUCCACGCAACACCAUCCGAUGUGUGUACCAUCAUCAGAUUCCCAUCUGCAUCUAGUGCGGUUCUUUUGCCUGUUUUGUGCCAUGUCAUCUGUCUGGCCGUCUCUUUGACCAUGAAAAGACGUUGAAGUCUUGGUACAAUUGGCAUAUACCGAAGAACACUAACGGGGAUUUUGGUCUGUGUCUUCUCACCCAUACCGUUGUCUACCACAAUAUACCUGGAAGACUUGCAAAUGGGACAAUAGUUCAAGUCCGCAUAGUCAAGCCUAAAUAAGGCACAUCCUUUCUCACAGGCAUGUAUCUUCUCAUAGGGCAUCUUCAGUGCAUGGAGGAUUUUGUCCGACUGGUACAGGUUUGCAGGCAUUACAUGUCCUUUGGGUAGAAAGCGUCCAAAUACUGUCAUAAUUGCGUCAUAGCAUUCUCUACCCAAGUUGAACUGAGCCUUCAGAGCCAUUACUUGUGAGAUGGCAUCCAACUGACAAAGCUCAGUGUGCUCGCGGAGCGGACGUUUCGAAGACUCCAACAUUUCAUUGAAGGCCUUUGCAGAUUCCUCCAUCUCCUCGUCCGAAUCCCGAGCAUCAUCAUAGUCUUGCACCAUGUUUUCCAUCCCGGUACCAUGCUCGUCGGUGCGACGACGAUCCACCUCAGCUCGGUCACGUUGGGCAGACUCACCAUGAAAUGUCCAGACCGUAUAAUCGGGCGUAAAACCACUCUUCUGCAGGUGUUUGCCCAUUUCAGCCUCUCUCUUCUUUUCCCAAUUGCCGCACCGGAAAUAGGGGCACCAGGUUUUCUUUUGGCCAUUUGCAAAUGCGGCUUGCACAAACCCCUUAGUUUUUGUGAACCAUUCAGCGCUCCAUUUGUUCUGACCAGUGUGACCGGUAUACAUCCAAGCACGGUCACUCAUCUUGACUUUCAGAGCUACUGGACACACAACAAUUAUAUAUGUAAUUCACCAUGUAUAUAUUCAUCAGUUGAUCUACUGUGUCAAUUUUAUUACGUCCAUGCAACCUACACUCUAAUAGGUAAUGAUAGGUCCUAAUCCCACCCGUGUAUGUGUAGAUUGGGUUCAUUUUCCCAUGCUAUGCUCCGGAUCCGACGCAAAAUUUCGGCAGCACCUCCCCGUUAUUCUCCUGAUACACGUCUCUGCAAUAAACAGAGAGGAUGUGUACCCGGAGAACAACAGGGGAGGCACUGACGAAAUAUAUGCGUCGGAUCCGGAGCAAAGCAUAUGGGAAAACGAACCCAAUCUACACAUACUCGGGCUGUCCAUGGAUAGCGUUGGACAAUUCGAAAGAAUCAAGGUUAUAAAUAUGCAAAUGCAUGCAUAUUUAUAAAUAUGACGCUUUCGAAUGGGAGACACAUAUUGGUUACGCAUACUGAUGAUUCAAGACACAUAUAUAGCUAGCUAUCAAGUUUCAUCGGAAUAGAUCAAAUAAUUAAUGGGGGAGGAGGACUUGUCAUUUGUGCUCACCCACGAACGAAGGGCAGAGCUCGUCAAACGCACGGCGAGGUCGUCGAACACCAAACCUCGCAGCGAUGAAACAACUGCACAUUUAAAACUACACGAUCAACACAAUUAUAUAUGAUGUUUUUCAUAACUAAAUCGAAAAAUAUAUAACCUAACUAAUAAUUCACAAAUAUAUGACCCCGUCGGCCUCUGGAAGGCCGAAGAACACCUUAAUUUUCGGGAGGUGUCGGUGGUCGGGGUGCCCUGUCGGUGUCGGGGUGCCGUGUCGGGGUCGGGGUCUCGGGGUCGGGGUGUCGGGUCGGGGUGCCNNNNNNNNNNNNNNNNNNNNNNNNNNNNNNNNNNNNNNNNNNNNNNNNNNNNNNNNNNNNNNNNNNNNNNNNNNNNNNNNNNNNNNNNNNNNNNNNNNNNNNNNNNNNNNNNNNNNNNNNNNNNNNNNNNNNNNNNNNNNNNNNNNNNNNNNNNNNNNNNNNNNNNNNNNNNNNNNNNNNNNNNNNNNNNNNNNNNNNNNNNNNNNNNNNNNNNNNNNNNNNNNNNNNNNNNNNNNNNNNNNNNNNNNNNNNNNNNNNNNNNNNNNNNNNNNNNNNNNNNNNNNNNNNNNNNNNNNNNNNNNNNNNNNNNNNNNNNNNNNNNNNNNNNNNNNNNNNNNNNNNNNNNNNNNNNNNNNNNNNNNNNNNNNNNNNNNNNNNNNNNNNNNNNNNNNNNNNNNNNNNNNNNNNNNNNNNNNNNNNNNNNNNNNNNNNNNNNNNNNNNNNNNNNNNNNNNNNNNNNNNNNNNNNNNNNNNNNNNNNNNNNNNNNNNNNNNNNNNNNNNNNNNNNNNNNNNNNNNNNNNNNNNNNNNNNNNNNNNNNNNNNNNNNNNNNNNNNNNNNNNNNNNNNNNNNNNNNNNNNNNNNNNNNNNNNNNNNNNNNNNNNNNNNNNNNNNNNNNNNNNNNNNNNNNNNNNNNNNNNNNNNNNNNNNNNNNNNNNNNNNNNNNNNNNNNNNNNNNNNNNNNNNNNNNNNNNNNNNNNNNNNNNNNNNNNNNNNNNNNNNNNNNNNNNNNNNNNNNNNNNNNNNNNNNNNNNNNNNNNNNNNNNNNNNNNNNNNNNNNNNNNNNNNNNNNNNNNNNNNNNNNNNNNNNNNNNNNNNNNNNNNNNNNNNNNNNNNNNNNNNNNNNNNNNNNNNNNNNNNNNNNNNNNNNNNNNNNNNNNNNNNNNNNNNNNNNNNNNNNNNNNNNNNNNNNNNNNNNNNNNNNNNNNNNNNNNNNNNNNNNNNNNNNNNNNNNNACUAAAUCUAAACCUAAAACAAAACUAAAACUAAACCUAAAACUAAAACUAAAACUAAAUCUAAACUAAAACUAAAAAGGAAAAAAACAGAAAAAAAAUAGAAAAAAGGAGGUUGGGGCUCACCUUCUGCAGCGCCGGUGGAGGAGGGGGCGGGGCGGUGGAGGAGCUGGCUGGGGCGCGGGGCGGCCUGGGGCGGCGCGGGGCCGGGCCCGAUGCGGUGGGGCGCGGGGCGGCGGUGCGUGCGGACCCUAUGGUUCGAGAACAAUGUAGACAUGACCGAGACACGUCUCCGGUCAAUAACCAAUAGCGGGACCUGGAUGCCCAUAUUGGCUCCUACAUAUUCUACGAAGAUCUUUAUCGGUCAGACCGCAUAAUAACAUACGUUGUUCCCUUUGUCAUCGGUAUGUUACUUGCCCGAGAUUCGAUUGUCGGUAUCCAAUACCUAGUUCAAUCUCGUUACUGGCAAGUCUCUUUACUCGUUCCAUAAUACAUCAUCUCACAACUAACAUCUUAGUUAUAAUGCUUGCAAGGCUUAUGUGAUGUGUCUUACCAAGAGGGCCCAGAGAUACCUCUCCGACAAUCGGAGUGACAAACCCUAAUCUCGAAAUACGCCAACCCAACAUCUACCAUUGGAGACACCUGUAGUACUCCUUUAUAAUCACCCAGUUACGUUGUGACGUUUGGUAGUACCCAAAGUGUUCCUCCGGCAAACGGGAGUUGCAUAAUCUCAUAGUCAUAGGAACAUGUAUAAGUCAUGAAGAAAGCAAUAGCAACAUACUAAACGAUCGGGGGCUAAGAUAAUGAAAUGGGUCAUGUCAAUCAGAUCAUUCAACUAAUGAUGUGACCUCGUAAAUCAAAUAACAACUCUUUGUUCAUGGUUAGGAAACAUAACCAUCUUUGAUUAACGAGCUAGUCAAGUAAAGGCAUACUAGUGACACUCUGUUUGUCUAUGUAUUCACACAUGUAUUAUGUUUCCGGUUAAUACAAUUCUAGCAUGAAUAAUAAACAUUUAUCAUGAUAUAAGGAAAUAAAUAAUAACUUUAUUAUUGCAUCUAGGGCAUAUUUCCUUCAGUCCAGUGUUCCAUGCCGGGAUUACUUUGGUACCUUCCUACCAAACUUACGGCAAGGUUUACAUCAGGUCUGGUACACAGCAUAGCAUACAAGAUAGACCCUAUGGCCGAGGCAUAGGGGACGACACUCAUAUUUUCUCUAUCUUCUACCGUGGUCGUGCAUUGAGCCGUGCUCAAUCUCGUACCUUGCAAUAUAGGCAAGAACCCCUUCUUUUACUGAUCCAUUUUGAACUUCUUCAAUAUCUUGUCAAGGUACGUACUCUGUGGAAGACCAAUGAGGCGUCUCGAUCUAUCUCUAUAGAUCUUGAUGCCUAAUAUAUAAGCAGCUUCUCCAAGAUCCUUCAUUGAAAAACACUUGUUCAAGUAGGCCUUUAUGCUUUCCCAGAAUUCUAUAUCAUUUCCCAUCAACAAUAUGUCAUCCACAUCCAAUAUGGGAAAUUCUACAAAGCUCCCACUCAGUUCUUGUAAAUGCAGGCUUCUCCAUAAGUCUGCGUAAACCCAAACGCUUUGAUCAUCUCAUCAAAAUGAAUGUUCCAACUCCGAGAUGCUUGCACCAGCCCAUAAAUCGAGCGUUGGAGCUUGUACACCUUGUCAGCAUUCUUAGGAUCGACAAAACCUUCUGGCUGCAUCAUAUACAAUUCUUCCUUAAGGAAACCAUCAAGGACUGUUGUUUUGACGUCCAUUUGCCAUAUCUCAUAAUCAUAGAAUGCGGCAAUUGCUAACAUGAUUCGGACGGACUUCAGCUUCGCUACGGGUGAGAAAGUCUCAUCAUAGUCAACCCCUUGUACUUGCCGAUAACCCUUAGCGACAAGCCGAGCUUUAUAGAUGGUCACAUUACCAUCCGCGUCUGUCUUCUUCUUAAAGAUCCAUUUAUUUUCUAUGGCUCGCCGACCAUCGGGCAAGUCAGUCAAAGUCCAUACUUUGUUUUCAUACAUGGAUCUUAUCUCGGAUUUCAUGGCUUCCAGCCAUUUCUCGGAAUCCGGGCCCGCCAUUGCUUCUUCAUAGUUCGAAGGUUCACCGUUGUCUAACAACAUGAUUUCCAAGACAGGGUUGCCGUACCACUCUGGUGCGGGACGUGUCCCCGUGGACCUACGAAGUUCAGUAGCAACUUGAUCUGAAGUUUCAUGAUCAUCAUCAUCAACUUCCUCUCUAGUCGGUGCAGGCACCUUAGGAACAUUUUCUUGAGCUGCGCCACUUACCGGUUCAAGAGGUAAUACUUCAUCAAGUUCUACUUUCCUCCCACUUAUUUCUUUCGAGAGAAACUCUUUCUCUAGAAAGGACCCAUUCUUGGCAACAAAGAUCUUGCCUUCGGAUCCGAGGUAGAAGGUAUACCCAAUAGUUUCUUUAGGGUAUCCUAUGAAGACGCAUUUUUCCGAUUUGGGUUCGAGCUUUUCAGGUUGAAGUUUCCUGACAUAAGCAUCGCAUCCCCAAAGUUUUAGAAAUGACAUCUUAGGUGUCUUCCCAAACCAUAAUUCAUACGGCGUCGUCUCAACGGAUUUCGACGUAGCCCUAUUUAAAGUGAAUGCGGCAGUCUCUAAAGCAUAGCCCCAAAAUGACAGCGGUAAAUCAGUAAGAGACAUCAUAGAUCAUACCAUAUCUAAUAGAGUGCGAUUAUGACGUUCGGACACACCAUUACGCUGAGGUGUUCCAGGCGGCGUGAGUUGUGAAACUAUUCCACAUUUUCUUAAGUGUGUGCCAAAUUCGUGACUCAAGUAUUCUCCCCCACGAUCUGAUCGCAAGAACUUGAUUUGCCUGUCAUGUUGAUUCUCAACCUCACUUUGAAAUUCCUUGAACUUUUCAAAGGUCUCAGACUUGUGUUUCAUUAAGUAGACAUACCCAUAUCUACUCAAGUCAUCAGUGAGGGUGAGAACAUAACGAUAGCCACCACGAGCCUCAACACUCAUUGGACCGCACACAUCAGUAUGUAUGAUUUCCAAUAAGUUGGUUGCUCGCUCCAUUGUUCUUGAGAAAGGAGUCUUGGUCAUUUUACCCAUGAGGCAUGGUUCGCACGUGUCAAAUGAUUCGUAAUCAAGAGACUUUAAAAGUCCAUCUGCAUGGAGCUUCUUCAUGCGUUUGACACCUAUGUGACCAAGGCGGCAAUGCCACAUGUGGGACUAUCAUUAUCAACCUUACAUCUUUUGCUAUUCACACUAUGAAUAUGUGUAACAUUAUGCUCGAGAUUCAUUAAGAAUAAACCAUUCACCAAUGGAGCAUGACCAUAAAACAUAUCUCUCAUAUAAAUAGAACAACCAUUAUUCUCGGAUUUAAAUGAGUAGCCAUCUCAAAUUAAACGAGAUCCUGAGACAAUGUUCAUGCUCAAAGCUGGCACUAAAUAACAAUUAUUGAGGUUUAAAACUAAUCCCGUAGGCAAAUGUAGAGGCAGCGUGCCGACGGCGAUCACAUCGACCUUGGAACCAUUCCCGACGCGAAUCGUCACCUCGUACUUCGCCAGUCUCCGUUUAUUCCGCAGCUCCCGCUUUGAGUUACAAAUGUGAGCAACUGCACCGGUAUCAAAUACCCAGGAGCUACUACGAGUACUGGUAAGGUACACAUCAAUUACAUGUAUAUCACAUAUACCUUUAGUGUUGCCGGCCUUCUUGUCCGCUAAGUAUUUGGGGCAGUUCUGCUUCCAGUGACCACUUCCCUUGCAAUAAAAACACUCAGUCUCGAGCUUGGGUCCAUUCUUUGGCUUCUUCCCGGCAACUUGCUUAGCGGGCGCGGCAACUCCCUUGCCGUCCUUCUUGAAUUCUUCUUACCCUUGCCUUUCUUGAACUUAGUGGUUUUAUUCACCAUCAACACUUGAUGUUCCUUUUUGAUUUCCACCUCUGCUGAUUUCAGCAUUGAAUAUACCUCAGGAAUGGUCUUUUCCGUCCCCUGCAUAUUGAAGUUGAUCACAAAGCUCUUGUAGCUUGGUGGAAGCGACUGAAUGAUUCUGUCAAUGACCGCGUCAUUCGGGAGAUUAACUCCCACCUGAGUCAAGCGGUUAUGCAACCCAGACAUUUUGAUUAUGUGCUCACUGACAGAUCUAUUUUCCUCCAUAUUACAGCUGAAGAACUUGUCGGAGACUUCAUAUCUCUCGACCCGGGCAUGAGCUUGAAAAACCAUUUUCAGCUCUUCGAACAACUCAUAUGCUCCGUGUCUCUCAAAAUGCUUUUGGAGCCCCGGUUCUAAGCUGUAAAGCAUGCCGCACUGAACGAGGGAGUAAUCAUCAGCACGUAACUGCCAAGCGUUCAUAAUGUCUUGGUUCUCUGGGACAGGUGUGUCACCUAACGGUGCUUCUAGGACAUAAUCUUUCUUGGCAGCUAUGAGGAUGAUCCUCAGGUUCUGGACCCAGUCCGUAUAGUUGCUGCCAUCGUCUUUCAGCUUGGUUUUCUCCAGGAACGCGUUGAAAUUGAGGACAACGUGGGCCAUUUGAUCUACAAGACAUAUUGUAAAGAUUUUAGACUAAGUUCAUGAUAAUUAAGUUCAUCUAAUCAAAUUAUACAAUGAACUCCCACUCAGAUAGACAUCCCUCCAGUCAUCUAAGUGAAACAUGAUCCGAGUUAACUAGGCUGUGUCGGAUCAUCACGUGAGACGGACUAGUCAACAUCGGUGAACAUCUUCAUGUUGAUCGUAUCUUCUAGACGACUCAUGCUCGACCUUUUAGUCUUCUAUGUUCCGAGGCCAUGUCUGUACAUGCUAGGCUCGUCAAGUAAACCUAAGUGUAUUGCGUGUGUAAGUCUGGCUUACACCCGUUGUAUUCGAACGUUAGAAUCUAUCACACUCGAUCAUCACGUGGUGCUUCGAAACAACGAACCUUCACAAUGGUGCACAGUUAGGGGGAACAGUUUCUUGAAAUUAUUUCGAGGGAUCAUCUUAUUGAAGCUACCGUCGUUCUAAGCAAAUAAGAUGUAAAACAUGAUAAACAUCACAUGCAAUCAAAUAGUGACAUGAUAUGGCCAAUAUCAUUUUCUCCUUUUGAUCUCCAUCUUCGGGGGUCCAUGAUCAUCAUUGUCACUGGCAUGACACCAUGAUCUCCAUCAUCAUGUCUUCUUGAAGUUGUCUCGUCAUCUAUUACUUCUACUACUAUGGCUAACGCUUUAGCAAUAAAGUAAAGUAAUUACAUGACGUUUAUGUUGACACGCAGGUCAUAAAAAAUAAAGACAACUCCUAUGGCUCCUGCCGGUUGUCAUACUCAUCGACAUGCAAGUCGUGAUUCCUAUUACAAGAACAUGAUCAAUCUCAUACAUCACAUAUAUCAUUCAUCACAUCCUUUUGGCCAUAUCACAUCACACGACACAUGCUGCAAAAACAAGUUAGACGUCCUCUAAUUGUUGUUGCAAGUUUAUACAUGGCUGCUAUAGGUUUCUAGCAAGAACGUCUCUUACCUAUGGCAAAACCACAACGUGAUAUGCCACUUUCUAUUUACCCUUCAUAAGGACCCUUUUCAUCGAAUCCGAUCUGACUAAAGUGGGAGAGACAGACACCCGCCAGCCACCUUAUGCAACUAGUGCAUGUCAAUCGGUGGAACCAGUCUCACAUAAGCGUACGUGUAAGGUCGGUCCGGGCCGCUUCAUCCCAUGAUGCCACCGAAUCAAGAUAAGACUAGUAACGGCAAGCAAAGUGACAAUAUCCACGCCCACAACUGCUUUGUGUUCUACUCGUGCAUAGAAACUACGCAUAGACCUAGCUCAUGAUGCCACUGUUGGGGAAUGUAGCAGAAUUUUAAAAUUUUCUAUGCAUCACCAAGAUCAAUCUAUGGAGUCAUCUAGCAAUGAGGGAGAGAGGAGUGCAUCUACAUACCCUUGUAGAUCGCGCGCGGAAGUGUUCAAGAGAACGGGGUUGAUGGAAUCGUACUCGUCGUGAUCCAAAUCACCGAUGACCAAGUGCCUAACGGACAGCACCUCCGCGUUCAACACACGUCCUUUUGGGAAGACGUCUCCUCCUUCUUGAUCCAGCAAGGGGGAAGGAGAGGUUGAUGAAGAUCCAGCAGCACCACGACGUGGUGGUGGAUGCAACAGGAUCCCGGCAGGGCUUCACCAAGCGGAAGCGGGGAGGAGAGGUGUUACGGAGGGAGAGAGAGGCGCCAAGAGCAAGGUUGCGGCUGCCCUCCCUCCCCCCCUCUUUAUAUAGGGGCCAUGGGGGGGCGCCGGCCCUAGGAGAUGGAUCUCCAAGGGGGGCGAAGGCCAAGGGGUGGCUCCCCCCCCCCCAAGCCAAGUGGGGGGCGCCCCCACCCCUAGGGUUUCCCAACCCUAGGCGCAGGGGAGGCCCAAGGGGGGCGGACCAGCCCACUAGCGGCUGGUUCCCCUCCCAAUUCAUCCCAUGGGGCCCUCCGGGAUGGGUGGCCCCACCCGGUGGACCCCCGGGACCCUUUCGGUGGUCCCGGUACAAUACUGGUGACCCCCGAAACCUUCCCGAUGGCCGAAACUGUACUUCCUAUAUAUAAAUCUUUACCUCCAGACCAUUCCGGAACUCCUCGUGACGCCCGGGAUCUCAUCCGGGACUCCGAACAACUUUCGGGUUACUAUAUACUAAUAUCUCUACAACCCUAGCGUCACUGAACCUUAAGUGUGUAGACCCUACGGGUUUCGGAGACAUGCAGACAUGACUGAGACGCCUCUCCAGUCAAUAACCAACAGCGGGAUCUGGAUACCCAUGUUGGCUCCCACAUGCUCCAUGAUGAUCUCAUCAGAUGAACCACGAUGUCGAGCAUUCAAUCAAUCUGUAUACAAUUCCCUUUGUCAAUCAGUACGUUACUUGCCCGAGACUCGAUCAUCGGUAUCCCAAUACCUUGUUCAAUCUUGUUACCGGCAAGUCACUUUACUCAUACCAUAAUGCAUGAUCCCGUCAUCAACCACUUGGUCACAUGAGCUCAUUAUGAUGAUGCAUUACCGAGUGGGCCCAGAGAUACCUCUCCAUCAUACGGAGUGACAAAUCCCAGUCUCGAUUCAUGCCAACCCAAUAGUCACUUUCAGAGAUACCUGUAAUGUAACUUUAUAGUCACCCAGUUACGUUGUGACGUUUGGCACACCCAAGGCACUCCUACGAUAUCUGGGAGUUUUGUUGGAAAUAUGCCCUAGAGGCAAUAAUAAAAGCAUUAUUAUUAUAUUUCCUUGUUCAUGAUAAUUGUCUUUAUUCAUGCUAUAAUUGUGUUAUCCGGAAAUCGUAAUACAUGUGUGAAUAACAGACACCAACAUGUCCCUAGUAAGCCUCUAGUUAACUAGCUCGUUGAUCAACAGAUAGUCAUGGUUUCCUGACUAUGGACAUUGGAUGUCAUUGAUAACGAGCUCACAUCAUUAGGAGAAUGAUGUGAUGGACAAGACCCAAUCAUAAACAUAGCAUAAAGAUCGUGUAGUUCGUUUGCUAGAGUUUUUCCAAUGUCAAGUAUACUUUCCUUAGACCAUGAGAUCGUGUAACUCCCGGAUACCGUAAGAGUGCUUUGGGUGUACCAAACAUCACAACGUAACUGGGUGACUAUAAAGGUAUACUACGGGUAUCUCCAAAAGUGUCUGUUGGGUUGACACGGAUCAAGACUGGGAUUUGUCACUCCGUAUGACGGAGAGGUAUCACUGGGCCCACUCAGUAAUGCAUCAUCAUAAUGAGCUCAAAGUGACCAAGUGUCUGGUCACGGGAUCAUGCAUUACGGUACGAGUAAAGUGACUUGCCGGUAACGAGAUUGAACGAGGUAUUGGGAUACCGACAAUCGAAUCUCGGGCAAGUAACAUACCGAUUGGCAAAGGGAAUUGUAUACGGGGUUGCCUGAAUCCUCGAUAUCGUGGUUCAUCCGAUGAGAUCAUCGUGGAGCAUGUGGGAGCCAACAUGGGUAUCCAGAUCCCGCUGUUGGUUAUUGACCGAAGAGUCGUCUCGGUCAUGUCUGUCUGUCUCCCGAACCCGUAGGGUCUACACACUUAAGGUUCGGUGAUGCUAGGGUUGUAGGAAUAUGUAUAUGCAGUAACCCGAAUGUUGUUCGGAGUCCCGGAUGAGAUCCCGGACGUCACGAGGAGUUCCGUAAUGGUCCGGAGGUAAAGAAUUAUAUAUGGGAAGUGCUAUUUCGGCCAUCGGGACAAGUUUUGGGGUCACCGGUAUUGUACCGGGACCACCGGAAGGGUCCCGGGGGUCCACCGGGUGGGGCCACCUAUCUCGGAGGGCCCCAUGGGCUGAAGUGGGAAGGGACCCAGCCCAAAGUGGGCUGGGGUGCCUCUCCCCUAGGGCCCAUGCGGCUAGGGUUUGGGGGAAACCCUAAAAGGGGGCGCCCCCUUGCUUGGGGGGCAAGCCCCCCACCCCUUGGCCGCCGCCCCCCCCUCCCCCUAGGAAAAUAGAUCUCCUAGGGCCGGCGCCCCCCCCCCUUGGCCCUCCUAUAUAUAGUGGGGGAGGGAGGGCUAUUCUCUCAUGCCUUUGGUUGCCUCCCUCUCCCUCUCCGACACCUCCUCCUCCUCCAUAGUGCUUGGCGAAGCCCUGACGGAGUUCUGCAGCUCCACCAUCACCACGCCGUCGGUCUGCUGCUGGAGCCAUCUUCCUCAACCUCUUCUUCCCUCUUGCUGGAUCAAGAAGAAGGAGACGUUACGCUAACCGUACGUGUGUUGAACGCGGAGGUGCCGUCCGUUCGGCGCUAGGAUCUCUGGUGAUUUGAAUCACGUCGUGUACGACUACUUCAUCCACGUUCUUUGAACGCUUCCGCUCGCGAUCUACAAAGGUAUGUAGAUGCAUCCGAUGACUCGUUGCUAGAUGAACUCAUAGAUAGAUCUUGGUGAAACCGUAGGAAAUUUUUUGUUUUCUGCAACGUUCCCCAACAGUGGUAUCAGAGCUAGGUCUAUGCGUAGUUCUUCUUGCGCGAGUAGAACACAAUUUGUUGUGGGCGUAGAUGUUGUCAACUUUCUUGCCGCUACUAGUCUUAUCUUGCUUCGACGGUAUUGUGGGAUGAAGCGGCCCGGACCAACCUUACACGUAUGCUCACGUGAGACAGGUUCCACCGACAAACAUGCACUAGUUGCAUAAGGUGGCUAGCGGGUGCCUGUCUCUCCUACUUUAGUUGGAGCGGAUUCGAUGAGAAGGGUCCUUAUGAAGGGUAAAUAGAAGUUGAAAAAUCACGUUGUGGCUUUCACGUAGGUUAGAAAACGUUCUUGCUAGAACCCUACUUCAGCCACGUAAAACUUGCAACAACAAUUAGAGGAUGUCUAACUUGUUUUUGCAGCAAGUGCUUUGUGAUAUGAUAUGGCCAAAGUUGUGAUGAAUAAUACAUAUGUGAUGUAUGAGAUGUUCGUGCUAUUGUAAUAGGAAUCACGACUUGCAUGUCGAUGAGUAUGACAACCGGCAGGAGCCAUAGGAGUUGUCUUUAUUCUUUUAUAUGACCUGCGUGUCAUUGAGAAACGCCAUGUAAAUUACUUUACUUUAUUGCUAAACACGUUAGCCUUAGUAGUAGAAGUAAUAGUUGGCGAGCAACUUCAUGGAGACACGAUGAUGGAGAUCAUGAUGAUGGAGAUCAUGGUGUCAUGCCGGUGACAAGAUGAUCAUGGAGCUCCAAGAUGGAGAUCAAAGGAGCUAUGUGAUAUUGGCCAUAUCAUGUCACUAUUAUUAUUUGAUUGCAUUUGAUGUUUAUCAUGUUUUGCAUCUUGUUUACUUAGAACGACGGUAGUGAAUAAGAUGAUCCCUCAUAAUAAUUUCAAGCAAGUGUUCCCCCUAACUGUGCACCGUUGCGACAGUUCAUUGCUUCAAUGCACCACGUGAUGAUCGGGUGUUUGAUUCAAACGUUCACAUACAACGGGUGUAAGACAGAUUUACACAUGCAAACACUUAGGUUGACUUGACGAGCCUAGCAUGUGUAUAGACAUGGCCUCGGAACACAGAAGACCAAAAGGUCGAGCAUGAGUCGUAUAGAAGAUACGAUCAACAUGAAGAUGUUCAUCGAUGUUGACUAGUCCGUCUCACGUGAUGAUCGGACACGGCCUAGUUGACUCGGAUCAUGUUAUACUUAGAUGACUAGAAGAGGGAUGUCUAUCUAAGUGGGAGUUCAUUCAAUAAUUUGAUUAGAUGAACUUAAUUAUCAUGAACUUAGUCUAAAAUCUUUGCAAUAUGUCUUGUAGAUCAAAUGGCCAACGUAGUCCUCAACUUCAACGCGUUCCUAGAGAAAACCAAACUGAAAGAUGAUGGCAGUAACUAUACGGAAUGGGUCUGGAACCUGAGGAUUAUCCUCAUAGCUGCCAAGAAAGAUUAUGUCCUACAAGCACCGCUAGGUGAAGCUCCCGUCCCAUGGAACCAAGAUGUUAUGAACGCUUGGCAGACACGUGCUGAUGACUACUCCCUCGUUCAGUGCGGCAUGCUUUACAGUUUAGAGCCGGGGCUCCAAAAGCGUUUUGAGAGACAUAGAGCAUAUGAGAUGUUCGAAGAGCUGAAAAUGGUGUUUCAAGCUCAUGCCCGGGUCGAGAGAUAUGAGGUCUCCGACAAAUUCUUCAGUUGUAAGAUGGAGGAAAAUAGUUCUGUCAGUGAGCACAUACUCACUAUGUCUGGGUUACAUAAUCGCUUGACUCAGCUGGGAGUUAAUCUCCUGGAUGAUGCGGUCAUUGACAGAAUCCUCCAGUCGCUUCCACCAAGCUACAAGAGCUUUGUGAUGAACUUCAAUAUGCAGGGGAUGGAAAAGACCAUUCCUGAGGUAUUUACAAUGCUGAAAUCAGCAGAGGUAGAAGUCAAGAAGGAACAUCAAGUGUUGAUGGUCAAUAAAACCACUAAGUUCAAGAAGGGCAAGGGUAAAAAGAACUUCAAGAAGGACGGCAAGGGAGUUGCCGCGCCCGGCAAGCAAGCUGCCGGGAAGAAGCCAAAGAAUGGUCCCAAGCCCGAGACUGAGUGCUUUUAUUAUAAGGGAAGCGGUCACUGGAAGCGGAACUGCCCCAAAUACUUAGCGGACAAGAAGGCCGGCAAAACAAAAGGUAUAUGUGAUAUACAUGUAAUUGAUGUGUACCUUACCAGUACCCGUAGUAGCUCCUGGGUAUUUGAUACUGGUGUAGUUGCUCACAUUUGUAACUCAAAGCAGGGGCUGCGGAAUAAGCGGAGACUGGCGAAGGACGAGGUGACGAUGCGCGUCGGGAAUGGUUCCAAGGUCAAUGUAAUCGCCGUCGGCACGUUACCUCUAUAUUUACCUUCGGGAUUAGUUGUAAACCUUAAUAAUUGUUAUUUAGUACCAGCUUUGAGCAUGAACAUUGUAUUGGGAUCUCGUUUAAUUCAAGAUGGCUACUCAUUUAAAUCCGAGAAUAAUGGUUGUUCUAUUUAUAUGAGAGAUAUGUUUUAUGGUCAUGCUCCUAUGGUGAAUGGUUUAUUCUUAAUGAAUCUCGAGCGUAAUGCUACACAUAUUCAUAGUGUGAGUACCAAAAGAUGUAAGGUUGAUAAUGAUAGUCCCACAUACUUGUGGCACUGCCGCCUUGGUCACAUAGGUGUCAAACGCAUGAAGAAGCUCCAUGCAGAUGGACUUUUAGAGUCUCUUGAUUAUGAAUCAUUUGACACGUGCGAACCAUGCCUCGUGGGUAAAAUGACCAAGACUCCGUUCUCAGGAACAAUGGAGCGAGCAACCAACUUAUUGGAAAUCAUACAUACUGAUGUGUGCGGUCCAAUGAGCGUUGAGGCUCGCGGUGGCUAUCGUUAUGUUCUCACCCUCACUGAUGACUUGAGUAGAUAUGGGUAUGUCUACUUAAUGAAACACAAGUCUGAAACCUUUGAAAAGUUCAAGGAAUUUCAGAGUGAGGUUGAGAAUCAACGUGACAGGAAAAUCAAGGUUCUACGAUCAGAUCAUGGAUGCGAAUACUUGAGUCACGAAUUUGGCACACACUUAAGAAAAUGUGGAAUAGUUUCACAACUCACGCCGCCUGGAACACCUCAGCGUAACGGUGUGUCCGAACGUCGUAAUCGCACUCUAUUAGAUAUGGUACGAUCUAUGAUGUCUCUUACCGAUUUACCACUAUCUUUUUGGGGCUAUGCUUUAGAGACUGCCGCAUUCACUUUAAAUAGGGCUCCGUCGAAAUCCGUUGAGACGACACCGUUUGAAUUAUGGUUUGGGAAGAAACCUAAGCUGUCGUUUCUAAAAGUUUGGGGAUGCGAUGCUUAUGUCAAGAAACUUCAACCUGAAAAGCUCGAACCCAAGUCGGAAAAAUGCGUCUUCAUAGGAUACCCUAAAGAAACUGUUGGGUAUACCUUCUACCUCAGAUCCGAAGGCAAGAUUUUUGUUGCCAGGAAUGGAUGCUUUCUAGAGAAGGAGUUUCUCUCGAAAGAAGUAAGUGGGAGGAAAGUAGAACUUGAUGAAGUGUUACCUCUUGAACCGGAAAAUGGCGCAACUCAAGAAAAUGUUCAUGAGGUGCCUGCACCGACUAGAGAGGAGGUUAAUGAUGAUGAUCAUGAAACUUCUGAUCAAGUUGCUACUGAACUUCGAAGGUCCAUAAGGACACGUUCCGCACCAGAGUGGUACGGCAACCCUGUCUUGGAAAUCAUGUUGUUAGGCAACGGUGAACCUUCGAACUAUGAAGAAGCGAUGGCGGGCCCGGAUUCCGACAAAUGGCUAGAAGCCAUGAAAUCCGAGAUAGGAUCCAUGUAUGAAAAUGAAGUAUGGACUUUGACUGACUUGCCCGUUGAACGGCGAGCCAUAGAAAAUAAAUGGAUCUUUAAGAAGAAGACAGACGCGGAUGGUAAUGUGACCAUCUAUAAAGCUCGGCUUGUCGCUAAGGGUUAUCGACAAGUUCAAGGGGUUGACUACGAUGAGACUUUCUCACCGGUAGCGAAGCUGAAGUCCGUCCGAAUCAUGUUAGCAUUUGCCGCAUUCUACGAUUAUGAGAUAUGGCAAAUGGAUGUCAAAACGGCAUUAAUUAAUGGUUUCCUUAAGGAAGAAUUGUAUAUGAUGCAGCCGGAAGGUUUUGUCGAUCCUAAGAAUGCUGACAAGGUGUGCAAGCUCCAACGCUCGAUUUAUGGGCUGGUGCAAGCAUCUCGGAGUUGGAACAUUCGCUUUGAUGAGAUGAUCAAAGUGUUUGGGUUUACUCAGACUUAUGGAGAGGCCUGCGUUUACAAGAAAGUGAGUGGGAGCUCUGUAGCAUUUCUCAUAUUAUAUGUAGAUGACAUACUUUUGAUGGGAAAUGAUAUAGAACUCUUGGACAGCAUCAAGGCCUACUUGAAUAAGAGUUUUUCAAUGAAGGACCUUGGAGAAGCUGCUUAUAUAUUAGGCAUCCAGAUCUAUAGAGAUAGAUCAAGAUGCCUCAUAGGUCUUUCACAAAGCACAUACCUUGAUAAGAUAUUGAAGAAGUUCAAUAUGGAUCAAUCUAAGAAGGGGUUCUUGCCUGUGUUACAAGGUAUGAAAUUGAGCUCAGCUCAAUGUCCGACCAUGGCAGAAGAUAUAGAAGAGAUGAGUGUCAUCCCCUAUGCCUCAGCCAUAGGUUCUAUUAUGUAUGCCAUGCUGUAUACCAGACCUGAUGUAAACCUUGCCGUAAGUUUGGUAGGAAGGUACCAAAGUAAUCCCGGCAAGGAACACUGGACAGCGGUCAAGAAUAUCCUGAAGUACCUAAAAAGGACUAAGGAAAUGUUUCUCGUUUAUGGAGGUGACGAAGAGCUCGUCGUAAAGGGUUACGUCAACGCUAGCUUCGACACAGAUCUGGAUGACUCUAAGUCACAAACCGGAUACGUGUAUAUUUUGAAUGGUGGGGCAGUAAGCUGGUGCAGUUGCAAGCAGAGCGUCGUGGCGGGAUCUACAUGUGAAGCGGAGUACAUGGCAGCCUCGGAGGCAGCACAUGAAGCAAUUUGGGUGAAGGAGUUCAUCACCGACCUAGGAGUCAUACCCAAUGCGUCGGGGCUGAUCAAGCUCUUCUUUGACAACACUGGAGCUAUUGCACUUGCCAAGGAGCCCAGGUUUCACAAGAAGACAAGGCACAUCAAGCGUCGCUUCAACUCCAUUCGUGAAAAUGUUCAAGAUGGAGACAUAGAUAUUUGUGAAGUACAUACGGACCUGAAUGUAGCAGAUCCGUUGACUAAACCUCUCCCUAGAGCAAAACAUGAUCAACACCAGAAUUCCAUGGGUGUUCGAUUCAUCACAAUGUAACUAGAUUAUUGACUCUAGUGCAAGUGGGAGACUGUUGGAAAUAUGCCCUAGAGGCAAUAAUAAAAGCAUUGUUAUUAUAUUUCCUUGUUCAUGAUAAUUGUCUUUAUUCAUGCUAUAAUUGUGUUAUCCGGAAAUCGUAAUACAUGUGUGAAUAACAGACACCAACAUGUCCCUAGUAAGCCUCUAGUUAACUAGUUCGUUGAUCAACAGAUAGUCAUGGUUUCUUGACUAUGGACAUUGGAUGUCAUUGAUAACGAGAUCACAUCAUUAGGAGAAUGAUGUGAUGGACAAGACCCAAUCAUAAACAUAGCAUAAAGAUCGUGUAGUUCGUUUGCUAGAGUUUUUCCAAUGUCAAGUAUCCUUUCCUUAGACCAUGAGAUCGUGUAACUCCCGGAUACCGUAAGAGUGCUUUGGGUGUACCAAACGUCACAACGUAACUGGGUGACUAUAAAGGUAUACUACGGGUAUCUCCGAAAGUGUCUGUUGGGUUGACACGGAUCUAGACUGGGAUUUGUCACUCCGUAUGACGGAGAGGUAUCACUGGGCCCACUCGGUAAUGCAUCAUCAUAAUGAGCUCAAAGUGACCAAGUGUCUGGUCACGGGAUCAUGCAUUACGGUACGAGUAAAGUGACUUGCCGGUAACGAGAUUGAAUGAGGUAUUGGGAUAACGACGAUCGAAUCUCGGGCAAGUAACAUAUCGAUUGGCAAAGGGAAUUGUAUACGGGGUUGCUUGAAUCCUCGACAUCGUGGUUCAUCCAAUGAGAUCAUCGUGGAGCAUGUGGGAGCCAACAUGGGUAUCCAGAUCCCGUUGUUGGUUAUUGACCGGAGAGUCGUCUCGGUUAUGUCUGCCUGUCUCCCGAACCCGUAGGGUCUACACACUUAAGGUUCAGUGACGCUAGGGUUGUAGGAAUAUGUAUAUGCAGUAACCCGAAUGUUGUUCGGAGUCCCGGAUGAGAUCCCGGACGUCACGAGGAGUUCCGGAAUGGUCCGGAGGUAAAGAAUUAUAUAUGGGAAGUGGUAUUUCGGCCAUCGGGACAAGUUUCGGGGUCACCGGUAUUGUACCGGGACCACCGGAAGGGUCCCGGGGGUCCACCGGGUGGGGCCACCUAUCCCGGAGGGCCCCUUGGGCUGAAGUGGGAAGGGACCCAGCCCAAAGUGGGCUGGGGCGCCUCUCCCCUAGGGCCCAUGCGGCUAGGGUUUGGGGGAAACCCUAAAAGGGGGCGCCCCCUUGCUUGGGGGGCAAGCCCCCCACCCCUUGGCCGCCGCCGCCCCCCCCCCCUAGGAGAAUAGAUCUCCUAGGGCCGGCGCCCCCCCCCUUGGCCCUCCUAUAUAUAGUGGGGGAGGGAGGGCUAUUCUCUCACGCCUUUGGUUGCCUCCCUCUCCCUCUCCAACACCUCCUCCUCCUCCAUAGUGCUUGGCGAAGCCCUGACGGAGUUCUGCAGCUCCACCAUCACCACGCCGUCGUGCUGCUGCUGGAGCCAUCUUCCUCAACCUCUUCUUCCCUCUUGCUGGAUCAAGAAGAAGGAGACGUUACGCUAACCGUACGUGUGUUGAACGCGGAGGUGCCGUCCGUUCGGCGCUAGGAUCUCCGGUGAUUUGAAUCACGUCGUGUACGACUACUUCAUCCACGUUCUUUGAACACUUCCGCUCGCGAUCUACAAAGGUAUGUAGAUGCAUCCGAUGACUCGUUGCUAGAUGAACUCAUAGAUAGAUCUUGGGGAAACUGUAGGAAAAUUUUCUGCAACGUUCCCCAACAAGUUUCACAAUCUCAUGGUCUAAGGAAAUGAUACUUGACAUUCGGAAAAGCUACAGCAGAUGAACUACACGACCUUUGAGCUAUGCUUAGGAUUGGGUCUUGUCCAUCACAUCAUUCUCCUAAUGAUGUGAUACCGUUAUGAAUGACAUCCAAUGUCCAUAGUCAGGAAACCAUGACUAUCUUUUGAUCAACAAGCUAGUCAACUAGAGGCUCACUAGGGACGUGUUGUGGUCUAUGUAUUCACACAUGUAUUACGAUUUCCGGAUAACACAAUUAUAGCAUGAACAAUAGACAAUUAUCAUGAACAAAGAAAUAUAAUAAUAACCAUUUUAUUAUUGCCUCUAGGGCAUAUUUCCAACACCUACGUACCCCCAAACGAUCAUAUACGGAGCCAAAACCCUAAUUCCACCGCCGCAACUUUCUGUAUCCACGAGAUCCCAUCUUGGGGCCUGUUCCGGAGCUCCGCCAGAGGGGGCAUCGAUCACGGAGGGCUUCUACAUCAACACCAUAGCCUCUCCGAUGAAGUGUGAGUAGUUCACCUCAGACCUACGGUUCCAUAGUUAUUAGCUAGAUGGCUUCUUCUCUCUUUUUGGAUCUCAAUACAAUGUUCUCCCCCUCUCUUGUGGAGAACUAUUCGAUGUAAUCUUCUUUUUGCGGUGUGUUUGUUGAGACCGAUGAAUUGUGGGUUUAUGAUCAAGUCUAUCUAUGAAUAAUAUUUGAAUCUUCUCUGAAUUCUUUUAUGUAUGAUAGGUUAUCUUUGAAAGUCUUUUCGAAUUAUCAGUUUGGUUUGGCCUACUAGAUUGAUCUUUCUUGCAAUGGGAGAAGUGCUUAGCUUUGGGUUCAAUCUUGCGGUGUCCUUUCCCAGUGACAGUAGGGGCAGCAUGGCACGUAUUAUAUUGUUGCCAUCGAGGACAACAAGAUGGAGUUUUCAUCAUAUUGCAUGAGUCUAUCCCUCUACAUCAUGUCAUCUUGCUUAAGGCCUUAAUCUGUUUUUAACUUAAUACUCUAGAUGCUUGCUGGAUAGCGGUCGAUUAGUGGAGUAAUAGUAGUAGAUGCAGGCAGGAGUCGGUCUACUUGUCUCGGACAUGAUGCCUAUAUAUAUGAUCAUACCUAGAUAUUCUCAAAACUAUGCUCAAUUCUGUCAAUUGCUCAACAAUAAUUUGUUCACCCACCGUAGAAUACUUAUGCUCUCGAGAGAAGCCACUAGUGAAACCUAUGGCCCCCGGGUCUAUCUUUAUCAUAUUAAUCUCCUACUACUUAGUUAUUUCCUUUGCUUUUUACUUUGCCUUUAUUUUACUUCGCAUCUUUAUCACAAAAAUACGAAAAAAAUUAUCUUUAUCAUAUCUAUCAAAUCUCACCCUCGUAAGUGGCCGUUUAGGGAUUGACAACCCCUAUUCGCGUCGGUUGUGAGGAUUUAUUUGUUUUGUGCAGGUACAAGGGACUCGCGCGUAGCCUCCUACUGGAUUGAUACCUUGGUUCUCAAAACCUAUUUGAUUGCCGUAGCACGAUCGCGCUUCCUCGGGCGCUAUUGUCUCAAAAAUACCGUCGUCCAUCUCCGUGACCUCCAGUCUACUACUCAUGAGCUGGUUUGGGCGCCGUGGCCUCUUUGCUUUCGGUUCUAGACCAGCUCCGCUAGUCUCGGCGCCUGUCUCAGUCUCAUCGCCGAUCUGCAUGUCGGUAUCAGUCCCCGAUGCGACAUCACAGUUGCUGCAACAUGGGAAAGGGAGACCACGUCAGUGCUGGGGGGUCUGAAAAUCGGAACACACUUUCGCGCGUUGCGGGCCGCCUCUCAGACAGCUACUGGGGAGGCGGCGGAGUACCUGGGUGCGCGGCGAAUCCCCGGGAACUCGGUGACCAACUUCCUUCCCGUGUGGCGCAUGGAGACGACGGCGACCCCGGCGAAGAGCAGCUUAGCCGCGAGCUGCACAGCCUCGUCCACCUCCUAAGUUGGGACCUCCGUGCGAGCGUUGCGGGGCCGCCACUCGGAUGGCUUCUGGAAGGCGGUUGUACAUGGGCACAUGGUGAAUCCCGGCGAGAGCUUGCCAUUGGCGCGCUCAAGUAGACGACGACGUCCUCGACGAAGAGCAGCCCGGCCAGCUCGCCUCACUAUCGUUUGAUUAGAAAUGAAAGAUUGGGAAGAAGCAGACUUGAGCCUGCAGGGAAAGGAUAAGGUGACGAUGCAGUCUCCACUCGUUCGGGGCGACACUCGUACUGAAUGUAUGAGAAAUCUGACGUGGCAGAGACCCCAAGAUACUCCCUCCAUUUAUUUUUAGUCUGCAUAUAAAGUUUGGUCAAAGUCAAGAUUUGUAAAUUUUAACUAACUUUAUAAUAAAAAAAUAUCAACAUUCACAAUAUGAAAUCAAUAUUACCAGAUGCGUCAUGAAAUGUAUUUCCAUACUAUAUAGUUUUGGUAUUGUAGAUGUUCAUAUUUUUUUAUAUAUAUGGGAAGUAGAGGCACUCUUCUAUACUAUAUUCAGAUGUAUGAUAUCUGUUAUUUAAGCGCUUGAAUUUUACAUACGAAUAUUUAUUAUUAAAUAUGUACCCCUACAAUAGCUAGGCCGUGCAGUUGCACGGGUAGAUGACUAGUGAUUACAAUCUUGUUUGUGUGCAAGUCAAGCUUAUCUAGUUUACACGUAACAACUUGUAGAACAUUACAAAAUUUAUGCUUGCUAAUAACUUUUAGAACACUACAACACUUGACAUGUAAAAGGAAUUUGACUGAGUCAUGGCCUACUAAAGCAAGUUACAUUACUAGUCUUAUCUAUCUUAACAGACCACACAAGAUUACAAACUAAGUACCGUGACAGCCAUGCUUAUCUAGUUUAUGCGUAACAAUUUGCAGAAAAUUACAAACUUAGUUUCAGAAAGAUAGGCAAUCUAGAUUAGUGUUUGAGCUGUAAAGUGAAUAAGAUGAGUCAUGCAUGUUAUCACACCUUUUUGGUGGUCGAAUGAUAGUGCAACAACAAGGAACUUUAAUGACCAGUCCAAGAAUACACUUGUAAGUAGUGCCACCAAACAGAACAUACCAAAUGAUCAUUCCAUGGCAGCUAUAAAUAGCCCCAUAGCAUGACGAUCAUCCUUCCUCAUCCAUCAUUCUCAUAAGUAGAGCACAUCAUUUAAGCCAAGCAAGUUGUGGUCAAUACAAAUCCACCAUGAAGACCUUUCUCAUCCUUGCCCUCCUUGCUAUCGUGGCGACCACCGCCACAACCGCAGUUAGAGUUCCAGUGCCACAAUUGCAGCCACAAAAUCCAUCUCAGCAACAGCCACAAGAGCAAGUUCCAUUGGUACAACAACAACAAUUUCUAGGGCAGCAACAAACAUUUCCACCACAACAACCAUAUCCACAGCUGCAACCAUUUCCAUCACAACAACCAUAUCUACAGCUGCAACCAUUUCCGCAGCCGCAACUACCAUAUUCGCAGCCACAACCAUUUCGACCACAACAACCAUAUCCACAACCGCAACCACAGUAUUCGCAACCACAACAACCAAUUUCACAGCAUCAACAGCAGCAGCAGCAACAACAACAACAACAACAACAACAACAAAUCCUUCAACAAAUUUUGCAACAACAACUGAUUCCAUGCAUGGAUGUUGUAUUGCAGCAACACAACAUAGCGCAAGGAAGAUCACAAGUUUUGCAACAAAGUACUUACCAGCUGUUGCAAGAAUUGUGUUGUCAGCACCUAUGGCAGAUCCCUGAGCAGUCGCAGUGCCAGGCCAUCCACAAUGUUGUUCAUGCUAUUAUUCUGCAUCAACAACAACAAAAACAACAACAACAACAACAACAACAACCAUCGAGCCAGGUCUCCUUCCAACAGCCUCAGCAACAAUAUCCAUUAGGCUAGGGCUCCUUCCGGCCAUCUCAGCAAAACCCACAGGCCCAGGGCUCUGUCCAGCCUCAACAACUGCCCCAGUUCGAGGAAAUAAGGAACCUAGCGCUACAGACACUACCUGCAAUUUGCAAUGUCUACAUCCCUCCAUAUUGCACCAUCGCGCCAUUUGGCAUCUUCGGUACUAACUGAGAAGAAAAUAACUCUAGUACUAGAUAUAUGAAACACCGUUUUCUCAGUCCAUGGUUUGGUCGUUGUAGCGGUGAAAAAAUAAUGUGGCAUGCACUAUCAUGUAAGAACCCAAACUAUACUAGUUCAAACUUGGGAAUAAAAGACAAACACAGGUCUUGUCUACAUAUUUAUGUUGCAUCUAUUUAUAUAUUAAAAGUAAUAUAAGGUGAACCAGGAGCAAGGUAAAUAUGCUAGAAAAUUGCACGUUAAUUAGAAAUUACUAGCCCUCAAUCUGGUAAAUCUUAACAAAUAGAAUUAUCUUGACCGUUAGAUUUAUGUAACAUAUAUAAUGCUCUGGGCCUCCAACGACUGUACGUGACACAUCUGAACGCACAUAUCUUAAAGAAAAUAUAUUUGGUAAAUGGUGGGCCUCUUUAAAAAGAGAACUCACGUACAUGCACCAACUAAGAAAAACACAUACAUGUAAACGGGAAAAGGAUGAGAUUUUCUCACGUACGUGCUCCCUGGCUCCACCCCGUUGAAAAAAUAUACAUCUGGAGGCCACUUUGUUUCCUCAUCAAAAAAAAACUUACGUUAAAAAGAUUGCAUGCAUCCCAGGGAAAAUAGUCAAGAAGAAGUCGGCUCUUCCUUACAAAAACAAGGAACGUGUUAAGUUGACUUCAAAGAAAAAAGGAACAUGUUAAGUUAAAAAAAACAAGAAACCUGUUAAGUUAGAAAAAAACAAGGAACGUGUUGUCCUAGGAAAGAUAUGUGUCAAAUCUUACAAAAAAAAAGAAUACACACACGUACGUUCAUGCACUUGGAAAAUAGAAAAAAAAGGAACAUCACGUAUGUAUACACUUCGGAAACUCAUUACAUGACCAUGUCUGAUAUACUCCUCUAAUGCUUAAUAUUAGUGCCUAAUAAUUUAUAUUUAAAAUUUAAUUUACUGAUCAAAUAUCCCCACUGUAUAAAUUUUAAUUUGGCACAUUGUUUGGCUAUAGUAUGAACCUAAAUUUCCUCUUAUUAUUAUAUAUCAUGGUAAUAAUCCAAAGGCGACUAAUCUGCGCCGGCGCACCGGCGCAAUCAAUUCGGCCCGACACAGCGCGGCCGUUUGAUUAGAUUGCAUUUAACCGUCAGAUCUGGAAUCAUUUUAUUUCCAAUUAAACGGAUUCAACCAAACAGCAGAGAGGAAAACAAAGCAGCGCCGCCGCCAACACUAGCCAUGGACGACCGAUGUAGCAAAACCUUGAAGAACCGCCGCCGGUCGCCACCCUUGCCGCUGGUCGCCGCCCUCGCCGCCUGUGUUUCUCAUCGGCUUCAUGCAUGCAACAACAUGCACUCGUGAUUGCAGGCUUGCAGCUCCGGCUCUGGGGGACAUGGCCGCAUCUCCAGUAGCGCCGGCCGCCGGCCGCAGCACCUGUCGUUGUGGUCACGCUGUACCUCGCCGUGUGCCCUCCCAAGGAUCUUGCUGGUUCCAACAAAAAACGAUACCUGUUGUAGCAAAAAAGUUUAUCGCUUCCAGCAAAAAAGCUUACCGCUACAGCCCGCCAUCAUCAUUGUAGCAAAAAUGUUAACUCGAUGUAGCUUCUGUGGUUGCCGACUGCAGCCAAAAAUGACGUGGUUGUAGCAAAACACAAAAGAAAAACUCCGGCCGUCCGCUGUGUAUGGUGGUAACAAACCCUAUAGCCGGUGGUAGCGAAAAACUUCAUUGUUUGCAGCAAAAAAAUGUUGUCGCCCAUCGUCGAGGUUGCAUCAUCUUCAUGAAUUAUGUCGCAAAAAAACGUUGUCGCCGGUAGUAGCAAAUGAAGCCGCCGGUAGAAACAAAACAAGACACUGGUUCCAGCCAAAAAAAAAUCAGCGACAGAACCUUUUGUUGGUUCCAACAAAAAAACUUGUCGGUUGUAGCAUCCCUCGCCGCCGGAUGUAGCAUCUCCCAGGGCUGGUUGCAACACUCCAUAAAAAAAGGUUGUCUACGAGCGCAUCCAUGGCAACUGCUGCACCGUCAGCAACGAGGGGAAGAGGAGGCAAUGAAAAUCGUUCGAGUCGUAGCUCCACAGGACGCGGGUGCAGCAUAGGGAGUCCAAAAAUCUGUCACAAGCAAGAUGCGCCUUGCCAUCCUCCUGCGCAGGAGAGAGAAGAAAAAGGAAUAAGAGGAAGAAGAAAGGAAACGGGAGAAAGAAAAAAAGAAACGAUUGGUUGUGGGCUCAGGCAAUUAGUCAAACGAGGGGCACGCGGGGCCGCAGGAUACAGCGCAAUCGAACGAAGUGCGCGCGUCUGGCCGAAGACUCAGCUGGACUGCCGGCUGGAAAUGUUUCCCUAAUACAAAGGCUUUUCUGAAUGACAAGUCGUCUGAGUUAUCGGCUAACUAGAAAAAAGAUAAAUAUGCUAGAUAAUUCCAUAAUCAUUAGAAAUAUCUAGCCUUUAAUUAUGUAAAUCAGAAAAUCACAACCGUUGGAUUUACUUUAAAGGUAAAUUUCUCUAAAUUCCCACCAUUGCCAGUAUGUAGAAACAUGUGCUGCUUCAAUUCUCCCUUAAUCACCAAUCAAUCAACAACAGAAAACAUACCGCAGUUCAAAAAACUGAACAAAAAAAAGAAAAAAAGAAGAAAGGACAAGAUACACGCAUGUACACGACAGCCUUGGCUUGAAACACAUCAGUAAAUCAAGUGUCCACCUCCCUUACACAGAAUAAAUUCUAGGGAAGAAAAUAAUAGUGCAACCUAACCUUAUACGUACUAUUCUAUCCUCACGUCCCAUGAGGUUUACUAGCCUACUGCCGCCGCAUCAUGCCAUCCUCUCCUUUCAGCUCCCAUGCUCUCCAGCACCCUCCUUGCGGCGCCACUACUCGCCUAGGGAUAUUGCUGCUCAGACCGUGGAGCUUAACCUGCUUCUUCUUCAGCAAAUAUGGAACUGCUUUAGGAUCCUUCUGACAUCAGCGCGUAUGGGCCUCAUUAUACUGCAGCUCCUGGACCUCCUACAAUUGGUUGGCUAUGGCCAGUUGAUCGAUUUGCUGAUGUCCAGGUCUGUUUGCUGGCACAUAUGCUUUGGAAAUAGGCCACUAUGUUUGUACUUCAAAAUUGUUUCUGUAUUCUUUAGUGGUACAUCCUUUUAAGCGCCAGUUUUUUAUGUUAAUUCAUGCUGACAACACUUAACCUAGCCUUUCAUGUUCACGUACUAAAUACAGGAGCAAGUAAAAACAACAGACCACCUAAUUGCUCUGCAAGUUCUACAUAGGAAAAUUUGUCAUGUUCUACGAUCGCACUAUCCCACCCUUCUCUCUUGGUAUGGGCGCCAAUUGAGGGAUUGAUAAAAUUGAAACGAAGCCGUCACAGGGCUGGAAGUACCGCUAGCCUGGUUCGCACUGCAACCUACCCAACGCCAUCAGAAACUAGCAACUGAGUCAGGUGUUGAUCGAUUCUCUCAAAUUGCUCUCAUGUAAGUACUACCCCUUGCAUGUGCGUACAUACCUUUGUUGCAUUCUCAAACAGAUAGAACAUGUAUGAUCGGUGCAUGGCUAUUUUUCAUCACAUGACAUCCAGAUAACAAGCAUGAAAGGACUACAUUGGAGAUCAAAAAAUAUUGGUUCCUGGCUAGAGUACCACUACCUAUGGACUUGUCUCCAUAGAAUUUGUUCCCAAGAUGUUAUUUUAAUUAACCUCUUUAGCUUUCUUCCAUUGCAAACGGUGAUGUGCAUCUUGGUAUAUACGUGACCAUCUUGCACAUGUAUACACAAGAGGCUCAGACGGAGGUGUUGGAUUCUGGACGAGGGAAUAUAAAGCAGGAGUGAGCGAAGUGUAAAUAAUGGUGGGAGUACCGAUUGGUGUUAUGAAGAAAAAUGCCAUCAAAAGAUUGAUUAGUGUCAUGGAAGAUUAAUUUCUGAAUGCGAAUAUAUAUGUUACAUUGGUUUGGAUCUUUUUGAGAUAAUUGCACCUAAAUUAGGUUCUUUCUUAUUUCAUAUGUAUACCUUAUUUCAGUAAAAGUUCACAACGAACUUAGUAGGACAAAUAUAAUUUUGUUUGUUCUUUCUGUUGUCCGCCACCAAAGCUCAAUUUGAACUCUCUAGAAAUGGACAAUGAUUUAUGCAUUCUAUAUCUUCUUGAUUGAUUAGCCAUGACAAGGAAAUAAAAGGAUUGACUGAUAUAGCAUAACUUUGGAACGAUUAGAGGUUACUACAAAUAAGAGUAGUGUCUGUUGGAAUUUUGCUAGUAGGCCUUUGGCCCAAAGCCCAACUAAAAUUCUGAAAUUCUCUUGGCUCAUUUAUACACACAUGUGAGUUGAGUGAGUGAGACUAAAGUUUAGUCCCACCCCGGAAGUUGAGAGAGAGUUGCACCUCUUUAUAAGGUGAGCUCUUCUACCACUUGUAUGAGCAUGAGAAGAGGAGACCUACACGCGCGCUCCUCCUCCACGCUCGCCACGCCUCGUCGCGCCGCGCCGUGCCGCGGGUUGCGGGAUUGAGCCGAGCCGAGGACGUUUUCUAUAUUUUUGCUGCUCGGGAAAAAUUAAUGAGUCAUUAAUUAAUAAUUAAUGGACACAUUAAUUACUGAACCGUUUCCGAUUUUUUUGGAUCGUGACGACUCGGACGUGGGGUUUACUCCCAGGACCUACCCGGCCCGCACUAUAUAGUCAGGAAGAUGUCUACCCUAGCCGCCGCCGCUUCGUAUGGUUUCUCACCAUCGUUACAGAUCAUUGCGCCGCCAAGCAAGUUUUCUCCAUCCCUCCUUUCGGCGUGCACCGGGAGAAGGGACAGCAGACCUCCGGAACCCCGCCUCUCGUGAUCCUAUACGGGAGAGGGGCGAUCAGGUUUUUGGGGAGCGCACUCGCAUGACUGCUUGCAGCGACGACUUCGCAAACGACGACUUCUUCCCCGACCUCGGCAACCUCAUCCUCGACGACAUGGGCGACAACGUCAACGCCGGCGAUGCUACACCCACUGCACCGUAUGUUAUUCUCUCCUUCUUGUUCGAGAUCGUGGUAGAAUUCAUGUUUCUAGUAUAUGUGCCCUAGAUGUGAUCUGUUCAUCUACUAUGGUAGUUCGCAUGAUUAGUUUAAUCUCUGCUAUUGCUGUCAUGAUCUAUUUCCUAUUUAUUCGGAUUAAAUCUCUUUGUAAUUUGCUCAUUUUUCCAACAAUCCAAAAACCUGAUUAUAGGAAAUUUACUCCGAGUGGUUUUGCUGCGCAUCUGAAAGCCGCUUGCCUUUAAGGGGGCGCAAUAUAAGAGGUGGCGCACCAGAGCAGUCUACUGGUUUCAGAUCAUGGGCUGCUAUGACGCCACCAAGGGCAAGCCUGAGGGCGAUCUUAAUCCAGCACAGCUGGAAGCUUUCAAGAAGAUCAAUACCCUCUUUAAAGGCACGCUUCUGAGUGUUCUUGAUGACUCCAUUGUAGAUUCGUAUAUGUCGUUUGACAACGGCAAGAACAUGUGGGCUACGCUCGAGGCCAAGUUUGGUGCCUCGGACGCCGGCAGCGAGUUGUACGUCAUGGAGCAAUUAUAUGACUCCAAGAUGACUGAUGGGCGCCCUGUUGUACAUGGGCGACUUCUUCCCCGACCUCGGCAACCUCAUCCUCGACGACAUGGGUGACAACGUCAAUGCCAGCGGUGCUACACCCACUGCACCGUAUGUUAUUCUAUCCUUCUUGUUCGAGAUCGUGGUAGAAUUCAGAUUUCUAGCAUGUUCCCUAGAUGUGAUCUGUUCAUCUACUAUGCUAAUUCGCAUGAUUAGUUUAAUCUCUGCUAUUGCUGUCAUGAUCUAUUUCCUAUUUAUUCGGAUUAAAUCUCGUAGUAAUUUGCUCAUUUUUCCAACAGUGCCAUCCAAUAGAUGAUGUAAAUCUCCUCAAGUUUGACGUUGUUGAGCUAAUUUACAAAAAAAACCUCAUCAUUAUUGGAUGUCCUUAACAGCUCAAGAACAAGUUGGGGUCGAAAUAAUGGAUUUUACACUUUUACAUUAAAGGUUUAGCUAAAGCAAGCAGGUGUUUUUAAAACUGAAUUUUUUCCUCCUGAAUUUCUUUGUAUUUUCUUAUUGACACUAUUUAUACAAUCAUCUGACAAAGAUUAGCUAAAGCUGUUUGUAGAUACGUUGAAACCUGAAAAGCUUCUUUGGUUAUCCUUUUAAUAGUUCUACGUUUAUUUUCUCAUAGGUCAUAAUUCUUAUGUAAUACCAAGAUGCAUUGUGGUAGUGUACAUGUGUUAAAUUCAGGUUGUUAUUCACAAUUUGCGACAAAAUUUAGCUCACGCUACAUUUAAAUAUGUUGAAAUGUGAAAGCUCUUUUUCUUCUCCUUUCUACACCUUGCAUCGGAUUGCAUCCCUUUAGUUAUCCAACAUUUUGUUCAACAUGUAGAGAUUAGGAAGUUCAUCAUAGUUUGUCUAUUUCCGUGCUAAUAAAUGUAUGAAAUCUGCAUUUCCAAGCUACUAGGACAAGUAAAAAAUAAUAAUUUUACUAGAGGAUUCAAAAACAGCAGUUCUGAAGUGCACUUUAUUUAUUUGUGAAAGUGAUCACAUUUUGUUUCAUUUUUCUAUAGACAAAUCUACUAAUACAUACUCACGAUAAAACUAUAAAAGUUCUAGUCCGCACAUUGGGCGGGCCACCCGGCUAGUUAGUCUAAAGAUAACAAAAUGAGUCUGGAAUUUGAAUUAAAUUGAAGUAUUUUCUUGGACUAUCCACAUCCUUGGCUUGCCCCUGAUCAAUUAUUUCCAGAGAAGCAUUCAAUUCAUCAAUCAAUUACAUUGAUUUUAGUGGCUAGUACAUCACCUCAACAUCAGUAUAUUCACCGUGGCCACUCCAAAUCGGCAAGAAUGAGGUACCAGUGCUCUGGAGAAGUGCAAGCUAAUUGCUUCUCAUGUGAAGGGGUGCGGGCGCGGGAGAGGUAUUUCUGGUGGGCCAAGGGACUAAGAAGCGACCGUGGCAGCGGUACAGAUGCCCGCAAAGCCUCAUAAUUUGUUUUUGGUUUACAGGAAAAAUGCACAUCCAUACUGGCCCGGGGAAUAUAGCACUGUAUUGGAUGGAAAACAAUGUCCGGAUGGUUGUGUGCGGUUUGAGGGUUAGCUUUUGUAACGCCCGGUUAGUUAUGCUAUAGCAAUUCCCUGCUAAUGAUGUCACGUCACCACGAUUACUGUUGUUAACCUCACAAUGAUUCAAUCUCGUUCAAAUUCAAAUUUAAAAUAAAGGCAAACAUCAAAAGUUUUCAAACAUUAAAACUAAAAUCUUUGAGAGGUGACAAAUAAUGCAUAAGUAAUUAUGGUGAAGAAACCACACUUUAAUCAAAUGUUUAAAUACUCUAAAAUGAAAAAAAAACAGUGACUUAAACUAUUAUUUAAAUGCUUUUAAAAUAGUAAAAAUCUUCUAACUAAAUUAUUUGGGUACCAAAACUUUUGGUGGCAGUGGUAUAUUUAGUAGAACUAAUUUAGAUGCUAAUUAUAUAAUUUACAAAAUUAGAGUAAAUUGAAAAAUAGGAUAAAACGAAAAAAGGAAAAACAAAACAAAUAAAAGCAAAAGGGGGCAACCCCUCGCUGGGCCUCGGCCUAGCUGGCCACUAGGCUAGCUAGGCUCGCCCCGCCGCCUCCCUUAACCCCCCACUCCCCGUCGAACCCAAGCCCGAUCGCCCCACUUCCCCCACACCCCCUCGCCGGUCUCCCCACCUCUUGAUCCCAUCUGGAUCGGGGAGGGUAUUGCCCCCAUCGAACCCGUUGCUGUCGCCGGAUCGCCCGCCGACGUCGCCAGGCCUCCUCCCCGUCGCCCGUCUCCGGCUCACCUCCCCUCUCGCUCCUCUUCCCUGACCCGAUCUGGAUCGUGAACGAGCAAUGAGCUCGAAGCCCCCCUUCACCGGCGCCAUCACCGUGCGCCACCACCACCGCCUGAAGACCUCACCGUCGCCGAACCUUGCGUCGCUGUAACACCCUCGAUGCGACUAUAUCUCCCACGUGUCGAGGCACGACUUAGAGGCAUAAUCGCAUUGAAGGCAUAUGUCGCAAGUGAGGUAGUCUUCACACAACCCAUGUAAUAUAAUAAGGGAAAGAGAUACAUAGUUGGCUUACACUCGCCACUUCACACAAUUACAUGAAUAAAACAUUACAUCAACCAAGUACACUCAUGGUCCGACCACGGAACCAAAAUAAAGAAGAACCCCAAAAGCGACAAAGGUCCCCGAUCGACCCCAACUGGGCUCCACUACUGAUCAAUUAGAACGAAACAGCUCAACGGACAAAGUCUUCAUCGAGCUCCUCCUGAGCUUGGUUGCGUCCUGCUCGGACUCAUCGGCACCUCCAAGCUGGUUUUGGAAGUAUCUGUGAGCCACGGGGACUCAGCAAUCUCGCACCCUCGCGAUCAAGACUAUUUAAGCUUAUGGGUAAGGUAAAGGUAUGAGGUGGAGCUGCAGCAAGCGACUAGCAUAUAUGGUGGCUAACCUAUUCGCAAAUGAGAGCGAGAAGAGAAGGCAAAGCACGGUCGAUAAAAGUAUGAUCAAGAAGUGAUCCUAGACUACCUACGUCAAGCAUAACUCCAACAACCGUGUUCACUUCCCGGACUCCGCCGGAAAAAGACCAUCACGGUUACACAUGCUGUUGAUUCAUUUUAAUUAAGGUCAAUUUUAGAUUUUCUACAACCGGACGUUAACAAAUUCCCAUCUGCCCAUAACCGCGGGCACGGCUUUCGAAAGUUCAAAUCCCUGCAGGGUGUCCCAACUUAGCCCAUGACAAGCUCUCACGGUCAACGAAGGAAUAGACCUCCACCCGAGAUAUUCCGAUCAGACUCGGUAUCCCAGUACAACAAGACAUUUCGACAGGGUAAAACUAAACCAGCAACACCGCCCGAUGCGCCGACAUCCUGAUGGGAGCUGCACAUAUCUCGUUCUCAGGGCAACACUGGAUUGUCUAAACUUCCGGUAGGCCAGCCCAGAGUUGCCCCUGGUGGCCACCGGCGGCUGACGGUUUGGACCAACACUUAGACAAGCACUGGCCCGGGGGGGUUAAAAAACGAUGACCCUCAGGAGCGCGACUCCCAAGGGAAAAGAAAAGGCUAGGUGGCAAAUGGUAAAGCCAAUGUUGGGCAUUGCUGGCAAAGCUUUACUUAAGGCGAACUGUCAAGGGGUUCCCAUUAUAGCCCAACCGCGUAAGGGACGCAAAGUCCAGGAACAUAACACUGAUAUGACGGAAACUAGGGCGGCAAGAGUGGAACAAAACACCAGGCAUAAGGCCGAGCCUUCCACCCUUUACCAAGUAUAUAGAUGCAUUAAUUAAAUAAGAUAUAUAGUGAUAUCCCAACAAGUAAACAAAUGUUCCAACAAGGAACGGCCUCCAAUCUUCACCUGCAACUAACAACGCUAUAAAAGGGGCUGAGCAAAGCGGUAACAUAGCAAUUCAACGGUUUGCUAGGACAAUGGUGGGUUAGGGGCUGAACAUGGCAAUUUGGGAGGCUGACAAGCAAGUGGUAGGCAUUGUAGCAAUGGCAUAGCAAAAGAGUGAGCAUACUAGCAUAGCAAAGAUAGUAGUGACUUCGAGGGUAUGAUCAUCUUGCCUGAAAUCCCGCAAGGAAGAAGAACGAGUCCAUGAAGAAGACAAACGGGCGUAGUCGAACGGGUCCUCACAAUCACGACGUUAUCGGAACCAACCCGAAGAAGCAAUCACCGGAAAAGAAGCACACACAACAUAGUAAACACCCAACACAUCAACAUGGCAAGAUGCACAAUCGAGUAUGAUGCAUGUCCGGUUUAAAGAGGCAUGGCAUGGCAAAGUGCACAAACAACCCUACAAAUUAAGUGGAGCUCAAUAUGCAACGGUUGCAUAUUGACGAAACACCACGUCAAUUAUUUAGUUCGAUCUCGUUUAUGUACCCAACAAUAUUAAAUGUUGUUAAAACAUGGCAAGAGGGGAAACAUGAUGAAACUAUCUAAUCUAGGCAAGUUUAAAUGAGGCCGGAAGCAACGAACAACAAUUCCGGAAAAUCCUCAUGUGUAAAUAUUAGGUUAGGUCCUGAUCUGUCCUAAACACAAUUUAAGCGUUGUUUAACAUGCAAGAUGAGGCCACCACGUUAAACUAGGCAAAAUUCUACCCGAUUUACAUAUAAAGAUUAUUAAAAUCGGAGUUACGGUUAAUUAGAUAUGAAUAAAAUCAUUUUAGCAUGGCAUGGGAGCAAACUUAAACAAACAUCAUUUUAGACAUUUUUUAAUUGUUGUUAUCAUGAUGCGGAUGACAUGAACAAGUUUAACGCAAUUUUAAUUAAGACUUGACAAGAGCAUUAUCAUGAAGCAUUGUCACCGUGGUGGAAGGAAAAAGGGGGUGCCACGGCAACGAAUCCGAAAAUGAUGCCAUGGCAACAUAUCGGUUCCGGUAACUCGAUUGAGAUCCCGGUGCAAACGAAAAAAACGACGGGAGCGUGACACGCGAUAGGAGGUGGGGUGAUCCCGGAUAUCGGGUUCCCACAAUAUGGUGACAAAGCAAAAGAGGGGCGACGUGCACCGAACAACUCCGACACGGAGCAAACACGAGCAUUUCAUACAUCACACAUGCAUUCGUUCACGGGCAUCGUUCCGGCGGUUAUACCUUUGAAGCGAGCAUCAUCGAAACGGAUCGAGUUCGACGGUAGGGGUACACGUGUCGACGAGGAAGUAGUUGUACACGGGGUCGUCGUGGGAAGUAGUCAUUCUCGCGAUGGUAGUGGAAGUAGGGGUACAUGACGACGUAGAGGUGCUCGCGACGGUAGUCGUUCACGUUUGCGUUUCACGGGUCUUCGGCGACGGUUGUCGUACAUGGUCCACAAGACGUCGAUCGUUCGGGGUCCGAUUUGCGGAUCUUGCCGACAUGAAGGGGUACUUGGCGUUCUCCGGACUUGCUGGUCUCGUCGAAACGAAGGGGUACUUGGUACAAUCCUCGUAGUCGUGCACUUGUCGUCAAGGGACUAGAUGGAUCCGAGGCUUCCGGAGGCGACGGUAGUGGGACUUGGUGAAUCCGAGUUCUUCAGAGGUCGUCAUGGUACUUGGUGAAAUCCUCGGAGAUGGACUUGACGCACGAAAGGUCUUCGGUGCCACGGUACUUGUCUGAUCACACACGGAGAUGCAUCGAUGGAUCUCUGACUCGUCCUGGCGAUGGACGAACUUGGCGAAAACCCCGAAGGCGGUCUUGAGCUUCCCUGGUUACCGCACCUUGGCAGAGACCAGAGGAACGACGAGGCCAGCGGGCAGCAACCGAAGAUGCCUGAGGUCUGUGGGCGUCCAGAUCAGGUGGCCUUCUGGCUAGGCAAGGACGACGAGGAGGAUGCCGAGGCGCGGGGACGAGGUAGGAGGCGGCACGGGAGCACGGCGCGGGCGUGGGCGCUCCUGGUGGGCGCAGAGGACGACGACGGCAGGCCAUGGCAGGGGCGGAGGCGCGGUUCCCUGGACCGGUAGGGCCGCGGCGGCGCUGUGGUGCCCGGCGGCCUCGGCGACGCGGCGAGGGAGGGGAUCCGGCGGGGCGCGAGGGAGCUCGGUGGCGGCGCAGGCUGCAGUGCCCGACAGAUGGAGGAGGCGCGGCAGGGUGGCUCCGGCCAGGGCACGGCGCGGGGAGCGCAAGACGGCGGCGAGGAGGCCGAUGAGGCUCCGACCUGGUACUUGGAUCGAAGGAGGAGGGAGGAUGAGGGGAGCCGGAGGGAGAUCGAGAGGGGGGUUCGAGCAGCUGGGGAUGGGGAUCGGGCUGCGAGGGAAAAUGGGGGUCGGGCACGAGAGAGAGAGAUCGAGGGGAGAUGGCGGCGCUGCGGGAACGAGAGGGAGAUGAGUGUGGUGCAGGAGCUGGGCUUCGGGCCUUCUAGGGUUAGGAGGGAGUGGGCCAGGGAGGCCGGCCGAGGAGAGAGAGGCCCAGGUGGGCAGGGGCGCGGCCUGCGGGGAAGGAUGGGCCUAGGGAGGCCUGAGGCUGCAGCUGGGCUGGACUCUCUUUCCCUCUUUCUCUAAUUUUCUUUAGCAGCAAAUGAUUAAAGAGAAAGAAAAGAAAGAGGGGGUUAGGGAAAGGAGUCGGACACGCGGAUAAUUUUCCCGGACUCACAAAAUUGCACUUGUUCCGAGAAAAAUGAAGUGGGCAAGAUUGCAAGAAUUAAAUUCAAGGACAAUUGAAUUUAAUUAGAAAGGUUGCACAAGGACUAGGAUUUAGGAGAGUCCAAAAAUGUUGAGAAAUUAGGAGGAGCCUCAAUAAAUGGGAAAAGAGAUGUUGGCAAAGUUUGGGGACCAAACUUGAAGUAGAAAGGGAGUGGGGAUUUUUCCAGUGUGUUUUGGUUAAUUCCGAAAGAAUGGAAUAUUUUAUAAUAGCCCCACUAAUAUCGGGACGAUAUGUUAUAAAGAGAAGUCAUCCUUCCCUCGAUUUAAAUGGAUCGAAGAUCCAUAUGAAUUAUUUAGUUGAGAUGCAAAAGAUUAUGACAUGAUGACAUGAUGCAAUGCACAUGAUGACGUGACAUGGUGCAACACGCAAGCACAUGACAACGCAACAACAUCGAAUAACUGCACGACACCUGGCACAUCGGUCUCGGGGCGUUACAGUCGCCUCCUUGUAUCCCCCCCCUACUCGCAUCCUCAAGCCAGGCCGAGCCCCUUCUCGGCAACGCUGUGAGACGCCCCCGUUUCCCUCCUCUUUCCACCGCAUUCACCGCGCCGCUCGCCGUGCCCGUCGCCGUGCGUGAGCCCACCACCGCACCAGCCCCCGCUCCGCGCACGACCCUACCCGCGCCCGCGCCAUGAUCCCCUUUUCCGCCCUACCUUCACGCGCUCGCCGCGAUCCCGAUGCUCCCCCGCGCCCUCUUUCGGGCGCGCCGACUGCCCCUGUCCUGGUGCUCGCCGCCGUGCCUCGCCACCGCUCUACUGCUACGUUACUACUGCGCUGCGGCCGCCGCCUCUUCCCGCUGCUCCGCUAGCGCCGGAGCUCCCGGUUGGCUCCACCACUGCUCACGUUAAACCGCCGGCCUAAAUGGCCUAACCCCCGGCUAAUGAACCCCCACUAACCCACUGACACCGGGACCCACAUUCCCUAAUUAACCAUUUAAUAAAUUAAAACUCUUAAAUUAACAUUAGUGUAUGACAUGUGCGUCCCCUGUUAAUUAAUAAUUUUACUGCUAGUUUUAUUAGUUUCUGUUUUUUCUGCAUAUUUCUUUUGUAUUUGAACAGGCUUUAUACAAUAAUAUUUAGCGUAUCAUACACAUACAAAUGUAAUCAUAGCAUAUACAUACAAAUAGUCUCAUCAAAUCAUGUCAUCAUCAUAAUCAUCAUCCAUCACAAAGUGGUCUCUCGUCAUCAUCUCGAAAAUAGCGAUACAAGUCUCGAUUACUUGCAACUACAUCGUCAUCCAUCUAAACAAUGAUAUACGCGAGAAGAGCUCUCACUAUGAGUGAGAGCGGAACUAUGCAGUACAUGAGUUUGUAUCCCUCUCUCGCAUUAGCGUGAACCUAAACUAACGACUCGCUGUUGCUCGGAAACCGGAAACCGGUACACCUGGGCCUGACACUCCGGCCACUCGUCGUAUACUCCUGGCGUAGCACUUCUUCGCCAUCGAUGAUCUAUGCACCUGCAUCGUCACAUGAGUCGAUGAUAUGCAACAUAUAUAGUUGAGUAACAGAAAGAGACAGACUUCGCAAAAAUAGAAGCAACAUAUCAUAAGUAUAAAUAACAAAGUUCAUCCUACCCAAAAUGCCCUAACUAGAGUGAUCUUCGCUAGUCGAGGAGGACGGUUUAAUUACAUCACAAAUAACGUUUCGUCGUGCAUAACUCAAAGUUCCGUCAUACAGAAAGUAUGAACUAAACGGACACAUUGUCAUAUUUCGAAAAUCACUCCAACAUAUCGUACCAUCCAUCCAAGUCAAGGAGAGAGUGCCCGAGCUUAGUGAAAGGCUUGUGGUCGAGACGCUGAGCGGCUACGCGUGUUCGAAAGUCUUCCCACGUCAUUUGUCCUUCUUCAUAGAACAUCCCUGUUUUUUCGACGACCUCCUUCAUGAUGAUUUGGACAAGUUCGCACUGGAAGUGAUAUAACUCAUCUCGAAGUGGAUGAUCCUCGAUAUCUCCUAAGUUCUUUGCCCAUUGCAGAAUAUGGGCAUCGCUGAAUUUAGGUGACAUGCAAAGGUUCCGGUGAUCUCGUCUAUACUCCAUCAUAUGGACAUAGAAUCGAUCAUCAAGAGAAUCACUCGGUUGCUGGAUGCAGCUGAAGUGGGUCUUAUGGGCCUGCCGUCCCUUUUCUUCUUGUCCUUGACCUCUCCACCCCGUGCAUCGUAGUAAAACGUAGCACUGUCGAGAAUAGACUUGAUGUGGGUGUAAUCCUUUUUGUUAAUGUUCUUCGACGAGUCCACAGUAUCGGGGGUAGCGGAUAAUGAGGACGGCGCUGAAGGAAAUAUGCCCUAGAGGCAAUAAUAAAGUUAUUAUUUAUUUCCUUAUAUCAUGAUAAAUGUUUAUUAUUCAUGCUAGAAUUGUAUUAACCGGAAACAUAAUACAUGUGUGAAUACAUAGACCAACAGAGUGUCACUAGUAUGCCUCUACUUGACUAGCUCGUUAAUCAAAGAUAGUUAUGUUUCCUAACCAUGAACAAAGAGUUGUUAUUUGAUUAACGAGGUCACAUCAUUAGUUGAAUGAUCUGAUUGACAUGACCCAUUCCAUUAGCUUAGCACCCGAUCGUUUAGUAUGUUGCUAUUGCUUUCUUCAUGACUUAUACAUGUUCCUAUAACUAUGAGAUUAUGCAACUCCCAUUUACCGGAGGAACACUUUGGGUACUACCAAACGUCACAACGUAACUGGGUGAUUAUAAAGGAGUACUACAGGUGUCUCCAAUGGUAGAUGUUGGGUUGGCGUAUUUCGAGAUUAGGGUUUGUCACUCCGAUUGUCGGAGAGGUAUCUCUGGGCCCUCUCGGUAAUGCACAUCACAUAAGCCUUGCAAGCACUGCAACUAAUAUGUUAGUUGUGAGAUGAUGUAUUACGGAACGAGUAAAGAGACUUGCCAGUAACGAGAUUGAACUAGGUAUUGGAUACCGACGAUCGAAUCUCGGGCAAGUAACAUACCGAUGACAAAGGGAACAACGUAUGUUGUUAUGCGGUCUGACCGAUAAAGAUCUUCGUAGAAUAUGUAGGAGCCAAUAUGGGCAUCCAGGUCCCGCUAUUGGUUAUUGACCGGAGACGUGUCUCGGUCAUGUCUACAUUGUUCUCGAACCGUAGGGUCCGCACGCUUAAUGUUACGAUGACAGUUAUUAUGAGUUUAUGCAUUUUGAUGUACCGAAGGUUGUUCGGAGUCCCGGAUGAGAUCACGGACAUGACGAGGAGUCUUGAAAUGGUCGAGACGUAAAGAUUGAUAUAUUGGAAGCCUAUGUUUGGACAUAGGAAGUGUUCCGGGUGAAAUCGGGAUUUUACCGGAAUACCGGAAGGGUUACCGGAACCCCCCGGGAGACUAAUGGGCCUAUUGGGCCUUAGUGGAAAAAGAGAAAAGGGGCAGCCCAUAGCUGGCCGGCGCCCCCCCCCUUUCCCCAAGUCCUAGUAGGACUAGGAGAAGGGGCCGGCCCCCCCUCUUUCUCCUUUCCCCCCGAGAGUCCUAAUUGGAAUAGGAUUGGAGGGAGGAGUCCUACUCCCGGUGGGAGUAGGACUCCCCUGCGCCUCCCUCUCCCUGGCCGGCCGGCCCCCCUUCCUCCAACCUUUAUAUACGGGGGCAGGGGACACCCCAAGACACACAAGUUGAUCCUUGAGAUCGUUCCUUAGCCGUGUGCGGUGCCCCCUGCCACCAAAUUCCACCUCGAUCGUACCGUUACAGUGCUUAGGCGAAGCCCUGCGUCGGUAGUACAUCAAGAUCGUCACCACGCCGUCGUGCUGACGGAACUCUUCCUCGACACUUUGCUGGAUCGGAGCCCGAGGAACGUCAUCGAGCUGAACGUGUGCUAAGAACUCGGAGGUGCCGGAGUAACGGUGCUUGGAUCGGUCGGAUCGGGAAGAAGACGUACGACUACUUCCUCUACGUUGUGUGAUCGCUUCCGCAGUCGGUCUGCGUUGGUACAUAGACAACACUCUCCCCUCUCGUUGCUGUGCAUCACCAUGAUCUUGCGUGUGCGUAGGAAAAUUUUCGAAAUUACUGCGUUCCCCAACAGGCGCGCCCGCCGCUGCGCAAAAUAAGUACACCUCCAAUUAAUUACACUCCAUCGUUCAAAUGAAUGAUUGAAAUCGAAGGAAGGAUAUCUGCGCGGAUGACUUACACGAGAUGAUAAGCCAUGAGAAUCGCCUCCUUGUCCUUAUUGGCAAGCAUGAAAUCGACGAUGUAUUCCUCGCGUAUUCACGGUGCUUUGCACGGACUCCCAAGAAGCCCUCGUGCAUGAAGUACGGGUCAGCAACACAGAUAUGAGGUAUCUGCUCAACCCCGAUGAGGUAGUUCAUGUGCAAGGCAUAAAGGCGGACAAACGUAAAAUCCAGCUUCUUUAAGUGAAACAUGUUGAAGAUGUAAUCGAAUCGAAGGAAAAACUUCUUCGAGGGGAAUGUGUCGACGUACGACAAUUGCCGCGGCACGUUAACCACGUAGAGAGGGUAUCCUGGAUUUUUCGAGGCGAUGAGGCCUUUCUCUAUCCGCAACACGUCGUCAUGAAGUCUCCUUAGAUUGCCGGAUCUGGCCCCUAGUGCUGCUUUCGGUAGGAUUGGUUCACCGGGAUACGCCAUUUUGCCGCUCCGGGGAUAUCUAUACGGUCUUGAACCCGAGGCUGCUGAGGCGGCUGGAUCAUAGAAGCAGCUUUGUUGGCUUUCCUCGGUGUAUUCCUAAGCUUCUUUGCUACCGGAAGGUCGUCUAUAAUAUGUUCAGCCUCCGGAGGCGGCAAUUCAAGCACCGACUCAUGACGCUCAAACCCUUAGUAGGCGCCAGUAUUGAGAUACUAUUGAGUGUCAUUGUCAUCCUCAUCUAUGGCGGUGUCACCAGCGACAAAUGGAGCCUCUUCCUCACCCCGUCCGCUAUCACCCAGCACGACAGCCGGCGCUAAUUGGGUAGGUGGGGUGUUGAUGUUCAUACCUAACUGCGUGCUCGUGUGUGUGCUCCCGGCCGUCUCCAAACAAAGCAGACUCUUUGGCCACAAUAGGACCCACCCAUUGCAAUCACCAAGCCGCUGCGGGAUCUUGUCGUCAUUCCCCCUAGUACCGGAGGAGCCAAAUUCUCCUGGCCUGGUUUGACACUGGCCACGGAAACUUUGAAGAUGUCCAGGGGGAUCGAUCGGCCGUGGAACAAUGGUUCCUUCAGCUUCAUUAUCGUCACCUUCCCCACGUCCACCUCCUGGUAGCGGAUGCUGUACAAUAUGGUGCACGGGGUUAUAUUGGCCUGCAAAGACAUUUCUGUGAUGUGAGAUAUCCGAAAGGCAACGGAAAUGGGAGAUUAUACAUUUAUUGAAGAGGGCCGGUGUGACAGAUACCGUGAGGGCGUCGAGCUCAGCCAAAGACGAAGCACCGCUGAGCACGUCUGGUGUCGGAGCCGGUGCCGGAGCAGGUGCGGGAGCCCGUGCGGGAGCAGGUGUAGGUGCCGGUGCAACGCUAGUUGAGCUACUCCCGAAGAAGUCAGCAAGGGGAAAGUCUGCUGUAUUUUUUUCUGGAUUUUGCAUGCUCCAAUUGAAAACGGCCGGAACCAAGACAGAAGACAUAUCUGGAACCACCUGUUUUGCGGCAGCUAUCGCAGUUGUGACUGUCUCAGAUGAUUUCUUCUCAACCGCAAUCUCAACCUUCUGGUUGAUGUUUUCUUCAGUUAACCUCCGUCUUUCCUUUCUCUCCUCUGUGGUCUCACGGUAGUACUUCUUCCAUGUGGCGCCGUCUUCGACACCGUGCACGCGUCCAUACGACGGCCGAUUCUCCACCGGGAGUCCUUUCAAUAUGUUCAAUGCCCGAUUGAAUGGAGUGUUCCACUUGGGCCUCGCCAACACCUCAGACGGUGAGUCACUUUCGGCUGCAAUCUUGUGCUGCUCUCUCUACAAAAGGAACAAGGAUCGUUUACAAAUAUGACUAAACGUGCAGUCGAAUUGAUCAGAAACUAAAAUUACCGGCAGUCCCAUGAACUUCGUCGUGAUCAGGUCAGUCUUGAAAACCUUCUUGACUGAGUCCCAAUGGUGUCGUGCCCCGAGGACGUCAUGCUCCCGCGGGACGGUGAAGUCCGCCAAGGGGUCUGGGAUGCCCAGACUUUCGCGUUCCGCGUCCUCCUAUGCCCAUAUGGACCUCUUCCCGCCGUAACCACGGCUUCCGAGGUGGUGGCGCCCUAUGUUCCUUUGUUGAAGCCCCUUCAUGUACUUCGACUUUUUUUGGCAGCUUCGGCCUCGCAAGCCGCCUUGAAUUUUUCAAAGUGCUCUCCCGUGAUUGUCGGAUUAUCCUUUACAAUCUCAGAGUAUGGUUCCUUUUUGUCGACAAUCCGAUGUUUCAACCUUGUUUUCCAGGUGCCCAACGCGUCACUAAACUUGGUCAUGGCGUGUUUGUUUAUCUUCUUCAUUGCCGGGUCCUUAUUUGGAUCUUUAUAAUCCAUUUCAUUCCGGCCCGGGAACAACAAUAUCUGGUGCAGCUUCUUUAGGAGAGAGGGCCUCAUAUUAUCUAUCUUCUGUAGUUUCCCAUCAUUGAUCGUGGCAGUUGUCCGUACGAUGCAGCCUACUUGAUUGCCGUAGCACGAUCGCGCUUCCUCGGGCGCUAUUGUCUGAAAAACACUGUCGUCCAUCUCCGUGACCACCAGUCUAGUAGUCAUGAGCAGGUUUGGGCGCCGUGGCUUCUUUGCUUUCGGUUCUAGACCAGCUCCGCUAGUCUCGGCGCCGGUCUCAGUCUCAUCGCCAGUCUGCAUGUCGGUAUCAGUCCCCGAUGCGAUAGGUCGGCCCAGCAACAACAUUCGUUGAUCGUCGGCAAGGCUCAAAAAUUCAUCUGCCGCCAGGUAGACGUGUCGCAAUCACCAGAACCCUAUCCUUCAUCGUUGCUAGCCAUGUUUCCUACGAUUAUGCCUAGUCAAUUAAUUUUAGACCUAAUAAAAUGAAUAAUGACAUAAAACAGGCCAAUGUUUUGCAGGAUUACAACUCAACCCAUUGCAGAUUAGAAAACAAGCCCGUGUGAAUGCACAGGCUGACCACUAGUCUAUCUAUACCUAUACCUACCUAUACUAAUUACAGACUCCCAAGUAAUUCCCACGUUAAUUAGUAAUUAAGAGCCGUUAAUCUUGUGGGACCAAAUUAUUACGACAGUCCACGAUCUCUUUUCUCUCUGUGUAAAAAAAAAGGUCCACGAUCUCUUUUCUCCGUUGUAAAAGAUAAAGGCAACUCAGGUCCACGAUCUCUUUUCACGGUUGUGAAAGAUAAAGACAACUCCCGUCUUCUUCUAAUCUAUAGUUCUAUACCUCCACGACCCCUUCCUCUCCCCAUUUAAAAGGAACAAGCUGAACCAAUAUCUAAGCAUGCAAUUGGUUCCUGUGCGGUCUUGACCUUCCAUCCGUCCACUGCUCGAUCGGCCCUCCCUCAACUACAAGCUGACAAGCCACCAUCGCCAUCCAGCGGCACGCCACCGUUCAUGCAUGUGUUUUUGCCCUUCAAUCUGAAGGAGAUGCGUUGGCUACUCAAGUAACUCUGUUUGUUUUGUUCAAACCAAUUUCGUUAAUUCGGUUCUUUGAUUAUCUUAUUGACAUGGCCUGUGAGUUUUGUGCUAGUGAUACAGGGCCUGUCUACUAGAUUCUCUCCUUGCAACUUCUAUUGUUGUCUCGAUUUGGUGUGGUCAAGAUCCUUGCCCCACCACAAGCAGCACCUUUGCACCAUCGGGGAAAUCUGUCAUAGCAAACAGAGGUAUGUAACAUGCUUUGGUGUUUUCCUCUUUCGUUUAGAUCACUAGAGUUGCUCAACCACACCAUUCAUUGAUUAGUAGUUGGCCUGAGAAGUUGCUCGGUCACCUGCAGCGUCUGAUCCCCUUCUUGACCCUCUCAUUCUGGUCAUUAUCCACCGGCAGGUCAAUGCCAAACGGAUCGUUCGUUGCCGCCACCUUGCGGAGACCGAUGUUUGGCUGCCCUCCUGCCAUCCUGGCGCUCUGGUACCGGUCACUGUGCCGUUGUUCUAGAAGAACUAUGUCACACGAAGCGAGAUAUCUUCUUACUAAUCUGGAACAUAAGUGUUUCUUCUUACUAGGAUUCGCUCACCGGUGCAUUCAUCUCUUUUUGGAAAAUACGGCCUUCAUAUUUCACACGCCUAUACAUGGGUGCUGUCCCAACAAUAAUCCAUCUAAUCCAUGAUGCACAUUCAUGAAGACUGAUGUGACUGAAUUAAUAUAUCAAUCUGGUGCUUCCGGAUCAGCACUUGAAGAAGCAACCCCUUUAGUUCAUAAAUAUAUCAUACGAAAGUCAGGGGAGAAAUCAACUAAGUCAUGUGUGCUUUUCUAAUUAUUUACUAUACACUAAUUCCAUUUUUUCAGUAGAAGGCUAGGAUACGUGGAUUGUGGCAGCACAGAAGUAAACCGAUGAGCUACGUUGGCCGUUCACCAGUCAUCGGAUCAGCAGCCAUGUCGACCAGAGGGACGGAACAGUUCUAUAUUAGGCGAUGGAUACAUGUGGAAGCAACUAAGCAUAUGUGGAUGCAUGUGAUCGCAUAGGUAAGGCCAUAGCUGUUCAAGCCCUACAGGAUCUUUAUUGCUGGUUUUAAUUAUGAGUUUACAACACCAUCUAUACAUACUACUUAUCCAUUUAUUUCCUUACCUUCUUUGUUUCUUUCUCUCCUUGAUCCCCUGUCAAAAGGGCAUCAACAUCCAUAUGCGCAACGGCACACGCAACAAACUAUGACUUCGGUUGCAUGUCCAACGGCAACCACAGUACAUGAUGAUAUCAUGUUUGCUGCAAGACGAAGUACAAGUUCAUAAUUUGGUCUUUUGCAUGGUCCCUUAGUAAAUUCACUUCUGCUUCGGUACACCCCCCCUAAACACAUAGACGGCCCAGAUUAGUCGAUACCUCUUCAUAAGUAAGGGCAUGAUGGUCAUAUAUUAAAAACCAUUCGUCCCCUGUAUAUGUGUACAGUGAGAUGGGCCGGCCCAUCUUUCCCUUUUUUUCUGAUUUGAUCCUGACAGGAAUCGAACCAGAUAGUUCCUGGUACAUAGUUGGACGUGAUAACCAACCAGCCGACUUAGGCACCUAUGGUUAGAUAGUUCUUUCUCGUCCUUUUCUUCUUUCCUCUUUCCUCUUUCUUAUUUCCUUUUUUCUUGUUUUUUCAAACGUUGUUUUGGGUUUUCAUUUCCCUUUUUUUCUUUUUCGUUUUCUUUUCCUUUUUAUGUUCCUUUUGUUUUACCUUUUCUUUUGCAAUGUGCAAAAUUUUUCAGUUUCCUUUAUAAAAAAUUAAUGAACCUUUUUUAAUAUUGAUGAUUUUUUUUUCAAAGUCGAUGAACUUUAUUCAAGAUUGAUGAUUUUUUUCUAAAUUGAUGAACCUUUCUCAAGAUGAAUAUAGUUUUUUCAAAGUAGAAGAUUUUUUUUCAAAAUUGAUAAAAUUUUGCAAAAUCGAUGAUUUUAAAAAAAUCAUGAACUUUUUUCAAAUCCUUGUACUUUUUUUAAUCAAGAUGCAUGGGUUAUUUUUAAUUCAUGGAACUUUUAAUUUACGGACAUUUUGCCAAUCCGCUUAUUUUUUUCAAGUCCAUGAACUUUUCCAAAAGGGCGAACCCUUUUUUAUAGUCAAUGGUCAAAGGUCAAGCAUGUCAAUGGUCAACUUUUUGUCCAGGUUAACCAUGAAGAAGUUUUUUUUUGGUCGAACCACGAAGAAGCGAUCGAGCGUAUGCUCUUGGCGAGCGACAGCUGAUCGCUCCUGUAGUUUGGCCAGCCCAUGAAAGGUGGUGUUCAAGCGAUGUGUCCACUAAGUAGCGCAGAAAGCGGUGACUAGGCGCUCCCACUGUACAGGGAGUAGCGUCGCACAAACCGGCGCACACACCCCUUCGUCCAAGGUCUGGCCCAUUUUCCUUUUCUAUUUUUACCUUGAAAAAAUAGGUGCAUGAAGUAGGAUUCAAACUAUGAACCUUUGUGAUUACUUCCACCCACUAUAACAAACUAGGAUAGCUCACUUCUUGCGUCUAAUUACUUCUUUUUUAGAGCAUCUUCUCAGUCUGUUUUUUCUUUUGCUUUUGUUUGGCCUUUUUAUUCCGUUUUAUUCAUUUUUUAUUUGUCUUUGUUUCUUCUUAUUUUCAUUUUGUUAAAUUCAUGAUUUUUUAAAUCUAUGAGCUUAUUUUAAGGAUGUUGAGAAAUAACAUGCUCCCAGACAAAACCUUCUGGCCUACCGGAUACUCUUUGUAGAACAUGGUAUAGUUUUGGACAUCAUUCAAAUGAUCCCAACUUUUGUAGGAUGGUGGGCAUUUCCCGUGGUAGGCAUCAUUGACAGGUUUGAAUGACUUCUGACACCGUAUGCAAGUUGCGACACGUCCGAUCAUUUAUCGGUCUUUUUUCACCGGAAAAACUCUAGAAAAUGCAAAACUUGUUGAGAAUCCAAAAAACUUAGCUUGGUGUCUUGAAUUGGUCGUACAAGGCCAUGAAAAAAUUUGGGGCCAUUUCAAGGAUGUCAAGAAACAACGUGCUCUCAAACAGAGCCUUCUGGCAACCGAACACCCUUCAUUGAACAUGGUCUAGUUUUGGACAUUCUUGAAAUGACCCCAACUUUUUGAAGUAGAUGAGCAUGCCCAUGGUAGACAUCCAUGUCAAGUUUGAAUGAUUUCUGACACCGUAUGCAAGUCGCGACACGUCCGGCCAUUUAUCGACCUUUUUUGGCCGAGGAAACUCCAGAAAAUGCAAAAUUCAUCAAAAAACAAAACAACUUGGCAUGGUGCACUUAGUUGGCCAUACAAGGUCAUAUAAAAAAUUGGGGCAAUUUCAUGGGUGUGGAAACACAACAUGCUCUCAGACGGAGCUUUCUGACCUACCUGAUGAAGGAAAUAUGCCCUAGAGGCAAUAAUAAAGUUAUUAUUUAUUUCCUUAUGUCAUGAUAAAUAUUUAUUAUUCAUGCUAGAAUUGUAUUAACCGGAAACAUAAUACAUGUGUGAAUACAUAGACAAACAGAGUGUCACUAGUAUGCCUCUACUUGACUAGCUCGUUAAUCAAAGAUGGUUAUGUUUCCUAACCAUGGACAAAGAGUUGUCAUUUGAUUAACGGGAUCACAUCAUUAGUUGAAUGAUCUGAUUGACAUGACCCAUUCCAUUAGCUUAGCACCCGAUUGUUUAGUAUGUUGCUAUUGGUUUCUUCAUGACUUAUACAUGUUCCUAUAACUAUGAGAUUAUGUAACUCCCGUGUGCCGGAGGAACACUUUGUGUGCUACCAAACGUCACAGCAUAACUGGGUGAUUAUAAAGGUGCUCUACAGGUGUCUCCAAAGGUACAUGUUGGGUUGACGUAUUUCGAGAUUAGGAUUUGUCACUCCGAUCGUCAGAGAGGUAUCUCUCGGCCCUCUCGGUAAUGCACAUCACUUAAGCCUUGCAAGCAUUGCAACUAAUGAGUUAGUUGCGGGAUGAUGUAUUACGGAACGAGUAAAGAGACUUGCCGGUAAUGAGAUUGAACUAGGUAUUGGAUACCGACGAUCGAAUCUUGGGCAAGUAACAUACCGAUGACAAAGGGAACAACGUAUGUUGUUAUGCGGUCUGACCGAUAAAGAUCUUCGUAGAAUAUGUAGGAGCCAAUAUGGGCAUCCAGGUCCCGCUAUUGGUUAUUGACCGGAGACAUGUCUCGGUCAUGUCUACAUUGUUCUCGAACCCGUAGGGUCCGCACGCUUAAGGUUUCGAUGACAGUUAUAUUAUGAGUUUAUACGUUUUGAUGUACCGAAGGUUGUUCGGAGUCCCGGAUGUCAUCACGGACAUGACGAGGAGUCUCGAAAUGGUCGAGACAUAAAGGUUGAUAUAUUGGAAGCCUAUGUUUGGAUAUCGGAAGUGUUCCGGGUGAAAUCGGGAUUUUACCGGAGUACCGGGAGGUUACCGGAACCCCCCGGGAGAUAUAUGGGCCUUAGUGGGCCUUAGUGGAAAAGAGAAGAGGCAGCCAGAGAUGGGCCGCGCACCCCUCCCCUCCCUUGGUCCGAAUAGGACAAGGAGAGGGGGCCGGCCCCCUUNNNNNNNNNNNNNNNNNNNNNNNNNNNNNNNNNNNNNNNNNNNNNNNNNNNNNNNNNNNNNNNNNNNNNNNNNNNNNNNNNNNNNNNNNNNNNNNNNNNNNNNNNNNNNNNNNNNNNNNNNNNNNNNNNNNNNNNNNNNNNNNNNNNNNNNNNNNNNNNNNNNNNNNNNNNNNNNNNNNNNNNNNNNNNNNNNNNNNNNNNNNNNNNNNNNNNNNNNNNNNNNNNNNNNNNNNNNNNNNNNNNNNNNNNNNNNNNNNNNNNNNNNNNNNNNNNNNNNNNNNNNNNNNNNNNNNNNNNNNNNNNNNNNNNNNNNNNNNNNNNNNNNNNNNNNNNNNNNNAUCCUACUCCCGGAGGGAGUAGGACUCCUCCUGGCGCGCCUCUCCUAGGCCGGCCGCACCCCUCCCCCCCCUUGAGCCUUUAUAUACGGAGGCAGGGGCACCCCAGAGGAACACAAGUUGAUCCACGUGAUCAUAUUCUUAGCCGUGUGCGGUGCCCCUGCCACCAUAGUCCUCGAUAAUAUUGUAGUGGUGCUUAGGCAAAGCCCUGUGACAGUAGUACAUCAAGAUCGUCACCACGCCGUCGUGCUGACGGAACUCUUCCCCGACACUUUGCUGGAUCGGAGUCCGGGGAUCGUCAUCGAGCUGAACGUGUGCUAGAAUCGGAGGUGCCGUAGUUUCGGUGCUUGAUUGGUCGGGCCGUGGAGACGUAUGACUACAUCAACCAAACGCUUCCGUUGUUGAUAUACAAGGGUACGUAGAUCACAUUCUCCCCUCUCGUUGCUAUGCAUCACCAUGAUCUUGCGUGUGCGUAGGAUUUUUUUUGAAAUUACUACGUUCCCCAACACCUGAACACCCUCAUUUGAACAUGGUCAGUUUUUAGAUAUCCUUCAAAAGACCACAACUUUUCCAAAAAGGUGAGCAUGCACAUGGUAGGCAUAUAUGCCAAGUUUGAACGAUUUUUGACACUGUAUGCUAGUUGCGACACGUUCGGCAAUUUUCGCCAUUUUUUGACAAAGAAAUCUCCAGAAAAUGUAGAAUUUUUAGAAAACCAAAAAACCCUGGCAUGGUGCCUUGAAUUCUUCAUACAAGCCAGUGAAAAAAAAUAGGUCAUUUGACGGAUGUCGAGAAAAAACAUGCUCCCAAACGGAGCCUUCUUACCUACCCCUACACCCUAUGUUGAACAUGGUGAUUUUUUCUACACGAACACAAAAAAAAUGUUCGAGAAAAUUCAAAAAAUUUUCUUUCAAAUUUUUAUUCGUAUUUUUCUUGAAGUUCCAAAUUUAAUAGUGAAUUUUCCUAAAAUGUUAAAUCAAAAAUGUUCGUGUGGAAAAUUUUGUUUGCUCUUUGUAAAAAUGUUUGUGUUUUGACAUUAUGAGCAAUUUGAAAAUACAAAUACAUUCUGAGGAAUUCAUAAAUGUCGCAUUUUGAAGUAAUUGUUCGUAGUUUCAGAAAAUGUCCGUGUUUUCAGUUUUAUAUCUCUUUUAAGAAAAUGUUCGUAUUUAAAAAAAAUUGUUUGUAGUUUCAAGAAAUGUUCUCGUUUUCAAUUCUGCUCUUAUUUUUCUAAAACAAAGUUUGAGAGUCUGAAACAUUGCUCACUAAAGGUUUGAAUUUUAAAAAUAUGUUCACAGAUUUUGAAAUUUUUUGGGUUUAAAGCAUAUUUACUUUGUCAAACAGAAAUUCACAUACGGAAUUUUGAAAAAAAUAAUCGUUUUUGGACUAGUGAUGUUAUGCACUCGCGGGAGCUUGUGUGUUAGAUCCGCGCACCCAUUUUAGUAUUUGUGAAUUGGUGUUGAAGUGUUGCCGCUCUAGCUAAUUCUUUAGGUGUGACACUGCUAUUGUGUCGGUUGCGUUAGGCAGGCGAAGUGGCUAGGGCGUAAUUUUUGUUGAUUUUCCAGCCCAAAUGGAUCGGCCCAGGUUAUCUGUGCCUGUGUCCUGCGAACAUAUGGCACAUUCCAGCGUACGUACGAAAAUGGAUAGGAUUUGUCAAAAGUCUAAAUUACCCAUUAUACGCUUUGUGAGGGGGGUGUAUCGAAGCGUUUCUCCACAUAAAUUAUAUUUGUCCACAUACACCACAUACAUAAAAACAGGUAGAAGCGGUUGCAUGGUGAAAAUGUCCUCUCAAUAUGCAUGCCUAUGAAUACUAUCACCAGAAAGCCAAGGACUAACAAUUAUUCAGGGGUCAAGAUUGAAGACAGACGUCCAAGAUUGGAAGUCGGCCGGCCUAAGAGGGGCAAAACCAUUGUACAUUAUAUUGUAUGGACCUAGCAAGAUCCUAAAGAUAAGUGAUAAUGGAGAUCAUGGGGGCCACCCUUAUAACCAUAUGUCCAAAUGUUCUUAUUUGUUUAUUUUUCUUUUCUCUUUUCGGAAGAAUCCAUCCUGCCUCUAUGGUCAUCCUGACCACUUCGUAUUGUUAUCUAAUCUCCUCCCUUAAUUAAUAUAAAGAAUUACCGCAGCUGAAUUCACUAAAAAAAGUAUUCAGUUUAUUUUAAUUUAUUCAACUAUUAUGGCAUAUCAAUUGGAUUGCAAGUUCUUGGCGGUUGCAUUUGAAUCAUAUUUGAUGUGCACAAAGGCUUCAGUGUCAAGGUGGUCGGACGAGUAUUUAUGUCCAUUAUAUAUGCGUUAGCUUGAGAUCAUCAGGCACCUGUUAUGCAUCUGUCCAGUUAAAAGGAUGUUCAGACUCAGGCUUGCCCUACCAUAUAUGGCUGUGACACUCUGAACCAAGCAAGUUGGUCAUAUAUGUCGAGCACUAUUAACUCUUUGGAAGAAGAUCCACCAAGUACAGAAAACAAAUCAAAUAUCUUCUUAACCUUAUCACCAGAAAAAUUAGCAAGAGAUGAAUAGUAACAUUUUAAAGAAGAAAGAUAUGUUUGAAAAGGGAUAUAUAUUAUGGCGACGAUUAGAACAGCCCUUGACGAAUGGUGCCUAGCCUGCGAAAGUUUCUUAUGAAUAUAGUCAACACUCUAUAUCAACUGUUGUAAGAUUUUAGAAAUAUUUUUGGGGACAUAUGAUACAUGUCUAUUAUACAUAUGAUUCAACAGAAGUUUGAUUGAAUACAUAUUUAAAACGUGACUGACUUCUAUAUGGACGGAGUAUUUCACAAAGGACUCACUGCCAACUGUGUGAAUAUUCCAAGAUAGUUAGUGCACAUAAAUGUUCAAAUCCAUAGCUGCAUAAAUAUACAAAAGCAAUGUGUUAGACCACUACACAUGCUUCUGAAAGGAGGCAAAAAAAUGUAUGCUUGAUUGAUGACCGUUCAUGCAUGAAAUUAAUUUUUGAUUUCUAAUUAUUUUGGUCAUAUAAUGGAAAUAGAGACAUUAUAAAGAUCCAACAGCAUGCUAUCACACACGUGUGAACACAGACACACACAAAUAACAUUUGCCGAGCACUCACAAAUAAAAGGUGUGGCUACUCUUGGGUGUUCUACAGCUGGCUUAAAAAAACACGUAUGAAACAUGAUCCCCAAAAAUCUGAAAUUCGCAACAUAUGAAAAUCCACCCUCAAACAUAUUUCUAGUGUCUCAAUUCUUUUAGUUUCAGAUGGUAUGUCCAGCCAAAGUAGUUGUACACAUACAUUACUAUGUUCUAUUAUUUGAGAUUCUAAGAGAACAUUUAGUAACUAGCCCGUGCGAUGCACGGGUUCACGACUAGUAUAUAUAAAGCUUAAUGGUGCCUAAGAAAGCUCGCACAAUUUUACAGUGGCUAUGGAAAUGUGUUGCCAAACUGAGACAUAAGAUUUUCAUUUGGCAUCCAGAGUUGCAGACCGCUUGUGUUAUCCUUAAUCCAUGGCCACUCUAAUUUUUCCGGCUGGGCCUUCCCUGUGGUACCGCGGCAAGGCUUGCGUGUGUAUAUGUUUCCUUUAACUACCACUAGCACAUAUGCCCAUGCGUGCGUUGCAAUGGGAGAGAUAAUGGCAUAUCCACCAAUAUAUCUAGCAGCAUGACCCAACAACAUCCGAAUGAUGUCACCCGACGACGGCAGGAAGGCACGCACAGAGGUCUAGUAAAAACUCAUCAAUUGUACGGGCAUGGUUAAUUCGCGUGAAUUCAAGGGUGUGAGAUUAGUUAGUGUUGGUCCCACAAUUGAAUUCGGGGGGUGAUUAGUUAGUGUGGGCCCACCCUUGAAUUCACCGGGGGAGACAAAAUAAUUAGGGCGAGGAGAGAUUUACGGGGCUUGGUCCCCAGAUGCGUUGCGGCAGUCAUUAUUCGAGCAUUGCAAUGCUCGCACGUGAGGAGCUCCUUUUCCAAUUGUAUAUUAAGAAGCAUGCUAUAGAUACAAUGUUUUUGAUACAUUUUUGUACGAUGAUCCUGAUCUUAAAGGGCCUUCUAAUUUUUAAAUCUUAAAGGCAUUAUUUGUAAGUUGUCGUGAAAAAAAUCUCGCUAAAAGGGUUGUGUUAGACCAUCUUCAGUACAUUAGAAAUAACGAAUUAUAAUUCCUUGGCAUUUGAACAAACAAUCCCUACUUAUUUACACAUACAAUACUUUUGGUAUGAUUUUGAAAUCUUGAAGGCAUUAUUGUAAGUUGAAGCAAUUUUGAAAUCUCACUAAAAGGUCUGGUAAGCUUUAGAAAUAACUAAUUAUAAUUUUGCAAAAAAAAGAAAUAACUAAUUACUAAUUUUGGUAUGAUUUAUUGUCUGGGUAGUAGUUCCUUUGCAACAUUAUUCUCUCCUUUCUUGAAGGAACUCUUGCCUGCUCCCUCGCCAUGCUCCCAUCCAUGCUCCCACUCCAUCCUAUGGUUGUCCUUUUUUCCUUUUUCUUUCUAAACUAAUCAUCUCCCCCCCUGAUUUUAAGGGGAUGGGGCCGGGCCUUAUUUUGUUCCAAUUAAAUCAUGCCACGUAUGCGGGAGCAUUUUGUCCCUCCUUCUAGCGCCUCCCACUGAAAAUGCCCUAAAAGUUUUUGAGGGAUUUUUUUACUGUGUCCUACUUCACGAAUCACGAGGCAAAUCAAGUAGGCGGCAUGGCCUGGCCGGUGAGUGCCAUUGCACUUACUUGCCCCAGCGAUUUUCCGCCUGCAUUGUAGAAUUCUUUCUCCGAGUCCUGUGAAUUAAAGAUGGUGCAGACAAAAGUAUAUCCUAUAUGCGUACAUGUGCAUGAUCAGAACAUGUUUUUACGUGCGUCUACUAUAAAUCAUGACCAUUUUUAACACAAAUCAUGACCAUUCAUGAUUAGUGAAUCAUACUGUCUUAACUUAUGUGAAAUCAUGUGGAGUAAUAUAAUAUAAUAUAAUAGAUAGAUAGAUCCAUGUUGUAUUAUUUUUUGUUUACAAAAAAUAUCUGUCAUUACACAUUUUGAUUUAUGCAUUUGUUUACAAAAAAACAGUAACAUUUCAUGGUGGAGAGUUUGUAUUGUUUCAUACUGAACACCAAUGUUUUCCCGUAAAAGAAAAUAAUGCCUACGCAUAUGCUUUUAUAUUAUUAUUAUUCUUUCAAACUUAUUCAUAUAGUAUUUUUGAUUGUGCAACCAUAAUUUUUAUUAUCUCUCUCGUUCCACUACAUGCUCUUACUCAAUGAUUUUUUUAUAAUGGGUGUUUUUAUUAACUCAGCCAAAACAUAAUGAGCCACAUCCGGUCUCUGCAUAACUAAGAUGCACACAGCCAAAAGCAGAAGUCUGACAAAAAUAAGAUAAGAAAAUCAACAUAUCGACACCAGUGAGUCAUAUAGUUCCGACACUAUGCCUCUGUUGAAGGACGGGGUGGAGCGAUCUGGAGAUUAUGCUUCCCUCCAUUUUGAGUAAAUACCUCCCUGGCCACUUGUUCCAACCGCAUAGACGCCGCCACGAAUAAUGGUUGGUACUCUGUUCGGUGUAGCAUACACCAUGUAGGAACUGAGUGCUCACUCCUAGUUACUAAAUUAUGUACACACUAGUAGAAAAAGGGCCAUUUGUCCCGGUUCGUAAGGCCCAUUUGUCUCAGUUAGGGAACCGGGACUAAAGGGUCGGUACUAAAGCCCCACACCUUUACUCCCGGUUCUUACACCAACCGAGACAGAUGGGGCUCCACGUGGCCGCUGCGGCUUGCCAUGGCAGGGGGGCCUUUUGUCCCGGUUGGUAGCACCAACCGGGACCAAUAAGCUACCACGCGUCAGCAUUUGAGGGGCUUGGGUUUUUGUUUUUCUUCUGAAGGGGAGGGGAGGGGUGUUGGGGGUUUUGGGGGGUUUUGUAUGGUUAAUUUUGGGGGGUUUCAUAUAUUGUGUUAGGUAGUAAUUAAUUAAUAGAGAGAAGUGUCCUCUCUUAUCUCCGUGCUUGGUCGACGCUACGUACUAUACGUAUAGAGAGGCCCUCGACACACUUGCCAGUAAGCAAAUGAAGGAAACCAUUAAGUACAGAAGUUCGUCAUGAACAUAUGCAUACAAACAUAAGUGAUAUCGACCUCUCCUUCUCUGAGAGAUAGGUCGAACAACAAGUUUCCGUAUAUCCAUCCGGCGCUACUAGCUACUUAUAUACAAUAUUAAGAUCUCUUACAAUAUAAUCCCCUAAUUAUAUAUGAACUCAGUUUCCAGAUGGUAUUCUCGGGCUUUAUUGAUGACGUGGUCAAGAAAGAAUCCCUCCAAUUCCUCUUGAAUUGCUUUGAUGCGAUCUUGUGGUAGGAGUUCAUCCCGCAUCUGCCACAUCUAAUUUGAAGAAGGGGGUCAAUCACUAGUGGAAUAACAGCCAUUUGUCCAAGUUCAUAAGGCUCAUUUGUCCCGGUUGGGGAACCGAGACUAAAGGGUCGUUACUAAAGCCCUACACCUUUAGUCCCGGUUGUCGGUGUCAAAACCGGCGGAUCUCGGGUAGUUGGUCCCGAACUGUGCGUCUAGGCCGGAUGGUAACAGGAGGCAAGGAACACAAUGUUUUACCCAGGUUCGGGCCCUCUCGAUGGAGGUAAAACCCUACGUCCUGCUUGAUUAAUAUUGAUGAUAUGGGUAGUACAAGAGUAGAUCUACCACGAGAUCAAGGAGGCUAAACCCUAGAAGCUAGCCUAUGGCAUGAUUGUUGUGUAUGGAGUUGAUUGCCUACGGACUACAACCCUCCGGUUUAUAUAGACACCGGAUAGGGUUAGGGUUACAUAGAGUCGGUUACAAUGGUAGGAGAUCUUGAAUAUCCGCAUCGCCAAGCUUGCCUUCCACGCCAAGGAAAGUCCCAUCCGGACACGGGACAAAGUCUUCAAUCUUGUAUCUUCAUAGUCCAGGAGUCCGGCUACCCGAACACCCCCUAAUCUAGGACUCCCUCAGUAGCCCCUGAACCAGGCUUCAAUGACGACGAGUCCGGCGUGCAAAUUGUCUUCGGCAUUGCAAGGCGGGUUCCUCCUCCACGUCCUUCAUAGAAGAUUGUAAACACCAAGAGUAGUGUCCGGCUCUGCAAAAUAAGCUUCCACAUAUUUCCGUAGAGAGAAUAAUAUUAACACAAAUCAAAUCUGCUGACGUAUUCCGCAGUGCGUCAUCACACUGCAGCCAAGUCCUUCACUCGAAUCGUUUUCACUUUUCCACCUCAGCGUGUUUUGCGAGGCGGUUUCCUUGGCACGUCUUGUCAAAGUAGAUAUCGUGUACCCCCCUUUUACGGGAUUCUCAUCAAUACAGACAUGGGUAACCCAACCGCGCCACUUAUCUCGACGCUUGGGAGGCAAGCGAGUUUUACUAGGCAGGUGGGGACGCACAACCGCAUCUACCCAUAUAAGGGGAUAAGGAUCCACCUUUUUACCUACGCCUUCUUCCUCCUUUGCCUAUCCAUCUCCUGCGCACCCGAGCUCCAGCGCCCAAGCCCGCACUUCCCACCUCGACCUUCUCCAGCAAUGUCCGGAGCGGGAGGCAAGUGGAUGGUCUCUACCACCACGGAGGGUAAAAUCAAGAAGCUAAGGAAGGCCGGAUACCUGUCCAAGGACAUCGCGCACUGGCUUCCCGAAGAGGGGCAGCUUCUCCCCACCCCAAGGCCCCAUGAGAGGGUAGUAUUUCUCCCCCACUUCCUCCGCGGACUGGGUUUUCCACUCCACCCAUUUGUCCGGGGGCUCAUGUUCUACUACGGCCUGGAUUUCCACGAUCUGGUCCCGAACUUCAUCCUCAACAUCUCGGCGUUUAUCGUCUUUUGCGAGGCUUUUCUCCGCGUCCGCCCUCAUUUCGGCCUCUGGCUCAAGACCUUCAACGUCAAGCCCAAGGUGGUGUGCGGCAGCCAGGCGGAGUGCGGAGGCGCCAUGGUGGGCAAGAUGGCCAAUGUCAUAUGGUUCGAGGGCUCUUUUGUGGAGACCCUAAAGGGAUGGCAAUCUGGGUGGUUUUACAUCACCGAGCCGCGCGAUCCGAAAUGGACCGCAGCCCCCGAGUUCCGAUCCGGACCCCCCAAGCGGCUUGUGUCCUGGAAAGAGACGGGCCUGUCAUGGGGUGACGAAAAUGAGGUGACCGGAUUGCAAACAUGCAUCCAGUCCCUGGUGAACAAGCCAGUCUGGCUUGUUAAUGUAAUCCAGGUUAUGCUCGUCCGCCGGAUCCUCCCGUGCCAACAACGGGAUUUUAAUCUAUGGGAGUUCGACCCGGUGCAGCAUCAAACCCUCAGCAGGCUCUUCGACACGACGUACGAAGACGCCUGGAAGAUGCUAUUAAAGGGCGUCGAGGCUCCCGCAUCCGCUUCCGAGGACCGCGAAUACAGCUCGCAGCGUCACGCUAGCGAGGUAAGCCAUCUACACCUUUUAUAGGAUGUUCAAGCUUUUUUCAUAGUUUGACUCUAUGUGGGAUCUAAACUCCCUUACCUUUGAAAGGCUUGGCGGGCAAUAUCCGGACCGAUUAACUGUCCGGCUCCGCUGCCCGAAGACCCAGCCCCAGCUCUACUAGUGAAGCUGCUGGUUCCGGAGCCUUAUGUGGUGCCGAAGACGAAGGCCAAGAAGAAGAAGACCACAGGGACUCGAAAGAGUGCAUGCAACGUGGUGGUGUCGGACUCGUCAUCUGACGAGUCCAAGACGCCCUCCUCCCAUGAAAACGAGGAGGAGGAAGAAGAAAACUCCCCCCCCCCCCCAGCGGAGGGAGGAGAGAAGAGGAAGGCCGCCCCAACGGGGGAGGCCGAGGGGUCUAGGAAAAGGAAGACCCCUCCGCCAGACUACGCCCCCGACGCCGAAGAGGGCGAAGAGGAGUGGCCGAACAGGGCCAAACGUCCGGCGAAAUCGUAAGUUCGGAUAUCAGAGUAACUCAUGAUGUUCCUUUGUUGCACAGCUUUCCCUAAUGUCGAAUGUAAUUAUGCAGUCCGCCCCGGGCCAAAUUCGACGAAUCAUCGUGCGGCUCCCUGGACUCAUCGGACGUGAACUCAGUUCCGCCCGCUGUCUCCCCCCGCACUGUGGACGACGCCGAAGUGGCGUCGCGACAAGCCCCGGGGCAGGAGGAGGUGGUCCCGGAGGAGCCACAAGGCAACCUCCCGGACUCCAGGAGUGAAGGGGACAAGACCCCCCAGGGCUCCAAGUCUGGCUUUGAGCCGGACACCGCACCGGAAUCUACAACAGUUCCGGACCGCGGUAGGCGAACUCCUUCCAAGAGGAGUAAGCCUUCUGAGCCGGCGUCCUCCGUCCAGCCGAAGGCGCCGGAAAAUCUGCUGGAGGAGCUUAAGGGCGCCUCCAUCGACGAGGAGCACCAUGCCAUCAUGAGUAUGGUGGUCCAGAAGGUUCGGUCCGCCAAAAGCGGACUGACUGAAGCUUGUAAAAAUAUGUAAAAAUAUUACCGUAUAGACAGUAGCCCCUGAUGCUCUGUUUGGCGUUCGGAAAGAAAAGCUGGAUAGAGGAUCUAUUAAAUAUCGCAGGAGUCUAACUAAAAAGCAGUCAAUAUACGUAUGCAGGCUUCGCUGCUGGCCACCGCUGCACUGACUGCGGAGGUGGGUGCCCUGAAACAGGGCCUCGAGCGGACCGAGCAAGAGCUCGGCCUUGCCAAACGGCAGCUCGAGGAGAAAGAAGGUAAGAAAUACCUUACAGAAAAAGUGCCUAUAAAAAGACCUGAUUGCAAAAAAUAACAGGAUUGUACUGCUUAUUGUAGGGGCCACGACUGAGGUGGCGACCCUCAAGCAGGCGCUGUCCGAGGCCAAAAAGAAAACGGCCGUGGAGUGCACCGAGCGAGAGAAACUUGAGGCCCAGGUCAGCGAGGUGCAGCAGGAGCUUCAGGCUCUCAUGAAAAAACAUGAGAGUUUGGAGCUUGAGUCCAAGACGCAAGCGUAUGAGCUCGCGGCGGCCCUUGAGACUGCCAAGUCUGCCAAGGCCGAAGCCCAAAAGGCCCUCCAAGAGUUGGAGGAGAUGAAAAAGAUAGCGGCGGGUAAGGCAUUCUUUAUGCAAAGCAGAAGUAUAAAAGUGAAGUACUUGUUACUUACCCGAAUCCAGAGCUCUCCAGGGGCAUUCGCAGAUCUUCCCCGCGGCGUAUCUGACGCCGCUGCAUUCUACCGAGCCGAAGAGGGCAGCUCGACGGAGAAGGUGUUCUGGUUUCAGUAUGCUGAGGCCGGACACCCUGUGCCCUUGAGCGACCAGCUGAAACAGCUGGUCGAGCUCCACAAGGCGGCCGAGCAGGCCAUGAAGGGCUUCAUAGUUCGGCUGUGGCCCGGAGAGGCCCUGCCUGGGAGCUACUUCGGGUUGGUGUGGCGACUGGUGGAGGCCUGUCCAAGGCUCGAGGUCAUUAAGUGCUCCGUCUGCAUCGAAGGUGCCCGUAGGGCCCUUGCCCGUGCAAAGGUGCACUGGGGCAAGCUGGACGGUGAGAAGCUUGUGAGGGACGGGCCGCCGCCGGGGAAGGAGCAUCGCAAGCCCGAGAACUACUAUAAGGAUGUUCUAGCGGGUGCCCGCCUUGUGGCGGAUGAAUGUACCAAGGAUGUAAUUUUUUAAUGAACUCGCUCGUGUUUAUCCUGUGUGCUGAAAAGUUGUUCAUAUGCGCUAAGCAAUGCUUGUUGAAUUUAAAAUAUUACUUUCUGUGCGGCCGUUUAUCAAAAAUUGAGAGAUGGCCAGUCGGCGGCUUCUGCCCCCAUGCCACUAGUGCUGGGGUGUUCGGGAUAAACCUGAGCGCUCUUUUUCCCAUAGUUGGAUCCUUCGAGGGAGGCGCUCAGCACAACGAACCAGGCAAUCGGACUAUAAUGCUUGAACACUCUAACUUAGCCAUAGAACUCUAUAAUUUUAAAUUUCGGCGAAGCCCCUAGUUCGGAAGACCGAGUUCGGGGCGCUAUCCACGCCUUGGCCGGACAAAGCCGGCUCCUCGCUCGAAGCGGCAUAAGUCUUUAGGGACUCGAAAAACCUGUCGAACAGCGACCGGUCUCUCACCAUAUCAUGACAGUCAGUUUUACCUUUCUCCACUGAGGUGCUUAACCCAGCUCAACCGGGGCACAAUCGCAGUGGUUCUCCUAGUGCUACCUUAGCCGAUAUAGCGGAACGUAAGGCACCAAAACAUAGGAGCCAGGCAAACGCAACUAUUGACCCAAAUCAUGAUACGGAGCCGAUGCAUAUAGUGCUAUAAGUUCGGGGUGCCGUACUUGUGAAAGUGUACGGACUUCUCACGCCAUAUUUAUGGGUACUAAAGCCCCUGACGUAUUUUGCCGUACCACGGUGUACGGGUGCAACAUGUCAUAAACAUAUAUAUGAAAAGGUGAUAAUGCGAAAAAUAGACAGAAAGCUAUCCAUUGUUUAUAGAGAGGCUAUUUAUCAAAGCCGAACGAUACAAAUAGUGCGGUAAGCAAAAAAUAUUGGACUAUUUAGUAUGUCCUGACCAGGAGCAGGCCGCGGAAUUGUGUUUAAAACAGGUAUACCGCUCGUAACAGAGACCACCUGGGAGUUCCAUAAUGCGGCAUGGCUUGUCUUCCUCCCUGGAUCUUGCAUCGUUUGUGCGGCCGUCGAAUUGCCGAACAGGUCGUCCGAAGUAUGGAGUCCUGAAAGUAAGAAAAAAAUUAAAAAAAGAAUCCGGCAGCCCCUAGUACGUUUUAAGUCGUAUUUUGGGCGUGCCGUUAUUGCCCCUUCCCCUGUGCCCAUGGUAUUUCAAGGGCGUAGUUAUGUACGCGGGGUACUGGUUUCGCUAUGUCGCGAAAGCUGGGGUUGGGGCCACAUUGCUACGCUUGCUUAGAGUGUGCCAGGCGGUCCUGCUGUGGGUUACUCCAGGGGCGCCUGGCAGUGUCUGGCUUUUUAAUGGCCGGACUAGAGAAUUGCCUGAGAAGGCUACUUUGUACCUCCGCUGCGAGAGCCGCCGUAUGCUCCCCCAUAUGGAGGGAGCGUUCGGUGUUUCCGUUGACCGUAAUUACUCCUCGAGGGCCUGGCAUCUUGAGCUUGAUAUAUGCGUAGUGCAGCACCGCAUUGAACUUUGAGAAUGCAGUUCGUCCGAGCAGGGCGUGAUAGCCACUGCGAAACGGGACUAUAUCGAAGAUUAACUCUUCGCUUCGGAAAUUGUCCGGGGAUCCGAAGACCACGUCAAGUGUUACUGAGCCUGUACAGUUGGCUUCUACACCUGGUAUAAUGCCUUUAAAGGUCGUUCUUGUGGGCUUAAUCCUUGAGGGAUCUAUGCCCAUUUUCCGCACUGUAUCCCGAUAAAGCAGGUUCAGGCUACUGCUGCCGUCCAUGAGGACUCUUGUGAGAUGAAAUCCGUCGAUGAUUGGGUCGAGAACCAAUGCGACGAAGCCGCCAUGACGGAUGCUAGUGGGAUGGUCCCUUUGAUCAAAAGUGAUUGGGUAGGAGGACCAUGGGUUGAACUUUGGGGCGACUGGCUCCAUCGCGUAUAUGUCUCGCAGCGCACGCUUCCGCUCCCGCUUGGGAAUGUGGGUUGCAUUUAUCAUGUUCACCGUCCGCACUUGUGGGGGAAAGCCCUUCUGUCCAUUGUUGUUCGGCGGCUUGGGAUCCUCAUCGUCGUUGUGCAGCCCCUUUUUCUCUGUUUUUGGCCCUUAACUUGCCUGCCUGCUUGAACACCCAACAAUCCCUAUUAGUGUGAUUGGCUGGCCUUUCGGGGGUGCCAUGUAUCUGGCACAAGCGAUCGAGUAUUCGGUCCAAACUGGACGGGCCCUGAGUAUUCUUUUUGAAUGGCUUUUUCCGCUGACCGGAUUUAUAGCCUUUGAAUCCGGCAUUGACUGCCGUGUCUUCAUUGCUGUUGCUGCUAACGCGGCGUUUUUGCUUAUUCCGACGUGUCCUGCCACUUUUGUCCUUGGUAUCCGAAUUACCAGGGUUCUUUGAUAAGUUGUUACUGCGAGCUAGCCAGCUAUCUUCUCUCGCGCAAAAGCGGGUCAUGAGUGUCGUGAGGGCUGCCAUGGAUUUCGGCUUUUCCUGUCCCAGGUGCCGGGCAAGCCACUCGUCGCAGAUGUUAUGCUUCAAGGCUGCCAGGGCCUCUGCGUCCGGAUAGUCGACUAUCUGGUUUUUCUUUGUUAGGAACCAUGUCCAGAAUUGUCUGCCGAUUCCUCUGGCUGCUGAAUUAUGUGGCUUAAGUCGUCGGCAUCCGGUGGUCGCACGUAAGUGCCCUAGAAGUUGUCGAGGAAUGCGGCUUCCAGGUCCUCCCAAGAACCGAUUGAGUCUGCUGGCAAGCUGUUAAGCCAAUGCCGGGCCGGUCCUUUAAGUUUGAGCAGGAGCUAUUUGAUGGCGUGUAGAUCAUCGCCGCGUGCCAUGUGGAUGUGAAGGAGAUAAUCCUCGAUCCAUACCGCCAGAUCUGUUGUGCCAUCGUAUGAUUCGAUGUUUACGGGUUUGAAACCCUCUCGGAUUUUAUGAUCCAUUACUUCGUUCGUGAAGCAUAGCGGGUGUGCGGCGCCUCUGUAUUGGGCUAUAUCAUGACGCAGCUCGGAAGAGCUAUGUCUGUUGUGUUCGGCCCGGCCGGAUUUGUUGUAUCCGGAGUGAAGAUCAUUGUCACAUGCUGUAGGGUGGCUGCGCGAUCCGUAGAUCGAUCUUUUUUGUCUUGCCUUAUCCUCCAGUAUGUCUCGCAGAUCGGGCGCAUUUUCCCGUGCCUUAUUUACGCACCGUCGGGGCAUGGCUUGGGUGGAGGGCCGAGAGGCCUCUCUGUCGCGGCCGUGAGGUGGCCGGUCUGCCAUGUCAUUCGCUGGUGACGUAGGUACUUCCUCCUCUGAUCGGGGUAGCGGCCUGCGCUUCGGGUAACUCUUGGAGGGGCGUUCGUGUUCAUACUCUUCGGCUGCAAGGACUUCAGUCCAUCUGUCAGCUAGCAAAUCUUGGGCGGCUGUAAGCUGUUGCUGCUUUUUCUGGAGGCUGCUUGCCAUGGCUAAAAGCCUGUGUUUAAAACGCUCUUGUUCGGCGGGGUCUGAUGGUAUGACGAAUUUGUCGUCAUCGAGGCUUGCCUCGUCUCCAGAGGGAGGCGUAUAGUUAUCAUCCUCGACUUCUCGGUCUGCCGCUCUCUCAUGAGGGCUGGCUACUCCAUCUCCCUGUGCCGAAUCUUGCUGAGGUGGGUGUUCUUCGGCGUUAUCCGGGGUAGUAUUAUCUCCCGUGCCGGAAUCACCGUUUUUGCUUUGGCUGUUUCUUGGGGGCGUCAUCCCCCACUAUUCCAUCACCAUCUCCAUCUUUUGGAGUAUCCACCAUAUAUAUGUCAUAUGACGAGGUGGCCUUCCAGCGCCCUAUAGGUGUUGGUUCCUAUUCGUCUCCUACUUCGUCGUCCAUGCCGUCGAUGUCUUCGGAGCCGAAGUCACGCAUGUCGGUUAAAUCAUCGACAGUGGCUACAAAGUGGGUGGUGGGUGGGCUUUGAAUUUCCUCAUCGUCCGUAUCCCACCCUCGCUGACCGUAGUCCGGCCAGGGCUCUCUUGAUAAAGAGAGAGACUUAAGAGAAUUCCGGAUGUCACCAAAAGGCGAAUGCUGAAAGAUGUCUGCGGCGGUGAACUCCAUUAUCGGCGCCCAAUUGGAUUCGAUUGGCAGGGGCGCAGGGGGUUUGGAGUCCGGGAAGGAGUCCGGAUCCUCGGAGUCACGGGUCGUCCAGAGUGCGGGGCUAGCGUUCAGCUCGAUCGCUUUCGGGAUCGCAGCCCCUGAGGUGACGUCCAGCCACUCAUCCUCGAUUGGCGCAAUAGGCAUCGAGUUAGGGGUCAGAACCGAUGCGUGUGCGGCCUCCAGGACACUGUCCGGGGGCAGAGCUAGAUCAUGCCCCUCGAGAUAGUGCGGCGCGCUUGACCGUGGCUCGAGCCCGUCGAAGAUCAAGUCUCCGCGGAUGUCAGCCGUGUAGUUUAAGCUUCCAAACCUGACUUGAUGGCUAGGGGCGUAGCUUUCGAUCUGCUCCAGGUGGCCGAGCGAAUUGGCCCGCAGAGCAAAGUUGCCGAAGACGAAGAUCUGUUCGGGGAGAAAAGUAUCACCCUCGACCGCAUCGUUGUUGAUGAUCAAAGGAGCCAUCGGGCCUAAAGGCGACGACACAGAGGAACUCUCAAUGAAAGCACCAAUGUCGGUGUCAAAACCGGCGGAUCUCGGGUAGUGGGUCCCGAAUUGUGCGUCUAGGCCGGAUGGUAACAGGAGGCAGGGAACACGAUGUUUUACCCAGGUUCGGGCCCUCUUGAUGGAGGUAAAACCCUACGUCCUGCUUGAUUAAUAUUGAUGAUAUGGGUAGUACAAGAGUAGAUCUACCACGAGAUCAAGGAGGCUAAACCCUAGAAGCUAGCCUAUGGCAUGAUUGUUGUGUAUGGAGUUGAUUACCUACGGACUACAACCCUCCAGUUUAUAUAGACACCGGAUAGGGUUAGGGUUACAUAGAGUCGGUUAUAAUGGUAGGAGAUCUUGAAUAUCCACAUCGCCAAUCUUGCCUUCCACGCUAAGGAAAGUCCCAUCCGGACACAGGACAAAGUCUUCAAUCUUGUAUCUUCAUAGUCCAGGAGUCCGGCUGAAGGUCUAGUCCGGCUACCCGAACACCCCCUAAUCCAGGACUCCCUCACCGGUUCUUACACCAACUGGGAGAGAUGGGCUUCCACGUGGCCGCUGCGGCGAGCCCAGGCAGGAGGUCCUUUGGUCCCGGUUAGUGACACUGAUACGUCUCCGACAUAUCUAUAAUUUUUGAUUGCUCCAUGCUAUUAUGUUAUCCAUUUUGGAUGUUAAUGGGCUUUAUUUUACACCUUUAUAUCAUUUUUGGGACUAACCUACUAAUUGGAGGCCAAACCCAAAUUGCUGUUUUUUUUGCCUAUUUUAGGUUUUCGAAGAAGAGGAAUAUCAAACGGAGUCCAAACGGAAUGAAAACUUCGGGAACGUGAUUUUCUCAACGAACAUGAUCCAGGAGACUUGGAGUGUGCGCCAAGAAAUAAGGGAGGAAGGCACGAGGCAGGGGUCGCGCCUACCCCCCUUGGGCGUGCCCUCCACCCUCGUGGGCCCUCCACUGCUCCACCGACGUACUUCUUCCUCCUAUAUAUAUACACGUACCCCCCCAAACAACCAGGAGCACCAUGAAAACCUAAAUCCACCGCCGCAACCUUCUGUACCCGAGAGAUCCCAUCUUGGGGCCUUUUCCGGAGGGGGCAUCGAUCACGGAGGGCCUCUACAUCAACUGCAUGGCCUCUCCGAUGAUGUGUAAGUAGUUUACUUCAGACCUACGGGUCCAUAGUUAUUAGCUAGAUGGCUUCUUCUCUCUCUUUGGAUCUCAAUACAAAGUUCUCCUCGAUGUUCUUGGAGAUCUAUUCGAUGUAAUCUUCUUUUGCGGUGUGUUUGUCGAGAUCCGAUGAAUUGUAGGUUUAUGAUCCAGAUUAUCUAUGGACAAUAUUUGAUUCUCCUCUGAAUUCUUUUAUGUAUGAUUCGUUUAUCUUUGCAAGUCUCUUCGAAUUAUCAGUUUGGUUUGGCCUACUAAAUUGAUCUUUCUUGCAAUGGGAGAAGUGCUUAGCUUUGGGUUCAAUCUUGCGGUGUUCGAUCCCAGUGACUGAAAGGGAACCGAUAUUUAUUGUAUUGUUGCCAUCGAGGAUAAAAAGAUGGGGUUUAUAUCAUAUUGCAUGAGUUUAUCCCUCUACAUCAUGUCAUCUUCCUUAAAGCAUUACUCUGUUCUCUUGAACUUAAUACUCUAGAUGCAUGCUGGAUAGCGGUCGAUGUGUGGAGUAAUAGUAGUAGAUGCAGAAUCGUUUCAGUCUACUUGUCUCGGACCUGAUGCAUAUAUACAUGAGCAUAACUAUAUAUUCUCAUAACUAUGCUCAAUUCGAUCAAUUGCUCGACAGCAAUUCGUUUACCCACCGUAAUACUUAUGCUCUUGAGAGAAGCCACUAGUGAAACCUAUGGCCUCGGGGUCUAUCUUCUAUCAUAUUAAUCCUCCAAUACUUAGUCAUUUCUAUUUCUAUUUAUUUUAUUUUGCAUCUUUUAUUUCUCUUUAUCAUAAAAAUACCAAAAAUCUUAUCUUAUCAUAUCUAUCAGAUCUCACUGUCGUAAGUGACCGUGAAGGGAUUGACAACCCCUUUAUCGCGUUGGUUGCGAUGUUCUUAUUUGUUUGUGUAGGUUCGUGGGACUUGAGCAUGAUCUCCUACUGGAUUGAUACCUUGGUUCUCAAAAACUAAGGGAAAUACUUACGCCGAUUUAUUUCAUCACUCUUUCUUCUUCAAGGGAAAACCAACGCAAUGCUCAAGAGGUAGUGUCGGUGUCAAAACCGGCGGAUCUCGGGUAGUGGGUCCUGAACUGUGCGUCUAGGCCGGAUGGUAACAGGAGGCAGGGAACACGAUGUUUUACCCAGGUUCGGGCCCUCUUCAUGGAGGUAAAACCCUAUGUCCUGCUUGAUUAAUAUUAAUGAUAUGGGUAGUACAAGAGUAGAUCUACCAUGAGAUCAAGGAGGCUAAACCCUAGAAGCUAGCCUAUGGUAUGAUUGUUGUAUAUGGAGUUGAUUGCCUACGGACUACAACCCUCCGAUUUAUAUAGACACCGGAUAGGGUUAGGGUUACAUAGAGUCGGUUACAAUGGUAGGAGAUCUUGAAUAUCCGCAUCGCCAAGCUUGCCUUCCACGCCAAGGAAAGUCCCGUCCGGACACGGAACGAAGUCUUCAAUCUUGUAUCUUCACAGCCCAGGAGUCCGGCUGAAGGUAUAGUCCGGCUAUCCGAACACCCCCUAAUCCAGGACUCCCUCAGUAGCCCCUGAACCAGGCUUCAAUGACGACGAGUCCGGCACGCAAAUUGUCUUCGGCAUUGCAAGGCGGGUUCCUCCUCCAAGUCCUUCAUACAAGAUUGUAAGCACCAAGAGUAGUGUCCGACUCUGCAAAAUAAGCUUCCACAUAUCGCCAUAGAGAGAAUAAUAUUAACACAAAUCAAAUCCGCUGACGUAUUCCGCAGUGCGUCAUCACACUACAGCCAAGUCCUUCACUCGAAUCGUUUUCACUUUUCCACCCCAGUGUGUUUUGCGAGGUGGUUUCCUUGGCACGUCUUGUCAAAGCAGAGAUCGUGUCCCCUUUGUUUACGGGAUUCUCGUUAAUACGGACGUGGGUAACCCAACCGCGCCACUUAUCAUGGCGCUUGGGAGGCAAGCGAGUUCUACUAGGCUGGUGGGGACGCAUAGUCGCAUCCGCCCAUAUAAGGGGAUAAGGAUCCACCUUUUUACCUAUGCCUUCUUCCUCCUUUGCCUAUCCAUCUUCUGCGCACCCGAGCUCUAGUGCCCCAUCCCGCGCUUCCUACCUCAACCCUCUCCAACAAUGUCCGGAGCGGGAGGCAAGUGGAUGGUCUCCUCCGUCACGAAGGGCCAUGUCAAAAGGUUAAGGAAGGCCGGAUACUUGUCCAAAGACAUCGCGCACCGGCUUCCUGAGGAGGGGCAGCUUCUCCCCACCCCAAGGCCCCAUGAGAGGGUAGUAUUUCUUCCCCACUUCCUCCGCGGACUGGGUUUUCCUAUCCACCCAUUUGUCCGCGGGCUCCUGUUCUACUAUGGCCUAGAUUUCCAUGAUCUGGCCCCGAACUUCAUCCUGAAUAUCUCGGCAUUUAUCGUCGUGUGCGAGGCUUUCCUCUGCAUUCGCCCCCAUUUCAGCCUCUGGCUCAAGACCUUCAACGUCAAGCCAAAGGUGGUGCGCGGUAACCAGGCGGAGUGCGGAGGUGCCAUGGCGGGAGAAAUUGCCAACGUCCUAGGGCUCGAGGGCUCCUUUGUGGAGACCUUGAAGGGGUGGUAGUCAGGGUGAUUUUACAUCACCGAGCCACGCGAUCCGAAGUGGAUCGCAGCCCCUGAAUUCCGAUCCGGACCCCCUACACGGCUCACGUCCUGGAAGGAGACGAGCUUGUCGUGGGGCGACGAAGGAGAGUUGACCGGACUGCAAAAAUGCAUCCAGUCCCUGGUGAACAAGCAGCUCAAGCUUGUCAACGUAAUCUAGGUCAUGCUCGUCCGCCGGAUCCUUCCGUGUCAAGAACGGGACAUCAAUUUGUGGGAGUUCAACCCGGUGCAGCAACGAACUCUGAGAAGGCUCUUUGACACGACGUACGAAGUUGUCUGGAGGGGGCUAACCAAAGGCGCCGAGGCUCCCACAUCCGCCUCCGAUGACCGCGGAUUCAGCUCGCAGCGUCCUGCUGGCGAGGUAAGAUAUUUCCAUCUUUUACAGGAUAUUAAGUUUUUUCAUAGUUGACUCUAUGCGGGAUCUAAACUCCCUCACCUUUGACAGGAUUGGCGGGAGAAGUCCGGACAGAUUAACUGCCCGGCUCCCUUGCCAAGCCGGAGAAGAGGGCCAAGAAGAAGAAGGCCACGGGGACUCGAAAGAGUUCCUGGCAUAUGGUGGUGUCGGACUCGUCGUCCGACGAGUCCGAGAUGCACUCCUCCCGUGAAUACGAGGAGGAAGAAGAAACCUCUCCCCCUCCAGCGGGGGGAGGAGAGAAGAGGAAGGCCGCCCCAGUAGGGGAGGCCGAGGGGUCCAAGAAGAGGAAAACCCAUCCGCCGGACUACGUCCCCGACACCGACGAGGACGAAGAGGAGUGGCCGGACAGGGCCAAGCGUCCGGCGAGAUCGUAAUUCUUCGGAUACCAGAGUAACUCGUGAUAUUCCUUUUGUUGCACAGGUUUCGCUAAUGUCAGAUAUAAUCAUGCAGUCCACCCAAGGACGGGCACGACGAGUCGUCGAGCGGCUCCCUGGAUUCAUCGGACGCGAAUUCAGUUCCGCCUACUGCUUCCCCCUAUGCUGCAGAUGACGCCGAAGUGGCGUCGCGACAAGCUCCGGGGCGAGAGGAGGUGGUCCAGGAGGAGUCGCGAGGUGACCUCCCGGACUCCAGGAGUGAAGGGGACAAGACCCCCAUGGGCUCCAAGUCCGGCUUUAAGCUGGACACUGCGCCGGAAUCAUCAAUGGUUCCGGACCGCGGUAGGCGAACUCCUGCCAAGAGGAGCAAGCCUACUGAGCCGGCAUCCUCCGUCCAGCCGGAGGCGCCGCACAAUCUGGUGGAGGAGCUUAAGGGCGCCUCCAUCGACGAGGAGCAUCGUGCCGUCAUGAGUACGGUGAUCCAGAAGGUUCGGUCCGCCAAAAGCGGACUGACUGAAGCUUGUGCUAGCCUUCUAACAGGCUUCGAGGUAAGUAAAAAUAUGUAAAAAUAUUACCGUAUAGACAGUAGCCCCUGAUGCUCUGUUUGGCGUUUGUAAAGAAAAGCCAAAUAGAGGAUCUAUUAAAUAUCCCAGGAGUCUAACUAAAAAGGAGUCAAUAUACGUAUGUAGGCUUCGCUGCUGGCCAUCGCCGCACUGACUGCGGAGGUGGGUGCCCUUAAGCAGGGCCUCCAGCGGACCGAGCAAGAGCUCGGCCUUGCCAAACGGCAGCUCGAGGAGAAAGAAGGUAAGAUAUACCUUAGAGAAAAAGUGCCUAUAAAAAGGCUUGAUUGCAAAAAGAGUAACAGGAUUGUACUGCUUAUUGUAGGGGCUACGACUGAGGUGGCGACCUUUAAGCAGGUGUUGUCUGAGGCCGAAAAGAAAACGGCCGCGGAGCGCACCGAGCGAGACAGACUUGGGGCUCAGGUCAGCGAGGUGCAGCAAGAGCUUCAGGCUCUCAUGAAAAAACAUGAGAGUUUGGAGCUGGAAUCGAAGGCGCAAGCAUCCGAGCUUGCAAUGGCCCUAGAGGCUGCCAAGUCUGCCAAGGCCGAAGCCCUAAAGGCCCUCCAAGAGUUGGAGGAGAUGAGGAAGAUAGCAGCGGGUAAGGCAUUCUUUAUGCAAAGCAGAAAUAUAAAAGUGAACUACCUGUUACUUACCCAAAUCCGAAGCUCUCCAGGGGCAUUCGCAGAUCUUCCCAGCAGCGUAUCCGACGCCGCCGCAUUCUGCCAAGCUGAAGAGGGUAGCUCGACGGAGAAGGUGUUCUGGUUUCAGUAUUCUAAGGCCGGACACCCUGUGCCCUUGAGCGACCAGCUGAAACAGCUGGUUGAGCUCCACAAGGCGGCCGAGCAGGCCAUGAAGGGCUUCAUAGUUCGGCUGUGGCCCGGAGAGGCCCUACUUGGGAGCUAUUUCGGGCUAGUGCGGCGGCUUGUGGAGGCCUGUCCGAGGCUUGAGGUCAUCAAGUGCUCCGUCUGCAUCGAAGGUGCCCGUCGGGCCCUUGCCCGUGCAAAGGUGCACUGGGGUAAGCUGGAUGGUGAGAAGCUUGUGAAGGACGGGCCGCCGCCGGGGAAGGAGCAUCGCAAGCCCGAGAACUACUACAAGGAUGUUCUUGCAGGUGCCCGCCUUGUGGCGGAUGAAUGUACCAAGGAUGUGAUAUUUGAAUGAACUCGCUCGUGUUUAUCCUGUGCGCUGAAAACUUGUUCAUAUGCGCUAAGCAAUGCUUAUUGAAUUUAAAAUAUUACUUUCUGUGCGGCCAUUUAUCAAAAAUUGAGAGAUGGCCAGUCGUCGGCUUUUGCCCCCGUGCCACUAGUGCUGGGGUGUUCGGGAUAAACCUGAGCGCUCUUUUUCCCAUAGUUGGGUCCUUCGAGGGAGGCGCUCACCACAACGAAUCAGGCAAUCAGACUAUAAUGCUUGAACACUCUCACUUAGCCAUAGAGCUCUAUAAUUUUAAAUUUCGGUGAAGCUCCUAGUUUGGAAGACCGAGUUCGGGGCGCUAUCCACGCCUUGGCCGGACAAAGCCAGCUCCUCGCUCGAAGCGGCAUAAGCCUUUAGGGACUCGAAAAACCUCUCGAACAGCGACUGGUCUCUCGCCACAUCAUGACAGUCAGUUUUAGCUUUCUCCACUGAGGUGCUUAACCCAGCUGAACCGGGGCACAAUCGCAGUGGUUCUCCUAGUGCUACCUUAGCCGAUAGAGCGGAACGUAAGGCACCAAAACAUAGGAGCCGGGCAAACCCAACUAUUGACCCAAAUCAUGAUUCGGAGCCGAUGCAUAUAGUGCUAUAAGUUCGGGGUGCCGCACUUGUGAAAGCGUACGGACUUCUCACACCAUUAUGAGGGGUUCUGAAGCCCCUGGCGUGUUUGCCAUACCAUGGUGUACGGGUGCAAUCAUGUCAUUUAAUAAACAUAAAUGUGAAAAGAAGACAACGCAAAAAAUAGACUAGAAGCUAAGCAUUGUUUAUAGAGAGGCUAUUUAUCAAAGCCGGACGAUACAAAUACUGAAGUAAGCAAAAGAUAUUGGACUAUUCAGUAUGUCCUGACCAGGGGCAGGCCGCGGAAUUGUAUUUAAAACAGGUAUACCGCUCGUAACAGAGACCACAUGGGAGUUCCAUAAUGCGUCAUGGCUUGUCUGCCUCCCUGGAUCUUGCAUCGUUUGUGCGGCAGUCGAAUAUCCGAACAGGUCAUCCGAAGUAUGGAGUCCUGAAAGAAGAAAAAAUUAAAAAAAGAAUCCGGCAGCCCCUAGUACGUAUUAAGCCGUAUUUUGGGCAUGUCGUUAUUGUGCCCCUUCUCCUGUGCCCAUGGUAUUUCAAGGGCGUAGUUAUGUCCGCGAGGUACUGGUUUCGCUAUGUCGCGAAAGCUGGGGUUGGGGCCGCAUUGCUACGCUUGCUCAGAGUGUGCCAGGCGGUCCUGCUGUGGGUUACUCCGGGCGUGCUUGGCAGUGCCUGGCUUUUUAAUGGCCGGACCGGAGAAUUGCCUGAGAAGGCUACUUUGUACCUCCGCUGCGAGAGCCACCGUAUGCUCCUCCAUACGGAGGGAGCGUUCGGUGUUUCCGUUGACCGUAAUUACUCCUUGAGGGCCUGGCAUCUUGAGCUUGAGAUAUGCGUAGUGCGGCACCGCGUUGAUCUUUGCGAAUGCGGUUCGUUCGAGCAGGGCAUGAUAGCCACUGCGAAACGGUACUAUAUCGAAGAUUAACUCUUCGCUUCGGAAAUUAUCCGGGGACCUGAAGACCACAGCAAGUGUUACUGAGCCUGUACAAUUGGCUUCUACACCUGGUAUAACGCCUUUAAAGGUUGUUCUUGUGGGCUUAAUCCUUGAGGGAUCUAUGCCCAUUUUCCGCACUGUAUCCUGAUAAAGCAGGUUCAGGCUAAUGCCGCCGUCCAUGAGGACUCUUGUGAGAUAAAAUCCUUCGAUGAUUGGGUCGAGAACCAAUGCGGCAAAGCCGCCAUGACGGAUGCUAGUGGGAUGGUCCCUUCGAUCGAAAAUGAUCGGGCAGGAGGACCAUGGGUUGAACUUUGGGGCGACUGGCUCCAUCGCAUAUACGUCCCGUAGUGCAUGCUUCCGCUCCCGCUUGGGAAUGUGGGUUGCGUAUAUCAUGUUCACCGUCCACACUUGUGGGGGAAAGCCCUUCUGUCCAUUGUUGUUCGGCGGCUUGGGCUCCUCCUCGUCGCUGUGCAGCCCCUUGUCUCUAAUUUCGGCCCUUAACUUGCCUGCCUGCUUGAACACCCAACAAUCCUGUUAGUGUGAUUGGCUGGCCUUUCGGGGGUGCCAUGUGUCUGGCAUAAGCGAUCGAGUAUUCGGUCCAAACUGGACGGGCCCUGAGUAUUCUUUUUGAAUGGCUUUUUCCGCUGACCGGAUUUAUAGCCUUUGAAUCCGGCAUUGACUGCCGUGUCUUCAUUGCUGUCGCUGCUAACGCGGCGUUUUUGCUUAUUCCGACGUGUCCUGCCACUUUUGUCCUUGGUAUCCGAAUUACCAGGGUUCUUUGAUAAGUUGUUACUGCGAGCUAGCCAGCUGUCUUCUCCCGCGCAAAAGCGGGUCAUGAGUGUCAUGAGGGCUGCCAUGGAUUUCGUCUUUUCCUGUCCCAGGUGCCGGGCAAGCCACUCGUCGCAGAUGUUAUGCUUCAAGGCUGCCAGGGCCUUUGCGUCCGGACAGUCGACUAUCUGGUUUUUCUUUGUUAGGAACCGUGUCCAGAAUUGUCUGGCCGAUUCCUCUGGCUGCUGAAUUAUGUGGCUUAAGUCGUCGGCAUCCAGUGGUCGCACGUAAGUGCCCUGGAAGUUGUCGAGGAAUGCGGCUUCCAGGUCCUCCCAAGAACCGAUUGAGUCUGCUGGCAAGCUGUUAAGCCAAUGCCGGGCCGGUCCUUUAAGUUUGAGCGGGAGGUAUUUGAUGGCGUGUAGAUCAUCGCCGCAUGCCAUGUGGAUGUGAAGGAGAUAAUCCUCGAUCCAUACCGCCGGAUCUGUUGUGCCAUCGUAUGAUUCGAUGUUUACGGGUUUGUAACUCUCUGGGAUUUUAUGAUCCAUUACUUCAUUCGUGAAGCAUAGUGGUUGUGCGGGUCCUCUGUAUUGGGCUAUAUCACGACGCAGCUCGGACGAGCUAUGUCUGUUGUGUUCGGCCCGGGGCCGGAUUUGUCGUAUCCGGAGUGAAGAUCAUUUUCCCGUGCCUUAGUUGAGCGGUGUCGGGGCAUGCCUUGGGUGGAGGGCCGAGACGCCUCUCUGUCGGGGCCGCGAGGUGGCCGGUCUGCCAUGUCAUGCGCUGGUGAUGUAGGUGCUUCCUCCUCUGAUCGGGGUAGCUGCCUGCGCUUCGGGUAACUCUUGGAGGGGCGUUCGAGUUCAUACUCUUCGGCCGCAAGGACUUCAGUCCAUCUGUCAGGUAGCAAAUCUUGGGCAGCUCUAAGCUGUUGCUGCUUUUUCUUGAGGCUGCUUGCCGUGGCUAAAAGCCUGCGUUUAAACGCUCUUGUUCGGCGGGGUCUGAUUGUAUGACGAAUUCGUCGUCAUCGAGGCUUGCCUCGUCUUCGGAGGGAGGCGUAUAGUUAUCAUCCUCGACCUCUCAGUCUGCCGCUCUCUCAUGAGGGCUGGCUUCUCCAUCUUCCUGUGCCGAAUAUUGCUGAGGUUGGUGUUCUUCGGCGCUAUCCGGGGUAGUAUUAUCUCUCGUGUCAGAAUCACCGUUUUUGCUUUGGCGGGAUUUAGGGUGGCGCCGCUGGUGCCGGUGCUUUGGUUGUUUCUUGGGGGCGUCAUCCCCCACUGUUCCAUCGCCAUCUCCAUCUUUUGGAGUAUCCACCAUAUAUAUGUCAUACGACGAGGUGGCCUUCCAGCGCCCUACAGGUGCUGGUUCCUAUUCGUCUCCUACAUUGUCGUCCAGGCCGUCAAUGUCUUUGGAGCUGAAGUCAAGCAUGUCGGUUAGAUCGUCGAUACUGGCUACAAAGUGGGUGGUGGGUGGGCUUUGAAUUUCCUCAUCGUCCGUAUCCCACCCUCGCUGACCGUAGUCCGGCCAGGGCUCUCCUGAUAAAGAGAGAUACUUAAGAGAAUUCAGGAUGUCGCCAAAAGGCGAAUGCUGAAAGAUGUCUGUGGCGGUGAACUCCAUUAUCGGCGCCCAAUCGGAUUCGAUUGGCAGGGGCGCGGGUGGUUUGGAGUCCGGGGAGGAGUCCAGAUCCUCGGAGUCACCGGUCGUGCAGAGUGCGGGGCUAGCAUUCGGCUCGAUCGCUUUCGGGAUCGCAGCCCCCGAGGUGACGUCCAACCGCUCAUCCUCGAUUGGCGCAAUAGGUUCCGAGUUAGGGGUCGGAACCGAUGCGUGUGCGGCCUCCAGGACACUGGCCGGGGGCAGAGCUAGAUCAUGCCCCUCGGGAUAGUGCGGCGCGCUUGGCCGUGGCUCGAGCCCGUCGAAGAUCAAGUCUCCAUGGAUGUCUGCCGUGUAGUUUAAGCUUCCAAACCUGACUUGAUGGACAGGGGCGUAGCUUUCGAUCUGCUACAGGUGGCCGAGCGAAUUGGCUCGCAGAGCGAUGCCGCCGAAGACGAAGAUCUGUCCGGGGAGAAAAGUCUCACCCUGGACCGCAUCGUUGUUGAUGAUCAAAGGAGCCAUCGGGCCUAAAGGUGACGAGACAGAGGAACUCUCAAUGAAAGCACCAAUGUCGGUGUCAAAACCAGUGGAUCUCGGGUAGUGGGUCGCGAACUGUGCGUCUAGGCCGGAUGGUAACAGGAGGCAGGGAACACGAUGUUUUACCUAGGUUCCGGCCCUCUUGAUGGAGGUAAAACCCUAUGUCCUGCUUGAUUAAUAUUGAUGAUAUGGGUAGUACAAGAGUAGAUCUACCACGAGAUCAAGGAGGCUAAACCCUAGAAGCUAGCCUAUGGUAUGAUUGUUGUAUAUGGAGUUGAUUGCCUACGGACUACAACCCUCCGGUUUAUAUAGACACCGGAUAGGGUUAGGGUUACAUAGAGUCAGUUACAAUGGUAGGAGAUCUUGAAUAUCCACAUCGCCAAGCUUGCCUUCCACGCCAAGGAAAGUCCCGUCCGGACCCGGGACGAAGUCUUCAAUCUUGUAUCUUCAUAGCCCAGGAGUCCGGCUGAAGGUAUAGUCCGGCUACCCGAACACCCCCUAAUCCAGGACUCCCUCAGGUAGCAAGAUGGAUUUCUGGCGCCGUUGCCGGGGAGACUCGCGCCAAGUAAAGACAUACCAAGUACCCAUCACAAACCCUUAUCCCUCGCAUUACAUUAUUUUCCAUUUGCCUCUCGUUUUCCUCUCCCCCACUUCACCCUUGCCGUUUUAUGCGCCCUCUCUUUUUUCCUUCGCCUCUUUUCCACUUGCUUUGUCAUUAUGGCUAGUCCUUUAUCUACUCCUUUGUCUCCCGAGAAUGAAGUUCUUAAUUUUAAACAAAGGGAGGGAGAAAAUCUAAAAGAUGCUUGGUACAGAAUUUGCAACACGCAAAUUAGAUCUACUAGGAAACAAUCUACUUUUGUUCUUCUUCACAAUUUUUAUGUAGGCAUCACACCUAGGAAUAGAUAUAUUCUUGAUGCCAUUACCGGAGGGAAUUUCUUGGGUAGCCAUACUUUUGAUUCUUAUAAUGCUAUGAUAGAUCUGUUUGGCCCACCACCUCUUUUGGUUAAUGGAACUAUUUUAACUUUGGAACAUGUGAUGCAAUGGCUUGAAAUUAGUGAAAAUAAAGUUGCCACCAUAGAGUUAAUUGAAAAUUUGGAUAGAAAGAUCCACAACCAAAUUACCCAAUACGGAUCUAAGUUAGGAGUUGCUCUUAAAAGUUUUAAAGAAAAGGGACCUAUGGUUAAUGAAAAGAUAGAAAAAGAUUCCACUAGAAUUGUUAAAUUGAGGAUAUUAUUACCAACCUUGGGUCUUCCUUUUCUUCUAUUAUAAAUACUCUACCUAAUGCUAAGAUUGCCAAACUAAUGUAUGUUACAAAAAAUAAUGGUGAAACUUCUAAUAAGGAAAAUGCGGAUCUCAAAUCCAUAAGUGUUCACCCCAAUUUUCUCACUAUCCUGAAGGAACCUUUUGCUACAAAUGAUUUUCUUGAUUUCGUACCUAGGAGUUUGAUAAUUAAUAAAAACCAAGAAACUCCUAAAAGUUAUUGGUGUCUUAUUGAAGAAUCACCUUCCAAAGACGGCAAUACCUAGGUCUAUCUUCGCUUUUAUGCCUAGCUAGGGGCGUUAAACGAUAGCGCUUGUUGGGAGGCAACCCAGUUUUAUUUUUAUUCCUUGCUUUUUGCUCCUAUUUAGUAAUAAAUAAUUUAUGUAGCCUCUGUUUUGGUUUGUGUUUUUUGUGUUUAAUUUGUGUUUGUGCCAUGUAGAACCGUUGGGUAGACUUGGGGAAAGUCUUUUUGAUCUUGCUGUAAAAAACAGAAACGUUAGCGCUCACGAGAAUCGCUGACAUUUUUAUUUGGAAAGUGAUAUUUAGAUAAUUAUUUUUGCAGAUGAUUAAUAGAUAAAUUCCUCACGUCUAGAAAUUUAUUUUAUAAUUUUUGGGGUUACAGAAGUUUGCGUUAGGUACAGAUUACUACAGACUGUUCUGUUUUUGACAGAUUAUGUUUUUCGUGUAUUGUUUGCUUAUUUUGAUGAAUCUAUGGCUAGUAAAAGAGGUUAUAAACCGUAGAGAAGUUGGAAUACAGUAGGUUUAACACCAAUAUAAAUCAAGAUUGAGUUCAUAACAGUACCUUGAAGUGGUGUUUUGUUUUCUUUCGCUAACGGAGCUCACGAGAUUUUCUAUUUGAGUUUUCUGUUGUGAAGUUUUCAAGUUUUGGGUAAAGAUUUGAUGGAUUGUGGAACAAGGGGUGGCAAGAGCCUAAGCUUGGGGAUUCCCAUGGCACACCAAGGUAAAAUUCAAGGACACCAAAAAGCCUAAGCUUGGGGAUGCCCCGGAAGGCAUCCCCUCUUUCGUCUUCGUCUAUUGGUAACUUUACUUGGAGCUAUAUUUUUAUUCACCACAUGAUAUGUGUUUUGCUUGGAGCGUCUUGUAUGAUUUGAUUAUUUGAUUUUUAGUUUACCAAAAUCAUCCUUGCUGUACACACCUUUUGAGAGAGACUCACAUGAUUGGGAAUUUAUGAGAGUACUCGAUGUGCUUCACUUAUAUCUUUUGAGCUAUAUGGUUUUUGUUCUAGUUCUUCACUUAUAUAUUUUAGAGCACGGCGGUGGUUUUAUUUUAUAGAAAUAAUUGUUCUCUCAUGCUUCACUUAUAUUAUUUUGAGAGUCCUUUAGAACAACAUGGCAAUAAUAAAACUGUCAUACAAGUGCAUUGAAUACUAUGAGAAGUUUGAUACUUGAUAAUUGUUUUGAGAUAUGGAGAUGGUGAUAUUAGAGUCAUGCUAGUUGUGUAGUUGUGAAUUUGAGAAAUACUUGUGUUGAAGUUUGUGAUUCCCGUAGCAUGCACGUAUGGUGAACCGUUAUGUGACGAAGUCGGAGCAUGAUUUAUUUGUUGAUUGUCUUCCUUAUGAGUGGCGGUCGGGGAUGAGCAAUGGUCUUUUACUACCAAUCUAUCUCCCUAGGAGCAUGGGCAUAAUACUUUGCUUUGAUAACUUGUAGAUUUUUGCAAUAAGUAUGUGAGUUCUUUCUGACCAAUGUUGAGUCCAUGGAUUAUACGCACUCUCACCCUUCCACCAUUGCUAGCCUCUCUAAUACCGCGCACUUCUCGCCGAUAUCAUACACCCACCAUAUACCAUCCUCAAAACAGCCACCAUACCUACCUAUUAUUGCAUUUCCAUAGCCAUUCCGAGAUAUAUUGCCAUGCAACUUUUCAUCGUUCCAUUAUUAUGACACACUUCAUCAUUGUCAUAUUUGCUUGCAUGAUCAUGUAGUUGGCAUUGUAUUUGUGCAAAGCCACCGUUAAUAAUUCUUCAUACAUGUCACUCUUCAUUCACUUCAUAUCCCGGUACACCGCCGGAGGCAUUCACAUAGUCAUAUUUUGUUCUAAGUAUCGAGUUGUAAUUCUUGAGUUGUAAGUAAAUAAAAGUGUGAUGAUCAUCAUUAUUAGAGCAUUGUGCCAAGUGAGGAAAGGAUGGAGACUAUGAUUCCACAACAAGUCGGCAUGAGACUCCAGACGAAAAUAAAAAAAGAGGGGAAAAAGAGAAAGGCCAUAGAAAAAGAAGGCCCAAAAAAUGAGAGAAAAAGAGAGAAGGGGCAAUGUUACUAUCCUUUUUCCACACUUGUGCUUCAAAGUAGCACCAUCAUCUUCAUGAUAGAGAGUCUCCUAUGAUAUCACUUUCAUAUACUAGUGGGAAUUUUUCAUUAUAGAACUUGGCUUGUAUAUUCCAAUGAUGGGCUUCCUCAAAUUGCCCUAGGUCUUCGUGAGCAAGCAAGUUGGAUGCACACCCACUUAGUUUCUUUUGUUGAGCUUUCAUACACUUAUAGCUCUAGUGCAUCCGUUGCAUGGCAAUCCCUACUCACUCACAUUGAUAUCUAUUAAUGGGCAUCUCCAUAGCCCGUUGAUACGCCUGUUCCGGAGCUCCGCCGGAGGGGGCAUCGAUCACGGAGGGCUUCUACAUCAACAGCAUAGCCUCUUCGAUGAAGUGUGAGUAGUUGACCUCAGACCUAUGGGUCCAUAGUUAUUACCUAGAUGGCUUCUUUUCUCUUUUUGGAUCUCAAUACAAUGUUCUCCCCCUCUCUUGUGGAGAACUAUUCGAUGUAAUCUUCUUUUUGCGGUGUGUUUAUUGAGACCGAUGAAUUGUGGGUUUAUGAUCAAGUCUAUCUAUGAAUAAUAUUUGAAUCUUCUCUGAAUUCUUUUAUGUAUGAUUGUUUAUCUUUGCAAGUCUCCUCGAAUUAUCAGUUGGUUUGGCCUACUAGAUUGAUCUUUCUUACAAUGGGAGAAGUGCUUCGCUUUGGGUUCAAUCUUGCGGUGUCCUUUCCCAGUGACAAUAGGGGCAGCAAGGCAUGUAUUGUAUUGUUGCCAUCGAGGAAAACAAGAUGAGGUUUUCAUCAUAUUGCAUGAGUCUAUCCCUCUACAUCAUGUCAUCUAGCUUAAGGCGUUACUCUGUUUUUAACUUAAUACUCUAGAUGCAUGCUGGAUAGCGGUCGAUGAGUGGAGUAAUAGUAGUAGAUGCAGGCAGGAGUCGGUCUACUUGUCUCGGACGUGAUGCCUAUAUACAUGAUCAUACCUAGAUAUUCUCAUAAAUAUGCUCAAUUCUGUCAAUUGCUCAACAGUAAUUUGUUCACCCACCAUAGAAUAAUUAUGCUCUCGAGAGAAGCUACUAGUGAAACCUAUGGCCCCCGGGUCUAUCUUUAUCAUAUUAAUCUCCUACUACUUAGUUAUUUCCUUUGCUUUUUCCUUUGCCUUUAUUUUACUUUUCAUCUUUAUCACAAAAAUACCAAACAUAUUAUCUUUAUCAUAUCUAUCAGAUCUCACUCUCGUAAGUGGCCGUGUAGGGAUUGACAACCCCUAUUCACGUUGGUUGCGAGGAUUUAUUUGUUUUGUGCAAGUACGAGGGACUCGCGCGUAGCCUCCUACUGGAUUGAUAUCUUGGUUCUCAAAAACCGAGGGAAAUACUUACGCUACUUUGCUACAUCAUCCCUUCCUCUUCGGGGAAAACCAACGCAGUGCUCAAGAGGUAGCAAGAAGGAUUUCUGGUGCCAUUGCCAGGGAGGUCUACGCAAAAGUUAACAUACCAAGUACCCGUCACAUACCCUUAUCUCCCGCAUUAUAUUAUUUGCCAUUUGCCUCUCGUUUUCACCUCCCCCACUUCACCCUUGCCGUUUUAUUCGCCCUCUCUCUCUAUCCUCCCUCUCUUUCUCUAUUUGCCUCUUUUUUCCCGCUUGCUUUCUGUUUGCUUGUGUGUUAGUUGCUUGCUUGUCACGAUGGCUCAAGAUAAUACUAAAUUAUGUGACUUCACCAAUACCAACAACAAUGAUUUUAUUAGCACUCCGAUUGCUCCUCUUAUCGAUGCUGAAUCUUGUGAAAUUAAUACUGCUUUGCUGAAUCUUGUCAUGAAAGAUCUGUUUUCCGGCCUUCCUAGUGAAGAUGCCGGUACCCACCUAAAUAGAUUCAUUGAUUUGUGUGACAUGCAAAACAAGAAAGGUGUGGAUAAUGAUAUUGUUAAAUUGAAGCUAUUUCCUUUUUCGCUUAGAGAUCGUGCUAAACUUGGUUUUCGUCUUUGCCUAAAAAUAGUAUUGAUUCAUGGAAUAAGUGCAAAGAUGCUAUUAUCUCUAAGUAUUUUCCUCCUGCUAAGAUCAUCUCUCUUAGAAACGAUAUUAUGAAUUUUAAGCAACUUGAUCAUGAAUAUGUUGCACAAGCUUGGGAGAGAAUGAAACUAAUGGUACGUAAUUGCCCUGCCCAUGAUUUAAAUUUGUGGAUGAUUAUACAAAAUUUUUAUGCCGGAUUGAAUUUUGCUUCUAGAAAUCUUUUAGAUUCGGCCGCGGGAGGCACUUUUAUGGAAAUCACUUUAGGAGAAGCUACUAAACUCCUAGAUAAUAUUAUGGUUAAUUAUGCUCAACGGCAUACUAAAAGAUCUAAUAAUAAAAAGGUGCAUGCGAUAGAAGAAAUUAAUGUUUUGAGUGGAAAGAUGGAUGAACUUCUGAAAUUAUUUGCUAAUAAGAGUGUUUCUUCUGAUCCUAAUGAUAUGCCCUUGUCUACUUUGAUUGAGAAUAAUAAUGAAUCUGUGGAUGUGGAUUUUGUUGGUAGGAACAAUUUUGGUAACAGCGCGUAUAGAGGAAAUUUCAACCCUAGGCCUUAUCCUAGUAAUCUCUCUAAUAAUUACGGUAAUUCCUACAACAAUUCUUAUGGAAAUUAUAAUAAGAUGCCCUCUAAUUUUGAAUCUAAUAUUAAAGAAUUUAUUACUUUGCAAAAGAAUUUCAAUGCCUUGAUUGAAGAAAAAUUGCUUAAGAUUGAUGAUUUGGCUAGGAACGUUGAUAGAAUUACUCUUGAUGUUGAUUCUUUGAAACUUAGAUCUAUUCCACCUAAGCAUGAUGUCAAUGAGUCUCUCAAAGCCAUGAGAAUUUCCAUUGAUGAGUGCAAAGAAAGAACCGCUAAGAUGCGUGCUAAGAAAGAUGCCUUUAUAAGAGCGUGUUCUUCUAGUUCCUAUGAAAAUAAUGAUGAAGAUCUAAAAGUUAUAGAUGUGUUCCCUAUUAAAUAUUUGUUUUUCAAUAUGAAUCUUGAUAAUGAUGGGACUGAAUAUGAUCCACCUUUACCUAUAAGGCGUUCGAAGAAUUCAGAAUUUGUUGAUCUUGAUGCUAAAAUUGAUAAAGGUGGGAUUGAAGAAAUUAAAACCCUAGAUGUUGCUAAACCCACUAUUAUGGAUUUCAAGGAAUUUAACUAUGAAAAUUGCUCUUUGAUUGAUUGUAUAUCCUUUUUACAAUCCGUGCUAAAUUCUCCUCAUGCUUAUAGUCAAAAUAAAGCGUUUACUAAACAUAUCGUUGAUGCCUUGAUGCAAUCUUAUGAAGAAAAACUUGAAUUGGAAGUUUCUAUCCCUAGAAAGCUUUAUGAUGAUUGGGAACCAACUAUUAAAAUUAAAAUUAAAUAUCAUGAAUGCUAUGCUUUAUGUGAUUUGGGUGCUAGUGUUUCCACGAUUCCAAAGACUUUGUGUGAUUUGUUAGGUUUCCGUGAUUUUGAUGAUUGCUCUUUAAACUUGCGCCUUGUGGAUUCCACUAUUAAGAAACCUAUGGGAAGAAUUAAUGAUGUUCUUAUGGAUGCAAAUAGGAAUUAUGUGCCUGUAGAUUUUAUUCUUCUUGACAUAGAUUGCAAUCUUUCAUGUCCUAUUAUUCUUGGUAGACCUUUCCUUAGAAUGAUUGGUACAAUUAUUGAUAUGAAGGAAGGAAAUAUUAGAUUCCAAUUUCCAUUAAGGAAAUUCAUGGAACACUUUACUAGAAAGUAAAUUAAAUUACCUUAUGAAUCUAUUAUGAUAGCCACUUGUGGAUUGCCUACCAAAGAUGGCAAUACCUAGAUCUAUCCUUGCUUGUUAUGCCUAGCUAGGGGCGUUAAACGAUAGCGCUUGUUGGGAGGCAACGCAAUUUUGUUUUUAUUCCUUGAUUUUUGCUCCUGUUUAGUAAUAAAUAAUUUAUCUAUCCUCUGUUUUGGUUGUGUUCUUUGUGUUUAAUUAGUGUUGGUGCCAAGUAGAACCGUUAGGAAGACUUGGGGAAAGUCUUGUUACACUUGCUGUAAAAAACAGAAACUUCGGCGCUCAUGAGAACUGCUGCCAUUUUUAUUUGGAAAGUGCUAUUUAGUUAAUUAUUUCUGCAGAUGAUUAAUAGAUAAAUUCCUCACGUCCAGAAAUUUAUUUUAGAAUUUUUGGGGUUCCAGCUCUUGAGCUAGGUACAGAUUACUACAGAUUGUUCUGUUUUUGAAAGAUUCUGUUUUUUCGUGUGUUGUUUGCUUAUUUUGAUGAACCUAUGGCUAGUAAAAUAGUUCAUAAACCAUAGAGAAGUUGGAAUACAGUAGGUAUAACACCAGUAUAAAUAAAUAAUGAGUUCAUUAUAGUACCUUGAAGUGGUCUUUUAUUUUCUUUCGCUAACGGAGCUCACGAGAUUUUCUACUUUAAGUUUUGUGUUGUGAAGUUUUCAAGUUUUGGGUAAAGAUUUGAUGGUUUAUGGAACAAGGAGUGACAAGAGCCUAAGCUUGGGGAUGCCCAUGGCACCCCCAAGAUAAUCUAAGUACACCUAAAAGCCAAAGCUUGGGGAUGCCCCGGAAGUCAUCCCCUCUUUCGUCUACUUCUAUCGGUAACUUUACUUGGAGCUAUAUUUUUAUUCGCCACAUGAUAUGUGUUUUGCUUGGAGCGUCUUGUAUUAUUUGACUCUUUAUUUGUUAGUUUACCACAAUCAUCCUUCCUGUACACACCUUUUGAGAGAGCCAUACAUGAUUUGGAAUUUGUUAGAAUAGUCUAUGUGCUUCGCUUAUAUCUUUUGAGUUAUAUAGUUUUGCUCUAGUACUUCACUUAUAUAUUUUAGAGCACGGUGGUGGAUUUGUUUUAUAAAAACUAUUGAUCUCCCAUGCUUCACUUAGAUUAUUUUGAGAUGCUUAAUAGCAUGGUAACUUGCUUAAAAUCCUAAUAUGCUAGGUAUUCAAAGUUAGUAAAAUUUUCUUAAGAGUGUUUUGAAUACUAAGAGAAGUUUGAUGCUUGAUGAUUGUUUUGAGAUAUGGAGGUAAUAAUAUCAAAGUCGUGCUAGUUGAGUAGUUGUGAAAUUGAGAAAUACUUGUGUUGAAAUUUGCAUGUCCCGUAGCAUGCACGUAUGGUAAAUGUUGUGUAACAAAUUUGAAACAUGAGGUGUUAUUUGAUUGUCUUCCUUAUGAGUGGCGGUCGGGGACGAGCGAUGGUCUUUUCCUACCAAUCUAUCCCCCUAGGAGCAUGCGCGUAGUACCGAGGUUUUUGAUGACUUGUAGAUUUUUGCAAUAAGUAUGUGAGUUCUUUAUGACUAAUGUUGAGUCCAUGAAUUAUACGCACUCUCACCCUUCCAUCCUUGCUAGCCUCUUUGGUACCAUGCAUUGCCCUUUCCCACAUUGAUUGUUGGAGCAAACUUCGCCGGUGCAUCCAAACCCCGUGAUAUGAUACGCUCUUUCACACAUAAACCUCCUUAUAUCUUCGUCAAAAAAGCCACCAUACCUACCUAUUAUGGCAUUUCCAUAGCCAUUCCGACAUAUAUUGCCAUGCAACUUUCCACCAUUCCGUUCAUCAUGACACAUUCAUCAUUGUCAUAGUGCUUAGCAUAAUCAUGUAGUUGACAUAGUAUUUGUGGCAAGGCCACCGUUCAUAAUUCUUUCAUACAUGUCACUCUUGGUCCAUUGCAUAUCCCGGUACACCGCUGGAGGCAUUCAUAUAAGUCAUACUUUGUUCUAGUAUCGAGUAGUAAUUAUUGAGUUGUAAAUAAAACGAAGUGUGAUGAUCUUAAUUAAUAGAGCAUGGUCCCAAAAAGAGAAAAAAGGAAGGGCCAAAAAAAGGCCAAAUAAAAAAAUAUAAAAAGGGGGGCAAUGCUACUAUCCUUUUUUCCACACUUGUGAUUCAAAGUAGCACCGUAAUCUUCAUGAUAGAGAGUAUCUUGAUUUGUCACUUUCAUAUACUAGUGGGAAUUUUUCAUUAUAGAACUUGGCUUGUAUAUUCCAACAAUGGGCCUCCUCAAGUGCCCUAGGUCUUUGUGAGCAAGCAAGUUGGAUGCACACCCACUUAGUUUCUUUUGUUGAGCUUUCAUACAUUUAUAGCUCUAGUGCAUCCGUUGCAUGGCAAUCCCUACUCCUUGCAUUAACAUCAAUCGAUGGGCAUCUCCAUAGCCCAUUGAUUAGCCUCGUUGAUGUGAGACUUUCUCCUUUUUGUCUUGUCCACAUAACUCCACUCAUUAUAUUCUAUUCCACCCAUAGUGUUAUGUCCAUGGCUUACAAUCAUAUAUUCCGUGAAAGUUUAUAGGUUUGAGAUCACUAAAGUAUGAAACAAUUGCUUGGCUUGUCAUCGGGGUUGUGCAUGAUGAGAGCAUUGUUGUGUGACAAAAAUGAAGCAUGACUAAACUAUAUGAUUUUGUAGGGAUGAACUUUCUUUGGCCAUGUUAUUUUGAGAAGACAUAAUUGCUUAGUUAGUAUGCUUGAAGUAUUAUUAUUUUUAUGUCAAUAUGAACUUUUGUCUUGAAUCUUUCGGAUCUGAAUAUUCAUACCACAAUUAAGAAGAAUAACAUUAAAAUCAUGCUAAGUAGCACUCUGCAUCAAAAAUUCUGUUUUUAUCAUUUACCUACUCGAGGACGAGCAGGAAUUAAGCUUGGGGAUGCUUGAUACGUCUCCAACGUAUCUAUAAUUUUUGAUUGCUCCAUGCUAUAUUAUCUACUGUUUUGGACAAUAUUGGGCUUUAUUAUCCACUUUUAUAUUAUUUUUGGGACUAACCUAUUAACCGGAGGCCCAGCCUAGGAUUGCUGUUUUUUGCCUAUUUUAGGGUUUCGAAGAAAAGGAAUAUCAAACGGAGUCCAAACGGAAUGAAACCUUCGGGAACGUGAUUUUCUCAACGAACAAGACCCAGGAGAAUUGGACCCUCCGUCAAGACACAAAAGAGGAGGCCACGAGGUAGGGGGCGUGCCUACCCCCCCGGCGCGCCCUCCACCCUCGUGGGCCCCCUGUUGCUCCACCGACGUACUCCUUCCUCCUAUAUAUACCUACGUACCCCCAAAUGAUCAUAUACGGAGCCAAAACCCUAAUUACGCUGCCGCAACAUUCUGUAUCCACGAGAUCCCAUCUUGGUGCCUGUUCCGGAGCUCCGUCAGAGGGGGCAUCGAUCAUGGAGGGCUUCUACAUCAACACCAUAGCCUCUCUGAUGAAGUGUGAGUAGUUGACCUCAGACCUACGGGUCCAUAGUUAUUACCUAGAUGGCUUCUUCUCUCUUUUUGGAUCUCAAUACAAUGUGCUCCCCCUCUCUUGUGGAGAACUAUUCGAUGUAAUCUUCUUUUUGCGGUGUGUUUGUUGAGACCGAUGAAUUUUGGGUUUAUGAUCAAGUCUAUCUAUGAAUAAUAUUUGAAUCUUCUCUGAAUUCUUUUAUGUAUGAUUGGUUAUCUUUGCAAGUCUCUUCGAAUUAUCAGUUUGGUUUGGCCUACUAGAUUGAUCUUUCUUGCAAUGGGAGAAGUGCUUAGCUUUGGGUUCAAUCUUGCGUGUCCUUUCCCAGUGAUAGUAGGGGUAGCAAGGCACGUAUUGUAUUGUUGCCAUCGAGGACAACAAGAUGGGGUUUUCAUCAUAUUUUAUGAGUCUAUCCCUCUACAUCAUGUCAUCUUACUUAAGGCGUAAUAGUAGUAGAUGAGUGGAGUAAUAGUAGUAGAUGCAGGCAGGAGUCGGUCUACUUGUCUCGGACGUGUUGCCUAUAUACAUGAUCAUACCUAGAUAAUCUCAUAACUAUGCUCAAAUCUAUCAAUUGCUCAAUAGUAAUUUGUUCAUCCACCGUAGAAUACUUAUGCUCUCGAGAGAAGCCACUAGUGAAACCUAUGGCCCCCGGGUCUAUCUUUAUCAUAUUAAUCUCCUACUACUUAGUUAUUUCCUUUGCUUUUUUACUUUGCCUUUAUUUUACUUUGCAUCUUUAUCACAAAAAUAAAAAUAUCUUUAUCAUAUCUAUCCAAUCUCACUCUCGUAAGUGGCCGUGUAGGGAUUGACAACCCCUAUUCACGUUGGUUGCGAGGAUUUAUUUAUUUUGUGCAGGUACGAGGGACUGGCGCAUAGCCUCCUACUGGAUUGAUACCAUGGUUCUCAAAACCUGAGGGAAAUACUUAUGCUACUUUGCUGCAUCAUCCCUCACUCUUCGGGGAAAACCAACGAAGUGCGCAAGAGGUAGCAAGGGUUCCUUUUUGUCGACGAUCUGAUGUUUCAACCUUGUUUUCCAGGCGGCCAACGCAUCACUCAACUUGGUCAUGGCGUGUUUGUUUAUCUUCUUCAUUGCCAGGUCCUUAUCUGGAUCUUUAUUAUCCUUUUCAUUACGGUCCGGGAACAAGAAUAUCUGGUGCAGCUUCUUCAGGAGGGAGGGCCUCAUAUUAUCUAUCUUCUAUAGUUUCCCAUCGUUGAUCAUGGCAGUUGUCCGUACAAUGCAACCUAUUUGAUUGCCGUAACACGAUUGCGCUUCCUCGGGUGCUAUUGUCUCAAAAAUACUGUCGUCCAUCUCCGUGACCACCAGUCUAGUACUCAUGAGCUGGUUUAGGCGUCGUGGCCUCUUUGCUGUCGGUUCUAGACUAACUCCCCUAGUCUCGGCACCGGUCUCAGUCUCAUCGCCGGUCUGCAUGUCGGUAUCAGUCCCCGAUGCGACAACACAGUCGCUGCAACAUGGGUAAGGGAGACCACAUCAGUGCUGGGGGUCCGAAAAUUGGGACACACUUUCGCGCGUCGCGGGCCGCCUCUCAGACAGCUAAUGGGGAGGCGGCGGAGUACCUGGGUGCGCGGCGAAUCCCCAAGAACUCGGUGACCAACUUCCUUCCCGUGUGGCGCAUGGAGACGACGGCGACCCUGGCGAAGAGCAGCUUAGCCGCGAGCUGCACAGCCUCGUCCACCUCCUAAGUUGGGACCUCCGUGCGAGCGUUGCGGGGCCGCCGCUCGGAUGGCUUCUGGAAGGCCGUUGUACAUGGGCACAGGGUGAAUCCCGACGAGAGCUGGCCAUUGGCGCGCGCAAGUAGACGACGACGUCCCCGACGAAGAGCUGCCCGGCCAGCUCGCCUCACUCGCCUUUGAUUAGAAAUGAAAGAUUGGGAAGAAGCAGACUUGAGCCUGCAGGGAAAGGAUAAGGUGACGAUGCAGUCUCCACUCGUUCGGGGCGACACGCGUACUGAAUGUAUGAGAAACGUGACGUGGCAGAGACCCCAAGAUACUCCCUCCAUUUAUUUUUAGUCUGCAUAUAAAGUUUGGUCAAAGUCAAGAUUUGUAAAUUUUAACGAACUUUAUAAUAAAAAAAUAUCAGCAUUCACAAUAUGAAAUCAAUAUUACCAGAUGCGUCAUGAAAUGUAUUUCCAUACUAUAUAGUUUUGGUAUUGUAGAGGCACUCUUCCAUAUAAUGAAGUUUAUAAUAUAUGUGCUUAUAUUGUAUUACAAUUGUUUGAAUAGCUUAGCAUAUGUUCAGAUGUAUGAUAUCUGUAAUUUAAGCGCUUGAAUUUUACAUAUAAAUAUUUAUUAAUAAAUAUGUACCCCUAUAAUAGCUAGGCCGUGCCGUUGCACGGGUAGAUGACUAGUGAUUACAAUCUUGUUUGUGUGCAAGUCAAGCUUAUAUAGUUUACACGUAACAACUUGUAGAACAUUACAAAAUUUAUGCUUGCUAAUAACUUCUAGAACACUAGAACACUUGACAUGUAAAAGGAAUUUGACGAGUCAUGGCCUACUAAAGCAAGUUACAUUACUAGUCUUAUCUAUCUUAACAGACCACACAAGAUUACAAACUAAGUACCGUGACAGCCAUGCUUAUCUAGUUUAUGCGUAACAAUUUGCAGAAAAUUAGAAACUUGGUUUCAGAAAAAUACGCAAUCUAGAUUAGUGUUUGAGCUGUAAAGUGAAUAAGAUGAGUCAUGCAUGUUAUCACACCUUUUUGGUGGUGGAAUGAUAGUGCAACAACAAGGAACUUUAAUGACCAGUCCAAGAAUACACUUGUAAGUAGUGCCACCAAACAGAACAUACCAAAUGAUGAUUUUUAGAAGCAUCCAAGCACUUUCCACACAAACAAAUGCCAAUUGUGAAAGAGAUCAUUCCAUGGCAGCUAUAAAUAGCCCCAUAGCAUGAGGUUCAUCCUUCCUCAUCCAUCAUUUUCAUUAGUAGAGCGCAUCAUUUAAGCCAAGCAAGCUGUGGUCAAUACAAAUCCACCAUGAAGACCUUUCUCAUCCUUGCCCUCCCUGCUAUCGUGGCGACCACCGCCACAACUGCAGUUAGAGUUCCAGUGCCACAAUUGCAGCCACAAAAUCCAUCUCAGCAACAGCCACAAGAGCAAGUUCCAUUGGUACAACAACAACAAUUUCUAGGGCAGCAACAACCAUUUCCACCACAACAACCAUAUCCACAGCCGCAACCAUUUCCAUCACAACAACCAUAUCUGCAGCUGCAACCAUUUCCGCAGCCGCAACUACCAUAUUCGCAGCCACAACCAUUUCGACCACAACAACCAUAUCCACAACCGCAACCACAGUAUUCGCAACCACAACAACCAAUUUCACAGCAGCAGCAGCAGCAGCAACAACAACAACAACAACAACAACAACAACAAAAGCAAAUCCUUCAACAAAUUUUGCAACAACAACUGAUUCCAUGCAUGGAUGUUGUAUUGCAGCAACACAACAUAGCGCAUGGAAGAUCACAAGUUUUGCAACAAAGUACUUACCAGCUGUUGCAAGAAUUGUGUUGUCAGCACCUAUGGCAGAUCCCUGAGCAGUCGCAGUGUCAGGCCAUCCAAAAUGUUGUUCAUGCUAUUAUUCUGCAUCAACAACAAAAACAACAACAACAACCAUCGAGCCAGGUGUCCUUCCAACAGCCUCUGCAACAAUAUCCAUUAGGCCAGGGCUCCUUCCGGCCAUCUCAGCAAAACCCACAGGACCAGGGCUCUGUCCAGCCUCAACAACUGCCCCAGUUCGAGGAAAUAAGGAACCUAGCGCUACAGAUGCUACCUGCAAUGUGCAAUGUCUACAUCCCUCCAUAUUGCACAAUCGCGCCAUUUGGCAUCUUCGGUACUAACUGAGAAGAAAAUAACUCUAGUACUAGAUAUAUGAAACACCGUUUUCUCAGUCCAUGGUUUGGUCAUUGUAGCGUCGAAAAAAUAAUGUGACAUGCACUAUCAUAUAAGAAUCCGAACUAUACUAGUUCAAACUUGGGAAUAAAAGACAAACACAUGUCUUGUCUACAUAUUUAUGUUGCAUCUAUUUAUAUAUUAAAAGUAAUAUAAGGUGAACCAGGAGCAAGGUAAAUAUGCUAGAAAAUUGCACGUUAAUUAGAAAUUACUUGCCCUCGAUCUGGUAAAUCUUAACAAAUAGAAUUAUCUUGACCGUUAGAUUUAUAUAACAUAUAUAAUGCUCUGGGCCUCCAACGACUGUACGUGACACAUCUGAACGAACAUAUGGUAAAGAAAAUAUAUUUGGUAAAUGGUGGGCCUGUUUAAAAAGAGAACUCACGUACAUGCACCAACUAAGAAAAACACAUACAUGUAAACGGGAAAAGGAUGAGAUUUUCUCACGUACGUGCUCCCUGGCUCCACCCCGUUGAAAAAAUAUACAUCUGGAGGCCACUUUGUUUCCUCAUCAAAAAAACUUACGUUAAAAAGAUUGCAUGCAUCCCAGGGAAAAUAGUCAAGAAGAAGUCGGACUUUUCCUUACAAAAACAAGGAACGUGUUAAGUUGACUUCAAAGAAAAAAGGAACAUGUUAAGUUAAAAAAAAACAAGAAACCUGUUAAGUUAGAAAAAAACAAGGAACGUGUUGUCCAAGGAAAGAUAUGUGUCAAAUCUUACAAAAAAAAAGAAUACACACACGUACGUUCAUGCACUUGGAAAAUAGAAAAAAAGGAACAUCACGUAUGUAUACACUUCGGAAACUCAUUACAUGACCAUGUCUGAUAUACUCCUCUAAUGCUUAAUAUUAGUGCCUAAUAAUUUAUAUUUAAAAUUUAAUUUACUGAUCAAAUAUCCCCACUGUUUAAAUUUUAAUUUGGCACAUUGUUUGGCUAUAGUAUGAACCUGAAUUUCCUCUUAUUAUUAUAUAUCAUGGUAAUAAUCCAAAGGCGACUAAUCUGCACCGGCGCACCGGCGCAAUCAAUUCGGCUGGACACAGCGCGGCCGUUUGAUUAGAUUGCAUUUAACCAUCAGAUCUGGAAUCGUUUUCUUUCCAAUUAAACGGAUUCAACCAAACAGCAGAGGGGAAAACAAAGCAGCGCCGCCGCCAACACUAGCCAUGGACGACCGAUGUAGCAAAACCUUGAAGAACCGCCGCCGGUCGCCACCCUCGCCUCUGGUCGCUGCCCUCGCCGUCGGUCACCGCCGGUCGCCGCCCUCGCCGCCUGCGUUUCUCAUCGGCUUCAUGCAUGCAACAACAUGCACUCGUGGUUGCAGGCUUGCAUCUCCGGCUCCGGGGACAUGGCCGCAUCUCCGGUAGCGCCGGCCGCCGGCCGCAGCACCUGUCGUUGUGGUCGCGCUGUACCUCGCCGUGUGCCCUCCCGAGGCUCUUGCUGGUUCCAACAAAAAACGAUACCUGUUGUAGCAAAAAAGUAUCGCUUCCAGCAAAAAAGCUUACCGCUACAGCCCGCCAUCGUCAUUGUAGCAAAAAUGUUAACCCGAUGUAGCUUCUGUGGUUGCCGACUGCAGCAAAAAAUGACAUGGCUGUAGCAAAACACAAAAGAAAAACACUGGCCGGCCGCUGUGUAUGGUGGUAACAAACCCUAUAGCCGGUGGUAGCGAAAAACUUCAUAGUGUGCUGCAAAAAAAUGUUGUCACCCGUCGUCGAGGUUGCAUCAUCUUCAUGAAUUAUGCCGCAAAAAAACGUUGUCGCCGGUAGUAGCAAAUGAAGCCGCCGGUAGUAGCAAAACAAGACACUGGUUCCAGCCAAAAAAAAAAUCAGCGACAGAACCUUUGGUUGGUUCCAACAAAAAAACUUGUCGGUUGUAACAUCCCUCGCCGCCGGAUGUAGCAUCUCCCGGGGCUGGUUGCAACACUCCAUAAAAAAAGUUGUCUAUGAGCGCAUCCAUGGUGACUGCUGCACCGUCAGCAAUGAGGGGAAGAGGAGGCAAUGAAAAUCAUUCGAGUCAUAGCUCCACAGGACGCGGCUGCAGCAUGGGGAGUCCAAAAAUCUGUCACAAGCAACAUGCGCCGCGCCAUCCUCCUGCGCAGGAGAGAGAAGAAAAAGGAAUAAGAGGAAGAAGAAAGGAAACAGGAGAAAGAAAAAAGAAAGGAUUGGUGGUUGGCUCAGGCAAUUAGUCAAGCGAGGGGCACGCGGGGCCGCAGGACACAGCGCAAUCGAACGAAGCGCGCGCGUCCGGGCGAAGACUCGGCCGGACUGCCGUCUGGAAACGUUUCCCUAAUCCAAAGGCUUUAUCUGAAUGACAAGUCGUCUGGGUUACCGGCUAACUAGAAAAAAGAUAAAUAUGCUAGAGAAUUCCAUAAUAAUUAGAAAUAUCUAGCCUUUAAUUAUGUAAACCAGAAAAUCACAACCGUUGGAUUUACUUUAAAGGUAAAUUUCUAUAAAUUCCCACCAUUGCCAGUAUGUAGAAACAUGUGCUGCUUCAAUUCUCCCAUAAUCACCAAUCAAUCAACAACACAAAACAUACCUCAGUUAAAAAAACUGAACAAAAAAAAGAAAAAAAGAAGAAAGGACAAGAUACACGCAUGUACACGACAGCCUUGGCUUGAAACACAUCAGUAGAUCAAGUGUCCGCCUCCCUUACACGUACGUCCCAUGAGGUUUACUAGCCUACCGCCGCCGCAUCAUGCCAUCCUCUCCUUUCAGCUCCCAUGCUCUCCAGCACCCUCAUUGCGGCGCCACUACUCGCCUAGGGAUAUUGCUGCUCAGACCGUGGAGCUUAACCACAUCAGCAUCAGCACGUAUGGGCCUCAUUAUACUGCAGCACGUAUUGCGCCCCCUUAAGUCCAGGUCUGUUUGCUGGCACAUAUGCUUUGGAAAUAGGCCACUAUGUUUGUACUUCAAAAUUGUUUCUGUAUUCUUGAGUGGUACAUCCUUUUAAGCGCCAGUUUUUUAUGUUAAUUCAUGCUGACAACACUUAACCUAGCCUUUCAUGUUCACGUACUAAAUACAGGAGCAAGUAAAAACAACAGACCACCUAAUUGCUCUGCAUGUACUACAUAGGAAAAUUUGUCAUGUUCUACGAUCGCACCAUCCCACCCUUCUCUCUUGGUAUGGGCGCCAAUUGAGGGAUUGAUAAAACUGAAACGAAGACGUCACAGGGCUGGAAGUACCGCUAGCCUGGUUUGCACUGCAACCUACCCAACGCCAUCAGAAACUAGCAACUGAGUCAGGUGUUGAUCGAUUCUCUCAAAUUGCUCUCAUGUAAGUACUACCCCUUGCAUGUGCGUACAUACCUUUGUUGCAUUCUCAAACAGAUAGAACAUGUUUGAUCGGUGCAUGGCUAUUUUUCAUCACAUGACAUCCAGAUAACAAGCAUGAAAGGACUACAUUGGAGAUCAAAAAAUAUUGGUUCCUGGCUAGAGUACCACUACCUAUGGACUUGUCUCCAUAGAAUUUGUUCCCAAGAUGUUAUUUUAAUUAAUCUCUUUAGCUUUCUUCCAUUGCAAACGGUGAUGUGCAUCAUGGUAUAUACGUGACCAUCUUGCACAUGUAUACACAAGAGGCUCAGAUGGAGGUGCUGGAUUCUGGACGAGGGAAUAUGAAGCAGGAGUGAGCGAAGAGUAAAUAAUGGUGGGAGUACCGAUUGGUGUUAUGAAGAAAAAUGCCAUCCAAAGAUUGAUUAGUGUCAUGGAAGAUUAAUUUCUGAAUGCGAAUAUAUAUGUUACAUUGGUUUGGAUCUUUUUGAGAUAAUUCCACCUAAAUUAGGUUCUUUCUUAUUUCAUAUGUAUACCUUAUUUCAGUAAAAGUUCACAACGAACUUAGUAGGACAAAUAUAAUUUUGUUUGUUCUUUCUGUUGUCCGCCACCAAAGCUCAAUUUGAACUCUCUAGAAAUGGACAAUGAUUUAUGCAUUCUAUAUCUUCUUGAUUGAUUAGCCAUGACAAGGAAAUAAAAGGAUUGACUGAUAUAGCAUAACUUUGGAACGAUUAGAGGUUACUACAAAUAAGAGUAGUGUCUGUUGGAAUUUUGCUAGUAGGCCUUUGGCCCAAAGCCCAACUAAAAUUCUGAAAUUCUCUUGGCUCAUUUAUGCACACAUGUGAGUUGAGUGAGUGAGACUAAAGUUUAGUCCCACCCUGGAAGUUGAGAGAGAGUUGCACCUCUUUAUAAGGUGAGCUCUUCUACCACUUGUAUGAGCAUGAGAAGAGGAGACCUACACGCGCGCUCCUCCUCCACGCUCGCCACGCCUCGUCGCGCCGCGCCGUGCCGCGGGUUGCGGGAUUGAGCCGAGCCGAGGACGUUUUCUAUAUUUUUGCUGCUCGGGAAAAAUUAAUGAGUCAUUAAUUAAUAAUUAAUGGACACAUUAAUUACUGAACCGUUUCCGAUUUUUUUGGAUCGUGACGACUCGGACGUGGGGUUUACUCCCAGGACCUACCCGGCCCGCACUAUAUAGUCAGGAAGACGUCUACCCUAGCCGCCGCCGCUUCGUAUGGUUUCUCACCAUCGUUACAGAUCAUUGCGCCGCCAAGCAAGUUUUCUCCAUCCCUCCUUUCGGCGUGCACCGGGAGAAGGGACAGCAGACCUCCGGAACCCCGCCUCUCGUGAUCCUAUACGGGAGAGGGGCGAUCAGGUUUUUGGGGAGCGCACUCGCAUGACUGCUGGCAGCGACGACUUCGCAAACGACGACUUCUUCCCCGACCUCGGCAACCUCAUCCUCGACGACAUGGGCGACAACGUCAACGCCGGCGGUGCUACACCCACUGCACCGUAUGUUAUUCUCUCCUUCUUGUUCGAGAUCAUGGUAGAAUUCAUGUUUCUAGUAUAUGUGCCCUAGAUGUGAUCUGUUCAUCUACUAUGGUAGUUCGCAUGAUUAGUUUAAUCUCUGUUAUUGCUGUCAUGAUCUAUUUCCUAUUUAUUCGGAUUAAAUCUCGUAGUAAUUUUCUCAUUUUUCCAACAAUCCAAAAACCUGAUUAUAGGAAAUUUACUCCGAGUGGUUUUGCUGCGCAUCUGAAAGCCGCUUGCCUUUAAGGGGGCGCAAUAUAAGAGGUGGCGCACCAGAGCAGUCUACUGGUUUCAGAUCAUGGGCUGCUAUGACGCCACCAAGGGCAAGCCUGAGGGCGAUCUUAAUCCAGCACAGCUGGAAGCUUUCAAGAAGAUCAAUACCCUCUUUAAAGGCACGCUUCUGAGUGUUCUUGAUGACUCCAUUGUAGAUUCGUAUAUGUCGUUUGACAAUGGCAAGAACAUGUGGGCUACGCUCGAGGCCAAGUUUGGUGCCUCGGACGCCGGCAGCGAGUUGUACGUCAUGGAGCAAUUCUAUGACUCCAAGAUGACUGAUGGGCGCCCUGUUGUACAGCAGGCUCAUGAGAUACAGUUGCUCGCAAAAGAACUUGAGUACUUCAAGUGUGUGUUGGCGAACAAAUUUGUUGCCGGAGGCAUCAUUGCCAAGCUUCCACCUUCGUGGAACAAUUUUGCUACUUCCCUGAAACACAAGAGACAGGAGUUUUUCGUUGCGGAUCUCAUUGGUACUCUUGAUGUUGAAGAGAAGGCGAGAGCAAAGGAUACACGUGCUUGAGUUGCUAAGGGAGGUUCUAGUGCCCACAUGGUACAGAAGAAGAACUUCCAGCCCAACAAGUUCAAAAACAACAAGAACAAAACUUAGGGCAAAGGCAAGUUCGAUACAAAGAACAAGCCAUCACAUUCUACCAACUUCAAGAAGAACUCUCAUAAGAAGGGGAAGGGACUUUGCCAUGUCUAUGGUGAUCCUAAUCACUGGGCUCCGAAGUGUCCCAACCGCUUUGAGGAGCGCGAACAUGAGAAGAGCGGCAAGUCUGCUAAUGUUGUCAUCGGUGAUACUGAUAUGAAGGAAUCAGGGUACGGUAUUUUUCCUACCAUCCUUUCAGUAUUCCAAACCCCUGACUGGUUAAUUGACACCGGUGCCAAUGUACAUGUUUGUGCUGAUGCCUCCAUGUUUUCUUCUUACCAGGCCACUGGGACUUCUCCUAUGCUGAUGGGGAACGGGUCACAUGCCAUCGUUCGAGGUGUUGGUACGGUCGAUCUGAAGUUUACUUCGGGGAAGACCGUGCGUCUGAAGAACGUUCAUCAUGUGCCGUCCAUCAAUAAAAAUCUCGUUAGCGGUUCCCGUUUAUGUCGAGAUGGUUUUAAGUUGGUUUUCGAAUCCAAUAAAGUUAUAAUUUCUAAGUAUGGACAAUUUGUUGGAAAAGGCUAUGAGAGCGGAGGCUUGUUUCGCCUGUCUUUGUCAGAUAUUUGCACUAAAGUUAUUAAUAAUGUUUGCCACAACAAUGAGUCUGAUAUUUGGCAUUCACGACUUUGUCACAUUAACUUUGGUUGCAUGACGCGGCUAGCCAAUAUGAAUUUAAUUCCGAAAAUCUCUACUGUCAAAGGAUCUAAGUGCCAAGUAUGUGUGCAAGGUAAGCAACCUCGCAAGUCCCAUAAGACUGCAGAGGCAACAGACUUGGCGCCACUAGAGCUUAUACAUUCUGAUAUUUGUGAGAUGAAUGACGUGUUGACAAAAGGUGGAAAGAGAUACCUCAUGACGUUGAUUGAUGACUCCACUAGAUAUUGUUAUGUGUAUCUUAUGAAAUCAAAAGAUGAGGCUUUGGCUUUCUUCAAAAACUAUAGAGCUGAGGCAGAGAACCAACUUGAUCGAAAAAUUAAACGGCUUAGGUCCGAUCAUGGUGGAGAGUAUUUUUCCAAUGAAUUUGAUCUAUUUUGUGCGGAACAUGGUAUAAUCCAUGAGAGGAUGCCUCCCUACUCACCCCAGUCAGAUGGGGUAGCCGAAAGAAAGAACCAAACUCUAACUGAUAUGGUUAACACCAUGUUAGACACUUCGGGUCUAUCCAAGGAAUGGUGGGGGGAGGCGCUAAUGACUGCGUGUCAUGUCCUAAACCGAGUUCCCACAAAGCAUAAGACCAUGACUCCAUUUGAGGAAUGUUAAAGGAAAAGGUUGAAACUCUCUUACCUACGUACUUGGGGUUGUUUGGCGAAAGUCAAUAUACCAAUUCCCAAGAAGCGCAAGCUUGGACCAAAAAUCGUGGGUUGUGUUCUUCUUGGCUAUGCUUUUCAUAGCAUCGGCUAUAGAUUUUUGAUAAUAAAAUCUGAGGUAUCCGACAUGCAUGUUGGUACGAUUAUGGAGUCGAAUGAUGCAACUUUUUUUGAGGACAUAUUUCCUAUGAAGGAUAUGUCGAGUUCAUCAAAUCAGGAGACACCUACUCCAUCUAGUGAGGAAUUCAUUGUAAUUCCUGAACCCACCAUUGCGAUGGAACACAUUGAGAAUCCUGUUGAGGGUGACAAUGGAACUCUUGUGAGGAGUAAGAGACAUAGGACUACAAAGUCCUUUGGUGAUGAUUUCAUUGUGUACCUCGUGGAUGACACACCCAGGACUAUUUCAGAAGCCUGUGCAUCUCUUGAUGCUGACUACUGGAAGGAAGCUGUACGUAGCGAGAUGGAUUCCAUCUUAGGUAACGGAACCUGGGAGAUCACUGACCGUCCUUAUGGGUGAAAACCUGUAGGAUGUAAGUGGGUGUUCAAGAAGAAGCUUAGACCUGAUGGUACGAUUGAAAUGUACAAGGCACGGCUUGUGGCCAAGGGUUAUACCCUGAAAGAAGGUGUAGACUUCUUUGAUACUUACUCACCCGUGGCUAGACUGACCACAAUUGGGUGCUACUAUCACUUGUUGCCUCACAUGGUCUUCUCGUUCAUCAAAUGGACGUUAAGAACGCUUUCCUCAAUGGAGAGUUGAAGGAGGAAAUUUACAUGGAUCAGCCAGAUGGUUUUGUAGUACCUGGUUAGUAAGGAAAGGUGUGCAAGUUAUUAAAGUAUUUAUAUGGCCUUAAACAAGCUCCUAAAGAGUGGCAUGAGUAGUUUGAAAGAACAUUAACUGCUACCGGCUUUGUAGUAAACGAUGGUGACAAGUGCGUGUACUAUCGCUAUGGUGGGGGCGAAGGAGUUAUUCUUUGUUUGUAUGUCGACGACAUAUUGAUCUUUCGAACCAAACUUGAUUUAAUCAAGGAGGUUAAGGAUUUCUUAUCUCGCUGUUUUGAGAUGAAGGAUCUAGGAGUAGCUGAUGUUAUCUUAAACAUCAAGCUGUUGAGAGAUGAGAAUGGUGGGAUCACACUGCUUCAGUCACACUAUGUGGAAAAGGUCUUGAAUCGUUUUGGGUAUAGCGACUGCACACCUUCUCCAACCCCAUAUGAUGCUAGCAUGUUGCAUCGAAAGAAUCGACGGAUUGCUAGAGAUCAACUGAGGUAUUCUCAUAUUAUUGGCUCGCUUAUGUAUUUGGCGAGUGCCACGAGGCCAAACAUCUCGUUUGCUGUUAGCAAGCUGAGUCGGUUUGUGUCAAAACCAGGAGAUGAUCAUUGGCAUGCACUUGAGAGAGUUAUGUGCUAUUUGAAAGGCACCGCGAGCUAUGGGAUUCACUACACCGGGUAUCCAAGAGUACUGGAGGGUUAUAGUGACUCAAACUGGAUAUCUGAUGCUAAUGAGAUUAAGGCCACAAGUGGUUAUGUUUUUACACUUGGUGGUGGCGCUGUUUCUUGGAAGUCCUGCAAGCAGACCAUCUUAAUGAGGUCAACUAUGGAAGCAGAACUCACAACAUUAGAAACUGCCACUGUUCAAGCAGUGUGGCUUCAUGAGCUCUUGAUGGACUUUCCUAUGAUUGAAGAACCAAUACCCCCUAUCCCAAUGAACUGUGAUAAUCAAACUAUGAUCGUCAAGAUAAAUAGUUCUAAGGACAAUAUGAAGUCCUCAAGGCAUGUGAAGAGGAGACUGAAAUCUGUCAGAAAAUUGAGGAACUCCGGAGUUAUUACGUUGGAUUAUAUCCAAACGUCAAAAAAAUUGGCAGAUCCCUUCACAAAGGGUCUAUCACGUAAUGUGAUAGAUAAUGCAUCGAUGGAGAUGGGUCUGAGACCCACCGCAUGAGUUGUCCAUAGUGGUAACCCACUCUUUGUGAUCGGAUAUCCCGUGAAGUAUAAGUGGGAGACAAGCUGUUGGUCAGCUGGGAGGAGAGUAUCCCUAUAUUACCUGUCCCACUCCAUGAAGAUGCAAUACUCUCCUAAUCUGCAUGGCAGGUUGAUACUUAUCUUAAUGUGUUCCAAGUGGCUUAUUCGGGUAAGCAGAGAUGUUGUCCUGCAGAACAUCUUCUGAGGAACACACCUAUAUGAAUUUGACUGUUAACGUCGCAGUCUGUGAGAAUUGGGUGUUCUCUAAUAAAUUCAUGAAAAGGCCCUGGAGUAUGACGUAUACGCUCCACCCGCAGGGAAGCCUUGCGGCAGCCCAGUAUCGGUCAAGAAUUUGUGUGAAACUAGUUGCGCAGAAAAUUUGUAGUUCAAGGCAUAGUCCACUAUUCAAGUUGUGAUCUAGUGUAGCAUAAAUCUCUAAGUGGAAGUUCAACUUCACAGUCUCCACUAAGCCCCGGUAUAUAAACAAUGUUUUGGAACUAAAUGAUGAGAUGUGCCAAUGAGACUUUGUGGGGGAUUGUUGGAAUUUUGCUAGUAGGCCUUUGGCCCAAAGCCCAACUAAAAUUCUGAAAUUGUCUUGGCCCAUUCAUGCACACAUGUGAGUGGAGUGAGUGAGACUAAAGUUUAGUCCCACCCCGGAAGUUGAGAGAGAGCACCUCUUUAUAAGGUGAGCUCUUCUACCACUUGUAUGAGCAUGAGAAUAGGAGACCUACACACGCGCUCCUCCUCCUCGCUCGCCACGCCACCCCUCGUCACGACGCGCCGCGGGUUGCGGGAUUGAGCCGAGCCGAGGACAGAGCUAUGCACAUUGUCUAUUUUUUGCUACCCGAAAAAAUUAAUGAGUCAUUAAUUAAUAAUUAAUGGACACGUUAAUUACUAAACCGUUUUCGAUUCUUUUGGAUCAUGAAGACUCGGACAUGGGGUUUACUCCCACGACCUACCGGGCCCGCAUUAUAUAGUCCGGCAGACGUCUACCCUAGCUGCCGCCGCUUCAUAUGGUUUCUUACCACCGUUCCAGAUCAUUGCGCCGCCAAGCAAGUCUUCUCCAUCCGUCCCUUCGGCGUGCAUCGGGAGAAGGGACAACAGGCCUCCGGAACCCCGCCUCUCGUGAUCCUGUACGGGAGAGGGGCGAUCAGGUUUUUGGGGAGCGCACUCGCGCGACUGCUGGCAGCGACGACUUCGCGAAUGACGACUUUUUCCCUGACCUCGGCAACCUCAUCCUCGACGACAUGGGCGACAACGUCAACGCCGGCGGUGCUGCACCCGCUGCACCUUAUGUUAUUCUAUCCUUCUUGUUCGAGAUCAUGGUAGAAUUCACGUUUCUAGUAUAUGCCCUAGAUGUGAUCUGUUCAUCUACUAUGCUAGUUCGCAUGAUUAGUUUAAUAUCUGCUAUUGCUGUCAUGAUCUAUUUCCUAUUUAUUCGGAUUAAAUCUCGUAGUAAUUUGCUCAUUUUUCCAAUAGUACCAUCUAAUAGAUGAUGUAAAUCUCCUCUAGUUUGACGUUGUUGAGCUAAUUUACAAAAAAAACCUCAUCAUUAUUGGACGUCCUUAACAGCUCAAGAACAAGUUGGGGUCGAACUAAUGGAUUUUACACUUUUACAUUAAAGGUUUAGCUAAAGCUAGCAGGUGUUUUUAAACCUGAAUUUUUUUCCUCCUGAAUUUCUUUGUAUUUUCUUAUUGACACUAUUUAUACAAUCAUCUGACAAAGAUUAGCUAAAGCUGUUUGUAGAUACGUUGAAACCUGAAAAGCUUCUUUGGUUAUCCUUUUAAUAGUUCUACGUUUAUUUUCUCAUAGGUCAUAAUUCUUAUGUAAUACCAAGAUGCAUUGUGGUAGUGUACAUGUGUUAAAUUCAGGUUGUUAUUCACAAUUUGCGACAAAAUUUAGCUCACGCUACAUUCAAAUAUGUUGAAAUGUGAAAGCUUUUUUUUCUUCUCCUUUCUACACCUUGCAUCGGAUUGCAUCCCUUUAGUUAUCCAACAUUUUGUACAACAUGUAGAGAUUAGGAAGUUCAUCAUAGUUUGUUUAUUUCGGUGCUAAUAAAUGUAUGAAAUCUGCAUUUCCAAGCUACUAGGACAAGUAAAAAAUAAUAAUUUUACUAUAGGAUUCAAAAACAGCAGUUCUGAAGUGCACUUUAUUUAUUUUUGAAAGUGAUCACAUUUUGUUUCAUUUUUCUAUAGACAAAUCUACUAAUACAUACUCACGAUAAAACUAUAAAAGUUCUAGUCCGCACAUUGGGCGGGCCACCCGGCUAGUUAGUCUAAAGAUAACAAAAUGAGUCUGGAAUUUGAAUUAAAUUGAAGUAUUUUCUUGGACUUUCAAAUUGAGUUUUAUUAAAGUAGUAAGGACUAUCCACAUCCUUGGCUUGCCCCUGAUCAAUUAUUUCCAGAGAAGCAUUCAAUUCAUCAAUCAAUUACAUUGAUUUUAGUGGCUGGUACUUCUCCUCAACAUCAGUAUAUUCACCGUGGCCACUCCAAAUCGGCAAGAAUGAGGUACCAGUGCUCUGGAGCAGUGCAAGCUAAUUGCUUCUCAUCUGAAGGGGUGCGGCCGCAGGAGAGGUAUUUCUGGUGGGCCAAGGGACUAAGAAGCGACUGUGGCAGCGGUAUAGACGCCCGCAAAGCCCCAUAAUUUGUUUUUGGUUUACAGGAAAAAUGCACAUCCAUACCAGCCUGGGGAAUAUAGGACCGUAUUGGAUGGAAAACCAUGUCCGGAUGGUUGCGAGCGGUUUAAGGGUUAGCUUUUGUAACGCCCGGUUAGUUAUGCUAUAGCAAUUCCCUGCUAAUGAUGUCACGUUACCACGAUUACUGUUGUUAACCUCACAAUGAUUCAAUCCCCUUCAAAUUGAAAUUUAAAAUAAAGGCAAACAUCAAAAGUUUUCAAAUAUUAAAACUAAAAUCUUUGAGAGGUGACAAAUAAUGCAUAAGUAAUUAUGGUGGAGAAACCACACUUUAAUCAAAUGUUUAAAUACUCUAAAAUGAAAAAAAACAGUUGCUUAAACUAUUAUUUAAAUGCUUUUAAAAUAGUAAAAAUCUUCUAACUAAAUUAUUUGGGUACCAAACUUUUGGUGGCAGUGGUAUAUUUAGUACAACUAAUUUAGAUGCUAAUUAUAUAAAAAGGAAAAGCAAAAGGGGGCAACCCCUCGCUGGGCCUCGGCCUAGCUGCCACUAGGCUAGCUAGGCUGGCCCCGCCGCCUCCCUUAACCCCCCCCCCCCACUCCCCAUCGAACCCAAGCCCGAUCGCCCCACUUCCCCCANNNNNNNNNNNNNNNNNNNNNNNNNNNNNNNNNNNNNNNNNNNNNNNNNNNNNNNNNNNNNNNNNNNNNNNNNNNNNNNNNNNNNNNNNNNNNNNNNNNNNNNNNNNNNNNNNNNNNNNNNNNNNNNNNNNNNNNNNNNNNNNNNNNNNNNNNNNNNNNNNNNNNNNNNNNNNNNNNNNNNNNNNNNNNNNNNNNNNNNNNNNNNNNNNNNNNNNNNNNNNNNNNNNNNNNNNNNNNNNNNNNNNNNNNNNNNNNNNNNNNNNNNNNNNNNNUUGAUCCCAUCUGGAUCGGGGAGGGUAAUGCCCCAAUCGACCCCGUUGCCGUCGCGGGAUUGCCCGCCGACGUCGCCAGGCCUCCUCCCCGCCACCCGUCUCCGGCUCGCCUCCCCUCUCGCUCCUCUUCCCCGACCCGAUCUGGAUCGUGAACGAGCAAUGAGCUCGAAGCCCCCUUCACCGGCGCCAUCACCGUGCGCCACCACCACCGCCUGAAGACCUCACCGUCGCCGAACCUUGCGUCGCCUCCUCGUAUCCCUCCCCUACUCGCGUCCUCAAGCCAGGCCGAGCCCCUUCUCGGCAACGCCGUGAGACGCCCCCGUCUCCCUCCUCUUUCCACUGCGUUCACCGCGCCGCCCGCCGUGCCCCUCGCCGUGCGCACGCCCACCACCGCACCAGCCCCCGCUCCGCGCACGACCCUACCCGCGUCCGCGCCAUGAUCCCCUUUUCCACCCUACCUUCCUGCGCUCGCCGCGGUCCUGAUGCUCCCCCGCGCCCUCUUUUGGGGGCGCCGACUGCCCCUGUCCCACUGCUCGCCGCCGUGCCUCGCCAUCGCUCUACUGCUAAGUUAUUGCUGCGCUGCGGCCGUCGCCUCUUCCCGCUGCUCCGCCAGCGCCGAAGCUCCCGAUUGGCUCCACCACUUCUCACGUUAAACCGCCGGCCUAAAUGGCCUAACCCCCGGCUAAUGAACCCCCACUAUCCCACUGACACCGGGACCCACAUUCCCUAAUUAACCAUUUAAUAAAUUAAAACUCUUAAAUUAACAUUAGUGUAUGACAUGUGCGUCCCCUAUUAAUUUAUAAUUUUACUGCUAGUUUUAUUAGUUUCUGUUUUUUCUGCAUAUUUCUUUUGUAUUUGAACAGGCUUUAUAUAAUAAUAUUUAGCGUCUCAUACACAUAUAAAUGUAAUUAUAGCAUAUACAUACAAAUAGUCUCAUCAAAUCAUGUCAUCACCAUAAUCAUCAUCCAUCACAAAGUGAUCUCUCGUCAUCAUCUCGAAAAUAGCAAUACAAGUCUCGAUUACUUGCAACUACAUCGUCAUCCAUCUAAACAAUGAUAUACGCGAGAAGCGCUAUCACUAUGAGUGAGAGCGGAACUAUGCAGUACAUGAGUUUGUAUCCCUCUCUCACAUUAGCGUGAACCUAAACUAACUACUGGCUGUUGCUCGGAAACCGGAAACCGGUACACCUGGGCCUGACACUCCGGCCACUCGUCGUAUACUCCUGGCGUAGCACUUCUUCGCCAUCGAUGAUCUAUAAACCUACAUCGUCAGAUGAGUCGAUGAUAUGCAACAUAUAUAGUUGAGCAACAGAAAGAGACAGACUUGGCAAAAAUAGAAGCAACAUAUCAUAAGCAUAAAUAACAAAGUUCAUCGUACGCAAAAUGCCCUAACUAGAGUGAUCUUCGCUAGUCGAGGAGGACGGUUUAAUUACAUCACAAAUAAUUUUUCGUCGUGCAUAACUCAAAGUUCCGUCAUACAGAAAGUAUGAACUAAAUGGACACAUUGUCAUAUUUCAAAAAUCACUCCCACAUGUCGUGCCAUCCAUCCAAGUCAAGGAGAUAGUGCCCGAGCUUAGUGAAAGGCUUUAGGUCGAGACGCUGAGCGGCUAUGCGUGUUCGGACGUCUUCCCACGACAUUUGUCCUUCUUCAUAGAACAUCCCUGUUUUUUCGACGACCUCCUUCAUCACUGGAAGAAAAAGGGCCUGUUGUCCCGGUUCUGGAACCGGGACUAAAGGGUCGGUACUAAUGCCCUGUCCCUUUAGUCCCGGUUCAAUCCAGAACCAGGACAGUUGGGCCUCCACGUGGCCUGUGCGCGGAGCCUAGGCGGGAGACCCUUUGGUCCAAUAAGCAUCCACGCAUCAGCAUUUAUGUGGUUGGGGUUUUUGUUUUUUUUGAAGGGGGGGGCAUUGGGGGUUUUGGGGGGUUAAUUUUGGUGUUUCAUAUAUUGUGUUAGCUAGCUAUAAUUAAUAGAGAGAAUUGUCCUCUCUUAUGUCCGUGCUUGCUCGACGCUACGUACUAUACAUACGUAUAGAGAGGACUAGACACGGUAGCUAGCUAGUAAGCAAACGAAGGAAAUAGAAGAUCGUCAUGAACAUAUAUGCAUACAGAGAGAAGUAAUAUCGACCACCUCUCCUUCUCCGAGAGAUUGGUCGAACAACAAGUUCUCAUAUAUCUAUCCGACACUACCGGCUACAUAUAUACAAUAAUUAUCUCUUACAAAUAUAAUCAUACGGAUUCAGGGUCCACAUAGUAUUCUCUGUCUUCAAGGAUCACGUGGUCAAGAAAGAAUGCCGCCAAUUCCUCUUGAAUUGCUCGCAUGCGAGCUGGUGCUAGGAGUUCAUCCCGCUUCCGAAACAUCUAAUUUAAAGAAGGGGGUUAAUACAUAUAUACAUAUAUAUAUAUAUAUAUAUAUAUAUAUAUAUAUAUAUAUAUAUAUAUGAAUGAAUGAAACUCAACACGAAUGAUGGUAAUAAAAUAAAAUUGUGAAUGUUGUUAUUUACGUACUUCAUAUUGUUCGUCAGUGUAGCCCCGCUCAUAGGUCGUGUGGCGGAUGGACUCGCAAACGUAGUAUCCACAGAAAUCAUUCCUUUGUUCCUGCCACAACCACUUUAUAAGAAAUAGAGGUCAAUCAAACUGAUAAGCAAGAAUGCCAAAUGGUAUUGAUGAAACUUGUCAGGACCCCGAUUCCAAGCCACAUCGAUCUAGCCGGUAACACCUCAUAUCACUUUGCGGCCUCACGCACGAUAUUCCACGGGUGUCGCCUUACCAUGGCCCGGGACCGUUUGCGCCUUUUGGCUCACGUAUAUGAUAGUGUUGCUAGCAUCCAUAUGACAGAGAACCCGGGCCGACAUGGCUAGUCGUGAACCCAAAGUGGCACAGACCUAUGGAGACAGGCAUACAUGAAUCACAUCGAGCAUGUCGGUCAUCAGUGUGUGAUUCCGGGCUGUAGCACUGGGCUAACAGGACUCCGGGGAACCCGGGCUGUAGCAGGCUAGGCAGGACUCCGGAAGUCACCGCGUGACAUUUACCCGAAGGGACAGACAUAGGAACGAAGUGAAUCACAUGCCGGCAAGUCAAGUGUCCUGAGCAGUAGUACUGGGCUAGCAGGACUCCGGUGAACCGGGCUGUAGCGGACUACUAUGGCUCGAGGAACACUAGACUACAUUUCCCCAUAAGAAAGGCUGCCAAGGAUAAACAACUAGAUUGUCGGAUCCCACUCAUACCAAGCAUUUCAAUCAUACACACAAUAUGCCCGAUAUGAGUACAUACAACAUGGCAUCACAACAAAACUCUACAACUCAAGUACUUUAUUUAAAGGCUCUAGAGAGCCAUACAUAACAUGUUCAUACAGAUAGGGGUCACAUGACCCGACACUCAAGUCAUACAAUCAUACAAGCACAUGCGGAAGCAACCGGUCUGAGUACAGACACUAGAAAGAAAGAAGGCUCCUCGAGGCCUGUCUAUCUACAUAGGGCCCUCCAUGGCCAGGAUCACCACCUGGGUGGCUAGUCACUCGUCGAUGUCAAGGUCUACAUAGAACCCAUCGAAGGGGGCUGUGUUGUCGUCUGAAAACAGUAAUUAAGCAAACAUGAGUACAAAGGUACUCAGCAAGUCUUACAAAAGAACCUACUAUACAUGCUUAUUCUCAAGAAGGUGGUGGGGAUAUUGCAGCAAGCCAGUUUUCACUCUUGGCUAAACUAUCCUACAGAACUUCUCUAGUAAAAUAGUUUUCGCACACGAGUCCACUACUCACCAACACAAUACUCCACCGGGGAUCCUCCCUCGUCAUCCUAUGAGAGGGCCAUCCUCGGUACUCACACUUAUCUUGACUAUUUUAGUAGUAUCCAUUUAAUUGUCUAUGAACUGUAUAGGCAACCAAGUAGUCCUUUACCGCGGACGCGGCUAUUCGAAUAGUUUUAUACCCUGCAGGGGUGUACUUCGUCAUACAUGCUUUCACCACUUAUCGUCGUUUACACGACAUGUACUCGGCAACCUUCAAGCGAAAGCCCAGCGAGGGUGUCGGCCACGGCCUACCUAAACACUUAAGUCUCUAGUCCAGGUUUAUCGCCUAUCUAGGUUCCAUCCGCAGGGAGUCCGGGCGAGGUUUCCACAUACGGCCCCGAACGAUGUGAACAGGGUCCCGAGACGCCAAACGGGCGCCCGGCAUACCCGGCCAUGGUGUAUCUACCGCAACAUAGCCCACCCUUAGGGUCAGCGCUACGCACGGCCGCCAACACAUAACCUACAAACACCAGAAACUAUUUGCAACUCCUAGACAGAGUACAAGGGUGAUUAAGAAGCCGAGAGGGUCAAUUAAGGAUCCCAAUGCAUGGUAGUAGCUGAAUCUUAAAUCACACAUACCGAUCUCAGUUCUUAGGGACGGUCUCAAUGAAACAACCCACCAUGUACUCCUACAUGGCCUCUCAUCGAUACCUUUACCAAAACAUGUUCAACACAUUCCUCAUAUUACCGACAUAAUCAUAUCACCCUAGCCCAUCACCCAGAUGAACCAGACCUGACACAACUAUAAGCAUAGCAGGCAUAGCAAGGUAGGAAUCACAUACAUGGCUCAAUCAACUCCUACACAUGCUAGUGGGUUUCAUCUAGUUACUGUGGCAAUGACAGGUCAUGCAGAGGAUAAGGGUUCAACUAUCGUAGCACACAGCAGUUUGAAUCACAUUGUCUUAAUGCAGUAAACAAGAGCAGAGGCAAGAACAUGGGUUGUAUCGGAAUGAUCAAUGGGUUGCUUGACUGAUGGAGUGGUAGUGGGAUACUGCCCUUCAGUUGGAUACUCAUGAAUAUCCUCGGAGGCAGAACCUACCACGAAGAACACAUCGGAACACAAUCAACACAUGAUGAUAUGCAACAAUAUGAUGCAUGCUAUGACAUGGCAAUAUGAAUGUGUCUUGGCCUAAUGCAAGCUAAAAUAGAAAGGGAUGAACUCAUUUGAAUCAAAGAUUCAAAUAUUAGCUCAUUAAACAUGGCCUUAGUAGUGCAUUUCCUUAUUCUGCUUAAACAGCAAGGUAAACUUGUUUUUUCAUGCUUGAAACCAUUACAGAUGGAUAUAUUGAAUUUUUCUGAUAAUUUUUCAUAUAUAAAUUAUUUCAUUUGGAGUUACGGUUGAAUUUCUAUGAUUUUUAGAAGUUUCAAACAUUUUCUGGAAUUUCUUGAAUAAAAAUAAAUCCAGAAAAUGCAUUACUGCGUCAGCAUUGCAUCAUGCUGACCUCCGCAGGUCAAAGGCACCAGCCUAGGUCAAACCUGACUGGUGGGCCCCUUCUGUCAGUCUCUCAGUUAAAUAACAGGAUUAGAUUAACACUAAUUAGCUGUCAGUGGGGCCUGGGCCCACAUGUCACUGACUGAUUAAAAUAAAAUUAGUUAAAACUAAUCCUAGAUUAGUUAGCAAACCGGCCCCACCUGUCAUAGACUUAGGGGGGGUCUACCUGGGCCCACCCAGGGUCAAACUGGGUCAAACUCGCCGGCGCAGCUCGGAAAACGCCUACAGGGCACGAGCGAGGCCGUUCUUGGGCUCAUUGGAGAGCUCUUGCAGUCGCGCAUCUAGUGGCGGUGGUGGCCGGAGACGACGACGGCGAGCUCCAAGGCGGCGGCCGGAGUUCGGCCAUGUGCGGGGUGUCGGCUGUGGCGUGCAAACGUGGAAACUGAGGCACUAGCGAGGCACUACGCGAUGCGGCAAGCACGUUGCAUAGCACGGGAUAAUCAAAUGGUUGCCGGAGCGGCACCGGUGACAAGCUCGAGCGGAGACGAGCUUCGGCCAUGGUGGAACUAUGGCCUAGAGGGUGCAAACGCGUGGAAAAGAAGAGGGGAAAGGUGGCGGAGCUCACAGGGAGGUCGAUGAGCAGCUCAGUGGGCUCGGGGGCGACAGAAGUGAGGCGAAUCGAUGAGCAGCGUCCGGCGGGUACCGAGGUUGAAGACGAUCCGAUGGCGGCGAUGCAGGGCCUCCGGCGAUGCGUGGCUCGGUGGGAAGGGCGAGGGGGUGACGGAGGGCGCGACUACGGCGGUGAGACGGCGACGGGUGCGUCGGCCAUCGCGGGAGAGGGAGAGGGAGAUGAGUGGGAGAGUGAGAGAGGAUGAGAGGGGGACGUGGGGGUCGCGUGGCAUUCCCUGGACGUCUCCCGGCAUCGGCGGAAGCAGGAGGUGGCCGGCGUGUGGCCGCGGGCGCCGGCCACGCGCUCUGCGUCCUUCUGGCGCGAGGAGGACGACGACUGGCAGCGCCAGUAGGCUGGGCCGAGCCAGGUGGGCUGGCCAGCACAGGUAAGGCUCAGGUGGGCUUCUCCCUCUUUUUUUUAAUUUGUUUCUGUUUUCUAUUUAACUGUAAAUGUUGGGCUUUAUUUAAAAUACUAAAACAUUUCCAAAAAUCCUGAAAAUAAUUGUGGGCUCUGUUUGGAUUAUUUCCAAUAGCAAACAUUUAUUUGCAGAAUUAUUUGAGCAUUUAAAUGCCCAAAUUCAAAUACUUAUGAUUUAAAUCAAUGACCUUCUGUUGACCUAGAAAAGUUGUGCACCAAUUUUGCCAGAGGUUCUAACCCAAGACAAAGAGGGUGAACUUUUUAGAAGGGCAUUUCAGGUUCAUUGAAAAUAAUUUUAGUAAUCCCUAGUUGUUUCCAGGGGGGUGUUGGGGGUUUCUGCCUUCCCCAAUUCAAAUUUAAGAGGAAUUUAAACAUGAUGCACAUUCUAAUGCUUGAACUAGCUAGGGUGUGACAACUCACCCCCACUCAAAAGAAUCUCGUCCCGAGAUUUAGGAUCCUCUGGAAAGAAGGUGGGGUACUCGAGUCGAAGACGAUCCUCCCUUUCCCAAGUGGCUUCUUUCUCGGAAUGGUGUGUCCAUUGAACCUUGAGAAACUUGAUAUUAUGACGUCGAGUGGUACACUCGGCUUGAUCAAGGAUACGAACGGGAUAUUCCCGAUAAGAGAGGUUAUCUUGUAGAUCAAGCAUUUCGUGGUCCACUCCACGGAUAGGAUCCGCGAAGCAACGCCUGAGUUGUGAAACGUGGAAGACAUCAUGAACUCUGGAAAGAUGCGGAGGUAGUUCCAAUUGGUAGGCAACUUCUCCUCGUUUGGCAAGAAUGCGAAAGGGUCCAAUGUAACGAGGAGCCAAUUUGCCUUUGAUACCGAAAUGAUGGGUUCCUUUUAAUGGGGUAACCCGAAGGUAAGCCUUCUCGUCGAUUCAUAAGUCAUAGGCUUAUGUUUACGAUCAUAUUGACUCUUUUGACGAGAUUGGGCUGUUUUCAAUUUCUCACGAAUAACGCGAACCUGCUCUUCCGCUUCCUGAAUCAUAUCCGGGCCAAAGAGUUGUCUUUCCCCGGUUUCUGACCAGUUAAGAGGCGUUCGACAUUUUCGUCCAUAGAGAACUUCGAAAGGAGCUUUGCCCAAGCUAGCUUGAUAACUAUUGUUAUAAGCAAACUAUGCGAAUGGGAAGCAUUUCUCCCAACUCAUUCCGAAUGAGAUAACAGAAGCUCGGAGCAUAUCUUCUAGAAUUUGAUUGACUCGCUCUACUUGACCACUUGAUUGAGGAUGGAAGGCGGUACUAAAAGAGAGACGAGUUCCCAUAGCAUUUUGGAAACUUUCCCAAAAUCGAGAGGUGAAGAGACUCCCACGGUCUGAGUUAAUUUCCAAUGGGACACCAUGGAGAGACACUAUUCGGGAGAUGUAUAAAUCGGCUAGCUGGCUAGCAGUGAUACUCGCACGAACAGGUAGGAAAUGGGCUACUUUGGAAAGACGGUCGAUCACGACGAAGAUGGCAUUAUUCCCUCUCUUGUUCCUGGGAAACCCAGUAAUGAAAUCCAUACUGAUUUUAUCCCAUUUCCAUUCAGGAAUAGCCAAAGGUUGAAGGGUGCCAGCAGGCCGUUGAUGCCCUGCUUUAACACGAUGACAGACGUCGCAGCUAGCAAUGUAUCGAGCGAUUUCUCUCUUCAUCCUAGUACAUCAAAACCUCUGGCGUAGGUCUUGAUACAUUUUAUUGCUACCGGGAUGAAUGGUGAGAGGGGAUUCAUGAGCUUCCUUAAGGAUCAAUUGGCGUAGAUGUUGUUUCUUGGGAACCACCAAACGGUUCUCAAAGAAGACAGCACCCCGCUUAUCCAUGGAAAAACAUUUAGCAACUCCGCUAGCAAUGUUUUCCUUAAUCCGGGAUAUGCCCUUAUCAUACCGCUGGGCAGUUAUGAUCUGAUCCAUAAGGUUAGGUUUCGCCACCAGGGUGGAUAGGAAUCCUCGAGGAACAAUGUGAAGAUUAAGCUUACGGAAUUCCUCAUGGAGAAGUGGUUGACUUUGUUGUAACAUCAGGUUGUUACAAUAGGAUUUACGGCGUAGUGCAGCAGCCAUGACAUUGGCUUUGCCCGGUGUGUAGGUUAUUCCUAAGUCGUAAUCCGAGAUCAACUCAACCCAACGUCUUUGCCUGAGAUUCAAAUCUGGUUGGGUGAAGAUAUAUUUCAAGCUUUGGUGAUCGGUGAAGAUCUCGCAACGAUUAAGUGCAUGGACUACAGCUGCCAGCUCUAGAUCAUGUGUGGGAUAAUUUUCCUCAUGUGGGUGUAAUUGCCGUGAAGCGUAGGCAAUUACCUGACGAUCUUGCAUGAGUAUGCAACCUAGUCCUUGUCGCGAGGCGUCACAAUAGAUAAUAAAGUCCUUGGAUAAAUCAGGUGGUACCAGUACGGGAGCAGAUGUCAGGCGUCUUUUCAGUUCCUAAAAGCUGAACUCGCACUGUGGAGUCUACUCGAACUUUUUAUCUUUCUUGAGGAGUUUAGUUAGAGGUUUAGCAACCUUGGAGAAAUUCUCGACGAAGCGGCGGCAAUAGCUCGCUAAGCCAAGGAAGCUCCAAACUUGCUUGACCGUCUCAGGUGGAGUCUAAUCAAGGACGGCUUGAACUCGCUCGGGAUUGACGGCAAUACCCUUACCAGAGAUUACAUGGCCUAGAUAGGUUACUUCUGGCAACCAAAAUUCACACUUGGAGAAUUUGGCAUAAAGGCGAUGCUCUCGAAGUUUCAUCAAUACCAGCCUUAGAUGUUCGGCAUGUUCCUCUUCAUUCUUGGAGUAGAUUAGUAUGUCAUUGAGGUAUACUACGAUGAAUUUAUCCAAGUACUCCAUGAAAACCGAGUUCAUUAGCCGGGAGAAGGUAGCCGGGGCAUUGGUUAAACCGAAGGACAUAACGGUGUACUCGUAUUGGCCAUAACGAGUAACAAAGGCCGUUUUGGGAAUGUCCCCGUUUCUGAUUUAGAUUUGAUGGUAGCCCAACCUCAAAUCCAUCUUGGAAAAGACUGAGGAUCCAGCAAACUAAUCAUACAGAUCAUUGAUCCUGGGAAGUGGGUAUUUGUUCUUGAUGGUGACCAAGUUGAUAGGUCGGUAAUCCACAACCAUUCGAUCUGUUCCAUCCUUCUUGACGAAGAGGACGGGGCAAGCCCAAGGAGAGGAACUAGGACGGAUGAAACCCUUUUUCAAGGACUCAUCGAGUUGGUUCUCAAGCUCGGCUAGUUCUAAGGGUGCCAUCUUGUAGGGUCUUCUAGAAAUUAGAAUGGUUCCUGGAACAAGGUCUAUCACAAACUCGACAUCCCUGUCAGGUGGAACACCUGGCAGUUCUUCUGGAAAGGCAUCCGGAAAGUCUCGGACUACCGGAACAUCCUCAAGGUCUGGAAGGGGGUUGGCAUUUAGGGAGUAAAGUUGGCACUUGGCCACUCGAGUUAAGACAUUAACUGUCUUGCCCGAUGGGUGAGUAAGUUGAACGGUUCUAGUGGCACAGUCAAUCUUAGCAUAAUGAGCUGACAUCCAGUCCAUACCUAAGAUGAUGUUUAUGUCCGAGGACUUGAGAGCUAUUAAGGAUGCAAGGAAGACAAGUCUAUCGACAAGAAUUUCGUUCCCAUGGCUUACUCUAGAAGUUUGCCAUCUAGAGCCAGGGGUUUGAAUUUCCAUGGUAGAGGGCAUGUCACAGAAUGUCGUGUUGUGCAAUCGAGCAUAGUUCUCGGAUAUGAAUGAAUGAUAUGCUCCAGUAUCGAAAAGAACAGAUGCCGGAUGGCAGUUAACAAGGAGCGUACCAAGGACGACGUUGGGAUCCUCAUGAGCCUCCUCGGCUGAAACAUAGUUGACAUGGCCACGUGCAGUGGUGGCUGGCUUAGCGUAGAAUGUUUUUCCCGCGGGCUUACCACGGCCAACGGACUUUCCAGUUUGAUUGGGGUUGUUGUUCUGGGGACACUCUCGGCUAUAGUGACCCGGCUCUCCACACUUAAAGCAUGUCACCACAUUGGGGCGUGGAGCAGCAUUAGCAGCGGGGCCACCAUAGGGCUUGGGCGGUGCAAAUUGCUGGUUGGGACGUGGUGCCUCAAAGGAUGGCCUCGGGAUGAACCUGGGUGGCAGUGCCGUGCUUGGAAUCCACACCCGGCGCUUCUGAGCUCCAGAGCCGAUGAAGAGCCAAAAUCACGGGAGUGCUUGCGUGAAGUGUCAUAAUCAGUCUGGCCUUUCUCAGCACUGAUGGCUUUAUGGACCAACUUCUAAAAGGAGGUGCACUUGUGCAGACGAAGACCACGGUGAAGCUCAGGGCUAAGUCCCUUGCGGAACCUUGCCUGCUUCUUAGCAUCAGUAGAUACCUCUUCAGGGGCAUAACGUGCCAGAUUCCCAAAUUCACGACUGUAAGCAUCCACAGUCAGUCUUCCUUGGGUGAAGUUGCAGAACUCCUCCCUCUUGCGAUCCAUGAGACCUUCCGGAAUGUGAUGCUCACGGAAAGCCUCACUGAAUUCAGCCCAAGUAGUGAUUUGGCCGACCGGGCGCAUAGCUUCGAAGUUUUCCCACCAAAGGCUAGCAGGGCCUUUGAGGUGAUAGGCAGCAUAAGUAACCUUGUCGGCUUUGGCUACGUUGGCAGAACGUAGCUUGUGGGUGAUGCUGUGAAGCCAGUCAUCCACGUCGAGGGGCUCGACGGAAUGGUUAAACUUUGGUGGGUACAUCUUGAUAAAGUCAUUGAUUGACACCAACUCAUUUCGCGGGUGGCGUGCAGUGUUCUGCUCAAUCCGCUCCAGCAGGCGGUUGGUCUCACGCUUCUUUCUUUCUGCCUCCAGCAUUACUUCGGCCAGAGAAGGCGGGUGAGGCAGAUUUUCACCUCUAGCAGCACUGGCUUCCCCCUGCUCCGGGGCAACAGGGUUGCUGCGAGUAUUGACCAUCCUAGGAGAAAACAAGACAACGGUUUAGACAAGGAUGGCUCAAACUGAGCAAGGAUGUGCAGAAUGUAAUGGAUAACACGGAACACAGAGAUGUUCAUCCGUAUGUCAUGGUAAUAUAAAACUGCCAUAUAUAUACCAACGGUCAUACACAUCACACAUAGUUUAGUACAAGCCCAGGCUACAGUACAACUAUGAUGAAAGACGUUACAUCUCAUCGGAGGCAUUCCAAGCUCCUAUACAUUAUUGUCUACACCUUCGGAAUUGAUUACACGCAAAGUCAUAUUCCAAAAGUCACGCAGGACAGUGGAGAUACAACUACUACAAUACUAGUGGUACUACUACUAACUCAGACAGCUCCGUACUAGUCCUCAUAGAAGUCACCUCCAUAGCCUGGAAGUUCAACGUGACCAUCCGGGAACAGACGGUCCUGAGGAGCCUGUGGACCAUAGGGGCUUGGAUGGGGUCUUGGACCAACAAACGGUGGCCUGCGGGGACCACAGGGUGGGGUGAUGCCUCCCACAUCACGCCAAUCCACCACGUCUGGCAAAGCAGACCUCACAGGAUACAAAUCCCUUGUAUCCAUACAUCCAGCUUGCACCACAGGUGCAAACCGAGUCAAUGUGGCCCAAUGAUCAGCACGGGUAUUAAAAAGCUCCAGCCUCAAGGCCUGAUUCUCUCGGUCCUUAUAUUCGAGCAUCUCGGCAGUGGUACGAGUUAAUGAAUCCUCCUGAGUGGAGUCAGCAUAGAUAGCCUGAAGAUACCCUUGCGCUCCCGGAAGUGAAGCUAGCAUGUAUCGGAAGUCGGUGUUCCGAAGCAGGCCAGUCCGGACUCGCAUGAUUGUCAUCAUGGAAUAGGCAGCAUCCUGCACAGCCAUCUCAACAGUAACCCCGAGUCCAUAGGAACAGUGAAGGGGCUCGGUAGAUCCAGGAUAAGAAGGAAAUAUCUUGACGGUGCAGAAAUACUGGCUUUGAUUAAAGUCUCAGAAUUGCUCUUCGACGGUGUAUUCGGGAUACCAACGGUAACCCGUCUCGAUCAUGACCCGGACUAACAUAGCAGUAUGACCGGGCACGUCGAGCCACCGGGUCAGGCGAACCACUUUGUUUUGAGCACGGUUGGGCAUCUGAAAGCACAACCACAAUGCAAAGACAUCAGAAUUUCUAGGGAAAAUUGGACAGCAUAACAGCUGUAAAUGCUCAGAAAAAGAUUUGAGACAUCCACAACAGUUCGCAAUACCACUCAACAACAUCAUAUCAAGGUUCUGAUCCAAAUAGCAGCAUACUAAAAAUAGUAGAAACUGAACUGGGGCUUGUAACAACAAUCCUAUAAGCUACUACGGAUUAGUAACACGUGAACCUGAUAGAAGAAGAGAGACUAGUCCUUAACCCACAUUGAAUGAAAAGGGAAUGACUCAGAUAAGAGGCAUAGGGUAAAGGAGUAAAAGAGCCUUACGUUCCCUCCCACAAUCAAUUCCCCUACAUAUAACUAAAGCAUUUCCAGACUCGACAUCGACCAGUUUGGCUCAACGAACCUACAGGCAGUCCGGCACUGAUGCCAACGCUGUCAGGACCCCGAUUCCAAGACACAUCGAUCUAGCUGGUAACACCUCAUAUCACUUUGCGGCCUCACGCACGAUAUUCCACGGGUGUCGCCUUACCAUGGCCCGGGACCGUUUGCGCCUUUUGGCUCACGUAUAUGAUAGUGUCGCUAGCAUCCAUAUGAUAGAGAACCCGGGCCGACAUGGCUAGUCGUGAACCCAAAGAGGCACAGACCUAUGGAGACAGGCAUACAUGAAUCACAUCGAGCAUGUCGGUCAUCAGCGAGUGAUUCCGGGCUGUAGCACUGGGCUAACAGGACUCCGGGGAACCCGGGCUGUAGCAGGCUAGGCAGGACUCCGGAAGUCACCGCGUAACAUUUCCCCGAAGGGACAGACAUAGGAAUGAAGUGAAUCACAUGCCGGCAAGUCAAGUGUCCUGAGCUGUAGUGCUGGGCUAGCAGGACUCUGGUGAACCGGGCUGUAGCGGACUACUAUGGCUCAAGGAACACUAGACUACAUUUCCCCAUAAGAAAGGCUGCCAAGGAUAAACAACUAGAUUGCCGGAUCCCACUCAUACCAAGCAUUUCAAUCAUACACGCAAUAUGUCCGAUAUGAGUACAUACAACAUGGCAUCACAACAAAACUCUACAACUCAAGUACUUUAUUUAAAGGCUCUAGAGAGCCAUACAUAACAGGUUCAUACAGAUAGGGGUCACAUGACCCGACACUCAAGUCAUACAAUCAUACAAGCACAUGCGGAAGCAACCGGUCUGAGUACAGACACUAGAAAGAAAGAAGGCUCCUCGAGGCCUGUCUAUCUACAUAGGGCCCUCCAUGGCCAGGAUCACCACCUGGGUGGCUACUUACUCGUCGACGUCAAGGUCUACAUAGAACCCAUCGGAGGGGGCGGUGUUGUCGUCUGAAAACAGUAAUUAAGCAAACAUGAGUACAAAGGUACUCAGCAAGUCUUACAACAGAACCUAGUAUACAUGCUUAUACUCAAGAAGGUGGUGGGGAUAUUGCAGCAAGCCAGCUUUGACUCUUGGCUAAACUAUCCUACGGAACUUCUCUAGUAAAAUAGUUUUCGCACACGAGUCCACUACUCGCCAACACAAUACUCCACAGGGGAUCCUCCCUCGUCAUCCUAUGAGAGGGCCAUCCUCGGUACUCACACUUAUCUUGAGUAUUUUAGUAGUAUCCAUUUACUUGUCUAUGAACUGUAUAGGAAACCAAGUAGUCAUACACGCUAUUCGGAUAGUUUUAUACCCUGCAGGGGUGUACUUCGUCAUACACGCUUUCACCACUUAUCGCCGUUUACAUGACAUGUACUCGGCAACCUUCAAGCGGAAGCCCAGCGAGGGUGUCGGCCACGGCCUACCUAAACACUUAAGUCUCUAGUCCAGGUUUAUCGCCUAUCCAGGUUCCAUCCACAGGGAGUCCGGCCGAGGUUUCCACAUACGGCCCCGAACGAAGUGAACAUGGUUUCGAGACGCCAAACGGGCGCCCGGCAUACCCGGCCACGGUGUAUCUACCGCAACAUAGCCCACCCCUAGGGUCAGCGCUAUGCACGGCCGCCAACACAUAACCUACAAACACCAGAAACUAUUUGCAACUCCUGGACAGAGUACAAGGGUGAUUAAGAAGUCGAGAUGGUCAAUUAAGGAUCCCAAUGCAUGGUAGUAGUGAAUCUUAAAUCGCACAUACAGAUCUCAGUUCUUAGGGACGGUCUCAAUGAAACAACCCACCAUGUACUCCUACAUGGCCUCUCAUCGAUAUCUUUACCAAAACAUGUUCAACACAUUCCUCAUAUUACCGACAUAAUCAUAUCACCCUAGCCCAUCACCCAGAUGAACCAGACCUGACACAACUCUAAGCAUAGCAGGCAUAGCAAGGUAGGAAUUAUAUACAUGGCUCAAUCAACUCCUACACAUGCUAGUGGGUUUCAUCUAGUUACUGUGGCAAUGACAGGUCAUGCAGAGGAUAAGGGUUCAACUACUGUAGCACACAGCAGUUUGAAUCACGUUGUCUUAAUGCAGUAAACAAGAGCACAGGCGAGAACAUGGGUUGUAUCGGAAUGAUCAAUGGGUUGCUUGCUUGAUGGAGUGGUAGUGGAAUACUGCCCUUCAGUGGGAUACUCGUGAAUAUCCUCGGAGCCAGAACCUACCACGAAGAACACAUCGGAACACAAUCAACACAUGACGAUAUGCAACAAUAUGAUGCAUGCUAUGACGUAUCUUGGCCUAAUGCAAGCUAAAAUAGAAAGGGAUGAACUCAUUUGAAUCAAAAAUUCAAAUAUUAGCUCAUUAAACAUGACCUUAGUAGUGCAUUUCCUUAUUCUGCUUAAACAGCAAGGUAAACUUGUUUUGUCAUGCAUGAAACCAUUACAGAUGGAUAGAUUGAAUUUUUCUGAUAAUUUUUCAUAUAUAAAUUAUUUCAUUUGGAGUUACGGUUGAAUCUCUAUGAUUUUUAGAAGUUUUAAACAUUUUCUGGAAAUUACUGAAUAAAAAUAAAUCCAAAAAAUGCAUUACGGCGUCAGCAUUGUGUCAUGCUGACCUCAGCAGGUCAAAGGCGCCAGCCCAGGUCAAACCUGACUGGUGGGCCCCUUCUGUCAGUCUCUCAGUUAAAUAACAGGAUUAGAUUAACACUAAUUAACUGUCAGUGGGGCCUGGGCCCACAUGUCAGUGACUGAUUAAAAUAAAAUUAGUUAAAACUAAUCCUAGAUUAGUUAGCAGACCGGCCCCACCUGUCAUAGACUCAGGGGGGUCUACCUGGGCCCACCCAGGGUCAAACUGGGUCAAACUCGCCGGCGUUGAGCCGCCGGCGAGACCCGAGACAGUGGCGCAGCUCGGAAAACGCCUACAGGGCACGAGCGAGGCCGUUCUUGGGCUCGUUGGAGAGCUCUUGCAGUCGCGCAUCUAGUGCUGGUGGUGGCCGGGCCUACGGUGGCCGGAGACGACGACGGCGAGCUCCAAGGCGGCGGCCGGAGUUCGGCCAUGUGCGGGGUGUGGGCUGCGGCGUGCAAACGUGGAAACUGAGGCGCUAGCGAGGCACUACGUGAUGCGGCAAGCACGUUGCGUAGCACGGGAUGACCAAAUGGUCGCCGGAGCGGCGCUGACGACAAGCUCGAGCGGAGACGAGCUUCGGCCAUGGUGAAACUAUGGCCUAGAGGGUGCAAACGCGUGGAAAAGAAGAGGGGAAAGGUGGCGGAGCUCACAGGGAGGUCGAUGAGCAGCUCAGUGGGCUCGGGGCGACCGGAGUGAGGCGAAUCGACGAGCGGCGUCCGGCGGGUACCGAGGUUGAAGACAAUCCGAUGGCGGCGAUGCAGGGCCUUCGGCGAUGCGUGGCUCGGUGGGGAGGGCGAGGGCGUUACGGCGGAGCUUCUGGACAGGUCAGAGAGGCGAGGUGGUGAUGGAGGGCGCGACUAUGAUGGUGAGACGGCGAUUAAAAAGAAAGAUCUGGUUCACUCGUACGUGAAAAAAGUAGCAAGCGCUCGAUGCCUUCCUUUGCAUCGAUGCCAGACGCGGUGCUGGGAAUCGACAAGAUAACCGCCAAUCUACCACGAUUAAAUUCCUAGCGCCUCCUUCUAGCGCCUCCCACUGAAAAUGCCCUAAAGGUUUUGGAGGGAUUUUUUUACUGUGUCCUACUUCACGAAUCACGAGGCAAAUCAAGUAGCCGGCAUGGCCUGGCCGGUGAGUGCCAUUGCACUUACUUGCCCCAGCAAUUUUCCGCGUGCAUUGUAGAAUUCUUUCUCCGAGUCCUGUGAAUUAAAGAUGGUGCAGACAAAAAUAUAUCCUAUAUGCGUACAUGUGCAUGAUCAGAACAUGUUUUUACGUGCGUCUACUAUAAAUCAUGACCAUUUUUAACACAAAUCAUGACCAUUCAUGAUUAGUGAAUCAUACUGUCUUAACUUAUGUGAAAUCAUGUGGAGUAAUAUAAUAUAAUAUAAUAAAUAGAUAGAUCCAUGUUGUAUUAUUUUUUGUUUACAAAAAAUAUCUGUCAUUACACAUUUUGAUUUAUGCAUUUGUUUACAAAAAAAACAGUAACAUUUCAUGGUGGAAAGUUUGUAUUGUUUCAUACUGAACACCAAUGUUUUCCUGUAAAAGAAAAUAAUGCCUACGCAUAUGCUUUUAUAUUAUUAUUAUUCUUUCAAACUUAUUCAUACAGUAUUUUUGAUUGUGCAACCAUAAUUUUUAUUGUCUCUCUCGUUCCACUACAUGCUCUUACUCAAUGAUUUUUUUAUAACGGGUGUUUUUAUUAACUCAAAAUAUAGUAUCAAGCGGAUACAAAACAUAAUGAGCCACACCUGGUCUCUGCAUAACUAAGAUGCACACAGCCAAAAGCAGAUGUCUGACAAAAAUAAGAUAAGAAAAUCGACAUAUCGACAACAGUGAGUCAUAUAGUCCCGACACUAUGCCCCCGUUGAAGGACGGGGUGGAGCGAUCUGGAGAUUAUGCUGCCCUCCAUGUUGAGUAAAUACCUCCCUGGCCACUUGUUCCAAACGCAUAGACGCCGCCACGAAUAAUGGUCGGUACUCUGUUCAGUGUAGCAUACACCAUGUAGGAAGUGAGUGCUCACUCCUAGUUACUAAAUUAUGUACACACUAGUAGAAAAAGGGCCAUUUGUCCCGGUUCGUAAGGCCCAUUUGUCCCAAUUGGGGAACCGGGACUAAAGGGUCGGUACUAAAGCCCUACACCUUUAGUCCCGGUUCUUACACCAACCGAGACAGAUGGGGCUCCACGUGGCCGCUACAGCUUGCCGUGGCAGGGGGGCCUUUUGUCCCGGUUGGUAGCACCAACCGGGACCAAUAAGCUACCACGCGUCCGCAUUUGAGGGGCUAGGGUUUUUGUUUUUUUUCUGAAGGGGGGGGGGUGGGUUUGUAUGGUUAAUUUUGGGGGGUUUCACAUAUUGUGUUAGGUAGCUAAUUAAUUAAUAGAGAGAAGUGUCCUCACUUAUCUCCGUGCUUGGUCGACGCUACGUACUAUACGUAUAGAGAGGCCCUCAACACGCUAGCCAGUAAGCAAAUGAAGUAAACCAUUAAGUACAGAAGUUCGUCAUGAACAUAUGCAUACAAACAUAAGUGAUAUCGACCUCUCCUUCUCCGAGAGAUAGGUCGAACAACAAGUUUCCGUAUAUCUAUCCGGCGCUACUAGCUACAUAUAUACAAUAUUAAGAUCUCUUACAAUAUAAUCCCCUAAUUAUAUAUGAACUCAGCUUCCAGAUGGUAUUCUCCGGCUUUAUUGAUGGCGUGGUCAAGAAAGAUUCCCUCCAAUUCCUCUUGAAUUGCUUUGAUGCGAUCUUGUGGUAGGAGUUCAUCUCGCAUCUGCCACAUCUAAUUUGAAGAAGGGGGUCAAUCACCAGUAGAAUAACAACCAUUUGUCCUGGUUCAUAAGGUUAAUUUGUCCCGGUUGGGGAACCGAGACUAAAGGGUCUUUACUAAAGCCCUACACCUUUAGUCCUGGUUCUUACACCAACUGGGACAGAUGGGCCUCCAUGUGGCUGCUGCGGCGAGCCCAGGCCGGAGGUCCUUUGGUCCCGGUUAGUGGCACUGAUACGUCUCCAACGUAUCUAUAAUUUUUGAUUGCUCCAUGCUAUUAUGUUAUCUAUUUUGGAUGUUAAUGGCUUUAUUUUACACCUUUAUAUCAUUUUUGGGACUAACCUACUAAUCGGAGGCCCAACCCAAAUUGUUGUUUUCUACCUAUUUUAGGUUUUCGAAGAAAAGGAAUAUCAAACGGAGUCCAAACGGAAUGAAACCUUCGAGAACGUGAUUUUCUCAAUGAACAUGAUUCAGGAGAAUUGGAGUGUGCUCCAAGAAACAAGGGAGGAAGGCACGAGGCAGGGGGCGCGCCUACCCCCUUGGGCGCGCCCUCCACCCUCGUGGGCCCUCCGCUGCUCCACCGACGUACUUCUUCCUCCUAUAUAUAUCCACGUACCCCCAAACAUCCAGGAGCACCACGAAAACCUAAUUCCACCGCUGCAACCUUCUGUACCCGAGAGAUCCCAUCUUGGGGCCUUUUCCGGAGGUCCACCGGAGGGGGCAUCGAUCAUGGAGGGCCUCUACAUCAACUCCAUGGCCUCUCCGGUGAUGUGUGAGUAGUUUACUUCAGACCUAGGGGUCUAUAGUUAUUAGCUAGAUGGCUUCUUCUUCUCUCUUUGGAUCUCAAUACAAAGUUCUCCUCGAUUUUCUUGGAGAUCUAUUUGAUGUAACCUUCUUUUGCGGUGUGUUUGUCGAGAUCCGAUGAAUUGUGGGUUUGUGAUCCAGAUUAUCUAUGAACAAUAUUUGAUUCUCCUAUGAAUUCUAGUAUGUAUGAUUGGUUUAUCUUUGCAAGUCUCUUCGAAUUAUCAGUUUGGUUUGGCCUACUAGAUUGAUUUCUUGCAAUGGGAGAAGUGCUUAGCUUUGGGUUCAAUCUUGCAGUGUUUGAUCCCAGUGACAGAAAGGGAACCGAUACGUAUUGUAUUGUUGCCAUCGAGGAUAAAAAGAUGGGGUUUAUAUCAUAUCGCAUGAGUUUAUCCCUCUACAUCAUGUCAUCUUCCUUAAAGCAUUACUAUGUUCUCUUGAACUUAAUACUCUAGAUGCAUGCUGGAUAGCGGUCCAUGUGUCGAGUAAUAGUAGUAGAUGCAGAAUCGUUUCGGUCUACUUGUCUCGGACGUGAUGCCUAUAUACAUGAUCAUACCUAGAUAUUCUCAUAACUAUGUUCAAUUCUGUACAAUAUGGUGCACGGGGUUACAUCGGCCUGCAAAGACAUUUCUGCGAUGUGAGACAUCCGAAAAGCAACGAAAACGGGAGAUUAUACAUUUAUUGAAGAGGGCAGGUGUGACAGAUACCGUGAGGGCGUCGAGCUCAGCCAAAGACGAUGGACAGCUGAGCACGGCCUGUGUCAGAGCCGGUGCGGGAGCAGGUGCAGGUGCAGGUGCUGGUGCAACGCUAGUCGAGCUGCUCCUGAAGAAGUCAACAAUGGGAAAGUCCGCUGCAUUUUUUCUGCAUUUUGCGUGCUCCAAUUGAAAAUGGCUGGAACCAAGACAGUAGACAUAUCUGCAACCACCUGUUUUCCGGCAGCUACCGCUGUCGCGACUGUCUCAGAUGAUUUCUUCUCAACCGCAAUCUCAACCUUCUUGUCGAUGUUUUAUUCGGUUAACCUCCAUCUUUCCUUUCUCUCCUCCGUGGUCUCACGGUAGUACUUCUUCCACGUGGCCCCGUCUCCGACACCGUGAACGCGUCCAUACGACGACCGAGUCUCCACGGGGAGUCCUUUCAAUAUGUUCAAUGCCCGGUUGAAUGGAGUGUCCCACUUGGGCCUUGCCAAUGCCUCAGACGGCGAGUCGCUUUCGGCCGCAAUCUUAUGCUGCUCUCUCUACAAAAGGAACACGGAUCAUUUACAAAUAUGACUAAACGUGCAGUCGAACUGAUCAGAAACUAAAAUUACCAGCAGUCUCAUGAACUCCGUCGUGAUCGGGUCCGUCUUGAAAACCUUCUUGACUGAGUCCCAAUGGUGUCGUGCCCUGAGGACGUCAUGCUCCUACGGGACGGUGAAGUCCGCCAAGGGGUCUGGGAUGCCAGAUUUUCGCGUUUCGUGUCCUCCUUGGCCCAUAUGGACCUCUUCCUGCCGUAACCACUGCUUCCGAGGUGGUGGCGCCCCAUGUUCCUUUGUGGAAGCCCCUUCAUGUACUUCGACUUUGUUUUGGCAGCUUCGGCCUCGCAAGCCGCCUUGAAUAUUUCAAAGUGUUCUCUAGUGAUUGUCAGAUUAUCCUUUACAAUCUCGGAGUAGGGUUGAUACGUCUCCAACGUAUCUAUUAUUUUUGAUUGCUCCAUGCUAUAUUAUCUACUGUUUUGGACAUUAUUGGGCUUUAUUAUCUACUUUUAUAUUAUUUUUGGGACUAACCUAUUAACCGGAGGCCCAGCCUAGAAUUGUUGUUUUUUGACUGUUUUAGGGUUUCGAAGAAAAGGAAUAUCAAACGGAGUCCAAACGGAAUGAAACCUUCGGGAACGUGAUUUUCUGAAUGAACAAGACCCUGGAGACUUGGACCCUACGUCAAGACACAAAAGAGGAGGACACGAGGUAGGGGGCGCGCCUAACCCCCCCCCCCCCUCGAGGCACGCCCUCCACCCUCGUGGGGCCCCUGUUGCUCCACCGACGUACUCCUUCCUCCUAUAUAUACCUACGUACUUCCAAACGAUCAGAUACGGAGCCAAAACCCUAAUUCCACUGCCGCAACUUUCUGUAUCCACGAGAUCCCAUUUGGUGCCUGUUCCGGAGCUCCGCCGGAGGGGGCAUCGAUCACGGAGGGCUUCUACAUCAACACCAUAGCCUCUCCGAUGAAGUGUGAGUAGUUCACCUCAGACGUACCGGUCCAUAUUUAUUACCUAGAUGGCUUCUUCUCUCUUUUUGGAUCUCAAUACAAUGUUCUCCCCCUCUCUUGUGGAGAACUAUUCGAUGUAAUCUUGUUUUUGCAGUGUGUUUAUUGAGAUUGAUGAAUUGUGGGUUUAUGAUCAAGUCUAUGUAUGAAUAAUAUUUGAAUCUUCUCUAAAUUCUUUUAUGUAUGAUUGUUUAUCUUUGCAAGUCUCUUCGAAUUAUCAGUUUGGUUUGGCCUACUAGAUUGAUCUUUCUUACAAUGGGAGAAGUGCUUAGCUUUGGGUUCAAUCUUGCGGUGUCCUUUCCCAAUGACAGUAGGGGCAGCAAGGCAUGUAUUGUAUUGUUGCCAUCGAGGACAACAAGAUGGGGUUUUCAUCAUAUUGCAUGAGUCUAUCCCUCUACAUCAUGUCAUCUUGCUUAAGGCGUUACUCUGUUUUUAACUUAAUACUCUAGAUGCAUGCUGGAUAGCGGUCGAUGAGUGAAACCUAUGGCCCCCGGGUCUAUCUUUAUCAUAUUAAUCUCCUACUACUUAGUUAUUUCCUUUGCUUUUUCCUUUGCCUUUAUUUUACUUUUGAUCUUUAUCACAAAAAUACCAAACAUAUUAUCUUUAUCAUAUCUAUCAGAUCUCACUCUCGUAAGUGGCUGUGUAGGGAUUGACAACCCCUAUUCGCGUUGGUUGCGAGGAUUUAUUUGUUUUGUGCAAGUACGAGAGACUCGCGCGUAGCCUCCUACUGGAUUGAUACCUUGGUUCUCAAAAACUGAGGGAAAUACUUACACUACUUUGCUGCAUCAUCCUUCCUCUUCGCGGAAAACCAACGUAGUGCUCAAGAGCUGGCAAUAAGGAUUUCUGGCGCCGUUGCCGGGGAGGUCUAAGCAAAAGUCAACAUACCAAGUACCCAUCACAUACCCUUAUCUCCUGCAUUACAUUAUUUUCCAUUUGCCUCUCGUUUUCCUCUCCCCCACUUCACCCUUGCCGUUUUAUUCGCCCUCUCUCUCUCUCUCUAUCCUCCCUCUCUUUCUCUAUUUGCCUCUUUUUUCCCACUUGCUUUCUGUUUGCUUGUGUGUUAGUUGCUUGCUUGUCACGAUGGCUCAAGAUAAUACUAAAUUACGUGACUUCACCAAUACCAACAACAAUGAUUUUAUUAACACUCCGAUUGCUCCUCUUACCGAUGCUGAAUCUUGAGAAAUUAAUACUGCUUUGCUGAAUCUUGUCAUGAAAGAUCUGUUUUUCGGCCUUCCUAGUGAAGAUGCCGCUACCCACCUAAAUAGAUUCGUUGAUUUGUGUGACAUGCAAAAGAAGAAAGGUGUGGAUAAUGAUAUUGUUAAAUUGAAGCUAUUUCCUUUUUCGCUUAGAGAUCGUGCUAAAGCUUGGUUUUCGUCUUUGCCUAAAAAUACUAUUGAUUCAUGGAAUAAGUGCAAAGAUGCUUUUAUCUCUAAGUAUUUUCCUCCUGCUAAGAUCAUCUCUCUUAGAAACGAUAUUAUGAAUUUUAAGCAACUUGAUCAUGAACAUGUUGCACAAGCUUGGGAGAGAAUGAAACUAAUGAUACGUAAUUGCCCUGCCCAUGGUUUAAAUUUGUGGAUGAUUAUACCAAAUUUUUAUGCCGGAUUGAACUUUGCUUCUAGAAAUCUUUUAGAUUAGGCCGCGGGAGGCACUUUUAUGGAAAUCACUUUAGGAGAAGCUACUAAACUCCUAGAUAAUAUUAUGGUUAAUUAUUCUCAACGGCAUACCGAAAGAUCUACUAAUAAAAACGUGCAUGCGAUAGAAGAAAUUAAUGUUUCGAGUGGAAAGAUGGAUGAACUUCUGAAAUUAUUUGCUAAUAAGAGUAUUUCUUCUGAUCCUAAUGAUAUGCCCUUGUCUACUUUGAUUGAGAAUAAUAAUUAAUCUAUGGAUGUGGAUUUUGUUGGUAGGAACAAUUUUGGUAACAACGCGUACAGAGGAAAUUUCAACCCUAGGCCUUAUCCUAGUAAUCUCUCUAAUAAUUAUGGUAAUUCCUACAACAAUUCUUAUGGAAAUUAUAAUAAGAUGCCCUCUGAUUUUGGAUCUAAUAUUAGAGAAUUUAUUACUUUCCAAAAGAAUUUCAAUGCUUUGAUUGAAGAAAAAUUGCUUAAGAUUGAUGAUUUGGCUAGGAACGUUGAUAGAAUUACUCUUGAUGUUGAUUCUUUGAAACUUAGAUCUAUUCCACCUAAGCAUGAUGUCAAUGAGUCUCUCAAAGCCAUGAGAAUUUCCAUUGAUGAGUGCAAAGAAAGAACCACUAGGAUGCGUGUUAAGAAAGAUGCCUUUAUAAGAGCGUGUUCUUCUAAUUCCUAUGAAAAUAAUGAUGAAGAUCAAAAAGUUAUUGAUGUCCUCCCUAUUAAAUCUUUGUUUUGCAAUAUGAAUCUUGAUAAUCAUGGGACUGAAUAUGAUCCACCUUUACCUAGAAGGCGUUCCAAUAAUUCAGAAUUUGUUGAUCUUGAUGCUAAAAUUGAUAAAGGUGGGAUUGAAGAAAUUAAAACCCUAGAUGUUGCUAAACCCACUAUUAUGGAUUUCAAGGAACUUAACUAUGAAAACUGCCCUUUGAUUGAUUGUAUAUCCUUGUUACAAUCCGUGCUAAAUUCUCCUCAUGCUUAUAGUCAAAAUAAAGCAUUUACUAAACAUAUUGUUGAUGCCUUGAUGCAAUCUUAUGAAGAAAAACUUGAAUUGGAAGUUUCUAUCCCUAUAAAGCUUUAUGAUGAGUGGGAACCAACUAUUAAAAUUAAAAUUAAAUAUCAUGAAUGCUAUGCUUUAUGUGAUUUGUGUGCUAGUGUUUCCACGAUUCCAUAGACUUUGUGUGAUUUGUUAGGUUUCCGUGAUUUUGAUGAUUGCUCUUUAAACUUGCACCUUGCGGAUUCCACUAUUAAGAAACCUAUGGGAAGAAUUAAUGAUGUUCUUAUUGUUGCAAAUAGCAAUUAUGUGCCCGUAGAUUUUAUUGUUCUUGACAUAGAUUGCAAUCUUUCAUGUCCUAUUAUUCUUGGUAGACCUUUCCUUAGAACGACUGGUGCAAUUAUUGAUAUGAAGGAAGGAAAUAUUAGAUUCCAAUUUCCAUUAAGGAAAGGCAUGGAACACUUUCCUAGAAAGUAAAUUAAAUUACCUUAUGAAUCUAUUAUGAUAGCCACUUAUGGAUUGCCUACCAAAGAUGGCAAUACCUAGAUCUAUCCUUGCUUGUUAUGCCUAGCUAGGGGCGUUAAACGAUAGCGCUUGUUGGGAGGCAACCCAAUUUUAUUUUUAUUCCUUGAUUUUUUCUCCUGUUUAGUAAUAAAUAAUUUAUAUAGCCUCUGUUUUGGUUCUGUUCUUUGUGUUUAAUUAGUGUUUGUGCCAAGUAGAACCGUUAGGAAGACUUGGGGAAAGUCUUGUUACACUUGCUGUAAAAAACUGAAACUUCAGCGCUCACGAGAACUGCUGCCAUUUUUAUUUGGAAAGUGCUAUGUAGUUAAUUAUUUUUCAGAUGAUUAACAGAUAAAUUCCUCACGUCCAGAAAUUUAUUUUAGAAUUUUUGGGGUUCCAGCUCUUGAGCUAGCUACAGAGUACUACAGGCUGUUCUGUUUUUGAAAGAUUCUGUUUUUCGUGUGUUGUUUGCUUAUUUUGAUGAACCUAUGGCUAGUAAAAUAGUUUAUAUACCAUAGAGAAAUUGGAAUACAGUAGGUAUAACACCAAUAUAAAUAAAUAAUGAGUUCAUUACAGUACCUUGAAGUGGUCUUUUAUUUUCUUUCGCUAACGGAGCUCAUGAGAUUUUCUACUUUAAGUUUUGUGUUGUGAAGUUUUCAAGUUUUGGGUAAAGAUUUGAUGGAUUAUGGAACAAGGAGUGACAAGAGCCUAAGCUUGGGGGUUCCCAUGGCACCCCCAAGAUAAUCUAAGUACACCUAAAAACCAAAGCUUGGGGAUGCGCCGGAAGUCAUCCCCUCUUUCAUCUACUUCUAUCGGUAACUUUACUUGGAGCUAUAUUUUUAUUCGCCACAUGAUAUGUGUUUUGCUUGGAGCGUCUUGUAUUAUUUGAGUCUUUAUUUGUUAGUUUACCACAAUCAUCCUUGCUGUACACACCUUUUGAGAGAGCCAUACAUGAUUUGGAAUUUGUUAGAAUACUCUAUGUGCUUCGCUUAUAUCUUUUGAGUUAUAUAGUUUUGCUCUAGUACUUCACUUAUAUCUUUUAGAGCACGGUGGUGGAUUUGUUUUAUAGAAACAAUUGAUCUCUCAUGCUCCACUUAGAUUAUUUUGAGAUUCUUAAUAGCAUGUUAAUUUGCUUAAAAUCCUAAUAUGCUAGGUAUUCAAAGUUAGUAAAAUUUUCUUAAGAGUGUUUUGAAUACUAAGAGAAGUUUGAUGCUUGAUGAUUGUUUUGAGAUAUGGAGGUAAUAAUAUCAAAGUCGUUCUCGUUGACUAGUUGUGAAAUUGAGAAAUACUUGUGUUGAAGUUUGCAUGUCCCGUAGCACGCACGUAUGGUAAACGUUGUGUAACAAAUUUGAAACAUGAGGUGUUAUUUGAUUGUCUUCCUUGUGAGUGGCGGUCGGGGACGAGCGAUGGUCUUUUCCUACCAAUCGAUCCCCCUAGGAGCAUGCGAAUAGUACCAAGGUUUUUGAUGACUUGUAGAUUUUUGCAGUAAGUAUGUGAGUUCUUUAUGACUAAUGUUGAGUCCAUGAAUUAUACGCACUCUCACCCUUCCAUCCUUGCUAGCCUCUUCGGUACCGUGCAUUGCCCUUUCCCACAUUGAGAGUUGGAGCAAACUUCGCCAGUGCAUCCAAACCCCGUGCUAUGAUACGCUCAUUCACACAUAAACCUCCUUAUAUCUUCCUCAAAACAGCCACCAUACCUACCUAUUAUGGCAUUUCCAUAGCCAUUCCGACAUAUAUUGCCAUGCAACUUUCCACCAUUCCGUUCAUCAUGACACAUUCAUCAUUGUCAUAUUGCGUAGCAUAAUCAUGUAGUUGACAUAGUAUUUGUGGCAAGGCCACCGUUCAUAAUUCAUUCAUACAUGUCACUCUUGGUCCAUUGCAUGUCCCGGUACACCGCCGGAGGCAUUCAUAUAGAGCCAUACUUUGUUCUAGUAUCGAGUAGUAAUUAUUGAGUCGUAAAUAAAUAGAAGUGUGAUGAUCAUCAUUAAUAGAGCAUGGUCCCAAAAAGAAAAAAAAGGAAGGGCCAAAAAAAGGCCAAAUAAAAAAAUAUAAAAAAGGGGGCAAUGCUACUAUCCUUUUUUUCCAAACUUGUGCUUCCAAGUAGCACCGUAAUCUUCAAGAUAGAGAGUCUCUUGAUUUGUCACUUUCAUAUACUAGUGGGAAUUUUUCAUUAUAGAACUUGGCUUGUAUAUUCCAACAAUGGGCGUCCCCAAGUUCCCUAGGUCUUCGUGAGCAAGCAAGUUGGAUGCACACCCACUUAGUUUCUUUUGUUGAGCUUUCAUACAUUUAUAGCUCUAGUGCAUCCGUUGCAUGGCAAUUCCUACUCCUUGCAUUAACAUCAAUCAAUGGGCAUCUCCAUAGCCCAUUGAUUAGCCUCGUUGAUGUGAGACUUUCUCCUUUUUGUCUUCUCCACAUAACCCCACUCAUUAGAUUCUAUUCCACCCAUAGUGUUAUGUCCAUGGCUUGCAAUCAUAUAUUGCGUGAAAGUUUAUAGGUUUGAGAUCACUAAAGUAUGAAACAAUUGCUUGGCUUGUCAUCGGGGUUGUGCAUGAUGAGAGCAUACUUGUGUGACGAAAAUGAAGCAUGACUAAACUAUAUGAUUUUGUAGGGGUGAACUUUCUUUGGCCAUGUUAUUUUGAGAAGACACAAUUGCUCAGUUAGUAUGCUUAAAGUAUUAUUAUUUUAUGUCAAUAUGAACUUUUGUCUUGAAUGUUUCAGAUCCGAAUAUUCAUACCACAAUUAAGAAGAAUUACAUUAAAAUCAUGCCAAGUAGCACUCCACAUCAAAAAUUCUGUUUUUAUCAUUUACCUACUCGAGGACGAGCCGGAAUUAAGCUUGGGGAUGCUUGAUACAUCUCCAACGUAUCUAUAAUUUUUGAUUGCUCCAUGCUAUAUUAUCUACUGUUUUGGACAAUAUUGGGCUUUAUUAUCCACUUGUAUAUUAUUUUUGGGACUAACCUAUUAACCGGAGGCCCAGCCCAGAAUUGUUGUUUUUUGCCUGUUUUAGGGUUUCGAAGAAAAGGAAUAUCAAACGGAGUCCAAACGGAAUGAAACCUUCGGGAACGUGAUUUUCUCAACGAACAAGAUCUAGGAGACUUGGACCCUCCAUCAAGACAUAAAAGAGGAGGCCACGAGGUAGGGGGCGUNNNNNNNNNNNNNNNNNNNNNNNNNNNNNNNNNNNNNNNNNNNNNNNNNNNNNNNNNNNNNNNNNNNNNNNNNNNNNNNNNNNNNNNNNNNNNNNNNNNNNNNNNNNNNNNNNNNNNNNNNNNNNNNNNNNNNNNNNNNNNNNNNNNNNNNNNNNNNNNNNNNNNNNNNNNNNNNNNNNNNNNNNNNNNNNNNNNNNNNNNNNNNNNNNNNNNNNNNNNNNNNNNNNNNNNNNNNNNNNNNNNNNNNNNNNNNNNNNNNNNNNNNNNNNNNNNNNNNNNNNNNNNNNNNNNNNNNNNNNNNNNNNNNNNNNNNNNNNNNNNNNNNNNUGGGCCCCCCUGUUGCUCCACCGACGUACUCCUUCCUCCUAUAUAUACCUACUAUUGGGGAACGUAGCAGAAUUUUAAAAUUUUCUACGCAUACCAAGAUCAAUCUAUGGAGUCAUAUAGCAACGAGGGAGAGAGGAGUGCAUCUACAUACCCUUGUAGAUCGCGCGCGGAAGCGUUCAAGAGAACGGGGUUGAUGGAGUCGUACUCGUCGUGAUCCAAAUCACCGAUGACCAAGUGCCGAAUGGACAGCACCUCCGCGUACAACACACGUACGGUUGGGAAGACGUCUCCUCCUUCUUGAUCCAGCAAGGGGGAAGGAGAGGUUGAUGAAGAUCCAGCAGCACGACGGCGUGGUGGUGGAUGCAGCAGGAUCCCGGCAGGGCUUCGCCAAGCGCAAGCGGGGAGGAGAGGUGUUACGGAAGGAGAGGGAGGCGCCAAGAGCAAGGGUGCGGCUGCCCUCCCUCCCCCCCCUCUUUAUAUAGGGGCCUUGGGGGGGCGCCGGCCCUAGGAGAUGGAUCUCCAAGGGGGGCGAAGGCCAAGGGGUGGCUUCCCCCCCAAGCCAAGUGGGGGGCGCCCCCACCCCUAGGGUUUCCCAACCCUAGGCGCAUGGGAGGCCCAAGGGGGGCGCACCAGCCCACUAGGGGCUGGUUCUGCUCCCAAUUCAGCCCAUGGGGCCCUCCGGGAUGGGUGGCCCCACCCGGUGGACCCCCGGGACCCUUCCGGUGGUCCUGGUACAAUACCGGUGACCCCCGAAACCUUCCCGAUGGCCGAAAUUGUACUUCCUAUAUAUAAAUCUUUACCUCCGAACCAUUCCGGAACUCCUCGUGACGUACGGGAUCUCAUCCGGUACUCCGAACAUAUCCUUGGUUACUACAUACUAAUAUCUCUACAACCCUAGCGUCACCGAACCUUAAGUGUGUAGACCCUACGGGUUCGGGAGACAUGCAGACAUGACAGAGACGCCUCUCCGGUCAAUAACCAACAGCGGGAUCUGGAUACCCAUGUUGGCUCCCACGUGCUCCACGAUGAUCUCAUCGGAUGAACCACGAUGUCGAGGAUUCAAUCAAUCUGUGUAGAAUUCCCUUUGUCAAUCGGUACGUUACUUGCCCGAGACUCGAUCGUCGGUAUCCCAAUACCUCGUUCAAUCUCGUUACCAGCAAGUCACUUUACUCGUGCCGUAAUGCAUGAUCCCAUGAUCAACCACUUGGUCACAAUGAGCUCAUUAUGAUCAUGCAUUACCGAGUGGGCCCAGAGAUACCUCUCCGUCAUACGGAGUGACAAAUCCCAGUCUCGAUUCGUGCCAACCCAACAGACACUUUCGGAGAUACCUGUAAUGUACCUUUAUAGUCACCCAGUUACGUUGUGACGUUUGGCACACCCAAGGCACUCCUACGGUAUCCGGGAGUUGCCCAAUCUCAUGGUCUAAGGAAAUGAUACUUGACAUUCGGAAAAGCUACAGCAAACGAACUACACGAUCUUUGAGCUAUGCUUAGGAUUGGGUCUUGUCCAUCACAUCAUUCUCCUAAUGAUGUGAACCCGUUAUCAAUGACAUCCAAUGUCCAUAGUCAGGAAACCAUGACUAUCUUUUGAUCAACGAGCUAGUCAACUAGAGGCUCACUAGGGACGUGUUGUCGUCUAUGUAUUCACACAUGUAUUACGAUUUCCGGAUAACACAAUUAUAGCAUGAAAAAUAGACAAUUAUCAUGAACAAAGAAAUAUAAUAAUAACCAUUUUAUUAUUGCCUCUAGGGCAUAUUUCCAACAGUCUCCCACUUGCACUAGCGUCAGUAGUCUAGUUACAUUUUGAUGAAUCCAACACCCAUGAAGUUCUGGAGUUGAUCAUGUUUUGCUCUAGGGAGAGGUUUAGUCAAUGGAUCUGCCACAUUCAGGUCCGUAUGUACUUUACAAAUCUCUAUGUAUCCAUUUUGAACACUUUCAUGAAUGGAGUUGAAGUGACGCUUGAUAUGCCUGGUCUUCCUGUGAAAUCUGGGCUCCUUGGCAAGUGCAAUAGCUCCAGUGUUGUCACAGAAUAGAGUCAUCGGGCCCGGUGCAUUGGGUGUGACUCCUAGGUCGGUAAUGAACUCCUUCACCCAGAUUGCUUCUUGUGCUGCCUCCGAGGCUGCCAUGUACUCUGCUUCACAUGUAGAUCCCGCCACAACGCUUUGCUUGCAACUCCACCAGCUUACUGCCCCACCAUUCAAAAUAUACACGUAUCCGGUUUCCGACUUAGAGUCAUCCAGAUCUGUGUCGAAGCUAGCAUCAACGUAACCCUUUACGACGAGCUCUUCGUCACCUCCAUAAACGAGAAACAUAUCCUUAGUCCUUUUUAGGUACUUGAGGAUAUUCUUGACUGCUGUCUAGUGUUCCAUGCCGGGAUUACUUUGGUACCUUCCUACCAAACUUACGGCAAGGUUUUCAUCAGGUCUGGUACACAGCAUAGCAUACAUGAUAGACCCUAUGGCCGAGGCAUAGGGGAUGACACUCAUCUUUUCUCUAUCUUCUGUCGUGGUCGUGCAUUGAGCCUCGCUCAAUCUCGUACCUUGCAAUACAGGCAAGAACCCUUCUUUUACUGAUCCAUUUUGAACUUCUUCAAUAUCUUAUCAAGGUAUGUACUCUGUGAAAGACCAAUGAGGCGUCUCGAUCUAUCUCUAUAGAUCUUGAUGCCUAAUAUAUAAGCAGCUUCUCCAAGAUCCUUCAUUGAAAAACACGUGUUCAAGUAGGCCUUUAUGCUUUCCAAGAAUUCUAUAUCAUUUCCCAUCAACAAUAUGUCAUCCACAUCCAAUAUGAGAAAUGCUACAAAGCUCCCACUCACUUUCUUGUAAAUGCAGACUUCUCCAUAAGUAUGCGUAAACCCAAACGCUUUGAUCAUCUCAUCAAAACGAAUGUUCCAUCUCCGAGAUGCUUGCACCAGCCCAUAAAUCGAAUGUUGGAGCUUGUACACCUUGUCAGCAUUCUUAGGAUCGACAAAACCUUCCGGCUGCAUCAUAUACAAUUCUUCCUUAAGGAAACCAUUAAGGAAUGUUGUUUUGACGUCCAUUUGCCAUAUUCAUAAUCAUAGAAUGCGGCAAUUGCUAACAUCGUAGUCAACCCCUUGAACUUGCCGAUAACCCUUAGCGACAAGCCGAGCUUUAUAGAUGGUCACAUUACCAUCCGCGUCUGUCUUCUUCUUAAAGAUCCAUUUAUUUUCUAUGGCUCGCCGAUCAUCGGGCAAGUCAGUCAAAGUCCAUACUUUGUUUUCAUACAUGGAUCUUAUCUCGGAUUUCAUGGCUUCCAGCCAUUUGUUGGAAUUCAGGCCCGCCAUCGCUUCUUCAUAGUUCGAAGUUCACCGUUGUCUAACAACAUGAUUUCCAAGACAGGGUUGCCGUACCACUCUGGUGCGGGACGUGUCCCCGUGGACCUACGAAGUUCAGUAGCAACUUGAUCUGAAGUUUCAUGAUCAUCAUCAUCAAUUUCCUCUCUAGUCGUUGCAGGCACCUUAGGAACAUUUUCUUGAGCUGCGCCACUUACCGGUUCAAGAGGUAAUAAUACUUCAUCAAGUUCUACUUUCCUCCCACUUAUUUCUUUCGAGAGAAACUCUUUCUCUAGAAAGGACCCAUUCUUGGCAACAAAGAUCUUGCCUUCGGAUCUGAGGUAGAAGGUAUACCCAAUAGUUUCUUUAGGGUAUCCUAUGAAGACGCAUUUUUCCAAUUUGGGUUCGAGCUUUUCAGGUUGAAGUUUCCUUACAUAAGCAUCGCAUCCCCAAACUUUUAGAAAUGACAUCUUAGGUGUCUUCCCAAACCAUAAUUCAUACGGUGUCAUCUCAACGGAUUUCGACGGAGCCCUAUUUAAAGUGAAUGCGGCAGUCUCUAAAGCAUAGCCCCAAAAUGACAGCGGUAAAUCGGUAAGAGACAUCAUAGAUCGCACCAUAUCUAAUAGAGUGCGAUUAUGACAUUCCGACACACCAUUACGCUGAGGUGUUCCAGGCGGCGUGAGUUGUGAAACUAUUCCACAUUUUCUUAAGUGUGUGCCAAAUUCGUGACUCAAGUAUUCUCCCCCACGAUCUGAUCGCAAGAACUUGAUUUGCCUGUCACGUUGAUUCUCAACCUCACUUUGAAAUUCCUUGAACUUUUCAAAGGUCUCAGACUUGUGUUUCAUUAAGUAGACAUACCCAUAUCUACUCAAGUCAUCAGUGAGGGUGAGAACAUAACGAUAGCCACCGCGCCUCAACACUCAUUGGACCGCACACAUCAGUAUGUAUGAUUUCCAAUAAGUUGGUUACUCGCUCCAUUGUUCCUGAGAACGGAGUCUUGGUCAUUUUACCCAUGAGGCAUGGUUCGCACGUGUCAAAUGAUUCGUAAUCAAGAGACUUUAAAAGUCUAUCUGCAUGGAGCUUCUUCAUGCGUUUGACACCUAUGUGACCAAGGCGGCAAUGCCACAAGUAUGUGGGACUAUCAUUAUCAACCUUACAUCUUUUGGUAUUCACACUAUGAAUAUGUGUAACAUUAUGCUCGAGAUUCAUUAAGAAUAAACCAUUCACCAAUGGAGCAUGACCAUAAAACAUAUCUCUCAUAUAAAUAGAACAACCAUUAUUCUCGGAUUUAAAUGAGUAGCCAUCUCAAAUUAACCGAGAUCCUGAUACAAUGUUCAUGCUCAAAGCUGGCAGUAAAUAACAAUUAUUGAGGUUUAAAACUAAUCCCAUAGGCAAAUGUAGAGGCAGCGUGCCGACGGCGAUCACAUCAACCUUGGAACCAUUCCCGACGCACAUCGUCACCUCGUCCUUCGCCAGUCUCCGUUUAAUCCGCAGCUCCUGCUUUGAGUUACAAAUGUGAGCAACUGCACCGGUAUCAAAUACCCAGGAGCUACUACGAGUACUGGUAAGGUACACAUCAAUUACAGGUAUAUCACAUAUACCUUUAGUGUUGCCGGCCUUCUUGUCCGCUAAGUAUUUGGGGCAGUUCCGCUUCCAGUGACUACUUCCCUUGCAAUAAAAACACUCAGUCUCGAGCUUGGAUCCAUUCUUUGGCUUCUUCCCGGAAACUUGCUUAGCGGGCGCGGCAACUCCCUUGCCGUCCUUCUUGAAUUCUUCUUACCCUUGCCUUUCUUGAACUUAGUGGUUUUAUUCACCAUCAACACUUGAUGUUCCUUUUUGAUUUCCACCUCUGCUGAUUUCAGCAUUGAAUAUACCUCAGGAAUGGUCUUUUCCAUCCCCUGCAUAUUGAAGUUGAUCACAAAGCUCUUGUAGCUCGGUGGAAGCGACUGAAGGAUUCUGUCAAUGACCGCGUCAUUCGGGAGGUUAACUCCCAGCUGAGUCAAGCGGUUAUGCAACCCAGACAUUUUGAUUAUGUGCUCACUGACAGAACUAUUUUCCUCCAUCUUAUAGCUGAAGAACUUGUCGGAGACUUCAUAUCUCUCGACCCGGGCAUGAGCUUGAAAAACCAUUUUCAGCUCUUCGAACAUCUCAUAUGCUCCAUGUCUCUCAAAAUGCUUUUGGAGCCCCGGUUCUAAGCUGUAAAGCAUGCCGCACUGAACGAGGGAGUAAUCAUCAGCACGUAACUGCCAAGCGUUGAUAAUGUCUUGGUUCUCUGGGACAGGUGCGUGACCUAACGGUGCUUCUAGGACAUAAUAUUUCUUGGCAGCUACGAGGAUGAUCCUCAGGUUCCGGACCCAGUCCGUAUAGUUGCUGCCAUCGUCUUUCAGCUUGGUUUUCUCUAGGAACGCGUUGAAAUUGAGGACAACGUGGGCCAUUUGAUCUACAAGACAUAUUGUAAAGAUUUUAGACUAAGUUCAUGAUAAUUAAGUUCAUCUAAUCAAAUUAUACAAUGAACUCCCACUCAGAUAGACAUCCCUCCAGUCAUCUAAGUGAAACAUGAUCCAAGUUAACUAGGCUGUGUCGGAUCAUCACGUGAAACGGACUAGUCAACAUCGGUGAACAUCUUCAUGUUGAUCGUAUCUUCUAUACGACUCAUGCUCGACCUUUCGGUCUUCUGUGUUCCGAGGCCAUGUCUGUACAUGCUAGGCUCGUCAACUAAACCUAAGUGUAUUGCGUGUGUAAAUCUGGCUUACACCCGUUGUAUUCGAACGUUAGAAUCUAUCACACUCGAUCAUCACGUGGUGCUUCGAAACAACGAACCUUCGCAACGGUGCACAGUUAGGGGGAACACUUUCUUGAAAUUAUUUCGAGGGAUCAUCUUAUUUAAGCUACCGUCGUUCUAAGCAAAUAAGAUGUAAAACAUGAUAAACAUCACAUGCAAUCAAAUAGUGACAUGAUAUGGCCAAUAUCAUUUGCUCCUUUUGAUCUCCAUCUUUGGGGCUCCAUGAUCAUCGUUGUCACCAGCAUGACACCAUGAUCUCCAUCAUCAUGUCUUCUUGAAGUUGUCUCGUCAUCUAUUACUUCUACUACUAUGGCUAAUGCUUUAGCAAUAAAGUAAAGUAAUUACAUGACGUUUAUGUUGACACGCAGGUCAUAAAAAAAUAAAGACAACUCCUAUGGCUCCUGCCGGUUGUCAUACUCAUCGACAUGCAAGUCGUGAUUCCUAUUACAAGAACAUGAUCAAUCUCAUACAUCACAUAUAUCAUUCAUCACAUCCUUUUGGCCAUAUCACAUCAGACGGCACAUGCUGCAAAAACAAGUUAGACGUCCUCUAAUUGUUGUUGCAAGUUUUUACAUGGCUGCUAUAGGUUUCUAGCAAGAACGUGUCUUACCUACGCCAAAACCACAACGUGAUAUGCCAAUUUCUAUUUACCCUUCAUAAGGACCCUUUUCAUCGAAUCCGAUCUAACUAAAGUGGGAGAGAUAGACACCCGCCAGCCACCUUAUGCAAGUAAUGCAUGUCAAUCGGUGGAACCAGUCUCACGUAAGCGUACGUGUAAGGUCGGUCCGGGCCGCUUCAUCCCACGAUGCCGCCGAAUCAAGAUAAGACUAGUAACGGCAAGCAAAGUGACAAUAUCCACGCCCACAACUGCUUUGUGUUCUACUCGUGCAUAGAAACUACGCAUAGACCUGGCUCAUGAUGCCACUAUUGGGGAAUGUAGCAGAAUUUUAAAAUUUUCUACGCAUCACCAAGAUCAAUCUAUGGAGUUAUCUAGCAAUGAGGAAGAGAGGAGUGCAUCUACAUACCCUUGUAGAUCGCGCGCGGAAGCGUUCAAGAGAACGGGGUUGAUGGAGUCGUACUCGUCGUGAUCCAAAUCACCGAUGACCAAGUGCCGAACGGACAGCACCUCCGCGUUCAACACACGUCCGGUUGGGAAGACGUCUCCUCCUUCUUGAUCCAGCAAGGGGGAAGGAGAGGUUGAUGAAGAUCCAGCAGCACGACGGCGUGGUGGUGGAUGCAACAGGAUCCCGGCAGGGCUUCGCCAAGCGCAAGCGGGGAGGAGAGGUGUUACGGAGGGAGAGAGAGGCGCCAAGAGCAAGGGUGCGGCUGCCUUCCCUCCCCCCUCUUUAUAUAGGGGCCAUGGCGGGCGCCGGCCCUAGGAGAUGGAUCUCCAAGGGGGGCGAAGGCCAAGGGGUGGCUCCCCCCCCCAAGCCAAGUGGGGGGCGCCCCCACCCCUAGGGUUUCCCAACCCUAGGCGCAGGGGAGGCCCAAGGGGGCGCACCAGCCCACUAGGGGCUGGUUCCCCUCCCAAUUCAGCCCAUGGGGCCCUCCGGGAUGGGUGGCCCCACCCGGUGGACCCCCGGGACCCUUCCGGUGGUCCCGAUACAAUACCGGUUACCCCCGAAACCUUCCCGAUGGCCGAAACUGUACUUCCUAUAUAUAAAUCUUUACCUCCAAACCAUUUCAGAACUCCUCGUGACGCCCGGGAUCUCAUCCGGGACUCCGAACAACUUUCGGCUUACUACAUACUAAUAUCUAUACAACCCUAGCGUCACCGAACCUUAAGUGUGUAGACCCUACGGGUUUCGGAGACAUGCAGACAUGACUGAGACGCCUCUCCAGUCAAUAACCAACAGCGGGAUCUGGAUACCCAUGUUGGCUCCCACAUGCUCCACGAUGAUCUCAUCGGAUGAACCACGAUGUCGAGCAUUCAAUCAAUCUGUAUACAAUUCCCUUUAUCAAUCAGUACGUUACUUGCCCGAGACUCGAUCGUCAGUAUCCCAAUACCUUGUUCAAUCUCGUUACCGGCAAGUCACUUUACUCAUACCAUAAUGCAUGAUCCCGUGAUCAACCACUUGGUCACAUUGAGCUCAUUAUGAUGAUGCAUUACCGAGUGGGCCCAGAGAUACCUCUUCAUCACGCGGAGUGACAAAUCCCAGUCUCGAUUCAUGCCAACCCAAUAGACACUUUCGGAGAUACCUGUAAUGUACCUUUAUAGUCACCCAGUUACGUUGUGACGUUUGGCACACCCAAGGCACUCCUACGGUAUCCGGGAGUUUCACAAUCUCAUGGUCUAAGGAAAUGAUACUUGACAUUCGGAAAAGCUACAGCAGAUGAACUACACGACCUUUGAGCUAUGCUUAGGAUUGGGUCUUGUCCAUCACAUCAUUCUCCUAAUGAUGUGAUCCCAUUAUCAAUGACAUCCAAUGUCCAUAGUCAGGAAACCAUGACUAUCUUUUGAUCAACAAGCUAGUCAACUAGAGGCUCACUAGGGACGUGUUGUGGUCUAUGUAUUCACACAUGUAUUACGAUUUCCGGAUAACACAAUUAUAGCAUGAACAAUAGACAAUUAUCAUGAACAAAGAAAUAUAAUAAUAACCAUUUUAUUAUUGCCUCUAGGGCAUAUUUCCAACACCUACGUACCCCCAAACGAUCAUAUACGGAGCCAAAACCCUAAUUCCACCGCCGCAACUUUCUGUAUCCACGAGAUCCCAUCUUGGGGCCUGUUCCGGAGCUCCGCCAGAGGGGGCAUCGAUCACGGAGGGCUUCUACAUCAACACCAUAGCCUCUCUGAUGAAGUGUGAGUAGUUCACCUCAGACCUACGGUUCCAUAGUUAUUAGCUAGAUGGCUUCUUCUCUCUUUUUGGAUCUCAAUACAAUGUUCUCCCCAUCUCUUGUGGAGAACUAUUCGAUGUAAUCUUCUUUUUGCGGUGUGUUUGUUGAGACCGAUGAAUUGUGGGUUUAUGAUCAAGUCUAUCUAUGAAUAAUAUUUGAAUCUUCUCUGAAUUGUUUUAUGUAUGAUAGGUUAUCUUUGCAAGUCUCUUCGAAUUAUCAGUUUGGUUUGGCCUACUAGAUUGAUCUUUCUUGCAAUGGGAGAAGUGCUUAGCUUUGGGUUCAAUCUUGCGGUGUCCUUUCCCAGUGACAGUAGGGGCAGCAAGGCACGUAUUAUAUUGUUGCCAUCGAGGACAACAAGAUGGAGUUUUCAUCAUAUUGCAUGAGUCUAUCCCUCUACAUCAUGUCAUCUUGCUUAAGGCGUUAAUCUGUUUUUAACUUAAUACUCUAGAUGCUUGCUGGAUAGCGAUCGAUUAGUGGAGUAAUAGUAGUAGAUGCAGGCAGGAGUCGGUCUACUUGUCUCGGACGUGAUGCCUAUAUACAUGAUCAUACCUAGAUAUUCUCAUAACUAUGCUCAAUUCUGUCAAUUGCUCAACAAUAAUUUGUUCACCCACCGUAGAAUAUUUAUGCUCUCGAGAGAAGCCACUAGUGAAACCUAUGGCCCCGGGUCUAUCUUUAUCAUAUUAAUCUCCUACUACUUAGUUAUUUCCUUUGCUUUUUACUUUGCCUUUAUUUUACUUUGCAUCUUUAUCACAAAAAUACGAAAAAAAUUAUCUUUAUCAUAUCUAUCAAAUCUCACUCUCGUAAGUGGCCGUGUAGGAAUUGACAACCCCUAUUCGCGUUGGUUGCGAGGAUUUAUUUGUUUUGUGCAGGUACGAGGGACUCGCGCGUAGCCUCCUACUGGAUUGAUACCUUGGUUCUCAAAACCUGAGGGAAAUACUUACGCUACUUUGCUGCAUCAUCCCUUCCUCUUCGGGGAAAACCAAGGCAGUGCUCAAGAGGUAGCAAGGGUUCCUUUUUGUCGACGAUCCGAUGUUUCAACCCUGUUUUCCAGGUGGCCAACGCGUCGCUAAACUUGGUGACGGCGUGUUUGUUUAUCUUCUUCAUUGCCAGGUCCUUAUCUGGAUCUUUAUUAUCCUUUUCACUGCGGUCUGGGAACAAGAUUAUCUGGUGCAGUUUCUUAAGGAGGGAGGGCCUCAUAUUAUCUAUCUUCUGUAGUUUCCCAUCGUUGAUCGUGGCAGUUGUCCGUACGAUGCAACCUAUUUGAUUGCCGUAGCACGAUCGCGCUUCCUCGGGCGCUAUUGUCUCAAAAAUACCGCCGUCCAUCUCCGUGACCGCCAGUCUACUACUCAUGAGCUGGUUUGGGCGCUGUGGCCUCUUUGCUUUCGGUUCUAGACCAGCUCCGCUAGUCUCGGCGCCUGUCUCAGUUUCAUCAUCGGUCCGCAUGUCGGUAUCAGUCCCCGAUGCGACACCACAGUUGCUGCAACAUGGGUAAGGGAGACCACGUCAGUGGUGGGGGGUCUGAAAAUCAGAACACACUUUCGCGCGUCGCGGGCCGCCUCUCAGACAGCUACUGGGGAGGCGGUGGAGUACCUGGGUGCGCGGCGAAUCCCCGGGAACUCGGUGACCAACUUCCUUCCCGUGUGGCGCAUGGAGACGACGGCGACCCCGGCGAAGAGCAGCUUAGCCGCGAGCUGCACAGCCUCGUCCACCUCCUAAGUUGGGACCUCCGCGCGAGCGUUGCGGGGCCGCCACUCGGAUGGCUUCUGGAAGGCGGUUGUACAUGGGCACAUGGUGAAUCCCGGCGAGAGCUGGCCAUUGGCGCGCGCAAGUAGACGACGAUGUCCUCGAAGAAGAGCAGCCCGGCCAGCUCGCCUCACUAUCCUUUGAUUAGAAAUGAAAGAUUGGGAAGAAGCAGACUUGAGCCUGCAGGGAAAGGAUAAGGUGACGAUGCAGUCUCCACUCGUUCGGGGCGACACUCGUACUGAAUGUAUGAGAAACGUGACGUGGCAGAGACCCCAAGAUACUCCCUCCAUUUAUUUUUAGUCUGCAUAUAAAGUUUGGUCAAAGUCAAGAUUUGUAAAUUUUAACUAACUUUAUAAUAAAAAAAUAUCAACAUUCACAAUAUGAAAUCAAUAUUACCAGAUGCGUCAUGAAAUGUAUUUCCAUACUAUAUAGUUUUGGUAUUGUAGAUGUUCAUAUUUUUUUAUAUAUAUGGGAAGUAGAGGCACUCUUCUAUAUAAUGAAGUUUAUAAUAUAUGUGCUUAUAUUGUACUAUAAUUGUUUGAAUAACUUAGCAUAUAUUCAGAUGUAUGAUAUCUGUAAUUUAAACGCUUGAAUUUUACAUAUGAAUAUUUAUUAAUAAAUAUGUACCCCUAUAAUAGCUAGGCCGUGCAGUUGCACGGGUAGAUGACUAGUGAUUACAAUCUUGCUUGUGUGCAAGUCAAGCUUAUCUAGUUUACACGUAACAACUUAUAGAACAUUACAAAAUUUAUGCUUGCUAAUAACUUCUAGAACACUACAACACUUGACAUGUAAAAGGAAUUUGAUGAGUCAUGGCCUACUAAAGCAAGUUACAUUACUAGUCUUAUCUAUCUUAACAGACCACACAAGAUUACAAACUAUGUACCGUGACAGCCAUGCUUAUCUAGUUUAUGCGUAACAAUUUGCAGAAAAUUACAAACUUAGUUUCAGAAAGAUAGGCAAUCUAGAUUAGUGUUUGAGCUGUAAAGUGAAUAAGAUGAGUCAUGCAUGUCAUCACACCUUUUUGGUGGUGGAAUGAUAGUGCAACAACAAGGAACUUUAAUGACCAGUCCAAGAAUACACUUGUAAGUAGUGCCACCAAACAGAACAUACCAAAUGAUGAUUUUGAGAAGCAUCCAAGCACUUUCCACACAAACAAAUGCCAAUUGUGAAAGAGAUCAUUCCAUGGCAGCUAUAAAUAGCCCCAUAGCAUGACGAUCAUCCUUCCUCAUCCAUCAUUCUCAUAAGUAGAGCACAUCAUUUAAGCCAAGCAAGUUGUGGUCAAUACAAAUCCACCAUGAAGACCUUUCUCAUCCUUGCCCUCCUUGCUAUCGUGGCGACCACCGCCACAACUGCAGUUAGAGUUCCAGUGCCACAAUUGCAGCCACAAAAUCCAUCUCAGCAACAGCCACAGGAGCAAGUUCCAGUGGUACAACAACAACAAUUUCUAGGGCAGCAACAACCAUUUCCACCACAACAACCAUAUCCACAGCCGCAACCAUUUCCAUCACAACAACCAUAUCUGCAGCUGCAACCAUUUCCGCAGCCGCAACUACCAUAUUCGCAGCCACAACCAUUUCAACCACAACAACCAUAUCCACAACCGCAACCACAGUAUUCGCAACCACAACAACCAAUUUCACAGCAGCAGCAGCAGCAGCAGCAGCAGCAACAACAACAACAACAACAACAACAACAACAACAACCACAACAAAUCCUUCAACAAAUUUUGCAACAACAACUGAUUCCAUGCAUGGAUGUUGUAUUGCAGCAACACAACAUAGCGCAAGGAAGAUCACAAGUUUUGCAACAAAGUACUUACCAGCUGUUGCAAGAAUUGUGUUGUCAGCACCUAUGGCAGAUCCCUGAGCAGUCGCAGUGCCAGGCCAUCCACAAUGUUGUUCAUGCUAUUAUUCUGCAUCAACAACAAAAACAACAACAACAACAACAACAACAACAACCAUCGAGUCAGGUCUCCUUCCAACAGCCUCAGCAACAAUAUCCAUUAGGCCAGGGCUCCUUCCGGCCAUCUCAGCAAAACCCACAGGCCCAGGGCUCUGUCCAGCCUCAACAACUGCCCCAGUUCGAGGAAAUAAGGAACCUAGCGCUACAGACACUACCUGCAAUUUGCAAUGUCUACAUCCCUCCAUAUUGCACCAUCGCGCCAUUUGGCAUCUUCGGUACUAACUGAGAAGAAAAUAACUCUAGUACUAGAUAUAUGAAACACCGUUUUCUCAGUCCAUGGUUUGGUCGUUGUAGCGGUGAAAAAAUAAUGUGGCAUGCACUAUCAUGUAAGAACCCAAACUAUACUAGUUCAAACUUGGGAAUAAAAGACAAACACAGGUCUUGUCUACAUAUUUAUGUCGCAUCUAUUUAUAUAUUAAAAGUAAUAUAAGGUGAACCAGGAGCAAGGUAAAUAUGCUAGAAAAUUGCACGUUAAUUAGAAAUUACUAGCCCUCAAUCCGGUAAAUCUUAACAAAUAGAAUUAUCUUGACCGUUAGAUUUAUGUAACAUAUAUAAUUCUCUGGGCCUCCAACGACUGUACGUGACACAUCUGAACGCACAUAUGUUAAAGAAAAUAUAUUUGGUAAAUGGUGGGCCUCUUUAAAAAGAGAACUCACGUACAUGCACCAACUAAGAAAAACACAUACAUGUAAACGGGAAAAGGGCUCCACCCCGUUGAAAAAAUAUACAUCUGGAGGCCACUUUGUUUCCUCAUAAAAAAAAACUUACGUUAAAAAGAUUGCAUGCAUCCCAGGGAAAAUAGUCAAGAAGAAGUCGGACUCUUCCUUACAAAAACAAGGAACGUGUUAAGUUGACUUCAAAGAAAAAAGGAACAUGUUAAGUUAAAAAAAACAAGAAACCUGUUAAGUUAGAAAAAAACAAGGAACGUGUUGUCCUAGGAAAGAUAUGUGUCAAAUCUUACAAAAAAAAGAAUACACACACGUACGUUCAUGCACUUGGAAAAUAGAAAAAAAAAGGAACAUCACGUAUGUAUACACUUCGGAAACUCAUUACAUGACCAUGUCUGAUAUACUCCUCUAAUGCUUAAUAUUAGUGCCUAAUAAUUUAUAUUUAAAAUUUAAUUUACUGAUCAAAUAUCCCCACUGUUUAAAUUUUAAUUUGGCACAUUGUUUGGCUAUAGUAUGAACCUAAAUUUCCUCUUAUUAUUAUAUAUCAUGAUAAUAAUCCAAAGGCGACUAAUCUGCGCCGGCGCACCGGCGCAAUCAAUUCGGCCCGACACAGCGCGGCCGUUUGAUUAAAUUGCAUUUAACCGUCAGAUCUAGAAUCAUUUUAUUUCCAAUUAAACGGAUUCAACCAAACAGCAGAGGGGAAAACAAAGCAGCACCGCCGCCAACACUAGUCAUGGACGACCGAUGUAGCAAAACCUUGAAGAACCGCCGCCGGUCGCCACCCUCGCCGCUGGUCGCCGCCCUCGCCGCCUGCGUUUCUCAUCGGCUUCAUGCAUGCAACAACAUGCACUCGUGAUUGCAGGCUUGCAGCUCCGGCUCCGGGGGACAUGGCCGCAUCUCCGGUAGCGCCGGCCGCCAGCCGCAGCACCUGUCGUUGUGGUCACGCUGUACCUCGCCGUGUGCCCUCCCAAGGCUCUUGCUGGUUCCAACAAAAAACGAUACCUAUUGUAGCAAAAAAGUUUAUCGCUUCCAGCAAAAAAGCUUACCGCUAUAGCCCGCCAUCAUCAUUGUAGCAAAAAUGUUAACUCGAUGUAGCUUCUGUGGUUGCCGACUGCGGCCAAAAAUGACGUGGUUGUAGCAAAACACAAAAGAAAAACGCCGGCCGUCCGCUGUGUAUGGUGGUAACAAACCCUAUAGCCGGUGGUAGCGAAAAACUUCACUGUUUGCAGCAAAAAAAUGUUGUCGCCCGUCGUCGAGGUUGCAUCAUCUUCAUGAAUUAUGUCGCAAAAAAACGUUGUCGCCGGUAGUAGCAAAUGAAGCCGCCGGUAGUAACAAAACAAGACACUGGUUCCAGCCAAAAAAAUCAGCGACAGAACCUUUUGUUGGUUCCAACAAAAAAACUUGUCGGUUGUAACAUCCCUCGCCGCCGGAUGUAGCAUCUCCCAGGGCUAGUUGCAACACUCCAUAAAAAAAGUUGUCUAUGAGCGCAUCCAUGGCAACUGCUGCACCGUCAGCAACGAGGGGAAGAGGAGGCAAUGAAAAUCGUUCGAGUCGUAGCUCCACUGGACACGGCUGCAGCAUGGGGAGUCCAAAAAUCUGUCACAAGCAAGAUGCGCCUCGCCAUCCUCCUGCGCAGGAGAGAGAAGAAAAAGGAAUAAGAGGAAGAAGAAACGAAACGGGAGAAAGAAAAAAAGAAACGAUUGGUUGUGGGCUCAGGCAAUUAGUCAAAUGAGGGGCACGCGGGGCCGUAGGAUACAGCGCAAUCGAACGAAGUGCGCGCGUCCGGCCGAAGACUCAGCUGGACUGCCGGUCCAGCUGGAAAUGUUUCCCUAAUACAAAGGCUUUUCUGAAUGACAAGUCGUCUGAGUUAUCGGCUAACUAGAAAAAAGAUAAAUAUGCUAGAUAAUUCCAUAAUAAUUAGAAAUAUCUAGCCUUUAAUUAUGUAAAUCAGAAAAUCACAACCGUUGGAUUUACUUUAAAGGUAAAUUUCUCUAAAUUCCCACCAUUGCCAGUAUGUAGAAACAUGUGCUGCUUCAAUUCUCCCUUAAUCACCAAUCAAUCAACAACUGAAAACAUACCUCAGUUAAAAAAACUGAACAAAAAAAAGAAAAAAAGAAGAAAGGACAAGAUACACGCAUGUACACGACAGCCUUGGCUUGAAACACAUCAGUAGAUCAAGUGUCCGCCUCCCUUACACAGAAUAAAUUCUAGGGAAGAAAAUAAUAGUGCAACCUAACCUUAUACGUACUAUUCUAUCCUCACGUCCCAUGAGGUUUACUAGCCUACUGCCGCCGCAUCAUGCCAUCCUCUCCUUUCAGCUCCCUCCUUGCGGCGCCACUACUCGCCUAGGGAUAUUGCUGCUCAGACCGUGGAGCUUAACCUGCUUCUUCUUCAGCAAAUAUGGAACUGCUUUAGGAUCCUUCUGACAUCAGCGCGUAUGGGCCUCAUUAUACUGCAGCUCCUGGACCUCCUACAAUUGGUUGGCUAUGGCCAGUUGAUCGAUGUGCUGAAGUCCAGGUCUGUUUGCUGGCACAUAUGCUUUGGAAAUAGGCCACUAUGUUUGUACUUCGAAAUUGUUUCUGUAUUCUUCAGUGGUACAUCCUUUUAAGCGCCAGUUUUUUAUGUUAAUUCAUGCUGACAACACUUAACCUAGCCUUUCAUGUUCACGUACUAAAUACAGGAGCAAGUAAAAACAACAGACCACCUAAUUGCUCUGCAAGUUCUACAUAGGAAAAUUUGUCAUGUUCUACGAUCGCACCAUCCCACCCUUCUCUCUUGGUAUGGGCGCCAAUUGAGGGAUUGAUAAAACUGAAACGAAGACGUCACAGGGCUGGAAGUACCGCUAGCCUGGUUCGCACUGCAACCUACCCAACGCCAUCAGAAACUAGCAACUGAGUCAGGUGUUGAUCGAUUCUCUCAAAUUGCUCUCAUGUAAGUACUACCCCUUGCAUGUGCGUACAUACCUUUGUUGCAUUCUCAAACAGAUAGAACAUGUAUGAUCGGUGCAUGGCUAUUUUUCAUCACAUGACAUCCAGAUAACAAGCAUGAAAGGACUACAUUGGAGAUCAAAAAAUAUUGGUUCCUGGCUAGAGUACCACUACCUAUGGACUUGUCUCCAUAGAAUUUGUUCCCAAGAUGUUAUUUUAAUUAACCUCUUUAGCUUUCUUCCGUUGCAAACGGUGAUGUGCAUCAUGGUAUAUACGUGACCAUCUUGCACAUGUAUACACAAGAGGCUCAGACGGAGGUGCUGGAUUCUGGACGAGGGAAUAUGAAGCAGGAGUGAGCGAAGAGUAAAUAAUGGUGGGAGUACCGAUUGGUGUUAUGAAGAAAAAUGCCAUCCAAAGAUUGAUUAGUGUCAUGGAAGAUUAAUUUCUGAAUGCGAAUAUAUAUGUUACAUUGGUUUGGAUCUUUUUGAGAUAAUUGCACCUAAAUUAGGUUCUUUCUUAUUUCAUAUGUAUACCUUAUUUCAGUAAAAGUUCACAACGAACUUAGUAGGACAAAUAUAAUUUUGUUUGUUCUUUCUGUUGUCCGCCACCAAAGCUCAGUUUGAACUCUCUAGAAAUGGACAAUGAUUUAUGCAUUCUAUAUCUUCUUGAUUGAUUAGCCAUGACAAGGAAAUAAAAGGAUUGACUGAUAUAGCAUAACUUUGGAACGAUCUGUUCGUAGAGGUUACUACAAAUUAGAGUAGUGUCUGUUGGAAUUUUGCUAGUAGGCCUUUGGCCCAAAGCCCAACUAAAAUUCUGAAAUUCUCUUCGCUCAUUCAUGCACACAUGUGAGUGGAGUGAGUGAGACUAAAGUUUAGAGAGAGUUGCACCUCUUUAUAAGGUGAGCUCUUCUACCACUUGUAUGAGCAUGAGAAGAGGAGACCUAUACACGCGCUCCUCCUCCUCGCUCACCACGUCUCGUCACGCCGCGCCGCGCCGCGGAUUGCGGGAUUGAGCCGAGCCGAGGACGUUGUCUAUAUUUUUGCUGUUUGGGAAAAAUUAAUAAGUCAUUAAUUAAUAAUUAAUGGAUGCGUUAAUUACUGAACCAUUUUCGAUUCUUUUGGAUCGUGACGACUCGGACGUGGGGUUUACUCCCACGAUCUACCCGGCCCACACUAUAUAGUCAGGCAGACGUCUACCCUAGCCGCCGCCACUUCGUAUGGUUUCUCACCACCGUUACAGAUCGUUGCGCCGCCAAGCAAGUUUUCUCCAUUCCUCCUGUCGGCAUGCACUGGGAGAAGGGACAGCAGGCCUCCGGAACCCCGCCUCUCGUGAUCCUGUACGGGAGAGGGGCGAUCAGAUUUUUGGGGAGCGCACUCGCACGACUGCUGGCAGCGACGACUUCGCAAACGACGACUUCUUCCCCGACCUCGGCAACCUCAUCCUCGACUUCUGCACCGUAUGUUAUUCUAUCCUUCUUGUUCGAGAUCGUGGUAGAAUUCAGAUUUCUAGCAUGUUCCCUAGAUGUGAUUUGUUCAUCUACUAUUCUAAUUCGCAUGAUUAGUUUAAUCUUUGCUAUUGCUGUCAUGAUCUAUUUCCUAUUUAUUCGGAUUAAAUCUCGUAGUAAUUUGCUCAUUUUUCCAACAGUGCCAUCUAAUAGAUGAUGUAAAUCUCCUCAAGUUUGACGUUGUUGAGCUAAUUUACAAAAAAAACCUCAUCAUUAUUGGAUGUCCUUAACAGCUCAAGAACAAGUUGGGGUCGAAAUAAUGGAUUUUACACUUUUACAUUAAAGGUUUAGCUAAAGCAAGCAGGUGUUUUUAAACCUGAAUUUUUUUCCUCCUGAAUUUCUUUGUAUUUUCUUAUUGACACUAUUUAUACAAUCAUCUGACAAAGAUUAGCUAAAGCUGUUUGUAGAUACGUUCAAACCUGAAAAGCUUCUUUGGUUAUCCUUUUAAUAGUUCUACGUUUAUUUUCUCAUAGGUCUUAAUUCUUAUGUAAUACCAAGAUGCAUUGUGGUAGUGUACAUGUGUUAAAUUCAGGUUGUUAUUCACAAUUUGCGACAAAAUUUAGCUCACGCUACAUUUAAAUAUGUUGAAAUGUGAAAGCUCUUUUUCUUCUCCUUUCUACACCUUGCAUCGGAUUGCAUCCCUUUAGUUAUCCAACAUUUUGUACAACAUGUAGAGAUUAGGAAGUUCAUCAUAGUUUGUCUAUUUCCGUGCUAAUAAAUGUAUGAAAUCUGCAUUUCCAAGCUACUAGGACAAGUAAAAAAUAAUAAUUUUACUAUAGGAUUCAAAAACAGCAGUUCUGAAGUGCACUUUAUUUAUUUGUGAAAGUGAUCACAUUUUGUUUCAUUUUUCUAUAGACAAAUCUACUAAUACAUACUCACGAUAAAACUAUAAAAGUUCUAGUCCGCACAUUGGGCGGGCCACCCGGCUAGUUAGUCUAAAGAUAACAAAAUGAGUCUGGAAUUUGAAUUAAAUUGAAGUAUUUUCUUGGACUAUCCACAUCCUUGGCUUGCCCCUGAUCAAUUAUUUCCAGAGAAGCAUUCAAUUCAUCAAUCAAUUACAUUGAUUUUAGUGGCUGGUACUUCUCCUCGACAUCAGUAUAUUCACCGUGGCCACUCCAAAUCGGCAAGAAUGAGGUACCAGUGCUCUGGAGCAGUGCAAGCUAAUUGCUUCUCAUGUGAAGGGGUGCGGGCGCGGGAGAGGUAUUUCUGGUGGGCCAAGGGAUAAGAAGCGACCGUGGCAGCGGUACAGACGCCCGCAAAGCCCCAUAAUUUGUUUUUGGUUUACAGGAAAAAUGCACAUCCAUACCGGCCUGGGGAAUAUAGCACUGUAUUGCAUGGAAAACCAUGUCCGGAUGGUUGUGAGCGGUUUGAGGGUUAGCUUUUGUAACGCCCGGUUAGUUAUGCUAUAGCAAUUCCCUGCUAAUGAUGUCACGUCACCACGAUUACUGUUGUUAACCUCACAAUGAUUCAAUCCCGUUCAAAUUCAAAUUUGAAAUAAAGGUAAACAUCAAAAGUUUUCAAACAUUAAAACUAAAAUCUUUGAGAGGUGACAAAUAAUGCAUAAGUAAUUAUGGUGAAGAAACCACACUUUAAUCAAAUGUUUAAAUACUCUAAAAUGAAAAAAAAACAGUGACUUAAACUAUUAUUUAAAUGCUUUUAAAAUAGUAAAAAUCUUCUAACUAAAUUAUUUGGGUACCAAACUUUUGGUGGCAGUGGUAUAUUUAGUAGAACUAAUUUAGAUGCUAAUUAUAUAAUUUACAAAAUUAGAGUAAAUUGAAAAAUAGGAUAAAACGGAAAAAGGAAAGACAAAACAAAUAAAAGCAAAAGGGGGCAACCCCUCGCUGGGCCUCGGCCUAGCUGGCCACUAGACUAGCUAGGCUGGCCCCGCCGCCUCCCUUAACCCCCCACUCCCCAUCGAACCCAAGCCCGAUCGCCCCAUUUCCCACACACCCCCUCGCUAGUCUCCCCACCUCUUGAUCCCAUCUGGAUCGGGGAGGGUAUUGCCCCCAUCAACCCCGUUGCCGUCGCCGGAUCGCCCGCCGACGUCGGCAGGCCUCCUCCCCGUCGCCCGUCUCCGGCUCACCUCCCCUCUCGCUCCUCUUCCCCGACCCGAUCUGGAUCGUGAACGAGCAAUGAGCUCGAAGCCCCCCUUCACCAGCGCCAUCACCGUGCGCCACCACCACCACCUGAAGACCUCACCGUCGCUGAACCUUGCGUCGCCUCCUUGUAUCCCUCCCCUACUCGCAUCCUCAAGCCAGGCCGAGCCCCUUCUCGGCAACGCUGUGAGACGCCCCCGUUUCCCUCCUCUUUCCACCGCGUUCACCGCGCCGCCCGCCGUGCCCCUCGCCGUGCAUGAGCCCACCACCGCACCAGCCCCCGCUCCGCGCACGACCCUACCCGCGCCCGCGCCAUGAUCCCCUUUUCCGCCCUACCUUCACGCGCUCGCCGCGAUCCCCAUGCUCCCCCGCGCCCUCUUUCGGGGGCGCCGACUGCCCCUGUCCCGGUGCUCGCCGCCGUGCCUCGCCACCGCUCUACUGCUACGUUACUACUGCGCUGCGGCCGCCGCCUCUUCCCGCUGCUCCGCUAGCGCCGAAGCUCCCGGUUGGCUCCACCACUGCUCACGUUAAACCGCCGGCCUAAAUGGCCUAACCCUCGGCUAAUGAACCCCCACUAACCCACUGACACCGGGACCCACAUUCCCUAAUUAACCAUUUAAUAAAUUAACAUUAGUGUAUGACAUGUGCGUCCCCUGUUAAUUAAUAAUUUUACUGCUAGUUUUAUUAGUUUCUGUUUUUCUGCAUAUUUCUUUUGUAUUUGAACAGGCUUUAUACAAUAAUAUUUAGCGUAUCAUACACAUACAAAUGUAAUCAUAGCAUAUACAUACAAAUAGUCUCAUCAAAUCAUGUCAUCAUCAUAAUCAUCAUCCAUCACAAAGUGGUCUCUGGUCAUCAUCUCGAAAAUAGCGAUACAAGUCUCGAUUACUUGCAACUACAUCGUCAUCCAUCUAAACAAUGAUAUACACGAGAAGAGCUCUCACUAUGAGUGAGAGCGGAACUAUGCAGUACAUGAGUUUGUAUCCCUCUCUCGCAUUAGCGUGAACCUAAACUAACGACUGGCUGUUGCUCGGAAACCGGAAACCGGUACACCUGGGCCUGACACUCCGGCCACUCAUCGUAUACUCCUGGCGUAGCACUUCUUCGCCAUCGAUGAUCUAUGCACCUGCAUCGUCACAUGAGUCGAUGAUAUGCAACAUAUAUAGUUGAGCAACAGAAAGAGACAGACUUGGCAAAAAUAGAAGCAACAUAUCACAAGUAUAAAUAACAAAGUUAAUGUUUUGCAGGAUUACAACUCAACCCAUUGCAGAUUAGAAAACAAGCCCGUAUGAAUGCACAGGCUGACGACUAGUCUAUCUAUACCUAUACCUAUACCUAUACCUAUACCUACCUAUACUAAUUACAGACUCCCAAGGAAUUCCCACGUUAAUUAGUAAUUAGGAGUCGUUAAUCUUGUGGGACCAAAUUAUUACGACAGUCCACGAUCUCUUUUCUCUCUGUGUAAAAAAAGGUCCACGAUCUCUUUUCUCGGUUGUAAAAGAUAAAGGCAACUCAGGUCCACGAUCUCUUUUCACGGUUGUGAAAGAUAAAGACAACUCCCGUCUUCUUCUAAUCUAUAGUUCUAUACCUCCACGACCCCUUUCUCUCCCCAUUUAAAAGGAACAAGCUGAACCAAUAUCUAAGCAUGCAAUUGGUUCCUGUGCGGUCUUGACCUUCCAUCCGUCCACUGCUCGAUCGGCCCUCCCUCAACUACAAGCUGACAAGCCACCAUCGCCAUCCAGCGGCACGCCACCGUUCAUGCAUGUGUUUUUGCCCUUCAAUCUGAAGGAGAUGCGUUGGCUACUCAAGUAACUCUGUUUGUUUUGUUCAAACCAAUUUCGUUAAUUCGGUUCUUUGAUUAUCUAAUUGACAUGGCCUGUGAGUUUUGUGCUAGUGAUACAGGGCCUGUCUACUAGAUUCUCUCCUUGCAACUUCUAUUGUUGUCUCGAUUUGGUGUGGUCAAGAUCCUUGCCCCACCACAAGCAGCACCUUUGCACCAUCGGGGAAAUCUGUCAUAGCAAACAGAGGUAUGUAACAUGCUUUGGUGUUUUCCUCUUUCGUUUAGAUCACUAGAGUUGCUCAACCACACCAUUCAUUGAUUAGUAGUUGGCCUGAGAAGUUGCUCGGUCACCUGCAGCGUCUGAUCCCCUUCUUGACCCUCUCCUUCUGGUCAUUAUCCACCGGCAGGUCAAUGCAAAACGGAUCGUUCGUUGCCGCCACCUUGCGGAGACCGAUGUUUGGCUGCCCUCCUGCCAUCCUGGCACUCUGGUACCGGUCACUGUGCCGUUGUUCUAGAAGAACUAUGUCACACGAAGCGAGAUAUCUUCUUACUAAUCUGGAACAUAAGUGUUUCUUCUUACUAGGAUUCGCUCACCGGUGCAUUCAUCUCUUUUUGGAAAAUACGGCCUUCAUAUUUCACACGCCUAUACAUGGGUGCUGUCCCAACAAUAAUCCAUCUAAUCCAUGAUGCACAUUCAUGAAGACUGAUGUGACUGAAUUAAUAUAUCAAUCUGGUGCUUCCGGAUCAGCACUUGAAGAAGCAACCCCUUUAGUUCAUAAAUUUAUCAUACGAAAGUCAGGGGAAAAAUCAACUAAGUCAUGUGUGCUUUUCUAAUUAAUUACUAUACACUAAUUCCAUUUUUUUCAGUAGCAGGCUAGGAUACGUGGAUUGUGGCAGCACAGAAGUAAACCGAUGAGCUACAUUGGCCGUUCACCAGUCAUCGGAUCAGAAGCCAUGUCGACCAGAGGGACGGAACAGUUCUAUAUUAGGCGAUGGAUACAUGUGGAAGCAACUAAGCAUAUGUGGAUGCAUGUGAUCGCAUAGGUAAGGCCAUAGCUGUUCAAGCCCUACAGGAUCUUUAUUGCUGGUUUUAAUUAUGAGUUUACAACACCAUCUAUACAUACUACUUAUCCAUUUAUUUCCUUACCUUCUUUGUUUCUUUCUCUCCUUGAUCCCCUGUCAAAAGGGCAUCAACAUCCAUAUGCGCAACGGCACACGCAACAAACUAUGACUUCGGUUGCACGUCCAAUGGCAACCACAGUACAUGAUGAUAUCAUGUUUGCUGCAAGACGAAGUACAAGUUCAUAAUUUGGUCUUUUGCAUGGUCCCUUAGUAAAUUAUAUUUGUCCACAUACACCACAUACAUAAAAACAGGUAGAAGCGGUUGCAUGAUGAAAAUGUCCUCUCAAUAUGCAUGCCUAUGAAUACUAUCACCAGAAAGCCAAGGACUAACAAUUAUUCAGGGGUCAAGAUUGAAGACAGACGUCCAAGAUUGGCAGUCGGCCGGCCUAAGAGGGGCAAAACCGUUGUACAUUAUAUUGUAUGGACCUAGCAAGAUCCUAAAGAUAAGUGAUAAUGGAGAUCAUGGGGGCCACCCUUAUAACCAUAUGUCCAAAUGUUCUUAUUUGUUUAUUUUUCUUUUCUCUUUUCGGAAGAAUCCAUCCUGCCUCUAUGGUCAUCCUGACCACUUCGUAUUGUUAUCUAAUCUCCUCCCUUAAUUAAUAUAAAGAAUUACCGCAGCUGAAUUCACUAAAAAAAGUAUUCAGUUUAUUUUAAUUUAUUCAACUAUUAUGGCAUAUCAAUUGGAUUGCAAGUUCUUGGCGGUUGCAUUUGAAUCAUAUUUGAUGUGCACAAAGGCUUCAGUGUCAAGGUGGUCGGACGAGUAUUUAUGUCCAUUAUAUAUGUGUUAGCUUGAGAUCAUCAGGCACCUGUUAUGCAUCUGUCCAGUUAAAAGGAUGUUCAGACUCAGGCUUGCCCUACCAUAUAUGGCUGUGACACUCUGAACCAAGCAAGUUGGUCAUAUGUGUCGAGCACUAUUAACUCUUUGGAAGAGGAUCCACCAAGUACAGGAAACAAAUCAAAUAUCUUCUUAACCUUAUCACCAGAAAAAUUAGCAAGAGAUGAAUAGUAACAUUUUAAAGAAGAAAGAUAUGUUUGAAAAGGGAUAUAUAUUAUGGCGACGAUUAGAAGAGCCCUUGACGAAUGGUGCCUAGCCUGCGAAAGUUUCUUAUGAAUAUAGUCAACACUCUAUAUCAACUGUUGUAAGAUUUUAGAAAUAUUUUUGGGGACAUAUGAUACAUGUCUAUUAUACAUAUGAUUCAACAGAAGUUUGAUUGAAUACAUAUUUAAAACGUGACUGACUUCUAUAUGGACGGAGUAUUUCACAAAGGACUCACUGCCAACUGUGUGAAUAUUCCAAGAUAGUUAGUGCACAUAAAUGUUCAAAUCCAUAGCCUGCAUAAAUAUACAAAAGCAAUGUGUUAGACCACUACACAUGCUUCUGAAAGGAGGCAAAAAAAUGUAUGCUUGAUUGAUGACCGUUCAUGCAUGAAAUUAAUUUCUGAUUUCUAAUUAUUUUGGUCAUAUAAUGGAAAUAGAGACAUUAUAAAGAUCCAACAGCAUGCUAUCACACACGUGUGAACACAGACACACACAAAUAACAUUUGCCGAGCACUCACAAAUAAAAGGUGUGGCUACUCUUGGGUGUUCUACAGCUGGCUUAAAAAAACACGUAUGAAACAUGAUCCCCAAAAAUCUGAAAUUCGCAACAUAUGAAAAUCCACCCUCAAACAUAUUUCUGGUGUCUCAAUUCUUUUAGUUUCAGAUGGUAUGUCCAGCCAAAGUAGUUGUACACAUACAUUACUAUGUUCUAUUAUUUGAGAUUCUAAGACAACAUUUAGUAACUAGCCCGUGCGAUGCACGGGUUCACGACUAGUAUAUAUAAAGCUUAAUGGUGCCUAAGAAAGCUCGCACAAUUUUACAGUGGCUGUGGAGAUGUGUUGCCAAACUGAGACAUAAGAUUUUCGUUUGGCAUCCAGAGUUGCAGACCGCUUGUGUUAUCCUUAAUCCAUGGCCACUCUAAUUUUUCCGGCUGGGCCUUCCCUGUGGUACGGCAGCAAGGCUUGCGUGUGUAUAUGUUUCCUUUAACUACCACUAGCACAUAUGCCCGUGCGUGCGUUGCAAGGGGAGAGAUAAUGGCGUAUCCACCAAUAUAUCUAGCAGCAUGACCCAACAACAUCCGAAUGAUGUCACCCGACGACGGCAGGAAGGCACACACAGAGGUCUAGUAAAAACUCAACAAUUGUACGGGCAUGGUUAAUUCGCGUGAAUUCAAGGGUGUGAGAUUAGUUAGUGUUGGUCCCACAAUUGAAUUCGGGGGCUGAUUAGUUAGUGUGGGCCCACCCUUGAAUUCACCGGGGGAGACAAAAUAAUUAGGGUGAGGAGAGAUUUACGGGGCUUGGUCCCCAGAUGCGUUGCGGCAGUCAUUAUUCGAGCAUUGCAAUGCUCGCACGUGAGGAGCUCUUUUUCCAAUUGUAUAUUGAGAAGCAUUGCUACAGAUACAAUGUUUUUGAUACGUUUUUGUACGAUGAUCCUGAUCUUAAAGGGCCUUCUAAUUUUUAAAUCUUAAAGGCAUUAUUUGUAAGUUGUCGUGAAAAAAAUCUCGCUAAAAGGGUUAUGUUAGACCAUCUUCAGUACAUUAGAAAUAACGAAUUAUAAUUCCUUGGCAUUUGAACAAACAAUCCCUACUUAUUUACACAUACAAUACUUUUGGUAUGAUUUUGAAAUCUUGAAGGCAUUAUUUGUAAGUUGAAGCAAUUUUGAAAUCUCACUAAAAGGUCUGUUAGACCAUCUAUAGCUUUAGAAAUAACUAAUUAUAAUUUUGCAAAAAAAAGAAAUAACUAAUUAUAAUUCCUUAAGCAUCUGACCGAAACGACCCCGAUUUAUUGUCUGGGUAGUAAUUCCUUUGCAACAUUAUUCUCUCCUUUCUUGAAGGAACUCUUGCCUGGGUAGUAAUUCCUUUGCCCACGUAUUUGCAAGGUUAUUCUCUCCUUCAUUUUUACAGGAGCUCUCCUUCCUUAUACUAAUUGGUCAUUAUCCUCUCCUUCCUUUUUCUUUUUGCCAAACUCUCUUUCCAUAUUUAUGCCGCUAACCACGCCACUCUUUUUCCUUAUUUAUGCCCUUUGAUCACGCCACACAUCUCAUGAAAUCUAAGCCAUAUAUAUCACCCAUCUUUUUUCCUUAUUCCGGUGCUUUCCUCACAAACAGUAGUUCUCUAGGAUGCUUAACGAUUUUGAAACAGAAACAUAUAUAAAUCGGUAGAACGGGUUGUAAAGCAGCGAGGUGGUACUAAUUUAUAAAGAAACAAACCUUUUCUUUUUGUGUAAUGAUGCCUUGGUUCGGCUGGUUGCGUUGGGAAAAGGACCGGCGAAGUGGGCGAACCAAAAACGGAUAAAAUUACGGUGGUAAGAAGCGAUAGCCCUUUUAUUAGUAGGUAUGAGGAUGUCUAGGAUGUCUAGGAUGAGGAUUUACUGCACACAAGUGCGGGGGCACUCAGGUCCUGAUGCCGCCUUUUUAUUUUGGCUUCCGAUUUUCAAACUUCUAUAUCUUUUAAACAAAAAAUUCAAUUUAAGUUACGUUUUCAUAUUCGUGCUUCUCGCGGCCAGCGCUUUCAAAUAAGAUCCAUUUUGCAUACAUUUUGGUGGCUUUUGGAAACGGGCGAAUAGCUCCUAUGCGACGUUGUUGGUGUGUAUUGUCUCUCAUGCGACGUUGUUGGCUGUAAUAGCUCUCAUGCGACAUCUGCGUUGGAAAAAAUAGCUCCCAUGCGACACACCAUUUACGCGGCUAGUUGGCUGUUAGUUAGGCUGAGGUUUGGUUAGGACACUGGGGGUUAUGUGCUCUGACUGGUGGGGUCCACCUAUGGUCACGUAGACAAGAGUCAACCGUCCACGACUCGACCUGGGACUGUGUGACCGUGCUCGACUCACCCGUGCUGGACUGAGUGAGCGGUGCCGCCGUAAGCAUCUUCUCCGACAGCGGUUUCUUCUCCGCGGUGGUGGAGCGCAUUUCUCGGCAGCGGCAGAGCUAUUGCGAGGUGAGCCCGAAACCCUAGUCCCACUCCCCAGAAUUUUGGGGGAUCUGUGGCCUCAUGCUGCCCUCUGUUUCUUGGCGAUUUAGAAUCGGGCUCCAUUGGAUCCGGGGGUUGUUUCUUCUCCGUGGCCCGGUGGUGGAGCGCCUAUCUCUGUAGCGGCUAUUGCGAGUGAGUAUUUUCCAAACACUACUCGCAUUCCACUAAAUUUUGGAUAAAUCUGUGGCCUCAUGCUGCCCCUAUUUCUUGGCGUUUUAGAAUCUCGAUUGGAUAGGAGAUGGAGCGAGGGCUGGAUGAGAUGGAGCGAGGAGACAGUGCUUCAAAUCGGUAAUGCCACACUCUUUUCUUGGCGAUUUAGAAUCGAACUCGAUUUGGUAGUGACUGCCGCCGCUGCCUGCCAUUGACAAAACAGGGGAGGUUCAAGUUCUGCCACCACAUUCACAAUUAUAGUGGAAUUUUUUCCCUGUAAAGCCAAGCUCAGUGAUGGCAGUGUCCAAGACAUUGAUAGAGAUACCACCGUGAGGUUCGAUGUCGAAUUUGCAGAUGUUGAUCCCCAGGAAUUGGAGAGCAUGAAGGAGAAGGCCGUGGGCAAUUUGGUGGAGAGAAUUGGGGAGAAUAUUGUUUGGGGUCCAGAACAAGAGGUAUGUCUGCAACGUUUCGAUAACUAUAAUGGUGAAUAUGUGAGAAUUGAAGAUGGAGAAUCCAUGGUUGCUGAAAUUGAUCAGCAAGAAGGGUGGGCAACUAAACAAGUAACAUUUUAUGCAGAGCUAAUUGAUCUACAAACUCAUUCCAGAGUUGGUUAUGUGCAAUCAAAGAGGGCUGCACAGAUGGAAGAUGAUGAGUGGGUUUCACAAAAGAAGAUGUUGGCAUUGUUGACUGAACCGACUGUAGUAGCUGAAGAUACAGGGAUUGAUGCAGAUGGAGAGGAGGGAACCCAUGGUGCUAGGAAGAUUGUUGUUGACUGGAAUGUAGUAGAGUUGAAUGAAAAAACAGAUUUGGUCAUUACACCAAUAUCUGACAUUGAUAUGGCCGAAAUGUUUGGCAUUCAAGUUGAUGACAAAGAUAAGGAGAAGGAUGACAGUUCUUUGCCUGCUGAAGGAACAUAGGCCCUAGAAAUGCAAAUGAGGAUGAAGAACAGCUGAUGAGAGAGGCUGCAGAUGAUGUGGAUGAUGCAGAUGAUAAUGAGUUGGUUUGUUUGUAUGACAAAGAGAACCCAGUUAUUGAGGUGGGAAAGUUGUGGCCAAGCAUGAAGGAGUUUAGGAUGUCUUUCAGGACCUAUGCAGUGAAAAAGAGUUUGAUGCCAAGACUAUGUGGACUGAUUGAAAGAAAUUUUAUGCUCGGUGCAAAGGUUAUGAUGGUGGUGGCAAUCCUUGCAAAUGGUACUUGUCUGCCAGACUACAACCUGAUUGAAGUACAGUAAGGGUAAAUCAAAUACCACACCAGCAUACAUGUAUGACCACUUCACAGAGAGUUUCAAAGAUGACAUCACAGCUUUGGGUUACAGAGAAGAUUACUCCUAUUUUAGCCAAGACUCCAAACACUACUGCAAAGAGGCUUAAAGUUGACUUGGAGAAGCUGUACCCCAUCCAGCUGCAAUAUACCACAGUGUGGAAAGCAAAACAAAGGGCCAUGAAAUCAUUGUAUGGUGACUGGGCAAAUACAUUUAGGAUGUUGUAUAGUUUUAAAGCAGAGGUGGAGAAGAGGUCACCUGGGAGUGUGGUGGAGAUAGAUACAGAGGUAACAGAGGAUGUCAUGGUUUUAUUCAGCAAGUUUUUUAUGUGUUUGAAGCCAUGCAUAGAUGGAUUCAAAGCAGGUUGUCGUCCAUAUUUGAGCAUAGACUCAUCUUUUUUGACUGGAAAGUGGAAUGGUCAGUUGGCUGCAUGCAAUGCUCUAGAUGGACGCAACUGGAUGUUCCCAAUUGCAAUAGGAAUGUUUCAAUCAGAGACAGAGGCAUCAUGGAUAUGGUUCAUGAUGCAACUGAAAAGAUGUAUAGGGCCAGUUUCUCCUUUAGCCAUCCACACAGAUGCAUGUAAAGGGUUCGAAAAUGCAGUAAAAAAUGUUGUCCCCCAUGCUGAGCAGAGGGAGUGCUUUGGACAUAUGUGGAUGAAUCUGAUAAAAAAAUUAGAGGAGAUGAAUUUGGGCGCAUGUGGCCAGCAGCAAGAUCCUACACCAGACAGACACAUUCCUAUCACCUUGGUAAGAUAUUGGCAUCAUGUAGUGAUAAUGAAUUUGCUUCAUGGUUGAACACCCGCCAUUCUCUGUUGUGGUAUAGAUCAGGUUUUAAUACUGCCAUAAAAUGUGAUAAUAUCAAUAACAACUUGGCAGAAAGUUUUAACAACAAAGUGAAGGAUUUGAAAGACUUGCCUGUGCAUGACAUGGUGGACCAAAUAAGGAUCAUGAUCAUGCGUUUGUGGGAGUUGAGAGGAAAAAUUGCUAAUAUUUUGGAAGGGGACAAGCUUCCAGCAGUGGUACAAUAGGUGGUCAACAGGAGUAGAAAUCUUUCACAUCUAUCUGUUGAGAAAUCUUCCUUGUGGGGUGCUGAAGUUAGAGAUACAAAGAGUGGCAAGAGGCAUGUGGUAAAUACUGAGUUGCAUGAGUGUACUUGCCGAGAGUGGCAACACACUGGAAAACCAUGUGAGCAUGCCAUACUUUUUUUGGCAUCUAAACCCAGGUUAAAUAUGCACCCAUAUUUGCAUGAGUAUUAUUCAGUACAAAAAUUCAAAGCUGCAUAUGCAAGUCCAAUUCCUGCACUGACUGACCAAUCUCAGUGGCCUGAGGUGGAAAUAGAAUUUACCUUGUGUCCCCUGUCACUAGAAGAAAGGCUGGGAGGCCUAAACAGAGCAGAUUCAAAGCUUGGUUUGAGAAAGGUGGUUGUAGUAAGAAGGGGAAAAAAGAAAAGAAAAAGAAUGAUAAGCCCAAAAGGGCUCAAAAAGGUAAGAAAAAUAGGUGCAAGUUGUGUGAGGUACUUGGGCACAGAAUUGGUUCAUCCAAGUGCAUCUAUACUCCUCAGAGGACAAAGUAUGUUCAUGUUACUGUUUUUACAAGUUUUUGAUUUUGUUACUUGUUCUAGUAUCUAACCAAGUCAAAUGCUUUAUUUUUUAGGAGGAAGCGUGCAGAAAAAGCCCCACCUCUUGUUGUUGAACAAUGCUGGCCAGUGAAAAAAGCAAGACUCAAUGGCUAUAUAGAAGGAAGAGCACUAAGCAGAUAAUGUUUGGUGACAAAGAUAUGGAGCUAACUGAAACUGUUACUGCUGAACAUGAGCUAAGUGUUUCUGUUUUGGACGAUGUGAUGCAUACUGAAUCUGUUUUGCAGACGCUAGGGCAAUCUGAAACUGUUGCAGAUGAAGCAACGGUUGUGCUGCCAUGCGAAUCUGCUUUGACAACUGUGUUGCCAUGUUUGGAGGUUGUGCUGCCAAGUGUUGAGUUGCAAACUGAAGUAGUUGAACAAUUUGUGCCAUCUACUCAAUCUGCAGAAGUGCAAACUGAAGAAGUGCAAACUGAAGAAGUGGGACAUGGUCAGGUGAAAAAGUUGAGGGGGCCUAGUGGAGUUUGCAAGGGGCCAAAAAGCAAGAGCAUCAACAUCAACAAACUAUGCGCCGUGGAACCAAACGAUGGAAAAAAGCAGAAGAAAUCGAGUGGUAGAAAGAAGCAAAAGAAAUAGAGUCGAAAUCAUUCAAAUUUGAUGUGAAAACUUAAGUUUGUUGUCAUUUGAUGUGAAAACUUAUGUUCUUUCAUGUGAAAACUUAUGUGCUAUGAUGUUGAUUUGACUUGAAAUAAAAUUCAAAUUUGAACCGACAUUCAAAUUUGAACCUAUCUCCAAAUUUUUUUGAGUUCAUUUGUUUGUUCUGUGAUGUUGCAUCGUUUUAUGUACUACUAUGCACUUUGUGAAGUCCAACUCAUAGUCACUGAAAAUGCUGUACAAACAGGCUCCAAAGUAAGGGAAAACGGCCCCAUUUCUAAGCAAGUUUUUUUCGAUCUUCUCAAAAUCACCCAAAAAAGAUUUUCUUAGCUUAUAUUAUACCUAUAUAGGAUCAAUACAAAGUCUCACCUUUUUUGAAUAAGUAUUCAUAUUAUUUAAUUUAUUUUUGAAAAAACACCCUUUAAUACAAAGUCAGCAAUAAAACAAGUUUAAAAAUUUUAAAUGCAAAAAUAACUUCAGAUCCUCCUUAGUCACUCUAAAAUGAAGCUAAGGUGAUGUUUUUUGAUUUUUUUGCAUUUUCAAAACCUCAAACCCUCUUCUCACUCCUUUGAACUCUAUGCAACCUCAGUCGAGAUAGUCCAAUUUGUGAAGGUUUUUUCAUGCAAAGAUCAUUAGAUCAAGUUUAUCAUUUUAUAUCAUAACUAUGUAACAUAAAAAGGCUAUAUGCGCAGGUUUUUCAUUUUUUAGAUUUUUUUGAAUUAGUUAUACACAUUUGAAUGUUCGGUCAAACCUUUCAAAACCCCGUUGACUGCCUCAAAACCCCAUGUAACCCUAGCGCCAAACGUCCACCGUCGAUCUAACCCUAACGCCAAACUGCGGCCGUCGGAUGGGACUUCUAGAAGGAUUCCGCGGGGGCGAUCCAUGGGCUCCAAUCUGAUUGGCCAUUGUUUUUUCUCUCUGACGAACAGAUAACGUUGAGCGGGGGAGCAUCUAAGUGACCGUUGGGCCGAGUGGAUUGGGCCUGGCAAAGCCUGGCGUGCGUGCACACGGCUGUUGAGAGGGGGGAUGGGCUGCAUGCGAGCGGGUCAAUGACAUGUGGGCCAUCCUUGUCCCAUGCAUGCCAUGCAACGUCGCAGCCUAGCUAUUCUUUGCUCGUGAAAGCCUAGCCAUUUGCAUGCGGGCUUGCAUGCACGCAUCGACGCAGAGUACGGCAAGGGUGCAGCGUAUAGGUACGUCGCAUCUAAGCUAUUUUAACAAAUGCAUGUUUGAACGAGAUGGACGCGUCGGUGGUGCAGCUCCUUUUUCAGUGUCACGCGCGGAUGAACGGGCCUGUUUCCCAUGCGGCAUCACCGCCGAUGCAAGUGCCCGUGCCUCUUUGGAUGCUCUGGCCGCCGUUUUUUGAAUUAAUGCCCGCAAUUACUUAUGCCAUGCGAACGGAGAAGAGAAAAAGAUCGAGAAGGGGCACCGUGUACACAUUGACCAUGGUUGCAAUGCGGCUAUAAAAGGGCACCAUUUCCUCAUCCUCUCACACUCAUCUCUCAAGCCUCCUCCCCUUCUUCUUUUCGAGCCAAAUCCACCACUCGAGCCACCAUGCAGUUCAACGGCCCUACCUACCGUCGCCCUUGCACCGUGCCGGAGAGGCAGUACCCAGCCGGAGUCGUCGUGGAGAACAGCCUGAGGGUGUGGGCCAUCUCUAGGUGGAGGGGCCCUAGAGAGUUGGCUCGCUUCUUCCUCCAAGCUGGCUACCGCCACCUCCCUCCGGGCACUCCGCCCAUGUUCCACCUCCACGAGCAGUACGAUGGCAAUGCCGGCCCCGACGGCUUCGUCAUCGGCCUCUAUGUCACCUUCACCAACCCCUACGACGCUCACCACCUCCCCGGGGAGGUGUUCUGGUGUGGAUGCGAGUUUAUCGCGUUCACGACCUACAACAUCUUCACCAACUUCCACCACAUCUUCCCUCACCACAACGGCAUGCACACCCUCCCCUAUCAGAUGCCGGAGGACGACGAGUGAGGGGCCCAAGGAGGAGGGUCCAAGGAGUGGCAAGGAGGAGGGGCCAAGGAGUUGUUCAAGCGGCGAGUCUUCUAUCUAUCUAGUUUGGGGCUCUAGUUUGUGUUUGUGUUGGUUCGGGCGUGUGUGCCCGUGUCUUUUAUAUAUCUAGUUUUAAUUAUUUUACUUUCAUGUUUUAUGAACUAUAUGUAGUGGGGGGAUGCCCCUCUAUAAGUUUUAUCUAUCUAUGCUACUAGGGUACCCGAUGCCCCUCUAUCUAUCUAUAUGUUUUUUCGGUCCUAAAGUUUCUCCAUUGCAUUUUAUUUAUGUGGCCAUGUGUACUAAAAAACAAUUGAUCUGGUAUCUAAAAUGUACGUUACCAAGAAAUUGACAAUAAAGAUUAUAUACUGUACUACAUAAUCAUACAGUUGGUAUACAAUGCAUUUGAAGACAAUGGGCAAGAAAAAUGCUAAUUAUCUGGUGCUGGUGACAUGCGUAAGUGUUGUCUGAUGUUUAAAUCAUGCUUGCUAUGUCAUUUUUUGCUGCCAAACAUGGCAUUAGCGAGAAAGGUCAUUUGGGCACUGAAUGUAUUAAAGUAUACACCAUAUAUAAAAAUGUCUAGCCAAAAGAUUUGGGUGUACAACUGUACACCAAUGACCAAGUAUGGAUCCGCCCCUGGUUGUAAGGGGAUGCCCCUCUAUGUUGUAAGGAGAUGCUACUAGGGGCACACUAGAUGUCUUCUUUUUUUGAGAGAGGCACAACCUUUUUCGGUUGAAACACACGAGUAAAAACUUUGAAAACACCAUAGCACAAGUAAAAAAAUAUAUUAAGAAAUGGUGCUUGGUUGAAAUAAACUAGAACCAAACAAUUGCAACUUUCUUGGUUCACAAAGACUGCUCAAAUAAUUAUCUCAAAUAGCUUAUGCAUAAAAAUAUCUCAAAUAAUUAUUAGAUGAGUUAUCUCAAAAAAGGUGACUGCAGGAAACUUAAAAUUUGUGAAAUGAUCUAAAGCCGAAAAGAUAUAUCGAUGAAUUAUCUCAAAUAGCUUAUGCAUAAAAAUAUCUCAAAUAAUUAUUAGAUGAGUUAUCUCAAAAAAGGUGACUGCAGGAAACUUAAAAUUUGUGAAAUGAUCUAAAGCCGAAAAGAUAUAUCGAUGUCAAUGACCGUGUGCACUUUUUUUGCACUCCUUUUAUCAAUGGGCCUGGAUAUGUUCUAUUCGGCCCUGCCUAACUUCUAUAUGGGCCUGGCCUUUUCGGGCAACUAUGGACGAACCUUUUUUUUCCUUUUCUCCCUCUACCACUGAAACUGAAACUGAUGACGAACUGAAGAACUAAAAAACGGGGCCGAAACAGAGUGGAGAGGACAUGCUGAAUUCGUACAACGCAACACUUUUAUUCAAAUAUACAUAUCAUUAGGAUUACAAAUGAUGCCCAAUCUAUUCACUUACGACUAAUUAUCAUCACAUAAACAAAUGCGAGAGCAAUUACACAAACAUAAAAAAGUCCGGCCAUCAGCCCCAUCAAAUUGCCCUGCUUCUGCAAUUUGAUGAGUUUCUUCAUCUGCUUGUUUAGCUUCUUCAGCUCUGCCGUCACUACUGCAUCCCCCACAGUAGCCCCAAUGGAAUGGGCACAUCCAGGGGCCCCAGAUCCAGAAGCGCCCGAUCCAAACUUGCCCAACUUCUCCACCUCCAGCGGUAAAUCGAGCUCCCCUGAUGCACCCUCCAGUUGAAUCCGCUCUAUGUACUCAUUUAGCCACUCAAAAUGGGUGCAUUGCUUCAAUUUCUGAAAUUGGAAAGAUGAACCCUAAAUCCCAAAUCCGAUGAAAAAUGGGGAAAAAUUGUGAUAUGAAAUUGGGAUACAAAAACCAAAAUUGGCAUAUUGAGAAGUAAAAUCUCACCUUUCCCUGCUCUGGUUUGCUCUCGCAUUUCACGAAUUCCCGCCCAAGGUUGCCAUUCUUGUCGGUCGUUGUGACUAGCCGCUUCAGGGGUGUGAUACGUGGGCCUGCAGGGCACCUUGUCAUGGGCACUGCGCCAUAGCGCGGCCAUGAGCGGCGGGAGGCUGAAGCGGAGCUCGACAUUGCUAGGUCGCGGCCCGGAACGGCGUUGCUGCGCGUCGUCGCCGGAGAAGAAGAACAACAACGGUCGGGGAGGGGGGGUGGGGGCGGGGGCGAGGAUGGGCCACGGCUCGGGCCACGGCUCGGUGUCCUCUUGUACCAAUGCUGACCUGGAUAAGUUAGUGGGUCCCACGCAGUGGGUCCCGCUCACCUGACCAAUGCUGAGUUGGAUAAGUUAGUGGGUCCCGCGCUGUGGGUCCCGCUCACCUGAUUCGAGUUUUAAACAUGUGUCUUUGGAUUAGACAGCAGUGUCGCAUGGGAGCUAUUUUUUCCUAUGCAGAUGUCGCAUGAGAGCUAUUACAACCAACAACGUCGCAUGAGAGACAAUACACACCAACGAUGUCGCAUAGGAGCUAUUCGCCCUUUGGAAACAUUGCUAAGUUUCAUUGUUUGAAACUUAGUACGAGCGACCGAUAAAAUUUAAUUAUUUUGUGUCUACGACCAACAGGAGAAAUUGCUUAAAAUUACAUCUUUGAAACUGGUCAUUUUUUGAUGCAAAAAUGUAAGUUUCAUCAUUGAAACUUAAGGGCAUGUCCAAUGCUGGAUGCUUAUCCAGGCGCUUAUCGUGUGGAAAAAAAAAAUGCCACGAAGUUAGCUCUCGCUUGUCCAACAGCCAAUGCUAACAACGGGCGCUAACCACGGCUGGAGCUAUAGAUUAGAAAGAAAGAUCUGGUUCACUUGUACGUGAAAAAAGGAGCAAGCGCUCGAUGCCUUGCUUUGCAUCGAUGCCAGACUGAGGUGCUGGGAAUCGACAAGAUAACCGCCAAUCUACCAGGAUUAAAUUCCUAGCGCCUUCUUCUAGCGCCUCCCACUGAAAAUGCCCUAAAGGUUUUUGAGGGAUUUUUUUACUGUGUCCUACUUCACGUAUCACGAGGCAAAUCAAGUAGGCGGCAUGGCCUGGCCGGUGAGUGCCAUUGCACUUACUUGCCCCAGCGAUUUUCCGCCUGCAUUGUAGAAUUCUUUCUCCGAGUCCUGUGAAUUAAAGAUGGUGCAGACAAAAGUAUAUCCUAUAUGCGUACAUGUGCAUGAUCAGAACAUGUUUUUACGUGCGUCUACUAUAAAUCAUGACCAUUUUUAACACAAAUCAUGACCAUUCAUGAUUAGUGAAUCAUACUGUCUUAACUUAUGUGAAAUCAUGUGGAGUAAUAUAAUAUAAUAUAAUAGAUAGAUAGAUCCAUGUUGUAUCAUUACACAUUUUGAUUUAUGCAUUUGUUUACAAAAAAAACAGUAAAAUUUCAUGGUGAAAAGUUUGUAUUGUUUCAUACUGAACACCAAUGUUUUCCCGUAAAAGAAAAUAAUGCCUACGCAUAUGCUUUUAUAUUAUUAUUAUUCUUUCAAACUUAUUCAUAUAGUAUUUUUGAUUGUGCAACCAUAAUUUUUAUUAUCUCUCUUGUUCCACUACAUGCUCUUACUCAAUGAUUUUUUUAUAAUGGGUGUUUUUAUUAACUCAAAAUAUAGCAUCAAGCGGAUACAAAACAUAACGAGCCACGUCCGGUCUCUGCAUAACUAAGAUGCACACAGCCAAAAGCAGAAGUCUGACAAAAAUAAGAUAAGAAAAUCAACAUAUCGACAACAGUGAGUCAUAUAGUUCCGACACUAUGCCUCUGUUGAAGGACGGGGUGGAGCGAUCUGGAGAUUAUGCUUCCCUCCAUUUUGAGUAAAUACCUCCCUGGCCACUUGUUCCAACCGCAUAGACGCCGCCACGAAUAAUGGUUGGUACUCUGUUCGGUGUAGCAUACACCAUGUAGGAAGUGAGUGCUCACUCCUAGUUACUAAAUUAUGUACACACUAGUAGAAAAAGGGCCAUUUGUCCCGGUUCGUAAGGCCCAUUUGUCUCAGUUAGGGAACCGGGACUAAAGGGUCGGUACUAAAGCCCUACACCUUUAGUCCCGGUUCUUACACCAACCGAGACAGAUGGGGCUCCACGUGGCCGCUGCGGCUUGCCAUGGCAGGGGGGCCUUUUGUCCCGGUUGGUAGCACCAACCGGGACCAAUAAGCUACCACGCGUCAGCAUUUGAGGGGCUUGGGUUUUUGUUUUUUUCUGAAGGGGGGGAGGGGGGUUGGGGGUUUUGGGGGGUUUUGUAUGGUUAAUUUUGGGGGGUUUCAUAUAUAGUGUUAGGUAGUAAUUAAUUAAUAGAGAGAAGUGUCCUCUCUUAUCUCCGUGCUUGGUCGACGCUACGUACUAUACGUAUAGAGAGGCCCUCGACACGCUUGCCAGUAAGCAAAUGAAGGAAACCAUUAAGUACAGAAGUUCGUCAUGAACAUAUGCAUACAAACAUAAGUGAUAUCGACCUCUCCUUCUCCGAGAGAUAGGUCGAAGAACAAGUUUCCGUAUAUCUAUCCGGCGCUACUAGCUACAUAUAUACAAUAUUAAGAUCUCUUACAAUAUAAUCCCCUAAUUAUAUAUGAACUCAGCUUCCAGAUGGUAUUCUCCGGCUUUAUUGAUGACGUGGUCAAGAAAGAAUCCCUCCAAUUCCUCUUGAAUUGCUUUGAUGCGAUCUUGUGGUAGGAGUUCAUCCUGCAUCUGCCACAUCUAAUUUGAAGAAGGGGGUCAAUCACUAGUGGAAUAACAGCCAUUUGUCUAGGUUCGUAAGGCUCAUUUGUCCCGGUUGGGGAACCGAGACUAAAGGGUCGUUACUAAAGCCCUACACCUUUAGUCCCGGUUGUCGGUGUCAAAACCGGCGGAUCUCGGGUAGUGGGUCCUGAAUUGUGCGUCUAGGCCGGAUGGUAACAGGAGGCAGGGAACACGAUGUUUUACCCAGGUUCGGGCCCUCUUGAUGGAGGUAAAACCCUACGUCCUGCUUGAUUAAUAUUGAUGAUAUGGGUAGUACAAGAGUAGAUCUACCACGAGAUCAAGGAGGCUAAACCCUAGAAGCUAGCCUAUGGCAUGAUUGUUGUGUAUGGAGUUGAUUGCCUACGGACUACAACCCUCCGGUUUAUAUAGACACCGGAUAGGGUUAGGGUUACAUAGAGUCGUUUACAAUGGUAGGAGAUCUUGAAUAUCCGCAUCACCAAUCUUGCCUUCCACGCCAAGGAAAGUCCCAUCCGGACACAGGACGAAGUCUUAAAUCUUGUAUCUUCAUAGUCCAGGAGUCCGGCUGGACGUAUAGUCCGGCUACCCGAACACCCCCUAAUCCAGGACUCCCUCACCGGUUCUUACACCAACUGGGAGAGAUGGGCCUCCACGUGGCCGCUGCGGCGAGCCCAGGUAGGAGGUCCUUUGGUCCCCGUUAGUGACACUAAUACGUCUCCAACGUAUCUAUAAUUUUUGAUUGCUCCAUGCUAUUAUGUUAUCCAUUUUGGAUGUUAAUGGGCUUUAUUUUACACCUUUAUAUCAUUUUUGGGACUAACCUACUAAUCGGAGGCCUAGCCCAAAUUGCUAUUUUUUGCCUAUUUUAGGUUUUUGAAGAAGAGGAAUAUCAAACGGAGUCCAAACGGAAUGAAACCUUCGGGAACGUGAUUUUCUCAACGAACAUGAUCCAGGAGACUUGGAGUGUGCGCCAAGAAAUAAGGGAGGAAGGCACGAGGCAGGGGGGCGCGCCUACCCCCCUUGAGCAUGCCCUCCACCCUCGUGGGCCCUCCACUGCUCCACCGACGUACUUCUUCCUCCUAUAUAUAUCCACGUACCCCCCAAACAACCAGGAGCACCACGAAAACCUAAUUCCACCACCGCAACCUUCUGUACCCGAGAGAUCCCAUCUUGGGGCCUUUUCCGGAGGGGGCAUCGAUCACGGAGGGCCUCUACAUCAACUGCAUGGCCUCUCCGAUGAUGUGUAAGUAGUUUACUUCAGACCUACGGGUCCAUAGUUAUUAGCUAGAUGGCUUCUUCUCUCUCUCUUUGGAUCUUAAUACAAAGUUCUGCUCGAUUUUCUUGGAGAUCUAUUCGAUGUAAUCUUCUUUUGUGGUGUGUUUGUCGAGAUCCGAUGAAUUGUAGGUUUAUGAUCCAGAUUAUCUAUGGACAAUAUUUGAUUCUCCUCUGAAUUCUUUUAUGUAUGAUUCGUUUAUCUUUGCAAGUCUCUUCGAAUUAUCAGUUUGGUUUGGCCUACUAAAUUGAUCUUUCUUGCAAUGGGAGAAGUGCUUAGCUUUGGGUUCAAUCUUGCGGUGUUCGAUCCCAGUGACUGAAAGGGAAGCGAUAUGUAUUGUAUUGUUGCCAUCGAGGAUAAAAAGAUGGGGUUUAUAUCAUAUUGCAUGAGUUUAUCCCUCUACAUCAUGUCAUCUUCCUUAAAGCAUUACUCUGUUCUCUUGAACUUAAUACUCAAGAUGCAUGCUGGAUAGCGGUCGAUGUGUGGAGUAAUAGUAGUAGAUGCAGAAUCGUUUCGGUCUACUUGUCUGGGACCUGAUGCCUAUAUACAUGAGCAUACCUAUAUAUUCUCAUAACUAUGCUCAAUUCUAUCAAUUGCUCGACAGCAAUUCGUUUACCCACCGUAAUACUUAUGCUCUUGAGAGAAGCCACUACUGAAACCUAUGGCCUCGGGGUCUAUCUUCUAUCAUAUUAAUCCUCCAAUACUUAGUUAUUUAUAUUUCUAUCUAUUUUACUUUCCAUCUUUUAUUUCUCUUUAUCAUAAAAAUACCAAAAAUCUUAUCUUAUCAUAUCUAUCAGAUCUCACUGUUGUAAGUGACCGUGAAGGGAUUGACAACCCCUUUAUCGCGUUGGUUGCGAUGUUCUUAUUUGUUUGUGUAGGUUCGUGGGACUUGAGCGUGAUCUCCUACUGGAUUGAUACCUUGGUUCUCAAAAACUAAGGGAAAUACUUACGCUAAUUUACUUCAUCACUCUUUCCUCUUCAAGGGAAAACCAACGCAAUGCUCAAGAGGUAGUGUCGGUGUCAAAACCGGCGGAUCUCGGGUAGUGGGUCCCGAACUGUGCGUCUAGGCCGGAUGGUAACAGGUGGCAGGGAACACGAUGUUUUACCCAGGUUCGGGCCCUCUUCAUGGAGGUAAAACCCUACGUCCUACUUGAUUAAUAUUGAUGAUAUGGGUAGUACAAGGGUAGAUCUACCACAAGAUCAAGGAGGCUAAACCCUAGAAGCUAGCCUAUGGUAUGAUUGUUGUAUAUGGAGUUGAUUGCCUACGGACUACAACCCUCCGGUUUAUAUAGACACCGGAUAGGGUUAGGGUUACAUAGAGUCGGUUACAAUGGUAGGAGAUCUUGAAUAUCCGCAUCGCCAAGCUUGCCUUCCACACCAAGGAAAGUCCCGUCCGGACACGGAACGAAGUCUUCAAUCUUGUAUCUUCAGAGCCCAGGAGUCCGGCUGAAGGUAUAGUCCGGCUAUCCGAACACCCCCUAAUCCAGGACUCCCUCAGUAGCCCCUGAACCAGGCUUCAAUGACGACGAGUCCAGCGCGCAAAUUGUCUUCGGCAUUGCAAGGCGGGUUCCUCCUCCAAGUCCUUCAUAGAAGAUUGUAAGCACCAAGAGUAGUGUCCGGCUCUGCAAAAUAAGCUUCCACAUAUCGCCAUAGAGAGAAUAAUAUUAACACAAAUCAAAUCUGCUGACGUAUUCCGCAGUGCGUCAUCACACUACAGCCAAGUCCUUCACUCGAAUCGUUUUCACUUUUCCACCUCAGCGUGUUUUGCGAGGCGGUUUCCUUGGCACGUCUUGUCAAAGCAGAGAUCGUGUCCCCCUUGUUUACGGGAUUCUCGUUAAUACGGACGUGGGUAACCCAACCGCGCCACUUAUCACGGCGCUUGGGAGGCAAGCGAGUUUUACUAGGCUGGUGGGGACGCAUAGUCGCAUCCGCCCAUAUAAGGGGAUAAGGAUCCACCUUUUUACCUACGCCUUCUUCCUCCUUUGCCUAGCCAUCUUCUGCGCACCCGAGCUCUAGCGCCCCAGCCCGCGCUUCCUACCUCAACCCUCUCCAACAAUGUUCGGAGCGGGAGGCAAGUGGAUGGUCUCCUCCGUCACGGAGGGCCAUGUCAAAAGGUUAAGGAAGGCCGGAUACUUGUCCAAAGACAUCGCGCACCGGCUUCCUGAGGAGGGGCAGCUUCUCCCCACCCCAAGGCCCCAUGAGAGGGUAGUAUUUCUUCCCCACUGCCUCCGCGGACUGGGUUUUCCUCUCCACCCAUUUGUCCGCGGGCUCAUGUUCUACUAUGGCCUAGAUUUCCACGAUCUGGCCCCGUACUUCAUCCUCAAUAUCUCGGCGUUUAUCAUCGUGUGCGAGGCUUUCCUCUGCAUUCGCCCCCAUUUCGGCCUCUGGCUCACGACCUUCAACGUCAAGCCAAAGGUGGUGCGCGGUAACCAGGCGGAGUGCGGAGGUGCCAUGGCGGGCAAAAUUGCCAACGUCCUAUGGCUCGAGGGCUCCUUUGUGGAGACCUUGAAGGGGUGGCAGUCAGGGUGGUUUUACAUCACCGAGCCACGCGAUCCGAAGUGGAUCGCAGCCCCUGAAUUCCGAUCCGGACCCCCUACGCGGCUCAUGUCCUGGAAGGAGACGAGCUUGUCGUGGGGCGACGAAGGAGAGUUGACCAGACUGCAAAAAUGCAUCCAGUCCCUGGUGAACAAGCAGCUCAAGCUUGUCAACGUAAUCUAGGUCAUGCUCGUCCGCCGGAUUCUUCCGUGUCAAGAACGGGACUUCAAUUUGUGGGAGUUCAACCCGGCGCAACACCGAACUCUGAGAAGGCUCUUCAACACGACGUACGAAGAUGUCUGGAGGGGGCUAACCAAAGGCGCCGAGACUCCCACAUCCGCCUCCGAAGACCGCGGAUUCAGCUCGCAGCGUCCUGCUGGCGAGGUAAGAUAUUUCCAUCUUUUACAGGAUGUUAAGCUUUUUCAUAGUUGACUCUAUGCGGGAUCAAAACUCCCUCACCUUUGACAGGAUUGGCGGGAGAAGUCCGGACAGAUUAAAUGCCCGGCUCCCUUGCCCGAAGACCUAGCCCCUGCUCUCCUAGAGAAGCUGCUGGUUUCGGCACCUUAUGUGGUGCCGGAGAAGAGGGCCAAGAAGAAGAAGGCCACGGGGACUCGAAAGAGUUCCUGGCAUAUGGUGGUGUCGGACUCGUCGUCCGACCAGUCCGAGACGCACUCCUCCCGUGAAGACGAGGAGGAAGAGUGUCGGACUCGUCGUCCGACGAGUCCGAGACGCACUCCUCCCGUGAAGAGGAGUGGCCGGACUACGUCCCCGACGCCGACGAGGACGAAGAGGAGUGGCCAGACAGGGCCAAGCAUCCGGCGAGAUCGUAAGUGUUCGGAUACCAGAGUAACUCGUGAUAUUCCUUUUGUUGCACAGCUUUCCCUAAUGUCGGAUAUAAUCAUGCAGUCCGCCCAAGGAUGGGCUCGACGAGUCGUCGAGCGGCUCCCUGGAUUCAUCGGACGUGAAUUCAGUUCCGCCUACUGCUUCCCCCUGUGCUGCAGAUGACGCCGAAGUGGCGUCGCGACAAGCUCCGGGACGAGAGGAGGUGGUCCAGGAGGAGUCGCGAGGUGACCUCCCGGACUCCAGGAGUGAAGGGGACAAGACCCCCCUGGGAUCCAAGUUCGGCUUUAAGCCGGACACUGAGAUGGAAUCAUCAACAGUUCCGGACUGCGGUAGGCGAACUCCUACCAGGAGGAGCAAGCCUACUGAGCCGGCAUCCUCCGUCCAGCCGGAGGCGCCGGACAAUCUGCUGGAGGAGCUUAAGGGCGCCUCCACCGACGAGGAGCACCGUGCCGUCAUGAGUACGGUGAUCCAGAAGGUUCGGUCCGCCAAAAGCGGACUGACUGAAGCUUGUGCUGGCCUUCUAACAGGCUUCGAGGUAAGUAAAAAUAUGUAAAAAUAUUACCGUAUAGACAGUAGCCCCUGAUGCUCUGUUUGGCGUUUGUAAAGAAAAGCCAAAUAGAGGAUCUAUUAAAUAUCGCAGGAGUCUAACUAAAAAGGAGUCAAUAUAUGUAUGCAGGCUUCGCUGCUGGCCACCGCCGCACUGACUGCGGAGGUGGGUGCCCUGAAGGAGGGCCUCCAGCGGACCGAGCAAGAGCUCGGCCUUGCCAAACGGCAGCUCGAGGAAAAAGAAUGUAAGAGAUACCUUACAGAAAAAGUGCCUAUAAAAAGGCUUGAUUGCAAAAAGAGUAGCAGGAUUGUACUGCUUAUUGUAGGGGCCACGACUGAGGUGGCGACCUUUAAGCAGGUGUUGUCUGAGGCCGAAAAGAAAACGGCCGCGGAGCGCACCGAGCGAGACAGACUUGGGGCUCAGGUCAGCGAGGUGCAGCAAGAGCUUCAGGCUCUCAUGAAAAAACAUGAGAGUUUGAAGCUGGAGUCGAAGGCGCAAGCAUCCGAGCUUGCAACGGCCCUAGAGGCUGCCAAGUCUACCAAGGCCGAUGCCCUAAAGACCCUCCAAGAGUUGGAGGAGAUGAGGAAGAUAGCAACGGGUAAGGCAUUCUUUAUGCAAAGCAGAAAUAUAAAAGUGAACUACCUGUUACUUACCCGAAUCCGAAGCUCUCCAGGGGCAUUCGCAGAUCUUCCCUGCAGCGUAUCCGAUGCCGCCGCAUUAUACCAAGCUGAAGAGGGUAGCUCGACGGAGAAGGUGUUCUGGUUUCAGUAUUCUGAGGCCGGACACCCUGUGCCCUUGAGCAACCAGCUGAAACAGCUGGUUGAGCUCCACAAGGCGGCCAAGCAGGCCAUGAAGGGCUUCAUAGUUCGGCUGUGGCCUGGAGAGGCCCUACCUGGGAGCUAUCUCGGGCUGGUGCGGCGGCUGGUGGAGGCCUGUCCGAGGCUUGAGGUCAUCAAGUGCUCCGUCUGCAUCGAUGGUGCCCGUCGGGCCCUUGCCCGUGCAAAGGUGCACUGGGGUAAGCUGGACGGUGAGAAGCUUGUGAAGGACGGGCUGCCGCCGGGGAAGGAGCAUCGCAAGCCCGAGAACUACUACAAGGAUGUUCUUGCAGGUGCCCGCCUUAUGGCGGAUCAAUGUACCAAGGAUGUGAUAUUUGAAUGAACUCGCUCGUGUUUAUCUUGUGCGCUGAAAACUUGUUCAUAUGUGCUAAGCAAUGCUUAUUGAAUUUAAAAUAUUACUUUCUGUGCGGCCAUUUAUCAAAAAUUGAGAGAUGGCCAGUCGUCGGCUUCUGCCCCCGUGCCACUAGUGCUGGGGUGUUCGGGAUAAACCUGAGCGCUCUUUUUCCCAUAGUUGGGUCCUUCGAGGGAGGCGCUCAGCACAACGAACCAGGCAAUCGGACUAUAAUGCUUGAACACUCUCACUUAGCCAUAGAGCUCUAUAAUUUUAAAUUUCGGUGAAGCCCGUAGUUCGGAAGACCGAGUUCGGGGCGCUAUCCACGCCUUGGCCGGACAAAGCCGGCUCCUCGCUCGAAGCGGCAUAAGCCUUUAGGGACUCGAAAAACCUCUCGAACAGCGAUCGGUCUCUCGCCACAUCAUGACAGUCAGUUUUAGCUUUCUCCACUCAGGUGCUUAACCCAGGUGAACCGGGGCACAAUCGCAGUGGUUCUCCUAGUGCUACCUUAGCCGAUAGAGCGGAACGUAAGGCACCAAAACAUAGGAGCCACGCAAACCCAACUAUUGACCCAAAUCAUGAUUCGGAGCCGAUGCAUAUAGUGCUAUAAGUUCGGGGUGCCGCACUUGUGAAAGUGUACGGACUUCUCACACCAUUAUGAGCGGUACUGAAGCCCCUGGCAUGUUUGCCAUACCAUGGUGUACGGGUGCAAUCAUGUCAUUUAAUAAACAUAAAUGUGAAAAGAAGAUAAUGCAAAAAAUAGACUAGAAGCUAAGCAUUGUUUAUAGAGAGGCUAUUUAUCAAAGCCGAACGAUACAAAUAGUGCGGUAAGCAAAAGAUAUUGGACUAUUCAGUAUGUCCUGACCAGGGGCAGGCCGCGGAAUUGUAUUUAAAACAGGUAUACCGCUCGUAACAGAGACCACCUGGGAGUUCCAUAAUGCGUCAUGGCUUGUCUGCCUCCCUGGAUCUUGCAUCGUUUGUGCGGCAGUCGAAUUGCCGAACAGGUCGUCCGAAGUAUGGAGUCCUGAAAGAAGAAAAAAUUAAAAAAAGAAUCCGGCAGCCCCUAGUACGUAUUAAGCCGUAUUUUGGGCGUGUUGUUAUUGUGCCCCUUCCCCUGUGCCCAUGGUAUUUCAAGGGCGUAGUUAUGUACGUGAGGUACUGGUUUCGCUAUGUUGCGAAAGCUGGGGUUGGGGCCGCAUUGCUACGCUUGCUUAGAGUGUGCCAGGCAGUGUCUGGCUUUUUAAUGGCCGGACUGGAGAAUUGCCUGAGAAGGCUACUUUGUACCUCCGCUGCGAGAGCCGCCGUAUGCUCCUCCAUAUGGAGGGAGCGUUCGGUGUUUCCGUUGAACGUAAUUACUCCUUGAGGGCCUGGCAUCUUGAGCUUGAGAUAUGCGUAGUGCAGCACCGUGUUGAUCUUUGCGAAUGCGGUUCGUCCGAGCAGGGCAUGAUAGCCACUGCGAAACGGUACUAUAUCGAAGAUUAACUCUUCGCUUCGGAAAUUGUCCGGGGAUCGGAAGACCACAUCAAGUGUUACUGAGCAUGUACUGUUGGCUUCUACACCUGGUAUAACGCCUUUAAAGGUCGUUCUUGUGGGCUUAAUCCUUGAGGGAUCUAUGCCCAUUUUCUGCACUGUAUCCUGAUAAAGCAGGUUCAGGCUACUGCCGCCGUCCAUGAGGACUCUUGUGAGAUGAAAUCCGUCGAUGAUCGGGUCGAGAACCAAUGCGGCGAAGCCGCCAUGACGGAUGCUAGUGGGAUGGUCCCUUCGAUCGAAAGUGAUCGGGCAGGAGGGCCAUGGGUUGAACUUUGGGGCGACUGGCUCCAUCGCAUAUACGUCCCGUAGCGCAUGCUUCCGCUCCCGCAUGGGAAUGUGGGUUGCGUAUAUCAUGUUCACCGUCCACACUUGUGGGGGAAAGCCCUUCUGUCCAUUGUUGUUCGGCGGCUUGGGCUCCUCGUCGUCGCUGUGCAGCCCCUUGUCUCUGUUUUCGGCCCUUAACUUGCCUGCCUGCUUGAACACCCAACAAUCCCUGUUAGUGUGAUUGGCUAGCCUUUCGGGGGUGCCAUGUAUCUGGCACAAGCGAUCGAGUAUUCGGUCCAAACUGGACGGGCCCUGAGUAUUCUUUUUGAAUGGCAUUUUCCGCUGACCGGAUUUAUAGCCUUUGAAUCCGGCAUUGACUGCCGUGUCUUCAUUGCUGUCGCUGCUAACGCGGCGUUUUUGCUUAUUCCGAUGUGUCCUACCACUUUUGUCCUUGGUAUCCGAAUUACCAGGGUGCUUUGAUAAGUUGUUACUGCGAGCUAGCCAGCUGUCUUCUCCCGCGCAAAAGCGGGUCAUGAGUGUCGUGAGGGCUGCCAUGGAUUUCGGCUUUUCCUGUCCCAGGUGCCAGGCAAGCCACUCGUCGCAGAUGUUGUGCUUCAAGGCUGCCAGGGCCUCUGCGUCCGGACAGUCGACUAUCUGGUUUUUCUUUGUUAGGAACCGUGUCCAAAAUUGUCUGGCCGAUUCCUCUGGCUGCUGAAUUAUGUGGCUUAAGUCGUCGGCAUCCGGUGGUCACACGUAAGUGCCCUGGAAGUUGUCGAGGAAUGCGGCUUCCAGGUCCUCCCAAGAACCGAUUGAGUCUGCUGGCAAGCUGUUAAGCCAAUGCCGGGCCGGUCCUUUAAGUUUGAGCGGGAGGUAUUUGAUGGCGUGUAGAUCAUCGCCGCGUGCCAUGUGGAUGUGAAGGAGACAAUCCUCGAUCCAUACCGCCGGAUCUGUUGUGCCAUCGUAUGAUUCGAUGUUUAUGGGUUUGUAGCCCUCUGGGAUUUUAUGAUCCAUUACUUCAUUCGUGAAGCAUAGCGGGUGUGUGGCGCCUCUGUAUUGGGCUAUAUCACGACGUAGCUCGGAAGAGCUAUGUCUGUUGUGUUCGGCCCGGCCGGAUUUGUUGUAUCCAGAGUGAAGAUCAUUUUCCCGUGCCUUAGUUGAGAGGUGUCGGGGCAUGGCUUGGGUGGAGGGCCGAGACGCCUCUCUGUCGCGGCCGCGAGGUGGCCGGUCUGCCAUGUCAUGCGCUGGUGAUGUAGGUGCUUCCUCCUCUGAUCGGGGUAGCGGCCUAUGCUUCGGGUAACUCUUGGAGGGGCGUUCGAGUUCAUACUCUUCGGCCGCAAGGACUUCAGUCCAUCUGUCAGCUAGCAAAUCUUGGGCAGCUCUAAGUUGUUGCUGCUUUUUCUUGAGGCUGCUUGCCAUGGCUAAAAGCCUGCGUUUAAAAAGCUCUUGUUCGGCGGGGUCUGAUGGUAUGACGAAUUCGUCGUCAUUGAGGCUUGCCUCGUCUUCGGAGGGAGGCGUAUAGUUAUCAUCCUCGACCUUUCCGUCUGCCGCUCUCUCAUCAGGGCUGGCUUCUCCAUCUUCCUGUGCCGAAUCUUGCUGAGGUGGGUGUUCUUCGGCGCUAUCCGGGGUAGUAUUAUCUCUCAUGUCGGAAUCACCGUUUUUGCUUUGGCGGGAUUUAGAGCGGCGCCGCUGGUGCCGGCGCUUUGGCUGUUUCUUGGGGGCGUCAUCCCCCACUGUUCCAUCGCCAUCUCCAUCUUUUGGAGUAUCCACCAUAUAUAUGUCAUAUGAUAAGGUGGCCUUCCAGCGCCCUACAGGUGCUGGUUCCUGUUCGUCUCCUACAUUGUCGUCCAUGCCGUCGAUGUCUUUGGAGCUGAAGUCAACCAUGUAGGUUAGACCGUCGAUAAUGGCUACAAAGUGGGUGGUGGGUGGGCUUUGAAUUUCCUCAUCGUAUGUAUCCCACCCUCGCUGACCGUAGUCCGGCCAGGGCUCUCCUGAUAAAGAGAGAGACUUAAGAGAAUUCAGGAUGUCGCCAAAAGGCGAAUGCUGAAAGAUGUCUGUAGCGGUGAACUCCAUUAUCGGCACCCAAUCGGAUUCGAUUGGCAGGGGCGCGGGGGGUUCGGAGUCCGGGGAGGAGUCCGGAUCCUCGGAGUCACGGGUCGUGCAGAGUGCGGGGCUAGCGUUCGGCUCGAUCGCUUUCGGGAUCGCAGCCCCCGAGGUGACGUCCAACCGCUCAUCCUCGAUUGGCGCAAUAGGUUCCGAGUUAGGGGUCGGAACCGAUGCGUGUGCGGCCUCCAGGACACUGGCCGGGGGCAGAGCUAGAUCAUGCCCCUCGGGAUAGUGCGGCGUGCUUGGCCGUGGCUCGAGCCCGUCGAAGAUCAAGUCUCCGUGGAUGUCAGCCGUGUAGUUUAAGCUUCCAAACCUGACUUGAUGGCCAGGGGCGUAGCUUUCGAUCUGCUACAGGUGGCCGAGCGAAUUGGCUCAUAGAGCGAUGCCGCCGAAGACGAAGAUCUGUCCGGGGAGAAAAGUCUCACCCUGGACCGCAUCGUUGUUGAUGAUCAAAGGAGCCAUCGGGCCUAAAGGCGACGAGACAGAGGAACUCUCAAUGAAAGCACCAAUGUCAGUGUCAAAACCGGUGGAUCUCGAGUAGUGGGUCCCGAACUGUGCGUCUAGGCCGGAUGGUAAUAGGAGGCAGGGAACACGAUGUUUUAUCCAGGUUCGGGCCCUCUUGAUGGAGGUAAAACCCUACGUCCUGCUUGAUUAAUAUUGAUGAUAUGGGUAGUACAAGAGUAGAUCUACCACGAGAUCAAGGAGGCUAAACCCUAGAAGCUAGCCUAUGGUAUGAUUGUUGUAUAUGGAGUUGAUUGCCUACGGACAACAACCCUCCGGUUUAUAUAGACACCGGAUAGGGUUAGGGUUACAUAGAGUCGGUUACAAUGGUAGGAUAUCUUGAAUAUCCACAUCGCCAAGCUUGCCUUCCACGCCAAGGAAAGUCCCGUCCGGACACGGGAUGAAGUCUUCAAUCUUGUAUCUUCAUAGCCCAGGAGUCCGGCUGAAGGUAUAGUCCGGCUACCUGAACACCCCCUAAUCCAGGACUCCCUCAGGUAGCAAGAUGGAUUUCUGGCGCCAUUGCCGGGGAGAUUCGCGCCAAGUCAAGACAUACCAAGUACCCAUCACAAACCCUUAUCCCUCGCAUUACAUUAUUUUCCAUUUGCCUCUUGUUUUCCUCUCCCCCACUUCACCCUUGCCAUUUUAUGCGCCCUCUCUUUUUCCGUUCCCCUCUUUUCCACUUGCUUUGUCGUUAUGGCUAGUCCUUUAUCUACUCCUUUGUCUCCCGAGAAUGAAGUUCUUAAUUUUAAACAAAGGGAGGGAGAAAAUCUAAAAGAUGCUUGGUACAGAAUUUGCAACACACAAAUUAGAUCUACUAGGAAACAAUCUACUUUUGUUCUUCUUCACGAUUUUUAUGUAGGCAUCACACCUUGGAAUAGAUAUAUUCUUGAUGCCAUUACCGGAGGGAAUUUCUUGGGUAGCCAUACUUUUGAUUCUUAUAAUGCUAUGAUAGAUCUGUUUGGCCCACCACCUCUUUUGGUUAAUGGAACUAUUUUAACUUUGGAACAUGUGAUGCAAUGGCUUGAAAUUAGUGAAAAUAAAGUUGCCACCAUAGAGUUAAUUGAAAAUUUGGAUAGAAAGAUCCAUAACCAAAUUACCCAAUACGGAUCUAAGUUAGGAGUUGCUCUUAAAAGUUUUAAAGAAAAGGGACCUAUGGUUAAUGAAAAGAUAGAAAAGGAUUCCACUAGAAUUGAUAAAAUUGAGGAUAUUAUUACCAACCUUGGGUCUUCCUUUUCUUCUAUUAUAAAUACUCCGCCUAAUGCUAAGAUUGCCAAACUAAUGUAUGUUACAAAAAAUAAGGGUGAAACUUCUAAUAAGGAAAAUGCGGAUCUCAAAUCCAUAAGUGUUCACCCCAAUUUUCUCACUAUCCUUAAGGAACCUUUUGCUACAAAUGAUUUUCUUGAUUUCAUACCUAGGAGUUUGAUAAUUAAUAAAAACAAAGAAACUCCUAAAAGUUAUUGGUGUGUUAUUGAAGAAUCACCUUCCAAAGACGGCAAUACCUAGGUCUAUCUUCGCUUUUAUGCCUAGCUAGGGGCGUUAAACGAUAGCGCUUGUUGGGAGGCAACCCAGUUUUACUUUUAUUCCUUGAUGUUUGCUCCUAUUUAGUAAUAAAUAAUUUAUGUAGCCUAUGUUUUGGUUGUGUUUUUUGUGUUUAAUUUGUGUUUGUGCCAUGUAGAACCAUUGGGUAGACUUGGGGAAAGUCUUUUUGAUCUUGCUGUAAAAAACAGAAACGUUAGCGCUCACGAGAAUCGCUGACAUUUUUAUUUGGAAAGUGAUAUUUAGAUAAUUCUUUUUGCGGAUGAUUAAUAGAUAAAUUCCUCACGUCCAGCAAUUUAUUUUAUAAUUUUUGGGGUUACAGAAGUUCGCGUUAGGUACAGAUUACUACAGACUGUUCUGUUUUUGACAGAUUCUGUUUUUCGUGUAUUGUUUGCUUAUUUUGAUGAAUCUAUGGCUAGUCAAAGAGGUUAUAAACCGUAGAGAAGUUGGAAUACAGUAGGUUUAACACCAAUAUAAAUCAAGAUUGAGUUCAUAACAGUACCUUGAAGUGGUGUUUUGUUUUCUUUCGCUAACGGAGCUCACGAGAUUUUCUGUUUGAGUUUUUUGUUGUGAAGUUUUCAAGUUUUGGGUAAAGAUUUGAUGGAUUAUGGAACAAGGAGUGGCAAGAGCCUAAGCUUGGGGAUUCCCAUGGCACACCAAGGUAAAAUUAAAGGACACCAAAAAGCCUAAGCUUGGGGAUGCCCCGAAAGGCAUCCCCUCUUUCGUCUUCGUCUAUUGGUAACUUUACUUGGAGCUAUAUUUUUAUUCACCACAUGAUAUGUGUUUUGCUUGGAGCGUCUUGUAUGAUUUGAUUAUUUGAUUUUUAGUUUACCAAAAUCAUCCUUGCUGUACACACCUUUUGAGAGAGACUCACAUGAUUGGGAAUUUAUGAGAAUACUCUAUGUGCUUCACUUAUAUCUUUUGAGCUAUAUGGUUUUUGUUCUAGUUCUUCGCUUAUAUAUUUUAGAGAAUGGCGGUGGUUUUAUUUUAUAGAAAUAAUUGUUCUCUCAUGCUUCACUUAUAUUAUUUUGAUAGUCCUUUAGAACAACAUGGCAAUAAUAAAACUGUCAUACAAGUGCAUUGAAUACUAUGAGAAGUUUGAUACUUGAUAAUUGUUUUGAGAUAUGGAGAUGGUGAUAUUAGAGUCAUGCUAGUUGUGUAGUUGUGAAUUUGAGAAAUACUUGUGUUGAAGUUUGUGAUUCCCGUAGCAUGCACGUAUGGUGAACCGUUAUGUGACGAAGUCAGAUCAUGAUUUAUUUGUUGAUUGUCUUCCUUAUGAGUGGCGGUCGGGGAUGAGCAAUGGUCUUUUACUACCAAUCUAUCUCCCUAGGAGCAUGGGCAUAAUACUUUGCUUUGAUAACUUAUAGAUUUUUGCAAUAAGUAUGUGAGUUCUUUCUGAGCAAUGUUGAGUCCAUGGAUCAUACGCACUCUCACCCUUCCACCAUUGCUAGCCUCUCUAAUACCGUGCACUUCUCGCCGAUAUCAUACACCCACCAUAUACCAUCCUCAAAACAGCCACCAUACCUACCUAUUAUCACUAGUGCAGAACCGGGCAAUAGCACCGGUUCGUAAGGCCCUUUAGUGCCGGUUUAGGAACCGGCACUAUUAUUUCGGCACUAAACCCCCCCCCCUUUAGUACCGGUUCAGCACGAACCGGUGCUAAAGGGGUACCACGUGGCACGAGCCAGCUCCGGGGGCCGGGAGCCCUUUAGUACCGGUUGGUAAAACCAACCGGUACUAAAUGGUUGUGGGUUUUUGUUUUAUUUUGUAUUUUUCAAUUAAAUUUGUGUUAUCAAUUUAAAUUAGGAUUGUUUUACGUUAUAAUGAGUUGUAGUCGUCAUCAUCAUCAUCAUCAUCGCAUAUUAAUAAAUAAAUAAACUCUAGCUAGCUAAAAAUCAUCGUGGUCGUCUAAUUACCACUAUUUAAUCAUCAUAGUCAUUACCGCUAGCUAUGUAAUCAUCAUCAACGUUGGCUAGCUUAAAGAGGAAACAUUCACUUUGUAACAGAAGCAAAGAGAUAUCAUCAAGUUCAACAUAAUCAUCACCAACAUCGAAGUUCAGGACACGGAUCCAUGAGACGAGUACUAAUUAAGAGCAUGAAGUAGUAGCUACUGAUCCUGCUUCUCCCUCUCAGGUAGAAUAGCACAGAACAUGUAUAGCUCUCCUGAUUCAUCAUACUGAAGCAUGCAGAUGAAUCUGUCUCCUAAUCUUGGGUUGCGCUUCUCCUUACUGCCCCCUAGUACUUCUCUGCGAUCGUUAACAAUUUUGCUCCAAUCUUUCACUAUUAAGCAUUCUUCGCUUUUAGAAAUCCUGAAUGCACUCAUGUGCAAUGUAGGAAAUCUUGGUCGUAAGCUAACCAUUGACAUGCGACCUUUUGUCUCGAUCCACUAAGGCACAACUGUCAUCGGAAGUCCCUGUUGAACAACAUCGUAUAGUAAUUAAUAUACUAAGCAAUGAAAGUUUAGCUUUAAAAAUAAUGUACGCAAAAGAUGCACUAAUUAAGGACAAAUAUUUAAAAUCUUACCAUCUUUUGAUUAUAGAUGUGACCGUAGUUCAAGGCGAUCACCAUUGGUCGCACGUUUUGAGUACUAACAUUUCUAAGUUUAGAAAAAAAAUUGUCUUGACAGUAUUAAGAUCCUCAAGCCAUGAAACACAAUGACUUAUUUCCUCGCAGUUUAGUUGAGCCCCGAGGUAGUAGUAGGUCCUGUCUACCAAGCGCCGGACAUGUUUGCUUGAACCGAAAUAAGCUGACAAUACACAUCAGUUGUCAACUAUUUUUGAAUAAACUGUACGAAAGACAUAAACGUAUAUAUGCAUGCAUGGUUGAGAAAAACUCACCAAAUGGUAGAACUGGAGGCGUUUGCACAUCGACCCAGAUGUCUAUAUUACCUUCAAUAUCAUCUUCCGGACGAAUAUCAAAGGUGAUAACCAUAUCAGGCUCAAAUGCAUAAGCCUUGCAUAGUGCUUGCCAAGUUUUGCAUUCAAAAUGGGUGUAUGUGCCUCCAUUAUAUAAUUUGACGUUGAAAGUAUACCCAUGCUCCGUCUUCAAGUAAACUCUCUUUACCUCCAUAUCAUCUAUAGCACUAAAACCUAUCUUAUAUAAUACAAAAAUUCUUGUAUGGCAGGGGAUGCGCUAGUAGAAUAGUGAAAAUUUAAAAUUAUAAGUUGAAGCAAAUGAAGCAUAAGUUUUGCAUUCAAAUAAUAAUUGACAAAGUGGCUUACUGUAUCAACUUCAAAUGUCUCAUCCAGCUUGAUGUUGAAGCGCCUACCAUCAACAAGGAAAUUUUGGUCGCACAGGCCGCGCUGGUCUUCACAGUGUUCGCACAUAAUAAAAUCUUUUUAGUUGUCAGAUGACAUUUCCUAUGUUCAUAUAGGUGAAACAUUAAACACCUAUAUCUAGCCAAAUAUAUAUUCAUCUAACAUUUGACAUUAAUAUAUCUAACUAUAUAUUCAAUUGACAUUACUAUAUAUUUAACUUUUCUAUCUAAUUCAUCUAACAUUCGACAUUAAUCUAACAUUUAUAUAAACUCAAAAUAUAUAAAAAAUUAAAUAAACAGAAAAACUCAUUAACAAAUAAUAUUUUAAUUAGAUCAUCAAAUCUCAUAUACCUAAAUUUUCUUACUAAAAAUAAACUAGUUAUAUUAAUUAUUCAACUAGUUCUAAUCUNNNNNNNNNNNNNNNNNNNNNNNNNNNNNNNNNNNNNNNNNNNNNNNNNNNNNNNNNNNNNNNNNNNNNNNNNNNNNNNNNNNNNNNNNNNNNNNNNNNNNNNNNNNNNNNNNNNNNNNNNNNNNNNNNNNNNNNNNNNNNNNNNNNNNNNNNNNNNNNNNNNNNNNNNNNNNNNNNNNNNNNNNNNNNNNNNNNNNNNNNNNNNNNNNNNNNNNNNNNNNNNNNNNNNNNNNNNNNNNNNNNNNNNNNNNNNNNNNNNNNNNNNNNNNNNNNNNNNNNNNNNNNNNNNNNNNNNNNNNNNNNNNNNNNNNNNNNNNNNNNNNNNNNNNNNNNNNNNNNNNNNNNNNNNNNNNNNNNNNNNNNNNNNNNNNNNNNNNNNNNNNNNNNNNNNNNNNNNNNNNNNNNNNNNNNNNNNNNNNNNNNNNNNNNNNNNNNNNNNNNNNNNNNNNNNNNNNNNNNNNNNNNNNNNNNNNNNNNNNNNNNNNNNNNNNNNNNNNNNNNNNNNNNNNNNNNNNNNNNNNNNNNNNNNNNNNNNNNNNNNNNNNNNNNNNNNNNNNNNNNNNNNNNNNNNNNNNNNNNNNNNNNNNNNNNNNNNNNNNNNNNNNNNNNNNNNNNNNNNNNNNNNNNNNNNNNNNNNNNNNNNNNNNNNNNNNNNNNNNNNNNNNNNNNNNNNNNNNNNNNNNNNNNNNNNNNNNNNNNNNNNNNNNNNNNNNNNNNNNNNNNNNNNNNNNNNNNNNNNNNNNNNNNNNNNNNNNNNNNNNNNNNNNNNNNNNNNNNNNNNNNNNNNNNNNNNNNNNNNNNNNNNNNNNNNNNNNNNNNNNNNNNNNNNNNNNNNNNNNNNNNNNNNNNNNNNNNNNNNNNNNNNNNNNNNNNNNNNNNNNNNNNNNNNNNNNNNNNNNNNNNNNNNNNNNNNNNNNCGGCGGCGGGGACAGCGACGAUGACGACGGACGACGGUACGGGCGACGGGCGGCGACGACGGGAUCGAGCGGUCCGCGCGGCGGAGGUGGGAGACGAAGUGGGGAGUUGAAACUGAAAUUUUCGUAAGUGCUAUAUAUAUAUAUAUAUAUAUAUAUAUAUAUAUAUAUAUAUAUAUAUAUAUAUGAUUGGCCUUUAGUACCGAAUCGUGGCUCCAACCGGUACUAAAGGCCUAUUUUCGCCAGGCCAAGCGGCGGGAAACGAAGGCUUUUAGUACCGGUUGGAGCCACCAACCGGUACUAAAGGGGGGCCUUUAGUACCGGUUGGAGCCACCAACCGGUACUAAAGGCCUUGCGCUGCCACCCCAAAAUUUAGUCCCACCUCGCCCGGCGAAGGGCAGCCGCACUGGUUUAUAAACCUAGCCGCGGCUACCUCUUCGAACUCCUCUAUAUAGCAGCCUUCUGGGCCUAAUUAAUUAGGGCGCGCUGCCAUGUGAGUCUGCUGGCCCUUCUGGGCCUGCAUUUGCACACCCUAGGUCUGGUAGACCCACAGGGCAGUGCGCCAACAAAUUUUUUAUAUAGUUUUAUCUUUUCUGCAUUACUUAUUUUCUUUUAUUUAUUUUUGAGUAGUUUUUUAUAUAGUUUUUGUUUUCUGCAUUAUUUAUUUUCUUCUAUUUAUUUUUGAGUAAUUUUUUUGUAUAGUUUUUUUAUUUUCUGCAUUACUUAUUUUUGCAUAGUCCGAAACCCUGAUACUCGGAAAGAGUUUGUCCAGUUUGUACACGAAGUGCGUCCAGUUUUUGCCGUGACCCUCUCUACUCUUUCGCGCAUGCUAUGCGGGUGAUACGAUGAUACCAUGCCAAGUUUCAACAUUUUCAGGAUUCAUUUUGUAGUGAUUUUCAAUUUCACGGUCAUUUAGCUCUCUAAACAAUUAGGUAAAUGACUGAAAAACAACAAAUGAUGUCAGAACAUGUUGAAAAUUGAUGACGUCGCUUUAAAUGCUGCAUACUGAACACAAAAGAAGUCCGGAGUACAAAUAAGUUUAAAAAACAUUGAAGUGGCCAUGUAACAGAUGAGUUCUCGUCCGAAACCCUGAUACUCGGAAAGAGUAUGUCCAUUUUGUACACGAAGUGCGUCCAGUUUUUGCCGUGACCCUCUCUACUCUUUCGCGCAUGCUAUGCGGGUGAUAUGAUGAUACCAUGCCAAGUUUCAGCAUUUUCAGGAUUCAUUUUGUAGUGAUUUUCAAUUUCACGGUCAUUUAGCUCUCUAAACAAUUAGGUAAAUGACCGAAAAACAACAAAUGAUGUCAGAAUAGACUGCACUGCACAUAGCUCAGUGUAGACUACACUGCACAUAGCUCAGUGCAAUCUAUGUUAUUCCGCAAGGCUUGAAGCUAAUCAACAUGUAGAUGAGCAUUGCAAUUCUUCGUCAUUGUCUGUGCACUCACGGCUUAUAAACCGCUCAUACUGCCUCUCUCUUGGCGAGGUGGGACUAAAAACAACUUGCCAUAACCUCAUCAAUUUCCUCUUGAAGCUUGUCCUUGCCUUUUUGCUUGUAUUCUUGUGGUGGAAGAUCAUCUUGAGCUUGUGUCCCCUUGAAGGAAGUAGGAUACUUCUCUUGUUGAGGAACAAACUUUGUCUUGGGGUAUUGAUCUUCUUCCCACUCAACUCCAUUGGCAUUGAACUUUCGUUCAAAACCAACACCUUGAUUCUUCCAGUGCCUUCCUUGCUUGCGCACAAUUUCCUCGAAUUGCUUACUCCCGGCAAGGCUUUUGUACAUUCCUUUCUCUAUAAUUCCCUUCAAUAAGCUAUUUUCUUGCUCAAGUGUAACUUGGCUAAGAGAAUCAUUAGUGGAAUCAAGAGAACUACUAGAAGCAACAAUGUUAGAUCUUAUGUCACAAAAAAGAAGUCGUAUCAAACCUUUUAUGUCGGAUCUAGAACAAACCAAUCGGUAUCGCCAUCAUACAGCCCUACCGUGGCUUGUGAUGCAUAUAUAUAUGCAUAUCAAAUGCACGGUUGGGCGUAUGAUGGCGAAUCCGAAUGAUUUGUAUUCAGUCGAUGAACUGGUAGAUGUAUGCAGUCGAUGAACUGGUAGAUGUAUGUAGUCGAUGAACUGAAAGACUUAUGCAGGGAAGGCGAGAGAUGGGCUAUAUAUAGGGUCGUCUGGCUCACAAAGUGAUUGUGGUAGUUUCGAUCCAACGACUCACAUGAGCUAGGAAGAAGCACACCCUUGAUCCAACGACUCGCAAGAGCUAUAAAGAAACACACGAUCCAUGUGAUUCUUCCUGAUUGGUGGGAUGCACAUUAGUAUCGGUUUGUGCCAUGAACUGGUGCUAAAGAUUGGCAAUGAACCGGUACUAAUGGUAGCAGCCCGCCUAGCCGUUGGAAUCGGCACUAAUGGUCACAUUUGUGCCGGCUCAAAUUCAAACCGGCACUAUAAUGUGCUUCACAUUUGACUGUUUUUCUACUAGUCAAUAGAGUUUGCCAAACUUGAGUUUCCCAAGUCACUUACACAAAAAGCUAUGAUUCAUGGUUGUCAAAUCCAUAAUUUACAAACCACAACAACCUUGAGGCAUAACAAGCUUUAAAUGCUGCAUACUGAACACAAAAGAAGUCCAGAGUUUAAAUAAGUUAUUAAAAAUAAAAAAGAGGUGCAAUGCUGGUUAAUUUGCUUCAAGCUAUUCGGAAUAGUGUAGAUUGCACUAAGCCACUGCACAUAGCUCAGUGCAAUCUAUGCUAUUCCGCAAGGCUUGAAGCUAAUCAACAUGUAGGUGAGCAUUGCAACUCUUCGUCAUUGUCUGUGCACUCACGGCUUAUAAACCGCUCAUACUACCUCUCUCUUGGCGAGGUGGGACUAAAAACAUCUUGCCAUAACCUCAUUAGUACUGGUUCAUGGUACGAACCGGCACUAAAUGGUGAUGGUGGGGCCAUAGCCUGACCGCAGGCUGACACAGCCUCUUUAGUACCGGUUCGUGGCAUGAACCGGUACUAAAGGUUCGCCACGAACCGGUACUAUUGAUCGCCGCCACGAACCGGCACUAAUGUACACAUUAGUGCCGGCUCUAAUUCAAACCGGCACUAAUGUGCUUCACAUUUGACCCUUUUUCUACUAGUGUAUGGCAUUUCCAUAGCCAUUCCGAGAUAUAUUGCCAUGCAACUUUCCAUCGUUCCAUUAUUAUGACACACUUCAUCAUUGUCAUAUUUGCUUGCAUGAUCAUGUAGUUGGCAUCGUAUUUGUGCAAAGCCACCAUUCAUAAUUCUUCAUACAUGUCACUCUUGAUUCACUGCAUAUCCCGGUACACCGCCGGAGGCAUUCACAUAGAGUCAUAUUUUGUUCUAAGUAUCGAGUUGUAAUUCUUGAGUUGUAAGUAAAUAAAAGUGUGAUGAUCAUCAUUAUUAGAGAAUUGUCCCAAGUGAGGAAAGGAUGGAGACUAUGAUUCCACAACAAGUCGGCAUGAGACUCCGGACGAAAAUAAAAAAAGAGGGAAAAAAGAGAAAGGCCAUAAAAAAGAAGGCCCAAAAAAUGAGAGAAAAAGAGAGAAGGGGCAAUGUUACUAUCCUUUUUCCACACUUGUGCUUCAAAGUAGCACCAUCAUCUUCAUGAUAGAGAGUCUCCUAUGAUAUCACUUUCAUAUACUAGUGGGAAUUUUUCAUUAUAGAACUUGGCUUGUAUAUUCCAAUGAUGGGCUUCCUCAAAUUGCCCUAGGUCUUCGUGAGCAAGCAAGUUGGAUGCACACCCACUUAGUUUCUUUUGUUGAGCUUUCAUACACUUAUAGCUCUAGUGCAUCCGUUGCAUGGCAAUCCCUACUCAAUCACAUUGAUAUCUAUUAAUGGGCAUCUCCAUAGCCCGUUGAUACGCCUGUUCUGGAGCUCCGCCAGAGGGGGCAUCGAUCACGGAGGGCUUCUACAUCAACAGCAUAGCCUCUCCGAUGAAGUGUGAGUAGUUGACCUCAGACCUACGGGUCCAUAGUUAUUACCUAGAUGGCUUCUUCUCUCUUUUUGGAUCUCAAUACAAUGUUCUCCCCCUCUCUUGUGGAGAACUAUUCGAUGUAAUCUUCUUUUUGCGGUGUGUUUAUUGAGAUCGAUGAAUUGUGGGUUUAUGAUCAAGUCUAUCUAUGAAUAAUAUUUGAAUCUUCUCUGAAUUCUUUUAUGUAUGAUUGUUUAUCUUUGCAAGUCUCCUCGAAUUAUCAGUUUGGUUUGGCCUACUAGAUUGAUCUUUCUUACAAUGGGAGAAGUGCUUAGCUUUGGGUUCAAUCUUGCGGUGUCCUUUCCCAGUGACAGCAGGGGCAGCAAGGCAUGUAUUGUAUUGUUGCUAUCGAGGACAACAAGAUGAGGUUUUCAUCAUAUUGCAUGAGUCUAUCCCUCUACAUCAUGUCAUCUAGCUUAAGGCGUUACUCUGUUUUUAACUUAAUACUCUAGAUGCAUGCUGGAUAGCGGUCGAUGAGUGGAGUAAUAGUAGUAGAUGCAGGCAGGAGUCGGUCUACUUGUCUCGGACGUGAUGCCUAUAUACAUGAUCAUACCUAGAUAUUCUCAUAAAUAUGCUCAAUUAUGUCAAUUGCUCAACAGUAAUUUGUUCACCCACCAUAGAAUUAUUAUGCUCUCGAGAGAAUCUACUAGUGAAACCUAUGGCCCCCGGGUCUAUCUUUAUCAUAUUAAUCUCCUACUACUUAGUUAUUUCCUUUGCUUUUUCCUUUGCCUUUAUUUUACUUUUCAUCUUUAUCACAAAAAUACCAAACAUAUUAUCUUUAUCAUAUCUAUCAGAUCUCACUCUCAUAAGUGGCCGUGUAGGGAUUGACAACCCCUAUUCGCGUUGGUUGCGAGGAUUUAUUUGUUUUGUGCAAGUACGAGGGACUCGCGCGUAGCCUCCUACUGGAUUGAUACCCUUGGUUCUCAAACUGAGGGAAAUACUUACGCUACUUUGCUACAUCAUCCCUUCCUCUUCGGGGAAAACCAACGCAGUGCUCAAGAGGUAGCAAGAAGGAUUUCUGGUGCCAAUGCCGGGGAGGUCUACGCAAAAGUCAACAUACCAAGUACCCGUCACAUACCCUUAUCUCCCGCAUUACAUUAUUUGCCAUUUGCCUCUCGUUUUCACCUCCCCCACUUCACCCUUGCCAUUUUAUUCGCCCUCUCUCUCUCUCUAUCCUCCCUCUCUUUCUCUAUUUGCCUCUUUUUUCCCGCUUGCUUUCUGUUUGCUUGUGUGUUAGUUGCUUGCUUGUCACGAUGGCUCAAGAUAAUACUAAAUUAUGUGACUUCACCAAUACCAACAACAAUCAUUUUAUUAGCACUCCGAUUGCUCCUCUUACCGAUGCUGAAUCUUGUGAAAUUAAUACUGCUUUGCUGAAUCUUGUCAUGAAAGAUCUGUUUUCCGGCCUUCCUAGUGAACAUGCCGGUACCCACCUAAAUAGAUUCAUUGAUUUGUGUGACAUGCAAAAAAAAGAAAGGUGUGGAUAAUGAUAUUGUUAAAUUGAAGCUAUUUCCUUUUUUGCUUAGAGAUCGUGCUAAAGCUUGGUUUUCGUCUUUGCCUAAAAAUAGUAUUGAUUCAUGGAAUAAGUGCAAAGAUGCUAUUAUCUCUAAGUAUUUUCCUCCUACUAAGAUCAUCUCUCUUAGAAACAAUAUUAUGAAUUUUAAGCAACUUGAUCAUGAACAUGUUGCACAAGCUUGGGAGAGAAUGAAACUAAUGGUACGUAAUUGCCCUGCCCAUGAUUUAAAUUUGUGGAUGAUUAUACAAAAAUGUUAUGCCGGAUUGAAUUUUGCUUCUAGAAAUCUUUUAGAUUCGGCCGCGGGAGGCACUUUUAUGGAAAUCACUUUAGAAGAAUCUACUAAACUCCUAGAUAAUAUUAUGGUUAAUUAUGCUCAACGGCAUAGUAAAAUAUCUAAUAAUAAAAAGGUGCAUGCGAUACAAGAAAUUAAUGUUUUGAGUGGAAAGAUGGAUGAACUUCUGAAAUUAUUUGCUAAUAAGAGUGUUUCUUCUGAUCCUAAUGAUAUACCCUUGUCUACUUUGAUUGAGAAUAGUAAUGAAUCUAUGGAUGUGGAUUUUGUUGGUAGGAACAAUUUUGGUAACAACGCGUAUAGAGGAAAUUUCAACCCUAGGCCUUAUCCUAGUAAUCUCUCUAAUAAUUAUGGUAAUUCCUACAACAAUUCUUAUGGAAAUUAUAAUAAGAUGCCCUCUAAUUUUGAAUCUAAUAUUAAAGAAUUUAUUACUUUGCAAAAGAAUUUCAAUACCUUGAUUGAAGAAGAACCGCUAGGAUGCGUGCUAAGAAAGAUGCCUUUAUAAGAGCGUGUUCUUCUAGUUCCUAUGAAAAUAAUGAUGAAGAUCUAAAAGUUAUUGAUGUGUUCCCUAUUAAAUCUUUGUUUUUCAACAUGGAUCUUGAUAAUGAUGGGAUUGAAUAUGAUCCACCUUUACCUAUAAGGCGUUCCAAGAAUUCAGAAUUUGUUGAUCUUGAUGCUAAAAUUGAUAAAGGUGGGAUUGAAGAAAUUAAAACCCUAGAUGUUGCUAAACCCACUAUUAUGGAUUUCAAGGAAUUUAACUAUGAAAAUUGCUCUUUUAUUGAUUGUAUAUCCUUUUUACAAUCCGUGCUAAAUUCUCCUCAUGCUUAUAGUCAAAAUAAAGCGUUUACUAAACAUAUCGUUGAUGCCUUGAUGCAAUCUUAUGAAGAAAAACUUGAAUUGGAAGUUUCUAUCCCUAGAAAGCUUUAUGAUGAGUGGGAACCAACUAUUAAAAUUAAAAUUAAAUAUCAUUAAUGCUAUGCUUUAUGUGAUUUGGGUGCUAGUGUUUCCACGAUUUCAAAGACUUUGUGUGAUUUGUUAGGUUUCCGUGAUUUUGAUGAUUGCUCUUUAAACUUGCGCCUUGUGGAUUCCACUAUUAAGAAACCUAUGGGAAGAAUUAAUGAUGUUCUUAUUGAUGCAAAUAGGAAUUAUGUGCCUGUAGAUUUUAUUGUUCUUGACAUAGAUUGCAAUCUUUCAUGUCCUAUUAUUCUUGGUAGACCUUUCCUUAGAACGAUUGGUGCAAUUAUUGAUAUGAAGGAAGGAAAUAUUAGAUUCCAAUUUCCAUUAAGGAAAGUCAUGGAACACUUUACUAGAAAGUAAAUUAAAUUACCUUAUGAAUCUAUUAUGAUAGCCACUUAUGGAUUGCCUACCAAAGAUGGCAAUACCUAGAUCUAUCCUUGCUUGUUAUGCCUAGCUAGGGGCGUUAAACGAUAGCGCUUGUUGGGAGGCAACGCAAUUUUGUUUUUAUUCCUUGAUUUUUGCUCCUGUUUAGUAAUAAAUAAUUUAUCUAGCCUCUGUUUUGGUUGUGUCCUUUGUGUUUAAUUAGUGUUGGUGCCAAGUAGAACCGUUAGGAAGACUUGGGGAAAGUCUUGUUACACUUGCUGUAAAAAACAGAAACUUCAGCGCUCACGAGAACUACUGCCAUUUUUAUUUGGAAAGUUCUAUUUAGUUAAUUAUUUCUGCAGAUGAUUAAUAGAUAAAUUCCUCACGUCCAGAAAUUUAUUUUAGAAUUUUUGGGGUUCCAGCUCUUGAGCUAGGUACAGAUUACUACAGACUGUUCUGUUUUUGAAAGAUUUUGUUUUUCAUGUGUUGUUUGCUUAUUUUGAUGAACCUAUGGCUAGUAAAAUAGUUGAUAGACCAUAGAUAAGUUGGAAUACAGUAGGUAUAACACCAAUAUAAAUAAAUAAUGAGUUCAUUAUAGUACCUUGAAGUGGUCUUUUAUUUUCUUUCGCUAACGGAGCUCACGAGAUUUUCUACUUUAAGUUUUGUGUUGUGAAGUUUUCGAGUUUUGGGUAAAGAUUUGAUGGUUUAUGGAACAAGGAGUGACAAGAGCCUAAGCUUGGGGAUGCCCAUGGCACCCCCAAGAUAAUCUAAGUACACCUAAAAGCCAAAGCUUGGGGAUGCCCCGGAAGUCAUCCCCUCUUUCGUCUACUUCUAUCGGUAACUUUACUUGGAGCUAUAUUUUUAUUCGCCACAUGAUAUGUGUUUUGCUUGGAGCAUCUUGUAUUAUUUGACUCUUUAUUUGUUAGUUUACCACAAUCAUCCUUCCUGUACACACCUUUUUUAGAAUACUCUAUGUGCUUCGCUUAUAUCUUUUGAGUUAUAUAGUUUUGCUCUAGUACUUCACUUAUAUCUUUUAGAGCACGGUGGUGGAUUUGUUUUAUAAAAACUAUUGAUCUCUCAUGCUUCACUUAGAUUAUUUUGAGAUGCUUAAUAGCAUGGUAAUUUGCUUAAAAUCCUAAUAUGCUAGGUAUUCAAAGUUAGUAUAAUUUUCUUAAGAGUGUUUUGAAUACUAAGAGAAGUUUGAUGCUUGAUGAUUGUUUUGAGAUAUGGAGGUAAUAAUAUCAAAGUCGUGCUAGUUGAGUAGUUGUGAAAUUGAGAAAUACUUGUGUUGAAAUUUGCAUGUCCCGUAGCAUGCACAUAUGGUAAACGUUGUGUAACAAAUUUGAAACAUCAGGUGUUAUUUGAUUGUCUUCCUUAUGAGUGGCGGUCGGGGACGAGCGAUGGUCUUUUCCUACCAAUCUAUCCCCCUAGGAGCAUGCGCGUAGUACCGAGGUUUUUGAUCACUUGUAGAUUUUUGCAAUAAGUAUGUGAGUUCUUUAUGACUAAUGUUGAGUCCAUGAAUUAUACGCACUCUCACCCUUCCAUCCUUGCUAGCCUCUUCGGUACCGUGCAUUGCCCUUUCCCACAUUGAGUGUUGGAGCAAACUUCGCCGGUGCAUCCAAACCCCGUGAUAUGAUACGCUCUUUCACACAUAAACCUCCUUAUAUCUUCCUCAAAACAGCCACCAUACCUACCUAUUAUGGCAUUUCCAUAGCCAUUCCGACAUAUAUUGCCAUGCAACUUUCCACCAUUCCGUUCAUCAUGACACAUUCAUCAUUGUCAUAUUGCUUAGCAUAAUCAUGUUGUUGACAUAGUAUUUGUGGCAAGGCCACUGUUCAUAAUUCUUUCAUACAUGUCACUCUUGGUCCAUUGCAUAUCCCGGUACACCGCUGGAGGCAUUCAUAUAGAGUCAUACUUUGUUCUAGUAUCGAGUAGUAAUUAUUGAGUUGUAAAUAAAUAGAAGUGUGAUGAUCAUCAUUAAUAGAGCAUGGUCCCAAAGAGAGAAAAAAGGAAGGGCCAAAAAAGGCCAAAUAAAAAAUAUAAAAAAGGGGGGCAAUGCUACUAUCCUUUUUUCCACACUUGUGAUUCAAAGUAGCACUGUAAUCUUCAUGAUAGAGAGUAUCUUGAUUUGUCACUUUCAUAUACUAGUGGGAAUUUUUCAUUAUAGAACUUGGCUUGUAUAUUCCAACAAUGGGCCUCCUUAAGUGCCCUAGGUCUUCGUGAGCAAGCAAGUUGGAUGCACACCCACUUAGUUUCUUUUGUUGAGCUUUCAUACAUUUAUAGCUCUAGUGCAUCCGUUGCAUGGCAAUCCCUACUCCUUGCAUUAACAUCAAUCGAUGGGCAUCUCCAUAGCCCAUUGAUUAGCCUCGUUGAUGUGAGACUUUCUCCUUUUUGUCUUCUCCACAUAACUCCACUCAUUAUAUUCUAUUCCACCCAUAGUGUUAUGUCCAUGGCUUGCAAUCAUAUAUUGCGUGGAAGUUUAUAGGUUUGAGAUCACUAAAGUAUGAAACAAUUGCUUAGCUUGUCAUCGGGGUUGUGCAUGAUGAGAGCGUUGUUGUGUGACAAAAAUGAAGCAUGACUAAACUAUAUGAUUUUGUAGGGAUGAACUUUCUUUGGCCAUGUUAUUUUGAGAAGACAUAAUUGCUCAGUUAGUAUGCUUGAAGUAUUAUUAUUUUUAUGUCAAUAUGAACUUUUGUCUUGAAUCUUUCGGAUCUGAAUAUUCAUAUCACAAUUAAGAAGAAUUACAUUAAAAUCAUGCUAAGUAGCACUCUGCAUCAAAAAUUCUGUUUUUAUCAUUUACCUACUCGAGGACGAGCAGGAAUUAAGCUUGGGGAUGCUUGAUACGUCUCCAACGUAUCUAUAAUUUUUGAUUGCUCCAUGCUAUAUUAUCUACUGUUUUGGACAAUAUUGGGCUUUAUUAUCCACUUUUAUAUUAUUUUUGGGACUAACCUAUUAACCGGAGGCCCAGCCCAGGAUUGCUGUUUUUUGCCUAUUUUAGGGUUUCGAAGAAAAGGAAUAUCAAACGGAGUCCAAACGGAAUGAAACCUUCGGGAACGUGAUUUUCUCAACGAACAAGACCCAGGAGACUUGGACCCUCCGUCAAGACACAAAAGAGGAGGCCACGAGGUAGGGGGCGUGCCUACCCCCCGGGCGCGCCCUCCACCCUCGUGGGCCCCCUGUUGCUCCACCGACGUACUCCUUCCUCCUAUAUAUACCUACGUACCCCCAAAUGAUCAUAUACGGAGCCAAAACCCUAAUUACACCGCCGCAACAUUUUGUAUCCACGAGAUCCCAUCUUGGCGCCUGUUCCGGAGCUCCGCCGGAGGGGGCAUCGAUCAUGGAGGGCUUCUACAUCAACACCAUAGCCUCUCCGAUGAAGUGUGAGUAGUUGACCUCAGACCUACGGGUCCAUAGUUAUUACCUAGAUGGCUUCUUCUCUCUUUUUGGAUCUCAAUACAAUGUGCUCCCCCUCUCUUGUGGAGAACUAUUCGAUGUAAUCUUCUUUUUGUGGUGUGUUUGUUGAGACCGAUGAAUUUUGGGUUUAUGAUCAAGUCUAUCUAUGAAUAAUAUUUGAAUCUUCUCUGAAUUCUUUUAUGUAUGAUUGGUUAUCUUUGCAAGUCUCUUCGAAUUACCCGUUUGGUUUGGCCUACUAGAUUGAUCUUUCUUGCAAUGGGAGAAGUGCUUAGCUUUGGGUUCAAUCUUGCGGUGUCCUUUCCCAGUGACAGUAGGGGCAGCAAGGUACGUAUUGUAUUGUUGCCAUCGAGGACAACAAGAUGGGGUUUUCAUCAUAUUUUAUGAGUCUAUCCCUCUACAUCAUGUCAUCUUACUUAAGGCAUUAAUCUGUUUUUAACUUAAUACUCUAGAUGCAUGCUGGAUAGCGGUCGAUGAGUGGAGUAAUAGUAGUAGAUGCAGGCAGGAGUCGGUCUACUUGUCUCGGACGUGAUGCCUAUAUACAUGAUCAUACCUAGAUAAUCUCAUAACUAUGCUCAGUUCUGUCAAUUGCUCAAUAGUAAUUUGUUCACCCACCGUAGAAUACUUAUGCUCUUGAGAGAAGCCACUAGUGAAACCUAUGGCCCCCGGGUCUAUCUUUAUCAUAUUAAUCUCCUACUACUUAGUUAUUUCCUUUGCUUUUUUACUUUGCCUUUAUUUUACUUUGCAUCUUUAUCACAAAAAUAAAAAUAUCUUUAUCAUAUCUAUCAAAUCUCACUCUCGUAAGUGGCCGUGUAGGGAUUGACAACCCCUAUUCACGUUGGUUGCGAGGAUUUAUUUGUUUUGUGCAGGUACGAGGGACUGGCGCAUAGCCUCCUACUGGAUUGAUACCUUGGUUCUCAAAACCUAAGGGAAAUACUUACGCUACAUUGCUGCAUCAUCCCUCACUCUUCGGGGAAAACCAACGCAGUGCGCAAGAGGUAGCAAGGGUUCCUUUUUGUCGACGAUCUGAUGUUUCAACCUUGUUUUCCAGGCGGCCAACGCAUCGCUCAACUUGGUCAUGGCGUGUUUGUUUAUCUUCGUCAUUGCCAGGUCCUUAUCUGGAUCUUUAUUAUCCUUUUCAUUACGGUCCGGGAACAAGAAUAUCUGGUGCAGCUUCUUUAGGAGGGAGGGCCUCUGGUGCAGCUUCUAUAGUUUCCCAUCGUUGAUCAUGGCAGUUGUCCGUACAAUGCAACCUAUUUGAUUGCCGUAGCACGAUUGCGCUUCCUCGGGUGCUAUUGUCUCAAAAAUACCGUCGUCCAUCUCCGUGACCACCAGUCUAGUACUCAUGAGCUGGUUUAGGCGUCGUGGCCUCUUUGCUUUCGGUUCUAGACUAACUCCGCUAGUCUCGGCGCUGGUCUCAGUCUCAUCGCCGGUCUGCAUGUCGGUAUCAGUCCCUGAUGCGACAACACAGUCGCUGCAACAUGGGUAAGGGAGACCACAUCAGUGCUGGGGGGUCCGAAAAUCGGGACACACUUUCGCGCGUCGCGGGCCGCCUCUCAGACAGCUACUGGGGAGGCGGCGGAGUACCUGGGUGCGCCGCGAAUCCCCGGGAACUCGGUGACCAACUUCCUUCCCGUGUGGCGCAUGGAGACGACAGCGACCCCGGCGAAGAGUAGCUUAGCCGCGAGCUGCACAGCCUCGUCCACCUCCUAAGUUGGGACCUCCGCGCAAGCGUUGCGGGGCCGCCGCUCGGGUGGCUUCUGGAAGGCGGUUGUACAUGGGCACAGGGUGAAUCCCGACUAGAGCUGGCCAUUGGCGCGCGCAAGUAGACGACGACGUCCCCGACGAAGAGCUGCCCGGCCAGCUCGCCUCACUCUCCUUUGAUUAGAAAUGAAAGAUUGGGAAGAAGCAGACUUGAGCCUGCAGAGAAAGGAUAAGGUGACGAUGCAGUCUCCACUCGUUCGGGGCGACACGCGUACUGAAUGUAUGAGAAACGUGACGUGGCAGAGACCCCAAGAUACUCCCUCCAUUUAUUUUUAGUCUGCAUAUAAAGUUUGGUCAAAGUCAAGAUUUGUAAAUUUUAACUAACUUUAUAAUAAAAAAAUAUCAAUAUUCACAAUAUGAAAUCAAUAUUACCAGAUGCGUCAUGAAAUGUAUUUCCAUACUAUAAAGUUUUGGUAUUGUAGAGGCACUCUUCCAUAUAAUGAAGUUUAUAAUAUAUGUGCUUAUAUUGUACUACAAUUGUUUGAAUAGCUUAGCAUAUGUUCAGAUGUAUGAUAUCUGUAAUUUAAGCGCUUGAAUUUUACAUAUAAAUAUUUAUUAAUAAAUAUGUACCCCUAUAAUAGCUAGGCCGUGCAGUUGCACGGGUAGAUGACUAGUGAUUACAAUCUUGUUUGUGUGCAAGUCAAGCUUAUCUAGUUUACACGUAACAACUUGUAGAACAUUACAAAAUUUAUGCUUGCUAAUAACUUCUAGAACACUACAACACUUGACAUGUAAAAGGAAUUUGACGAGUCAUGGCCUACUAAAGCAAGUUACAUUACUAGUCUUAUCUAUCUUAACAGACCACACAAGAUUACAAACUAAGUACCGUGACAGCCAUACUUAUCUAGUUUAUGCGUAACAAUUUGCAGAAAAUUAGAAACUUAGUUUCAGAAAAAUACGCAAUCUAGAUUAGUGUUUGAGCUGUAAAGUGAAUAAGAUGAGUCAUGCAUGUUAUCACACCUUUUUGGUGGUGGAAUGAUAGUGCAACAACAAGGAACUUUAAUGACCAGUCCAAGAAUACACUUGUAAGUAGUGCCACCAAACAGAACAUUCCAAAUGAUGAUUUUUAGAAGCAUCCAAGCACUUUCCACACAAACAAAUGCCAAUUGUGAAAGAGAUCAUUCCAUGGCAGCUAUAAAUAGCCCCAUAGCAUGACGAUCAUCCUUCCUCAUCCAUCAUUCUCAUUAGUAGAGCGCAUCAUUUAAGCCAAGCAAGCUGUGGUCAAUACAAAUCCACCAUGAAGACCUUUCUCAUCCUUGCCCUCCUUGCUAUCGUGGCGACCACCGCCACAACUGCAGUUAGAGUUCCAGUGCCACAAUUGCAGCCACAAAAUCCAUCUCAGCAACAGCCACAAGAGCAAGUUCCAUUGGUACAACAACAACAAUUUCUAGGGCAGCAACAACCAUUUCCACCACAACAACCAUAUCCACAGCCGCAACCAUUUCCAUCACAACAACCAUAUCUGCAGCUGCAACCAUUUCCGCAGCCGCAACUACCAUAUUCGCAGCCACAACCAUUUCGACCACAACAACCAUAUCCACAACCGCAACCACAGUAUUCGCAACCACAAGAACCAAUUUCACAGCAGCAGCAACAACAACAACAACAACAACAAAUCCUUCAACAAAUUUUGCAACAACAACUGAUUCCAUGCAUGGAUGUUGUAUUGCAGCAACACAACAUAGCGCAUGGAAGAUCACAAGUUUUGCAACAAAGUACUUACCAGCUAUUGCAAGAAUUGUGUUGUCAGCACCUAUGGCAGAUCCCUGAGCAGUCGCAGUGCCAGGCCAUCCAAAAUGUUGUUCAUGCUAUUAUUCUGCAUCAACAACAAAAACAACAACAACAACCAUCGAGCCAGGUCUCCUUCCAACAGCCUCUGCAACAAUAUCCAUUAGGCCAGGGCUCCUUCCGGCCAUCUCAGCAAAACCCACAGGACCAGGGCUCUGUCCAGCCUCAACAACUGCCCCAGUUCGAGGAAAUAAGGAACCUAGCGCUACAGACGCUACCUGCAAUGUGCAAUGUCUACAUCCCUCCAUAUUGCACCAUCGCGCCAUUUGGCAUCUUCGGUACUAACUGAGAAGAAAAUAACUCUAGUACUAGAUAUAUGAAACACCGUUUUCUCAGUCCAUGGUUUGGUCAUUGUAGCGUUGAAAAAAUAAUGUGACAUGCACUAUCAUGUAAGAAUCCGAACUAUACUAGUUCAAACUUGGGAAUAAAAGACAAACACAGGUCUUGUCUACAUAUUUAUGUUGCAUCUAUUUAUAUAUUAAAAGUAAUAUAAGGUGAACCAGGAGCAAGGUAAAUAUGCUAGAAAAUUGCACGUUAAUUAGAAAUUACUAGCCCUCGAUCUGGUAAAUCUUAACAAAUAGAAUUAUCUUCACCGUUAGAUUUAUGUAACAUAUAUAAUGCUCUGGGCCUCCAACGACUGUACGUGACACAUCUGAAUGAACAUAUGUUAAAGAAAAUAUAUUUGGUAAAUGGUGGGCCUGUUUAAAAAGAGAACUCACGUACAUGCACCAACUAAGAAAAACACAUACAUGUAAACGGGAAAAGGAUGAGAUUUUCUCACGUACGUGCUCCCUGGCUCCACCCCGUUGAAAAAAUAUACAUCUGGAGGCCACUUUGUUUCCUCAUCAAAAAAAACUUACGUUAAAAAGAUUGCAUGCAUCCCAGGGAAAAUAGUCAAGAAGAAGUCGGACUUUUCCUUACAAAAACAAGGAACGUGUUAAGUUGACUUCAAAGAAAAAAGGAACAUGUUAAGUUAAAAAAAA
rnacentral:lncRNA from 1 species